GGAUCGCUUGCAUGAUUUCAACUUAAAGCGCAUAGACACUGAAACGUUGUCUGCGAACCAUAGACUUCGAUGCAGGCGGAAAGACGCCAAUAAUUAUUAUUUGAAUGUGAUGUGAAGUUGAAGUCAAAAAAUGGAUGGUUUAUUUAGAUUGUCUCCUUAUUUAUUCUUGUACAUUUAUUGAGCAUGCAGAAAUUCGGGCCAAAGAUGGUACAUAUGCUGUGAAUUGUGUGUUGAUGUUUCUUUUUUUCUUGACGCAAAUGUGUUGAUGUUUCUAGAGUAACUUGGACUUGUGAGUUUAUAGUAUUUUCUAAUGGACAUGUAAUAUUCAGUGUUCAAUUUAAUUUAUAUGUAUUGACAAUGUAAAACUUAUUUACACAAAUUUAUGCCACGUUUAAUUAGAUAUUACUCUCUUCUUCCAGUGGGAUCAAAAUCCUGUCCUGUUAAUUUUUUUUACGGAUUUUGGGAUAACAGAAGUAACGGCAAAUUCAUCAGAAAUUUUUCUAAAGUACUCAAAUUAAGAGGGAUUUCAAUCGUAAAAGUAUAUGUAAAGAGAAGUGCCAGAUAUUAUGAAAACAGGACAGGUUUUCAAAACUCUAUAUAUAGAUAUGAAGAUAACUUAGUAGGUUGGCUUAGUAAAUUACUAUCCACUACUUCAAGUCAGUUAAUUGUCGGAUAAUCUUCACGUAUAUAAUGUUGAUAGUCUUUGAUAUCCCUUACAAUUCUCAAUAGAAUCAUAUUAUAAUUAUGAAUAUUCAUCCUUAAAACUCAGGUAUUUGGGUUCUAAAAUGUAAAUAAGUUAGCAUUAUAAAUUUGAUUUGGUUAGACUACGCAAUGUAUCUAGGACAUUAUUUGCAAUACAUGAUAUUAUUCAAUUUUUAAGAUUCCAUUGAGAAUAAAAACCGGCAAAUGUUUGGAAACAAAUGUAAGAGCCAUGAGUGCAAACACAACAUAAAAGGUGUUUGUAUAAUUAGAAAGAAAACACAUUUAAACAAAACAAAUGCACUCUUCAUUAGCAUUCGGUGGAGAAAUUGAAACAAACCAAAUCGAAUAAAUAGGAAAAAUGAUAAAUGUUAAUUUCACCCUUUCAAUGGAACCAAAGAGAACAAAGGAGUAGAUGAUAAACAUUAGUUGCAAGGUAUUAUAGAUGGCUAAAUAGCCCAUGUUUGAAAAACAAUCAUUAAUUAAGAUGAUAUUAUUGCAUCAUCCAUAAUACAUCCAAAAUACUCCCCAAAUAAACUAUACAUCCAAAUUGAAAACCAUAAAUUUUUUUGUAUCCAGAACACAUCACAAAAUAGAUUUGCACCAUUUGGGGAUGCAACAUAGGACGAACCUUCAACUUUCAUGAUAAAUAAAUCCCUCUUGCCCUUCGUGUGAAAACUUGCCCUACAUGGCCAAGGAGGAUAAUAUAUAGAGAGAGAGUGAAAGAGAGAGAGGUUUUUUUUCAAAGCAUCCCUACUCCGCCCAAAAACAAUGAAGUGUGGGGACUAAGACUGGAGCUAAGUCCAGGAACUUGUCGCGAGAGGAGCACAUUACACGGCAUCGUUUAAUCAUAUCGUAAUCAGAGACAUUGCCAUCGGACCCUUCAACAACUUUUAUGAUGGCAUCAGUAAACACACACAUAGUCUCUCUUCCUCUUUUUGUUUUUUUGCUUUGAAGUAGAAGAUAACUUCAACCAUUUUAUUGAGUUAUUACCCGAAGAAGUUUCCUCGACAAUAAUUGCUGAUUUUUGUUAUUCUGGAGGAAUUGUAAGAGGCUAUAAAAGGUGGUUUAUGGAGGACUUAAUCGAAUAGAAGUAUAAAGACUGUCCUUCCCGCUUGAAUAUUUUAAAUCACUGCAACACUGUUAUGCAACCGAAACGAGCACAACGGUUAAAACGAGUCAUCUUCAUGCAUAGCAGUGUCGCAUGAAGAUGACUCGUUUUAACCAUUGUGCCUGUUUCAAUUGCAUAACAGUGUCGCAGUGAUUUAAAAUAUUCAAGCGGGAAGGACAGUCUUUAUACUUCUCUUCGGUUAAGUCCUCCAUAAACCACCUUUUAUAACCUCUUACAAUUCCUCCAUAAUAACAAAAAUCAGCAAUUAUUGUCAAGGAAACUUCUUCGGGUAAUAACUCAAUAAAAUGGUUGAAAUCAUCUUCUACUUCAAAGCAAAAACAAGCAAAAACAAUCAGCUUUAGUUUUUCAACUUAUAGAAUUAACUCUAAAACAGUCCCCGUGAGCAUAGCUCAGUUGGCAGGGACAAUGCAUUAUUAUAUGCAGGGGCCGGGGUUCGAACCCCGGACACCCCACUUAUUCACUUUAAAAGUGAAUUUCUAGCCACUAGGCUACCUGACCAAAAAAAAAAUUAACUCUAAAACAUAAGCCACACACACCGACAAUGAACAACACUUACUUGCUAAUGCUACCAAGUCAAUUACUUAAUAGUUUAAAUUGAAAAAUAAGCCUCACUAUCAUUAAUAAUUUUUAAGAUUUUUAUGUAAUUAUCUCAACAAAUGAAAAAGAGUUUAAAUGUAUAAGAUUUUAACUUGUAUCUUUACACAACAAAUCCUACUGUUCCAAACAUAAAAACAAUAGCCACCCAAAUAAUUAUACGAUCAACCACAAACAAAUCUUAUAAACCCAAACAUAGCCAACUAUAACACAUAAAAAAAGAGAAAGACAAACCCAGAUUUUUAAAAAGGUUUCUCUCUCACAAAUGAAACAUCAAAUAAAAAUUUAGGCAAACUCACUCAAAUGCUUUUUUAAGAGAAAAUGGUUUUAUAAUAUUGAAUAAUGUGACUAAUUUUUUUUUUUUUUUUGGUACAACUUAAUGUGACUAAUUUAAUCAUGUGUGUUGUGACUGUUAUGUAAAACUAGCUAUAAAUAAUAAAAUAAAAUAAAAAUACAGUAAAUUGUACUGUACCUCUUAUUACUUGUUUAUCAGGUCCAAGAAAAUAAUGGACCAUUUCCUUUUUUUGUUCAUCAAGAUGAUAACCUCCGUGGCCAGCCAAAAGAAUUAACAAACAAUCUCUUUUCUUGCUUUGGGUGAUGAAACUGCACAAAUUAUUUAAGAGAACACUUGUUUUGUUGUCAACCAAGUUAAAUAGGCUUAAAUUUGUCCUUAGUGUUAUAUUUUCUUCCUUAAAACCGAGAUGUUCUAAUAAACAUUUUUUCAUGUUUAUUGCUACAUUUGCGCCUCCGUACAACUGUCUAUGACGAUCUUUAGGGUAAGAAAAACCACCAAGGAAUGCAUAGGAUUUCGCCUUCUGUAUUUGCGCCUCCGUAUUUCGCCUUCUGUUGUUUGCAUAGGAUUUGAGGGUCCGCCUUCUUCUGUUGUUUCCAUUUUAGGGUUUGAGGAUCUAGGGCUUGAUGGUAUGAAAAUAGUGUUUUAAUUCAAUGGCAGUGUGUGAUUACAAGUGCUGAAAGCAAAUAAAUUUGAAGAGGAGGUAUAGUCUUGGUUUGGGUUAGAGAGAAAGAAGAUGAAGUUGGAGCUGAAGGAGUGUGUAGGGUAGUUCUAUAGUUUAGGCUUUAUAAUAUUGGUGUGCCAGCCUUGUGUAUUAAAAGAAGUACUAAUUAAUAAUACCUAAAACGUCCUUCGAGUUGGUAGAAUAUUAACUUCUUUCAUAAAAAAAACUGAUCUAAUCGCAUUCAAUUACAAAGAGAAUGUGAAAAAGAAAAAAAGAUGUCUUAAAUAUUUCAUUGGCUAAAGAAAAUUCAUAUAUUUUCUUGUUAGACAACUUAUUUUAUUCAUAAAAAUUCAUUCAACUACUUUCCACAAGAUUUUUUAUAAGGAAUUUAUCAGAAUUGUUUAUUAAUGAUCUACCUCAUGAAAACAUAAUUAGCGCACUUCAUAGACUCUUCCUAAAAAAAACUCUUCAAAAUACUCCAAUUUUUUUGUUCCAAAUAGCCUAGUGGUUAUAACUUAUAAUUCACCUUUAAAUGAUAUGUCUAAACCAACCUCGAUCCCUGCAUAUAAUAAUGAAUGUCUCUCCCAACUAAAAUAUACUCACGGGGACAAAAUACUCCACUUAUCCCAUACUAUAAAAAUAAAAAAAUAAAAUAUUAAAUGCACGUCAAUUUAAUUUGGUAACGUUUUUCUUAAAUUUUUAAUAUGUCUAAACCAACUUAAUGUGUCAUGCUUAAAUUUUUCUUUCUUUCUUUUCAUCCAUUCUAGAUUAUAGUAACGUUUUUAAAAUGGGCAAUCACAUGAAAUAUGAUGAUGACAUGUUAGUAAAGGGUGAGGAUUGAUAAUGGGAGUUCUAUUUCCUUAAAAAAAAAAAAAAAAAAGAUAAUGGGAGUUCUAUGAUGGACCAUCGUGCGUCUUUAUAUGCAAAUUAGACUGCAAAUUAGACAGACAAUUCUGAAUUACAAAGUAAACAUUUCAUCUUCUUUUAAUUAAUGUAUUGCACCCCACGUUUAUUUUCCUUUAUCUUCUAGUGUAUAUAGCGUAUGUUCUAUCUGAUUUCAUUAGAUCAAUCAAAGAAAAUUCUAACUGUUUGAUUGGCCUAAAGCUAAAUUCCAACAUUCAAAUUAAUAAUACGUUCCCCAACUAUCAUGAGAAAAUUGAAUGGAUCACAUGCAUGUGUAGUUUAUUUUACUCAAAUUGGUCCAAUAAAGAGUUUUACAACUAUGCAAUUAUAAUCUGCACAUAUUUUAAACAGAUGCCAAACAUAGUAUUUAGUAAAAUAUAUAUAUAUAUAUAUAUAUAUAUUUCUUUGUAAGAUAUUUCUUAACGUCCAUGUAUAAUUGUAAAACUCACCAAAAAAUUUAGUGCUUUAUAAGUUACUCAUUCAUUACCAUACAAAGUCACAUGAAAAAAAAUAUUUAAAUUCAACCGAUGACUCUUUUUUUUUUUUUUUUUUUUAGGUUUAAUAGCAGUUUUGACCCCCUAUGUAUUAAGAAGUUGCGAUUUUGGACCCAUAACUAAAAUAAUUCAAUUUUGACCCCAUAUGUUUUGUCCUCUUUGCACUUUUCGCCCCCUAGAUCAAUUUUGACCAAGUCAAUGCUGACGUGCACGUGUGUUAUUUUUUUAAUUAUUAAAAAAAUACGUUUUUUUAUUUUUUAAUUAAAAAUUAAAAAAAAUACUUUUUUUAAAAAAAAAUUAAUUAAAAAAAUAUAAAUAAAAAAUAAAUAAAAUUACACAUGUGGCGCCAUAUCAGCAUUGACUUGGUCAAAGGUGCAAAGGAGUCAAAACAUAGGGGGCCAAAAUCGAAUUAUUUUAGUUAGGGGGCCAAAAUUGCAACUUCUGUAAACAUAGGGGAUCAAAACUGCUAUUAAGCCUAUUUUUACUAUAAACAUAAAUUAAAGAUACACAUUGUAGUGUCCCAUAAUUGUAGCUCAAUCGGUAGCUACUAAAGAUAUUGUGUCGUUCCAAAGAUAUUUUAUACUCUAUCCGUUUCAAAAUAAGUGUCGCUUUAACUAAUUGCACACAAAUUUUGGAAUGAAAUGAAAUAAUCAUUAUACAUAACACUUUUAUUAAACUGUCUAAGAAAAAGACAAACUUAAAGUUGAAUUGAAAAUUGUGCAAGAGAAAAGUUGGAGGGUAAAGUUGGGAGGGAGAAAAAAUUAAAAUUGUAUUGAAAAUGUAAAGUGACAUUUAUUUUGAAACAAAUUUUUUAGCUAAAAUGACACUCAUUAUGAAACGGAUGGAGUAUGAGGUUAAUGAAUAUGUUUUGGAAAAUGCUAAUGAGUUUAAAGAAUUAAUAUUGUAUAAUGAAUUUUAAACAAUUAUAAAUAAGGCAAGUAUCUGCACUUAAGGCAAUUAUAUAUUUAUCUUUAAUUUGAAUUAUAAAAGUAUGUUAAAAUUAUUUCGCUUAAAUAAUAUUGACUGAUUGGGUAUUUUGAAUCGUCAUAAAAUUGUGUAUGAACAAGAUCGAGUCUUCUGAUUCAAUUAAGUUUAUCAUAAAGACAAAUGUAUUACAGAUAUUUGGUCAUAUGAUCGAGUCAUCCGAUUUAACUUGGUUUAAUCAUGCGGUUCGACCAAUGACUCAAUGACCCAGUACUCUCAUCGAGUCGACCACUGGUCCGAUUUUUAAAACUAUGAACUUAUCCAUGUUUUGGGUCUCCUUCAAUCAUUUUAGUUUUUAUUUAGAAGGGACAUAAAUCAUUGAUGAGACUAUGCCCUUGAGAUUAUUUUUAAUUUCAAAAGGAUUAUGGUCUUAAGAAGACUCUUAAUUCUAAAGGAAGAGAACAAAUGGAUUUGAAAUUUCAUAAUACUUGCAUGGAAUGCAAAAAUAUCUCAAAUUGAGUACUAAGAUAUACAAAAAUAUUUUAUAUUAUGCACCAAAAUACUUUCUAGAAUAUUUUAGCAAAACUUGUAGAUUCAGAAAAUACUUUCUUAAUUAUUUAAUUUAACAUUUCUAAAUAAUAUAUAUAUAUAUAUAUAUAUAUAUAUAUAUAUAUAUAGGUAUGCAUAUUCGUUGUAUCUCACCACUUCAAAAGGAAAAUAAAUGUAUUCAUUGCAUUGUUAUAUUAAUUACUCAUUUUUUAAAGAACAUUGUUGUUAUAUUAGUGUUGGUUAGUGAUAUGAUCCAUUAAUUGUAGAAAUAGAAUACAAUAGCGUGAGUAUGAUCAUUUUCGUAUGAAAAUAAAUGAAAGAAGAUGUCAUUUAGAAAUGGAUACAAAAAAAAAGGAUAUUUUUUAAGUGAGUUUCAUUAUCAUUAAUUUUUUUUUAUGUUUUUUAAAAUUGUAUAUCUUUAUUUAUUUUUAUUUGUAAAAUAGUGUAUCUUUUUCUCUGUAAACGAAAGAAGUAAAACAAACAUAAAUAGAAAGGACUCGACUCAAUUAUAAAAACAUGUUAAGGUUCCAAAUUUAUUUGUUCAGAAACAAAAUAUUAUGGUUCCAGCUAACAUGUUGCCUUGUUACAUUUCAAUAUGAUUUUCUUUCUUUUCUGGUGCAUUUCUUAUCCAUUUUAUCACGGCAAGUUAAAGGAAUACAUGUCUUAAUGAUAUAUUUUAAAAUUGAUAAAAAGAAAUUAAAAAAAUUAUUAAUGUAAAAAAUAGAGAAUCAACUAAAAAAAGGGGAGAGAAUUUUGUACCACCCUUUCAAUUAUUUUUACCGAGACGUGACAGCUGGUCUUUAACUUGCCUUUCUUGCUUUGCAUAUGUGUGUUUUCCUUUUCCAUUAAAAAAAUAUAAAGCAUGCAUAUAUCAUAAUCUGCCACAACACAACUACUCACUAGUUUUCAGUCAUUACUGUCUCUCUGCGCGCAAGACACGACCAUACAUGCUAAAGAAUCUUUAAUUCAAAAUUCAUAGCAAUUAAUAUUUCCAUAUUUAGCUUCAUCUAAUUUAAUAUUUUUUCUCAUUUACUUUUACCCUUACCCUUUUUUCAUUAGUGUGCUUCAAAAAUUAAAGAGACUGCAAGGAACCACAAGUCCACAUCCAAACAGACACACCUAUUUUCUGUAGGAAGGAUUCACUCCAGCACGCAACCUCACGUGUGUGUGUAUAUAUAUAUAUAUAUAUAUAUAUAUAUAGGGUCCGGCUAACCGGUGCCUCCGGGGCACUGGUUAAGCAUACCAUAAAAGGGAAUUAUUACCAUAAAAGGAAACUGCUUUUGACUUUAUUAUAGGUUAAUUACACAAUUUCAAUGCAUUAACUAUUAUAUAAUUUCCUUUUUCAUAUCCUUAACCAGUGUCCCGGGGGCACUGGUUAACAUUUCCCAUAUAUAUAUAUCUUUUAAAAAAAAUACAUACUCCCUCCGUCCCUUAAUAAAUGACCUAGUUGACAAUAUGCAUCAUUGACUUGAUAUACUUUGACCAUACUUUUCUACUAAUUCACAAAGAAAAAUAAUAUCAUGUAAGAUGUUGUUGGAUUCGUCUCGAUGAGUAUUUUUAAAAUAUUAAAUUUUUAUAAUUUUUUUUAGUAGAGAAUUGAAGAUAUCAAAGAUAAAACAUAUGCAUUGGUAUGUAUGUCAGAGUCAACUGGGUCAUUUAUUUAGGGACGGAGGGAGUAUUAUUAUGUGGUUUGCAUACAUAUUAUUCAUUUGAUAUGGACGGAUCAACUUUGAUCAAAGAUAACAUUAUACAUCCUUCAGUCAUUAUUAUAAGCAAAAUUUUACAUUUUGGAUUCAUUUAUUAAAUGAUAUAUGUGGUCUAUAAUAAAGAUCAUAUACAUUAUUAAUUGAAUGAAUUUAAAAUGUAAAAUUUUAUUUAUAAUAGUAACUGGAGUGCAGUCUGUAGAUUGUAAGCUUAUAUGUAUUUCAAUCAUUUUUAUUUUACCACAUUCUUCGUAGUUUUUUUUUUAGGGAUGACUUCCAAUUAUGAAUGAAUAUAAAUAAAAGAUUAGUUCAAAUAUAUAAAUAAAUUAAGUUCAAAUCUUUCCUCACAUUGUUUGGAAAAAUAUGACAUAAAAUUAUCAUUAAUAAAUAAAUCAAAGAGAAAUUAUCACAAAUUAAUUGACUCAUAAUAAGAUAAAAAUGAAGAAUAGAAGAACUUAUUGAUUUUGCAAAAUACAUUGGACUUAAAGAGUAUUUCGUUACCCCAAAUAGAUUACUCAUGCAGUAAUAUUAUUCAUGAUACAACAGUCACUUCUUGCUAGCAUCACACGGAAAUUAACAAGGUUUCAUAAACAACUUUUGAAUACCCAUGGGAACUUAAUUUAAUAACUUGUUUCACCCCUUUUAUUAUAGUACUAUAUCACUAUUUUUGUAAGAAACAUAACAAAUUGUAGAAGAUAAUUUUGUUUUUCGUCCUUUUUCAGGAAAACUCAUCUCCCAUAUAAUUUUGUUUUUCGUCCUUUUCGUCCUGUAUAGCAUAUUAAUUAGGUGUGACCAACAAACUCUACCAAGUAAAUAGGCCACGAUUAAUUUUAAUUAGUGUGUAGCUAAAUAACUUGGUCAAAAGAAAACGGUUUAGAAUAAUACCACGAACAUCGGUGGGUACCGAUUUAGGUUUAGGUUUUUCUUCAAAGUGACCGGUAGGUACAAGUUUAGGUUUUUCUUCAAUGUGGCCAACGUGAGUUUGAAAGGGAAUUUUGACUUUAAACUUCACAUCUAGGGUUGUUUUGACAUUGUCGGAUGCUACGCCAGAAUCUACGUCUACGUUGGAAGCUUCAAUUUUGGCCGGUUUCGGUUCAACGUCAUCAUCCGCCACAUUUUCAACCAUAUCACCCUAUGUCUAUAUUGAAUAAAAAAAAUAACAAGGAAAAAAAUAAAUAAAUAAAUUGUGCAGCAAGCUAAGAAAGGAAGAAAAAUGGCGCAAAUAUUCAAAAACUGGGCAUCACUUCUGCGUGACUUAAGCCACGCCAGUGUUAAUUUCCUACGUGAGUUAAGUCACGCAGCCUACACAACUGCGUGAGUUAACUCACGCUAAGCCCUAUCAUCUACCUCAAAAAAAUGACGAACCAGGCAGAAAAACUAGCAAAAACGGAUGAGUUUUGAUGAUACAUUACCUGUUCUUUGAUGUUUGACGAGCGUAAGAACUUGCUUCCUAACGAUUUGCAAUGAUUUCAAAUGAAGAUUUUGACCCAAAAAAUUGUACUUUUUGGGUUUUAGAGGUGGAGGGAAAGAAAAAUGGUGCGGUGAAUAUGGACUGCCGGGUUUUGUACAAAAACAGUACUUCUGUUGAGUAAAGAGCAGAAUUCAAGUCAUAAAAUCAUAAUUCCAAGAAAGCUAUAAAUACCCAUCUUAAAAUCAAUCUCAAGGCAGGGCCGCUCCUAACAUUUUAGGGGUCUUAGGCAUAGUUUGAGAAAAGCGUCCCUUACAAAUUACAUCGAAAACUUUUUUAGUUUUUUGUUAUGAUUUUAUUAGCGCUUCAUUUCGUUUUUUUUUUUUUUCGCUUUUCACUACAAGAUAAAAGUUUUUUUGGGUAACAUCUUCAAAUAAAUCAAAUGCUCCAUAGAAACCAAAACUAAACAAAAUACCAUAGAAUUAGACAACAAUUGCUCUUGCAAAGUAUACUGAAAUUUCUCUAGUAGGUCCAUUUUCAACUAAAAUAUAAUUUGUUUCGUUGUGAAGAUUCUCACAAUUUUCUGGAUAAUAAUUAUCACAAAUAUUUUUAAUAUUAGUAAGACACAUUAUUAUGAACAAAGGGCCUAAAAAAAUAUAAAAAAUUUCUUGGCACAUUAUUAGGAACAAGGGGUCCAAUUUUUUAUUUGGGUGGGUGUAAAUAGAAAGCUUUGUUUUAUAUGGGGUAUAUAUAGAAAAUUGCAUCAAAAGGGCCAAAACAAUAACAGACUUCAGCCCAGUCUUUAAUGGCAAUGUUGCGGGCCUGUUGGUAAAUUUUACUAUAUAAACCUCUGAAAAUCCAUUUCUUGCUAUAUACACGCCCCACAAAUAUAUUUAUUUUGGGGCCCCUACCUACAUGGGCCCUAGGCCAUCGCACUCCCGACCUAUGUCUAGGGCCCGCCCUGUAUCAAGGCAUGAUCUAAACAGACUAAACCCUAAUUAUUAAUAUUGUACUCACUGCAAAUACACAAAUAUAUUGAAACUAGCUAGAACUAUGCUUAAACUUAGGCUCCAUGGUUGUUCUUUAUGAAGAUUCAGUCUAAAUUCGUAAAAGCUAAAUAUCUCCAAUUUUGGUCUUACGUAAGAUUUAAGUCCAAGUUUAAUUAUAAACAACUAAGUAUGUCCAAAUUUGGUCUUUCUCAACAGCAAUAUUGAAUGAAGGUAAAUCUAUGCUUAGGAAUCAAGAUUAGGCUCCAAUAUUUUCCUUAUGGAAGAUGUAAAUCCAAACUUGAGCGUCUACCCGUGCUUCUGCACACGCACGGAUGCACAUAGGUGCAACUGGGGGCUGUUGACCCCACAUCAUUGUUAUUUUUUUAACCCACAAUUAUGUAUAUUUAUGCAUAUAAACCCACUAUUAUAAUCUUAUUGACCCCACAUUAGUUUAUUCAUCACAAUAAGGAGAAACUAUAAAACUUACUGCAAACAGACACGUAUAUGUUGAACAAAUUAAUUGUUUAAAAAUUAUGAUGAGCGGAAAUGGUAACAUGUAAAUCUUUUCAGGUAGGGAGUUGAAAAAGCUACACACUAAAAUCUAAACUUCUUACAUAAUACACCUCAUUAUCGUAUCAAACAAAAAAUAAACGUUCCAACUCUAUUCAAAGUGUCACACCCUUUUCGAUCUAUCUCAUAAUUUUGUUAGGCAUUUUGCAAAUUGCAAGGGAUUUUUUUUUUUUUAUGACAUGCAAGGGAUAAAUCUCAAAAUACAAUUUUUAGGUUGAUGUUUUCGUGUCUUAAAUUUUAGGCGCGUUAAAAAUUCAUAUUUAAUCCGUCCCUUGUCGAAAAAUUUAAAUUUUUUGUGGGAGAUGUUAUUUUUUUUGUUACGAAACUUUUCACAUCAUCUAUAUGUAUUUUUAUAGAGGUGUCUAUAAAGUUUUGUAGAAUUCUGAAUAACUUUCGAUUUAUUUUGAUUUUUCUACCGAAACGCUUAAAAUCAUAAUAAAAAGCAACGAAGCCAACGGCAGUUAACUGUCGGCGCAUAUCCCAGAGGCAGUUAACUACCGCUGGGGUAAUUUGGUCAUUUACUUGUGUCAAUAAGAAGUAUUCAAUGUCAAAAAAACAAUUUUCAAGUUGUUAUAUAACAAGCAAUCUAACUUGAUCAAGAGAGAAUAUCAUAUUCAAUUGACCGCAACAUUCAAUGUUAUUUGGCUUUUAAUGAAGUUAGGGGUUGACAUUUUGUGACGGUGAAUGGUGAAUGACAUUGACCCCGCUCAUUAAAAUUUCUGGAUUCGUCCCUGCUUCUGCACGGAUCAUAUACAUUGAAAUAAUUACUUAAAUGCAAUAUUAUAUAUUACAUGCUAUUCUAAAAACUUGGAUGACAUAGUAACAAACAAAUAUUAUUUGAUUUCAUAUUUCAUAUUUACACAUUUUGGAAAGAAAAAAAAAAUUGUACACUACAUUUAAAGUCGUAUUGAUGCAAUCACCAUCUUCAUCAAUUAAGAAAAUUAUCAUACCAUUUUUUGAUGUAACUCUUGAUAUAACAAUAUAUUUCUACCACUUAUUAGCUUAUGUCAAUACCCUAAGAUUAACCUCUCAACUGUUAAUGCAUGGAAACUGGCAGAAUUAAUGGUAAAUCGAAACAUGUUCUGAUGUUCACAAUCUAGUUUACCUGCACGUAGAAAACAAACAGUCACAAUUAAUGCUCAAUAAAUCAUCAAUGGCGCAGAGCAAUGGCUAAAACUUGUGCAUGCAUUAACGGUUUCAAUGACCUAAGUUUAACAUCUCAUUUAAACUCUUCAUUCUGAAAAAAAAUGAAGAGCCCCCAUUGAUGAUAUUUGUUUACAGCUUGACAACAAAAAACUACACCCUCCGAUUACUAAUAUAAGCAAAAAUCCAUUUUUUAAAUACAUGAUGUAUGUAGAUUUUAUUAUAUGUCAUAUAUAUCAUUUAUUAAAUGUAUGUACAAAGUAGAUUUUUGUUUAUAUUAGUGACCGGAGAAUGUAUUAGGUUACAAUCAUAACAAUAGAAAAACUGGCAACUAUUUUCAAGGCGGUUGCUGGUAUAAGGGGGAGAUAGCCAUUGCUCCCAAAAAAAAAAUAUUUUUAUGAGCCAAUAAGUCCCAAGGAGAGUUCACUAAAAGUAAUAUUUGAUUACAAUUGCUCACUGCUAAAACUAGCAAGAGACUUCAAACUGCUCAAGCACAACUGCAAGAGAGUUAUAAUCAAACAGAAUUACAAAGAAAUAUGUUUGAGGUUGAACACUUGAUAUACAAUUAGUGGUGUUCACAAUACAAAUCCGAUACAGACUCUUUAAGACUUAGGAAUUUCUAAGAUAUGAACUUGAAAACAGAAAUUCUAAGUGAACUUUGGAUGUGGAACAAUUUUGACAGAGUUUUAGCGCUUUCAAAAUGUUGUAGAGCCUUGUUGUUCUUCAAGUAUUCACUCCUUUAUAUAGAGGUGUGAAAUGAACGUUGUAAAUGCCAGCACAUCCAAAAAGAGUCAUUGUUGAAGCUUGAUCUUUCACCAAUGAUCCAUUGCCUGAUUAAGGUAUUGUCCUAUGAAGGAUCAAUUUCAAAUCCAUUCCUAUUGAGAGGGAACAUUAUAUGCAAGCAAGGUUGUAUUUCAGAGUUGUAUAUCUUGUCUUGUAGCAGAGAUAAAAACAGAGUAGUGGAGAGGUGGUUGUACAGUUCGUACAAAGUACUAUGUCAACGCUCUUUGUAUCUUAGCAACCAAAUGCCUUCAAAUCACUUUAAAAUGACCGUUGCAUAAUUCCACAGUCUUAUGUCAAUCUUAGAUGAAAUUUGGUCUAAAAGACAACUCUUAAGCUUUAAGUUAUGUGACUUCUGACGAACUCCAGCUUCUAGUGAAAUGUAGCUUCUGAUGAGGCUGCUUCUGAUGAGCUUCAGCUUCUGAUGACGUCAUCACUUCAGGAGCGCUAUGUCUUCAUGAACACUUCUCUUCAGAUGCUUUAAGCUUCCUUUUGUUGAUUUCUUUGCUCUUUUUUAUUCAUUCAUAACCUAUUUAAGAUGUAAAUUUUUGUCUAUGGUCAUGUACACUUGAACAAAUAUUAGCAAUUCCAAUUGUCAAUUUUUAAUACCUUGUUAUCAUCAAAACUCUUUAAAGUUUAUUGUUAAACACAUUUUGUUCCAACAAGAAUAACACCCAAAAGAGAUAAAUAAUAAAUAAUAACAAUCUUUUGCUUUAUUUAACAAAUAAAAUAAUUCAAUCGUAGGUAGGCCUACACUCACGCCCACCACACAAUUAAUAAAAGACUAAAAUAUGGUUUUGGUCUCUGUAAAUAUGCUUCGUUUUGGAAUUAGUUCUUGUAACUUUUUUUUUCUUUUGUAUUUUUUGAUCCCUGCAAAUAUACCUCAUUUUGGUUUUGAUCCAUGACCCCACUUUUGUGAUGAUUUGUAUACGUGGCACAUGAUGACUAAACCCAUUUUAUAGAUAAAUAGUCCCUGCAAAAUAUUUUGAUUUUUAAAAAGGUCCCUGCAAAAUAUUUUGUUUUUGGAAAUAGUCCUUCAAGGACCAAAAACUACAAAAAUAAAAUAAAAAUUAAAGAGACUAAAACCAAAACGAGACAUAUUUGCAGGGAUCAAAACCAUAUUUUAACCUUAAUAAAACAAGAUAUUUUUUUUUUUUUUUUACUUUUCACAAACACAACACAACACAAUUACAACUGUGAAUAAUAACAAGAGAAGAGCCACAAACAAACAAAAAGUCGGUGACAACAUGGUGACCUAACGGUAACAGCUAGCAACAAGCAACAUAAUUAGAUUCAAUUGAUCUUAAUUUACAUAGGUUUGAUUUCAAUUCAUAAUAAUCUCAUUUAAUUUGAAACUAAUUUUUUUAUGUUUUGCGUUAGAAACUAUUGACAACUUCUUUAAAGAAUCGAUACAAAUGCUGCAAGCAGUUCCUCUCCAAUUGAAGCAUUCGAUCUCAAUAUAUCACCUCAAAAAAAAGAACAAUCUGAGCCAAAACGACAAAGACUUCAUCAUGAAGAAAUUAGUCGUUCUCAAAUUUAAGCAGAUCCAGGAUUGCGAUUGUUGAUUGGGACUUUCUUGUAAAUCAAAGAGAUGAAAUUCGUCGUGCCCAUCUUAAACACGAGCCAUGCCAACAUAUUCUUAGAACCGAGUCUUCACACCGACAACAGAGAGAGCUUUCUCAUCAAUGAAAAAUCUCAAGACAAAACAAAGAAACAAAAUGAGUGAUGAUUUUCUUUCAAAUAGCUUGGUUAUUUACAUUGAAAAAGACAUUGCAAGUCAGUUUAACUCAGAUGCAAUUAUGGAUGAAUUUGAGUCUUUGAAGAGCCACCGAGUUCAAUUUUCAUAAAUAGCUACUAUUAAUUUUUAUUUCUUUUGUUGUAGUUUUUUUGGUAUAAUCCGCUAUUCUACUGUGGUUUUUUUGGUACAAUUUGUUGUUGCCGCAUUUUUUUGGUAUAAUCCGUUCAUGUUUAGUCAAGUUUAUAUUUUAUGAAGAACAUUUUAUAUAAGUCAUAGUUAUUGUGAUUUUUUUUGCCUACUGGGUUAGAUUAGUUUAAAAAAAAAUUCUUUAUAUGUGGCCAUCUCAUGAAAAUGUUGCUAGCUUCGCCGUUUUUCAAGGCUAGAAUCAUUUACUCCCUCCGUUUCAUAAUGUGUGUCACUUUAGCCAAUGAAUGUUGCUUUACAUUUCCAAUACAACUUUAAUUUUUUUCUCCUAACUUUUCUCUCGCACAAUUUUCAAUGCAAUUUAAGUUUUUCUUUUUCUUGGGCAGUUUAGUAAAAGUGUUAUGUCUAAUGAUUAUUUCAUUCAAUUACUUAAUUUGUAUGCAAUUGGCUAAAACGACAUUCAUUUUAAAAUAAAAUGAGUAAUUUACACAAUUAGUACCUUUUCUUAUAUGGCUUAAGUCACUUGUUCAAAUCACAAUUAUUAUGCGGAUCUGUUGAAAGAAUUAGAACUGAAAGGAGGUUUUCUAGGCACAAAUAAAUAGCUUGGAAUGGCUGGAUACUAUUUUCAAGGUUAAUGAUAGUUUGUUUAGUUUGGAAUUAGAACCACAGAAUACACAUUCUUGCUUGGCACCAAAGCUUCAACUAUCCUUCAUGUGUCUUUUAAUAUGAUUUUUUUUUCGCAUUCAUAAAUGAAUAAAAAAACAGCAUUGAACGUUGCUAAAACAUAAGACAUAAUUCUCAUUUAAAAAAACGAUCAAUCUAUGACCAUAUUUGAUUGCUAAGGGACUUUCAAGAUCUAUGAAGCCCGGAUACUUAGUGCGAUACGGGUACGAAAUGAUACGGAUACGCGGAUACGCGAAAUUUUUAAAAUUUAGGAUACGAUACGGCUAAGAUGUGUUAACAAAAUAUUUAUAUUAAAAUUUAUAUGUGUGUAAAAUACUUAAAAAAAAAAAAAACAUUGAUUACUCAUACUAUAUAAUCAUAAAAAUCACAAUUUACAAAAUAAAAUAAAAUACAUAUGAUCAAAAUAAAAAAUGUAAAGUUUUUGUAUAAAUCAUAUUCUAUUUUCAUUCAUAUGUUAGGAUAUCAACAAAUAUAUCAAUAAAAGAACUCAAAACAAAGUUUGUUUAAUGUUGAUUGAUUAAAUCUCCCCUCUCUCGUUACUUUCAUCCACCAAAAUUAUAAUAUUUAAUUUGUUAAUCGAAAAAUAAUUAUAGUGAUUCGUAUCUUAAAUUUUCACAACACAAUCUCAUUUUUAUACACUUCAUUUUUUUCAAAUACGUCUUUGUGAAGUAAGUAUUUGUGUGUAUCCGUCGAGUAUCUUAUAAGUAUCCUAUAAAAUAUAUAUUUUAAAUUAAAAUAAUUAAUUCCAAUACUUCUGGGAUACGGUAUCCAGAGUAUCCGACACGGGUACGACACCAUUUUAAAGUAUCCAGGCUUCAUAGUUUAAGAUUCAAAUCAAAUUAGCAUACCACGACACCAACAAAUCCAAUAACCAAUUGAUAGCUUUUACAAUGAACAAUAUAACUUAUUUACAAAUUAGAUGGAAUAAAUGUUGAUUCUAGGAAAACAUUGGCGUAAAAGCCAUAUGAAAGGUGAGUGGUGUAUCCCUUCAAGUUCUAUUUAUACGCAACUGAUUAUGGAGCAAGAGAAAUUCUUGUGUAGGAACGAACCUAACUAUCAUUCUUACAAACAACAAAUUAAAUCAUGACACGUCGUUUUUUUUUUCUUUUAACCAUGAUUGGUGGUGGUGAAUACUAACCGCAAAUAAUGGUUGAGAGAGAGGAGGAGCAAUUAUUUUUCAUUUCUUAAAUUAUUUCCUAAUUAUUUUUAAAAAAAACAAUGACGUGUCAUGUUUUAAUUUGUUGUUUGUAAGAAUGAUAUGUUAGGUUCGUUCCUACACAAGAAUUUCUCAUGGAGCAAUGGGAUGAUGGUACACAUGUGUGCAUAUGUACUUCCUCCGGUCUCGAAUAUAGUAGGUAUAUAUACAUGUCAACAUAAGUUAGUGUCUGCGUGCGAUGGAGGAAAUACAAAAAUAUCAAAUGGUUAGAACACCAUAGAUGCACAAUAAUAUUUGUCUGAUAUAGAUGAUGAUUUUCAAAAUAACGAAUACCGGAAAACCUUAAUGUACAUCAUCCUAACUUAACCACUUGACUGAACCGUAUCUAAAGUUCAAGAGAUCACGUGCAUAAGGAACAUCAAGACUCCCCAUUACAAAGUCUGAUCUCAUAUGCUCCGGGAACAUAACUCGGUUCAACUUUUUAAACAACGGAGGAGAAUGUUUUGGAUAUACAAUCUACUCACUAUAACGAUCCUUCACUUGGAUGACGAAUCAAGUUGGUUGAACAUUGAUCAAAGGUAUAGUACCACCGUCUCGUAGGUCGUCAAAGUUAUGGAGUUCAAGACAUCCAGCACUGAAACAUAAUCUUCAGUUUAUCUUCUCAAUUAGGACAUCAAAUUGACUGUAGACAAGAUCAUUCAAAACCACAAAACGUCUCAAGCUCAACCCCAAAGUCUCGAUCAACAAUGUUUGAAGAAUUAAAUAAUUCUGUUACAUAUGAGAAAGGGAUAGAAAAAUAUGAGAAUUGACAUCGGCUACAAACAAAAUCAAUCAGAUAUAUAAAGAUAUUGAGAUUGAAUUCAACAACGAAAGUACGCCGCUUUAAUUGAGCAACUUGAAAAAGGUUGUCGUUGCAAAGAGUCGAUUUUUUGACCUCUUGAUGGAUAAUAUAGUCCAGUAUUUUACAUGUAUUUUUGGGACUACAUUUAUAAUUUGUAGCACAUAUUUAUAUAUUGACAAAGACCCUCCUAAUUUGUAGCACAUCUUCCAUAUAUAUUGACAAAGAUCCUUCUACCAAAGUUGCUGGAAUACAAGAUAAAAACUGCCUACCUGUUUCAUGUGACUGCCUUAUGUAUAAACUAUAUCUACAAUCGAAUAGAAUAUGAAAGUAAACAUUGCAUAAUUGAAAGCAGUUUGUUACAACAGGUUAUUUGGAAAAACUUUAGAAAAUUAUCUGUAAACUACUCAUGGUCAUGCGGUAUUAUAUUUUCAUAAACUAUUUCAAGAUAGGUCCAAAUAAGUUCUUCCAAACACCACAGCAUCAAAGUUCAUUGUGGUUGUAGAAUUUUUAAUUACAAAGUAAAAUAUUUAAACCGACCUAUUCACUUCUCACGUGAUCAUGGCUCUAAACUCAAAUCUAGCUUUAUUCAUAAAACAAAAUAGCCUAUCUAGUAAGAAAGAACCAAGGAGCCAAUCCCAAAUUUUGCAUCUGAAAAAUUAUCACAUUAGAGAAUCCUCAACUCAAAUCUAAACAAAUGUACAAUCUAAACUUCAUCAAUCAAAUCAUGGAACCAAAAAAAAGAGAACUAUUUGGAAUCAACUCAAGUAUAUUCCAAUUCAAAAACUUUCUUGAUUUUUUCUUAUUUGGACAAAGAUAAGAUAACCAUCAUCGUUAGAUAUGCGGGAUUGACUUAGACCGAAUAAGAUUUUUAAGUAGAGCUUUCUCUUCAUCAAUUUUCUGUUUCUCCUUUGCAUCUUUCGGUUUGAUCUUCCUCUUCUCUUCCAAGAUCCACUUGAAGAGUCCACGCCGUUGAUCUUCCGGAAUUUCUCUUUUGAUCCCAGGAUUUGCAGUUGGUGCUGGGGAUACAUGUGUCUCGACAACCGGAGAUGUAAUAUCUUUAAACUGCAGCAGAGUUCAGACAAUCAUCAGUCACAUGUCUAGCAACAAGUUCAAGUCAGGUUUUGAACAUAGAAAUAAACUCAAAUGCACUAGAGUUGAGAUCAGAAAAAACAAAUCAGUAAGAUCAUAUAGUUAAAAUCUGAUUUGCUAGAGAAAAAAAACUUCAAAUUUUAUUAUCAAAACAAAAUUGCAGUUGCAGCUAUCCACUGUGAAACAGUACUGUAGAGGAUAACCCCCUUCCAAAAGAUAAGAGAAGUAAAGACAGGUAAGCCUAUACUAUAAAUGUUUCAAUCUCAUUCAAUCCUCAUGUUCCUACAAUAACGCAUACAGUUGUUAAGAGUAGUGCACCACGGUUGAACAAAAAUACAAACAAAAGCAUCUGUGACAAAUUUAUUGCAUGUUUAAAUCAGAUGGAUGAGUUAUGACAUAAUGAAACAUAUUGCAAAAUACCUUGAUCAGUUUUGCUGACAACAGCCUUCUGAAGGCUGUCGGCGCCCAGUCAUGAUCCUAAAAAAUACAAAAAAAAUAUUGUAUAAGAAAUAUAAAAACAGUGCAGUUUCCAACCAAAUGGAAUGCUAUAACAUUUCAGUUUGUAACAAUCAGUAUUAUGUCGUUUCUUAAACAUAAAAUUUAAAUAAUUAAAAGUUGAAUCAUAGAUCACACCCUACCACAAGGGGCACCUAAGUCUCAAGAUGCACUUAGCAUUCACUCACAAAAACCGCAAGUCACAGUGACCAUGUUUCAGGAGGCAUGAAGUGGAUGCAGAACAUUGGAUAGCUAGUUUACUGUUUACAUGUAAAAUAAUGCUGAAAUGCGUAUUUUCUAUGACUUUGAUUUGAUUACUGAUUAUGUAUUAAGAAAAACUACUAGCAUAAUGGUUUCUCACUCAGCUUAAAUUAGAAACGAACAUAUACUCAGGCAAGGGGCAAACCAAUCAGUUAAGGUUACAUUCAAAAAAGUGUAUGUUUGAUGAAAAUGUAAAGCUAUUUAGAUUUAUAUUCAUAUAUUAAUUAGGGAAACUCUAAUAAGUACAAGGUUAUAGAUCUUUUAGAAAUCUGUAUAGAUAAUGAUAUAUUGAUAAUUUGCAAAAGUAUAAGGAUUACAACCAGUUGUAGUCCAAUACACAGUAGUAAACAAUGAUUAUGAAAACAAUAAAACCUUCAAAGUUACAGUGAUAGGAACCUAGCAAGAUAACUUAAGAAUGUAACUACUAACAAGAUCAAGUGAACAUAAACCGUACCUGAUCCGGAGCAUGCUCCAAGCAUUGUCGAUGGUAGAUGGUGGACCAUGGUGGAGAGCCAAAAACCUGCCAUACCGGCCAACAAAUCGUGCCGCCAUAUCCGAGUAUGGCGUCAUCGUGCCGCCAUCCUUCAAUAAAUUGGCCACGGCGGAAAGCCAAAAUUCUGCCUCGAAAAUUCGCCAUGGCGCUGCCAUGACCGACAUUGGAAAUCUUUGAAUCUAUAAAGUGCAAGUUUUCAGGAGGCAAUGCAAGACCAUCAUCAUAUCCAUACUUUCGAAGUAAAGUCCAUAUUAUCUCAGGACGACCAAAUUGAUUGCAAAUAAGAGUUAUAAAUUCGUUUUCAGUUAUAGUUCCAAGUUCCUUCCUUUCCUCUUCGAGCAAAGGAGCCAUGAAACAAUUAACCUGUCAUAAUUUUUUUUUUUAAUAAGCUUAUAUAAUAAAGCUAAAAUGCACCAUGCUAUAAUACUUGGAUAAUAAACAAGUGGCCAAUGUUAAAAAACUAAAACCUGUAAAUCAUUCAAUUCAUCUGAGCUAAGGUAUCCCUCCUCAUUACCGUCACACUUUUUAAAAAUGGCCCUCAAAGCUUCGGUCAAUUGAGGCGUUGGAGCUACAUAGUUUGACUUCCGAAGAAAUAAAGGAAAUUCUGGAAAGAGAACAGCUCUAUGAGCAUCAUAAAAACCUGCAUCGAUCUGCAAAAAAGGGAAAUUAUAUUAUCCAGAUAUAAUUGUGUCACUUUGAACUAAUUAGAAUUAGAUUUCGAAAGGAGUCGUUACAUUGUCCCGCAGAAAUGCUGAACACAGUUGGUACUUUUCGAACCUGGGGAAAUCUUUCAUUACUUUUUCUACAUCUGAUUUGACCGUAGAAAGAUUACACGCCAGAUCACUUUUACAUCCAACGAGUAUCAAUGGAACAGCAAUUGUCUGUAAAUAGAUGAUUUUACACAAUUGAGAGUGUUUUAAAAAAACAAACGGAAAAAGGAACUGGAGUUGCGGAAAAAAAAGACAAAAAUUGAUAUUAGAACCUUCAAUUCCAAGUUGCUGACACGAUUCAACCAAUAUUGUUUCAGAUUUUGAAGAGUUUGAGGUCGAGCACAAUCAAAAGUGAGUAUUAUAGCAUCAGCAUUCUUUAGUUCGGAAUCAACGGUAGAUUCUUUCUGACUAAAGUCAAUAUAGAGUAAAAAUGUUAUAAAGAAUAAAUUCAAAACGCAUUUCGUUUUCCAUUAUAAGAACUUCAAAUUUUAUACCUCGAAGAGGUGUCGACAAUGGUGGCUUGCACCAGAUCAGGAAAAAAGUUGAUCAGUAACUUCGAGGGUUGUAAUAAGGAUGGGACGCUCAAGAAAUUUGUAUCGUAGACCUCAUCGUAGUCCUCAUCCCCGACAUCGACCUCGGUCAUGCCUAGGGCAUAGAUGAGGGAGGAUUUUCCCGUAUCCUUGUCUCCAGCCACAACAAUUCGAACUCCAAUGCAAUCUUUAGCGAUUGGAUAGAUGUUGUUGGAUGCGGCACUAACCUUUUCCUCCUUCGUAUAAUCAUAAGAUUUUAAAUAUUCAACGGCCAUGAUAGUGUUUCUGCUGUUUACACUACAAGAAAAAUGAGUUUUAGCGCGUCAGCAGAAAAUAUGAUGCUUUAAGGCAAAAAAAUCAAGAUGCCAACAGCUUUUAGCGUCAACAUAGCAUCCUUGAAGCUAAAAACUAGCUUCCUACUGGCCCUUUUCUUGAAUGGCAAAAUAUAUAGUAUAUAAAUAUGAAAACCUGGGAAUUUAACCCCAAAAGUAUAAGUGCAUCACAAAAACACAACAACUACCCAACAUCAGAAGUGCAAGGGAUCCAAGAAAUAGGACAACACACAAAGCGCAAAAACAAAACAUACACAAGUAACACCAAAAGGUCACCAUAAGGAAGGCCCCCCAAAAAACAAAAACCACCCUAUCCUUCAAAAGAAUGCGAGAAUAGAAAGCAAGCUGCCAGGCAAAGCUGAGCAGGGGGCAACCAGUCAACCACCGCUCCACACCCACAACACCACACCCUACCGAUACUAGCACAUGACAUGUUGACCGCGCCUCCCACUUGUACAAGGAGCAGAGGCUAGCAGAACUCUUAUCGUGGAACCAUUUCCAAGAGGAAAACUUCACCCCAUCCACAAUCAACUUGACAGUCGGAGUCCCUCUAGCAAAACCCCAAAAUAGCAUUUACAAAAGUGGACACUAAAAUUGAAGCUAAAGGCCUAUUUAAAGUGCAUCAUCUAAAAGUAGACACUACUUAGCGUUUGGAAUAUGUUGGCGCUAAAAACUUAUUUUAAAAUCGGCUAUGAAUUUAACAGACUUUAAAAUAUAUAUUUUAAUUUAAUAAAGAAAAUAAUCUGUGUUUCUACCCACUAAUAUCCAUAACCAAAAUUUACUACAUAGCCAUAAUUUUAUACGACAUAACUAUGUUUGCAUAAUUUGAUGUCUUCAUUGAUAUCUAGCCAAUAUUCUCAAACAAAGGAAACUCCAACAAUCACAACAAUAUUUGAAAAACAGUUUCUCAAGGAAGAUUCAAAUGAUAAGAGCUAAAAAAAAAAAAAGGCUAUCCUCAAAGCAACUUCCUAGUUCCUACUGUACAAUUACAAGCAAUACGAAAAUCUAGAGAUUCAAAAUUCACAGUUGAGAGACAUAUAAAUAAAAAAGCACAAUUACAAUCAAUAAAUGAAUGCCAAAUCUACACCAAAUGCAACAUCAUCCCCCACCUUAAUAUUUACCGAUACACGCAGAAACUACAGAAGGUUGAAAGCUCCAAUGCGCAAACAAACUGACAUAGUCCAAAUCAUUGUUACAGCCGGCACAAGUAGGACAGGGGAUUUCCAGCAACAACAACACAUAACAGAAUACACAAAGAGGUUAGAAGUGAGUCCAAACUGAAUUUUAAACAAUAAAACUUAAUUUAUGAUGUCAAUAAUGAGUGAUUUUCAGAAAUAAGUUAGAGUCUUUUGUAAAAUGUGGGUGAAGGAUUUUGUACUAGAAAUAAUUUAAACUAAGAAAUUAUGGAAGGAAGAAAACUCACCCUUGAAGAUGAAGAGUCAUCAGCAAAAGGGAAUUUUCUUGCACGGUGGAUUUGAGUGAGAAUUUGCUGUUUUUGAAAAUGAAAAGUAUGGAAAUAAAAUAUACUAAUCAGUCCAAAAUCAAUCAAAGGAAAAAAGAAAAAGAGGAAGAUGAUGAUGAUUUACCGUGAAGGGUGAAAAUGGGUGUUGGUAGUGUUGCUCUAAAUGUUGAUUUCUCCUACCAAAUAGAAAGCCUAGCUAACAAAGAGCUCGGAAAUGCUCUUCAUAGCUCCAAUCAAGGUUUUUGUUUUGAGGAAGUAAAGUAGCAGUAGUUCUAGUACUGUCAGUAGGUUAGGGCAAAAUGUUGAUUUUCUCGGACUUGUUGUCACGUCCAAAGAAUUAGGAAAACAAAUGGUUAUAUAUUUUCUUAUCCCUAUAAAAUUGGGGAUUCUAAUUUUAGUCUAGACUUUUUAAUUCUUACAAAAAGAAAUUACAUGUAAUUUUAUCUUGUUAAAACUAAAUUCGUUUAAUUAUCCCUCAACUAUUAGAAAAUUAUAAAAGGUUUAUUUACUAAAAUUUAUACUUUUUUUAACAUGAGAUAAAAUUAACUUCAAGAUUAAAGUAAUAAAAAUUUAAAUGUAGAAAUCAAAUUUUGAACUAAUUUUUUGUGGAGGAAUUUUUAGUAAUUUUCUUAACACUUCUACAAAAAAAAAAAUUAAAAGUUUAAACAUAAAUAAACAAAUUUGGAUUUAGAAAGGACUAAAACUGAGUAUGAAAUUUUUUUAUAGGGACUAAAAAACUAUUAAAAUUAAGUAUGAACUAAACUUAAAAGGUUCCAUUUUAUAGUGACAAAAAACAUAUGCAUCCCAAAAAAUAAUUUUUGUACAAAAAAGAAAAGAAAAGAAGUUUUAGAACCAAAAUACUCCAAAAGUAUUUGUUGAGAUCUUUACUAAAAAUCAAAAUUAAAAGAGAAUCAUCUUAAAAUCAAAUUAGAUAUAAAACUAACGAGAUAACUAACAAACUGGAUAAUAGCUUAUUAUUUAUUGUUGAUAACAUAAUUUAUUAUAAGUUGAUAGUUUAUGAUUGAUGGAUGAUUUACGGUAGAUAAAUUAAUUAAAGUGUUUUGUAAAAUGACAUAAAAUACAUUCUUAAUUCAUGAUAAAAAGUUUAUCAAUUAUUUUUUAAGUUUAUAGAAUUUAGUAAUUUAAAAUUAUGUUAGCGAAAUAAGAGUACAUCAAACUAAUAAUAGUAUUAGCUAGCAUUAACAAAUUAGUCUAGCAGCUUUUAGAAACAUAUAUUAAAAAUAACAUAGAUAGUAUUAGCUAGCAUGAACUGAUUUUUAAAGUAAUAGGAAUUAAGUUCAACAAAAUAACAAACAUAUAAUUAAAAAUAUUCUCAUGCAUAAGUUCGUGCAACACUGUGUAUACAACCAUGUCAUAUGAUUAAUUUGUGAAACAUUUGUGUUUUUUUGGUAUAAAUUAAUUAUAAUGAGUGCACUAAAUAUGUGCUAGUAUGGGAACCGAUUGUGGAACAUUUGUGUAGGAAAUCGAAUUCGUGAGACCACAAAUAUAUUAGUCUUAGAGGCUAUAAAAUAAGUUAGCUAUGGAGGCUUAAAACAAAGACUUCACUAGCCUUAUGAUUGACUUUAUUGUUGGUUCAUAGUUAUUAAACUCGUAAUAAAUAAUCACUAAGCCAUAUUUUUACAAGUAUUAUAUGUUCACUUAAAAAUAAAAUAAAAAUCAUUUUUUAUUACCAUUUAUAUAGGUCCUCAUAUCACGAACCUUUAUGGUGUGUUUGGUUUUAGAGAGAAGUUCUGAAGAGAGAAAUAGGUGAGAGAGAGAUUGAGAGAAGAGAGAAGUGUGUAAGAAAUAGAGUAGAUUUGAGGGGUUCUUUGUUACAAGAGAAAGGGAAAAGAAUUAGGGAAGAGAGAAAUAUUGUUUAUUUUGAAAAGUACUACAAUACCCCUACAUCAUAUAACAUUUUCAACCAAAUUAAUUUAAUUCUUUUAUUUAAAUUCAUUUAAUUAAUUAAUUAAUUAUUUCAAUUACUUAUUUUAAUUCAACAUAAUUGAUAAAUUUUUUAAAAAUCAGCAGGAACAUACAUUUGGCAAAUCGCAAAAUACCGUGUUAUAAAAAGUACAACAAAAAAAAAAUUACGUAUACAAAAAAUAGCUUGUCCUUGAUACAAAAAAAUAAUAGCUUCUCCUAAAUUCACUUUCAAAUUAUAUAAAGUUGACGGUGGGGAAAAGAAAAAAAAAACUAACAUCAUAAGAGACACAAAAUUAACUAAAUUGGACUAAGGCAUAAAAGGAAUACACAAAAAUAUCACUAAUCUCCUUCACUUUCUUCUUAACUUUGGAGAGAAAGGGUUUUGUGUGGGGUCCACAUAUUUUUAGUCUCUCUCCUAUUUCUCUUCACUACCAACCAGGAGAACUUCACUCUCUCUCUCUCUUCCUUAACUCUCUCUUCUCUAUUUCUACUCUACAAACAAAGUGUUAGAGAGUAACACAUAAACGAAGACAAAUUACAUAAACUGGUUUUUUCACUCUUCAUUUUUCUUUUAAAUAAACUGUUUCCCUUAAAAUGAGCCAACUUCAUACCUAAAAGAGUGUUCAUUAAUUACCGUCAAUCAAAAAACUAAAUUAAGAAAAUAUUAAAUUAAAGGCAUCAUUAAUAUAAAUUUUAAUUCAUGCACACAAUAACUUAGUUUUAGUUUACAUGCACAUGCAACGUAUUCUUUCCUUAGCAUGUUUACAAUGAUAUUAUCAUACACGACAACGACCAUCUUCACGCUAUUGAAUUUUCUUUCCGCAAUUAAUAGAUCAUAUCAUCACUUACCAACAAUGCAACGAAUGCAUGUAUAGCUGAGUUUUGUCAAUACUCAAAAUAAUACUCGUGUGACAUCCUAACGUGCAAGUAGCAAUGCAAACGAAUCAUGCUCCCGUAUAUACCAAAAGUGAAAGUUUCCAUCAUUUCAUUAUGAUAGUAAUGACUAUUUGUAAUUAUUGUGAAUGAAUAUAUAUAUAUAUAUAUAUAUGGAUUUGCUAGAACACACCCACUAGUUUUUAUGUGGAAGUGUUUUAGCAAGCUAUACCUUAAGGUGUAUUUAACUACUUUUUAGUUAUAACUUGCUAAAACACACUUUCUAAAAAAUAAGUGGAUGUAUCCUAGCAAAUGUCUAUAGGAGUUGCUAACAUACACCCAAUUAUUUUUUAGAAUGUGUGUUUUAGCAACAUUCACCUUAAGAUGUAUUUAACAACUUUUUAGUUAUAUCUUUGCUAAAACACACUUUAAUAAAAAUUAGUGGGUGUAUCCUAGCAAACCCCAUAAAUAUAUAUAUAUAUAUAUAUAUAUAUAUAUAUAUAUAUAUAUAUAUAUAUAUAUAUAUAUAUAUAUAUAUAUAUAUAUAUAUAUAGUUUAUGUUCAAAUUAUGUUGUGUCACAUGGCAUAUAUGAAACUUGCUUUAAAAAUGUUAUCGUCCAAAGUUCGGCCUAGGAGGUGGUAAGUAAAGUGUCAAAAAUUGUUCACCUUGAACUUGAACACGGUUUUUCUGAACGAUUCGUUCAUUGGUGGAGCUCAUUAAACACUUAAACUCAUUACUUGUUUAAAAAAAAACAUUCAUGUAUAUCGUGGCGGUUUCACCGCCCGGGCUCCGACCUGAAUUUUUUGCAAUUUUUUAUGUAAAUUCCUCUAAAUUUCUUAUAUAACCCCUUAUAAAUUGGGCAAAUUUUUUUAUUAUUUGCAAAUUUGCUUGCAAUUUCUUAUGUAAACACCUUUAAAUGUGUUGCAAGUUUUUAUUGCCUAGACUUUGUAAUAAUCCUAGCUCCGUCAUUGCAUGUAUAUGCCAUUAAAUUGCCGCAAAAAACGCAUGUUUCACUACAAUAAAGUCCUAGUUACUUUGUAGUUAGUCCAUAGUAAGAAUUGCACCUUUCCUUACAACAAAGUUAGGUUGACGUUGAAGAAAUUUGGUAGCAAAUCUAUAGGGUAUUCAUUAAACUAUGCAAAUUGCUUGAGGAAACUUUCUAUAGAUUAACCUAUUGCAUGUAAAAAUCAUUUGAUUUUUAUGUAAUCUAUAGAUUAUUUUAAUAAUAUUAGCUUUAGUAGCAAUUAUUACGUACUAUUGCAAAUAAAACACACUGAAAUUAAAUUUGAAAAAUGCAAUAUAUUUCAUUAAAUUCAGUGGCUACUGCUAAUACAAAAACAAGAAGUUCCCACUUUCUAUCCUCCUAAAAGCCUAAAACAGACUAUAUAUUACAAGUGAAGACUAGCCUAAAAUCUGAAAAAAUGUAUUCAAAAGUGUACACUAACGUUGCAGAAAUCAAUAUACCAUCUAACCAGCUACCUGCCUAAUAUAUGGACUAUUGAAUAUGGAACUUUAAUAACUUCAGUCACCUCCGCUUCUUUUUCCGCUGGUAAGCAGUGCAUGAAAAAUGUCUUUGAAAUUGUGAUGUCCAAGUUAAUGUAACCUCUUAAUGAACAUUGUUUUUUAUUGACUGGAAUUUCCAAAAAUAGAGAAAUUUAAUUUUGCUUAUAUGAUUUAUUUGAUUCUGUGUGUACAUAAUUUUUAUUUAUGUGUAGGUCCUAAACAGAACUGGUAUAACCAAACAGUUUUUAUUUUUUAUUUUUUUUAUACCUUUCAAAAAUAGCUGUAGUGUUUAUUGAGGUUAAGUUUUCAUCAUGAAUUUGCCAAAUUUCUUGUAAGGUUAACUAUAACUAUUCAAAUGAGCAUAAGUUUUCAUCAUGUUUUCUUAUUCACUGUUUCAGGUAGCAAAGUUUUAGUUAGAUGAUUGUAGUUUCUUUGCUUCUUAGGAAUAGACUUGGCUUGCUUUUUUUAUGUAACCUAACCUCUUUCUUUAUAGGGUUCAGGCCCUCUCCUGCCUUUAUUGCUUUCUUUUACCUUUAUAAAAAAAAUUAAAACUAAAAUGAGCUUAUACACAUAAGCUAUAAACUAUAAGAUAAAAAACAGACCCUAUGUUAUGUUGUGUUUUUUUAAGGAACUUAUCGGAUUCUGUUUUUCUUAAUUAAUAUUUUUUCUUUGUAAAUAAUAAAAUAGUAAUUUAUGUAAAAUAAAAAUAAUAAUAUAUUAUUAAUCUCUCAAAAACAAAAUAUAAUAAUUUAGAAAGAAGAUUACUAAAUAAAAAAUUCAAGCAAAAUACCAAAAUGAGAAAAUUGAAAGAGUAUGCAGAAAGACUACUCUUAUUUACACAAAUUCGGGUCUACCGAGAGAGACUGCUCUGGUCAUUGAUGUAGAGGCAGUAUAGGUUGUGCUGACUUAGAUGAUUUUGGGUAAAGAUUUUCUGAACCAUGAUAAAGGCUUUUUACUAGUUUAUGCUCAAAGAGGAACUAAGAAUGCAUUAAUUUUUUUAGUAUCAUAGUAUUGACUGUUGACAAAACUCACCUAUAUUCGUUGGGUUAUUAUAUUAUUGUUGGUUAGUGAUGAUAUGGUCCAUUAAUUGUUGAAAGAAAAUUCAAUAGCGUAAACAUGAUCGUUGUCGUAUGAUAAAAUUGCCAGCUAACAUGCACCUUUGUUACAUUUCAAUAUAUAUUUUUCUUCCUUUUCUGUUACAUUUCUUAUCCAUUUUCCAUCACGACGACAAGUUAAAGGAACACAUGCUUAUCUAUAUUAAUUGUAUGCGGAGCGGUGGCCUGAGCCAUAAAUCUUAUAGAACUCGGGCAAAAUUUUAACCACAAAUUUACAUAGAACAUAAUAUAUAAAUAGUCAUAAAUCAAAAUAAAAUAGGUUUGUCAUUUUAUCAAUAAAAGUACAAUUUGAAAUAAGAGACAUGACAUAUAACAUAUCCAUAGUGUGCUAAAUAAAAUUAGAUAAAUGCCCAUGCCGAUACCUCUUUGCGGUGAAUGUUCGAAUAAUAUCAACAUUAUCAAAUGAGAAAUUUAUGAAUUCGCCCAAUUUUAUUUUUUUUAAGCGAGUUAAUGAGCUACUGGGUACCACCAUAUAUAAAGCAGGUAUUGAUUGAGCCCGAGCGAGUGCCCGGGGUCGACAGGCGGUAGAACCGGCCAUGAUGCGGAGGAUUUUAAUUUUAUUUAGAUACUUGAGUUGAGUCUAUUUUUCACUUAAUUUUUUUGUAAUUUACAUAAAAUUAUUAUAUAUAAAUAAUAUCUAAUCUAAUAAAGAAGUUAAUAUGUCAAAUAGUGCAUUAUAGUAUAUUCUUUAUGCCUUCCUAAGUUACUGCACCAAGAAUAUAACUUCACCACAUGAUUUGAGUGUAGUAUAUAUAUAUAUGUCUCACUUUCUUGGAUUGGUAUUCCCAUUUGAGAAUUAUCAACAAAAUCCACACAAAAACAAAAGGAAAUUUUCAAGAAAAUGACUUCAAAUUCUAGCACUAAUUCAUAGCUAUCCCAUCAAAACGUUGGUCAUUUUGAUACCUCUUUUAAGUUUUGAACAAUUUUUUGCAGACGUGUUAAAAACAUUACUAAAAGUUCAUCCACAAAAAAUCAUCGCAAAAUUUGAUUUCUAUAUUCAGAUUUUGUUACUUUUAUCUUUAACAUUUCAUAGUGUUCUAAACUUGUGUCAAAAAAAUCUUCAAAAAAUUAAGAGUUUGAGGAUAAUUAAACAAACAUUGUCUUAGCAGAGACUAAAAUUAUAAGUAACUUUUUUUUGUAGGGACUAAAAAGACUAUUAAAAUUAAGUAAGGACUAAACUUAAAAGCUUCAAAUUUUAUAGGGACCAAAAACAUAUUUAACCCUAUAUUUAUUAGGUUUCCUUCUUGGUUUUCCCGAAGACGCAAUUGGUAUAUAUAUUGUCUUCGUAAUAUUUAUGUUUUCACUUCAUUGAACUUGUAAAGAAAUGUUUUCAAUUCCUUGAAGCAUACUCUCUCCGUUUUUAAAUAUAAGUAAAAUUGACUUUUUAAGUUCAUUCAUUUAAUGAUGUAUGUGGUUCAUAAUAUAAACCACAUACAUCAUUAAAUGAAUGAACCUAAAAAAAAAAUUGCUUAUAUUUAAAAAUGGAGGGAGUAUAUUUAUAGGCUCAAUUAAAAUUUGAAUUUUUCUAUUUACACCCCAUAUAUUUUUGGUUACACUCAAAUAUUUUUAAAAGUUUUUUAUGAUACCAAAAUUGUCCUUUUAUAUAAAUUCUCUUAAAAUCUUGAUUUCAUUCAUUUUCAUUCUCUUUCACCCACAAACAAUCAAAAUAUUUUUCAUCCAUACUCGAUUGCAUAAGAAAGUGAAUUUCUACUUCUUUUUUAAUAAUGCUAGUUUCAAUUUUUUCUUCUUUUGUUCAACUGCCUUGUACGACAGUUUCAAUUUACAUGUUGUGGUUAACUUAAAUUAAGUUUAAGCAGGUUCAUGUAAACUUAGUUUUCAUAACCUACUUAAACUGAGUUUACAUGACCUACUUAAACGUUUAAUAUGUACACUUAAUCUCGGUUUACAUGACCUACUUAAACUAAGUUUACAUGACCUAGUUAAAUUUAGUUUAAAUAUGUACACUUAAACUCAGUUUACAUGACCUACUUAAAUUAAGUUUAAACAAACCUACUUAAACUGAGUUUAAGUAUGUACACUUAAACUCAGUUUACAUGACCUACUUAAACUGAGUUUAAGAUUAAAUUACAGUAGAAUCCAGAAAAUAAGAAAAACACGAAUUAAACCCAGAAAAAGCUUAGAAUUAGGGAACCCAUGACAAGAAAAACACAAUCGAUCGAAGAACACAACUUGUUAACCUUAUUUGCUUCGAAUUUUCUUUGAAAUCUUGCAUAGAAGAGAUAAAUCUGCUUGAAGAAGGAAAGACAGAAGAUGAGUUUUGGGGUGUAACCAAGAAAGAAGAAGAGGCUUUUUGAAAAUUAAAUUCUAUGCCAAAGUAAUUUUGUCAUUCUAAAGUGUAACUAGGAUUAUACAGGGUGUAAUUAGAAAAACUCUUAAAAUUUUACUCAAUAAUUCAAUAUUGAGUGAAUGAAUGACCAUUCUGGUUUUCAAUAAUGAAUGAUUGAACAAUUUAAUUAUUUAAAUUUAAAUUUAGGGUUAAAUAUGUUUUUGGUCCCUAUAAAUAUAUCAAGUUUUCGUUUUAGUCCCUUUAAAAAAUUUCUUCAACUUUUAGUCCCUCAAAAAUUUUCCAUCUUCAGUUAUGGUCCCUCCUUUAAAGUAAACUCAUAUGUAGAAUUCAUAUUUUUGAAUAAAAUUUUGCAGAAAAAUUCAUAAUAUUAUAAGAAUGUCUCCAAAAAAAAUUAGAAUUUUUUAACAAAACAUGAAUUUUUAUAUUUUUUGAGGUUAAAAAUUCAUAUUUAAUUUGUGAUUUUUUUAAGUUCUAAUUUUAUUUUUUUUAGAAUAUUUUACACAAUUCUGAAUAAUUUAAUUAAAAAUAGAGACCAAAAGUAGUGAUUGAAAAUUUUAUUGGGAACUAAAAGUUGAAGGAAAAUUUUGGAGAGAUUAAAACAAAAAGAAGGUAUAUUUAUAGAGACCAAAAACAUAUUUAACCUUUAAAUUUAUGAAUAAUGAACUCAUCCACUAAAUUGAAAAAGGUCGAUCAAUUUAGUCUAAUUCAUGAUUUCUAUCCCUCUAUUUUUAAAUUCACGAUUUUGGUCUCUAACUUUUAAAAUUUUCUUACAUUUUUCCCAACUAUAUAUUUGGAGGUGAUUUUUGAUGAAGUGGCAAGUGAAGUACCUAUGUCACAAGUGAGUUGAUGAGAUGAGAAUCGGUUCUCAAAUAUUUUGUAUAUCAAAUUUAGGUGUCCCUGUGAUGAUAUACAUCAACGAAAAUGAAAUUUUUUAUUUUUUAUUUUAUAAGAAAAGUUUAUACUAAUAUGAGUGCAAGAGCUAGUUAAACAUAUACUAGAAGAGACAUAUAGGGUUACGUGCACAUGCAAAGAUACAUUUUUUCUAAUAAUAAAAAUAAAUUUGGUUUGACAUUUUGAAGAUAAGUGCUCUUUGUAUCUUUUUGCUUAUGUGCCUAAAUUCUAAACAUUUAAUUUUGGGAUCAAACAUGUAUUGUUAUUUACUCUUAUUUCGCUCACAAUUUUAUUUAUCACUUUCAGGAGUCUUAGGAAGCUGAAAUUACCAAACUACGUGGUGAUAGAACAAAGAUUUUUCGACAUGUUAUCAAUACCUGGGAAUGACGAUCAUCCAUCUCACGAUGUAGGAGAAGGACAAAAAUUAAUAAAAGAAGUGUAUGAAGCAUUAAGAGGCAGUCCACAAUGGAAUGAAAUGUUGUUUGUGAUUACAUACGACGAACAUGGAGGAUUUUACGAUCACGUGCCAACACCGGUGGACGGAGUUCCUAGUCCAGAUGACAUUGUUGGUCCUGAACCAUUCAAGUUUAAGUUUGAUAGGCUUGGUGUUAGGGUUCCAACCAUCUUUAUUUCUCCAUGGAUUGAGCCAGGAAAAGGUAAGAAUAAGAUGCAUAUGCAUGCAAACAAAAAUAGUUCUUACACUCAUUAUUAUUACACAAAUUAAUCAUAACAUGGUUACAUUAUACAGUGUUGCAUGAACCUUCUGGACCAUUUCCAACAUCACAGUAUGAGCAUUCAUCUAUACCAGCAACUGUGAAGAAGAUAUUCAAUCUCCCUGAAUUUCUGACAAAGAGGGAUGCAUGGGCUGGAACAUUUGAGGGACUUCUAACUUUAAGCAGUCCACGAACUGAUUGUCCAGGUAAAAUAUCAAUAUUUGUUCUUUAUGCUCUUUACCUUUCUUUCUUCUAAUGCAUAAGAAAUUAUCUAAAAUAUGUGUGUUGUUUUGAUGAGCUUAGAAUAAAGAAUGUUGCCUAAAUUCAUGUUGAAUCAGACUCCUCUAAAGUUAACAACUUACUUUAGAGUGUUGAAUAAUGUCGAUCAAUUCAGUUUUCAGUGAUUAUAAUGUCUAUCAUUAAUCAAUUAUUGAUAUUACAUGUACGUGAAUAACAAAUUCGACCAUCAAUCGUGUUUCUUGACUAUUUAAGUGUUCAUUGUGCAGAAAAACUGCCCGAACCGAUUAAGCUGCGAGAGGCUGCUGCUAAAGAAGAAGCCAAGUUGAGUGAAUUUCAGGAAGAAUUGGUACUAAUGGCAGCUACUCUUAAUGGGGAUCAUAAAAAGAGUAUAUAUCCUGACAAGUUGAUCGAGAACAUGUGUGUUUCGGACGCAGUUAAAUAUGCCGAGGAUGCAUUCAAUACAUUUUUGAAUGAGUGUGAGAAAGCCAAGCAAAAUGGAGCUGAUGGAUGUGAUAUUGUUGAUUGUGCUAAUACAUGCAGUAAACUACCCAAUUCCAAAAAUUUCUUUCACAAGAUGUUGUCUUGUAUAACACGUGAUCGGUGAAUAGUUAACUUUGCACAUAAUUUAUUUAUGAAACAAGUGCUUCUGUGUGUAUAAUUGCCAAUAUUGUCGAUGAGGCUAUCCUGAAUAAGAAAGUUUAUAUUCACCUUCCAAUAAUGAAUGAAGAAGUAUAUAUACAGUAAUUGUAAAGCUGAAGUCCCUAUAUGAUGCAUAUAAAUUGCUUUUAUUUGUAUACAAGUUUUGAUUACAAGUCUAGUCAGCUAGAGCGCCCGGCCUCGAAUAAUUCUUGCCACUUCUGAGCAUCAUUUCCAGGACCUUCACCCUGAAACAUAUGCAUUUCAGCAUCAAUAAUAAAGAAAUCUUAAAAUAUUUUCCAGCAUUUGAUUAUUACACUAAAUAGGAAUCAUAAUUUAACAGUAACAAAUAGUUAAGAAAUUUACGGUUUUGAUUCUACAAUGGGGCUUUGGAUCACAGAUACAUAACACGUCCAUCAUCCAUUUAUCAUUAUAUAUACCUAAAAACAAAAUUACCAACAAAAGUUUACCUCAACAGAGUUAACUUCGUAUAUUUGGUUUUCAGUGGCUUCUAGGUCUAGUGCCUGUACGCAAGCUUCAGCAACCACAAUUCUACUGGCUUCGCCCACUAGUUUAUCUCCUGAAAGCCAUCACAAAAUUUCUAACGCUUUAAGCAAAAACACUUUUGGAAAAGGUAUAAAGUAUCAUAUAAAAUUAUGUGAUGAACAUUAUUGACAUACCUUGACCUAUAAGGACUGCUCGUCGUUGCCCAGCUGUUGCUUUGAGUAAUGUAUUGAGAUCAUAAGAUGUGUAUGGUCCAUCUGUCAAUCUUCCAGGUCUAAAAUGCAUUUAAAUACACGAUAUGAGGAGAUUUCGGGAACAUUCAACAUUUUGGUUAUCAAUGUUAUAAUAUCUACAACAUUUUCAUCUUACCUAAUUAUAGUAUAUGGAAAGCCAGAAUUCUGAAGAAAUUCCUCCCCCAUCUUCUUAUACUUCAAGACACCAAAUAGGUUCAUAAUGCUACGUGAAAAAUGAACAUUAACAAGUUUCUGAGAGAAGUCCAUCUAUCAACAUAUUUUACAUAGUUUUUUUCACUUUGCUUACCUCCAUGGCAAUUCGUUACACUUAGUCACACCUAUUGAUGAUACAAGAAUAACUCUUUUCACUGAGGAAGGCAACACAGAUACUAGAUUCUUCACUCCCACCCAAUCUUCAAAUAAAUAAAAAUAGUUGAAAUCAAAAUAUUGAGACGUGCUUGAAAAGUUGACAGUUAAGGAAUUUACCACGCAUGAAUCUUCACCUAACUAACUUUACAUUUCAAUUUAGAUAUGAAACUGAAUGCUGCAAUAUAUAUAUAUACAGAAUGUGAUUCUUACCAACUCUUUCUGGUGUAUUUUCAUCAUCCCACCGCCUUGAAGGAAAAGCUGUUGUUCCUGUGCAGCAAAUCACAUGAGUGACUCCCUACAACGAAAACCAAAGAGAAAGAAACACAAAUUAUUACCAAUUUACCAUACAUUCUCUUGGCUGGAGAAAACGAUGAAUCAAAAUAAAAACAAUAUUAAUGAAACAAGUAUCGAUUAUGUAUAUCUACCAAAAAAAAAAGUAUCGAUCAUGUAUUUGUAAGGCACAUUGAAUUGAAGAGUUUACCUCAAACAUAGAUGGAUCCAAAUCAUCAUGCUUCCUUGUGUCUCCUUUGAAUACCUGUCAUAUUCAAGAGCUCUUUAACUAGAAAAUAUAUUGAGAAUGAAUGACAUAAAAAUGAGCCACGAAGAUUUUUCUUCCUUGGUGGUACCACAAAGGCAAUUAAGGGCAUUUUUGUUAAUGUUCAUACUUGGAAUCACAAAACUGUCAUCUGAUUUUUGUAUUUAUAGGUGAAAAAAAACGAAACAGAAACAUAAAUUUUUUCCCUAAACCGAUCAAGUCCUAGAUUUUUCACUUUGUCUGCUAACUAAAGUGUAGAUGUCGUGAUAUACCUGCAGUUUUUCUUCAUCUUGUUCACCAAACAGUGCCUUGGCUUUCUCAAGAUCCCUAAGUAUCAAGCGCGACUUAAUAUUCCGCUGAAGCAGUGAUGCUACAACUAGCUGCCCUGAAUAUCAAGUUAAGUCAACUGAUUUACAAACUCCCCGAAUCAAAACUAUUGGGAUGGAUUAUGUAUGGACUUCCAAAUUUUUACAGUUGUUUUCUGAAUACAUAAAAUAACAUCACAAAGGAAUUCCUCAUUCCACAAUGACAAUAUGACAUAUUACCAACAAGAAGGUUGUUAAUACUAUUUAUCAACAAUAUUAGGUUGACUCUAUGUCGCAUAAGCUAGUAUAACUCACAUGUCCUUAUCGACGGAGUUAUUGAAUAUUGAGUGAAACACGUCUUAUUUACAAGAUCAAAAGGAGAACUAAAAUAAACAAACUGAAACAGAAUUCUAACCAACUGUAACAGAUUGCUAGCAACUAACUACUAACUGAUCUAACAUAGAGUCAACAUAAUAAACAGCACACCAAAGUAUAUUUAUAAUAGUAAAAAUGUCAGCAACCAUUAAAGGCCUCCAUAAAUUCGCUUAUUAGAGCUUAUCCACUGACACAGAUACUUGUGAUACUGUUUGGCAUAACUUAUGAAAACAACUUAUCACAUGUUUAUGAGCUCUUUCACCUUAUUCCGUAAGCUCUUUAGGGUAACUUAUGAAAACAACUUAUAGAUUUAUACAAAAACAGUUAUUGAAAUAGCUUAUUCAUAAGCACUUAUCAUGAUAAGCACUUAUGCUAUAAGCUGCAAAAUAAGCAGUUUAUCCAAACAUGGCUUAAAUCUUUGAUACCUAUUUCAAUCCUCAAAUAUUUAUCGAGAUUUCACUAAAAUCUUGACCAGGAUUUCCUAGAGUAUAAAAUCCCAACGGUCACUGCAGUAUGCCAAUUCAAGCCAUUGGAUACAAAUAAGAUGGUUCAAGCUUAUUUUUAUAAACUCUUGAAGAUAACUUAUGAAAACAAAUUAUUACUCAUACGAAAACAAUAUAACUUUAGUUUAUCUUCUGUUAUAGAAACACUAAUUAAGUUGUUUAUCCAAACAGGACGGGCCUAAAGCAAGUUCAAAAUGAAACUAAUUCCAAAUGAAAGAGAAGGAAGAAGAAUGAAUGAAUGGUUACCAACACCGCCUGAACCACCAAGAACAAGUACCAGUUUGGAGGAUGAUGAUGAGGGAGUGUUUUGGUUAUUGUCAACGAGAGGUUUCUGUGAGUCAGUAGAAACAGCUUUUGCGUAAACGCGUUUAUAAGUGGAACUCCGUUUAGAAGAAAGGGUGAUUGGGUAGUUAUUAGGUAGUUUGAUGAAACUGAAAAGUUGAGGAUUAGAAGAAGAAGAAGAAGUAAGAGAGUGAAAUUGAAGGAAAGUAGAAGAAGCCAUUAUUCAACACACACAGAUUCACGACACAGUUAGUCAGUUACUAACUUACUUUACAUAGUACACACUACACAGUACUUCAACUCCAACCUUAAUUAAGCACCACAUGUUUUUUUCUUGUCUUUUUUAUUUUCAUUAUUAUUAUAAAAUGUUGACAUCGUAAAAAGAAACUCACAUGUCGUUUUUAUUUAUAAGAGUAAAAACUGAAUUUGACCUUAGUCAUUGACAUUUUCAUUCUAAGGAUAUGAUUCGUUAAAAAGGUUCGGACUUACUUAGACACAGAUACAAAUGAAUAAUAUUUAAAUAUUUGAAUAGAUUCACAUGAAUGAAGAAAAAUAUAUGAGAAAGAAUUUAGUCACAUCAUUCAAUUACUUUCUUCUUUAAUUUUUUCAAUUUAUAUGUGUGUCUAACCAUAUUUUAUUUAUGUUUGUGACCAAGUAAGUAUUUAUCCGUUCAUAUUAAUCUAUACAAUCCAAACUCUAUACAAAGAUCUCAAUUUGUUAAUAGAUGGUUUAAUACCAAUUUGUUCAUCCUUAUUACAAAAAAGAGUGAAGAUGAUCCAAUUUUGUGUUUGAUAAAAAAAAUACCUAAACUAGUCAUUUACAUUUCUACAUUGAACAUAUAUUUAGUUGUUUUUUAAGUAAGACUUGCUCAAAUAUUUUUCAUUUGUAUUUAUGUCUAAGUAAGACUUGCUCUGGUAUGAGAUAUUAAAUCAUCUACUGACAAUAAGUUUUCGAUCUUGGUGAAACGUAAUGGAUAAAUUUAUAAAUUAAAUUAUUUAUAAACACAACACAUAUUAAAUAUCACAAUGACUUUUUCGAAUAGAUGAUAAACAUUAUUUGCAAGGUAUUAUAGAUGGCUAGAUAGCCCAUGUUCGAAAAACAAUCAUUCGUUAAAAUGCCAAGAGAGAACAAGAAAUAACUGAGUAUGAAAGAUAAUGGAUAAGAUGAUAUUGUUGCAUUGCAUCAUCCAUAAUGCAUCCAAAAUACAACCCAAAUAAACUAUAGGCUUAAAUAUGGAAAUGGUCUCUGCAAAUAUCUGAUGUUUUGGUUUUAGUUUCUAUAAAAAUAUUUUUUUGGUUUUAGUCUCUGUAAAUAUAAAAUAUUUGGUUUUGGUCCUCGGUAUUUUGUUUUAAUCAUUGUAAAAUCAUUUCGUACUGAAAUUGGUCCCUAUAAUAUUCAUUUUAAUCCUCAUUUUGAGGGACUAAAAUCAAAUAUUAUGCAUAUUACAAGGACUAAAACAAAAUACCAAGAACCAAAACCAAUUUUUUAUAUUUGCAGGGACUAAAAUCAAAAAAAUAUUUUUACAGCGACUAAAACCAAAAUGUCAGAUAUUUGCGGGGACUAUUUUCAUAUUUAAGCCUAAACUAUACAUCCAAAUUGAAAACUAUAAAUUUUUUGGAUCAAAGUUACAUCACAAAAUAGAUAUUUGCACCAUUUGAGGAUGCAACAGAUGAUGAUGAACCAAAUUGCAAAAAAAAAGGAAAUUAUAUGCUUACUCUUAGAAGUCUAAAAGUUAAGCUACACCACUUAACUCACUAUAAAGAUGAAAUAUAGACGCGAUGUCUUUAUCAAUUAACCAGAUUGUAAUACGUGACAUUGUCACUAGACUCUUCGACAAUGUCUAUGAUAACAUUAGUAAACACAUACAUAGACUCUGCUCCUCUUUUUGUUUGCAGCAAACUAGUACAACCAACUUCAAAAGGUUGUGCACUAUGCAUGAAUAUAACUGGUUUUAACUGUGGUUCCCGUUUUCAAUUCUGUUGCAUGGCAAUGUUGCAUUGCCUUAUAAUAUUCAAGUGUGAUGGGCAGUCUUCGUACUUCUCCUAGGUAAAGUCCUCAUUGAACCACUUAUUCAAGCCUUUUACAAUUCCUCCAGAAUGAAUAAAAUCAACAAUUAUUGUCAAGGAAACUCCUUCGAGUAGUAUGUCAAUAAAAUGGUUGAAUUCAACAUCUGUUUCAUAGCAAAAACAACCAGCUUUAGUUUUUCAACUUAUCGAAGUAACUUUAAAACAUAAGCCACACAUAAACAAUAAACAAUGACCUCAACACUUACUUGCUACCAAGUCAAUCACUAAAUAGUUUAAAUGAAAAAACUGAGUCUUACUAUCAUUAAUUAUUUUUAAGAUUUUUAUGUAUUUAUCUCUACAAAAGGAAAAAAUGAAAAAGAGUUUAAAUGGAGAAGAUCUUAACUCAUAUCUAUACACAACCAAUCCUAUGAUUCCAAACAUAAGAAUAAUAGCCAACCAACAACAUACACAAACUAUAACACAAACAAAUCACUAAAUAAUUAUAUGAUCAACCACAAACAAAUCUUAUAAACUCAAACAUGGUUAAAUAUAACACAUAAAAAAGAGAGAAAGACAUUGAAAAAGGUUUCUCUCACAAAUGUAAUAUCAUGUAAAAUUUGGGCAAACUCACUCAAAUGCUUCUUUUAAGAGAAAAUAGUUUUAUAAUAUUGAAUGAUGUCACUAAUUUAUUUGUGUGUGCCUAAAUAAUUUAAGUUGUGAUUGUAUUAUGUAAAAGAGACUUGCUAUACGGUACGACAGCUCUCGACACACGAAUUUGCACGAUACGUUCAACUACAACUGGAUUUCUCUUUUAAUGGUUGCUACAUUCUAAUAUUUUAUAAUAAAACAUAAUCCUAGUUAUUAUAAAACAUCUAAAUGAGACAAACGGUAAUAUAUAUCUAUGCCUGUGAGCUACAACACAUGUUUCACCGUUUGACAAUCAAUGAAGAUCAAUAUCUUACAAAGCUACAGUGAUGUGGAGUAAAAUGUGUUUUCUCAUAAAUAAACAUAUGCUAGAUUGUACAAAUCAUUUGGACUAAAAUCAUAAUUGAAAGAGAACUGAAACAACAACAUAUAACUCAUUCGUGCAAUAGUGACGAAUUUUUUGUCGUGAACUUUAGCUUUUUCCUAUGUAAAAAUUAGCUAUAAAUUAUAAAAAAGAAACACAAUAAGUGGUACAUGUUAUUCUAUUUAAUUUGGUCCAACAAAAUAAUUGACCAUUUCGUUCUUUUCUUCAACAAGAUCAUAAUUUCCAUGGCCAACCAGGUGAAUUAACAAAUGAUCUCCUUUAUUUCUUUCGGAGAUGAAACUGUUCAAAUUUUCCAAGAGAAAAGUUGUUGUGUUGUUGACAAACUUAAAUGGGCUUAAAUCCAUCCUUAGUGUUAUAUUUUCUUCCUUAAAACCGAGAUGUUCUUAUAAACACUUUUUCAUGUUUAUUGUUGCUUAUGCGGUACCGUACAAUUGUUCAACACCAUCUAUAGGGUAAGAAUAACCCCCGAGAAAUGCUUAUUUUCGCUUUAAGCUGUUUGCAUAUUAGGGUUUGAGGGUUUAGAGUUUGAUAUAUAUAUAUAUAUAUAUAUAUAUAUAUAUAUAGAACAAUAGCCAACCAACAACAUACAGAACCUAUAACAAAAACAAAUCACUAAAUAAUUAUAUAAUCAACCACAAACAAAUCUUAAAAAACUAAACAUAGCCAACUAUAACACAUAAAAAAAAUAGAGAAAGACAUACCCAAAUUAAAGAAGGUUUUUCCUCACAAAUGCAGUAUAAGGUAAAAUUUGAGCAAACUCAUUCAUGCUUCUUUUAAGAGAAAUUGGUUUUAUAAUAGUUAGUGAUGUCACUAAUUUAUUUGAGCGCGCCUAAAUAAUAUAAGUUGUGAUUGUGUUAUGUAAAGCUACCUAUAAAUAAAAUAAAAUAAAAAAACACAAUAAAUUGUAUAUGUUAUUCUAUUUAAAUCAGGUCCAACAAAAUAAUUAAUUGUUUCGUUCUUUUCUUUAUCAAAAUCAUAAUUUUCGUUCAAGUUUUCCAAGAGAAAAGUUGUUUUGUUGUUGACGAACUCAAAUGGGCUUAAAUUCAACCUGAAUGUUAUAUUUUCUUCCUUAAAACAAAAAUAUUUUAAUAAACAUUUUUUCAUGUUUACUGCUGGUUAUGUUGUUCCAUAUAAUUAUUCAAUACCAUUUAAAGUGUACGAAUAACCUCCAGAAAUGCUUGUUUUUCGCUUUCUGUUGUUUGCGUAUUAGGGUUUGAGGGUCUAUGGUUUGAGAGAGGGGGAGAGAGGUUUUUUCAAUGUCUGCUUACUUCGCCCAAAAACAAUGAAUUGUAGAGAUUACAACAUCUAUUAACCAGAUCGUAAUCCAAGACAUUAUCACCGAACUCUUCAACAACGUCUAUAAUGGCAUUAGUAAACAUACACAUAGACUCUGCUCCUCUUAUUAUUUAUAGCAAACCAGUAUAACCAACUUCAAAAGGUAGUGCACUAUGCAUGAAGAUGACUGGUUUUUACUGUAGUUCUUUUUUCUGUUUUCGCUGCAUUGCAAUGUCGCAAUGCUUUAUAAUAUUCAAGCGGAAGGACAGUCUUUAUACUUCUCUUCGGUAAAGUUCUCAUUGAACCAGCAAUUCAAGCCUCUUACAAUUCCUCAAGAAUAACAAAAAUCAGCAAUUAUUGUCAAGAAAACUCCUUCGGAUAGUAUGUCAAUAAAAUUGUUGAAUUCAACAUUUGUUUUAUAGCAAAAACAAUCACCUUUUGUUUUUCAAUUUAUCGAAGUAACUUUAAAACAUAAGCUACACACAAACAACAAAAAAUGACCUCAACAUGAGUACCACUUUCAUUUAUUAUUUUUAAGAUUGACAUGUAUUUAUCUCUACAAAUGGAAAAAAUGAAAAAGAGUUUAAAUAGAGAGGAUCUUAACUCAUAUCUAUACACAACAAAUCCUACGAUUCCAAACAUAAGAACAAUGGCCAACAGACAACAUACAAAAACUUUAACACAAACAAAUCACUAAAUAAUUAUAUGAUCAAUCACAAACAAAUCUUAUAAACCCAAACAUAGUUAAAUAUAACACAUAAAAAAGAGAGAAAGACAUUGAAAAAGGUUUCUCUCACAAAUGUAAUAUCAUGUAAAAUUUGGGCAAACUCACUCAAAUGGUUCUUUUAAGAGAAAAUAGUUUUAUAAUAUUGAAUGAUGUCACUAAUUUAUUUAUGUGCGCCUAAAUAAUUUAAGUUUUGAUUGUGUUAUGUAAAAACUAGCUAAAAGAAACACAAUAAGUGCUACAUGUUAUUCUAUUUAAAUUAGGUCCAACAAAAUAAUUGACCAUUUCGUUAUUUUCUUCAACAAAAUUAUAAUUUCCAUGGCCAACCAGGUGAAUUAACAAAUGAUCUCCUUUAUUUCUUUCGGAGAUGAAACUGUUCAAAUUUUCCAAGUGAAAAGUUGUUGUGUUGUUGACAAACUUAAAUGGGCUUAAAUCCGUCCUUAGUGUUAUAUUUUCUUCCUUAAAACCGAGAUGUUCUUAUAAACACUUUUUCAUUUUUAUUGUUGCUUGUGCGGUACCAUACAAACCCAAAUUAAAAAGGGUUUCUCUCUCACAAAUGCAAUAUCAGGUAAAAAUUGAGCAAACUCACUCCAAUGCUUCUUUUAAGAGAAAAUAGUUUUAUAAUAUUGAAUGAUGUCACUAAUUUAUUUGUGUGUGCGUAAAUAAUUUAAGUUGUGAUUGUGUUAUGUAAAACUAGCUAUAAAUAAUAAUAAAUAACAAACACAAUAAAUUGUACAUGUUAUUCUCUUUAAAUCAGGUCCAACAAAAUAAUUGACUAGUGCUUUUCGGAGAUGAAACUGUUCAAGUUUUCCAAGAGAAAAGUUGCCCCUGAGAAAUGCUCGUCUUUCGUUUUCUGCUGUUUGCAUUUUAGGGUUUGAGGGUCUAGGGUUUGAGACUCUUAAGAAGACUCUUAAAUUUCUAAAUGGAUUCGAAAUUUCAGAAUACUUGUAUGCAACUCUCUAUUUAUAUAAACAGUUCACAACUAAUAUGUGAGAAAUUUGGAAGUAAGUAAUUCAGAUCCAAUACAAAAAUAUCUUAAAUAAGUCAAUCUAAACUGGCUGACGUUAAUGUUUCACAUCAGAUACAUUUAUGAUCUCAUCUGUUGAUUAAAAUCGAAUGGUUGAGACCGAUUUACGAGCCGUCUGAUUUGUAUCCAAUGGCUUGGAUUAGCUUACUGCAGUGACCCAUGGGAUUUUUAACUCUAGGAAUCCUGGUCAAGAUUUUAGAGAAAUCUCAUAAAAUAUUUGAGGAUUGAUAUAGGUAUCAGAAAUUUAAGCCAUGUUAGGAUACUACAACAACAACCAUGUUUGUAUAAACAACUUAUUUUGCAGCUUAUAGCAUAAGUGCUUAUCAUGAUAAGUGCUUAUGAAUAAGCUAUUUCCUCAGCACAAGGACAUGUGAAUUAUACUAGCUAUUAUGUGACAUAGAGUCAACCUAAUAUUGUUGAUGAAUAGUAUUAACAACCUUGUUGGUAAUAUGUCAAAUUGUCAUUGUGGAAUAAGGAAUUCCUUUGUAAAGUUAUUUUAUGCAUUCAGAAAACAACUGUAAAAUGUAGAAGUGCAUACAUAAUCCAUGCCAAUAGUUUUGAUUUGGGGAGUUUGUAAAUUAAUUGACUUGACUUAAUAAUAUUCAGGGCAGCUAGUUGUAGCAUCACUGCUUCAGUGCAAUAUUAAGUCGCAUUUGAUACUUAGGGAUCUCGAGAAAGCCAAGGCACUGUUUGAUGAACAAGAUGAAGAGAAACUGCAGGUAUAUCAUGACAUCUACUCUUUAGUUAGCAGACAAAGUGAAAAUCUCGGAGUUGUUCGGUUUAAGGAAAAAAAUUCUGUUUGUUUCAUUUUUUUUUUCUCCCAUCUAUAAAUACAAAAAUAAGAUAACAUUUUUGUGAUUCCAAGUAAGAACAGAGAAUAUAUUGAUAUUAAAACAAAAAGGCCCUUAAUUGCUUUUGUGGUAACACCAAGGAAGAAAAAUCUUUGUGGCUCAUUUUUAUGUCAUUCAUUCUCAAUAUACUUUCUAGUUAAAGAGCUCUUGAAUAUGACAGGGAUGCAAAGGAGACACAAGGAAGCAUGAUGAUUUGGAUCCAUCUAUAUAUGUUUGAGGUAAACUCUUCAAUGUACCUUACAAAUAUAUAAUCCAUACUUGUUUCAUUAGUAUUGUUUUUAUUUUGAUUCAUCAUUUCAUCCAACCAAGAGAAUGUAUGGUAAAUUGGUAAUAAUUUGUGUUUCUUUGUCUUUGAUAACAAGUCGAAAAAUCUUUGUUCUAUCACCACGUAGUUUGGUAAUUUCCCUUCUUCAUAAUGCUUCUUGAAUGUUAACCCGUAUUCAUGAAAUUUAUCUAUGUAUGUCAGCUUCCCAAGACUCCUAAAAGUGAUUAAUAGAAUUAUUUGUCAGCGAAAUAAGAGUAUAGUAUUAGCUACUAGCUAGCAUGAACUAAUAUUUAAUCUAGCUUUUAAAAAUAUUUUCUAAAACCAAGUUUGUCUCUAAAUUUUUGCUUAUAGGAAAUAAAACUAAUUUUCACUUCAUUAAAAUGGACGUUAAUCUAUAUUACAAAGGCAAUUAAAUUUGAUACAAGAUAUUAUAUAGGUUGAUUGUCACUUUAGUACUCAUUCUCAUCUCAUCAACACACUUGUGAUAUAAGUAGUAAUUCAUUUGUCACAUCAUAAAAAAUCACCUCUAAAUAUAUAUAUAGGUCGAAAAAAAAUGUUAUUUUGAAAACUUGAGAGACCAAGAUCGUGGAUUUAAAAAUAGAGACAAAAAUUACGAAUGUGACAAAAUUUGAUUGACGAUUUUGAAUUUAAGUGAUGAGUCUAUUAUUAAUAAAUUAAAUAAUUAAAUUGUUCAAUCCUUCAUUAUUGAGAACCAGAAUGUUAAUCCAUUCAUUAUUGGAUUCUAGAGCUAAGUUUUAAUUUAGCUUAUAAAUAUAUAUUAUCUUCAAUGGCUUAUAAAAAUAAGCUGAAAACAUUUUAUGAACAUGNUCAAAUUUUCCAAGAGAAAAGUUGUUGUGUUGUUGACAAACUUAAAUGGGCUUAAAUCCAUCCUUAGUGUUAUAUUUUCUUCCUUAAAACCGAGAUGUUCUUAUAAACACUUUUUCAUGUUUAUUGUUGCUUAUGCGGUACCGUACAAUUGUUCAACACCAUCUAUAGGGUAAGAAUAACCCCCGAGAAAUGCUUAUUUUCGCUUUAAGCUGUUUGCAUAUUAGGGUUUGAGGGUUUAGAGUUUGAUAUAUAUAUAUAUAUAUAUAUAUAUAUAUAUAUAGAACAAUAGCCAACCAACAACAUACAGAACCUAUAACAAAAACAAAUCACUAAAUAAUUAUAUAAUCAACCACAAACAAAUCUUAAAAAACUAAACAUAGCCAACUAUAACACAUAAAAAAAAUAGAGAAAGACAUACCCAAAUUAAAGAAGGUUUUUCCUCACAAAUGCAGUAUAAGGUAAAAUUUGAGCAAACUCAUUCAUGCUUCUUUUAAGAGAAAUUGGUUUUAUAAUAGUUAGUGAUGUCACUAAUUUAUUUGAGCGCGCCUAAAUAAUAUAAGUUGUGAUUGUGUUAUGUAAAGCUACCUAUAAAUAAAAUAAAAUAAAAAAACACAAUAAAUUGUAUAUGUUAUUCUAUUUAAAUCAGGUCCAACAAAAUAAUUAAUUGUUUCGUUCUUUUCUUUAUCAAAAUCAUAAUUUUCGUUCAAGUUUUCCAAGAGAAAAGUUGUUUUGUUGUUGACGAACUCAAAUGGGCUUAAAUUCAACCUGAAUGUUAUAUUUUCUUCCUUAAAACAAAAAUAUUUUAAUAAACAUUUUUUCAUGUUUACUGCUGGUUAUGUUGUUCCAUAUAAUUAUUCAAUACCAUUUAAAGUGUACGAAUAACCUCCAGAAAUGCUUGUUUUUCGCUUUCUGUUGUUUGCGUAUUAGGGUUUGAGGGUCUAUGGUUUGAGAGAGGGGGAGAGAGGUUUUUUCAAUGUCUGCUUACUUCGCCCAAAAACAAUGAAUUGUAGAGAUUACAACAUCUAUUAACCAGAUCGUAAUCCAAGACAUUAUCACCGAACUCUUCAACAACGUCUAUAAUGGCAUUAGUAAACAUACACAUAGACUCUGCUCCUCUUAUUAUUUAUAGCAAACCAGUAUAACCAACUUCAAAAGGUAGUGCACUAUGCAUGAAGAUGACUGGUUUUUACUGUAGUUCUUUUUUCUGUUUUCGCUGCAUUGCAAUGUCGCAAUGCUUUAUAAUAUUCAAGCGGAAGGACAGUCUUUAUACUUCUCUUCGGUAAAGUUCUCAUUGAACCAGCAAUUCAAGCCUCUUACAAUUCCUCAAGAAUAACAAAAAUCAGCAAUUAUUGUCAAGAAAACUCCUUCGGAUAGUAUGUCAAUAAAAUUGUUGAAUUCAACAUUUGUUUUAUAGCAAAAACAAUCACCUUUUGUUUUUCAAUUUAUCGAAGUAACUUUAAAACAUAAGCUACACACAAACAACAAAAAAUGACCUCAACAUGAGUACCACUUUCAUUUAUUAUUUUUAAGAUUGACAUGUAUUUAUCUCUACAAAUGGAAAAAAUGAAAAAGAGUUUAAAUAGAGAGGAUCUUAACUCAUAUCUAUACACAACAAAUCCUACGAUUCCAAACAUAAGAACAAUGGCCAACAGACAACAUACAAAAACUUUAACACAAACAAAUCACUAAAUAAUUAUAUGAUCAAUCACAAACAAAUCUUAUAAACCCAAACAUAGUUAAAUAUAACACAUAAAAAAGAGAGAAAGACAUUGAAAAAGGUUUCUCUCACAAAUGUAAUAUCAUGUAAAAUUUGGGCAAACUCACUCAAAUGGUUCUUUUAAGAGAAAAUAGUUUUAUAAUAUUGAAUGAUGUCACUAAUUUAUUUAUGUGCGCCUAAAUAAUUUAAGUUUUGAUUGUGUUAUGUAAAAACUAGCUAAAAGAAACACAAUAAGUGCUACAUGUUAUUCUAUUUAAAUUAGGUCCAACAAAAUAAUUGACCAUUUCGUUAUUUUCUUCAACAAAAUUAUAAUUUCCAUGGCCAACCAGGUGAAUUAACAAAUGAUCUCCUUUAUUUCUUUCGGAGAUGAAACUGUUCAAAUUUUCCAAGUGAAAAGUUGUUGUGUUGUUGACAAACUUAAAUGGGCUUAAAUCCGUCCUUAGUGUUAUAUUUUCUUCCUUAAAACCGAGAUGUUCUUAUAAACACUUUUUCAUUUUUAUUGUUGCUUGUGCGGUACCAUACAAACCCAAAUUAAAAAGGGUUUCUCUCUCACAAAUGCAAUAUCAGGUAAAAAUUGAGCAAACUCACUCCAAUGCUUCUUUUAAGAGAAAUUGAUUUUAUAAUAUUGAAUGAUGUCACUAAUUUAUUUGUGUGUGCGUAAAUAAUUUAAGUUGUGAUUGUGUUAUGUAAAACUAGCUAUAAAUAAUAAUAAAUAACAAACACAAUAAAUUGUACAUGUUAUUCUCUUUAAAUCAGGUCCAACAAAAUAAUUGACUAGUGCUUUUCGGAGAUGAAACUGUUCAAGUUUUCCAAGAGAAAAGUUGCCCCUGAGAAAUGCUCGUCUUUCGUUUUCUGCUGUUUGCAUUUUAGGGUUUGAGGGUCUAGGGUUUGAGACUCUUAAGAAGACUCUUAAAUUUCUAAAUGGAUUCGAAAUUUCAGAAUACUUGUAUGCAACUCUCUAUUUAUAUAAACAGUUCACAACUAAUAUGUGAGAAAUUUGGAAGUAAGUAAUUCAGAUCCAAUACAAAAAUAUCUUAAAUAAGUCAAUCUAAACUGGCUGACGUUAAUGUUUCACAUCAGAUACAUUUAUGAUCUCAUCUGUUGAUUAAAAUCGAAUGGUUGAGACCGAUUUACGAGCCGUCUGAUUUGUAUCCAAUGGCUUGGAUUAGCUUACUGCAGUGACCCAUGGGAUUUUUAACUCUAGGAAUCCUGGUCAAGAUUUUAGAGAAAUCUCAUAAAAUAUUUGAGGAUUGAUAUAGGUAUCAGAAAUUUAAGCCAUGUUAGGAUACUACAACAACAACCAUGUUUGUAUAAACAACUUAUUUUGCAGCUUAUAGCAUAAGUGCUUAUCAUGAUAAGUGCUUAUGAAUAAGCUAUUUCCUCAGCACAAGGACAUGUGAAUUAUACUAGCUAUUAUGUGACAUAGAGUCAACCUAAUAUUGUUGAUGAAUAGUAUUAACAACCUUGUUGGUAAUAUGUCAAAUUGUCAUUGUGGAAUAAGGAAUUCCUUUGUAAAGUUAUUUUAUGCAUUCAGAAAACAACUGUAAAAUGUAGAAGUGCAUACAUAAUCCAUGCCAAUAGUUUUGAUUUGGGGAGUUUGUAAAUUAAUUGACUUGACUUAAUAAUAUUCAGGGCAGCUAGUUGUAGCAUCACUGCUUCAGUGCAAUAUUAAGUCGCAUUUGAUACUUAGGGAUCUCGAGAAAGCCAAGGCACUGUUUGAUGAACAAGAUGAAGAGAAACUGCAGGUAUAUCAUGACAUCUACUCUUUAGUUAGCAGACAAAGUGAAAAUCUCGGAGUUGUUCGGUUUAAGGAAAAAAAUUCUGUUUGUUUCAUUUUUUUUUUCUCCCAUCUAUAAAUACAAAAAUAAGAUAACAUUUUUGUGAUUCCAAGUAAGAACAGAGAAUAUAUUGAUAUUAAAACAAAAAGGCCCUUAAUUGCUUUUGUGGUAACACCAAGGAAGAAAAAUCUUUGUGGCUCAUUUUUAUGUCAUUCAUUCUCAAUAUACUUUCUAGUUAAAGAGCUCUUGAAUAUGACAGGGAUGCAAAGGAGACACAAGGAAGCAUGAUGAUUUGGAUCCAUCUAUAUAUGUUUGAGGUAAACUCUUCAAUGUACCUUACAAAUAUAUAAUCCAUACUUGUUUCAUUAGUAUUGUUUUUAUUUUGAUUCAUCAUUUCAUCCAACCAAGAGAAUGUAUGGUAAAUUGGUAAUAAUUUGUGUUUCUUUGUCUUUGAUAACAAGUCGAAAAAUCUUUGUUCUAUCACCACGUAGUUUGGUAAUUUCCCUUCUUCAUAAUGCUUCUUGAAUGUUAACCCGUAUUCAUGAAAUUUAUCUAUGUAUGUCAGCUUCCCAAGACUCCUAAAAGUGAUUAAUAGAAUUAUUUGUCAGCGAAAUAAGAGUAUAGUAUUAGCUACUAGCUAGCAUGAACUAAUAUUUAAUCUAGCUUUUAAAAAUAUUUUCUAAAACCAAGUUUGUCUCUAAAUUUUUGCUUAUAGGAAAUAAAACUAAUUUUCACUUCAUUAAAAUGGACGUUAAUCUAUAUUACAAAGGCAAUUAAAUUUGAUACAAGAUAUUAUAUAGGUUGAUUGUCACUUUAGUACUCAUUCUCAUCUCAUCAACACACUUGUGAUAUAAGUAGUAAUUCAUUUGUCACAUCAUAAAAAAUCACCUCUAAAUAUAUAUAUAGGUCGAAAAAAAAUGUUAUUUUGAAAACUUGAGAGACCAAGAUCGUGGAUUUAAAAAUAGAGACAAAAAUUACGAAUGUGACAAAAUUUGAUUGACGAUUUUGAAUUUAAGUGAUGAGUCUAUUAUUAAUAAAUUAAAUAAUUAAAUUGUUCAAUCCUUCAUUAUUGAGAACCAGAAUGUUAAUCCAUUCAUUAUUGGAUUCUAGAGCUAAGUUUUAAUUUAGCUUAUAAAUAUAUAUUAUCUUCAAUGGCUUAUAAAAAUAAGCUGAAAACAUUUUAUGAACAUGCUAUAAGUUAUUUUCCUAAAUUUUCGAAAACAGUCUCACGAGUGUUUAUGCUCAAUCCAAACAGCGGAAUAUCAAGUCACGCUUGAUAAUUAGGGAUCUCGAGAAACACCUUUUAUGUUCUGUGCUUGCACCCAUGGCUCUAACACAUGUCGCAUUUUCUUAUAUUUGUUUCCAAACAUUUGAAUGCAGUAUGUUGUGUUGAGAUCAAUAUCAUGUAAAUAAAUAAUGUCCUAGAUACAUUGCGUAGUCUAACUAAAUCAAAGAAUUAUCGAUUGAGAGAAACCCUCUCAGCAAAUUUAUAAUGCUAACUUAUUUACAUUUUAGAACCCAAAUACCUCAGUUUUAAGGAUCAAUAUUCAUAUUGCUAAUUGUAAGGGAAAUCAAAGACUAUCAACACUCCCUGCCAACUUGUGCACAUACAUACAUUAUAUUUGAUCCCACUACCCUCCACGUAAGUUUAUCACGAUUAGGGAAGAAGAGAGUAAUAUGUAAUUAAACGUGCAUAAAUUUAUUUAAAUAAGUUUUUUACAUUGUCAAUACAUAAGUUUUCAAGAGUAAUAUCUAGAAAUUAAAUUGAACACUUGAAUAUUACAUGUCAAUUAGAAAAUACUAUAAACUCACAUGUCUAAGUUACUCUAGAAACAUCAACACACAAUUCACAGCAUAUGUACCAUCUUUGGCCCGAAUUUCUGCAUGCUCAAUAAAUGUACAAGAUUAGAUAUGGAGACAAUCUAAAUAAACCAUCCAUUUUUUGACUUCAACUUGACAUCAUAUGCAAAUGCCAGGACAAUUCUUGGAGAGUUUCCUUCUGCAUGCAAGUUUCCGGUUCGCAGCCAACGUUUUAGUGUCUAUGCGCUUUAAGUUGAGAUCCUGCUUGUUCGUCGUGUAAAACAAAGUUACUGAUUAUUAUUAUUAUUAUUAAACAAAAGAUGUGAUUUUCUAUAAGAUGGGAGACAGCAGCCAUGCCUUAAAAUAUUUAUUUGCCCGUUGAUAGAAAAUUAGCAAGUGUACUAACUUAUAUCGAAGUAAUAACAUUUAUAAGAUUCGUAUCCACAGGGACUGUUUCAACUUCUACUCGGUAAUGUCAUUAUUAUUAAGGAUGUAUGUAAAAUGGGGGUUGCACUGAGGCAAUUUGGUUUGAGUUACAAAUGUAAAUAAAAUGGUUAAGGAAAAAUUGGUUUAAGAAAUAGUAUGGAGAGAUGACUAGGUCAAUCAAUUAAUAUGUUCAUCACUCAUUAGCAACCUGUUUCUUACGUUUACGAACGCUAUAAAGUUUACGACAAAUUAACAAAAUAGUUUAGGUCAAUCCCUUGAUCCUAAGCCCUCUUUUCUGAUUAUAAUUCCCUAAUCCCUUAGGUGAACCUAUAAUCAUAAAAGGUUUUAAGUCCGUUAAUUUAAGUAUCACAACCUAACAACGCUCCAUCCCUAGAUUGUCCGUUAGAUUGAACAGUAUAGAUAUGUCAGAGUUACACGUUGGUGUCAGCAGGCAUAAUAACUCUUGAAUCAAUUAUAUUGGGUCAGAAUCAUAAAAGCAUUAAGAACAAUUUAUACUGAAUAAACUAGAAUUUCAUUCAUAAAGAUUUAGAGUUAUAGGUUACAUAAACAUGAGCUAGAACAAAAUUAUCUCUUGACCUAAUCACAAAAGAUCUAGCUACUCAUGGCUAAAGCACAAAUAACUAAUGUAGAAGAAGGAUUCAUUAUAUGAAAUUGGUAACCGGAUAUGAGUUUUGAUGGUCUCCCACCUUCUCUCCAGAUCUCCUGCUCCAAAAGUCUGUUUCUUUCUCCAAAAUUCCGAACCCUUGGCUCAGAAAACAAAUUCCCUUUUAUAGGAAUAUUCUCAGAUACGCCAAAAUCGUACUCCGAUGCUGUAAAUCGGAGCACGAUGGCUUCAUUAAAGUCAUAUCCUGGCUGUAGCGUCUGCCAAAUCGUAGCCCGAUUUGGUUCCAUCGGAGCACGAUUUUUUACGAGACAAAAUGUCUCAAAUUUGCUGUAAAAUCGGAGCACGAUUUCUUAUUUGUUUGCCAACAUCAAAUGUGUCAUUUGAAGCUUCUAUCUCAUGCAAAAUCACCCGAACUCAACCAAAAUUACAUAAAAACUAUAACAAAAGUGAUAUAUGACCUAGUGUCAUCACCCGUUCAUAAUCUUUCAAUUUCAUCAAGCAGCAUGCAUUGCCCAGAUUACAAGAAUGCCUCAAGCCAACAAUUUCCCUAUCCUCAUCGGGAAAGGAAGUAUCAUACUUUAUAAAGUUCAGAGCCUGCAUUACGGUUUCAGUUUCAGAAAAGAUACCGGAUAGAACCCGCAGAAUGAACAAGGUAAUUUUGUAUAUUACUAUCAAAUGAUAAAUAUGAGUGUAGAGGCUCUACANNNNNNNNNNNNNNNNNNNNNNNNNNNNNNNNNNNNNNNNNNNNNNNNNNNNNNNNNNNNNNNNNNNNNNNNNNNNNNNNNNNNNNNNNNNNNNNNNNNNACAGACUACAAAUGUUCACGGUGAAGGACUGAUUGUAACCACCACUAGUCCCUAUGAGCAAGCUGCUUUUGGUUCGAAGACUGAUUGGCGUGUCAGAGCAAUAUCAGCCACAAAUUUAUACCUUCGAGUAAACCAUAUAUAUGUGAAUUCGGAGGACAUAAAGGUUUCUUCAUUUCUUUAAAUCUUGUUAAUUGUUUUUAUACUCAUUAAGUCACAACUCCUAUCAUGUUUUAACUUUGAAUUUUGCGGUGCAGGAAACGGGCUAUACUUAUAUCAUGCCAAAGAACAUUUUGAAAAAGUUUAUAUGCAUAGCAGAUCUUCGAACACAGAUUUCUGGGUAUUUGUAUGGUAUAAGUCCUCCUGACAAUCCUCAGGUUAAGGAAAUCCGGUGCAUUGUGAUGCCACCACAGUGGGGGACUCAUCAACAUGUCCAUCUCCCAUCAGAUCUGCCAGAACAUGAUUUCUUGAAUGAUUUGGAGCCUUUGGGAUGGAUGCAUACUCAACCAAAUGAAGUUCCGCAGUUGUCGCCUCAGGUUGGAUUACUUUAGUUUCAAUUGCAACUUUUUUUUUUGUUGCCUUUUUUCAAGGAAAUAUAUUAAUGAAUAGUGGUAACAUUGUCUAACCUGAGAAAUUAUCAUUGCAGGAUCUCACUUCACAUGCUAAGGUCCUAGAGAACAAUAAACAAUGGGAUGGGGAGAAGUGUAUUAUCUUGACUUGCAGUUUUACUCCGGGUUCUUGUUCUUUAACUGCAUAUAAACUAACUCCAUCUGGUUAUGAAUGGGGACGUAUUAACAAGGAUACAGGAAGCAACCCACAUGGUUAUCUUCCCACUCAUUAUGAGAAGGUUCAGAUGCUCCUCAGUGAUCGCUUCAUUGGUUUCUACAUGGUAAGCUUUACUGCUUCCUGAAGUUUUCCUACUAUUAUUUCUUCGCAUAUUUUUUAUUUUAUGUUUUAUUUCUUCGCAUAUGAUUGAAUGACAGAAAUAUAAUUAUAUUAAAUUUAUCGUAUUAUCAAGUAAUGGUUAUAUUUCUUAAUGCAAUUACAGUCUUGUUAUUAUUGUCAUUAUUAUUUUACUGAAUGUUUAAAAUUUUUUUUUUUUUUUUUUUUGUCACAAUUUCCUAGAUUCCUGAUAAUGGUCCAUGGAAUUACAACUUUAUGGGAGUGAGGCACGCAUCAGGCAUGAAGUAUGGAGUGAAGCUUGGGACCCCUAGGGAUUAUUACCAUGAAGAUCAUAGGCCAACCCAUUUCUUAGAGUUCAGCAAUAUGGAGGAAGGGGAGACAAUCGCCUAGGGAGAUUGAGAGGAUACAUUCUCUUAGAGUGUGUUUGAGUUGGAGAUUGUAAAAAGGUAAAAUACUUUUGAGGGAUUUAAAAUGAUUUGUCUUAGUUGUAGCACUAUUUCUUCAAACACUAUCAAGUUGUAUGUUGUAGCAUUGCUAUAUUGAACACUGUUCUGGAAAUUUCAACAUGUUCUAUAAUUUCUUUUUGAAUUUUUGUUGGUUGAUUCUGUUUGUGCUGAGAUCAAAGCCUUGAAGCUUUAUUAACUACUUAGUGAAUGUCAUUGAUGAGGUUACCUCUAAUUUCUCAAUUACUGGUAUUUUUGUGUAUUGGUUUUGUGCUCUGAUAUUUAGUAGGUGAAAUUGCCACUGCUUAUAUUCAGUUUCGAAGAUUGAUUGAUAAACUCAGUCAAACAUAGCUCUACUAAGUAAAUAAGAAAUCUAAUGGAAGUUAUAAUUUUCAUUUUCUCUUCAAGUGCCUGUGUGUGAAGUUUCAGCUGUAGAACAAGUUAGAAAAAACACUUACAAGGAGUACUUUUUGAAUCAAAACAUUGUAUUUCUAGCCUUAAAACCUGUUAAACUUGCUUGCAAAGUCUUCGUAUGCUUGCUGGAAUAGAAUACCUUGAUAUAUGUUAACUAGCUAUAUGUUUUUUUAGACUCUUUUUUAGUAAGUUUUAUUCACAUAUAUGUAAAUCAAAGUUUAUCUGGUUUAUCUAGCGGUUCUUAUCCAAACACCAAAUUGAUAGGGGGUUGCAAAUUACUAUUUUUCCAGUUUUCUUGUUAAAACCUAUACAUAGUUUCUUCCUUUUGUUUGUUUUAUAGAUCCACUUAAAUGAAUUCUAUCUUGGGUUAUUGACUCCACUCAUGUACAUGUUUUGAGAGUUUGAACCUCAGUCCCCAUAACUCAUUUUCAACAAUUUUAAAUUUGAUAUUCAAUUAUCUGCACAAGUCAAAAUCUUUAUCUCUUGUGGGUUUUCAAUUUCUCACUUGUUUUUGUUUCCAUGACUUACUGAAUGUAGUAGUCCUUAUUUGUAGUAUAUAGUUUCCUUGUUUAUUAGUUGUGACAAGAUAUAAGCAUAUGGAGCUAUAUUGUCUGGUCAAAGCUAGGCAGUGAUAAAGUUGUGCUUCUUGACAACUAAUGGCAGGUUGGGUGGGAUGAUAAAAUCGUCCUCCCAAAUUAUCAGUUGCUUCUGCCCAUUGGUUUAGAACCCAAUGUUGCAAAAGUUAGACUCAACAGUAAAGGGAAACUUGGAAGAAAUGUAUGCUUAUGCAUUAGUAUUGUUUCCUUUAUUGCUGAGAUUUGAUUAUAUGUAACAAAUUCUGCAUGAAUAUCAGUUAUAAUUGAAUUUGAUAUCUGACUAUAUGCUAGGAUAAUAGCUAAGUUUUUUUUUUUGUUUUUGAAAAAGGAUAAUAACCAAGUUAUAAUUACUCAAGUUCUUUCAUAGUCAAUGCAUCAACUGCUUAAGUAUAUGAUGAUAGUUAUGGGCAAUAGUUAGAUUAGGUUAGUUAUGGGAAAUAGUUAGAUUAACACGGAGAACUUCAUUGUCACCAAGUAAAUUAUAUUUGUAUGGAAACUAUAUAUAUUCAUAGUCUACCAAUCUAAAAUAAUGGUAUGGAAUAGUUAGUGGCAUGUGAAACAUAGAAACAUAGGGUAUUUUGUUUGAUAUUGUUGACGAAGAUGAAGGUAGUGGCAUGUGAAACAUGUGACUGUUACCUUCCUCUCCAGUGUCUCCAAGGAACAUUUUGUUUCCAUGAUCAUACUCCAUGAUAAUAAUUAUUACAGCCAGUAAUUUAUUCAGCUAAAUAUGCCUUUGUUGUUGAAUAUGUCAAGCUUGUUUAAUUUUUGUUGUUGGUGAUUUAUUGAAUGAAUCGGUCUAGCUAGAAGUUAGGACUGCCUUUUCUGUUUUUUUUUUUUUUUACAAGUCCAUGGUUUCAGCCUUUGUUAUAACUUAGAAGAAGCCUUUCACCCAUGGUUCAGAUUUAUUCAGACUGGUUUCAAUGGUUUAGAAUUGUGCAGUAUCUGUGUAGAGAUUCCUUUAUUUUGGUUAACAAAUCUGGAUAUAGGUUGUCUAUUGUGUUACUUACACUCCUCACUUGGAUAGUAGGUAUGUAUGUAUGUAUCUAUUUUUUGUAUACAUUUGGAUUCUUGUUGCGCAUAAAAUAACAUUUUCAAUUUCUAAUAUUUUAGCAUGGUUGGGAUGAUUGUUUUGGAGAUUGAUUCAUCUAUUUAGCGACUAACUGGUUUUGUAUAUUUCUGUAAUGUAGUGGUGAAGAUGUUUGAUUACGGCUGGAUCCUUGUGGAGCUGGGACAGUCUAUAUUAGAUUAAUUUUCAGUGGGGCGUUGGAUUUGGCGGCUGUUUUUGGUAACAAUGUGCUAGAAUUAUCACACACUGUUAUUUUGUUUGUACUAAAUUUACAGGUUUUGCUCAGCUAGAACUUGAAUUACAUAGUCACUGCACAUUGAGAAUGUCUCAACUAUUGUUACACUGAACUGUUAGCAAUACUUGUUGGCAAAUGGUUAGAGAAAUAAAUUUCUGUGUUAGUUUUGUUUUUUAAGUAAUCAAUGUACAACUCCUCCAAAAGUAAUCAUGUACAAUGAAUUUUUGAAUUCUUUAUUUCGCAUGAAUGGUCUCUAUUCCACUAAGCAGGAAUGACAGAACUCACAAGUGCUAAGGAUUUGAGUGCUAAACUCACCUUUCAUAUAGGAUCACGAUUCAUAUUUCUACACGGUACCAAAGGAUCAUAAUUUAACCAAUGAAUCUGUUUUUUUUUUGCAUAAACAAAUUUAAAGAUAAUUUUUUCACAUUUAGUUGAGGAUAAUAGAUAAUUGCAAAAAAUCAGUAAAAAAGCUUAAAAUGAACGAAAGAAUCACUUUUUAUUGUAAUUUUUACUUCCCAGAAACUCUAAUAAAAACAUUUGAGGAUAAGUAUUGAUAUUUGCGAGUGAGCUUGGUCUUGCUAAUUUCAUCCCUGAAAAUUGAUUCAAACUAUAUGCUCUUUUUAUUCAACAACGCAUCAUUAUUGCCAUCAUUUGGCAUUUGGGUUGUUGAGAGAGUCACAUCUUAAUUAGUAUGCAAACAAAUGUUAACAGAGACUAAUAACAUAAAAUAAUAUAUGUGGAGACUAAAAUCAUAUUUAAAACUUUUUUCUAUUACAUUUCUCACGUAGUUAUCAUUUACACCACAUAUCAUUCAAUCAGUACAUAUAACUCAAUAUCAUGGAGAAUCUAAAUCCUUAAUUUUCCUUUUCAAUUUUAUUUAGAAUCACUCACUACUCAAGGACAUAAAUAUCAUUGUUUUGGUGUGGAUUCUUCCCUUUUCAACUUUGCUCUUUUUCUACAAUAUGAUGCCUCAUUUAAUCACUCAUCUAAUUUAUCUCAACACUAUUAUCUAAUUAUGUUGUCUCGUGUACACAAGCCCGACUAACUCCUACAAUAGUCUCCAAACGUGUAGCCGAAUGGUAUGAAAAAGGUUCAAAGUUCGAUCUCUAUGGUUAAUUUUUUUUCCUCCUCCUAACAAAAUUUACUACCAACAUUUGCCUAUAAAAGAAAAAUAAAAACUAACUCUUACAAUAUGACCAUGGUGAAAAUUACUACUUGCCCUGAAUAUGUAGCAUUUAUGCAUCAAUUCAACUAAUGUACAUCAUCAUCACUUGUGUGUAUUAGACUCCAAUAUCAUAUACAUAUCACCAUGUGCAUUCAAUCCAUUAAGACAUUUACAACGGAAUUUCACUUUAUCUAGACUAGUGUUCAACCGUUAUCAAUGUUUGUGGUAUGUCUUGUUCUUUUUUGGACUCAUGAUGCUCAACAAAAUCAUCAUUAUGGUGGUGUUCUUCCUCGCUGCCGCCACCAAAUUCAUCUCCCAUCUCCACAACUGUGCCAAAUUGAACCCGACACUCCUCACCGCCACCACCAACAGGGGAAUGAGAAGGGGAUUUUGUACCACGAGGGCUUCUAACAGCAGUAGCAGCUGUUUGUGGAGAUUUUGGUGUCCAAAUUGCACCAGUAUUACCAUAAUUGUUUGUAUGAUGUUCAUCAAAUUGAACAUUAAUAGGUCUAAUGCAUCUAUAUAUCAAGAUGAGAAACCAAGAUAGCCAUGGAAUUGCAACCAAUGACAUGCCUGCAAAGAGAUACCAUGGUAAAGAUUCAGAAUCUGGUAGGAAUAUGUACAUGCAAAGGAAAAUUCCUCCUUCAUUAUUUUCUUACAAUUCAAUUUCAUCUCUGAAAAAAAAAAGUACACCUGACAUUUUUAAUCUAAAGAUAAAUUAGUCAUUCAUUAUAAUACAAAGACUAAUUUAUUUUUAGUAUGGAAUGUCAAUCAUUAGUUUUAGUAUUAUUUUUUACAGAAAUGUUAACGAAUGACCUUAAGAUAUUUGUUUAGAAGUUUAAAGUGAAAAUUUUAUUUUCAAAAUUGUGCACAUUGAAACAAUAAAAAGUAACUUUUUUGUAUAAAAUUUAUCAAUUUAUUUCUAUUUUUGAAUCCUUAAUAAGAACAACAAUUUUUAAUUUUAUCUUAGAAAUUGUACAUUCAAGACAUUAAAACACUUGUUGGUGUAACCCUAUUUUUCAUCAUCAUAAACUAAAUUGAGAAAAUUGUGAGUCACUAAAAUAUGUUUUCUCUUUUUUAUAAAAGUGAUGGUUAUGAAAUUAUGAUUAUGACAAGUUGACAACAACAAUUUUAUUUUGGUUUGUAAAAAAAAAUAAAAAAUUGGUUACACAUUUUUAGCCUCUAUUAGGGUCUGUUUGGUAAGCACACUAAAUGAGCUUAUAACUUAUAAGUUCGUUUGACAAAAAAGUUCUGUUUGGCAAUGAUCUCUUACCACGAGCUUAUAGCUUAUUUCACGAGCUUAUAAGCUAUUUUUCAAAAGUUAUUUCAAGUAGCGUUUGAGCUUAUAGCUUAUUAUUUUUUCCUCCAUCUUUACCCUUGCUAUUUUCUCUAAAAACCAAUUCUACCCCUAUAGUUUUAAAUAAAAUAUAUAUUUUAAAUGCUCACAAAUGAAAGAUCUUUCUUUCAUUUAAAAAAAAAAAUUGUUUUUACUGUUACAUUUCAUUUUACAUUUUUCUAAUGACAUUUAAUUGUAUAUAAAUACGUUAAUUUUUUUCAAAGGAUGUAAAUUUUUUUUUUCUGGUUAAAUUCUUUGCACAUAAACUAUGCCCAUUAUAUUAAACUUACUUGCAUCUAGUUUUUUUUUCUUUUCAGAAAGACUCACGUCUAGUUUAAUUGUUAUUUUUUUACAAAUAGUUUUAUUGUUAUUUUUUACGUCUAUAUAAUUUACUUUUUUUGUUAUAUUUUAUCAUUAUAUUUAUUAUUUUACAAAGUAUACUAAAAUGAAAAUAAAUACUAAAAUAUAAAAUAAAUAUAUAUUAAAUUAAUAAUUCAAAUUAGCAAAUUUUAAAUACUUAAAUUUUAAUGGAUGCUAAUUUUGUUAUAAAUUAAUAAUGUCUUUUUAUGUCAUUUCACACAUAUCAACUAAUUGAAUCGCUAAUUUUACCAAACACUUCAAUUAGUUUAACAGCUAUAAAUCAUCAAUCAUCAGCUAAGAGCUAUAAGCUAUCAGAUAUCAAUCAUCAGCUAUAAGCUAUCAAGUAACUUAUCAACUAUCCGCUAUUUAAUAAUCAUACUUUUUGAAUAAUGCUAUGUAUCCCAACACAAACAAUAAAGAAUGCCUCGCAAAUAACAUGCCCACAAAAAUCACACGCGUGUAGUGUGUCUUCAAGGCCAUUCAGUCAUCUCAUACGCUGCUACACAACUUAUAUGAUUAACCUUCCAAGCAUCGUCAAUUGCAUCUCUCAUCGCCUAUCACCUCAGCCCUUGCUUUAUUAACUCCUUUUAUAGCCUUCUCCAAUUGCUUUAUUAGAUUUAAGUGUCUUAAAUUGAUCUCAAAAUGACAAAUUUAAGGGUUGUAAAUAAUAAAUCAAUCAAGAUUAAUGUGAUAAUUAAUUUGAUUGCCUUAUCUUAAUAUUUAAUUUGAUCGAUGGUCGUAUUUAAUUUAUGUUUUGCUAAAAUAAUAUAAUUUUUUUAGGAUAAAUUCUUACAAUAUUAAAAUUUUAUUUUAAGGUAUGAAUUUAUUCAAAAGGAGAGAUCAAAAGGGAAAAUUGAAAUUUUUGGAGAACUCAAAGUUGAAUGUUUUUUAAAAGGAUUAAAAUGAAAAAUGAAAAUAUUUAUAUGAAUAAAAAAUAUAUUUAACAUUUUUUUUAGGCUUAAUUGUAAUUUUCCUCCCUAUAGUUUGCCAAUUGUGCGAUUUUGCACCCCAUAGUUUAAAACGUUCGAUUUUAUCCCCUAUAGUUUUCCCCCUUUCUGAUUUAUUGGUCGCCCUUGACAUCCGGUGAUGUGUCUGUUUUUAUGCGCCACGUGUAAGUCAAUUUAAAAAAAUAAAAAAAAGGAAUUUUCACAUUUUUAGAAAAGGAGGCACGUGAGUGAGGCCUAUGUGACCGUUGCAAAAAGGGAUAAAAAUCUGAAAUCCCUAACUUGCAUCAAUCUUCAUUACUCAUUCCUUCGAUCUUCUUCCAUCAAUCUUCUUCCUUCUUCCUCUUUUCCGCUUCCUUCUUCCUUAUUCCUCUUAUCUGCUUUCUUCUUCCUUUUGAACCGGUUUCUCCUGAAUUUAAACCGUUUGAUUUCAUCGUUUUUGGUUGGCAUCGCAAAAUCAUGGAAUAUAGAAAACCCAGUUCGUCGUUCUCCUUUGGUUCCAAAUCUAGUUCUUCAUCUGCAUCAAGCUGGAAGAGGCCACAAUUCAAGUGUAGAUGCGGUUUCUCCUGACAUAUCCGGCGAACGCCAAUCCGGCCAAGACGUCCGCACUCAAAACGGUAUACGUAACCGUUUUUCUAACAUACGCUUUCUUUGUGAAUGAACAAAUGCAGUUGUAGCAUGUCAAGCCGCAAACAUCGUGAAAACCUCACUCGGUCCCGUUGGUCUCGACAAGGUACAAGAUCCAUCGAUUCUCAACUUCUUUCUCAUUUUCAUUCAUUUUUUCACUUCAUUUCCGUUUUUGUUUCUCAGAUGCUUGUUGAUGAUAUCGGUGAUGUCAGCAUCCCGCUGCUAAGGUUAACCUAAUCCCGAUCCUUCGUCGCCAUUUCAAUCAUUCAAAUGAGGGUUUAAUUAUUCAGAUUUUGGUUUUUUCUAUUUUAGGUUUUGGUUGAACUUGCUGAACUUCAGGAUAGAGAAGUUGGAGUUGUUGUAGCUGCAGAGCUUCUCAAAGUAAAUUUCCACUUUUUUAUGUUUUUUUUUUCUUCUAUCCAUUUCAUGCAUUUAUUUAUUUUAUUUUUCUCUUAUGUAACAUGUGUUUUUUUAUUGUGUUUGAGUAGAGAGCAAAUGAUCUUGUUAGGAAUAAGAUUCAUCCAACCUCGAUUAUCAGCGGAUACAGAGUAAGUUUUUAUUUACCUUUUCAAUUUUAUUUGUCAUCUUUUCCAAGAUUCAUCGAACCUUGUUUUUUUUUUAAUUUUUUUUUUUAACUAAUCUGUGUUGAUUGUUCUGAAUAGCUUGCUAUGCGAGAAGCCUGUAAAUACGGAGACGAAAAGCUUGCCGUCAAGGUAAGAUUUCUCAAGUAUACCAUUUUCCUAUACAUUUGUUAGGCGUGUUCUUUUCUCACUUUUCUCGCGUUUUAUGGAGUCAUUUAUGUCCAGAGCAACUUUAUGUUGUAGCUCUACACAUUUUGAGUAUAAUUUUUUGAUUAAUUUUUCCUAUUACUAGGAACAUCCUGAUUUUGUUUUGAUAUGCUUAAUAUUCCUGUUUUCAUGUUUAAAUCACAAUCGUAAACAAAACGGAAGUUUUUAAUGUAAUAUUCAUAGCAUAUGUAUUCACUUCAAUUUUUUUUAUACACCAAUUGAAUUUUGUAGCAUGUUAUGUUAGUAUCGAAGGUUUGAACCCUGGACUUACUUCCCAAAUCCUUCAGAUGUCCCAAAUUAACUACUUGAGCUACACCUUGGGGACUGUAUAUGUAUUCAAUUGAUUAAUUAAUUGAUUAAGUAAAUAAUAAAUAAGAUUAAUGAAAGCUUGCAUAACUUGGCCACUGUUCCCUGUCUUAUUUCCUGGAAAGCAUUCAAUGGUUUCAUUGUUUUGUGACUUUUGUCUGAAAGUUAAUGCAUUUAGAAGCUGUUGUAUUUUGUGUUGCUUAGUCAGAUUGUUCUCUUCACUUGUAGGUUGUGAAGCUUGGAAAAAAGAUUCAUUAAUUAACUGUGCCAAGACCAGCAUGUCCUCAAAGGUGAUAGCCGGUGACAGUGACUUCUUUGCCAAUUUGGUACCUUGACAUUAUUUAUUUAUUUAUAUUGUAUGUUGGGCGUUUACAUCACUUUAAAUUGUUGCAAAGCAACCAUAUUUUGUAAAUACUAGUUUGUUCACAUCCAAUUGUUUAAGCUUAUAUACAUCAUUAUGUUUCGUCUCUCAAAUUUUACUUGGACUAUAAGUUGAAAACUUGAUAUUGACCAUGCUUAUAUAGCAUUUACUUUUCCCCAUCACAGUUAUAAUUAUCAUAAUUAUCGAAUAGCUUUCGUAGGUUUUCCACUUUCUGCUUGAGAGGAAAGAAAUUCAAGUAUAUCGCUGGUCUACUCACGGUUUCUACUCUAGUUGUGCAUUCAAUUGGUUGAUUGUAUCAGUCAGCAAUGUUCUGAGAGAUAUAGAAAUGAUUAUACCAACUAUUAAUUGGGUUUCAUACUAUUCUAGAUAUUUUUUAAAUCAUACUAAAUGGCAUGAAGUUAUCAACUCUUUGCUAUUGUAGUUCAAAUUUUGCAUUUAAUGGCAUGAACGUAUCAACGUUCUAUGAUUGAUUUGAAUAUAUACUGUUGCACAUCGCUGAUAAUUGGCUUUGUGGUACGUUAGGUAACCCAAAGAAAUUGAUGGAAUAGUUUUAUGGAAUGAUUCAUUGAGAUUAGUAGAGAGGUCUCUCCUCCUAAAGUCUCCCCUAAAAAAUGAUUUCUUCAUUCACCAAAUUUUACAAAUUUACAGAAUGGUCCCUUUAUUUAUUUAACCGACACCUUGUAUCCAUUUGAUCUAACCUACUGCCAUCAUUUCCUUACCCCCCUUAGGCAUCCUCCUGUCCUAAUAGUACGAUUGCUUUCACAUGAAACUGCAAUAAAAGCUUUAUCCUUUUUCCUUAAAGUUUUAAAAAUCAAUCCCAAUGAUGUCGAUGUUAGGAUGACCCUGAAACAUUUGUUGUGGAGAGGGUCAUUGGAUAAUAAAACCUUUGAUCUAUUGAUUUCACUGACUGGACAGUGUAACUUUUGUAAUCACGGGAAAUGUAAUUAUUAAAAGCAGUUCUGAUUCUCAUAAGUUGUUCUGAAUGUAUUGAUUGAUUAUUAAUUGAUUAUGAACAAGAUGCUAACUUCUGUUUUUGAUUGAGUUUUCUGGCUGUAGGUUUAGGCACUUGAUAUUCGUUUCAGUUGUUAAAUUUACUUGUGGGUAUGAAAUUCAUGCAGGUUGUAGAAGCAGUGCAAGCUGUAAAGAUGACCAAUGCACAGGGUGAAGUCAGAUACCCAAUCAAGGUUGGUAGUAGAAUUUGUCUGAUACAUUCUCACGAGGCUCUGCUCUGCUUCUGGAUGAAAGAUGUCAAUUUUGAUAUGUUGAACAUCUGUAAUGUGCAGCUAUUUUGCUUAUGUGGUUUAACAUACUUUGAAUGAAUUUAAUUCUGUUUCAUUUUGAUUCGGGUUCCAGGGAAUCAAUAUAUUCAAGGCACAUUGUGAAAGUGCUAGACAGCUUUUUGAUGAAUGGUUAUGCUCUUAAUACUGGACGUGCUGCCCAAGGAAUGCCUCUUAGGGUAUCCCCUGCUAAAAUUGCUUGUCUUGAUUUCAAUCUUCAGAAGACAAAAAUGCAAUUGGGUGUUCAAGUAUUAGUUUCUGAUCCCAGGGAACUCGAGAAAAUUCGCCAAAGGUAGUCUGUCUAGCUUCUACCGUUCUAUGUAUUACCUUCCUAGUUCCACUAUCUUUCCUUUGAUAUAGCAAGAAUAAAUUUAUUAUAUAGCAUGUAAAAGUAUUCAACAGUAUCAGUCUGAUGAUAAAGCACGUAGAUUAUUCAAAGUAUUAAUCUAUAAGCUGGAAAUAUUAUGAUUAAUCAUUGUGGAAAUUUGAUCGUGCUCGAUUUGGGGCAGUUCUUCACCAUUGUCGUUUUGCAGGAUUAAGCAACAUGUAUGUAAUAUGUUUUUAACAAAUCAUCACUUUUUUCCUCUUUCAGAGAGGCUGAUAUGACUAAGGAACGCAUUGAGAAAUUACUGAAAGCUGGAGCCAAUGUUGUUCUGACUACUAAAGGAAUUGAUGACAUGGCACUUAAGGUUUGUUGCUAUUUUCCACUAGUACUUUUUCUAACGAUUUUUCUCUUUAAACAUGGGGAUUUAAUUGCAAUAUUUCAGGCAGUAUUUUUGUAUAGUAUCUUGGCUGCUUAGCCUUUUUUUUUGUUCUUGUGCUAUAUAGGCCCCACUCAUCUUGAUAUCUGAAAAUUACUAACCAACCUUAUCACUUCCUAUAAAAUUACUAACCAAUUCUGAUGAUAAGAACCUCAAUAUUCAAUUCACACUAUACUCUGAGAUCUAUGGAUCUGUAAGCAUGUACUUAUGAUUUUCUUCUUCCUGCAUUAAUAAGAUGUCAUGGGUCAUAUUGAUGGGGGUUAUGUCCUUUUUUAUAUUACCUGUUCUGUUUCUGACGACUUAUAUAAAGGACAACUCAUUUAACUAAGUGUUUAUGCCUCACUAUUUAAUCCUGGUUUCAGUAAUUUGUUGAGGCUGGUGCAAUUGCUGUGAGACGUGUGCGAAAAGAAGAUAUGCGUCAUGUUGCCAAAGCAACCGGUGAAACAUUGGUAUGCCUUUGUUUAAUUUAAAUCUAUUUAUUGAAACUGUGAGAUAAUCUAGUAAGUUUGGCAGUAAAUCAGAAUGUCUAUCACCAUGCACUUUUGAAAAUGCACUGUUUUCCGUUCCUCCCCUUUUCUUCUGCAGUUGAAUAAAAUAUUGGCUAUGUUGUGGACUAGAACUGCAAACCAUGUCUUUGUUUCCAUGCAUUAAGUAGAUAUUGAUGCUGAAUUCUUCCUACAUAAAAUGGUAGUCUUUUGAAAAGAUCGACACUUCUUGAAUUCUUUUUUUAAGCCUGAAUUCGGAUCACUGUAGCUUUUACUUUCAAGUCUAAAAUGAGUAAUGAAAAACAUAGAUAUUUGAUGUCUAUCAAGGGAGAUGUAAAAAACUCAUGAGAACUCGUUCUCUGUCUUACCAGGCCGAUUUGGCUAAGGGAUUUGUGUUCAUUUUAAUUUGUGAUUGCUUGAUGUAGGUCUCAACAUUUGCUGAUAUGGAAGGGGAGGAAACUUUUGAACCGUCAUUUCUUGGAACUGCAGAUGAGGUUGUUGAGGAGUGUAUAGCUGACGAUGCUGCAAUCAUGAUUAAAGGGACCAAAACUUCAAGUACAGUAAGUAAUUUGGGACCCCAGGAUUGGGUUGUUUUUUUUUUUUUUGUUUAAAAGUAUAAAAUUCAUCAAAACAGAAAAAGUACAGGAAUAUUUUUGUAUUUUUUACUAGUAAAAGUACACAAAUAUUGAGCAAGAAUCUUCUACAGACAAAUGGAUAGUUCUCAGAUACUAGGAUAUGUAUCCCUUCUGAACCUAAUAAAUUCAGGACACAUGUUCUUUAUUGCACGAGCAACCAAUUCAGAUUGUUAAGAUACACCAAAUUACUGAUGCAAUGAGCCAGUGAUGAAACUGAUAAAAUUUUAGAACACCAUCCUCUAAAAUAUUACAAUUUUUUUUUGUAGACUUUGUACCUGCUAAAGAAAAAUAAAAAUUCUGUCCAUAGUCUCCUCUGCUGGUUGAACCUACUUAUCCGGCUCUAAAUCCUUAUCAUCCUUUGUCUCCUUUUCUUCAUCCUUGGAGUUGGAAGCUUUUUUCUUUGAAGCUGCUGAUGAUCUUCGAGGAGUCUCCUAAAAUUCAAUAAUAAUUAAUAAUAUAAAUAACAAUAAAAUUCUGGAAACAUAUUUUUGUUUAUAAUUUGGACUAACCUCAGGAAAGACAUUUUUAACUGCAAUGAUAUCAUCUUCAUUCGUUUCUUUUGCGGACAUCAAUUUCCAAUUAAUUUGGUAAUUUGCUUCUUUACUUAUCUGCACUGCCCUAUUUGGGCAUACCACUGUUGUAAUGAAUCCCAAUUUUUGCACGUGCUCAAUCACAUUCUUAUACUUUUUAUCCUCGCCAAUGAAAACAAGAUGAUGAUCAUUUUGAACCACAAGUUUAUCUAUGACUUUUGAUGUUGCCCAAUACUUCAAGAUUUUCCAUGGUGCACCAACUUUUCUCUCUCCCCACAGUACCUUGUAUUGCCAGAGAAUAAUUGCUUUCAUUAUGUCGUAAUCAGUUUCAUCCUUACCAUGCGGUGUAGGAACAUAAUUGAUGCCAUGAGCCAUUUCAUGUGUCAUUCUAUCUGUAUUUGAGUAUAACGUAAUUGAGAGAUCCUCCUCUUCUAUUGACUCUAUGAUCUUAUUAUUUGUCUGAACUUUUUCCAAUCUCUUCUUAAACUGAUCUAGACCAAACCCCAUACCAAGGGAUAAAUUUUCAAAAUCCCAGAUUACAUUAAUUUGUGGGAUUUUCUGAUUUUUGUAUUUCGAAUGGGAGUUUAGUAAAAGAAAUGUGAACAAGUAGCUCAUUUGUUUUUGUUAUAUCCCUCUUUUUGCUAUCAAUCAGCUGGACCACAACAGAUCUCAGUAUUAUAUCAACAAUAUCUUCCAUAAGUUCCAAAUAUUUGUACAACGAAUCUGAUGUAAUCCUGAAAACAAUAAAUUGUAUUCAACUACGUUACUAAAAUUUAAUAUAUGGACGGUGUAAUAGUGUUGUUAAAUAGUGGCUUUAGCGGCGCUAUGCCGCUAUUCCGUAAAUUCUGCUACGGAAUAGCGGCAUAGCGCCGCUAAAGCCACUAUUUAACAACACUAUUACACCGUCCAUAUAUUAAAUUUUAGUAACGUAGUUGAAUACAAUUUAUUGUUUUCAGGAUUACAUCAGAUUCGUUGUACAAAUAUUUGGAACUUAUGGAAGAUAUUGUUGAUAUAAUACUGAGAUCUGUUGUGGUCCAGCUGGUUGAUAGCAAAAAGAGGGAUAUAACAAAAACAAAUGAGCUACUUGUUCACAUUUCUUUUACUAAACUCCCAUUCGAAAUACAAAAAUCAGAAAAUCCCACAAAUUAAUGUAUUCUGGGAUUUUGAAAAUUUAUCCCUUGGUAUGGGGUUUGGUCUAGAUCAGUUUAAGAAGAGAUUGGAAAAAGUUCAGACAAAUAAUAAGAUCAUAGAGUCAAUAGAAGAGGAGGAUCUCUCAAUUACGUUAUACUCAAAUACAGAUAGAAUGACACAUGAAAUGGCUCAUGGCAUCAAUUAUGUUCCUACACCGCAUGGUAAGGAUGAAACUGAUUACGACAUAAUGAAAGCAAUUAUUCUCUGGCAAUACAAGGUACUGUGGGGAGAGAGAAAAGUUGGUGCACCAUGGAAAAUCUUGAAGUAUUGGGCAACAUCAAAAGUCAUAGAUAAACUUGUGGUUCAAAAUGAUCAUCAUCUUGUUUUCAUUGGCGAGGAUAAAAAGUAUAAGAAUGUGAUUGAGCACGUGCAAAAAUUGGGAUUCAUUACAACAGUGGUAUGCCCAAAUAGGGCAGUGCAGAUAAGUAAAGAAGCAAAUUACCAAACAACUAUUAGUAUUAGUAUCUCUUAUUAUAAAAACUAGGGAGAAUUACAUUGACCUCCCCUGAGGUUUUGUUAAAUGUCACAUAUCUCCCCUCUAGUUUCAAAAAAUACAUAACCUCCCCUCAACUUAACCCUGUUAACCAUCUGUUAAGUUGAGAAAAAACUUAUCAAAAUAGCGAUACUAAGAAUUACCAAUUAAGCCUGUACAGCCAUUUAAUUUUAACAACAUUUAAUCUAAAUUCUUUAGGGAAUGGAUACAGGCAGUUUUGCGGUGGCAGUGUGUUCAUGUAGAUAAAUUUCUCUUCCUUUUUAUCUUUAAACUCAAGUAAUUAACUUCAAAUUUCACACAAAAAGAAAAUCAAACUUAAGGUUCGUUUUCCAAACCCACCAGAGGCUCCCAACCAAACCAAGUCUUGGUUACCACGAUAGUGAUUUAUCAAACAUAUAAUUAAAAUUGAACUGGCUUGUGGUUUAUCCUGUUCAUCUGCAAGUCCCCUUUUAAUAUGUUUUAAUAUUUUUUUUUUGUCUUUAAGCUUGUAUGCUUUAGAUGUAGGGUGAAGCUUUGUUUCAGAAAAUUUAGAGCAUCUUGCUAUGAAUAUGAUGGAGAGCUUAACUUCUUGUUGCCUUGCAUAUUCAAUUCAUUGGAGAACUUCUCUCAAGGGUUUAAUAAGCCAUUUGAGAGUGCCGUAGAUAACUCACCCGAUGAAGUAAGUUAUGGACCAAUCCCAUCUAUAUAAAACUUACACGAAAUUUUUGUUCCAAGUUAAGCUUCCUUGAUUUGGUAUGUUUAUUUUGUUGUUUUCUGUUUGUAAAUAGGCUUUACUGUUUGAGGAGGAGAAUAUCUUGAUCAUAAAUCGUCUGCACCAAGUUGAGACCAUUUAUAAAUUUUUAAAUUUUUCGGCCAGUGUAUUUUUAACCAAAAGAACACUUUCAUGAUGGUAGUCCCUAACCCAUUAGUUGCUUUCUCAGCAUUAAGGAUGGAUCUGUAUAAAGGAAAUAUUUAUUAAACAUAUAGUGUAUAUACAAAAAUAAUUGUGUAAAUAACUCAUAAGUUCCCUUUAGUGAAAAAAGAUGUAUCCAGUGUAAUUUGUAACAUUUCUACACUGUGCACCAACUCAUUAGUUUUUAAAUGUUGCUCUUCCACAGAAAUGGUCUUGACAACACGGUCCAGAAAAGGGACCGUGCGAUGGAAACCGACGGGCAAGGCUCUAUACUUGCCAAACCUUGACAUAAUCAGCACUGAUCUUUCUUCAACCAUUCUAACCCUGAUCUUUAGUUUAUCUAGCAAGGCUUCACGACACUGUCCUAAACUGGACUUUUUCACCUUUUUCCUUUUAUUAAUAUCAAAGUUCAUACCCCUUUGUUUUAGUUUAUACGCAAUAAUUGCUCUGCUGAACCCAAAAAAUUUCAUAGCUAUACAAAAUUUUUUCAGUGCUGAUUAUGUCAAGGUUUGACAAGUAUAGAGCCUUGCCCGUCGGUUUCCAUCACACGGUCCCUUUACUGGACCGUUUCCGUGGAAGAGCAACAUUUAAAAAUUGAUGAGUUGGUCCACAGUGUAGAAAUGUUACAAAUUACACCGGAUGCAUCUUUUUCACGAAAAACAACUGAUGAAUUAUUUACACAAUUAUAUACACUAUGUUUAAUAAAUAUUUCUUUUGUACAUGUCCAUAAUGCUGAGAAAGCAACUAAUGGGGUUAUGAAAUACCAUCAUGAAAGUAUUCUUUUAGUUAAAAAUGCCCUGCUGAAAAAUUUAAAAAUGUGCCGUAUGUGGAAGCAGCUCAGAGACAACAAUCGAUAAGCCAAGGCAUUCUGAAACCACUACAUUAACAAGUAUCAAAACUGUUUAGAUUUCCAUUUCCAUUUAUAUGGUUCAUUUAAUAAACUCCGUUUAAUGUCUACUUUUUUACAGAGAUCAAUGAAACAGCAUCUAGAAUACCAUGGGAAAAGGAGAUAGCUGAGAAUUACAAGCCUACAUUAACAAGUGAGUAACUCGUCAUCAUUAAUUAUUAAGGAGAAAUUAUAGUGCAUACAUGGUUCUUGAAGUUUUCUUAUAUUCUUUAUUUCUGAUCAUAAAUUUCCAACUAGUCAGAUACAUUUUAAAUCAAAAUCGUCAGUUAGAAAUCAUUUAAAUAUAUAAAAAUCAGAUAAAUAUUUUUAUGUCAGUUCAUGUGCAAAAAUAAGAUGAAGAUCGAUUAAUCCCAAAAGUCAGUACAAAGCUUUAAGUUAGUCAAUGAAAGUCAUACUUUCCAUCGUGUUGUUCCAGUUACAACAUAUGGCUUAAGGUUCAAAUGUUUCCAUUGACUAAAUACUAUCAAAAGCAGGGAAUGAUGAUGUGAUUUGGAUUGUAAAAUGGUUUUUAUUUGUUUGAUUGUUUUUUAAAAUGGUCUUGGUUUGUUUGACUGCUUUUGAUGUAGUAGUUGGAUUAGGGUUUUUUAGUGGCGGUUUUUGUUGUUCGAUUAAAGCAUUUUUUCUAACAUGCGUUGGGUGUUGGGCUGUUUCGAAUAAUUGAAUUUGGUGGUUUAUGUGCUGCUUGAAAGUAAAGGAAUGAAUUGCGGAGGAGGGGAGCUGGAAAAUUUAGGGUUUGAUUACUUUGAGAAAACUUUUUUUUUUUAUUUUCUAGAAUAUGUUUUUUUAUUUAGGGUCUGUUUACUCUGCGAAAAUAUGUCUUUGAUGAAACUCUAGUUAGGGAUGGUGCAUUAAAUGAUAGAGAAAAGAUGAAAUGCUAGUUAGGAGUUGGGAACGAUGGAAUUUCAAGGGCUAUUUAAUUGUAGGAAAUGAGUGAAGAAGGGAAUAGGGUUGAAAUUCAGAGUUUGCCUGAACUUAUGUGUUGGAAAUUUGUGUUUGUUUGUUACCAUAACUAUGAGCAUGUUUAUUGUUUUUGGCAUGAAGGAAUAAUACAUAUUGUAUUAUUCUGUUUCUAGAAGGAUUUGGCAUUGGCUUCCUAGUUGUCCUUUGCCUGUGAUUCGUAGCUGUGGUUUUAAGUGUUUUUUUUUUGUUCCAAAGUUGUAUGCUGAAGUUUGAAGACUGAAAAGAGUGAACGUUCCUUUGAGUUUCUUGUUUAAGGUUAUUGUGUAUAAGGGUUGGGAUUGUAUUGGGAAAUGAUUACCCAGAUUCAGUUUUGUAAUUUUUUUAAAUUUCCGUGACAAAUUUUGGAACUGGAUUUUGUCUAAGGAGACUGUUUGGCAGAUAUGCUUUCUGGUUUCAUUCAUGUGUGCAAGGUUUUCAAAAAGAAAAGGGAUCCUUAUUUUCACUUUUUGUACUCAUUUUGCUUGGUUUGAGUCUAACAAGUUAACACACACACGACAGAUGGGGUCGCUUACAAUUUGUGUCAGAGGCUUCUAUUAUUGAUUGUACUAUUCUUUUUUGGAUGGAUUCAAGUGUCCAAUCCAUCUAUGCUGAUACAAUGUUUUAUGAUUGGAAUUAUGUUUAAUAUCAAAAGUUUUUCAACGGUGCACACAUUAUUUCAAGAUUUGAAUUGACCAAUGCAGGGCGGAUGUAAAUUUGAAGGCUGUAUAUCUUUUGGGAGACUGGUGGAGGUGGGGUAUCGCAAGGUAUGUUCACUCUGCUUUUUAAUUUGGUUAAGUUGUUCUCGGAGCAGUCAAAUUAAAUUUAUAUUUUUUUGGCAGUGCACUUGGCUACAUCCCUCACUUUACGGUUUUAAGAUUUGGAUCAUUGAUGGACUGCAACAAAGAAGAGGCCUUAAGGGCCAAGGAAAUCGCGGAAAAGAAGAUAGAAAACAGGGAUUUUGUGGGGGCACGUAAGUUUGCUCUUAAGGCUCAGUCUCUGUAUCCUGUUUUGGAAAAUAUAGCUCAAAUGCUUGUUGUUUGUGACUUGCACUGCUCUGCUGAGCAGAAAAUAUUUGGUGAUGAGAUCAAUUGGUAUGGAGUUCUUCAUCUAUAAUGCACAGCUGGUGAUGCAAUGAUUAAGAAGCAGUUCCGAAAGUUUGCUCUUCAACUUCAUCCCGAUAAAAAGAAGUUUGCUGGUACAGAAGCUGCAUUUAAGCUGAUUGGAGAAGCUCAAAGACUGCUUUCAGACAGAGAAAAACGAACUAGGUAUGACAUGAAGCUUAAUGUGAACAAAACUGCUAUGCCGCCGCGUUCUAAUCAACCGAAGGUUCCUACAAAUUUCAAUUCUGCAAUGAAAAACAAUGUCAGGCCCAGUUUUACAAACUCGAAUACCCAGCAGCAGCAGAACGGUGUGCACCGUACUUUCUGGACUGCCUGCCCAUUUUGUUCCGUGAAGUAUGAGUACUACAGAGAAAUUUUGAAUAAAUCUCUUCGCUGUCAACAAUGCCAUGGGCUCUUCGUUGCAUGUAUUCUGGAUAUGCAUGGUACAUCACCAACAACUAACCCAAGUCAGCAAGCUUCCAAGGUGAAUGUUGGAUCUCAAGGUAACUCGCACGCUGAGAAGUCCAAUACAAAGCCUUUCAAGAAAAAAGUCCCUGUUGGUGUCUCUAGAAAGUCAGAUGUGAAGAGAAAGAGGAAUCAAGUGGAAGAAUUUAGUCAAAGCUCUGAUUCUACAAGCAGCAGUGAUUCUGAAGAUGAAAUAGUUGCUGGUAAGAAUGGUUUUCUAGGUGUAGGAGACCAUUCAACUGAGCAGCCACGUAGAUCUGUGCGACAGAAGCAUAAUGUUUCCUACAGUGUUAACAUGAAUGGCACUGACAAUGACUUAUUACAACCUUCAAAAACAGGUCAGGAGAAUGGAUCACAUUAUGGUGAUUGUCAAAGUCACGGGGAGACUGCUAAAACAAAUGAUUAGAAUGGUUUAGCAGCUGAUCCAAAAGAUGAACUUGAAAAGUUAAAACAGAAACAGGCGGAAAAGACAAGGGGAGGCGGAAAAGAAGCUGCGAAAGGGUCAAAGCAGAUGGAUAAAACUAUAGAGCAUUCUUCUCCAGGUUCAACCUCCAAGACAUCAAAUUGUCCGAAUGCUUAUGUUUAUCCUGAUGCAGAGUUCAGUGAUUUGACAAGGACAGAAAAAAAGAAUGUUUUGCACCUGGGCAGAUUUGGGCUAUCUAUGAUUCAAUAGAUGGCAUGCCUAGAUACUAUGCGUUAAUUAGAAAAGGGCUUUCUCCUGGAUUUCAGUUGCAGGCAACAUGGCUUGAACCACAUCCAGAUGACAAUGAUGAAAUCAAAUGGGUAGAUGAGGAAUUGCCUGUUGCUUGUGGCAAAUUUAAACUUUGUAACACUGAAACCAUCGAAGAUCAUCUGACGUUUUCUCAUCCGGUUAUGUUCAAAAGGAAUGGCCGCGAUACUUUUCAAGUGUAUCCUAGAAAAGGAGAAACUUGGGCUCUUUUCAAAAACUGGGAUAUCACAUGGUACAAGGAUGUGGAAUCUCAUAGGCAGUAUGAAUACGAGUUUGUUGAAAUCUUGUCAGAUUAUGUUGAAGGUGAGGGUGUAUAUGUUGCAUACUUAGGUAAGUUGAAAGGUAUUGUAAGCAUCUUCAUUCAAAUUAUGAAAGAAGAUAACCAGCCAUUUCAAAUUCCAUCUUUCAAAAUGACUGGUCAGGAAGGAGUAGGUGUUCAUUUAGGAUAUUCAGAAUUUGAUCCUGCAUCUUUACCAAUGAAUCUUGAAGAGAUUGCUGUUACUCAAAAUUUGGAUGUGAAGACUGGGCAUAGUUCAUGUGGCAGCAAGAAUGCAAGGACUUCAAAAAGAUCAAAACCCUCGAUGUCAGCUGAAGAUAUUGUAUCCAUUCUCAAGGUCAAAGUUGAAACAAGCAAUUUGACUGAGGUAAAGGAUUCUCUUGAUGAUAUGGAUGACUGCCAUGCGUCAGCUUCAACCCCAGAAGCUUUUGAAAUUCCAGAUGCUCAAUUCUUCAACUUUGAAACUGGGAGGUCCCUUGAUAAGUUCCAGGUUGGCCAAAUAUGGGCAUUUUACAGUGAUGAGGAUGGAAUGCCGAAAUACUAUGGUCAGAUUAAAAAAGUUGUCACUGGUCCUACUAUUGAAUUGCAUGUUGAAAGGCAACAGUUAACUACUGCUGAAGCGAGCGGUAGUUAACUACCACUGCAGCCGGCGGUAGUUAUCUGUUGCUGCACUCCACAACAGCUUUUUCCUUCCCGUUUCCCCCACAUUUGAUCAUGUUUAUACAUAAUAUUUUGAACACAUGUUUUUCACUCAUUUUCAUCCAAUUUCAAAUUCAUCAAUUCUAAAAACAUAUAAAAAGUAAAAUUAAUUUUAACAUGAUAAAAAUAAAACGCAAGAAAUAAUAUAAGGUACGAAAAUGUCGUAGAAAUAUCACAAGGUACAAAUCAUGUCAUAAUAAUACAUCACCACCGUCAAAGUCAAAAUGUACAUUAAAAAGCCUAAUGAUCAACCCUGAUGUCUACGAUGCUCAUGCCCCCUGCGCUGCAUGGCAAUCUGAUACAUAAGGGCAAGGCGACUAGUAUUAUUAAUCUGGGUUAAGACCUGCAGUAACUCCUCUCUACUCAGUUGGUCGCUCAUGGCCAACGCUCCAUCCGACAUCUGAACAUCUCACUGAUGAUCGUCAAUGUGUCCGACAUCUCUCUGACAUGCUCCUCCUCUAUAGGAUGCUCCCGUUGCCGACCUGGGAGGAGAUCCUUCAUCAUGUGGGAAAAUUUGAAGCCAUGCGUAUGGUCCCAUGCUCUCUCACACCUUUCUCCUUAAUCGCUAUAGAACCACAGACGGGGGUCUUUCAACACAGUAGCCAGCAUCUCCUUAGGAAUCUCAGGGACAUCUAACGGAUGUAUGGGGAUGUCCUGUACAAACCCAAACUGUCUCUUUAAGCCAAGGUAAAUGACGGCACACCAUCCCUUCCCGCGUAUCAGCCAUCCCGAGUAAGUGUUAAUAAGCUGAAAAGGGUGCACCGCUCGGUGAUCAUCAUAUGUAGACCACUUCAUGUCAUACACCUCUAAGCGAUCCAGCCGUGAGCGGUAAUGGUGCACAACUAUAUGCCCUCUGGUAGUAAGCCAUCUCCCCGCGCAUGAUCUCUCCGGCUUCCAACUCCUGUUAUGUUUCUUUGGGUACUGACUUGGCAAAUGCUUCAAAAUCUAUCCCUGCAAAAAAAAAAAAUACAAAAGAAAAAAUAUUCAAAUUAAAUCUUAAAUAAAUCUAACAAAAUGAUAACUUACUUGUUGACACAGUAAACUAUCAUCAAUUCCAAUAGCGUAUUUUUGUCUUCUUAUAUUGUGAUUUGUUGCAUCACGAUGUCUAUGGUGCACAACCCAAAUAGAUUGUGCACAAAACAUUUUUAUGUGCUGGAUAACAAAAUCACACCAUAUCUUUUAUGAGUCCGUCGCACUCGAUCUUCUAAUUUGAAAAUAAUUGGUUUGUUAUAAUUUGAAAACAACGAACAUUUAUAUUUUUAAUUUUAAUCAAAAUCAUUAAAAAAAAGUAUUGUUCAUAGUUUUCAAACGUUAGUCCAAUAAAAGAAGUGGAAAGUAUAGAGGAAUCAAUUCUGCAAAAUGGUGAAAAUAAGGGAAUUAAAACUGCAAGUAAGGCUUCUUUUUUUUAACACAAAAAACAUGUAAAUCCAAAAGAGCUGAAAAAAAGAUAAACAGAAACGCAAACGCCUUCACUCCCCUCACUGCAAUUCUGUGAAGCCCAGAUACGGAUACGAUACUGCACCGAUACGUCGAUACGGAAAAAUUUCAAAAAUCAAGAUACGAUACGGCUGGGAUACAUUAAUAAAAAAAUUAUAUAAUUAAAUGUACAAUAUAAUUAUAACCAUUUUUUUAAUAUGCAAAUAUAUAUUUUUUUUAACAAGCCAAAAUGGAAUUAUAUACGAAUAAGGGUAGUUCCCAACGCACAAGAUGUGCCUUAGAGACUACCACAAAAAUCAAGAGUUACAACGGUUACAAACCAAAACAAUAGAAAAACAUUAGCCAAUACCCAAACAAACAAGAGGGUUUGACCACCACUGCUGAGUCCCAAAAACAAAGGUAGCUUUUUUAGCUUUCAACCAACCUAGAGAUAGCAGCUUAAUCUUAUCUAGUAAACAAGGUAUGGGGUAACAACAUGAUUAAACAUCUGAUUAUUACGUUCAUUCCAAACAACCCAGGCACAAAGAAGCCAUAUAAGUUGCAUAAAAGAACGUCCAGCAACACCACCACCUAUCAAAUGAGUGAACUGUAAAAAAUGAUCUGAAAUAUUAUCUGUGUCCACCCCAAAGCAACCGAUCCAGUCACGCACCAAAUGCCACAGAGAACCAAAAGUAUCACACAAUAAAAAUAGAUGUCGAGCCGAUUCAGGAUGACCACAAUCAGCAACACACGAAGACAUAUCAGGCGACAACACCCGUCUAGCAAUCAAAUUUGUCCUUGUUGGUAAACGAUCACGGAUGAGCCUCCACGCAAAAACGGAAACCUUUAAGGGAACCUGUUUGUGCCACACCAAAUCCAAAUCAUAGUCGGCGACCGGAGGAACCUGAGAGAUUAACAAACUAUAUGCACCUCGAACUGUGUAUCCACCAGAGGGGUCCGGAAGCCACACCCAGCUAUCUGAAACAUUAGGAUUCAAGGAAACAUCAAGAAGUAAAGCCCUACACUCAUCUAAAGACAACUCUGCUAACUCAAUUCCAACACCAUCAAGCGGUUCAUGCGGAUCUCCACCAAUGUCCCACAUUCUCGAUUGUCCUUUCUUAUAUCCAUCUUCUUUCCUUGACAAGAUUCGAAGAUUAGUAUGCACAUAAACCAAAUCUUCUACCCUUUUUCGAUCCAUUUUGUUUCUUUUCAAAGAAUGGAUAAAAGAGAAAGUACCCCAAUUUCUCUCACAACAUGAGGAAGAACAAGGUUGCACAAGAAGCUUUACACCAUAAUUUCUCGACGGUGGCCAAAGUGUGGUGUGGUGUGGGUCGUACUAGCACCAAAAUAAGAUAAAGGAAAUGUAUAUAUAUUAUAGUAAUAUAAUAUUUUUAUUCUUAUUUUUUACAAAAAAAAAAAAAAAACAAAAAUCAAAAUAAUAUAAAGAACACAAGUAUCCGUGCGUAUCGAGACGUAUCGGAUAAUCAUUUUUUAAAAAAUAAAAUUUCAUAUUUGGAUACUCUCCGGAUACGUAUCGGGAAGUAUCGGGCAGGUAUCGGUGCAGGAUACGCAGGGGAUACGGUACGUCAUCCAUUUUGAAGUAUCGGGGCUUCACAACUGCAAUUUCAUCUGCCCUUGCCCAUGGCCACUUCUGUCAUUGAAUCCGACAACUGUCGAAUCUGAAACCUCCGCCCAAUCUGAACAAGACUCGCAACUUCGCCGCCGCCAAUCACCCUCAUCGCCUAUAUAUUCGUUCCAUAUUUUGCUAUUUUCCUUUCUCCUAGACAAUGUUUCCUCUUUUUCUACCUUCUCGUCUUUCUCGCAAGGUUUUUACUAGGUUUAAAGGGUGUGGGUUCUCAUCAUCAUCUUCUCCUCCCCAGUGAAAUCCCUCAUAUGAAUCUGAGUACUUUAAAAAAAAAUCUGAUGAAUUUGCCAUUAUUUUUGCUAACCCAAAAUCCCUAAAAAAAAUUAACAGGACAGGAUUUUGAUCCCACUGCCCUCCUAAAAACUUGAACCAAACAAUUAUAAUUUAAAGGGUUAAUAAUGUUUUACCCCCUGUAAUAUAGGUCAUUUUCGGUUUUACCCUCUGUAAAAUAUUUUUUUUGGAUUUAGUCCGUGUAAUUUGAAGAUUUUUGGUUUUGGACCUUCAUGAAUUUUGACUGUACAAAAUCGAAGAUAUGACAGGGGAUAAACCGAAAUUUGCUCAAAUUAACAGGGGGAAAAACUGAAAUUUUCUCAAAUUACAAGGGGGGUAAACCUAAAUUUACUCAAAUUACAGGGAUAAAAUUUUUCUUGAAGGUCCAAAACCAAAAAAUCUUCAAAUUACAAGGAUGAAAUUCAAAAAAUAUAUUUUACAGGAGGAAAACCGAAAAUGACUUAUAUUACAGGGGGUAAAACACUAUUAACCCUAAUUUAAAAUAUUUGAUCCCAUAACUGUUUUGGGGUGGUUUAGGGAAGAAGAGAGUAUUAUCUAAUUAAACGUGGCAUAAGUUUGUGUAAAUAAGUUUUUUACAUUGUCAAUACAUAGAAAUUAAAUUGAACACUGAAUAUCACUUGUCCAUUAGAAAAUACUAUAAACUGACAAGUCUAAGUUACUCUAGAAACAUCAACACAUUUGCGUCAAGAAAAAAAGAAACAUCAACACACAAUUCACAGCAUAUGUACCAUCUUUGGCCCGAAUUUCUGCAUGCUCAAUAAAUGUACAAGAAUACAUACGGAGACAAUCUAAAUAAACCAUCCAUUUUUUGACUUCAACUUAACAUCAUAUGCACAUGCCAGGACAAUUCUUGGAGAGUUUCCUCCUGCUUGCAAGUCUCCGUUUCGCAGCCAACGUUUUAGUGUCUAUGCGCUUUAAGUUGAGAUCCUGCAUGUUCGUCGUGUAAAACAAAGUUACUGAUUAUUAUUAUUACUAUUAUUAUUAUUAAACAAGGUGUGAGUGUGAUUUUGACCACAAAAAAAAAACAAGGUGUGAUUUUCUAUAAGAUGGGAGACAACAGACAUACCUUCAAAUAUUUAUUUGACCGUUCAUAAUCUUUCAAUUCCAUCAGGCACGAUGCAUUGCCCAGAUUACAAGAAAACCUCAAGCCUACAAUUUCCUUAUCCUCAUCGGGAAAGGAAGUAUCAUACUUUAUAAACUUCAGAGCCUGCAUUACGGUUUCAGUUUCAGAAAAGAUACCUGAUAGAACCCGCAGAAUGAACAAGGUAAUUUUGUAUAUUACGAUCAAAUGAUAAAUAUGAGCGUAGAGGCUAUACAAGGGUGGAAUAACAGAAUGAGAGAUAAACCAGAGUCAAAGACUCCUAAAGAGAGCACUAUGCUCAUAACUAGCGAAGCUCUAGUAACCAACUCUAAUAAUACAUCAGAAUGCCUUCUCCACUAUCCAUCCCCUCUCUUUUAUCUCCGUACUCACAUGAGAUUGGUGCACAAGUCACUAACCUAUGAAGCACGGACACCUCUAGGAUUACGCAUGUCGCGGUCUCCGACACGCCUAUGACACUCAUACAACACGUGUCAGACAAGUGUACUAAAUAAAUGGUUUUCUUCUUUAUUUUGACACUCCUUGGACUGGUGUCCAACACCUAUAUAAAACUUAUACUCCCUCCGUCCCAUUAUAAAUAAGCUUUUUGUUCAUUUCACAACUAUUAAGAAAAGGUGAAUAAGUGAAAGAAAGAGAAAAAUGGUUCAGUGUUUUGUCAUUUAUUGAUACAUUCUUCCUUAUCAUAAAUGCAAAGUAGAAUAUAUUGAAUUUAGAGGAAUGAAAGUAGUAUUAAUUAGAGUUAUAAUUGGUAAAAAAUAAUUCAUAUUGUAUUGAAAAGUGAAACGGGUAAAGUUUUUCUGAACAAUAUUUUUUUGCAAAUGGCUCGCUUAUUAUGGGACGGAGGGAGUAUGAGGCAUGUUAGACAACUCAAACAAAUGUCUGAUUUUUUUUCUAUGCUUCCACACAUAGUAUAUUCAAGAGUUGAAGACGUGAGGAAAAUGUUGAUCAACGAAGGGCUAUAAAGUUGAUUACAACGUGUUUAAAUUUUUCAAUAGUAGAUGGAUAAAUAAAGGCCAAAUACUAUUGUAUCUUGUUAUAAACCUUUUUUUAAUGAACUAAAUUGCUCAAGUUAGAUACAUAUGUGAUUCUCAAUUAAGAUCUUUCAUAAAUAGAUUAGUAUACAGGUGGCAGUGUCGGUGUCCUAUGUUUUUUUUUUACAUUAGCGGUGUCGACGUGUCUUUGUUGGUGUUUUGUCAGAUAUCCGUGUCGGAGUCGCUAACUAACUUAUUAUCUCACUAGCCCCACCUUCCGUCCCCUCAUCCACUCCUAGAUGUUGGGCUAUGCAGAUUUAUCCUAAUGCUUACCUCAUCAUGUGAACCAUGGGAUUAAGUGCCCUAUCACAUUGUAGUGGAUGAUGGUGAAAUAUAUUAAUGUAACCUGGUUACCUUCUGAAAUCUUUUAGAAGCUCUUGCAUAUUCAGCAGCAUAAACUAAUGCUACACCUUCUUGUCGCUUCUCAAGAGCAGCUUCUAUCUUCUCUUCGGUGUUCAUGUCCGAUACCUCCUUAGCCUAAAGUAAACAAUGAACCAAGGUAUAAAUGCAUAAAGAAAGUUGCAAUGGUAUCCAACCAAUAAUUAUUUGAGAGACAGAAGUCAAGGAAAAAAAUACAUCGUUCUUACUUAAAUCCUGCUAACCAUUGUCCUAAAAACACUUUUAUUUAUUUAUUGAAAAGUGUAAAGUUUAACACAGCUAUAACCAAUGCUACAUUAUUUCUAAGGAACCUUAACCAUAAGAGCCCUGUAAACACAGUUAAGCAUUUGGUUUUUUUUUUUUUUUUUGGGACCGGAGUUCAAACCCCGGUCACGGCGUCCGGCCUAGCAAUUUGGGCAUUCUUGCUAAACCAGGAAGAUGGCAACGAAACAACUAUCAUAUUUAUGUCAAGAAAUUUAAUUUAGGUUUGACAAUAGAUACAGAUUAUAAAUAAUGAACACAGAAAUGAAAAGAAAAAAAUACCAGACUUGGCAAUUGAAGUAAGUAGAAUAAAAAUAAAAGGCAGAUCCCUGCUUUGUUAAACAACAUCUGCUAGUGUUCCUUUUCAAUAAUAGAAUUUUAAAAAACAACAAUGAAAUAUGUCACAAUGCACAAUUACUAAUUAUCAUCAAGUUAUUUAUAUACCUUUACGAAUGAUACUAGCUCAACCUCAUAAUACACGGUUGAAUUAGGAGGAACCACUGCCAAUUCCUGCUGAGACUCUGAUGAACCAAAAGCAUAUUCAGGCGCAAUAGUCAACAAAGCUACCUCAUCCUUCUUCAUGGUCAGUACAGCUCUAUCAAGCCCAUCAAUCACUUGCUCUGCUCAAUACAAAAAGCAUUCACUUUAGUUGAUAUAAAAACAAAUUAUGGUGAGAGGGUGAAACAUGGGGAAAAUUAAAAUUACCCUCGUCUGUUUUAAAUUCAAACAGCUCCACUUCAUCACCAUCACUAUAUCCCUUCUUAAAAAAUACAGUGCCAUCUUGCAGCUUACCAAUUAGUUUCACUACAAAAAUGCAAAAUGAGGAUAUAUCACAUCAGAACCCAUGCACUAAAUCCAUUAAAAAAAAAAGAGAGAGAAAGCCAUCAUAUAAUAAUAUAUUAGCAUGAAUCAAUGGUUUACAUUUCACAAGAGCUCCCUCAUUUGGACAGUCGUCUCCUUCUCCUUCCUUGAGGACCAUCUUACGAAAAGGUCAUUCCUUCCAAGAAACAAACUCGAGAAUAAUCUGCAAUGUUGCGUUAGGUGGAACUGAACCUUCAUCAUGGUGAGCUGGCUUGCCCUUGUCACCAAAUCCAUCUAUAACAGAAUAUGAAGAUUACUAGUUAUAUUCCGUUCUUAAAGAGUAGUGAUACUUGUUUUGCAAAACUUGUUUAGUUAAUUUGUAGACUACUUACAUUGUGGCUUAACAGUUAAAAUGACUUUUUCUCCGAUCUUCAUGGUCUUAAUAGCGAUUGACAAUGCAGGACAAAAAUGACCUAUGAGAUGGUGUAAAACAAUGUAAGAGCGACCCGGAAAAGGAAAAUACAAGAGAGUAGUAUGUAUAAUAAAAGUUGUAGGCAGUGAAAGAACGACUAACUGACCAUCGUUGAGUGUGAACUCCACUCCAUAAUCAUCAGAUUUUUUAACAAGAGUUCCAUCAUCAAGACGUGCUUCAUACUUAACUGCAAAGCAAUAACACCAAUUAAGAUCUGGAGAAUGAGAAAAUAAAAAUUGAAAUAUGAUCAUGAAUGUAUUUAUUUAUACCUAAAACAUAAUCAUCAACAUGUUGAUAUUUGUCAUCCCCGGGCUUGAGUAUCUUUUUUACCAAACCUCCAUCCUUACAAAUAUCCUCCGGCUCCGUCAACACAAGAAAAGAAAUACCGGAAGAAGUACUUCCAAUCAUCUCAUUGUAUUUGCGAAUUGGAUUAGUGUAUUCAACUUUCUUCUUGAAAUUGCUGAGUGGCAUGAUAUAUCUAGCUGGCCAAAUGAAUGGUAACAAUAUGAAUCUCAACUUAACAAGAAAAAUUCAAUAAAAAAAAACCUUAACCUAAUUAAUUGUAUUUGAGAAUAGAAUAGUAUUACCAUCAUAUUCUUCAGCAGAAGGAGCAGCAGCUUUCUUCUUGUAUUGAAUCAAAUCCCAUUGUGUGAUGUGUGUCCCUAUAAAUUCAAUAAUUUAAAUCAAUUUAAAAUAAUACAAUCAAUCAUAACGUUUGUUUGUUUAAUAAACUCACUCACUUUUUCCAUACGUAGAUUCAUCAAAUUGAUUGUUAGCGACGCCGCCAUACAUUUCCAAAUCAAUCUUCUUAUACCAAAUCCUGGAAAAUUAAAAAGAAAAAAAAAACCUAAAUAAUUCUGGAAUGUUAACCUGUUGAGUCGAAAUAAAACGUAAAACCAUUGGCAUGAGCUUAAACCUCCAAAAUCAUUAAUACAGCUAUGAAAUACAAUCCCACUAGGUUUUUGUACCUCAAAUUUAAGGAACUUACUUGAUAUUGAAGAAUAUGAGAAAAACUCUUAUUUCACAAAAUUCUGUUGUUCUUCUAAUCAAAAGCACGUUUUCGUGUACGGGAACUCUAGAAAACAAGGUUUCUUUGGUUUUUCAACCGGUAUUUAUAAAGAGCAAGAGAAUUGUUGUUCCUGCGUGUUGUUUGGCUGUGUCACACGAGUAAAAUACCAAAAUGCCCUUCGGCAGUUUGCCACCGAAGUUUUUAGUAAACCGACGACAGUUAACUGCCAAGGCCGUUCCUAGCGUUUUAAGGGUCUUAGGCAUAGUUUGAAAAAAAUGGGCCCUUGCAUAAUAUAUCAUAAACUUUUUUAGUUUUUUGUUAUGAUUUUACUAACACUUAAUUUUUUUUCUUCGCUUUUCACUAUAAGAUAAAAGGUUUUCUAGGCAACAUCUUCAAAUAAAUCAAAUACUCCAUAGAAACCAAAACUAAACAAAAUACCAUAGGAUUAGAGAACAAUUGCUUCUGCGAAAUAAACUGAAAUUUUAGCACUUAAAUAGUAGACACUGAAUUUUUGACAUCUAAUGAUAGUAAAACCAAAAAAAUAGAGGUAUAUAUAUCAACACGUCAUUAAUUAAAUUUUAGACAUUUGGAUACAAAAUUCUCCAAUAUUAAACUCAUAACAACAAUAAUACUUGAUAAAAAAAAAAAAUCACUGUUAGAAUUUUUAGAGAAAUCUAAGAUACAAUAACUCAUUUGUAAUUGUAUACUACAAAUAAAUCACUCUUCUUUUUAUAUGCUACAAGUACCAAGUUUAUAUUACUAUAUUGAUAUAAUUAAUUUAUUUUGGAUACUUUAAAGGCAAGAUUAAGAUUAAUUUUUCUAGUAGGCCCAUUUUCUACUAAAAUAUUAUUUGUUUUGUUAUGAAGAUUCUCCCAAUUUUCUGGAUAAUAAAUAUCACAUAUAUUUUUAAUAUUAGUAAGAUACAUUAUUAGAAACAAAGGGCCCCAAAAAAUAUAAAAAUGUUAUUGGCACAUUAUUAGAAACAAAGGGCCAAUUUUUUUUGGGAGGGUGAAUAUAGAAAUACUUGUUUUAUAUGGUGUAUAUAUAACAAAUUGCAUCAAAAAGGCCAAAAUAAUAACAGCCCAACUUUUUGUUAAUGUUUCGGGCCUGUUGGUAUAUUUUACUAACUACCGUUCGCGAGAUAGUUAAUUGUCAUUCAUCACUUUUUAAAUUGGUUAAAUCAAUCUGGUCACACAUGCUCCUUCUAUGAAUGGGGUCAUGAACCUAUUUUGUGUUGACAUUGAUAGUGUCAUGUGGCGGAUUUGUUUAGGGAUUUGUUGAGUAAGGGUUACUAUCGUAGUCUUCCUCUUGUUUGACUAAGGUUGGGUGUUUGUAUUUGGUGGUUAGUUGGUUUUUUAUUCCAGUGUUGUUUUAAUUUUUUGUUAUCGUUAUACAGGGAUCAUUUUGUUUUGUUUUGGAUUGACUUGCAUACUUCUUGUACUUAUAUAUUUGUAUAUGUCUAUGGUUUUGUAUCUAUCUAUGCUCUUUUAGGAGUUUCCUCCUUUUUAAUAUAUAUAGCUUUAAAAAAAAGGAGCUUCUACGGUACACCUCAUAAAUUGAGGUGUACCGAUACUCUGUUUCAUAAAUUUAUAAGUUAAUGAUCAUUUUUUGAAAUAAGUUGUUAUUUAUCAUUAUUUAUAUUUUAGAAAACACCAUCUCAUGAGAAAAAAAACAUCAUUUCAUUGUUUAUAUGAAUUAUAUUAAAUUUUUAACAUUUUCUCAUAAAAAAAAUCAAUAUUCUUCAUUAUGAGCAAUAAAAAUUCAAAAAAGUAAAUUUUAUUUCAUCGACGCUUUUGGUAAAUAAGAUUUAAUUAUUAUAAUUGUCAAUGAUAGAAAAUAAUUAUUUUUUCUUCAAAAAACAAUCAAUUUAAUUAUUAAUUUAAUGUUUGGUGUACCGGUACACUCAAAAUGUUGAGUGUACCAUAGAAUUUGCCUAAAAAAAAUUACAUUUUAAAUAAAAGCCAAUGGUUAUUUCAUUCAUAUCUUGCUAAGAAAAAUGUUUUGUAAUAAGGCCUGUCAACAAAACAUGUACUCGUUCAUACCUACUCAAAUUUGAUGGAUUUUUUUUCGUUUUGAUUGGAUUUGAAUAUGAGUUUUCCCCGAUUUCAAAAUACGGGUAUGUGGCGUGUGGCGGGAUAUAAGUAUCCACCGUGAACUUGUCCAGAAUGUUCAAAAUUACUUUAUGUUGGCUACAUGUUGAUGUGCAAGAUGAAAGCCUCUAAGUGUCAUCCCUACUUUUGAGAUGUUUUUAAACUUUUAAUCAUCGUGAACAUGUUAUAAGGUUACCUUCUCUGAUUUGAAUUGAUAAAUACACAUGGUGUUGGGUGUUUUCUUACCCAAACGUAUUAGAUCAAUGGAAAAAUGGUGGAAAACAAUUUUUGGUUGUAGGUUUGGGUUUGAGUUUGGGUCAAGGGUUUGGGGAAAAUUCUAGGUUCACAACGGGUUCAGGUUUAAGCCUCGAAAAACUUUUUGAUUAUAAAAUGAUGAUUUGAUUAAGGGAUGGGAUAGAGACGUGGUUCAAUUUUUCAUCCCCAUUAAAGAUCGGGUAGGGUGACAUAUAAUUAAUGAGAUCUGGGGACGAGAAUAAGAAAGGUAAAACUAGUCUCCGUCCCACCGGGGAUUGUAAUGCAAUUAUUAUUGUGUCACUAACAAAUGUUUGUGAGAGAAAUUAUUGUGGUAGAAGAAAAAAAUAUGGCAAAUGAAUUAACUUGAAUGUCAUUAUACUAACAACCCCCACUAAGUGAAAACUGAAGGCAAGGAAAGAUUUUGUGUUGAUGUCACAAGAAUUAAAUUAACACGCAGUAAAGUGGGGCAAACAUGAAUAAGUGAAUUUCUCUUGAUCUAAAUAAAUUUAUAUUCUAAGUAAUACAUGGAAAAAACUUAGAAACACCUCAUACUUUAAAUACCGUUUAUUAUUGUUCACCUAUGAAGCACUACUAUACUUGAUCAAUUUAGUCCACGACAAUAACUUGAAUUUUAAUAAAAUUAAUAAAACUCAUACAUUUUCUGCAAACAUGGUCGAGCAGUUGGAUUGGAAGAAGAAGAGCACACCAGUGAAACAAGAGAAGUUGGAUGACCCUGUCACUAUCAUGGUAAUAUAAAAAAUGAAAUUAAACAAGAAAAUUCAGAACAAACAUUUAUAACUGUAAAAAGAAAGUGUUGAACAUCUUUGGCCCAUAUUUCUACAAGUUAAGAAAAUGUAGAAGAUUACAUAAGGAGAGAAACAAAAUAAAAAUCAUAUUUGACUUCAACUUGACAUCAUAUGAACCGUCUAGAACCACUGGCAGUGUAUUGUCCAGAAGUAAAACUAUACUACAUAAUCCAAUAAUAGAUACCCCCUUCUGCGUGAAGAAUGCCCCCGUAGUACUCCUGCGGCCGCUGCUUAACCACUCAAUAAGUGUAUCUGUUCCAAACAUUUGUGCCCUCCUUAAGCUCCUGGAUCUGCUUGUUCAUAUAAAACUUGGUUAUUGAUUAUUCGUACGCAAGAGAUAUAUAUGAUUUUCUAUAAGAUGGGAGACGACAGCCAUACCUUAAACCAAUUAGCUGCAUGUUCAAAACCUUCCCAUACCGUCUUGCACUUAUCAAAGUCCCUAGUGAAAUUAGACCUCAAGAUCUUAACAAUUUUGAACUCCUCAUGAUAGAACACACAAAACGAACAUGGUAAUUUUGUAUAUUAACAAAUGAUAAAGACGAGCACAGAGGCUCUACAACGGUGGAAUAACAAUGUAACCUCGGUUACCUUCAUAAAUCUUUUAGAAGCUCGUACAUCUUCCCCAGCAGCAAGCAAUGCCAACCCUUGUUUAUGCUUCUUACGAACAGCUUCUAUUUUCUCUUCAUUGUUCAUGUCCUCGAAAUCCUUUUCCUAAAGCAAAAAUUGAACCAACGUAUAAAUGCAUAAAGAAAGUCGCAAUGGUAUCCAACAAGUACAUAUAUUUUGAUAGACGGAAGUCAGAAAACAGAAUGAGGAUAAAAAAAAAACAUAGAUUUUUUUUUAAAAAGGUUCAUUGGAAAGUGUAACCUUUAACUAUGCUAUCCAAUUGAAAAGAAAAGGAAAAAAAAAAAAAAAAAUCAGCUUUGUAAAUUAACUAUAACAAACUAAGACGAUUGCAAAAGCAAGGAUCUUAUUUAUGUCAAGAAUUUCAAUUUAGGUUAGACAAUCUUGUUAAAUAAUAUAAUUUUAAUAAUCAACAUUGAAUCAAGUUAUUUAUUUACCUUUACAAAUGAUGCUAGCUCGACCUCAUAACACAAGGUUGAAUUAGGAGGAACCACUGCCAAUUCCUGCCGAGACUCUGAUGAACCAAAAGCAUAUUGUGGCGGAAUAGUCAACAAACAGAAACGCAAACGUCUUCUCCCCCCUAACUGCAAUUUCAUCUCCCCUUUGCCCAUGGCCGCUUGAAUCCGACAAGCUGUCAUCGAAUCUGAAACCGCCGCCCAAUCCGAACAAGACUAACAACUUCGCUGCCGCCAAUCACCCUCUCUGCCUAGAUAUUCGUUCCAUAUUGCUAUUUUCCUUUCUCCUCGACAAUGUUUCCUCUUUUUCUACCUUCUCGUCUUUCUCGCAAGGUUUUUACUAGGUUUAAAGGGCGUGGGUUCUCAUCAUCAUCUUCUUCUUCUCCUCCCGAGGUUUCAGUAUGGUGGCACCUUGACAGCUGUCCCGUGCCCUCAGGGUUUAGCUUUUCCAAGGUAGCACCUUCAAUUACGGCAGCCGUUAGAGCUAACGGAAUUAUGGGUACAAUUCAUAUUCACGCUUAUGGUGAUGUCGACAAAGAGGCUUUUAAUUCAACCAACAUUACUCUACACUCCUUUUCCGACGAUUACCCUUUUGGCAUUCACAAAAGAUAUAAGGGUUCGUUCCUUUCUCUCUCUCUCUCUCUUUUGUUUUGAUUUUUGUGUUAAUACUUCAUUUUCUUUGUAAAAUUUUAGUUGUCAUAUAGAUAACACAACUCUUUCAAAUAAUAAAUAACAACUAUAUUGUUGCAGAUACAAAGAACAAUACCUAUAAGCAUUUUCUUAUGGAUCUCAAUGACUGGGUUUCCACAAAUCCUCCACCACUACACCUGUUUUUGAUAUUUGGUAAUAGAGACUUUUCUAGCAGUGGCAUAUUGCACCGGUUAAGAAUGUGCAACUACAAUAUCUUGCUUGCAUGUCCCGGAAGGGCUUAUGUUGCUGCUCUCUGCCAUGCAGCAACUAUAAUGUGGGAGUGGUCUUCCAUGCUCAAGGGGGAUGACCUUACAGGAAAACAUUUCAACUAUCCUCCUGAUGGUCCCACUUAUUCAUGGUAUGAAAACUCAAAUGUGCCUCUUGAAAACCCCUUCUCAGUUGUUGAGUUACACACAUCUUCACAAAAUUCGGAGGAGGAGAUAUACAAACCUACCUUGGACAUAAAGUUAAGUCAAGCUUCAAAAUCAUUUUCUAGCCAGGUUAUGAAAAUAUUGUGUUCGCAUCCAAAUGGGAUCUCCAUAGGAGAUCUUCGUGCAGAGUUGACAAACUGUGAUAUGCCUUUGGUUAAACGUUUCUAUGGAAAUAAAAAGUUUUCCAACUUCCUAAUAUCUAUGUCAUAUGUACAACUCCAGUAUUUAGGAGGAGAUAAUUUUUGGGUUUGUUUGGUCCCAUCAACGACAUCUGCUGUUAAGAAUAACCAGAACGAUGGUGCCGCAACUCAAAAGUUGCCCAAUGACGGUAAAAAUAUGGAUAGAAGUGCAGACGGGGUUCCCAAAAUAUCCUCAUCGUGUGUUAACAGCGAGGGUGAUGAUUUAAAAUCAUUCCAAUCUAUCCCUUCACAAGGAAAACCUCUCGGGGAAUACGCUGAUGGUAAAUCAUCAACUCCUUUGUUCAUGGACAGUAUUGUGCAUCAGCCUCCAAAUGAGUUGCAGAAAAAAUCUUUGGAGUUGGAUGUGGCCUGUGCACCAUUGCCGCAGAUUCAACUUCUUCCAAAUGACAACAAUAUUUCCAAAAAAUCUGACAAUGACGUUGUUAAGUCUGAUGAUGGAAAUCCUGAAAUCCUUGAAAAAAUAAUCCCUUCACAGAAUCCGUCUACUUCUAAUGAUUGCACCAUAUUGGAAAACAACCAUGAGAUUCCAACUAGAAAGGAGGUUGAUGAAGUUUGUCGUAGCCCAUUUACUUCAACUUUCUGUAGUUGGAUUAGUAGUUGGUGGACAUUUUGGAAAAGCAAUGCUAAGUCCGAAAUAGACCAUAGUGCUAGUCAUUUUGAAGAGCCCAAGUCAUCAGAACUGCAACAGGAUCUUAGUCAUCCUCUGCAACCUCAUUGGGAUAACUUUAAAUUUAGGGUUGCAGUAUGGUGGGACUUUGACAGCUGUGGCGUCCCCUCCGGCAUUAGCUUUUUGAAUGUAGCACCUUCAAUUAUGGGAGUUCUUAGAGCCAACGGGAUUAAGGGCCCAAUUCAUAUUGACGCUUAUGGGACAAGAAGCAUUUUUCCAAUCUGGCAUUGUUCUCCACCACAUUCCAGGUUCUUUUUUCUUACCUUAUAUCUAAAACUAUUACCAUCUUCAUUUUCAGUUCUAUUGUUUUUCUUUCUUUACCAGAAAUUAAGGGGUGUAUUGGUUUUGGAUUUUAUAGGACUGUUUUAUUAGGAAAAAAGUCCAAUAGAUUUUAAAAGACUUUGGAGAAAUUUCCCGAGUUUAAUGAUUCCGCCGAGCUUUCAAAACAUUUUUGUUUCGAUUUUACAGGCGUAAAAAGAUUAUUAUGGCAUAACCCAAUUACAUCAAAAGAAACUUCAUCAAAAAAAAUUAAGAGAAAACUUAUUAAGAUUAUUAUUGCAAUAGGAUUUUACUUCUUUUUUUUUUUAUUUAUAUUUUUUAUGUGAUCUCCUUAUACUUUUUGUUUUUCAGUUUUUGUUAUCAUUGAUCAUUAUCUCUAUAUGAUUACAAUACCAAGGGUAAAAAUAAUGAGAGCACCUAACAAAGUUUGCUGAUAGCGAGAUUAAGAAAUUGAGAGCAGAGUCAAGAGUUGUAAAAGAGCAGUUGCUGAUCACAUUUUUUGCAAUACAUAGGAUAGGAGUUAUAAUGAUGGAUAAACUUUGAGUAUAAAAAGGAAGAGAGAGAUAGAAAUACUCACUUGAAGAGGUCUACAAGCAGGGAAUGAUAGAGUUUAAAAGUCCCAUGAGUUUAGGUGGGAUUGUUUGCUGGGUGUAGUGUUUAUAGAUUGUACUUGUUGAAUAAGAGAAAAAAGAGAGACAUAUGCUAAAAACUAUGUCUGAAUAACACUACGGAAGGUCUAUUAUAUAGGAGAUUACAAAAGGAAUAUUCUACGUAAUAUUUUAUCCUAAAGUAAGCUAGAAUAUAUUUACAAUGUAAAUACAAUUGUUUACUAUUUAAUUAAAUAUUAACGGUACUAAAAAGUCUUAUACAAAAUCUAUUUAGUAAAGUAAUUCCUCAAAAUCUGUGUUUUCUUUCUUUCUUUCUUUCUAAUACCGACGGAUUCUAUUUUAAGUUGUAAAAAGUCUCGAAUACAAUUGAGUUUUGUGAAACUCUCUUUAAAAAAUCUUGAAAAUCCAAAUUGAAUAUCAUAAGAUUUUUUAUAUUAUAUAAAAGUCCUGAUUAAAUACCGCAAGAUUAUUUUGUCCAAAAAAGUUUUUUAAAACUCCAUUCUAAUACACCCAUAUCAAGAAUCAAUUUUUGAAAUGUUGAACAUUGCUCUUUAGUUAUCACAAUUAGAUAGACGACUCUUUUGUAUUUUGAAUGUAGUGUCCUUGUUUGUUAUGGAGCUUGGUUCUUAUGGUUUGAGAUGGAUGUGCAGCUAACAAAUCAGUUUUAGAAUCUUGUCCAUACCGACGACUUGCUGAAAUGUAUCAUUCAAUCUUAUCUACUUUAUCUUUUAAAAUAAUAAUGACCUUUAACUACUCUGUUACAGGUGGAAAGAACAAGAGCAAAUGCUUUGCGGAUUGGUUUUCUCAAAAUCCCUCCUCACCCAUGCACCUCUUUUUGAUAUCUGGUGAUAAAGACAUAAACUUCUCCUGCAUAUUGCUUCGAAACUAUCAUAGGAGGAACUUUCAUAGGAGGAACGAGAACCUCUUGCUUGCAUGUCCAGGAAAGGCUGAAGAUUAUGUCAGCAGAAGAGCAUUUAUAGUAUGGCGGUGGUCUUCAGUGCUCAAGGGGAAAUAUCUUACUGGAAAAUAUUUCUGUUAUCCUCCUGAGUGGUAUGUUAAGGCGCGGGUGCCUCUUGAAUAUCCUCCAGAGUGGUAUAGAAACUGGAAGGUGCGUCCUAAAAAUCCCUUCUUAGCUGCUGAGGAGCCCACAUCUUCACAAAAUGCAGAGAUCCAUAUACCUUCCUCGUUUUCUCGUGAAGGUCAAAGGGUGUGGUAUAGGCCGGUUAGGGAGGUAUUGAGUUCGUACCCGAACGGAAUCCCCGUCGGAGAACUUAAGAUGAGAUUGGGUAUUUCUGGUGAUACUAAAAUGUUUUCCCAAGUGAUAGCAUCUAUACCACAAGUGCAACUCUUGUAUAUAGGAGAUGAUAAUUUUUGUGUACGUUUGAUCCCAUCAACAACAUCUACCGUUAAGAAGAAGAAGCAGAGGGUUGCUGAUCAUUCAGAAAUGCGUGAGUUAUUUUCUACUGAUUCUUUUGGGGAUGAUGUGGAAACUUUUGUUUUCUCAUCUAGAGGAUCACGUCUUAUUUCCCGAUCAAGAAGCAGGUUUGCUAGUUUUGUAGUUCUUUUCUUCAUAACUAUCCCUUUCGCUAUGCAAUAUUUUUUAUGAUCAUUAUGUAGCUACUUGUUGAAGGAAUAAUUCAAUAGUAAUAAUUUGCUACAUGUUUUUUAUGUUGUCAGGGAGGAUCUGGCUCAUAGAUUACAAAGGCAUGGACCCAUGAUUUUUAUGUCUCUCACCGAAAAUGAAAUCCUUCAAUUGGUGGAAUUGUUGAUAACAAAGUUGAAAUGGUUGAAGGAAAGCCCUUCAGAAGUAUUUCCUUUUAUUCUAACUCAAUCUGUUGGGCUAACUAUGCCCUAACUAUGCCUACUUUAUAGGUGAAAGAGCUGCUAAUUGAUGGCACAUGGCGCAGAAUUCUUGAGAUCCGUCUUUCUCAUCCUCUCCCUCUGCUUAGCGAGCCCGAUAAGUUAGAGGACUAAAGGAUCAAUUAAACCAAUAAGAUACUACGUUCCUUAAAGCAAGAUUUAAGUACUUUAGCUUUGAAUUAAACUUUGUAACAAGUUUAAGAACUUGUUCUGCAUUAAAGGCUAUAGCCCAAUAUAUGAAAAUAAAUCGUAAGAAUAGGUAUAAAAAACCCUUUCGAAUUUGAAUGAGAAUUAAAUAUUAGUUGUCCAAUCCUUAUAUUUAUUCUGUUCCUGCCCCUUAGUCUUUUACUAAUGUUUUGUUCAAAUAUAUUGCAUUUCUGAUUUAAUUAGUCAUUUUCUACAAAUGCUAGAUAUCGUAUUUUUCGUGAGCUUCUUUAGAAUGCAAAACAAGAAGAGUAUCAUUUUACCCUACUGUAAAAUCAUGCAUUCCUCUUGGGUUACAUCUUACAUGUAAGAUGUUUUUGGCUUAAAUGCAAUUUUGGUCUCCAUAUUUUCAUAAUUGUUAACUUUUGAUGCCCUUCUUUUCAAAAUUUGAUAAUGGAAGAGUGUGUGAAGUAUGUAUAAGAAAAGCUUCGUCUCUCCAACAAACAUGUUCUCUCAAAAAUGUCUAAAUUUUAUAAACGAGGUGACCAAAUUGAAAAUUGAUUUUUUUUUCAUCGUCAAUAUUUUUUUUUUUCUUCUUAUAAAUAUUUCUAACAACAUUAUUGGGACACCCAUUAUUGGUGUUCCACGAGUCAGCCUAUGUAAAUAAGUGAUUUACAUCGUCAAUACAUAGAAAUUAAACACUUGAUGGAAUAUUACAAGUCCUUUAGAAAAUACUAUAAACUCACAAGUCCAAGUUACUCUAGAAACAUCAACACAUUUGCGUCAAGAAAAAAACAAACAUCAACACACAAUUCACAUCAUAUGUACCAUCUUUGGCCCGAAUUUCUCCAUGCUCAAUAAAUGUACAAGAUUAGAUGCGAAGACAAUUUAAAUAAGGAAAUGUUAAGAGUGCCCCCGGGCACUCUUUAAGCACUUUAAAUACUACCUCCGUUCCUUUUUAAUUGUCACAUUUUAACAUUUUACACAAACCAAGACAAUCAAUAAAUGUUGCUACUUUUGAUACAAUAAUUUCUAUUUUUACUUUAAUAACCUUAUUUAUUUAAUAUCUCAUUACAUAUAUUUCUCUCUCCACAAUAAUAAAUAAGGGUAAUAUUAGUAAAGUAACAUUUAAUGUUGCAUUGAACUAUGUAAAGUGACACUUAAAUAGGAACAAAAAAAUUCUCCAAAAGAGACACUUAAAAAGGAACGGAGGGAGUAGUAAGUUUUUAAUGAAACGUUGUGCAUUGAAUGAAUGCAUUGGAAAUUAUAAUAGUUAACUUUUUAAAAAAAUAAUUACUAAAUAUGGGAUGCUUAAGAAUGACUUGAGGGCACUCGUUAACGAGACCCUUUAAAUAAACCAUCCAUUUUUUGACUUCAACUUGACAUCAUAUGCAAAUGCCAGGACAAUUCUUGGACUGUUUCCUCCUGCAUGAAAGUUUCCUGUUCGCAGCCAACGUUUUAGUGUCUAUGCGCUUUAAGUUGAGAUCCUGCUUGUUCAUCGUGUAAAACAAAGUUACUGAUUAUUACUCCUAUUAAACAAGAGAUGUGAUUUUCUAUAAGAUGGGAGACAGCAGCCAUACCUUAAAAUAUUUAUUUGCCCGUUCAUAAUCUUUCAAUUCCAUCAAGCACGAUGUAUUGCCCAGAUUACAAGAAAACCUCAAGCUAACAAUUUCCCUAUCCUCAUCGGGAAAGGAAGUUUCAUACUUUAUAAACUUCAGAGCCUGCAUUACGGUUUCAGUUUCAGAAAAGAUACCUGAUAGAACCCGCAGAAUGAACAAGGUAAUUUUGUAUAUUACUAUCAAAUGAUAAAUAUGAGUGUAGAGGCUCUACAAGGGUGGAAUAACAGAAUGAAAUAGAUAAACCAGAGUCAAAGACUCCUAAAGAGAGCACUAUGCUCCUAACUAGAGAAACUCUAGUAACCAACUCUAACAAUACUUCAGAAUGCCUUCUCCACUACCCAUCCCCUCUCUUUUAUCUCCCUACUCACAUGAGAUUGGUGCACAAGUCACUAACCUACGCGUGUCACGGUGUCCAACACUCGUACGACACUUGUCAGACAAGUGUACUAAAUAAAUAUUUUUCUCCUUUAUUUUGACACUCCUUGGACUGGUACCCAACACCUCUAUAAAACUUAUACUCCAUGAGGCAUGUCAGACAACUCAAACAAAUGUCUGAUUUUUUUUUUCUAUGCUUCCACACAUAGUAUAUUCAAGAGUUAAAGACGUGCGGAAAAUGUUGAUCAACGAAGGGCUAUAAAGUUGAAUACAACGUUUUUAAAUUUUUCGAUAGUAGAUGGAUAAAUAAAGGCCAAAUACUAUUGUAUCUUGUUAUAGACCUUUUUUUAAUGAAAUAAAUUGCUCAAGUAAGAUACAUACGUGAUUCUCAAUUUAGAUCUUUCAUAAAUAAAUUAGUAUACAAGUAGCAGUGUCGGUGUCCUAUGUUUUUUUUACAUUAGUGGUGUCAACGUGUCAGUGUCGGUGCUGUGUCAGAUGUCUGUGUCGGAGUCGCUAACUAACUUAUUAUCUCACUAGCCCUACCUUCCUUCCCCUCAUGCACUCCUAGAUGUUGGGCUUAUGCAGAUUUGUCCUAAUGCUUAGCUCACCAAUGGACCAUAGGCUUAAGUGACCUAUCGCAUUGUAGAUGGUGAAAUAUACUCCCUCCGGUCCUAUUUAUAAGAGAAUUUUGGGUCAACAAAAGUUGAUGUAUCUAGUUAAAAAUUCAGUCCAAAUACAUUCACUUUUGUUGACCUAAAUUUCUCUUAUAAAUAGGACCGGAGGUAGUAUUAAUGUAACCUUGUUAAUUACCUUCUGAAAUCUUUUAGAAGCUCUUGCAUAUUCAGCAGCAUAAACUAAUGCUAGGCCUUCUUGUCACUUCUCACGAGCAGCUUCUAUCUUCUCUUCAGUGUUCAUGUCCGAUACCUCCUUAGCCUAAAGCAAACAAUGAACCAAGGUAUAAAUGCAUAAAGAAAGUUGCAAUGGUAUCCAACCAUUAAUUAUUUGAGAGACAGAACUCAAUGAAAAAACACUUUUAUUUAUUUAUUGAAAAGUGUAAAGUGUAACACUGCUAACCAAUGCUACAUUAUUUCUAAGGAACCUUAACCAUAAGAGCCCCGUAAACACAGUUAAGCAUUUGGCUUUUUUUUUUUUUUGGGGCUGGAGUUCAAACCCCGGUCACGGCGUCCAGCCUAGCAAUUUGGACAUUCUUGCUAGACCAGGAUGAUGGCAACCAAACAACAAUCAUAUUUAUGUCAAGAAAUUCAAUUUAGGUUUGACAAUAGAUACUGAUUAUAAAUAAUGAACAAAGAAAUGAAAAACGGUACAAAAAUGACAAGAAAAAAAUACCAGACUUGGCAAUUGAAGUAAGUAGAAUAAAACUAAAAGGCAGAUCUCUGCUUUGUUAAACACCGGCUGCUAGUGUUCCUUUUCAAUAAUAGAAUUUUAAAAAACAGCAAUGAAAUAUGUCACAAUGCACAAUUGCUAAUUAUCAUCAAGUUAUUUAUUUACCUUUACGAACGAUACUAGCUCAACCUCAUAAUACGGUUGAAUUAGGAGGAACCACUGCCAAUUCCUGCUGAGACUCUGAUGAACCAAAAGCAUAUUCAGGCGUAAUAGUCAACAAAGCUACCUCACCCUUCUUCAUGGUCAGUACAGCUUUAUCAAGCCCAUCAAUCACUUGCUCUGCUCAAUACAAAAAGCAUUCACUUUAUUUGAUUUAAAAACAAAUGAUGGUGAGAGGGUGAAACAUUGGGAAAAUUAAAAUUACCCUCGUCUGUUUUAAAUUCAAACAGAUCCGCUUCAUCAUCAUCACCAUCAUUAUAUCCCUUGUUCAAAAAUACAGUGCCAUCUUGCAGCUUACCAAUUAGUUUUACUACAAAAAUGCAAAAUGAGGAGAUAACACAUCAGAACCGAUGCACUAAAUCCAUUAAAAAAGAGAGCCAUCAUAUCAUAAUAUAUUAGCAAUCAAUCAAUGAUGAAUGAUGAUUUACAUUUCACAAGAGCUCCCUCAUUUGGACGGUACGUCAGCUCCUUCUCCUUCCUUGAGAAGCUGCUUAUGAAAAGUUGCUUUGUUCCAAGAAACUAACCUGAGAGUGAUCUGCAAUGUUGCGUUAGGUGGAACUGAAGCUUCAUCAUGGUGAGCUGGCCUGCCCUUGUCACCAAAUCCAUCUAUAACAGAAUACGAGGAUUUCUAGUUAUGUUCCGUUCUCAAAGAGUAGUGAUGCUUGUUUUGCAAAACUUGUUUAGUUAAUUUCUAGACUACUUACAUUGUGGCUUAACAGUUAAAAUGACUUUUUCUCCGAUCUUCAUGGUCCUAACAGCGAUUGACAAUGCAGGACAAAAAUGACCUAUGAGAUGGCGUAAAAGAAUGUAAGAUCGACCCGGAAAAGGAAAAUACAAGAGAGUAGUAUGUAUAAUAAAACUUGUAGGCAGUGACUGAACGACUAACUGACCAUUGUUGAGUUUGAACUCCACUCCAUCAUCAUCAGAUUUUCUAACAAGAGUUCCAUCAUCAAGACGUGCUUCGUACUUAACUGCAAAGCAAUAACACCAAUUAAGAUCCAGAAAAUGAGAAAAUAAAAAAUGAAAUAUGAUCAUGAAUGUAUAUAUUUAUACCUAAAACAUAAUCAUAAUCAUCAACAUGUUGAUAUUUGUCAUCCCUGGGCUUGAGUAUCUUCUUUACCAAACCUCCAUCCUUACAAAUAUCCUCCGGAUUAGUAUAUUUAACUUUCUUCUUGUAUUUGCUGAGUGGAAUGAUAUAUCUAGCUGGCCAAAUGAAUGGUAACAAUAUCAAUCAAUUCAAUAAAUUGAAUGGCACAAGAAAAUAAAAACCUUCAUCUAAUUAAUUGUAUUUGAGAAUAGUAUUACCAUCAUAUUCAUCAGCAGUAGGAGCAGCAGCUUUCUUCUUGUAUUGAAUCAAAUCCCAUUGUGUGAUGUGUGUCCGUAUAAAUUCAAUAAAUUAAAUGAUUUAAAUCAAUUUAAAAUAAUACAAAAUAAACAAAAACCAACCAAUCAUAACGUUUGUUUAAUAAACUCACUCACUUUUUCCAUACGUAAGUUCAUCAAAUUGAUUGUUAGCGCCGCCGCUAGUCAUUUCCAAAUCAAUCUUCUUUUACCAAAUUCUGGAAUAUAUAUUACAUGAGGUGUUAUGAUGUGAUACUGGAUACUUUCAAUAAAACAAAACAAGGAAUUAACAUGUUCAAUCAAAUUCGACUCUAAUUAUUCAUACUUGUCUUAAACAUAUAAGUACAAGGUACAUAACCAGAAUACAACAUAGUUCUUCACAAUGGAUAAUCAAAACACAUGUCUUAAUCAUUAAGGACAUAAUAUGAUUAUGAUAUAUAGGGAGCUACAUGAUAACUCAUAUCAGUCAACAUGAAAUUUCAUGAGAUAAAACAUAAGACACAACUAAGCUUCAAGUAAAUGGCCUUCUCCUUCCCUUUUGAUACUUGCAGUUCAUAUGAAAUAAAACGUAAAACUAUUGGGAUAAAAUUACAUCUCAGUAAAUUCCUUACUAAAACCCAAAUCAGUCUAAUUCCUGACUAACUACAUUGUAGUCUUCACUAACACAAUUAAUCAAUAUGUAUUCAAGUGAUAUAUGAAAAUUGUAAAUGUGUAUCAUAGAAUAUAUAAUCUUGUCAAUUUUAACUCCGGAUACCCUAAGAGCGAAUAAUCACAGGGUCCCCGCCAACCGGGUGGAAUCAAACCCUUUAUGGUGUAUUUCCCUCACAAUUAUUAUUAAUCAUAGAAGAUAAACUUUCUUGAUUAAUAUAAACACUUCUCAUUAUUCAAAUUCUAGCAUAUUUGUAUAACUUACUACGUACCUUGAUUUACUUUCAAGUAGUCAUAUCUAGUUCAUAUUAGAAUUUCGACGUACCUGCUUAAGUUUUCUACUCAUUGUAGUUACUUACCUAAUCCCUAAGUCUCUAAACUUAUCAUAACAAAGUUUCUACUAAUAAACUAAGAAUUUCCUUUAUACUCAUACACUUUAUACAGGGAAUCAAGCUUAUUGAUAUGAUGAAACCCUAAAUAUUCAUAAAUCAUUAUUAGGAGGUUUGAAAUUUAUCUACAUUCCAAAUAAGUGACAUGUCAUUCAUUUAAUACUCAUAUUCAUUUAAACCCUAAUACCCAGUUCAAAUUUAAGGAACUUACUUGAUAUUGAAGAAGAUGAAUGAAUAUGAGAAAACCCAAGUAUUUGAUUAUAGGUUUCAAAACCCUUGAUUUCACAAUUUCCUCCUUUUCUUCUUACUAAAAAGAGCAGAGAGAGGGGUUGAAAAAGGAGAGAAAGGAGGGAAUUCUGAAAACAUAGGUUUCUUUCUACGGAAUUUAUUCAGUGACUUAAUAUCGGCAGUGACGGAGUCAGGAAAAAAAAGCUUGGGUCGGCCAUAAAUAUUGAUGGAGCUUGAUUUUCUUAUAACUAUAUUUUAUCAUUUUUUUUAAAGGAACUAUAUUUUAUCAUUGGUUAGUUUGAAUAACUAUAGACUUGUUAUUUGUUGAAUAUAGUUCAAGCUAGCAUUUUAAAAUCUGAGUCGAUUAUCAAUCCAGACAAAAUACAAGAUAAUUGAUCGAACAACUAGGUCAUCGAUUGAACCUCACGACUGAAUUGAAUAACUCGCCUUCAUAAACAGACGACUAGUAUUAAAUCAAAUUGAAUCAAACGACUGAGUCAAAAAAAAGUUAAAAUAAAACUCAUGGCAUAUAGUGAUGUAAAAAAUAACAUUACAUAAGAAAGUAUACUUAUAAUCAAGUACAAUAAUGAAAUAUAUAUUUAAUUUAAUGAAGAAUAUAGUUUUUUUUUACCUAAAAAAUAGUGUUUAUACAAUUAAAUAUUUUUAUGAUAUCAUAUUUUUUUAAGGGUAUUUUAAUGUUUAUGUUAUAUGUUAUAAAAGUUAGUUGAGGUCCUCUUUUGAAUAAAAAAUAUGCUAUAUGUUUUAAAAAAGAUUUUUUUUAAAUAGAAUAAAGGAGUUAUGUUUUAUCAACAAUUAUGAAUUUUAAGUUUAGACUUUGCAUUCCCUAAAAAAAAAAAAAAAUUUAGACUUUGCAAUUUGGUUUGGGCAGGAGUUGAACCAAGCACAAAAAGCUUGCCAAAAGGGGGACCAAGUGAAAUAUUCCUUUUUGAAGGAAGAAAGUGAAAUAUUAAAAACAUAACAAAUCUUAUUUCAAUUAUUAUUAUUAUUUUUUAAAAAGUAACAAAUCUUUUUUUAAAAGAAACAAAUUUUUUCACGCUUAUAAAUAACAACAAAUCCUAUUUCUCAAUAAAUUGAUCACACAAGUUUCUAUUUUCAACUAAGUUUCUUCUUCUUUCGAUUCUGAACUCUUAAACCCUCAAAAUCCAAAACCACCGUUUCGCACAACCAUCGCCACCGUGAACCACCUUCAACCCAAAUUCCUAAUCGUUUCGAAGAACAAUCGCCACCGUCAACCCAAAACGCUUCGAACAACCACCGUCAUGUCGAACAACAACCACCAUGUUUCACCACCGGGAACCACCAUCCCUCACUUUCCUCCGCCACCGUCCGAUUCAGAAUCACUUCUCGACGAGAGAGCUAGAAAAUGGAAGAAACUGAACUCAAAUCGUUACUGCGAUAGUCGAAAGUUAGGGUUCAUCGAAUCUCAGAAAGAACUCAUGCCACCGGAACACGUUCGAAAAAUCAUCCGCGAUCACGGUGAUAUGUCAUCAACGAAAUUCCGUCACGAUAAGCGAGUUUAUCUCGGAGCACUGAAAUUCGUACCGCAUGCUAUUUAUAAGCUUCUGGAAAAUAUGCCAAUGCCAUGGGAGCAAGUUCGAGAUGUUAAAGUUCUGUAUCAUGUUUCUGGUGCUAUUACAUUUGUGAAUGAAAUUCCGCUUGUUAUUGAACCAAUUUACAUCGCUCAAUGGAGUACAAUGUGGAUUAUGAUGCGGAGAGAGAAGCGUGAUCGACGAUGUUUUAAGAGGAUGAGGUUCCCACCGUUUGAUGAUGAGGAGCCUGUGAUUGAUUAUGCUGAUAAUCUGUUGGAAGUUGAACCGCUCGAAGCAAUUCACCUUGAGUUAGAUGAAGAGGAGGAUGGUCCUGUGUUUGAUUGGUUUUAUGAUCAUAAGCCACUCGUGAAAACUAAAUUUGUUAAUGGGCUGAGUUAUCGAAAAUGGUGUCUUCCGAUUCCGGUGAUGGAAACUUUGCAUAGGCUUGCUGGGCAGCUUUUGUCUGAUUUGUGUGAUAGGAAUUAUUUCUAUUUGUUUGAUGUGGAGUCCUUUUUUACAGCUAAGGCUUUGAAUAUGUGUAUACCUGGUGGGCCGAAGUUUGAGCCUCUGUAUCGUGACGCGGAGAAAGGAGAUGAAGAUUGGAAUGAGUUUAAUGACAUUCACAAACUUAUUAUAAGGUCAAAACUUAGGACUGAGUAUAGGAUUGCUUUUCCGCAUCUUUAUAACGAUAGGCCGAGGAAAGUAAGGCUUGGUGUUUACCAUACUCCCAUGGUUGUGUAUGUGAAGGCUGAUGAUCCUGAUUUACCUGCAUUUUAUUAUGAUCCCUUGAUACACCCGAUAGCUGGUGCUGGUAACAAAGAGCGGUGCGAGAUGGAAAUCUGCAAUGAGGAUGAUGAUGACUGGAUUUUGCCUGAUGGUGUGGAACCUUUUCUCAAAGAUGUGGAGCUUUAUACCGACACUACCACUGAUGGAAUGUCAUUGCUUUUUGCUCCCCGUCCUUUUAACAUGAGAUCGGGCCGAAUGAGGCGUGCAGAAGACAUUCCUCUUGUGUCAGAAUGGUACAAGGAGCAUUGUCCUCCAUCGUAUCCGGUUAAAGUGAGGGUUAGUUAUCAAAAGUUGCUCAAGUGUUUUGUGUUGAAUGAACUGCAUCAUAGACCUCCUAAGCCUCAACAAAAGAAGAACUUAUUCAGAUCACUUCAAGCGACAAAGUUUUUCCAGACCACAGAACUUGAUUGGGUUGAAGCAGGUCUUCAAGUUUGUAAGCAGGGGUACAACAUGUUGAAUCUGUUGAUACACAGGAAAAAUUUGAACUACCUUCACCUUGAUUAUAAUUUUAAUUUGAAGCCUGUCAAAACCUUGACUACAAAAGAGCGUAAGAAAUCACGAUUUGGUAAUGCUUUUCAUCUCUGUCGUGAGAUCCUUCGUUUGACGAAACUUGUGGUGGAUGCCAAUGUUCAGUAUCGCUUGGGUAAUGUUGAUGCUUUUCAGCUGGCGGAUGGCCUCCAAUAUACUUUCUCUCAUGUUGGUCAAUUGACCGGUAUGUAUCGAUACAAGUAUAGGCUUUUGCGACAAAUAAGAAUGUGCAAAGACUUGAAACACUUGAUUUACUACCGUUUUAACACUGGCCCUGUCGGGAAGGGACCCGGUUGUGGGUUUUGGGCACCGAUGUGGAGGGUUUGGUUAUUCUUUCUUCGUGGUAUUGUGCCCCUUCUUGAACGAUGGCUUGGAAAUUUACUGGCACGACAGUUUGAGGGACGCCACUCUAAAGGAGUGGCGAAGACCGUAACUAAGCAACGUGUUGAAAGCCAUUUUGACUUGGAGCUUCGGGCAGCUGUUAUUCACGAUGUGGUUGAUGCCAUCCCGGAGGGUAUGAAGGAGACCAAGUCAAGAGUUAUAUUGCAGCAUUUGAGUGAAGCAUGGCGAUGCUGGAAGGCAAAUAUUCCUUGGAAGGUCCCUGGUAUGGCUGUUCCAAUAGAGAAUAUGAUCCUUCGAUAUGUGAAAUCAAAAGCAGAUUGGUGGACAAAUGUCACCCAUUAUAAUCGUGAGCGUAUAAGAAGAGGAGCAACUGUUGAUAAGACUGUUUGUCGCAAGAAUCUUGGAAGAAUGACUCGUCUUUGGCUGAUGGCAGAGCAGGAGCGCCAAUGCAAUUAUUCAAAAGAUGGCCCAUAUGUUACUCCUGAAGACGGUGUUACUAUUUAUACAACUAUAGUCCAUUGGUUAGAAUCUCGGAAGUUCUCCCAUAUUCCAUUUCCACCUCUAUCAUACAAGCAUGAUACAAAGCUGCUUAUCCUUGCACUUGAGAGGUUGAAGGAAUCCUACAGUGGUUCAGCAAGAUUAAAUCAAUUUCAAAGAGAAGAGUUGGGGCUGAUUGAACAAGCUUAUGACAAUCCACACGAGGCAUUAUCACGAAUCAAACGACACCUCCUCACCCAACGUGCAUUCAAAGAAGUUGGAAUAGAGUUUAUGGAUUUAUAUGGUUACUUGAUUCCGGUUUACGAAAUAGAGCCUCUGGAGAAAAUUACAGAUGCAUAUCUUGAUCAAUAUCUGUGGUAUGAAGGGGACAAACGUCAUCUAUUUCCUAACUGGAUCAAGCCAGCAGAUUCAGAGCCACCACCUCUUUUAGUUUACAAAUGGUGUCAAGGUAUAAAUAAUUUGGAAGGCAUCUGGGACACCAGUGAUGGUCACUGCGUUGUGAUGUUGCAGACCAAAUUUGAGAAGUUUUUCGAGAAGAUUGAUAUACUAAUGUUAAAUAGGCUUCUCCGUUUGGUUCUAGACCACAACAUUGCUGAUUAUAUCACUGCAAAAAACAAUGUUGUGUUGUCAUACAAGGAUAUGAGCCACACGAAUAAAUAUGGUCUUAUACGUGGACUACAGUUUGCCUCCUUUGUUGCUCAGUAUUAUGGCCUGAUAUUGGAUCUCUUGCUUCUUGGAUUGACUCGAGCGAGAGAGAUUGCUGGUCCGCCGCAGAUGCCUAACGAGUUCAUUACUUAUUGGGACACUAAAGUUGAGACCAGGCAUCCAAUUAGGCUGCAUUCCCGGUACAUAGAUAAAGUUUAUAUGUUAUUUCGUUUCACACAUGAGGAGGCUCGGGAUCUCAUUCAGAAAUAUCUCACUGAACACCCUGAUCCUAACAAUGAGAACAUGGUGGGGUACAAUAAUAAGAAGUGCUGGCCAAGAGAUGCAAGAAUGAGGCUCAUGAAGCAUGAUGUCAAUCUUGGGAGGAGUGUCUUUUGGGAUAUGAAAAACCGUCUUCCUCGAAGCAUCACAACACUGGAAUGGGAAAACAGCUUCGUUUCUGUUUACAGCAAAGAUAAUCCAAACUUGCUUUUUAGCAUGUGUGGAUUUGAAGUGCGGAUACUUCCUAAAAUUAGAACGACUCAAGAAGCAUUCGGUAACACAAGAGAUGGUGUUUGGAAUCUCCAGAAUGAACAAACCAAAGAAAGGACAGCUACUGCUUUCUUAAGAGUUGAUGAUGAACAGAUUAAAAUGUUUGAGAAUCGUGUGAGGCAGAUUCUUAUGUCUUCGGGUUCUACUACAUUCACAAAAAUUGUCAAUAAGUGGAAUACAGCUUUAAUAGGACUCAUGACUUACUUCCGAGAGGCAACUGUACAUACUCAAGAGUUGUUGGAUUUGCUUGUCAAAUGUGAAAAUAAAAUUCAGACCCGUAUCAAGAUAGGACUCAACUCAAAGAUGCCUAGCAGAUUUCCGCCUGUCAUUUUCUACUCGCCCAAGGAAGUUGGAGGACUUGGGAUGUUGUCUAUGGGUCACAUUUUGAUUCCACAAAGUGAUAUACGUCACAAUCAGAAGACAGAUGUUGGUGUAACCCACUUCAGAAGUGGGAUGAGUCAUGAGGAGGGUCAGUUGAUUCCCAGCCUUCAUCGUUAUAUACAGCCCUGGGAAAGGGAGUUCAAUGAUUCACAACGUGUCUGGGCUGAAUAUGCAGUGAAAAGGCAGGUAGCACAAGCACAGAAUAGGCGCUUGACCCUUGAGGAUUUGGAAGACUCAUGGGACCAAGGGAUUCCACGUAUUAACACUUUGUUUCAGAAGGAUAGACACACUUUGGCUUAUGAUAAAGGAUGGAGGGUACGUUUAGACUUCAAGCAGUAUCAAGUUUUAAAACAAAAUCCCUUCUGGUGGACACACCAGAGGCAUGAUGGGAAGUUGUGGAACUUGAAUAAUUACCGAACUGAUGUUAUUCAAGCUCUUGGAGGAAUUGAACAAAUUCUUGAACACACUUUAUUCAAAGGAACAUAUUUUCCAACUUGGGAAGGUCUCUUCUGGGAAAAAGCAUCAGGUUUUGAGGAAUCUAUGAAGUAUAAGAAGCUCACCAAUGCACAAAGAUCUGGUCUCAACCAGAUACCCAACCGUAGAUUUACGCUUUGGUGGUCACCAACCAUUAACCGAGCCAAUGUUUAUGUUGGUUUCCAGGUGCAGCUAGAUCUGACUGGUAUUUUCAUGCAUGGGAAAAUUCCAACUUUGAAGAUAUCUCUUAUUCAGAUAUUCAGAGCUCACUUGUGGCAGAAGAUCCAUGAGAGUGUUGUCAUGGAUCUUUGUCAGGUAUUGGAUCAAGAGUUGGACGCUUUGGAGAUUGAAACUGUCCAGAAGGAAACAAUCCAUCCUAGGAAGAGUUACAAAAUGAACAGUUCUUGUGCAGACAUCCUUCUCUUUGCUGCCCACAAAUGGCCAAUGUCAAAGCCUAGUCUUGUAGCUGAAUCUAAGGAUGUUUUUGAUCAGAAGGCAAGCAAUAAGUAUUGGAUUGAUGUUCAGCUUCGAUGGGGUGAUUAUGAUUCUCACGAUAUUGAGCGUUACACCAGGGCUAAAUUUAUGGAUUACACAACAGAUAAUAUGUCUAUAUACCCAUCUCCUACUGGGGUUAUGAUUGGCCUUGAUUUGGCAUAUAACUUGCAUUCUGCAUUUGGGAACUGGUUCCCUGGAUCAAAGCCACUACUUCAGCAGGCCAUGAAUAAGAUUAUGAAGUUAAAUCCUGCAUUGUAUGUUUUGAGGGAACGAAUCAGGAAAGGUCUGCAGUUGUACUCUUCUGAGCCCACUGAACCAUAUUUGUCUUCCCAAAAUUAUGGAGAGAUAUUCAACAACCAAAUCAAAUGGUUUGUUGAUGACACUAAUGUGUAUCGCGUUACAAUUCAUAAGACUUUUGAAGGAAAUCUUACAACAAAACCCAUCAAUGGUGCCAUUUUUAUCUUCAAUCCAAGGACUGGGCAGUUGUUUCUUAAGGUUAUCCAUACGAGUGUAUGGGCCGGUCAGAAGCGUCUCGGCCAACUGGCGAAGUGGAAAACAGCAGAAGAAGUUGCUGCUCUUGUAAGGUCUUUGCCUGUAGAAGAAGAGCCAAAGCAAAUUAUUGUUACCCGUAAAGGAAUGUUGGACCCGUUGGAGGUUCACUUGUUGGAUUUCCCCAAUAUUGUUAUCAAAGGAAGUGAGCUGCAACUUCCUUUCCAAGCAUGCUUGAAAAUUGAGAAAUUUGGGGAUCUUAUUUUGAAGGCCACAGAACCACAAAUGGUUUUGUUCAACAUUUACGACGACUGGCUGAAGAGCAUUUCCUCAUACACUGCAUUCUCCAGGCUGAUUCUUAUUCUGCGUGCACUUCAUGUGAAUAAUGAAAAGGCAAAGAUGUUACUGAGGCCUGACAUAACUGCUGUCACUGAACCUCAUCACAUCUGGCCUUCUCUAAGUGAUGACCAGUGGAUGAAGGUGGAGGUUGCAUUAAGAGAUCUUAUACUUUCUGAUUAUGCAAAGAAAAACAAUGUGAAUACUUCAGCUUUGACCCAGUCUGAGAUUCGUGAUAUUAUACUUGGAGCUGAGAUUACUCCCCCUUCACAACAGCGGCAACAGAUUGCAGAGAUUGAAAAACAGGCACGCGAAGCAAAUCAGGUGACAGCUGUAACAACACAGACUACAAAUGUUCACGGUGAAGGACUGAUUGUAACCACCACUAGUCCCUAUGAGCAAGCUGCUUUUGGUUCGAAGACUGAUUGGCGUGUCAGAGCAAUAUCAGCCACAAAUUUAUACCUUCGAGUAAACCAUAUAUAUGUGAAUUCGGAGGACAUAAAGGUUUCUUCAUUUCUUUAAAUCUUGUUAAUUGUUUUUAUACUCAUUAAGUCACAACUCCUAUCAUGUUUUAACUUUGAAUUUUGCGGUGCAGGAAACGGGCUAUACUUAUAUCAUGCCAAAGAACAUUUUGAAAAAGUUUAUAUGCAUAGCAGAUCUUCGAACACAGAUUUCUGGGUAUUUGUAUGGUAUAAGUCCUCCUGACAAUCCUCAGGUUAAGGAAAUCCGGUGCAUUGUGAUGCCACCACAGUGGGGGACUCAUCAACAUGUCCAUCUCCCAUCAGAUCUGCCAGAACAUGAUUUCUUGAAUGAUUUGGAGCCUUUGGGAUGGAUGCAUACUCAACCAAAUGAAGUUCCGCAGUUGUCGCCUCAGGUUGGAUUACUUUAGUUUCAAUUGCAACUUUUUUUUUUGUUGCCUUUUUUCAAGGAAAUAUAUUAAUGAAUAGUGGUAACAUUGUCUAACCUGAGAAAUUAUCAUUGCAGGAUCUCACUUCACAUGCUAAGGUCCUAGAGAACAAUAAACAAUGGGAUGGGGAGAAGUGUAUUAUCUUGACUUGCAGUUUUACUCCGGGUUCUUGUUCUUUAACUGCAUAUAAACUAACUCCAUCUGGUUAUGAAUGGGGACGUAUUAACAAGGAUACAGGAAGCAACCCACAUGGUUAUCUUCCCACUCAUUAUGAGAAGGUUCAGAUGCUCCUCAGUGAUCGCUUCAUUGGUUUCUACAUGGUAAGCUUUACUGCUUCCUGAAGUUUUCCUACUAUUAUUUCUUCGCAUAUUUUUUAUUUUAUGUUUUAUUUCUUCGCAUAUGAUUGAAUGACAGAAAUAUAAUUAUAUUAAAUUUAUCGUAUUAUCAAGUAAUGGUUAUAUUUCUUAAUGCAAUUACAGUCUUGUUAUUAUUGUCAUUAUUAUUUUACUGAAUGUUUAAAAUUUUUUUUUUUUUUUUUUUUGUCACAAUUUCCUAGAUUCCUGAUAAUGGUCCAUGGAAUUACAACUUUAUGGGAGUGAGGCACGCAUCAGGCAUGAAGUAUGGAGUGAAGCUUGGGACCCCUAGGGAGUAUUACCAUGAAGAUCAUAGGCCAACCCAUUUCUUAGAGUUCAGCAAUAUGGAGGAAGGGGAGACAAUCGCCAAGGGAGAUCGAGAGGAUACAUUCUCUUAGAGUGUGUUUGAGUUGGAGAUUGUAAAAAGGUAAAAUACUUUUGAGGGAUUUAAAAUGAUUUGUCUUAGUUGUAGCACUAUUUCUUCAAACACUAUCAAGUGGUAUGUUGUAGCAUUGCUAUAUUGAACACUGUUCUGGAAAUUUCAACAUGUUCUAUAAUUUCUUUUUGAAUUUUUGUUGGUUGAUUCUGUUUGUGCUGAGAUCAAAGCCUUGAAGCUUUAUUAACUACUUAGUGAAAGUCAUUGAUGAGGUUACCUCUAAUUUCUCAAUUACUGGUAUUUUUGUGUAUUGGUUUUGUGCUCUGAUAUUUAGUAGGUGAAAUUGCCACUGCUUAUAUUCAGUUUCGAAGAUUGAUUGAUAAACUCAGUCAAACAUAGCUCUACUAAGUAAAUAAGAAAUCUAAUGGAAGUUAUAAUUUUCAUUUUCUCUUCAAGUGCCUGUGUGUGAAGUUUCAGCUGUAGAACAAGUUAGAAAAAACACUUACAAGGAGUACUUUUUGAAUCAAAACAUUGUAUUUCUAGCCUUAAAACCUGUUAAACUUGCUUGCAAAGUCUUCGUAUGCUUGCUGGAAUAGAAUACCUUGAUAUAUGUUAACUAGCUAUAUGUUUUUUUAGACUCUUUUUUAGUAAGUUUUAUUCACAUAUAUGUAAAUCAAAGUUUAUCUGGUUUAUCUAGCGGUUCUUAUCCAAACACCAAAUUGAUAGGGGGUUGCAAAUUACUAUUUUUCCAGUUUUCUUGUUAAAACCUAUACAUAGUUUCUUCCUUUUGUUUGUUUUAUAGAUCCACUUAAAUGAAUUCUAUCUUGGGUUAUUGACUCCACUCAUGUACAUGUUUUGAGAGUUUGAACCUCAGUCCCCAUAACUCAUUUUCAACAAUUUUAAAUUUGAUAUUCAAUUAUCUGCACAAGUCAAAAUCUUUAUCUCUUGUGGGUUUUCAAUUUCUCACUUGUUUUUGUUUCCAUGACUUACUGAAUGUAGUAGUCCUUAUUUGUAGUAUAUAGUUUCCUUGUUUAUUAGUUGUGACAAGAUAUAAGCAUAUGGAGCUAUAUUGUCUGGUCAAAGCUAGGCAGUGAUAAAGUUGUGCUUCUUGACAACUAAUGGCAGGUUGGGUGGGAUGAUAAAAUCGUCCUCCCAAAUUAUCAGUUGCUUCUGCCCAUUGGUUUAGAACCCAAUGUUGCAAAAGUUAGACUCAACAGUAAAGGGAAACUUGGAAGAAAUGUAUGCUUAUGCAUUAGUAUUGUUUCCUUUAUUGCUGAGAUUUGAUUAUAUGUAACAAAUUCUGCAUGAAUAUCAGUUAUAAUUGAAUUUGAUAUCUGACUAGAUGCUAGGAUAAUAGCUAAGUUUUUUUUUUUGUUUUUGAAAAAGGAUAAUAACCAAGUUAUAAUUACUCAAGUUCUUUCAUAGUCAAUGCAUCAACUGCUUAAGUAUAUGAUGAUAGUUAUGGGCAAUAGUUAGAUUAGGUUAGUUAUGGGAAAUAGUUAGAUUAACACGGAGAACUUCAUUGUCACCAAGUAAAUUAUAUUUGUAUGGAAACUAUAUAUAUUCAUAGUCUACCAAUCUAAAAUAAUGGUAUGGAAUAGUUAGUGGCAUGUGAAACAUAGAAACAUAGGGUAUUUUGUUUGAUAUUGUUGACGAAGAUGAAGGUAGUGGCAUGUGAAACAUGUGACCGUUACCUUCCUCUCCAGUGUCUCCAAGGAACAUUUUGUUUCCAUGAUCAUACUCCAUGAUAAUAAUUAUUACAGCCAGUAAUUUAUUCAGCUAAAUAUGCCUUUGUUGUUGAAUAUGUCAAGCUUGUUUAAUUUUUGUUGUUGGUGAUUUAUUGAAUGAAUCGGUCUAGCUAGAAGUUAGGACUGCCUUUUCUGUUUUUUUUUUUUUUUACAAGUCCAUGGUUUCAGCCUUUGUUAUAACUUAGAAGAAGCCUUUCACCCAUGGUUCAGAUUUAUUCAGACUGGUUUCAAUGGUUUAGAAUUGUGCAGUAUCUGUGUAGAGAUUCCUUUAUUUUGGUUAACAAAUCUGGAUAUAGGUUGUCGAUUGUGUUACUUACACUCCUCACUUGGAUAGUAGGUAUGUAUGUAUGUAUCUAUUUUUUGUAUACAUUUGGAUUCUUGUUGCGCAUAAAAUAACAUUUUCAAUUUCUAAUAUUUUAGCAUGGUUGGGAUGAUUGUUUUGGAGAUUGAUUCAUCUAGUUAGCGACUAACUGGUUUUGUAUAUCUCUGUAACGUAGUGGUGAAGAUGUUUGAUUACGGCUGGAUCCUUGUGGAGCUGGGACAGUCUAUAUUAGAUUAACUUUCAGUGGGGCGUUGGAUUUGGCGGCUGUUUUUGGUAACAAUGAGCUAGAAUUAUCACACACUGUUAUUUUGUUUGUACUAAAUUUACAGGUUUUGCUCAGCUAGAACUUGAAUUACAUAGUCACUGCACAUUGAGAAUGUCUCAACUAUUGUUACACUGAACUGUUAGCAAUACUUGUUGGCAAAUGGUUAGAGAAAUAAAUUUCUGUGUUAGUUUUGUUUUUUAAGUAAUCAAUGUACAACUCCUCCAAAAGUAAUCAUGUACAAUGAAUUUUUGAAUUCUUUAUUUCGCAUGAAUGGUCUCUAUUCCACUAAGCAGGAAUGACAGAACUCACAAGUGCUAAGGAUUUGAGUGCUAAACUCACCUUUCAUAUAGGAUCACGAUUCAUAUUUCUACACGGUACCAAAGGAUCAUAAUUUAACCAAUGAAUCUGUUUUUUUUGCAUAAACAAAUUUAAAGAUAAUUUUUUCACAUUUAGUUGAGGAUAAUAGAUAAUUGCAAAAAAUCAGUAAAAAAGCUUAAAAUGAACGAAAGAAUCACUUUUUAUUGUAAUUUUUACUUCCCAGAAACUCUAAUAAAAACAUUUGAGGAUAAGUAUUGAUAUUUGCGAGUGAGCUUGGUCUUGCUAAUUUCAUCCCUGAAAAUUGAUUCAAACUAUAUGCUCUUUUUAUUCAACAACGCAUCAUUAUUGCCAUCAUUUGGCAUUUGGGUUGUUGAGAGAGUCACAUCUUAAUUAGUAUGCAAACAAAUGUUAACAGAGACUAAUAACAUAAAAUAAUAUAUGUGGAGACUAAAAUCAUAUUUAAAACUUUUUUCUAUUACAUUUCUCACGUAGUUAUCAUUUACACCACAUAUCAUUCAAUCAGUACAUAUAACUCAAUAUCAUGGAGAAUCUAAAUCCUUAAUUUUCCUUUUCAAUUUUAUUUAGAAUCACUACUCAAGGACAUAAAUAUCAUUGUCUUGGUGUGGAUUCUUCCCUUUUCAACUUUGCUCUUUUUCUACAAUAUGAUGCCUCAUUUAGUCACUCAUCUAAUUUAUCUCAUCACUAUGAUCUAAUUAUGUUGUCUCGUGUAUGCAAGCCCGACUAACUCCUACAAUAGUCUCUGAGCGUGUAGCCGAAUGGUAUGAAAAAGGUUCAAAAUUCGAUCUCUACGGUUAAUAAAUUUUUUCCUCCUCCUAACAAAAUUUACUGCUAACAUUUGCCUAUAAAAGAAAAAUAAAAACCAACUCUUACAAUAUGACCAUGGUGAAAAUUACUACUUGCCCUGAAUAUGUAGCAUGUAUGCAUCAAUUCAACUAAUGUACAUCAUCAUCACUUGUGUGUAUUAGACUCCAAUAUCAUAUACAUAUCACCAUGUGCAUUCAAUCCAUUAAGACAUUUACAACGGAAUUUCACUUUAUCUAGACUAGUGUUCAACCGUUAUCAAUGUUUGUGGUAUGUCUUGUUCUUUUUUGGACUCAUGAUGCUCAACAAAAUCAUCAUUAUGGUGGUGUUCUUCCUCGCUGCCGCCACCAAAUUCAUCUCCCACCUCCACAACUGUGCCGAAUUGAACACGACGCUCUCCACCGCCGCCACCAACAGGGGAAUGAGAAGGGGAUUUUGUACCACGAGGGCUUCUAACAGCAGUAGCAGCUGUUUGUGGAGAUUUUGGUGUCCAAAUUGCACCAGUAUUACCAUAAUUGUUUGUAUGAUGUUCAUCAAAUUGAACAUUAAUAGGUCUAAUGCAUCUAUAUAUCAAGAUGAGAAACCAAGAUAGCCAUGGAAUUGCAACCAAUGCCAUGCCUGCAAAGAGAUACCAUGGUAAAGAUUCAGAAUCUGGUAGGAAUAUGUACAUGCAAAGGAAAAUUCCUCCUCCAAUUGUGCAUGCAAAGAAAAAACAAGAGAUGACGUAUAUUCUAACAUCUCCCUUUCUAUCCCCCAUUGAAGAGGAAGAUCAAUAACAAGGACAACAAUUUUUUUCUAUAUUAAUUGUUUUGUUGGAGGAUUUUGCAGAAGAUGAAUGCAUGGUUGUUUGUUAAGAACCAAAGAUUAGAAAGUUUCAAAGAAGGGAGGGGAAACAUUGAAGCGUUGAAAUCGGGAGAUAGUUUGUUGCUCAAGCAAAUAUGACGUUUGAGAUUGUCUAUAUUUUAUAUAUAUACAAUUAAAUAAAAUGAAUAGGCUCAAAAUAUUUAUGUGCACAGUAUAUAUUUUCACGAUACUUUGUUAAAAUAAACACGGUGCAUUUUUAACUCGAUACGAAGCCUUUUGAAAUUAUUAGUUGUAUUCACUAUAUUUUCUCCUUUUUUUCGUAACGGUGUAAACACCUUUUACUUUUUUUUCACUUUCAUUAAGAAAAAAAUGGUAGUGUAGAAGUCUUAGUUCAAGGUCGGACGUCGUGAUCCGGGUUUGAACCCGGGACCUCACAGUUAUGGGAGUUUAAUUUCAAGUGGAUUACCACUUCGUCUAAGACAAAAAAGAAAUGGUAGUGUAGUUAAUGCGUGCAUUUUAUGUAUACAUAUAUACCUAAAAUGUAUAUGAUAAACUUUACUUUUUCUUAUUUCAAGACAGUUAGUGAUAUCUGUUACUAGUUUAUUGGAAAAAGAAAGAAUAAAUGUACCUAGUGAUUUAUAUGACCUCGCACGUUGCGUUGCGUGGGGUUUAUUUUAUCAAAAUGAUUAUUUGUAGGUUAUAAGUGCUCAUAAUCAAAUAUACCAGCAAAUUCACUACGAAACAAACUCUUUGUUGGCAUUCGCAAACAAGGAAACAAAUUUUGUCAACAUUAACAAAGAAGCAUAACUACAACAAAACUAUUGAAUUAAACUAGCUGGAACUAUCUAUAAGGUUAGGCUCCAAAGACGUUGUUCUUUAUGAAGAACCAUAUGGAAACAAGAUAAAUCUAUGCUUAGGCUCCAAUAUUGGUCUUAAGCAAGAAAUUCAUUGCAUAGAGAUCAUUAAUUUUGUAAUAUGGAAACCUAAACCACUUGUUAAUUUCAUAACACAUUGGUUACAGUUUUGUGUUUCAAUAUUAAAUAGUUUUCUUCUGUCCAAGAUUACCUUUUGCUCUGGCUUCAUAUACAUAUUUAACUGUAAAUAGUGAAUUGAAACCUGAUUGAGUCUUUUAGUUAUAUACUCAUGCUUGAGCAAUAUGUUAGUAUCAAAUCUGAUCAUGAAUUCAAACUGAUUGAGAAUCAAAUCUCACUAGUUACUACUUUUACAAAUUGAUUAGGCACAUGAUUCAAAAUAGGAAAUUAUUGUAGUAUAAAGUAGAUAUGACAACACCUCUUUCAUGCUAGACAUGAAAAACAAACACCAAAGGAUAAAAUCACAAAUAUGAAAAAAGCCAAAUAGUUUUUUUUUUUUUUUUUGUUCAAGUAGCCUAGUGGCUAGAGCUCACACAUUUUAAUGCGGAGAAGUGGGGUGUCCAGGGUUCGAACCCCGGCCCCUGCAUAUAUUAUGCAUUGUCCCUACUAACUAAGCUAAGCUCAUAGGGACAAAGCCAAAUAGUUCUAUUAGCCUACAAAAAUAAAGACCACUAUGGAAAUCUUUACUUAAGAUAAAAUCAACCAGACUCUUAUGUUCCAAGUAUAAAAAUAGCAUUAACAAUACGAAAAAACACACCAACAAACUAUCAGAAAAUUUAAAAUUUACCAUCUUUGGUGACCAUAAAAGAGGGCAGAAACAAAUCCUUAGUCCAUGAUAUUUACCUGCCAAAAAGGUGUAUAUGAAAGUAAUAUUACACUCUGCACUAUCUUCACACAGCUACAGCAGGUAUUUGUUUAGCACAAGCAAACCUAUCCAUUUUUCAUUUCUUCUAUAAAAUCAAGUGUUUCUUAUCUAUUCUUACAAAUCACUGGAUAAUAGCUCAAAUCAGUAUGAGAGUCUAUAAACAGAAAUCCUGGAGUAGAUAAUUUUCAAGAGUAUAAUAAGAAGAAAUUGGUCUAAUAAAAAUGGCAUGCAAACAACAUUAUUGGAAAGAGAAAUAAGAAAAGGUGAAAGGAGCUUAUAACUAUCUAAUACUACCUGUAACACAAAUCUACCUUCUAUGCAUAACAAAAUUACCUAAUGAAUAAGAUCUACCUAGUUAAUUAGUUGAAGGCACGUAUAUAGUUCAGAAACAGGAACACUAGGAUUAUGAUAUGAUAUAAACCAGUUGAAAAUCCGUUUUAUGAUAGUAUUAGAAAAAUACUCACAGCCAACUACUUUGAAAAUCAAGAAAAUUGAAACCAUUUAAUUUUGAGGGUACAGAUAUUAGAAGCCAUUUACUAUUGAAAAUCCAGAAAAUCAAAGAAUAGAAACAAUUGUUUUCGGAGGAUAUGGUACCUUUCUAAAUGACAUCCCUUAAGAUUAUGUUUGGGAUGUGAGCAACUUUGGGCCAAGUAGCAUUUGUUUGCGCCUCACACUCUUUAACUAACAGGGGACAUCCAAUGAUUUCUAGGGUCUUUAAUUUAGCAAGGCGAGGCAUUCCUUCAGGCACCGAUGCUAAAUGUGGGGAAUACCUUAUGGUCACAUGUUGAAGUGAUGAGAUGCUACACAUCCAGUCAGGCAAUGCCUUUAGGUCAUCACAAUAUUGUAAGGUAAUUUUUUGUAGAGAAGGGAGACAGUUGAAGUUGUUAUUAAACCAAAUUGCAAUUUCAUGAACUUGUUGACUUGAAAAAAGUUCAAUUUGAAGAUGUUGGAGAGAAGGAAGAUUUUGCAUCCAAUUUUCUGAGAUGUUAUAGACAGCAAGUUUGUGCCCACCAAUACACAGGGAUUUGAGCAUGGAAAGAGGAGGAAAUGAGAGACUCUGAUUGUUUAGUGUUGCAUUCAAUACACAGGGAUUAUGAAGAGCCUAUUUGGAAAAGUGGGCAUGCAAGUCAACCUCUGACAUCCUUCGAUUGAUAACUGAGAUAGAAGAGGAAAGGGUGGAAAGGAUCUAUGAUGUGAUUGUGAAGAGUCAAUACCAUCUCCUGUCCUACACCAUCCCAUCAAGUAUGAGCAAUCCUCCAACCUGAGGCUUUCCAAAGAUGGGAAAAAAAUUUCAGACAAAAUAGGCUCUUCAUAAUGUAUGUAUUUCAGCACACGAAGAAAACUUAUAUAAAGAGAUUUAAGGAAUGGGAGACGCUCCAAAGGAGGGAGAAACUCCAAACCCUCACAGCAAGUGAGAGAAAUUUCAACAAUAUUUGUCAGUGAAGAAAGCCAGUUUGAAUAGAUAAUACCAUCAUACCGCCACACAUUAAAUUCCCAUGGAGUGAUUUCACGCACUCGCAAUUUCAAUGUUUGUAGGCAAACAAGUUUGCUUAUGGAUUUGAAAAAAUCUAUUGAAACCUUGCAAUCAUAUAAGUUAAGGCAUCUUAAAUGCUUUAAUUUUCCAAUUGAACCAGAUAGCUUGGAUAAAGAAGAAUCUGACAGUUUCAAGACACACAAGUAUUUGAAAUUUGAAAUAACUGACGAUUCCUCCCCGUUCAAUCCUGUCCACCCGGGAGACGAGGACAAUAGAACCAAAGUUCUCAGCUUGAUUGCAUCCAACGAGUCCAACAAACCAAUGGCAUUACGUUGAAACGAUACAUGCAUCGGCCUUCCUACUAGUUUAUUUGCAUCGCCAUCCAAGGAACAGCAAUCUAUUCCUGCUACUUGCAUUGCUAGAUCAUGAAUUAAAUCAUGCAUUUUGAAACUAUAUAUAUCACCAUCUUCAUCCAUUUUCGCAUCUUGAAAAAAUGACUUUGUCAAGAAAAUUUUCACGAAUUGGUUACCAAUAUCUUCAUUGAGCUCAACUUCAGGCGAGCAAUCAAGAUAACCUUGUGCAAUGCAUAGUUGAAUCAACUCAUCCUUCUCUAUUUCCCAAUCCUUAGGAUAUAUAGAGCAAUAUGCAAAACAUUGUCUCUGUUGAGGUGACAAGUUUUGGUAACUCAGUUUCAGAACCGGCACGAUGCUAUUUUCGUCUUGGCAUAAUCUCCAAAAGUCACCUUGUAAGACAUUGUUCCAUUCACUUUGUUUACUCUUACCUUGCAAUAGGCCUCCUAAUGUUCUAAUAGCUAGUGGAACCCCACUGCACUUUUCUGCUAUCUCCAUACCAAUUGAUUCAAGAGUUUCGUUCACUGCUUGGGCCUCAUUCCCAUAUGUAAUGAUGUUCUUUAACAAACUCCAUGAUUCUUCUGGAGUCAAACCAUUCAAAACAUAAGGGUCGCAUACACCCAUUGUCUGUGCCACAGUUUUACUACGAGUCGUCACUAAAAUCUUGCUGUCUUUAGCACCACACAUCAAGUAAGUCCUCAACUCGAUCCAUUUUUGGUGACUCUCAUUCCAAAUGUCAUCUAGGACUAACAAGUAUUUUCUUUCUGAUAAAUUUUGACGGAGGUUAUUUUGCAAGUUGUCCAAUGAUAAGUUUUCGUCAACUUUCCCAUUUAAUAAUGACUCCAAUAUUUUCUUCAAAAUAGUUUUGACAUCAAAGUUUUUAGAGACACACACCCAUAUCUUCUUUUCGAAAAUGUUUUCUACUUCCUUAUCAUUGUAUACCAACUGAGCAAGAGCUGUCUUGCCUAAACCACCAAUACCAACAAUAGCUAUCAAGGAGACGUUGUGGUCUCUAUGAUGCUGCCUCAAUAAACUUAUAAUCUCUUUUUUGUUAUUUUCUCUUCCGAUGAUAUCAGUUUGCAUAACCACCAUUACAUUUUGGCUUAAAUUCAACUUGGACAUUUCGUCCACUACAUCGUUAAAUAUUUUUCGAAUUUUUUCAAUUUCAUGAGCCAUCUUAUAGCGGAAAGCAAUUCGGUUUGGUGAUAAGGAAUAAAAUACCUUAGUCACUUUCUUCUUCUGACGUACAUCCGAUUUGUGUCUCAAAUCUUCAAUAACAAAUUCAUCUAGCAAGUUGUCAGCAAAAUUCAGCACAUCUUUGAGUCUUCUAAUCCAGUUUUUUACAGCAUGGUUUUGUUCUUGUUUGUCCUCAGCAUCAAGGAGUACAUUUCUGAUAGACUCAACUGUAUUCUUAAGCCUUUCCAACUCAUUCAUAACACCAUAGAUUCCUCCAAACUCACGAAAGGCCGCAGAUGCCAACCUGUCAAAAUUUAAAACUUCAGUAGAGCAUAUACUACUCGGUCUCGAAUAGAAGCAAAAAAAUGUCAAACAAAGUAGAUGUACACUGUUCAAAUUUUUAACUAAAUACAUCAACUUUGUUUGAAUUUUUUUUUUGCUUAUAUUCAAUACCGGAGGAGGGAGUAACUUCUAUUCCAUUUGACACUUUCUUUCUAGUCAUUACAAUUUACAAAAGAUAUUAAAUAAAGAACAACCAUGUAUGCAACACAUAUAUGUUGGAUGUGACAGUUUUAAUGAAAUGAGUAAAGUUAUAAGGGAUGAGAAUUUGUUCACCUUUUAAUGAGGCUUUCAGCAAGACCAUAUGGAAUUAGCUCAGCCAUCCUUUAAAAAGAUCAGAUUGAUCAAGAGAAGAUUGAAAAGUUGUAGAGUUUGACUUUUGUUAAAGGAAAAACUGAAGAGUUUGAGAAUGACAAAGGGAAGGGACAAAAAUGGAAUUACGCUGCUAGCAGGACCAACCAAUAUUAUAAGAGAAAUCCAACACAUAAAUUGAGUUUGACUAAAGUGCACGCUUAGAUACUAUUUUGUGAUUUCACUCUAUUGAAAAUUAUUAUGGUUAUUUGUUACAUAUUUGAUGAUAAAAAUGAUUACAUUCCCUUGAAAAUAUGGACACUUCAAUUUCUAUAGAGUCGUGAAUGCCAUUGAUUCCUUUUGUGGAGUCAUUUUGGUUGGAUGUGUUUCUUACACCGUAAUGAUAUUUAAACAACUAUAAAUUUGUAAUGUAUCUCCAUAUGAUAUAAAAAUACAUCGUUUAUAAUUUUUUAUUUAUUUUAAGAAUUCACUUGUAACUAUUGAUGUGACUUGAAGAGAAAGAAACAAAUAAUUAAGAAAUCAAGAUAACAUUUCUCUUCGCCAUGCAUUGGGGUAAUACUUUUAUUAAGUUUACCUCUACUUACGCCCAACUUAAUUUUGUUUUUAUUUUUAAUUUAUAAUCUACUACAAAAUUAAUUAUUAAUUAAUUUAUAAAAAUCGAAACAAACUAGAAUUAUACAGUAUCUAUUUUGAUUUUGAGUAAACAAAAUGAAAAAUAUUCUUAAAAAAAGAAAGAAAAAUAAAUGCAAAAUAAAAAAUAAAAUAGAAAAAACUUGCAGUGUGAUAGGUCUUUUGGUUUUCCAGGUACUGUUGUUUUGGCAAGGCAGGGAGGGACUUAAAUAAUGAAAUGUUCAUACACAUAUUCAAUCUAAUUUUAUUGGACUUAGUAGUUAAACUUUUUAAGUCUGCAAAGUCCAAAAGAUCAUCAAAUCAAAUAGAAGAAAAGGAAGCAAAAUGUUGUAGACAGGUACACAGAAGUAAUUCAGCCAUACAGUAAUAACAAAGGUGUCUGAUCAUGGUUACAAACCACUUAGAAGAUAAAAAAAUUAAGAGAACAAGAAAACUUAAAACAUAGGCCGUAAAGUCAUGCAGAACUUAGGAACUCCUCAUCCUCAUAAAAAAUCUGUAAAUUCUUGGACUACAUCAGAAAUUCAGUUUCUUCAUUCUUGAGUUUCAGCACAAAACCUCAAUGUGAUCAGUUAAUCAUGAUUAUCGCACAACAGAAGCAAAUCAUCGGUCCAUGAUAUUUACCACCUGUCCAAAAGUCGCAAAUGAAAAUAAUAUUACACUCUAACCAUCUUCAUACAUCUAAAGCAGGUAUUUGUUUAGCAGGCACAAGCCAAACCUAUUCAUUUUUUAAUUCUUUUAUAGAAUCACGUGUCUCAUAUCUGUGUUGACAAAAUAUAUGCGACAGGAUAAAAACUCAAAUCAAUAUGAAAGUCCGUCAAACACAAUUCCUUGAGUAGAUAAUUUUAAAGAGUAUUAGAACAAACUGGUGUAAUAAAAAAUUGAGCGCAAAUAACAAUAUUGGAUAGAAAAAUAAGAAGAAUGGAAAGAAGCUAACAGCUAUCUAAUACUAAAUUUAAUAUAACACAAAUCAAUUAAUAAAUAGGAUAUACCUAGUUAGUUAGUUCAAGGCACAUAUAUAGUCCAGAAACAGGAAUACUAAGAUUAUGAAUUAUAAACCAGUUGAAAAUCAGUUUUAUGAUAGGAUUAGAAAAAUAUUCAUAGCCAAUUAUUUUGAAAAUCCAGAAAUUUGAAACCAUUUACUUUUGUGGUUGAAAUAUUAGAAGACAUUUACUAUUGAAUUUCCAGAUAAUCAAAGAAUGGAAACGAAAAGAAAGAAAAAAAAUAAAAUAACAGUUGUUUUAAGAGGAUAUGGUACCUUUUUAAAUAAGAUCCCUUAUGAUGUUUGGAAUGUGAGCAAUUUUGGGCCAAUUUUCACUUGAUUCUGCCUCACAUUCUUUAACCAACAGGGGACAUUCGAUGAUUUCUAGGGUCUGUAAUUUGGUGAGACGAGGCAUUCCUUCAGGCACCGAUACUAAGUGUGGGAAACACCUUAUGGUCACUUGUUGAAGUGAUGAGAUGCUACACAUCCAGUCAGGCAAUGUCUCUAGGUCAUCACAAUAUUGUAAGGUAAUUUUUUGUAGAGAAGGGAGACAGUUGAAGUCCUCAUUAAACCAAAUUGCAAUUUCAUGAACUUGUUGACUUGAAAAAUGUUCUAUUUGAAGAUGUUGGAGAGAAAGAAGAUUAUGCAUCCAAUUUUCUGAGAUGUUAUAGACAGGAAGUUUGUGUCCACCAAUACACAGAGAUUUGAGCAUGGAAAGAGGAGGAAAUGAGACACUCUGAUUGUUUAGUGUUGCAUUCAGGGCCUCUACAUGAGUACCAUUUAACAUCAAUCUCUUGUCAAGUUUUGUAAAAGCAGGCAUGCAAGUCAACUUCCGACAUCCUUCGAUUGAUAAUUGAGAAAGAAGAGGAAAAGGAGGUAAGGAUAAAUGGCGUGAUUGUGUAGAGUUAAUAUCGUCUCCUAUCCUAUACCAUCCCCUCAACUCUAAGCAAUACUCCAACUUGAGGCUCUCCAAAGAUGGGAAGAAUUUUUCAGGAAAAAGAGGCUUUUCGUAAUGUAUACAUUCCAGCAUACCAAGGUAACCUAUAUGAAGUGACUUAAGGAAUGGAAGAUGUUCCAAUGGGGGGAGAAACUGCAAACUUCCACAAAAAGUGAGAGAGAUUUCAACAAUAUUUGUUAGUGAAGAAAGCCAUUUUGAAUGAUUAAUAAUACCAUUAUACCGCAACAUCUGGAAUUCCCAAGGACUGAUUUCAUGCACUCUCAAUUUCAAUGUUUUUAGGCCAACAAGACUGCUUAUAGAUUUGAAAAGAUCUAUCGAAGCCUUGCAAUCAUAUAUGUUAAGGCAUCUUAAAUGCUUUAAUUUUCCAAUUGAACCAGAUAGUCUAGUUAAAGAAGAAUCUGAUAGUUUCAAGACACGCAAGUAUUUGAAAUUUGAAAUAACUGACGAUUCCUCCCCAUCCAAUCCUGUCCAAAAGGGAGACGAGGACAACAAAAAUGUUCUCAGCCUGCCUGCAUCCAAUGAGUCCAGCAAACUAAUUGCAUUACGUUGAAACGAUAUAUGCAUGGGUCUUCCUACUGGUUCUUUUGCAUCGCCAUCCAAAAAACAACAAAAAUUUCCAGCUACUUGCAUUGCGAGAUCAUGCAUUAAAUCAUGCAUUUUGAAACUAUGUAUAUUACCAUCUCCGUCAAUUCUUGCAUCUUGGAAAAAUGACUUUGUCAAGAAAUUCUUCACGAAUUGGUUACCAGCAUCUUCCAUGGGCUCAAUAUCAGGCAAACCUUCGAGAUAACCUUGUGCCAUGCACAGCUGAAUCCACUCAUCCUUCUCUAUUUCCCAAUCCUUAGGAUAUACGGAGCAAUAUGCAAAGCAUUGUCUGUGCUGAGGCGACAAGUUUCGAUAGCUCAGUUUCAGAACCGGCAUGAUGCUAUUUUCAUCUUCGCAUAAUCUCCAUAAGUCACCUUGCAAGACAUUGUUCCAUUCACUCUCUUUACUUUUACUUUGCAAUAGGCCUCCUAAUGUUCUAAUAGCUAGUGGAACUCCUCUGCAUUUUUCUGCUAUCUCCAUACCAAUUGAUUCAAGAGUUUUGUUCACUCCUUCAGCCUCAUUACCGUAUGUAACAAUGUUCUUUAACAAACCCCAUGAUUCUUCUGGAGUCAAACCAUUCAAAGCAUAAGGGUCACAUACACCCAUUGUCCGUGCCACAGUUUUACUCCGAGUCGUCACUAAAAUCUUACUGCCUUUAGCACCACACAUCAAGUAAGUUCUCAAUUCAAUCCAUUUUUGAUGACUCUCAUUCCAAAUGUCAUCUAGGACUAAAAAGUAUUUUCUUCCCGAUAAAUUUUGCCGGAGGUUAUUUUGCAAGUUCUCUAAUGAUAAGUUUUCAUCAACUUUUCCAUUUAAUAACGACUCCAAUAUGUUCUUCAAAAUAGUUUUGACAUCAAAGUCUUCAGACACACAUACCCAUAUCUUCUUUUCAAACUUUUUUUGCACUUCCCCAUCAUUAUAUACCAGUUGAGCAAGAGCUGUCUUACCUAAACCGCCAAUACCAACAAUGGCAAUCAAGGAGACAUUGUGGUUUCUAUGUGGUUGCCUCAAUAAAUUUACAAUCUCUUUUUUAUUAUCUUCUCUACCAAUGAUAUCUGAUUCUAAUACAAAAGAGCAAGUUUCUCUCCUUACAUCGUCACUUUGCUUCACCACCACAACAUUUUGGCUCAAAUUCAACUUAGUCAUUUCAUCCACUACAUCAUUAAAUAUUUUUCUUAUUUUUUCAAUCUCUCGAGCCAUUUUACGGCGAAAAGCAAUUUUUUUUGGAGAUAAGGAAUGCAAUACCUUUGACACUUUGUUCUUCUUACGUGCUUUCAUUCUGUGUCGCAUGCCUUCAAUAACAAAUUCAUCUAGCAAGUCAUCAGCAGGAUGAAGCACAUCAUUGAGUCUUCUAAUCCAGUUUUGUACAGCAUGGUUUUGUUCUUGUUUCUCCUCAGCAUCAAGGAGCACAGCUUUGAUGGAUUCAACCGUCUCCCGAAGCCUAUCGACCUCAUACUUAACACCAUAUAUCCGUCGAAAUUCACGACAGGCCUCAGAAGCCAAGCUGUAAAAAGAAACAAAAAUUCAGUACACUAACUAAAUGUUUUCAUUUUGAGAUUUUUCUUCUAAAAAGGUAUUAAGGGACCAAAAGAAAACCCAAAAAUAAGUUAUGGGACUGAAACAAAACUUUUAAUAGUUAAGGAACCAAAACGAAACUAAAAAAUAAGUUAAGGGACCAAAAAAGUAAUUAAGCCAUAAAAAAACCAUGUAUGUUAGAUGUUACAAUUAUAAUGAAAUGUGCAGAGUAAGGGAUGAAAAAUUUGUUCACCUUUUAAUGAUACUUUCAGUAAGGCCAUAUGGAAUUUGUUCAACCAUCCUUCAAAAAGAGCAGACUGAUCAAUAGGAAGAUUGAAAAGUUGAAGAGUUUGAGAGUGAGAAAGAAAGAAUGUAGGAAAAUAAUUGGUGUCCAAUGUACAUACAUAGGGAAGGGACAAAAAUGGAAUUAUAAGGUGAAAAGUAGUCAAGUUUGUGCUGCUAGGUGGACCAACCCAACACUACCUACCAAACAAUUAUUGUAAAGUCUCUGUCGUUAUUAUUAUACUUUUCACAAGUAAAGAUUGGUAUAAAUUAUUGUGAAUGCAUCAAUUUCCACAAAUUUGAAUUCUAUUGGUUUUUUUGAUCAGUUGAUGUGGGCCUCUUAUGAUGUUGCUAUUCUAUUGGUUGGAUGUGAUUCUCUGACCUGCCCAAUGCUUCUUUGGGAUAGUAACAUGGCCCAGCAAUCAAAAACAAAAUUAAUUAAUUUAUAAAAAUCAGCAGAGUAAACAUAAACUCUCCAUCCCUUUGAGUUAAAGAGAGAACACUCCAAAAUUUAAUUAUGUUCACCAAAAUAAUACAAUUUUCUUGAAAAAAUUAACUUGAUGACUAACAAGGAAAACAAGUAACUAAAGUAUUUACAUACAAAUUAAUGAAGCCCUUUUACCAUAUAUGAUCUGAGGUAUAUGAAAUCGUUGACGAUUUUCUCUCUAAUGUUUGGUUACUAUUGCUGGACAACAUGUUAAGUAUACCUUCGAAUCAGUCAAAGCUUCGAGAACUUUGUUGAGGUAAUGAUCUACCUCUGAUGAUAGAAAAUGUAUCAUGGUAUGGACAGAAUUUGAUUUGAACUUCUUCAAUAUUCUAGGGUUAAAUUUCUCAUCUGAAGGAACAUAGAUAGCAAAAUUCAAAGCUUGUGGCUUGUUCCAAGUUGAUUGACCUAAAGUUUUCCAUAUAGAUAUCCAUUAACCACCAAUCAACUCAAGUAUUGUCUCGUAGAAUAAGUAGGCUAUUUUGCAGAAAUAGUGUAAUGUUGACCCUUUGAUUUCUUAGAACUGCAUUCAGGUGUCCUGUGUCCGACUCUGAAACAUAGUUACAUUCAAUUCAAUCACUUUCACUUUCCUAAAUUGUUAGCAGUGUCAGGUAUCCGUGUAUGUGUCCGAGUUUCAUAUUUUAUAGGCUAUUAUAACCUUGAGCCACCAGAGAUAUGUGUAAUAUGCCGUGGACCUUUUUGAGGACCACCAAGGUCACUAUAGUUAUAUCAAUCAUAGUCAAAGCUGUCAUGGCUACAUAGUUUUGUAACUUCCAGCAAUGUAACAACACAAAAUUAGCAAAUAAAUUAAGUAUAUAUAUCUUGGGAGGAGACUAGCUCUAUUUCAGAAAAUAGUGCAUAAGAUUUUGGCUUUCAUUGUGUAAAUCCAAGAAUUGUACUCAAAGUGAAUGAUGCCACUGAUACAAGUCUCAAUAUAGAUGCAGAUUAAAGAAAUAUUUUCUUCUUGUAUUUGUUCUUGAAUUGUUUAGAAUCCAAGAAUUAAGUAAGACGUUCAGCUUGUUAAAACGAAUAACAUGAGUACUCUUUCAUAUUAUUUAUUUGAUAAUCCUUUUAAAAAAUUAUAUAAUUAAAGAAAUUAAUUGUAAGUUCCAGUAGAGCUUUAAUAUGGGAGUCUAAGCUCAACCUGGUCACCCAGGUUAUUAUGACAGUAUUGGCUGUAUUAUCCGUUUGGCAAAAAGAAAAUUUCCGUAAGAGAUCGCGCUCCAAUUGAUCAAUUAAAAUCAGUAUAAAGUUUGAUGGCAUAAUUUUCCCAUGUUCAGGAAAGUAAUUGGUAUAAUGAACACCAAUACUUCUAUACAAAUUCUCACAAUUAUGUUCAUGACUUGACAUGGAAAUCGCAAACAUAGUCAAGCAUUAAAUUUUCCAUAAAGUACAUAGUUAUUAGCAAAAGGAUGUUCAAUAUGAAAAUUCAAUCAUUAAUAUCUUAUGCUUGCACACCAAUUUUUUAAGGUUUGUAUUUCAUGCAGUUAAUAAAAAAUUUCUUAGUCUGUCAAGUCCAAAUAGCCAUCAAAUAGAAGUAAAGGAAGCAAAAUAUUAUCGACAGGUACUCGUAAGUAAUUAGGUCAAACAAUAAUAAAUAACAAAGGCGUCUAUCUCAACAUAGUCACAAACCACUGAAAUGAUAAUAAAAUGAAGAGAACAAGAAAACUUAAAACAUGUUCUGUAAACAGACACGCGUAGUAACAGGAAAACUAAUGCAGAAUACUUAGUCAGAAGGGAAGGAAGAACUGAGGAACUUCUCAUCCUCAAAGAAAAUCUGUAAAUUCUUGGACUCCAUGAGAAAUUCAAUAUCUUCAUUCUUGAAUUUCAGCAUAAAACCCAAUGUGAUCAGUUCAGAGAGAGCAGGAACAAGAUCAUGAUUCUCACACAAAACACCUUCUGAUAUUGCUUCAGAGAAAUAUGUGGCAUAUUUCAGUGCAUUACCCAUAGGCUUAUCCAUCUUCUGGAUGAAGAACUUAGAACUUUUCUUUUCCCAGCGUACCAUUUUGUCUUCUUUCUUUGUAAUGAUGUCCCCUGAUGACAGCGACAAACUAUAACUUACCGUGACCGGCACCACUGUCUCAAGGAAGGUGAUCAGGUUAAUAAGACCUUGAACAGCUUCAUGCCUCUUAUCUGGUUCCAUUUUCAGUCUUGAACAAGCAAGGAAACCAAGAACGAGCUUAACCAAACCUUUUAAGUUGAAAAUUCUAUUAUGAUCAACUUGCACCGGACCCUUUCAACACCAUCAUUAACUAAAGAUGAUACUUUUUUGCACAGCGAUUCAGAGAUAUUUCGAGCACCAAUGUUUCUGUAGAUGUUAUAUAACUUUGAAAUGGAUGAUGGCCCAAAGUUUUGCUGAGGAUACCACACAAAUAUCUUCUCCUGCUCAAAAAGCUUCUUCAGAUGAAGAUUAUCAGGAAUAAACAAGUCUUUUUUAUGCAACAGAAAUAUUUCUUUGCUGCCUGUUGUUACAGGUAGUUUGAUCAGCCUCUCAGAAAGUUCUUUCUCUGGAUUUUCGCCCAAGUGUUUCAGGAUAAACAUCCAGAAUUUCCAGCACUUUUCAUAUGACAAUCCUUCCGAUGAUCUUUCCCAGUCAUUCCACACAUCAACAUAAUCAUCAAGUGAGGGCUUAAUCCUGACUUCCAAGGAAAAUUUUAAAAAGGGUAGAAGCGCCCAUUCAUAGAUAUCUUCAAGAACAUAAAAUUUUAAUCUAAAAAGUUUAUCUGGGUCAUGUAUGAUGCAUUUUCCAGAUUUGACCCACUUUCCACCUUUAGUUCCAUUCGGAAUCCAAAUUUUCUUGUCGGCUUUCUGCUCUGGUUUCCAAUUGUAUGCUGCAUAUUUUUGCAAUAUUAUCAAGUCAGAAAGAAUAUUAAGGUGACUGGAAAGAAAGAAGUAAAAAGAGAUGCAUAACAUGUUGUUGGUUAAAUGAAGUACCUAUAUGUUUUGACAAUAUUAUCAGUGUCAGAGAGAUUAUGAAGGUGUCCGGAAAGCAAGGAGCACCCUUUCUCUAGUUCAAUAGUGACUCCUAUUGCACCGAGUUCUUUCUGGAAAGAUGCUAUCUUAAUUCCAUAAAAAUUUUCAUCAAUAAAAGGUCCGUCAGUUGGAUUAAAGAAAGAACUCCACUUGGAAUCAAACAACAAACACAUCUCUGGAGGCCUAUAACCAGCACUUGUCUUUAACCAAUUUCUGGACAGUUUCUUGCUGAACUCAUCUUUAAUAGAAAGACUAUGCUCUUGCACAAGACUUCGGAUGCAUUUCAGCAAAGAAAACACACUGUCAGGACUAAUGGUGGAGGGAUCUGAAGGAAAAUUCAAACAUGUAGGCACAAACCUCACUCCAUUUUUCAAUUCAGUAACAACACCAAUGCUCUUCAGAUCUUCUUUGUAUUCAUGUAUAGCCAUACCAUAAAAUUUGUCACUGUCGUCAAUGAAAGGGAGACGAGUAACCGAAGAUAUAGAUUUCCACUCCGGACCGUAUAAAAUGCAAUAUCUUGGGCACAUAUAACAACCUACCUUAGUAUACAGCCACUUCUGAUUACGUAUGAUGGUUGAGAAAUCGGAAGGAAAUUUAUAUGCAGUUCCUUUCAGCAGCCUCCGACAAGAGAGAAAUGACAUAACAUGAUGUUGGUUAAAUGAGGAUUGUGAUGCCUUCUGUUUGAAGAGAGAAGCAAAUUUUUUGAUAGCAUCUCCAAAAUCAACCACCGCACCUAUUUUCCUCAGUUCAUCUUUGUAAUCGAAAAUCUUCUCUCCAUAAAAUUUAUGGUCAAUCACAGGAAGGUCAUUGAAUACAUACAAAAUGCAUCCCCACUCCUGGUCAUACAGGUAACAUUCACUUGGUAUUUGGAAACCCAUAUUUGUCUUCAAGCAGCAUGUUCCAUUCAGUGAACUUAACAGUUUACUAGGUGCAUUCAAUAAUCGGAUGCACUGCAAUAUCAAAAGAACAGCCUCGGCUGUCAAAGAGGCCAAAUUUGAGCAUGAUUUUAAAUGCUCGAUAAACAAUUUGGUAAUUUCCAGAUAAGCCAACUAUCACUCCUAGCAACUUGAGCUCCUCUUUGUAAUUAUAAAUUUCUUCACCAUAAUAAGAUUGAUCGAUAAAAGGGAUAUUACUAAUUUGGGAUGCAACUUGCCAUCCGGAAUCAUUCAAUACAGAUCCCACAGGAGAUUUGUUCAAAAAAAAGAUCCCACAGGAGACCUACGACCCCAAGAUGUCCUAAGCCAAGGCUCAUCUCUGAUGCUGUUCACAAAUUUGUCCAGAGGAAGAAGACUUUUACUGAGAUAUUGGAUGAAGUUAAGCAUUAAAAUAACAUGAUUCUUGCUUAAAGCGGAGAAAGAUGCAUGAGACAUAAGUUCCUUUCCGAUGAAAUUGCAUGCUUCCUCACAACUGGACAUCACUCCAAUUGUUUUCAACUCCUCUUCAUACUUAUUUAUUUUAUCCCCGUAGAAGCUCUCAUCAAUCAGGGGAAUAUCGACAAGAACUGAACCACUUUGCAAAAUUUUCCCCAAUGGUUAGCGAAUUAAGAAUGACUUUGAAGGAGGCCUGAAUUCACCGGCUGUAACUUUAAGCCAGCUACGAUCUUUUAUACAUUUCAAAAACCUCUCUGGUAGGUGUACUCCCUUGUACUUCAGAUUCCGAAUCCAAUCCAAAAGCAAAAAGGCAUUGUCUUUGGUAAGUGGUGUAUCAACGGCGGAAAACCCAGCAUUUGGAGGAGAUAUAUAAGGUAUGUCAGAAGCUCCAACAUGAGUUGUGAGGAAAUUAAUUAGCAUCUCGGAACCUGUAAAUUGACCUGCAUGAGAUGAUGAAUUUAGGUAAUCAUUUCCAAGCUCGACAUAAUUUUCAUUCCUCCAAGGAUUAGAAACAAUCAAGUCUGCCCAUUUGCUCAUAUUUGCAGGCACAAGAACCCCAUUUCUUCUUAGUGUGACACACCCAUAGUUGUCAACAAGUGGCAGAGAAUUACAUAGACUAUCAACUUCCCGCUUUGAAAAAAAACCUUGUGGCAAAGAGUGGUAUAAGAAAUGAGCUUAUGUAAUGGCAUGUUUUUUGUUAUUUUUAGCAGAACUGUAUAGCCCGUGGGCAAAAUCGUGCAUACUCAAAUUAGUAACAGAAACUUCUUUUGUAAGCCAUUCCAUCAAAGUCUGUUUAUGGGCCAAAGACAAUAUAGAUUUUUGUGUGCUUUCUGGCAUGAAAAACCGAUUUUCUGCACAUGCAAACUCCCUGUUCCAAUUGAUCAUCCAAGAGACUUGAGUCUGUUAUCACUACUCGCUUACCACCUGCAUAGUGCUGUGUGCAUUCAUGAAGACUGAAAGAGGAUAGAGUUCCAUCAGAAGCCACACAUUUUAUCAAUGGAAUGCUAUUAAUAUUUGUGCCCUUAAAUCUUGAAGACCAGUAUUUCGCAACAAACAGUAAAAGUUGAACAUAGAGAUCUUCUGAUACUCCAUCCACAAGAUCAGAACUCUGGAUGCACUUUGCAUACCAACCAUAAGUCACCGAUUUAACCCCUAAAAAAUUGAGUACAUUAUAAUACUCCCUUUUAUCAAAUGAAGAGCUCAAGAUUUUCCUCCCAUCAUGAGAAGAUAGGUUAAGCAAGUGCACGCUUUCGUCCCUGGCUUUAGUCAAAAUAUUCCAGAAUUCAGGCAGCAACCUGCUAACUUCACCAGGCUUAUAGAAGUGCUUCUGCUUGGAGUACGUCUCAAUAGGAACAAUACUUUCUUCAACCAAUUUUGCUUUGAUUUUGUCCCUCACAUAAUUAAACUUCUCAAAUGUAGAACUUUCAAUGGGAAGGAACUUGAACAUACUAGCCAAACUAGAUACUGGAGCUUGAACUGAUCCUAUGACAAGUGUUUUGAAUGCAUCUAAAAAUGCUGAUGGAACACAGUCAAGUAUUCCUUGGUUCCAUUUAUUAUCCAAGAGAAUUGUCUCCCUUGAUGAGGCAAGGACAAAAUCUGCUUGAAUAAUGAAAGGAAAAUUAGUGACCAUCCCUGUAGGAAGAAAGGCAUAGACCCCUGGUGAGCUUUUGCCUCUAUGAAGUCUCUCCUGAUUAGGGAAGGCUAGUGUCACAACCCAUUCUUCCACAUCUGUUCUCCUUUCGACCGCAUUUUCUGGCCUGACCGGAAACUUUUGCUUCCACAUGUAGUAGCUGCAUUCCUUCUCAGCAUCACUAUUUUCUUCUGCAGAGAGAUGGAUUGUGUAGGAUUCAGCAUUCAUGUUUUUUCUAGUCACGAAGUUAAUCUCACUUGAAAUAGACACAUCAGUUACAGUGUUCUGUUUGGGAUUCUCACUAACUUCCCUGACAGAAAGGUGUCUGAUUUUCGUAAGGAACAGAAGGACUUCUGGAUGAAAGCUUGAGAGCUUCUGUUUAACAGGUUCGACCUUAUCCGACUUCAGAGGUAAGACAAUUGUUGUAGUUCGAAGGGAACCUUUACCAGCGCCAUAUAUCUUCUUUAUGUCAACAAGGGUUGGCUUCUCCUCAACCCAUUCAGGAACUAUAUACCCAAGACUGCAAUGUGGACAAGGCUUCUCAUUGAACCUUAUCUGAUAUCCAUUGCUAAAAACAUAAGGCUGAGCCGUAACCAGAAACACACUCUUGAAACCAAUUCCUGAAAUUCAACCAUAGCAAAGAUUCUGUCAACUUUUUCAAUUUGGCCACUCAAAUAUAUAUCCAUAGUCGAGAAUAAUUUUAUAGUAUUUCUUGAGUAACAAGUAUUUCUAAUAGAAAAGUAAAGAUGUUUAAGUUUUACAAAAUAGAUUAACUGGCAUUGAAAUCAUUCAAACAAAUUAGAUCCAUAUACUUACAUUUCAGAUAUUAAAAAAACAAUGAAAACAUUAAACUAAUUUUCAUUGAAAGUAAAUAUUUUAGCAACAGUCCUUGAGAAUGUAAUGUACCUUUCUCUCCUAUAUAACCACUGCUCCUAUUGCCUUUCUUCGUUGACCGUCCAACACUACAAAUGGAGUCAAUGUUUUUUGAAAAGAAGCCCUUUUCAUUAUUGAAAAUAAGCAAUGUGGCUGGAGCACCAGUACCAGUGAUGUCAUCAGAAGUUAUGACAAACUCAAGUGUUGGAUUCACUCCUUCAUUAUAGUGGUUGUCUUCAGCAUUCUGUAAGAAUUGACAACAACAAAAAUUAUGGAAAAGAAUUUUAAGCACUAUAAUUCAAAAAUAGAAAUGUUAUAUUGACAACAAAAUUGUGGCCAGCACCAAAUAUAUAUAAACAGUUGCAAUAUAUUUUGACUUGUUAUAUUAUUUUUCUCUUUCCCAGUCACAUUGUCAAUUUUUGAGGUGUAUAAUCUAUUUUGACUCCAUAAUUGAUUCUAACUUGAAGUUAGGGAUUGUCGUUUUUGACUUCAAACAUGAUUUUUACACUCAAAUAUAUUGAUCAACUCACUUUUACAUAUAUGUAUCCAAACAUAACUCACUUUUGACAAAAAAUCAAUUUUUUACCAAAUCAACAUUCAAAAUCAAUUUUUGUCACUGCAAAAUCGAACAUACACAAAAUAUUGUAUUUUUACAGCAUAACAAGAUAUUAGUUUAUUUAUUUUCAAAUAUAACAUCCCUCGUUUAGAAACAUGAUUGCAUAAUUCUAAAUAGGGAUAAUGAUAAUGAUAUAACCUCUCUGGCACCAAUACUUCUGAUCGAAAGUGUGUCACAUUAAAUUAUGUCAUUUUUUUCAAAUUAUUAUCAACGUCGACGGUGUCCAUGUUGUGUCCCGUGUAUGUGUCUGUGCUUCGUAGGAUGUAACUAAAUAUAGAACAUCACUCAUUUACAUGUAUAAGUAUUCUCAUCAGAAUCGUGCAUCGUAUCAAAACAAAAUAAUCGAAACAAUUCCUUCAACAAAAAAAAAAAAGAAAAUCGAAACAAUUAAAAAAUAAAAAUCAGAAUAAGAAUGGUCUUAAUAUUGUGUAACUCAAAACCUACACCAAAAAAACAAAUUUUCACAACAUUAUCAUUCAUAUUCAUGCAUGAUUACACUAUAAGAAAUAAAAAUAUGAAAAAUUAAAGAAUGUGUACUUGAAUGAGUUCCAUGAGGAAGUGAACAUCUUUGGCGUAAAGUUCCGCAAAGAGAUUUUUGACAGCAUGAUGAAGAUCUUCAGUCAAUGGAUUAGGUUUCCCACCAAUGGAAACUUUUUUCUUCGUAUCUCUUCUAUGUGUUCCUUUGGCGUUGCCGUUAUUCUCUGAUGGCAGUGAAGCGCAAAUACUGACAGUGAAAACUGUAAACGAAGACUCCUUUUGGAGAAGAAAAGUUAAAAAAUAAAGGCUAAACCCUAAAUUUUACUUUAUUUACGAACAAAAUAUAAUAUUAGGCCAUAAAAUCUAACUUGUCUCAUUUUUUUUUUUUUCAAAGGAAAUUGUCUCAUGUUUUAAAAUGUCACGAACUAUGUGUAAAAAAAAAAAAAAAAGUCACGAACUAAUAUUUUUUUUAAAAUAUUCGUCCAAAAAAUCGAUUAAUCUAAAUGAUCAAUCUCAUUGGUCAUUAGGAGAGACUCAUUGAAACUAGAGCGAAACUAUAUAUGAAUUCAUGACCCAACACAAAAAUUGUAGACAUCUACAUGAUAUUUAAACCUCAAAUCAAAAGAGAAACACAAUUUUAAGUUCCAAACUUACACCAUUAACCCAAACCUCAAGUUCAUGGAGUAAUUUGUUCUUACUUAAUAGACUAAUUUGUUGUUAUUAUUUUUUAUCAAUGGCUAAAUUGAUUUGCUAACCAAUUACAAGUGACUAAAUUUGGUAACUUUUAUAAAAAUAAAAAUCAAAACUAAGAGAUUAAAAGAAAAUUCUUAAGUCCGAAAAUAUCAUCAAAAAGGAGUUUUAAAACUCACUAAACAGAAGACUCCAAAAUAUAUAUGUUUAUUAAAUUGAUCAACUGAAAUGAUGGAAUUCAUAAAUCAAUCGACAUUUCAAUUAGUCAAAUUCACUCUCUUAUUCCACCAAGAAGAUUUUUUUUUUUUUUUUUGUGGUCAUUCUAGUUUGGUUUAUUUGCAUCCUCCUUCAGAUAACGUGAUUAAAGUUAAUGUUGAUGGUAGUUCGAUUGGUAGAUAACCCUGGUAGAAUAAGAUUUAGGGGUCUCAUCGUAAAUACUCUGGGUGGUUGGAUUAUUGGUUUUGCUGGAAGUUGUGGUUAUGUUACUAAUAUUAAUGCGGGGGCAUCGUGCUAUUUCUUAUGAGUUACAAAUAACUUAGGAUCAUGGUUUUAGAGAUAUCAUUUAUGAGUCAGACUCUCAAACGACAUUGAAUGUUAUCAAGUACGGGAUCCUACUUACUUACUCUUAUGCACAUCUUAUUGAUAAAAUUCGUUCUUAUAUAUGUUGAGAGAUUAGAAUGUUGGUUUUGGUCAUACCUUGCAUGAAGAGAAUUCUUCUGCAUAUUAAAUCGCUAAAUUAGACGUCUCGCUUACUCAUGAGCUUAGAUCACCCUACUUAUCCUUCUCGUCUAUUCGGAUAUUGUCUAAUUGAGACCAUGGGAACUCAAUUCCUGUUUGUAGUUUUUAUUUUAUUUUAUCUUUUUUUUUUUUUUUUUUGCUUUAGUUUUCCUUUUGAUACAAAAAUCAAUUAUCAUUGACUAUGACUAAUAAUUGAUUGCCUAAUCAAUUUUUUUGACAAGUGAUUGCCUAAUCAAUUAUUAGCAUACAUAUUAGCGUAGAUAUAUUUUAACAUUUUAUUAUUAUGAUCUAUCAUAUUAAUCUAUUAUUCAUUCAUUUUUAUAUUUUAUUUAAUAAUAUUUAUUUUUUAAGUUAAUCUAUUUUUUCUACUACUUCAUAUGUUAGAAACAUAAUCGAUCAUUGUCAUUUCAUGAUUUUUUUUUUUUGGUGCAAUCAGGAUAUUAAUUUUUAAUAUAUUAAAAAAAAAAAAUUGACAAAACUUAAAACUUAUUAUCUGUCCUCUAAAUUUUAAUUUUACUAUCUUAGUUGAAACAUGUUAAAAAUUAAUUGAAAAUAUUUAUGUCAUCUAAUAUUUAUCAGCUAAUUCAACUAGUCCACUCAAAAAAUAAAAAAUAAAUAAACUAGUUGACUAGUAAUUAAUUUUACCUAACACUAAAGAUUCUAUCCUACCUUAUUUUUUGUCAAACAUAAUAUAAUUAUAAAAUAUAUAGAUAGAUACACAUGCCAAGUUCAGUACUGAUUUUUUGUCUUAUUUCACAAUUUACUUAAACUAUUAAACUUAUAAUUAUAAUAUUUUAUCCAAUCAAAUAAAUAUUAUUUUCUUAAAAUAAACGUAUAAAAUUGUAUACGUUUAUUAUAUUAUUUACCAAUUAGAAUUAAAAAGAAAAAUAUCAUCGAUAAUAGACAUUUAGUGAUCAUAACCAUAAUCAUGGAACAAAAUCCAAGGACUUUAGAUGAAAGAUCUUUGAGUCUGGUGCAAAACAAAAAAACACCAGGAUUCUAAAGCUCAGAGUGUGAUCCUUGGUAUGGUUACAUGUGCCCCCCUUUUUUUCUUUAUCAUGAACAUUAGCACAACUAAUUAUCUUCUUAAGAACAAUGUACAAUUCGAAUGAAAGGUUUAUAAAGAGAUGGAGCCAGAUAGUAUGUAGAAAAGGUUUACAAAUGCAUUCAAUCAUAUUUUGUCAUCGAGAAUAGUAGAGAUGAUACAAGUGAUAGAUAUUUGAGUCUCUCAACAAUUUGUAACCACAUUUUAUAGUUUUCAUAAAAAAGAAAAUUUUACAACAUUAAGGGACAAAAUUUAAAUAUUACUGGAAAAACAUGUAACAUUUAUUAUACUGCAGAUAUUUAUAUUGUCUUAGAAGUUUACUCUUCAGAUGGAAAUUAACUAAAUUUUUAUAAUAGAAAUAUUGGAGGUAUGUUAGUAGAGAAAAUGAAACUGACAAAAAGAUGAUGGUCCCUAACAUUUACUAACUGCUCAAUGACAAAAUUAAUUGUCAUAUUACUCAUACAAUGUUUAAGUCUAGAAAACUUUCUUAUACAACUAAAGGUAUAGUGAUUUACAAUAACUGCUACUGUGUUGGGUGGAAGAAAAAAAUCUGGCAUAUGUUAGAGUGAAGUGGUUUUAGCAGUUAUGUUUUAUGAAAUCAUGACAGUAGCAAUUGUAUCAACACAGUGAAAUUCAACAAACCAUAAGUGCUGUCUUAUAAAGACCAAAUGUUCAUCAGAUAAAAGUAAAGAAAGCCAAUAUUGUAGACAAAAUAAUUAGAUAAUUCAGUCAUUAAGAUAAUGACAUAUCCACUGAAAGGAAAACAAAUUGAAAUAAACAAACUGAAAAACACAAGUAAGCAGUGGCAAGAUAGACUUAGUCAAAAGGGAAGGCAGAACUGAGGAACUCCUCAUCCUCAAGGUCAAUCUGAAGAUUCUUGGAUUCCAUUAGAAAAUCAAUUUCUUCAUUCUUAAAUUUCAGAACAAAGCCUAGUGUGAUUAGUUCCGAGAGUGCAGCAACAUGAUCAUGAUUCUCACGCAAAAUACCCUCGGAUAUUGCUUCAGAGAAACUUGUAGCACAUCUCAAUGCAUCACCAGGAACUUCCUCCAUCUUCUGGAUGAUAAACUUGCAGCUUUGACUUUCCCAACGUACCCUUUUGUUUGCUUUCUUUGUAAUGAUUUCCCCUGAUGACAAUGACAAACUAUAGCUUACAUUGAUCGGCUCUGUUGUCUCAUGGAAACUCGAGUUGAUAAGACUUUGAACAGCUUCAUGUCUCUUCUUUGGUUCCAUUUUCGGGAAAGCACAAGCAAGAAAACCAAGAAUAAGCUUAACCAACCCCUUUAAGUUGAAAAUGUUAUUUGGAUCAACAUAGUUCAGUUUAUCACUGUCAUUCACGGAGGCUGAUUCUUCUUUGCACAGUGAUUCAGAGAUAUUUCUAACACCAAUUUUUCUGUAAAUGUCAGACAGCUCAGACUUGGAAAAUGUUUUCAUGCUAUGCUGGGGAUACCAUACAAAAACUUUCUCCCUCUCAAAAAGCUUCUUCAUAUGAAGAUUAUCGGGAAUAAAAGCAUCUUUUUUAUCUACCAGAAAUAUUUCAUUAUUUCCCGAUGAUGUAGGCAGUUUCAUCAAACUCUCUGCAAGUUUUUUCUCUUGAUUUGUGCUCAAAUGUUUUGAUAUAGACGUCCAGAACUUGCAGCACUCAUCAUAUGACAAUUGCUCCAUUGAGCUCCCCCAAUCAUUCCAGAGGUCAACAUAAUCUUCUACAUAGGGCUUACUUUUUAUAUCCAUUGCAUAUAAGAAAAAAAGAAGAAUAUCUUCGUCAUAGAUAUCUUCUAGAACAUAAAACUUUGAACCAAAAAGUUUGGCAGGGUCAUGUAAGACGCAUUCUUUAGAAUCAACGAACUUACCACCUUUAAUUCCAUCAAGAAUCCAAACCUUCUUUGCAGCAUUCUCCUCAGCUUUCCAGUUGUAUUGAUAUAAAAACUUGUAUAUUUUCACAAUGGUAUCAUGAUCAGAGAGAGUAUCAAGGUGACUGGCAAGCAAGGAGCACCCCUUUUCAACUUCACUAAUGACCCCUAUCGCGUUGAGUUCUUUCUGGAAAAAUGCAAUAUUUGGUCCAUAAAAAUUCUCAUCUAUAAAAGGUCCAUCAGUUGGAUUCAAUAAAGAACUCCACUUGGAACCAAACAACAAACACUUCUCUGGAGACCUAUAACCAGCAUGUGUCUUCAACCAAUUUUGGGACAAUCUUCCUCUGAAAUCAUCUUCAAAUGCAAGGUUGUUAUCUUGUAUUAGAAGUUGGAUGCAUUCCAAUAAAGAAAACACACUUUCAGGACUAAUGGUGGAGGGAUUUGAAGGAAAAUUCAGACAUUCAGCCACAAACCUCAACCCGUCUUUCAAUUCAGUAACAACACCAAUGCUCUUCAGCUCUGCCUUGUAACCACCACAUUUGUCACUAUAAUCAAUGAAAGGGAGACGAGUUAUAGAAGAUAUUGAUUCCCACUCCGGACUGUAUAAAAUGCAAUUUUUUGGGCACCUAAAUCCACCAACACUAGUAUGCAACCACUUCAUUUUACGCAUGAGGGCUGAGAAAUCAGAAGGAAAAGACCCCUCCAGCUGCCUGCAACAUUUUAGAAAUGAGAUAACAUGUUUUUGGUUAAUUGAAGUUUCCAAUGCCUUUCGUUCAAAGAGACUUGAAAACUUUUUUAUAGCAUUUCCAUAAUCAACCACCACCCCGAUUUGCCUCAGUUCGUCUUUGUAAGAGAAAAUCUUCGCCCCAUAAAAGUUAUGAUCAAUAACAGGAAGAUCAAUGAAUACCUCCAGAAUGCAGCCCCACACUGGAUCAUACAAGAAACAUUCAGCUGGUGUUUUGAAACCCGUGUUGGUCUUCAAGCAGCCUGUUCCACUUAACGAAUUCAAGAGUUUAUCGGGGGCAUUCAAGUGUCUGAUGCAUUCCAUUAUCAAAAGAACAGCCUCAGCGGUCAAUGAAGCCAAAUUUGAAGGCGACUUCAAAUGCUCAAUGACGACUUGGUAAUUUCCAGUUAAGUCAACUAUCACUCCUAGCAACUUGAGCUCCUCUUUGUAAUUAUAUAUUUGUUCACCAAAAUAAGCACGAUCAAUGAAAGGGAUAUCACUAAUUUGUGAUGCAACUUGCCAUCCUGAGUCAUUCAAUACCGAUCCCACAGGAGGCCUAAGACCACAAGAUGUCUUUAGCCAACUUGCCUCUUUGAUGCUGUCAACAAAAUUGUCCAAAGGAAGAAGGUUUGUCCGGAUAUAUUGGACGAAGUUAAGAAUCAAAAGAACAUGACUCCUACUUAAUGAGAAAGAAGCAGCACGAGACAUUAGUUCUUUUCCAAUAAAUUCACAUGCUUCCUCACAAUUGAACAUAACUCCAAUUGUUUUCAAUUCCUCUUUGUACUCAUUUAUUCUCUCUCCAUAGAAGCUUUCAUCUAUUAAGGGAAUAUCCACAAGAACUGAACCACUUUGCAAAAUAUUUCCCAAUGAACCAAUUAAGAAUGACUUUGAAGGAGACAUGAAUCCAUUACCCGUAACUUUAAGCCAGCUGCCUUCUUUUAUGCAUGCCAAGAACCUCUCUGGUAGGUGCACUCCCUUAUGCUUCAGUUCCCGAAUCCAAUCCAAAAGUAAAAAGGCAUUUUCUUUGGUGAGUUGAGUAUCUGCAGCUGAAAACCCAGCAUUUGGAGGAGAUAGAUAAGGUAUGUCAGAAGCUCCAACAUGAUUUUUGAGGAAUUCAAUAAGCUUCCCAGAAUCUGUAGAUUGGUCUGCAUAAGAUGCAUUUAGGUACAUCUUUCCUAGCUCAACAUAAUUUUCUUUUCUCCAUGGAUUAGAAACCAUUAAGUCUGCCCAUUUGCUAACAUUUUCAGGCAGAAGAACACCAUUUCUACUUUUAGUUAUACGUCCAUUCUUGUCCACAAGUGGCAUAGAACUACAUAAAUCGUCAACCUCCUGACAUGACAAAUAACCUUCUGACAAAGAAUGGUAUAAGAAAUGAGCAUAUGCAACGGCAAGCUUGCGGUUAUUUUUAAUAGAACUGGAGAGGUCCUUUGCAAAAAUGUACCCAUUCAGAGUGUGAACAUUAACAUCAUUUACAAGCCAAUCGACCAAAGCCUUCUUAAAGUUCAAUUGCGAGAUAGCUUGCUGUGUGCUUUCUGGCAUAAAAAACUGGUUUGCUGCACAUCUAAAUGUUUUGUUCCAAUUGAUCAACCAAGAAGUCCGACUUAGGUCCGCCAGCAUUACUCGCUUGGCACCUGCUUCGUUCUGUUUGCAUUCUUUGAUAGUCAAAAACGACGGAAUCUCAUCAGAAGCCACAUAUUUAAUCAAUGGAAUAUUAUUAAUGAUGUUGGAAUUCUUAAACUUUUUCCAAUUUUUAGCCAAAAACAGUAAAAGCUCAAGAUAGAGAUUUUCUGAUACUCCGUCCACAAGAUUAGUACUCUGGAUACACUUUGCAUACCACUCAAACUUCACAUGUUUCACCCCUAAAAAUUUUAGUAUUGCCUCAUACUUGCUUUUAUCAAACGAAGAACUUAAGAUUUUCAUCCCAUCAUGAGAAGAUAGGUGAAGCAAGUGCACUCCUUCCACCCGGGCCAUUGUCAAAAUAUUCCAAAAUUUAGGUAGUAGCCUGCUAACUUCACUAGGCUUGUAGAACUGCUUCUGCUCUGUGAAUGUCUCAAUAGGAACAAUUUUUUCUUCAGCAAGUUUUUCUUUGAUUUUCUCCCUCGCAUAAUUGAAAUUCUCAAUCGGAGAACUAUCAAUUGGAAGGAACUUGAACCAAUCAGGCAAACUGGAUACUGUUAAUUCAUUUGAUUCUGUCACAAGUGUUUUGAAUGCAUCUACAAAGGCUGAUGGAACAUAUUCAAGUAUCCCUUGAUUCCACUUAUCAUUCAAUAGAAUUGUUUCCCUUGACGAGGCAAGAACAAAAUCUGCUUGAAUUAUGAAGGGAAAGUUAGUAACCAUCUCUGUAGGAAGAAAUGCAUAAACCCCUGGAGAGCUCUGAUGCUUGCGAAGCUUCUUAAUCUUCUGAAGCCUCUCCUGACGUGGGAAGGCCAAUGUCACAACACACUCUUCCACAUCCUUUCUCCUUUCCACCACAUUUUGCAACUUGACAGGAAACUUUUGUUUCCACAUGUAAUAGCAGCAUUUCUUUUCGUCACUACUCUUUUCCCCUGCAGAUAGAUUGAUUGUGUAAGAUUCAGCAUCCAUGUUUUUCCUUGUCACAAAGUCGAUCUCGCUUGAAAUAGAUACAGAAGUUACAGUGUUCUUUUUGGGAUCCUCGUUGUCUUCUCUGACAGAAAGAUGUCUGAUUUUUAAAAGGAACAGUAAAACUUCCGGGUUAACGCUCGAGAGCUGCUGUUUCACAGGUUCGACCUUGUCUAGCUUAAGAGGCAAGACAAUUAUUGUCGUUGGAAGGGAAUCUUUACCAGCACCGUAUAUCUGCUUUAUGUCAAGAAGGCUUGGCUUCUCCUCAACCCAUUCAGGAACUAUAUACCCAAGACUGCAAUGUGUACAGGGCCUCUCACUGAACCUUAUCUGAUAUCCGUUGCUAAAUAUAUAAGGCUGAGCAGUAACAAGAAACACACUCUUGAAACCAAUACCUGAAAUUCAACCAUAGGAAAGAUUAUGUCAAAGAUUUGUAUCAUCUAAAAUUUGGCUACUCUCGUAGAUAUCCAUUGUCAAGAAUAAUCUUACAGCCCUUGAUUCAGAUACUUCUUGAAUUAUACUAAUCACUAAAUUGAUUAAAAAGGCUUUACAAAAUAUACAAAACUGUCUUCGAAAAAAUAGCAUGUUUAAAUUUCAGAAAUAUAUUUUUCACAAGAAAUACUAUUGUGGAAACACUGUUAAAUUAGCCAAUGUUUCUUUCCUAUGAUAUAACGGCUGAAAAUAUCCUCUGUAUAUGAACAAAUUAAUUGAUAUUAAAUUGAUUCAAGAAAGUUAAAUGCCUAUACAUACAAUUCAACCAGGUACUAAAAUAUCAUUUAACUAUCAUUCAAUGAAAGAACCACAUAAUCACUAGUUCUUCUCAAGGAAAAAGUACAAAAUAAAUUAAGAGACAUUUAAAGGUGACAAUAUACCUUUUUCGCCUAUGUAACCGCUGCUCCUAUUGCCUUUCUUUGUUGACCGUCCAACACUGCAGAUAGAUUCAAUGUUUUGGCGAGAGAAACCCUUUUCAUUGUUGAAAAUUAGUAACGUGGCUGGAGCACCAGUAGCUGUUAUGUCCUUUGAAGUUAUGAUGAACUCCAAUGUUGGACUCACUCCUUCAAUAUAGUGGUUAUCUUCAGCAUUCUGUAUAAGCAAAGCAAAAUUUUAGGGUGAUGAGUGUCAACCAGUAUAAUUUGGAAAUAAAAUUGCAUCAUUCUAGAUAGAGAUAGAGAUGGACAUAGAACUAGAGAAACCAUUCUUUUACACUGCUAUCUAGCACUAACCAGUUACUGUUGGCAGCUGAAACAACAUACAUACUCAACUGUUAAGCAUGAUCACAUGAUCAAAAACUCAGCUUCUUAUUAGAAAUGGUUCAAAAGAAUUUCUAAUUCUUUUCUACAUUGUAUUGAAAGUUAAACAAAUAUCCCACAUUUGAUCCAACUAUAAUGUAGCUUAGAAGAAGAUGUCUAGAAAUAGAUUAUUUUCCAAAUAUAAAUAUUUGAAAAACUUGUUUAGAAACAUUGGUUAUUUUUUUGAGGCAAGGAACCUUGGUUGUUAAAACUUUUCUUUUUUGGCUUUAGAAGAAUAAGAUCUUAUAAACACACAUGUGACAGCAAAAAGAUUAAUUUAAUGAAUAAUUACAAAUGAAUGAUGAAAAAAAAAAUGGAUAUGAAAUGAGUGACUUAACAUUUAACAAAACCUCAAAUUUAAUUAAGGGGGAAAAACCUAGUUAACCAAUCACACCAGAAGUUCUAACAACAUUCUCUCCCACACAUUAUACCCAAAAUACUCGGUCAUUGAGUCAUCAUUGAUAAUCAAACCGGUCUCACAAUUUUAAAUAGAGUGCGUGUUGCUAGCACUCCUCUUUUAAAAAUGGAUCCUACUAAAUUGUGUGUCCUACAUAAAUUUGUUGGGAUCCAUAUGAUUUUUAAACACAAGAAAAGUCUGUGCUCGAAAUAGUGUGUUACAAAAUGGGUUGCUAAUAUUUUUCUAAACAAUAAUAUAACAAAAAGAACAGUGUAAAAAUGUUUUUCAUGUGUCUAACUAUAUUUCACUAUAGUAUCAUGUCAUACGUUAUUUCCUAUAUGCAGAAAUAUCUACAUAGGAAAAUUUAAUUUUACAUGGUCAUAAAUUUUAUACAAUCUAUCCGUGCAAAUGUUAAGGAAUAAAGCUAUAUUUUAACCUCCAAUAAUAAUACUAUAAUGAAAAAUGCAAUAUUACAACUUCAUAACAAAGAAAAAAAUAUGCAUUAUUAAAAAACUAGCAUAGAGUUUGUAUGUAAGAAAAGAAGUGUAAAAGAAAAGUGAUGAAAAGGUGACUAGGUAAGGUACCUGAAUGAGCUCCAUUAGGAAAUGAACAUCUCUGGUAUAUAGUUCAUCUGAGAGAUUCUUGACAGCUUGGUGAAGGUCCUCAGUCAAAGGGUUUGGAUUGCCACCAAUGGAGAACUUUUUCCUUCGUAUCUCUUCAAUGUGUUUUUUCUGUGUAGCCAUUUUGCUCAUAUCUCAAUCCUCAAAAUCAAGUGCCGCAAAGUAACUGGUAGUGAAGUACACUGUUUGAAAUGUGUAAGAGAAUACAAGAAGAUCAUUAAGCCGGAGAAGAAGAAAAAAAAUCAAGUUUUAAUUUUACUUGAAAGGUUUAACACACUUCAAAACUAGUGAUUACUUCCUCAAUUUUGCAAUUUUUAUCUAGACAAUACAUAAAUAAUUUUGAUUUUAAUGAAAUGUUAAAUAUCUGAUUACCAUUCAAGUAGUUUUUAGAAAAAGGAAGGAAUGAACAAUUUUUAUAUUUAUUUGUUAUUUUUAAAUUUUAAUGUUAUAUUAACUACUUUUCUGUCAAUUACACCCUUACUUUAUGAAAUAUUUUACACUUACAUUAAUAGACAUAGUAAAUCAGUGAGUAGACUAAUAACAUGUAAAGAGAGUAGUGUCCUCCCACUCUUUUGUUGAUAUUUUCUGCGAGUAACAGCCGAGUCUAAUCCAUUCGAGGAUUUAGCAUGUUUAAAGGUUGUCUCUUUUGUACGUCUAAGUCAGAAAUUCAACUCAUAGUCCGCAAACAUAAAGGACUCAAAUUACUUAUCAUUUGAACUAUACAAGUUUGGUCCUCUCCAAUUUCAGUACAACAGCCUUAAAACAUGAAAAGAAACAAUUGUAAAGGUUUAUUAAUGUUUAGGUUAGUUGGGAUGGGAUCAGAAUCUCAAAAACUAACAAUGGUUGAGAAAUUAUAAUAACAAAAGAAAUCUUGAUUCUUUAAUUAAAUUAAUGCAUGAAAACUGAUGAUAUAGUAAAUAAUACUAAUCAAUCUUGCAUGGAGAAAGUCUUACCUAUUUAGAAGCUUCUUGCUAGCAAACUGAACAAGUGCAGCUGAUCCUACAAGUUUGAGAAUUGUUUCUAUAUCUACAAUUUGAGGAACAUCAAUAAACAAGAUAUGAGUAGAGUCAAACCAAAAUGGAUUAUUGCUUAUUGGAAAAAAGGCAACAACGCAAUCAAUCAACCUCAGAUAAAGUUAAUACAGAUAAAUUCAGUGGCUGCAGUAAUCCAAGAGCAACAUUCAAGCCAUUAUAGUUAUCCUGCAAUAAACUUCCAUUAAUUAGAAACACUUAGAAAAGCUAAAAUUUAAUGUCAUGAAAAAAAGUACUAUUUAUUUUAAGGCAAGCAAGCAUGUACAAGUGGGUCAAUCACCAUAUUUUAUAAAAUUAUCACACUUUCAUAUUUAACUGUCCUAAUGAGUAAGUCGUUUUCAAUUCUGCUCUUAUCCCUUCAUUGAUUACAAUAUUCCUCAAUUUGAGAAAGCUAAAAUAUCAUUUCUCUCAAAACAUAGUGCAGGUGAAUUGAGACAUGUUGAAGAGCUAAUGUAGAACAUGUUGUGAUAAGCUGUUUUCACAAGUUCACUUCAACAAUCUUAAAAGUGCUUACAUCGGCAAAGAUAAACUCAAAUAAAUGAAUCCAAACAAGAUGAUUUAUGUAAUUUGAAAAGUAAUAGUACAUACUCUAAUUGCACUAUUGAUAACAAUAAUUGUGAGAUUAGCAAACUCCAAACUGAAUGCUUGAUUUGGUUGUAUCCAAGAAGGAAGAUAAGUAUUCUGCAGAAAAUAAAUUCAAAUGUAAGUGAAUUAAUGAGCAGAGAAAAUUUGGUAGUAUGAUAAAUGAUAAAUAUGAAACAUAAAAGAGAAAAGUGUUGUUUUAAUUAGAAGUUAGGUGACGGCAGUGACGACGACGGAGGGAGGAAGAGGAAGAGGAGGAUUUGAGUCAUCAUCAAUGAAGACCCAGCAGAAUACAAAGAGUGUGGGAACUAAAAGUUUUAUAUUUUUGUGUGCGAAUAAAAUUGAAAUGAAUGAUAAAGUUUUUUCUCAAAAUAUUUAAUAUUAUUGUCAAAAGUGAAAUAAAAACUGAUUUUGGUAAAAUGUCUAUAUAACAAAAAAAUUAAAUUUUGUUAAAUCUUAUGAAAUUCUAAAAGAAAUUAUGAUAAAUGUUUUUGGGACAUUCUUUAAUGAAUCAAGAGAUAUCGUAUAUUUAUGACUUUAAUAACUAUUUGACUUAUAUUUUUAAAUAAAAUUUUUAUUUUUAAAGUUUCUUGAAUAAUGUUCUUUUGACACUUAUUGUUUGUUAGCAUGACUCAUUCUAAUAAGAUUAAAGGGAAAAUAUAUUUUUAAAAAGAAAGGAAAUAAUGAUUAAAAUGUUGUGUUUCAUUGGACGAGGUAUGUUAUUUAUUUUUUGAAAGGCAUUGAGGUAAGUUAUUUAAAGUUUCAAUUUUUUUCCCUUAAUAUAUUUAAGAUCCCAUUAAAUAAAAUGAUUGAUAUCUAAGUCAAAACUUUAAACAAUUUUUUUUUGUCAGAGUUUGAACCCCAACUUUUCAUAAUUAUGCAUUGUCCCUACCAAUAUCAAGUGAGCUAAGCUCACGAGGACAAACAAUUAUUUGAAAGAAACUUUACUCUCCUUUCCUUUUCUUCUCUUUAUACCUCUUUAACCAUAAACCACUAAUAAUUGUGACAGCCCAUAAGGUAGAGUUGAGUAUUAUUACGAGGUAUAGAAAGGUUUAUAAUUUUUUUUUUAGGGAAAGAAUAUUUUCUUUUAACAAUCAUAAAAAAUGUUAAAUAUGUUUUUGAUUCCUAUAAAUAUGUCAACUUUUUCGUUUUAUUCCCUCUAAAAAAUUUCUUCAACUUUUAGUCCUUCAAACAUAGAAUAAAUUUUUAUUACGUAGAAUUCUUACUUUUGAAUAAAAUAAAUUUUGCAGAUUUUUUGUUGUUGUGGUGCCAGGGGUUUGAUGCCCAGCUCAGGUCUUGCAUAUAUUAUGUAUGACCAUACAAACUGAGUUAAGCUCACGGGAACUGCAGAAAAAUUUAUAAUAUCUAUUUUUAGCCUACCCCACUUAGUGGGUUAAGGCUUGGUUGUUGUUGUAUAAAGAUCACUCCAAAAUAAAUUGGAAUAUUUUACCAAACCACGAAUUAAGUAUGAAAUUUUUAUAUUUGUGGUGGUAAAAAAUUCAUAUUUAAUUUAUGUUUUGUUAAAAAGUUCUAAUUUUUUAGAAUGAUUUUUACAAUAUUCUAUACAUUUCUGUACAAUUUAAUUAAAAAAUAUAAAAAUUUAUUUAAAAAUAGGGACCAAAAAUAGUGAUUGAAAUUAUAAGGACUAAAAGUUGAAGGAAAAUUUUUAAGGGACUAAGAGAAAAAAAAUUGGUAAAUUUAUAGGAAUCAAAAACAUAUUUAACGCUUAUAGAAAUGGGUCUCAUAUAAAGUGAUUAAACUCUCUUCUAUUGGAUGAAACAUAUAUGUGUCCCACAUAUUGGAAAUGAAAUCCACACUUUUAUUGGAUGAAACAUAUAUAUGUCUCACAUUUUGGAAAUGAAAUCCAUGUAAAGUGAUGGGACACACAUAUAUUUCAAAAAUGUUAUAUUCCCAUAAAUAAGGUAUCAAAAGAGGCGACAUGGACCUAGAUUGAUGACCAUAGUCGACCUUGUUCUAAAUAAAAUAAAAAAAGGGACCGUUUUAAUCAACAUGAUUGCGUCAUUUUCAGACUGCACUGCUCUUUGAAGGAUACGGUUUUUACAACAAAUCUCAUGUAAUUUUGUACCCAUAAGCAUUGAAUAAAAUUAUAUUUCAGUCAAAACAAACCCUAAAAUCAAAGAGAACACCACUUAAAAUACGAUAGAGGUGUGAUUUACCCAAACAAACCCUUAAAUCUUAACCCUAAAAAUAAAAAUAACGUUCCAAUAAAUAAGACAUCAAAAUGAUUUGAGGUAGACCUAGAUCGACCUUUUCAUGCAUCAUGUUCGUUAAAAGACAUACAAUAUCAAAGGCGAUAUGAAAACUUCAAGAGAUCGAAAUAGAACUCCUUCAAUGGCUAUAGCCUAUAUAUAAUUGCAUGCAACGUUUGAAUAUACUUAGGAUCAACAAAACCUAGACAAAUUUGAGAAUGCUAUUCUAAUGUUACAUAUACGAUUCAGAAAGAAAUUCACAAAAGAAAAAACAUUGACAUACUAAUAAAUAAAUAAAAUAGUCUAAGAAAUGGUACUAACCCUAAUGAUCGUGACAAAACCUUGAGUGUUGAUCGAUGAAUGGAUCCAAUAUCGGCGGUUCUGUAAUUCAGUCCCUCUAAUGCUGCUGUUUUUUGUGAUUUGUUGCCAUUUAAUAAUCGAUGCCUCAAAAAUGAGUUAUGUAUGGAAGUUAGUUUUAAUUUGAGGCACAAUUUAAGGAAGUUACUACUGUCAUUUUUUCUUGGUUAAAUUCAAGCGGUGAAUUUUAAUUUUGAAUUUCAUAUUCUUUUUAAUCACCGCUUAAUUUUCAUUUUUUAGGGAAUUCUGAAUUUCAUAUUUUUGGGUCAGUUUUGGUACAUAGAAUUUCAUAUUAUAUUUUUGACAUUUGGAUUUCAUAUUUAAAUCAAAUGAAAUUGAGUUUUUUGUUAAUUUAUAAUUUUUUUACUUUAAGGUUUUCAAGUUCUGAUCCUUCUAGUGUAUAGGUUUGAGACUUUAAAGUGGGUUACUCUCAAGCUUUUUCAGGUUCAAAUGAUCUUGGUGAUAAUUUAUGUGGGGUAGUUUCUAGCCUUUAAAUAUAGUCUUAGCAAGUAGACGGUAAGAUUGACCUCAAAAUUUAGAAGAAAAAAAAAAACAUUUUUAGUGGAAACUCAAGAGAAAUAAAUUAUUUGAAUUAAGUUAGGUAUUCUUUUAAUGUUAUUAAACUAUAAUCUUAAUUUAAAUACUUUUUUAUAUAAUUAAUUUCAUAAAUCAACAUUAUUCAUUUAGUUUACUUUUUAUUUUAAUAAUUUAUAAAAUACUUAGGCUAUGCUCCCUCAACAACAAAAAAAAAUACUUAGGCUAUGCUAUAGACUUUGCAAAACUUGAGUAUGAUCUAAUUAAAAAUGUUAGGUAUGAGUCAUACAUAUUAUCUAUCAUACUCUCAUAUUUAUACUUGAUCUGCCCUUUUUAAAGUAUUGCAAGACCUAAAAACAUGAAUGUAACACCAAUAUUGUCAUUAAUAAUAAGAAGAAAAAAAAAUUAAGCAACUUUAUUUUUAUUGGAAAAAAAGGACUUAAUAAGGGUCGUCUCUUCGCCUUCAAAUAAAAGGGUCGUCUUUUAUAAGUGUGGGUUUUUUUAUAAAAAAAAUAUGUUUGGUUAACAAUUGUCUCAUUCCUCCGAAUUAUUUAUAAGGGUAGGUAUUAUGGCUAGUUAUUUCAAUUUCAUUUCUAUCUACCUGGGAACCUUCUAUACCCUAUCACUUUCUUGAGAAUGGAUAAAUGGUAGUUAUAUUUUACCUACAAACAUUUUAUUCCUGGAGUUAAUCUUUAACUUUAAUUUGAACCAUACAUCUGACCUUUAUAUUUCUAAGAGUAAUUUUUCCAACCUUCAAACAAACACCUCGUAAGGGAAAUGAAGUAGGAAGGUAUUUUAUUCCUUGAAUGCUUUAUAUAUGUGAAUUAAUUUCCUUACUUUGUGAGAAACAUAGGAAUCUUUUUUCUUUAGAAUAGAAAUCCAUCUUUGUAAUAUAUUCUGAAAAUAAUUUUUACAACAGUGAAAUAUAUGUGUAUAUAAAUUAAGAAAUUAAUAAAUUAAUUUUAAAAUGUGAGACAAAGUUNACAAAAUCUUGGAAAAGUUAAUUAAUGGUAAUCAUUUUCGAACGGAUUCACAGGGUUUGAAUACCUUUCCUACGCAUAAUCGACCACCGAGUUUAAAAUUUGGUUUCAAAUACCAAAUUCUUUUAAAGGGCUUUCAGAUGAUCUCUUUAUUUUCCUUCAAAAAAAAAAAAAAAAAGAUGUUCUCUUUAUUUAAAUAAACUUUUGUAGUGAUUUCAUUGCUUUUGAACAACCCUCAAAUUUAUGCCUAAAAUUAUUAUUUCUCAAGUGUACAGCACCAUUUCUGGAACUUAGACAGGGCAAUUUUAUCAUAUGGUUAUAUGAAACUCAAUACAAAGAAAUGGUUGAGGUAUUGAUCAGUUGAAGUUGUGUAAUGGUUCCAACUUCAAACUGUGAUAGUAGCAAUUGUUAUCAGAACAUUGGAGUUCAUCGUAGAAAAGAUAUACUAUCAAUUCAAUCAAAAUAGUAGACUUAAGCUAUCAAUUAAGCAUAUAUAUAGUUGAGUUUUAUCCAAAUCUAAAAUUUUGAUUUUGAUUCUACAUGUACUGUAAAAAAGUAUUCAAAGAAAGUAUUUUAGAAACAUAAUUUUCUUAGAAAUGAACUUCAACGCUGAAAUUCUACAAGUACUGUAUAAUAAAACUCCAACAGGGUGCUCAUCAGAUAAUAAAGUAAAACAAGCAAGUUAUUGUAUCACAUAUAUAAUUGGAUAAUUCAGUCAUACACUGAGAGGAAAACAGAAAUAAACAAACAAAGAAAAUUCGAAAAAAAAAAAACAUUUUGAUCAGUUCAGUGAGUGCAGGAACAUGAUCAUGAUUCUCACGCAAAACACCCUCAGAUAAAUUUUUAGCAUGUUUCAUUGCAUCAUUGCGAACUCUAUCCAUCUUCUGGAUUAUAAACAUAGAUAGAACUUUGACUUUCCAAACGUACCCUUUUGUUUGCUGAUGAUAAUGAUAAACAAUAAUAGCUUACAUUGAUUGGCUCCUUUGAACAGCUGCGUGUCUCAUUUUUGGUACCAUUUUCAAGCCCUUUAAGUUGAAAAGGUCAUUUGCAUCAACAUGCAUGCUUCAGUUUCGCCUAUGUAACCGCUACUCCUAUUGCCUUUCUUUUUCGCCUAUUAUAAUCUUCCCCCAAUAACUGUUUCACCAACUCCACUAAUUAAUCAUUAAGUCGUGAUUGAGAUGGAAGCCUUCUUUUUCUUUUUUCUCUCUCCAAAAAAAUACAAUAGUUAAUUUAACCUUGAAAUUACCCUUCAGAAGAAAAAAUUAACCUAUAAAUUUAGAAGUGACAACAAUUAUGAAAUUUUAUUUCUUAAUAUUUAUACUAUUCAUUUAAAAAAAUUACAUAAGUUAUUCUUCAUUAUUUCUUGAAAUCUUAUAUUUUAUCUGACCAAUACCUUCGACUAUACCUCUGUAUUUUAAGUAACCAAGUGAAUUACUUCUAAUAAUCAUUUGACAUUACAUAAUCAUAGUUUCACAAAAUUUAGAUAUAUUAUAAAAUUAAUGCACAAAAUAGAAAAUGGUGGCCUAAAGAGUUAAGGGUUCAUUGUCGAAAAAAUUCUCAAAUUUGUUGGAAUAAGCCACACUAGUAAAUUCUCAAAAUUUAACUCAACCUACAUCCUUACUUUUAAAUUGAUUAAACAAUUUCCAUUAUGAUAACUGCUAUAUUUAUUUUCUUACCCAAUACCUUGGUUAGCAUUUUACAAUGGAAAAAUAGAAAGGAUCCCAACUCGUUCAUAAUUUGAUAUACUUCACCCUCCAAAAUAAAUUGCUUACUAAAAUAAUCUUCAUAAUUUAGUGUGGCAAGAGCACACAACAUUGUCACUUCCCUAUAAUCAAGGAACCAUGAAUUUAGUGCUUAAAACAGUUUUUUUUUUUUAAUAAAAUGAAAUUCAAAAUAGUUUCGGAUAGACUAGAAGUCCAAUAAACAAAAUCCCAAGACAAGCAGGACCCGCGAAAUCCUAUGCACCUUGGCUUUACCACCCUCUCCACGUCAUCUCCAAUGGCUCCUUAAGAUGACGCCGCAUUUCCCGUAAGUUGUUAUCACUCUCGACGUCUAUAUAAGGGUGACUCAACUACUAAAAAAACUAUGAUCCAUAGUCCAAAUAAAACAAACUGGUCUCUUUCAUGCAUCAUAUUCAUUAAGGUCAUAAACACAUUUAGAGUAUAUGGAGAGCAUGUGAAAACAAGAUAUCAUACUAAUGGAAAAGAAAAAAACUUUGACAUUUAAAGUAUAUACUCGAUCGAAAUCAAAAUAAAUUCACAUAACAAACUUUUACAUUGUAAAAUAAUAAUCUAAAAAAAAAGUAUUACUAACCCUUUUGAUGGUGAUAACUGAUGAUAUUGGAGUGGAUCUCUCUUUGACUUCAACUUGAGUCGUUUCCUUCUUUCUUUGAAUCAAAAAAUAAGAAAUGUUUGAAUUGAUUUGAAUAUGUCCAUUCACCUAAAUCAGCCUAUAAAUCAGACCAAUUUUUAAUUUAUAAAUUCAAAUAUCAAAGUUGAAAAAGUGUUCACCUAGUAAAAAAAAAGGUCAAUAAAAAACAACACGCCACCUAUUCCAUUUAAAUCCAAGAUUUCAGGAACUAUUCCAAAUCAUGGCAUUAAAUGUAGUUGAUCUAGUUUUGCCCAUAUAGCAAAUUAUGAGGAGGAAAAUAAGGAGCUAUCUCUUGUUUGUUACUCAACCGAGACCUAUAGCUCUUCGCAACGUUAGCUACAGGAUUAUAACUAAAGUAAUUAAGCAAAGGGACUUAGACAAGGUGAUCCAAUUUAUUCUUGCGCUAGAAAGACUUGGACGUAUUAAGAGACUGUGAUGAUGUCUUGGUUGUCAAAAAAAUUUCGAGUGUGAUCCUAUUACAUUAAUGCUAAAGAAGGAAGUUAUUGUUUUCUCCUUAAUUGGAUAUUUGGAUUUAUUUGAAUUGAAGAGGGUGCACUUUAACGAGUGUGCAUAACAUUGCGUUAAUUAUAUAAAAAAUAAUACUCCCUCCGUCCCUAAUUAUAGGACCCUUUUAAAAAAAUAACGGGAAUUAAGAUAGUUGAUAUUUGUAUUAAAUAUGUUUGUAAUUACUAUUGUUUUUACAAUUUUAUCCUUUAAGAGAGAAUUGGUUUAUGUUUUCAACAUGAUAUUUAUUGCUGAUUGAAGAAAAUUAUAUAUAAUAAAUAGGGGCAUGCAUGUAAAGAAAUAAUUAAUGUAGUUGGAAAUAGCAAAGGGGUCUUAUAAAAAGGGACAAAAAAAAUUCUCAAAAGGGUCUUAUAAUUAGGGACGGAGGGAGUAAUUGUUUUUGUAAUAUUGUGAAAUAUUUAAACAUAUUUCAUGGAUAUUAUCUUUAUUAUCAACAUUAAUGUAAUUUUUUUAUUAAAUAUUUUUUUCUUUUAUAUGCAAAAUUUCGUAUCGGAUUUAUACCUAGACCAUUAGAAUUACAAGUCACUUGCGAAGGCUGAAACAAUGGAAGAUCAAACCUCCGCCAAAGGUGAAAAAUCUUGUUUAGAGGGUAUGUUGCGAUUGUUCUUCUAUUCAUUCAUGCGCGGCUUAACUAAGUGUGUUGUUUAUAGUGAGAAUAUUGAGAAUACAUUACAUGCUCUGUUUACUUGUCCUUAGACGAUUUAGGUACGGUGAGAAAUAAACCUUUGGGAUUGCAUGAUUAUCAUAAUCGGGCAGUGGUUGUUUUGAAUUUAAUGUAUCAACUCCAAUCACCACAAUGUGCUUUAUUUGCAACCAUUCUUUGGAGUUUAUGGAAGCGCCGAAAUUUGAAAUUAUGGCAGACGAAACAACCUCUCAAGUUAUUGAGCUUCUGCAUAUGCUUGACCUUAGUUAAUUUACAUAUUAUCUGUUGUAACUUCACCUGUCAUUAGCUAACUUAUCUAUUAUCAGUUUUUUUCCAUCACAAAAACCAAAGCCAUUAGGUUUACCAUCUUAAAAUAUAUAUAUAUAUAUAUAUUUUAAAAAGCAUUUAUUUUAUUUCCAUUAUUAGAAUAUGCAAGAUCUGUUAACAAUAUUUUUUUGAAAGAAGAUCUGUUAACAAUUUAACACCAAGCAAUAACAACAAUGUAGUUAUGCUUCCUAUUCACCUAAAAAACAAUGUAAAUACGUUUUCUAUCCCAAAGAAGAAAAAAAAACAUAGAUACUUUGUGUACAGUGAACAUGCAGUGGUGCAUCCAACAUAACAGAAUAGUAGCAAAAUUACAGCUCAAAAUCCAGUCAUACAAUGAUAUCAAGAGUCUAAACAUGAUCACAUUUAUUGAUAGGGAAACAAAAGUACAACUCAAAAACAUAUUCAAAUAAAAACGACAAGUAAGCAAUGGCAAUAAUAAACUUAGCCAGAAGGGAACACAGAACUGAGGAACUCCUCAUCUGCAUGUUCAAUCUGCAAAUUCUUCGAUUCCAUGAGAAAAUCAAUUUCUUCAUUCUUGAAUUUCAUCACAUAACCCAAUGUGAUUAGUUCAGCCAGUGCAGGAACAUAAUCAUGAUUCUCAGGCAAAAUACCCUCGGAUAUUGCUUCAGAGAAAUUUGUAGCAUAAUUCAAAGAAUCACCGGGAACUUCCUCAAUCUUCUGGAUGAUAAACUUACAGCUUUGACUUUCCCAACGUACCCUUUUGUUUGCUUUCUUUGUAAUGAUUUCCCCCGAUGAUAAUGAUAAACUAUAGCUUACAUUGAUCGGUUCUGUUGUCUCAUGGAAACUCGAGUUGACAAGACUUUGAACAGCUUCAUGUCUCUUUUUUGGUUUCAUUUUCAGGUUAGGACAUGCAAGAAAACCAAGAAUAAGCUUAACCAACCCCUUUAAGUUGAAAAUAUUAUUUGGAUCAACAUGCUUCAGUUUACCACCAUCAUUCACCGAGGAUGAUUCUUCUUUGCAAAGUGAUUCAGAGAUAUUUCUAGCACCAAUUUUUCUGUAAAUGCGGGAUAGUUUAGACUUGGACAACGGUGUCAUGUUAUACUGAGGAUACCAUACAAAAACUUUUUCCUUCUCAAAAAGCUUCUUCAUAUGAAGACUAUCAGGAAUAAAAACAUCUUCCUUAUCAACCAGAAAUAUUUCAUUAUUCCCUGAUGUUGUAGGUAGUUUCAUCAAACUCGCAGCAAGUUUUUUCUCUUCAUUUGUUCUCAAAUGUUUCGAGAUAGACGUCCAGAACCUGCAACACUCAUCAUAUGACAAUUGCUUCACUGAACUUCCCCAAUCAUUCCAAAGGUCAACAUAAUCAUCUAGUGAGGGCUUCUUCUUGACUUCCAAUGCAUUGAAAAAAACAAGAAUAUCUCUAUCAUAGAGAUCUUCAAGAACAUAAUAUUUUGAACCAAAAAGUUUAGGUGGGUCGUGUAUGAUGCAUUCUUCAGAAUCAACCCACUUACCACUUUUAAUUGCAUCCAGAAUCCAAACCUUUUUUGCAGCUGUCUCCUCCGGUUUCCAGUUGUGUUCACAUAAGUACUUGUAUAUUUUCACAAUACUGUCAUGAUCAGAUAGGGACUCAAGGUGAUUGGCAAGCAAAGAGCACCCUUUCUCAACUUCACUAAUGACCCCUAUGGCAGCGAGUUCUUUAUGGUAAAGGACAAUUUCAGGUCCAUAAAAACUCUCAUCAAUAAAAGGCCCAUUAGUUGGAUUAAAGAAAGAACUCCACUUGGAAUUAAACAACAGAGACUUCUCUGGAGGCCUAUAACCAGCAUGUGUCUUCAACCAUUUUUUGGACAAUCUUUUUUUGAAAUCAUCUUCAAGAAAAAACUUCUUAUCUUGCAUUAGAAGUCGGAUGCAUUCCAUCAAAGAACACACACUUUCAGGAGUAAUAGUGGAUGGAUUGGAAGGAAAAUUCAGAGAUUCAGGUACAAAUGUCACUCCAUCUUUCAAUUCAGUAACAACACCAAUGUGCAUAAGCUCUUGCUUGUACUUGUGUAUUCUCGUACUAUCGUCAAUGAAAGGGAGACAAGUAAUUGAAGAAAUAGAUCCCCACUCCGGACCAUAUAAAAUGCAUUCUCUUGGUCUCCUAAGAUCACCAACACUACUAUGCAACCAACUCAUAUUACGUAUGAUGGUUGGGAAACCAGAAGGAAAACAAUAGCGAGUUCCCUUCAGCUUCCUGUAACAAGAGAGAAAUGAGAUAACAUGUGUUGGGUUAAUUGAGGUUUCUGAUGCCUUUUGUUUGAAUAGACUAGCAAAAAUAUUUGCGGCAUCCUUGAAAUCAACCAGCACCCCUAUUUGCUUUAAUUCAUCUUUGUAACUGAAAAUCUUCUCUCCAUAAAAUUUAUGGUCAAUAAUAGGAAUACCAUUGAAUACCUCCAAAAUGCAUCCCCACACUUGAUUGUACAAGAAACAUUCACAUGGUGCUUUGAAACCCAUGUUUGUCUUAAAGCACCUUGUUCUCUUUAUCGAAUUUAAGACUUCAAUAGGGACAUUCGAGUAUUUGAUGCAUUCCAUUAUCAAAAGAACAGCCUCAGCUGUCAAAGAGGCUAAAUUUGAGGGUGAUUUUAAAUGUUGUGUAACAACUUGGUAAUUUCCACUUAAAUCAACUAUCACUCCCAGCAACUUAAGCUCCUCUUUGUAGUUAUAUAUUUCCUCACCACAAUAAACACGACCAAUGAAUGGUAUAUCACUAAUUUGUGAUGCAACUUGCCAUCCGGAAUCAUUCAAUACAGAUCCCACAGGAGACCUAAAACCAUGUGAUGUCUUUAGCCAACUUCCCUGUUUGAGGAAGUCGACAAAUAAGUCUAAACAAAGAAAAAGACGACUUUUCUGGAGAUAUUGGAUGAAGUUAAGCAUCCAAAGAACAUGGUUCCUGGUUAAAGAGAAAGAAGCCGCACGAGACAUUAGCUCUCUUCCAAUGAAAUAACAUACUUCCACACACUCAAACCUCACUCCAACUCUUUUUAACUCUUCUUUGUACGCAUUUAUUCUUUCCCCAUAGAAGCUCUCAUCAAUCAGGGGGAUGUCAACAAGAUCUGAACCACUUUGCAAAAAAAUUCUCAAUGAUGAAUGAAUUAAGAAUGAAUUUGAAGGAGGCAUGUAUCUAUUAUGUGUAACUUUAAGCCAGCUGCCUUUUUUGAUGGAUUCCGAGAACCUCUCUGGUAGAUCAUACUCCAUAUUCUGAAUCCAAUCCAAAAGCAAAAAGGCAUUUUCUUUGGUAAGUGUUGUAUCUGCAGCUGACAACCCAGCAUUUGGAGGAUGUAUAAAAGGGAUGUCGGAAGCUUUAACAUGGCUUUUGAGGAAAGCAAUAAACAUCUCAGAAUCUGUACAUUGGCCUGCAUAAGAAGAUGCCUUUAGGUACACCUUUCCUAGCUCAACAUAAUUCUCAUCUAUCCAUGGAUCAGAAUUAGUCAAUUGUGCCCAUUUGCUCACAUUUGCAGGCAGAAGAACUCCAUCUCUUUCCUUAAUUAUAAGUCCAUAAUUGUCCACAAGUGGCAUCGAUUUACAUAGAUCACAAACCUCCCGACUAGUCAAAUAACCCUUUAACAAAGAGUGGUGUAAGAAAUGAGCAUAUGCAACGGCAAGCUUGCUCCUGUUAUUAAUAGAUUUGCAGAGGACUUUUGCAAAACUAUCCACAUUCAGAGUACAAACAUUAACAUAUUUUGUUAACCAAAACAACAAACUUUGCUUAUUGAGAAAUUGGUGGAUAGCUUGUUGCGUGCUUUCUGGCAUAAAACACUGGUUUGUUUUGCAAGCAAAUACAUUGUUCCAAUUGAUCAUCCAAGAACAAAGAUAAGUCUGACCUGAGUCUGCUAAUACUACUCUCUUGGUGGCACCUUGUUGUCUGCAUUCAUCAAUACUGAACAAACACGGAAACCCAUCAGAAGCCACAUAUUUAAUCAAAGGAAUGCGAGCGAUGUAGGAGGACUUAAACAAUGGCGGGUUUUUAGCAAUAAAGUGUAAAAGCUCAAGAUAGAUAUCUUCUGAUACUUCAUCCACGAGAUUAGAACUCUGGAUGCAAUUUGCAUACCAAUCAAUAAUCACCGGCUUCAACCCUAAAAAAUUGAGUACGUCAUCAUACUCACUUAUAUCAAAUGAAGAGCUCAAGAUUUUAAUCUGACCAUGAGAAAAUAGGUCAACAAAGUACACUCCUUCCUGCUGGGCCUUUGUCAAAAUAUUCCAAAAUUUAGGUAGUAGCCUGCUAACUUCAUGUGGCUUACAGAAGUGCUUCUGGUUCGAGAAUGUCUCAAUAGGAACAAUUUUUUCAUCAGCCAAAUUUGCUUCGAUUUUCUCCCUCACAUGAUUGAAGGUCUCAACAGGAGAACUAUUAAUUGGAAUGAACUUGAACACAUAUGGCAAGCUGCACAUUGGAGCUUCGUCUGAUCCUGUGACAAGUGUUUUGAAUGCAUCUAUAAAAGCUGAUGGAACAUAUUCAAGUAUCCCUUUAUUCCACUUAUCAUCCAAGAGAAUUGUCUCCCUUGACGAGGCAAGAACAAAAUCUGCCUGAAUUAUGAAUGGAAAAUUAGUGACCAUCUCUGUAGGAAGAAAUGCGAAAACCCCUGGUAAGCUCUUAUCCUUGUGAAGCCUCUCCUGGUGAGGGAAGGCCAAUGUCACAACACACUCUUCCACACCCAUUCUCCUUUCCACAACGUUCUCCAACUUGACAGGAAACUUUUGCUUCCAUAUGUAGUAGCUGCAUUCCUGUUCGUCAUUAUUGUUUUCCCCCGCAGAUAAAUGGAUUGUGUAAGAUUCAGCAUCCAUGUUUCUACUUGUCUCAAAGUUGAUCUCGCUUGAAAUAGAUACAGCAGUUAAAGUGUUCUCUUUGGGAUCCUCACUAUUUUCUCUGACAGAAAGGCGUCUGAUUUUUGAAAGGAAGAGUAAAACUUCCGGGUGGAUGCUUGAGAGUUGCUGGUUCACAAACCUUACCCUGUCCGGCUUCAGUGGUAAGACAAUUAUUGUAUUUGGAAGGGAAUCUUUACCAGCACCAUAUAUUUUCUGUAUGUCAACAAGGGUUGGCUUCUCCUCAACCCAUUCAGGAACUAUAUACCCAAGACUGCAAUGUGGACAAGGCCUCUCGUUGAACCUGAUCUGAUAUCCGUUGCUAAAAAUAUAAGGCUGAGCAGUAACAAGAAACACACUCUUGAAACCAAUUCCUGAAAUUCAACCAUUGGAUAGUUUCUGUCAAAAUAUUUGGAUCAUCUUCUACUAUUUGGCUACUCUAAUGGAUAUCCAUAUUCAAGAAUAAUCUUAUAGCCCUUGAUUCAUAAGAUUUAUGAAUGAUAUUAAUCAUUAUACUUUAUUAAUAAGACCUUUCAAAAGCUACAAAACUGUCUAUAAAAAAUAGCAUUUUUAAAUUUUAGAAAGAUAUUUUGCACAAGAAAUACUCUAUUUAUGCAAAUGAAUUAAUGGUAUUGACAUUGAAUUGAUUCAAGCAAGUUACAUGUUUAUACUUAAAAAAUUACCCAGGUACUAAAACAUCAUUGAAUAUUGGUAAAAAGAAAUAUAUCAUUCAAUGAAUUAAGCAACCACAUUAACACAGGUCUUUCAUUCAUAAGGCAGAAGUACAAAAAGAAAUUAACAGACAUUUAAAUGUGAUAAUAUACGUACCUUUUUCACCUAUGUAACCGCUACUCCUAUUUUCUUUCUUUGUUGACCGUCCAACACUGCAGAGGGACUCAAUGUUUUCGCGAGAGAAACCCUUUUCGUUGUUGAAAAUAAGUAACGUUGCUGGAGCGCCAGUAGCUGUUAUGUCCUUUGAAGUUAUGAUGAACUCCAAUGAUGGACUCACUCCGUCAUUGUAGAGGUUAUCUUCAGCAUUCUGUAGAAGUUAAGAAAAAAUUUAUCAUGAUGAAUAUCAACCACUAUCAAGGUUGUUAAACUCUCAAGUUAACCCUUACGAAAACAAGUUAACUUGCACGUAAACUCUCUUUUUAGUAAACAAGUUACAAGUUCGAUUAAAUUUUGAUCAAAUUGGUAAACCCUUUAUUUCACUAGUUGCUUAUGAGUUUACAAUUAUAAAGGAGUAGUUUAUGAGAAACUAUUCCUUUACACUACUGCCUAUCGCUAACCAUCGACGGCAACUGAAACAAUGCACAUGAUAGCAUCAUUCUAGAUAGAGAUAGAUCAGAUGAACAUAGAAAUACAGAAACUAUUGCUUGACACUGCUACCUAGCACUAACCAGUGUCUGCUGGAAACUGAAACGACUCACAUACUCAACUUUUAACCAUAAUCACACACAUGACCACAAACUCAGUUCAUUAUUAGGAAUGGUUCAAAAGACUUUCUUAUUCUCUUUUAUAGUAAAAAUUAAACAAAUCAGCCAGCAUUGUAUCCAACUAUAAUGUAGCUUAGUUGAUAUCUAGAAAUAGAUUAUUUUCCAAAUAUAAAUAUUCAUAAACUUGUUUAGAAACGUUGGUUAUUAAAACUUUUCUUUUUGUUUCAGAAUAAGCUCUUCUAAACACACAUGUGACAUGUUAAAAAAAAUAAUUCAAUCAAUAGUCACAUAUAAAUGAUAUUCUUGUUUUUUGGAAGAUGAGCUUGAGAAUAUAGGUCAAGUCUGGAUAAACAACUUUUUUGCAUUUUAUAGCUUAAGUGUUUAACAUGAUAAGUCCUUAUGUAUGAACUAAACAGUUAUAGCAAAAGAUAAAAUAACGUUAAAUAUUUUUCGUAUAAGCUAUUAGCUGGUUUCACAAGCUAUCUUUGGAGAACUUACAACAAAUUGAUAACAACAUGUGACCAUGUCAUAAGCAGGUUUCACAAGUACUCCCAAAAAAAUCUCACAAAUAUUAUGCUAGUAGAUAAAUUCAAAUAAGUCAAACCAAAAACAGACCUAAGUGACUAACAAAAUACACAUUUGAAGACCAAAACGAGUAACUAAAGAGACGGUGGAGUAGUUCAUAAAGUCUGGCUCAACUGAUAAAUAUUGAUAUUGUUAGAUUGGACGUCGUUACCUGGAGUCAGUUUCAAGCAAUGAUUGUCACUCAUGCAACAAAAUAAGUGACUGGAGAAUUUGUUUGCAAUUUCAAUACAUUCAGCGACCAAAAUAAUUGUUUACUGGUUUUUGGUUUGAAUCAAGUUCUCAUUUCACAAAUUGUAUAUCAACACAAUAUAUUGAUUCUAAACACACAUUCAUUCAGCUGAAGAUGACAAAGUAAUUUGGGUGCAAUAAUUGAGUUUCUAUCUACCAGCAAAAAUUUAUAUGUAUGUUAUCUAGAUGCAGGGCCGUCCCUGAGAAUUCGGAGGCUCGGCUCUGGAAAUGAAAAGAGGCCAGUGAUAAAAUCAAAACAUAAUUUUUUUUUAAAAAGAGCAAUGUUCUAUUUAUAUUUUUUAAAAGAUAAAUACAAAGUGCCGUAUAUAUGCGGUACACCCAGAGAUGAAAAUGACUACCGUAUACAUGAGGAACCCCCACCUAACACCAAAAUCAAGAGGAACUAAUUCUAAUAAUCCUAAAAGAGGCCCAUCCUUGUGAGGGAAUGAAAUAAUCUUAGGGGGGCCUAAGAGAUAUUAAGGGGGCCUAAAAAGAAACCACCAUUAUACUGGAUAUAAAAAAAAAUGAGGCCCAUCCUUGAGGGAGGCCCAGCUCGUUUGAGCUGUUUGCACCCCCUCAGGGACGCCCCUGUUUAGAUGUAUGUUAUUCGAACAAUCGUUUUGUGACGUGACAACUUAUAAAACAAUUAAAUACAUACAAAGAAAUAUAAGUAUUGACAUGAAAACCAAAGAAAUAGUGAGAGAGUAAGAAAACGACGAGAGUAUAAGAGAGGCAAUUGUUUCAAAAAUCGUCACAAAAUAGUUGUACAAAUAUCAUUUUUUGUUAUGCAAUCAGAUUAGAAAGAGAAAUACUUAGUUAAAUACAACCCCAAAUAAAAAAUAUUUGAACACACAUAUUUAAAUAAAAAAAUUAAGUUUUAUCACAUCUCUUCCGUUAUUUUUCUUUUAAGUUUUAUCAGUUAUGUGUGUGUUCAAAUAAAUUUUAUUUAAGAUUAUAUAGUUGUUCAAGUUACUAAUGACUCUCUCGGAUACUCUUUCCGACAUACUAAUAAAAAUAUCACACUUUUGACCCAAAAUAUAUAUAUAUAUAUAUAUAUAUAUAUAUAUAUAUAUAUAUAUAUAUAUAUAUAUAUGUAUGUAUGUAUAUGUAUAUCACAUUGCUAAAUUAUGUGUUGCUAACAUUGUUUUAAGAGAGAGAAAAUGGUGGAUACUUUUUUUUUACGAGAAAUGGUGGACACUUUAUUCACCUAAAAAUGGUGUCUUGAAGGUGAGAAUGUGGAACUCACCCGAAUUGUAGUGUCUAAAUAUCACAACCUUCUUUUUAAACAAUGAUAAUUCAGUUAUGCCAUAAUAUUUCAUAAAAAUAUUAAUAGUAAUAUUUCACCGCGUUAUGCCAUAAUAUUAAUAUUUCAUAAAAAUAUCUACAUGAAUAUCCAGUAAGUAAGAUAUAAUUUGAUGGAGGUAUAUAAAAAAAUGGUAGAGCUGGAAAGGUUAAGGAAUAAAGUAAUAUCGUAAACACCAAUAAUACUAUGAUUCAUAUGCAUUAUUAAAUAAAUAGCUAGCAUAGAUUGUGCAUGUAUAAAAAUAAGUGAAAAAUUAAAAAGAUGAAAACUGACUAAGUAAGGUACCUGAAUAAGCUCCUUGACGAAAUGGACAUUUGUGGAAUAUAAUUCAGCCGAGAGAUUCUUGACAGCUUGAUGAAGAUCUUCAAUCAAAGGAUUUGCUCGUUUCUCACCAAUAGAGAACUUUUCUCUUCGUAUCUCUUCAAUGUGUUCCUUCUCUGUGGUCAUUUUUUCCAUAUCUCACUUCUCAAAAUCAAAGGUGGCAAAGUAUCCAGCUAGUAUAGUGAAGCACACACUCUCUGAAGUGUAUAAGAAAAUACAAGAAGAUCAUUUAUUUAGUAGAGAAAAAAUAUGUGUUAAGGUUGUAAGAACAACUAAGAUGAUUGACAAUUGCAGGAAUGUUAACAUGUAGGAAUUUGAAUUCCGACCUAAUUUUUUUUAUAGGUGUGUGUGAUCGUAUAAUAAGUUACUAAAUCUAUCAAUGGCUGAAAAAAAUAAAAUUAAUAACAAAAGAAUUUUGAUUCUCCCUUCACUAUAUUUUGUUGGCAAAUUUACUCAUGUUUCUUUUAACAUAAUUUCAGUUUAACGAUUUUUCCUUUUAACUUUGUUUCAUGUCAUUUUUGUCAUUUUAAUCAAUUUACAUAUAAAUUUUCAAGAUUCAAAUUUAUGGUUUUAUUUGGAUAUGAGCUCUUAGUAUUCAAAUAUAUGACCGUCAUCAUGUUUUCAUACAAAUUUUAAAUUUGAUACCUGAAAAUCCAUAUGUAAAUAGUACAAAAGGACGUGAAAAAUAAAUAAAUAUCGAAGUCGUUAUCUGAAAUUUGUUAGGGAGUCUGGGUAUAUAUGGGUCUCCUCUCUUAUAUAUCCAACAUUUUCUCCAUUCCUAGUCGAUGUGGGAAAUAAUCACUCACACUUGAAACUCAACAAUCUCCCCCUCAAGUGUGAGUCACCCACAUCACUAGCUUGAUCCACACUAGGAUCUUGCUCCCACUCCCCCACCGAGCCUAACCAAGGGCUCUGAAACCAGUUGUUGGGAAGCCCCGGGAGCGGCAAUGGGUCAAACGUCCAGGACCAAUAAGAGACUUAGACGCCACAUCUCCACCGAAAACCUUAAGGCAUCAGGCAUAUGGGUCUUCUCUCUUAUAUAUCCAACAUUUUCUCCAUUCCUAGUCUAUGUGGGACAUAAUCACUCACACUUGAAACCCAACAAAAUUAAGUUAAACGACAAGGAACAUAAUUUUGUCUAAUAUUUUUUGUUUUGAGCUUAAUACUAUUCAUUAAAACAUUAAUCAGUCUUGCUUGGAAUACAACCUUACCUUGGCAAAUCUCGAGCUUCUUGCUAGAAAUUUGAACUAGAAUAUAGAGUAUCCAACAAGUUUGAGAAUUGUUUCUAUCUACAAAAUGAAGAACAUCAAUAAACAAUAUGUUAGUAGAGUCAAACCAAAAUGGACUAUUGCUUGUAAAGUUAAUACACCAAAUUCAGGGUUAGCUGCAGUAACCCACGAGUAAUAUUCAAGUAGUCAUUCUAGGUAUUCUCCAAGAAUAAGACUCAAAAAAUGAAAAAACAAAUGUUAUAUUUUUCUUUUUAUUCCCUAUCAAAUCAAGAACUUUUAAAUUUUGUCCCCAAAAGAAAUUAUUCACUUUUAACUCUUAUCUACAUUUUAUAGGGCUAGGCCUAAAACUAUCCAUUUUUUUAUAUAAAGUUUUGAAAAUAAGGUCAAUUUUUUUUUUUUGGUUACAAAAAUAAGGUCAAUUGAUAUCAAGUAAUUAAACAAAGCAUUUAUUAAUUACUCUUUUUGUUCAUUUUACAUUUUUUUGUCGAACUUAAUUCUUAUUUAUUUUUAAUUUUGAAAUUUAAGGUUUGAGUUGACUACAUUUUUUUAAUUAUACCAUUUCCUUAGAAAUUAUUUUAGACUUGCAUUAAUGAAUAGAGAAUGAACGAGUGAAUGGGUCAAUAAAAGUUAAAAGUGUAAUAUUUUAUAAUAUUUGUUUAUUAAUAAAGUUAUUUUUAUUUUGUAAAAAAGAACCUUUAAAAGUCAGGUGUGUAUAAAAAAGAAGAGAAUAAUUGUAUAAAAGAUAUAUAAAUGUAAAAAAUAACAAUUGUUUUUAGAAUAACAAAAGAACACCAGACUUAAUAAUUUUGGUAUUUUUGUUGGUUGAAUCAAAACUUAAAAAAAAUAUAUUAUUGCUCAAGAUAUAUAUAUAUACUCAUGUCUGCAAACACUGACUAGCUACGAAGUGUAGGAGUUAACAUUUUUAAAUGGUGAAUUUGGAUAAGCAUAAAUUAUAGAUCAAACAUGUGAUCAAAAAACUCAUACCGCUUUGGGACACCAUCAUAUCACCCUAAAAUUUUGUAACAAAAAAGAGACUCACAUUGCUUACCAUUUGAGGGUCCGUUUGGUUCAACGAAGGGGAGGGGAGGGGAGGGGUUUUAGUGGAGGGGAGGGAAAGGGAGGGAAGGGAAGGGAAGAUAUUUCAAUUAAAUAUAUGUUUGGUUCAAAUGAUGGGAGGGAAGGGAAGGGGAGAGAUUUUAAUCAAAUAUAUGUUUGGUUCACAAGGGGAGGGUAGAGAUUUUAAAACUAAAUUACUUUUUUAUCCCUCUAAUAUUAAAAUAGUAUCACGAUUUUUAAAUUAUCCACUUAAUAAAAAAUUAAACAUGAAAACUUAGUAACCGUAAACACCAUAAAUAAUCAUACACAAAACUUCUGACAAGAUAUUGGAUAUUCAUAAAUAUUAGAGCACUGAUUUAUAAAAUAUAUUUAUAAAAUAAUCUACGAAAAUAUAAAAAAAUUUAUAAAAAAAUUAUUGUUAGAACUGAUUUAUAAAAUAUAUUUAUAAAAAAUACCGCACAAAAUUUGUUGAUAACGUUUUAAUAUAUAAUACAAUUAAAAAAUAUUAAAUAAAAAAAAUGAGAACAACGUUAGUACAAAGAAAAAAGAAUUCUUGUAAAAAAAAUAUUAGAAGAAAAGAAUAUGUGGUUCUACUUUAAAAAAAAAAUUAAAAAAAAAAAAAAGGAUGAUAUAGGCAUGUUAAGAAAAAAGGGUAAUAAGCAAUAUAUUGAAAACACUUAAAUUUUUAAUAAGGACGAUUUUGUCAUUUAAAAAUGAAUAUGAGGAUAAUUAUGUCAAUAUAAUUAAAAUUGCAUUAAAUCAUUUAUCUUUCCCUCCCCUCCCCUCCAAAAAACUCCAAUUUGAGGGGGAGCAAUAAAUGAACUUAUAAGGGAUUUUGCUCCCCUUCCUCUCCCUCCCCUCCCCUUCUAAAAAUUGAACCAAACACAAGAAAUUUAAAAUAUUCCCUCCCCUCCCCAUCAAAACCCCCGAACCAAACGGACCCAAGCACACCAGUUUGGUCCUCUCAAAUUCAAGUAAAAAAAAAAAUUUAAAAUAAUAUCAAUCAACCAUUAAAGAUUUGCUUAUUUAUUUAUUUUCAAAUAAAAAAGUCAGAAUUAUAAAAGUUUAUUGAAUAUAUUAAGGCUCGGUUGGGAUCAGGAUCUCAAAAUCUAUCAAUGGCUGGAAGAAAAAAAAAAUAAAAAACAAAAGAAACUUUGAUUCUCACUUUACUAUAAUGUUUGUUUUGAGCUUAAUUAAUAGUAGUACUAUUCAUUAAAAACAUUAAUCAGUCUUGCAUGGAAAAACCUUACCCUUAGCAAAAAGAAGCUUAUUGUUAGAGAACUGGACGAGAGAUGAUACAAGUUUGAGAACUGUUUCUAUCUACAAAAUGAGAAACAUCAAUAAGCAAAAUUUUAGUAGAGUCAAAAACCAAAAUGGGUUAUUGCUUAUAGGGAACAACUCAAUCAUAUCAACCUCAAAUUCAGUAGUAGAUGUAGUGAUCCAAGAGUAAGUACCUGCAAUAAUAAACCUCCAUUAAUUAGAAACACUAAUGUCAUGAACAAAUUAACUUUGAGAUUGUAAAAUAUUAAUAUUCUGGAUUGCUAACCUUUCUUGAUCGUCCUUUCUCUAAUAUUGCUCCCAGGAUGAUUAUGUUUCUUUCAAUCAAAAUAAUAAGAAAAUUGAAUUUCUUUUCUUUAGAGGAUUGAAGAAUAUAUAUUGUUUCUCCUAAUAAUUCACGUCAAUAUAUCAGGCUAUUUCCUAAUAUAUUUUUAUUAAGAAUCUGUCCGAUAUAUUAGUCUAUAUGAGAAACUUUUUUUUAUGGAAUUUUAUUUUUAAUUUUUUACUUUUUAUGGGGAAAAAAAUUGGUAUAAUUGACCGGCAACCAUAGCUUUUACAUGUGAUAUGUAGAGGUCAGGAAAAAAAUUAAAUCAAAUUUGAUUCUCGUCAAAAAUAAAAUAUUUGCAAGUUUUUAUUACUUAAUAUAUUGACUAAGGUCAAGUACAAAUCUUUGGAUUUUAAAAUCUUAAGGCCAAACAUUAAAAUUUGAAUCGAUAAAUAUUCAUAUUUUUGGUAAUACAAUAAAAUAUUUAUAUUUUUACCUAAUUCAAAAUUGGUAAAUUUUAAAAUCUUAAAAGAUUACGUUUGAACUUGAAUCAAUAAAAAAAGUAAAACAUUUAAAUCUUGUUUGCCUAAUGAAAAAUCAAAUUUGAAUUUUGAACGCACUCAUAAUUUGAUAGGCAUAUGAAUGUAAUAUUUAUAUUCGAUUCAAUAUAAAAUAUUUACAUAAGAUUUGUUAACCAAUAGUUUCUUUUUUUGAAGGAUUAUAGUUAAUAAUACAUUCUCAAAAUCCUACACUUAACCUAUUAUAUUUUAAAAAAUAAACUGCAAUCUAUCAAAAGAAAGAAAAUUAAGACAAGUCUUAAAUUUCUAGACAGAAAGUUUUUGUCUCUCAUAACGGUGCUACCUGUUUUAAAAAUUAAUAAUAAUCUAUGCAGGUUCCGUGCAGAGAUAUUUUGGGAGAAAAAAAUAAUAUAUAUAUAUAUAUAUAUAUAUAUAUAUAUACACACACACACACACACACUAAACAUAAACGAUUUGAGUACAUUUUAAACAUUUUUGUAAGUUCUCGUGAGCUUAGUUCAGUUGGUAUGGACAAUGCAUAAUAAUAUGUAACAUUCGGGGUUUGAAUCCUGGUCACCACAAAAAAAAAAAAAAAAACAUUUUUGUAAAAAUUAUUAUAUUGAUAUAUGAAAGUUUGAAAGCUAACAAUAAUUAAAGAUAGUAUUGUAACAAUUGCAAUAGAUGCAAGAGCUUUCCGUGAAUAUCAUAAAAAAAUUAAAUGUUUAUUUUUAACAAGCCAAAAUGGAUUUAUAAUAUUAUAAUAGGUGAUGCAACUCACACAAGGCCUGCAAAAAAGAACAUCACUAAGAAAUUUACAAUGUCAAGUCAUCGAUGUCAAAAGAAGAAACACCGCAAAAAACUGAAGUAAUAACAAAUUACACCAUAACACUCAUACAAACUAAGGGGUGCCGCCAUCAAUCGUGGUACCUAAAAACAAAGAUGUGCAUAUUAGACUUUAGUCAAACGAAAGAAAGCCUUUUAACCUUGCCCGCCAUGUUAUGUGAAUCCACAGCCUUGUUAUUAAAAACUCUAUUAUUACUUUCCUUCCAAAUAACCCAGACAUAAGCUAGCCAGAUUAUCCUAAGGAAAGUGUGAGAAGAACACGGUAACCACGCAAGGUGCCUGAACUGAUGCAGAUGAUCCUGAGCCAAACUUGGGAUGACGCAGGAGAUGCCAAGCCACCUAAAAACCAAGAACCAAACACUACAGAAUGUGUAGCAGCCAAAAAACAAAUGAUCCAUGGUCUCAGGUGAACCCCACCCCACACACACACUCUGUCAUCACUUCAUCACUUUGAAGGAUGCGUCGUUGCACCAAGUUGUCUUUUGUUGAAAGUCGAUUGCGAAGAAGCCUCCAUGCGAACAACGAAAUCUUUAACGGUGCUUGUCUGUGUCACACAUCGUCAAACAUUCCCCUUUCUGGAGGUACAUCUACCGUCGUUAGGAGAGCUCUACUCUCUAGUACAAAGCGUGCAAAGAAGAGCAAAGCAAAAUAUAGCAAAGUAUUCUGAAUAUAUACAAAAAAGACACUCAACCAAUUCCUAAACAGACAAAGAGGUUGCUGCCACCACAUAUGGUAACCAAAAGGAAAUUAAAACAUACACUUUUAGCUUUCAACCACUGUAGAGAAGUAAUUUUGAUUUUUUUUUUCUUCAGAAGUUGCAUAAUUGUUUUAGCAUUGUUAGAGAACAGCCUAUGAUUCCUUUCGUUCCAUAUCACUCAAACACGCAAAGCCAAAUAAAUUGCAAGAAUGAUCGGUGGGGUUUAAAGCCUCUUGAAGAAUAAGCCAAAUAAUGUCCUCGAGGCUACCAACGUUUUUUGUGGUGCUUUAUGUGGUAAGGAGGAGGACAGAGACCAUUUAUUCUUUCAAUGUGAUUAUUAUGGUCGGUUAUGGCUUAUGCUAUCAGAUUGGUUAGGUUUUGUCACGGCGCUCAAUGGAAACUUAUAUUCACAUGCUAAUCAGUUUUGUGCACUUGGAGGAUUCUCAAAGCAUUCUAUGUAAACUUUUUCUAUUAUUUGGAUUUCGGUCUUAUUUUCUAUUUGGAAAGAUCGUAACAGGAGGAUUUUUCAAAACGAAAUUGUUCAUAUGGAAGUUCUUCUUGAAAGGGUCAAACUUCAAACGUUUUGGUGGUUGAAAGCGAACUACAUAUUGUUCGUUUUUGAUUAUUCUUAUUGGAGGCAAAACCCAUUAUCUUGUUUACAAACUAUUGUGUAAAGUCUGUUUUUUGGUUUUUGUUUUAUGGCGGAUGUAGCCUUUUUGUAUUCUCUGUAACUUUCUCAGCUCCCUUUGGCACAUCUUGUGCUUAAGGGACUGAUUAUUUUAUCUAUAUAUAUAUCAUUUAGCUUCUUCAAAAAAAAAUCCAUUAUAUAUUGGGUAUCCACUGAAUACACACCAAUCCAAGUUUUGAUAUGUUGUCAUAGUUCAUCGAAAGUGAGACAAUGAAUUAAGAGAUGGUAUGUUGAUUCAUUGUAACCACAUCCGUCAUACACAAUUGAGAAUCAAAUGGAAUGAUGCCGCGACGAACAAAAUUAUCCUUGGUAGACUACCUGUUGCGAAGAAGAUGCCAUGCACAAAUUAAAACCUUCAUAGAAACGUUUUAGUUUAUAAUAUUGAAAAUAAAAUAAAAUUAUUAACUAUCACCGAGAAGAUUUGAACUCUACUUUGAGUUUAACUUACAAGUACAAUCUAUUACCAAAAAUAAUUGAGUUCAAAUCCUAUAUCCGUAAAAAUUAUUUUAAAGUUAUUUUAAAUCUAUAGUAAUUACAAUUGAAGACACCCGUAAAUCUAUAUCCGUAAAAUUAUAGAAUUAAAAUCCUAAAAUAAUUGAGUGCUCGACUUAUAUCCGUCUACCAAAAAUUGGUGCUCCCAUUAAUAGUUAUAAUCAAUCACAUAAAUAUAUGUUCUUGUUUUAAUUUAUCAAAAGAAAAUUAGUUGGUUCAUGUGCUGAACUGAAGCAAUUAUUGGUAUAGUACGCCGACGAUGCUUAUAACAUGGUACAAAAUUUGUCAUUGCAUUAUACAAAAUUUUCCAAUUCUUGACAAUUAAUUUUAUCCAACUCAAUCGGCUCUUUGCUAAAUAUUUGUCUUUGUCAACUAGUUACAAACCCGUGCUUCGCACGGGUUGAAUAACGUAUCUUGUAAAAAAUUUGUUCAAAAAAAAAUGUGCAAAUUAAUGAAUAUUGAACAAACUCGGAUAUUCUAAAUAAAUCACUUUUACUGUAUUUUAAAAAAAAAAAAACUUUGUUUUUUUUAGGGAUUAAAAUAGAAAAAUCUUUGUUAUAAAGAAGAAAUGAGCAAAUUAAGGGAAAUAGCUGCAUUUUUUUAAGAAAUUGUUGUCGUUCAUAAAGGACAAUCUAAUGAAGAACCACAAUGAUUUUUAAACAAAAAUUACAUCUAUAAGAACAUUAUAAUCAGAGAAAACACGUAAAUAAAUUAAAGCACAUAACUAUAUGAUAUAAAACGUCAGUUUUGAACUUUCCAUCUUGAAUUUCCUUAAAUAACUUAAAGCAAAAUUCAUGAGUAACAAUGUCAGUUAACUUGUCAUACUUCUACACUUUUGUAUCAGAAGCAAAAACAACAUUAAUGUCCAAUCCAAGAAUCCACACAUAAAAAUAGACAUACAAAAUCAAAUAAAACAAAUAUGAUUUGGACAUUUGGAAAAUAGGAUUUGGAGUCCUUUGAUUCUCAUUACCACCAGUCACAAUCCAAGAAUCCAGCACUCCAAAUCCUAUUUUUCAAAUGUCCAAAUCAUUUUUGAGAUCCUUAAUGUAGUCAUAAUCCUUUGACAUUGAAAGUCCUAUAUGGAAAUACAAUAAUACAUCAUUUAAUUUUAUUCCCUUUGUUCAUUCUCAUAUCGAAAGAAUCUAACAUAUUUCUAUGUGAUCAAUUUUUGUAUCAUGAAAUCAAUGUGAACUUAAAUGCACAAAAUUAUGUAUCAUCAACUUUCUAGACCUCAAUGAUGUGACCAAAACAAAUUUUCACCAAUUUUUCAAUAAUCAAUGAUAUGGGAAAAAAUUAACCAAAUAUGAAAAUUGUUACAACUUUAGGAUUACUCACAAAAACUAAAAUAACCCACAUGCAUCAAUUUUUCAACUACAGUACCAGAAGGUAAAAUAACAAUUGUGUCAAAACAUUACCACUAAAGGAAAAUCAAAUUCAAAACAGAAUAAACAGCGGAUAAAAUUUUCGAUUUUCUUUCCUUGGAUCAUUACGAAUUAUACAUGAAUCAGUGAUCCGAUUGUUACCUCGAAGUGUGGAAUCUGAAAGCUGAAAACUGGAAACUGGAAUCACGAUCACAACAAAGCAAGCAACAAGCAGCAAAGCCUCUAGCAAGUCCAAACGAACAGUGCUCCUCCAAAACUCGGUUCUAGCCAAGGAAUCAGAAGUUUCAGAUAGCUAAGGUUUCUAAAAAACGUGCAACCUCAAACUUCAGCAAUAGGGUUCUAUUUAUAGAACUCCUUAUGUGCUCUUCAAGUCAGAAGCCACUAUUGGGCUUCAGUAAGCCCAAUAACUUGUUUAGUAAUUCUGCUAACUAAUUAAUGUUAUUUACUAAACGCACCCUUAUAUAAGUCAUACUUAUAUAUUUAUCUUUUGACUGUUCUGUUCUUUUUGUGUGACCCUAUAGGUUCUAGUCACGUUGGUAAUAAUAUUAAAUCUAAUAUUUAUUACUAUAAAUAAUGAGCAGUAUCUAACAACACAUCAUUGCUACCCAAGUGACAAGAAUGUCAAGUGAUCUAACGAAACCUUUUCCAUGAUAAUAAUUAUGUGUACAAUUACUCCUUUUUCUCGAUAUCUUUAUUGAUCCAAAUGCAUAGAUAUUGUCACCCUUGUAUAGAUCAAUGUUUAUAUUUCUUGAUUCCGAAAUAUACUGAAUAACGAAUAAGUCCAAUAUCUCAUAUUGACUUAGUUCGGCAUGGCCAUGCAAUUUUACAGUCAUAUUUCAUCAAGAGACCUAAAGAUAUAUCUCCUGUUUAUGAGGAGGGACAGAUCCCAUCUAGGACACUCAUGUCCCUCAGCAUGAUUCAUCAAGUAACCAUCAACCAACGUUAUGGUUAUCCUUUUGCAGACAACGUUAGAAUGGAAACAAAGUACUUGAGUCCACGUCUAGGGAUCAUAGUGGUUUCAGGUCUAAGAGGGAUAUACGCUAUUAUCAUUGUGAGAAUAUCUUAUGACAAUUAAUCUCAUAAUGUACUAUGUAGUAUUCUCGCGGUAGGUCUAUCCAGUAUAAAUAUUACUCCUAAUAUUUAUACCUAUGUAUAGACUUAAUAUCUCAUAUUUAUAACCCAUGAGAUACGGUCAUUAGUCUACAUACAUAAUAGUCUCUACGCUUUAUUAUUAUCCUAAUUAUAUUAAAGUUUGACACGAAUACAUUUAAGAAUAGUGUUCUUUAUGAUAAUGUAAUCUCAUGAUUAAGUCACACUUAAUAUAUUAUUACACGAACUAUCUAUUCUAAGGACUUUAUUAAACAUUACUAUAAAUAUAAUAAAAAGUGUCAUAUAUUAUUCAAUAAUAAAAAUCAUGAUACAUAAGAUAAGUUUAACAUAAACUAUUGGCAUCUAGGGCUUACACCAACACUAUAAAGGUGCAAUAUAUAUAAGUAUAAUUUUUUUAGGCAUCUAUACCUUUUUUGAAGAAAAGACAUCUACAAUUUUACUUUUAAUUUAAAUAAAAAAUAUUAUAAAAAUAAUCAUACGUAUUAUGCAAUGCCAAAAAAAAUAAAAAAAUACGCAUUAGCGUAACAAAAAAAACGACACAUAAAAAAUAUUACUCUAAAUGUUAAUGUGUGUGUAUAUUAGUGAGGUUGAAGAAAGAAAAUAGAAAUAUUUGCUAUCAUUAAAUGACAGCGUGAAUAAAAAUAUUUGUGAGGUUGUGAUAAUUAAACGAUAUUGAGAUUAAAUAUAUAAGUGAUAAAAAGAUCAUAAAAUUCCUUUGAAAAAAGGUAGAAAAAUUAAGAGGAACAUCCUUAAACAAAAUUAAAUGGAACGGUUCCAAAAAAAAAAUUAAAUGGAAGAAAAAAACAUAUUGAAAUAUAAUAUUAAAAAAUAAAAGAAUAGGUUUCCAAUGUGAAUUGAAGAGAGAUGCUUAUGAAAUAAAUUGUCGAGAAGUAAACCAAGUUGCUUGGACUCUAGUGGCAAGUAGCUCCUUCCAAGAACGUACCCGGGGAAUACCGUGUUCGAUUCCGAUGAGGAACAACGCUUGGCCAAUGUGCAUGCCUCUACGCACGAACCGGAUUAGUCGCCCACCUUUGGUGGGUCAGAAACCGGUGCGAAAGCCAAAAAAAAAUAAAAAUUGUCGAGAAGUAGUUUUGUGAAGUAGCAUUCAAUAACUUUUGACCAAAGCUCAUUCCAUUCAAUUUUACGCAUUAAAAAAAGUACCUUUUUUAAUAAGUACUAAUUGAUUUUGUAUUUGGCUUAACUUCUCCUUAAAAAUAUAGAGAAGUUGAAAAACAACCGGGUCAAAUGGUAUCUUAAUCUCCCACAACGGCGGUGUAGAUAGCACCUAACGCAACACUAAAAAAAAUUAUAUGCAUUAGCAUAACAAAAAAAAAAACAGACAGACGGACGGACAUAAAAUAUUACUCUAUACAUUAAUGUGUGUGUGUCUAUAUUCGCGAGGUUGAAGAAAGGAAAUAAAAAUAUUUGGUAUCAUUAAAUGACAACGUGAAUAAAAAUAUUUGUGAGGUUGUGAUGAUUAAACGAUAUUGAAAUUAAAUAUAUAAGCGAUAAAAAGAUAAUAAAAUUCCUUUGAAAAAAAGAUACUAAAAUUAAAUGGAACCUCCUUAAAAAAUUAAAUGGAACGGUUCAAAAAAUAAAAUAAAAUAAAAUGGAAGAAAAAAUAUAUUGAAAUAUAAUAUUAAAAAAUAAAAUAAAAUGUUCCCAGUGUGAGUUGAAAAGAGGUGUUUGUCAAAUAAAUUAUCGAGAAAUAAUUUUUUAAAGUAACUUUCAAAAACUUUUUGGCCAAAACUCAUUCCCUUCAAUUUUAGGCAUUUAAAAAAAUAUUUUUUUUAUUAAGUACUUAAUUGAUAUUGCGUUUGGCUUAACUUCUCCUUAAAAACGUAGAGAAGUUGGAAAAAAAGUCGGGUCAAACGAUAACUUAAUCUCCCACAACGAUAAUGUAGAAGCAACUGAAUUUAGGUUUAUUUUUAUUCUUAUAAAAUAAAUAUAAAAUAAAAAAGAAAAUAAUAUAAAAUAAAUAAAAAAGAAAUUUUUUUGGAUGAGGUGGCACUCACCAAGAUUAAGGAGUUAUAGAAUUACUAAAUUGCCCCUUCUAUGGACAAAAUUGUAAUUUUACAUAGCAUCAAUUUUAAUAAAUAGUUAGUAGAUUGUCUGCUAAAUAUUUGUCUUUGUCAAUUGUUAAAGUCAAGUAGAAAAUUAAGGACCAUGCAAUAACACAUGAGGGUUCUAUUCUUUUAAUCAUUGAAGUUAUUUAUUCACGAUUCGAUUCUGAAUUUGAAACAGAUUCUAAGUUACCUAUGUGAAUUUUUUAGUGUUGUUGUUAUGACAACAAACACUUCAUCGUUUCAGUUAAAAGAUGUAUAUCUAUAAUCUGAUUUAUUCUUCUUGUAUUUAGGAACAAUGAAACCGUAAGUAAUUUCUUCGGUAGAUAUAGCAGUCAAAACGUCUUAAAAUUGUUGUUUUUGGAUUUCGAAACUGCUGUAUUUGAAUUUCCAAAUUCUAUUUUGAAAAGAAAUAUCCACCAAAUUUGUUACUAGGUGAGUCACGACCAGGUCGCUCUCUUUAAAACGUUUCGUGGCACUGCCUAAAAUUGUGCAAGACACACUAUCAACCACACCGCCUCUAGGAUAAAACAAGUCCAGCUACAACUAUGCAGUUAACUACUGCACUGUAGAAAACCAUUUGAGAUUUACACCCUCAAAUAUGGUACUAAGACCACUCUUUAAUACUAAAACUACUUUAAUAUAGUAUUGUUACCACUCUGUUAUGGUGUUGAGACUACUCAAAUAUGAUGUUACCACCAUUUUAACGUUAAGUUCUCUAAUCUAUCGAUAUGGUACUACGCCCACUCAAAUAUGGUGAUACCACCAUUUCGACUUUUUAAUUUCUCCUCAAGUAGAAAAAUAAAUAUUGAAAGAAUAUUUAUAUACUGUUAAAAUCAUUCUUAAUUUCGACGGGACAUUAUUGUUUCAAAAAAGGACUAUGAUCUUAAAAAUACUUUUUAUUCUGAAGGGACUAUGUUUUUAAGACCGUUCUUAAUUCUGAAGAGACGUUAUACCGAACAGGGACUAAGGUCUUAAGAACACUCUUAUUUCCUAUGGGACAAAAAAAGAAGAUGAAGAGAAGAAUAACUCGUCAACACAAGCUGGAGGGAGAAGAGAGAAAGAAUUCUCGACAAUUUAAUAGAAACUCUUUGGUGUGAUUUUUGAACUGAGUAGUCUUCAAUUUAUAUAGAGAUUUUGUAACUGCUUUAGCAAAAAUUGCGGCAGCAGGCCACAAAAGUGGAUCGGAUCAAAAGAAACAAAUCCACAAAAGUGGAGGAAACAAACUCAUUGGAUAUGAAUGAAGGAAAGAUAAAAAAAUUUAGUUGAAUUCUUAUUCUUAUUAGAACCACUGUAAGGUAAAUUUAUAGGAAGUGAUAUUCACGAAUAAAAAUAAUAAUUACUAUAAUUUUUAUCAUUAUUAAGUAUUUAAAAUUAAAUACCGCAAUUUAAACACUACUAAUGUGUGUGUUCUAUUUUAUAUGGGACCCUCACACUCUAUUUUUUCAAUUCCCAUAACAUUAGAUAAAAAUAUAAUUAUUUGAUGUUUAAUCUUCCAAUUUUUCUUCCAACAUCACACCCAGCGGUGCAGGCAACACCCAGCUAGGCUGGGCUAUAGCCCAGGCUCUGCUGCUGCUUGCUUUGUAAAAGCCCAGCCCAAUGUCAUUUUUUCUACUAAAAAAUAAAGAGACAGGAUUUAGUGUUUUUGAGCAUGUUGAGAUAAGACAUGCAGAUUUUGCAGUAGAGAUGGUAGAUGAGAUAGAGGAGAGUCACAUCCCUAAAGUUAGGAGUACACUUAGAAUUACUUUAAAAAAAACUAUUAUGCAGAAUCUAGAGAUAAAUGAAUUAGAUAAAAAUAUGAUUUUUGAUAAAACACUGUGAUUUCAUUUGAUUCAUGUAGUCGAUCUAUAAGACUUAGUAGUUGUUGUUCUCUGCCAAGCAACUAGUAAAUUGGAUGUAUGAAAUGGAAUUUGAGAGACUUUGAUAAAUCCAUUUUGCUUUCAUUGAUUCAUCAAUAGAAGACUUUUGCGAAGAAUGAUGAAAUGGGAUUUUAAAUACUUCAAGACUGCGUCUCCUUGAUCGGAAUGGUAAGGAGUUGUUUACUUCAGCCAUUUUCUGUUUGUAUUUAUAGAAAAAACGGAAAUAGGUUGUGAAAAUAUGUUUACCUGAGCUUUUGAAAAUAUUGUGUUAAAACGUUUUCUGAAAACGGUCCAUUUUUAGAAAGAAAAAAAUAGUUUCCAUUGUAAAAAAAGGAAAGCAUGCUCUUCUUCGAGAUAUAGAACGGAUGAUGAAUUUAAAGCAUGUUUCAGUUAAUGGAAUGAAUCAAAUGGCUGCAAAGAAAGAAGGAUCUGUAAUAUUUGAAAGGUACCAUGCUUUUGUAUAGAUGAUGGUCAACAUGGCUUCAUAUUGCAUGUUUCAAGAAGUGGCUUCAAUAUAGUUUCAUAGCAGUGCUAGCUCCUACAACAUUUACAAUCCUUAUAUUUAUUAUUCGCCUAGUAGUUUUGAAAUCAUCUCAAUUGUUACCGCGUUAAACAAUUAAAAAACAUAAUUGGCAUGAGAAAAACUUAAAAUCAUCAACUUGUUAUAAUUAAUUAAUUUAAAGGAUCUAAGUAGAAGGAAAAAAACUUAAAAAACAAUUUGUUAGGAUUAAAUAACUUAAAAGUAAAAAAACAAAACAUAACUAAUUUACUAAUUUAUAGUAGAUGAAUUUAUAGAUGAUCGUUGAUAAUUGAUUUUAGGCAAAAUAGCACAAUUAGUCCCUUAACUUUAUUUUAGGUAACACUUUCGUCAUUUAUCUUAUUUUUGUCACGAUUUAGUCCUUUAUGUUAUAAAAUGACAAUAUCUUAUCAUUUUUUUAUGAGAUUUUUUUCAAAGAAAUUUGAUUUUCUAUGCUUCUAUGAUGAAGAUUUAUGUUUGCCUAUGAGUUUGAUGAUUUUUUUUGGAGUUUUUGAUUAUUUUUUUCAUAAAAAAGGAUAACUAUGUUGUUAUUUUAUAACAUAAAGGACUAAAUCGUGACAAAAAAAAGAUAAAGGACGAAAGUGUUACCUAAAAUAAAGUUAAGGGACUAAUUGUGUAAUUUUGCCUUGAUUUUAUACUAAUUGAAUUUUUUUAUUUAGCUUUACAAUUAUUAAAGAAAAUGGUUAUUAUGACGGAUAAAGUGUUCGAACCCAAAACUUCGAUUAAGUUAGAAGAGACUCAUUACCAUAUCAUUUAAGCGUUAAUUAUUUAUUGGUGGAUCAAAAAGAUGUACAAUAAAAAAAAACUUCAAUCCAUUGGUGGAUUAAGAAGAGAUAUAAUAAAUUCAGUAUUACUCUCUCUCACCCACCUCAUUCUCAAACUCCCGCCGUUGGUACUUUCUUUUUCUUGUCUAUUGAAGAUGAGUGAUUUAUGGUCAAUUUUGACUCAAAAUCACCUCUCCUCCGAGUUGUUUUUCUUUAUAUUCUAAUUAAAUAAGUGAUUUUCACAUAUUUUUAGUUUUCUUUCGUUUGUUUUUGUGAUUUUGUCGUCUCUGCACAACUUUGUUUGUUUUGAUUUUCCGUUUUUGUGCGGUGUGUUUUUUAUUUUCCGUCUUAGUGCGGUAUUUAUUUGAUUCAGGUUGAAAGAUCCGCUUUGAGCAAGUGCAAAUCCGAUCAAUGACUUUGGUGUCAUCAGCAUUGCAUAUCUGGAGACAUGCGUAUUCCGGACUUUAAUAUAACCGUAUUUGUAGGCAUAAGUACUUUGCCGUUUUAUGUUAUUAAGAUGGAUGAUAUGUGUUUGUUCACAGAUUCAUUCUUAUCGUUUUUAACGACUUUGAAUAUGUAUUGUAUCGAUGUACUCUAUCAAUUUGAAUGAAUGAAUAUCGUUUAUUUUUUUGUAAAAAAAAAAAAGAGAUAAUAAAUUUAAAAACUUAAAAAAUUCACUUUCUUGUUUUUUUUUUUUUUUUUUUUUUUUUUUUUUUCACUUUCUUAAUAGUAACAUUAGCAAACAAUUGGUUUCAAUCAAACGAUCUCAUAAGCAUAAACUAAGUUAAAAUUAAAAUUGAAUUAUUGCCAAACAUACCUUAAAUAUUGAGUCAUAACUGAAUUUAACCACAUACCAUAAAAAAACAUCCUCACAUCACACCACCCAUUCUCACUCUCAUCCUCCUCCUUUCAGCAAUAUGACGACGGAAUUCAUCGAUCUCGAAACCCAAGACGGCGUACGGAUGCCAUGGAACGUAAUCCCCGGCACAAAACAAGAAUCCGUAAACGUCGUUGUUCCCGUCGCCGCCAUCUACACUCCGAUCAAACACUUCCCAACAAUGCCAAUCCUCCCAUACUCCCCUCUCCGUUGCCGCACUUGUCGCUCAAUCCUCAACCCUUUCUGCAUCGUCGAUUUCGCCGCCAAGAUCUGGAUCUGUCCGUUUUGCUUCCAACGCAAUCAUUUUCCUAAUCAUUACGCUUCAAUCUCUGAAGAUAAUAUGCCAGCGGAACUUUUUCCUCAAUACACUACCGUUGAAUAUGAUUCUGUUAACGAUUCUGGACCGCACGUGCCGCCGGUGUUUUUGUUUGUUGUUGAUACGUGUGUCAUUGAGGAGGAGAUUGGUUUUCUUCGAUCUGCGAUUUCUCAAGCUGUUGAGCUUUUGCCGGAUAAUUCGCUUGUUGGUUUGAUUACGUUUGGGAGUUUUGUUCAUGUUCAUGAGUUAGGGUUUGGUAUUGUUCCCAAAACUUAUGUGUUUAGAGGUAAUAAGGAUUUGUCUAAGGAGCAGUUGUUGGAGCAGAUGAGUUUUUUCGCUAAGAAACCAAAGCCGGCGGUUGGUGUUGUUGCCGGUGCGCGAGAUGGACUUUCAUCUGAGAGUAUUUCGAGGUUUUUGCUUCCAGCUUCGGAAUGUGAAUUCGCCCUUAAUUCGGUAAUUUGCAUGUUGGAUAGUUUGGUUGUGUGUUGAUCAAAGUUGUUAGUGGCACAUUGCAGUUCAAUUCCGCUGCUAUAGCUGCUAUUUAACAACACUCACGUAGUGUUGUUAAAUAGCAACUAUAGCGGUGGUAUCAUGCUAUUCUGUAGUAUAAUUUGAACAAAUCACAAUUGUUUCAUGAUACCCUAUUUACUAUUUGGGAUAAAAUGUUGUGGAGUAGCGGCUAUAGUGAUGCUUUGACAUUGUUUUCUAGCAGAAUUUGAACAAACUACUAGUUUUUGCGAUUGAUAACAUUGCGCCCACAGAACAAUAGUGAUUUGUUUAGAUUUUGUUAUACUAUAGCUGCAAUUUGACAACACUGGUAUUGAUGAAUUGAAUUGUGUGAGUUUUGGUUUGGAUUGUUUUUGCAGGUUUUAGAUGAGUUGCAGAGGGAUCCCUGGCCGGUGCCGGGUGAUCAACGGGAGGCGAGGUGCACCAGCACGGCGCUGAGCAUUGCGGCUAGUUUGUUGGGUGCUUGUGUUCCUGGUUCUGCCGCAAGAAUAAUGGCGUUUAUUGGUGGACCGGCAACAGAAGGACCUGCUCCUGUAAGCGUUUCUCUUCUUACUUACAGAGUGACAAUAUAGUUUCUUUUUUUGAAACAGACAAUAUAGUUGGUUUGAUUUGAUAGUAUGUUGGACAUGAAGGUGUCUGGCCGAUAGAAAGUAUAGAGUAGCUUUACUUGUGUCUAGCCAGCAAAGUAGAGACUAGAUAGUAGCUUUUUCUCAAAUGCAUUGGAAAACGUGUGGAUUGAAAUCCAAACACAUACUAUAUAGUCAAAUUAACUGUGAAAGAUUUAGACAGCAUCAUUUAUGGUGUUAGUCCUUAGAUAAUUGAAAAUUUGUAAUUACAGAUGUUGUACUUGAAUGCAUAUUUAAUAUUUUGUUGGUUAAAUUAGUCUCAGGACCUCAGGUUAGAAUAUUUUAGUUACCAAUUCACCAGGGUAUGUUUGGAUGGAUGAUUUUGAAGAAGAAGGGCGGGCUGUGAUUGAAGUAUUAUAUGACCAUUUAUCAUACGGUUCUUUGAUAUAUAUAUAUAUAUAUAUAUUUUUUUUUUUUUUUAAAUAUAGCCUUCGCCCUCCAAAACCCCCUCCCAAACACACCAAAGAUUACACAUUUGAGGACUAAAAUGUUAUUCAGGAAGCCUUCGAGAUAAUAUUUCGAUUAUUUUGGGACUCACAUGAAAAUAUUAUAUCUUUCUAAAAAUAGUUCUACUAAUUACUCUAUGCUUACAUCUAUCAGAGACUAAUUUUACUUGACAUCUAUUCAUGUUGUAAGGUAAAGCAUAAUUCCUCCAACAAGAAUAUGCAUGUGUGUGUGUGUAACCUUCGGAAUCUGCAUAUUAAUGUACUGCAUACAUUUAGGAUGAGUUAUUGACUGUAAGCAAGAGCUAGUGGUUUUGUAUUUUUCUUCAUGACACAAAAUCCCCCUAAUUUGGGGGAACUUAAAUUUAUUGAAGGGAGAUUUUGGAGGGCGUGGAUAAAUUAUUCAAACCCAAACAAUGUUGUUAUAAUAUUCCUAAAAUUGAAAAUAUAUUUCUUUUAUCAUUCUCUACAAGCUCUCUCUCUUAGAAAAGAUGAAAAAUUUCUCUCUUUUUCCCUCUAAUCCCCUCCCCCUAAAGCCCUCCCCUCCAAUCUCCCAAACAUACCCUUAGGCUUUAUUUACAUAAUAGAAUCUACCUUUUCAUUUGUAAGUUUUUUCUGACAAAGUUAUCCAGUUUCAGUGGAUAGCAGCUGUUGUAUCUCCAUUUACAUUUCGUCUUAUGAUUCUGGAGAGUUUUGUGGUUUCUUUUGUGGGUUUUUUUCUUCCUCAGUUUUGUCCUUUUGUCAUUGCUUUUGGGCCCUCUCCUGUACUUUUUCUCUGUCUAUAGAAAUUCAUUUUUAUCUAAAUAAAAAUAUAUGUCGUGGAGGCAAUUGUUCUGUUGUCAUUUUGACAUUAGUGUGUAUGAUAAUGAUUGACCUCUAUUUUUUGAGUGCCUGUACCAAGGGAAUGUAUUUGACUGUUUAUGAUCAUACUGUUAGGUAUUUCAUUUACUUCUACUGAUGCUAUGGAUAGAAAUGAUUUCCAUCUCUUUUCAUUGGUUGACACUCAACUGUUUCCGUCCGUACGAACUAUUGUAUAUUGUUGUAGAUUGUAUCCAAACAACUUUCUGAACCAAUUCGCUCCCACAAAGAUCUGGAUAAAGAUUCUGUGCCACAUUACCAUAAAUGUGUGAAAUUCUAUGAUGGGCUUUCAAAGCAGCUAGUACAUCAGGGUCAUGUGCUAGAUCUCUUUGCUUGCGCUCUUGAUCAGGUAAAGUUCUCCUUUUUCAACUGAUCUUUUCUGGUUGGCGUACAUCAUUAUGCUUGUUUGUAAGCUGGCAAAGAGAUCCUUUAAACCAGUUCACUCAUUUUAUAAUCAGAAGUAGUUACCAAACAAUGUUUACAAUUUCUUUUCCAUGAAUAUUUUUAUAUUUGACCAAGUUGUUUUUUUCACCUGUUUUCUUUGUUCUAAAGGCAUUCUUGAUGUUCCUUGCUUGUAACCUUGUCAACUAAGAUUGUAGUUUCAUGGGAAAAAUUGUUUAAUUUUUUUUUACAAAGCUUAAGUGUUGUUUUAUAUGACGAGUUAAUUCUGAAAUGAUGCCUCCUACAGUCGUACUAUUAAUAACUUGAUUGUCCAACUUUAUAAUUCCUGUUGUCUAAAAUCCUUGGCUAAUUUCAAGGAGAUUAGAAUAGAAAAAUGUUGAACAUUUUGUUAAAUGGCCUACUUGAUUUUCUUCCUAUUGAAAUAUGCGUUAUUGUUUAAUGGCUUCAAAUGUUUGUAAUCAUAUUCUGGUGGUUGUUUUUGCUUUGUCUAAUGUUCUUAUAUUUGAAAAUAUAAUUUUUUUGGUCUACUCUUUAUCUUUCAGGUUGGCAUUGCUGAGCUUAAAACUGCUGUUGAAAGGACCGGGGGCCUUGUUGUACUUACUGAAAGUUUUGGCCAUCCAGUGUUCAAGGAUUCACUUAAGCGUGUUUUUCAAUCUGGUGAUUAUGAUCUGGGCCUCGCAUCAAAGUAAGUAAUAAAAGAUUUUAAUUUUUCUAUGAUAUGGAUCGUCUUGAAUUUCUUGUUUCUUGCUAUGUGUAGUUAAGUGUUAACCCUACUAUUCGUUCUCCCCUUAUAUUUGGUGCUCUAUAUUCAGACACUUAAGCUGUCUUUUUCUGUCCAUGGCCUCCCCAGUGCCACAGAUCCAUUUAGUCAGCUUUUCUUGCAUCAAAGACUGUUCUUGAGCCUUGUCCUGUCAUCAACCUCCAUAUGCCUAAAGACCCAAAUCUUUCUCAAAUGACUAGAUCUCUCACCUCUCAAACCUCCUUGUUAUUUAUAUUCAGCAUUUUCCAUCUCAAACAAUUCUCACCUGACUAAUGGGGACAAUCUAUUGUAUGCGCAAAUUUAUUAUUGUUAGAUAAGAUACGACUCAUUUAUAUUCGGUGAGCAGUACCAGUUACAUUUGUGUACCAGAUUUUAGGGUUAAGGAAUGAGGAAAAAAGAUAGACGGCAGACUAUAAUUGGGACAAGUAAGAUGAUUUUGGAGUUGAUCAGACGUAGUUUUAAACAUUGUCGAAGGUGGUCUAGAACAUGAAACCAGUUAAAUGGUAUAUACACGGUGAGUAGUCGACAACCAUUAUAGUAGGAUUCUAUUUCUAAUUACUGAAGGACUAUCUCCUGUUAACAUAGUAGGAUAAAAAGCAAAUAAUAAUGAUAUCGACAGCCACCUUAAUUCUAUGAUACGAUUUAUAACAAUAAUUGUAGAAUUUGAAGAGUAUCACAUAAUAAACACCAUGGAAAAUAGUCGCCAACAAAUUAGGAGUACCAAACCAAGGUUGCUGGAAUAAUGCAAGUAGGUCUGUGGCAUCUGGAUCCAGAAACAUGAUUUCUGGCUAUGAAUAGUUACGAGGUUACAUAUUACUUUUUGUCCAAAUCUGAAAGAUCCCUGUAUUCAUAAACAAAAGCGUAUUCUUUUGGCUUCUGAUUCCAGCCAGAUACCAGAAACACAUGUUCUCUAACCAAAACAAAUCUAUGAGAAGUUGACUGGCACUUAACCUUAUUUUAUCUACUCUGUGCAGUGGAAUAUUUGAGAUAAACUGCUCUAAGGACAUCAAAGUCCAAGGGAUUAUUGGCCCUUGUGCUUCUCUUGAAAAGGUAUGUCUAGAAGUUUUGUUCUAUCUUUUUCGCAUGUUAAAUUCCAUAUAGCCUCUCCCAAAAGGAAAACAAAAUGUUUAGCUGCUUCUUUGUAUAUGCAGAAAAGCCCAUUAUGCUCAGAUGUUGUUAUUGGUCAAGGGGGUACUAGUGCAUGGAAGAUGUGUGGCCUUGACAAAUCGACAUCACUGUGCCUGUUUUUUGACAUUGUGAGGAAGGAAACUCCAGACGCUACAAUGCAAUCCACAAGCAAUCAAUUUUACUUCCAAUUCUUGACUUAGUAUGAAAACUAUCUUAGUGCGCCUUUGAGUAAUCUGUUGUCUUUUGUGGUAAUGUGGUUGAAAUAUUUCUCACUCAUCACAGAUUUUUUGCUUCAGUUAUCAGAAUAACAGUGGACAAAUGAGGUUUCGGGUUACAACUCUUUCACGUAGAUGGGUUGCUGGACCAGGAAGCAUACAGGUAAGCUUUCAUCUACCACCAUUUGAUUCACCAAAUUUAGUUAUUUUGAUAUCCAUUAUUAAUACUGCAAAGCAAUUCAUUUGGGUAAUACUGCAAAGCAAUUCAUUUGGGUUUGUCAUUUUGUAAAAUUUAUUAUAAAAAAUGGUCUUGGGAAUUAUAUACAAUGCAUAUUUAGUUAUACAGAAGGAAUUAACAAAACAAAGACUUUUCUUUGAUUAUCAUUAUAUUUCUUCCCUUGCAUAUUUAUCAGUAGUUCAGGGAAAUUGAUAGAGACAUCAUUUUGAGCUUAUUUUGGGUUAUUUAUACACAAUUUUUCUUUAAUUGCCCUUUUUAUUUUACUCAUUUCUUUGUUGAAUUGGAGUUUUAUGUUUAUUGUGUUUGGAUAAUGACCAAUGCUAGUUUUAUGUUCAUUAACUUUUACAAUUAGUUAACGAUAGUAUGAUAUGAUUUAUCUAGUAACAUGAGCACUCUAUUCAUUACUGUAAUUACAAUUUUUUUCCCACUUGUUUUUAAUAAAUUCAUCAUUAAAUUCAUUUUCUGGAAUUCAUCAAUGUUUUAUAUCAGUUAUAUGUAAAAUUUUGUAGGAUUUGAUUUCUGGAUUUGACCAAGAAGCAGCUGCUAUAGUCAUGGCACGCCAAGUGUCUUUCAAAAUGGAAACGGAGGUGAGUGCUGGAUAUUUUCUGCUUCUUUUUAAUUGUAUUUUGGAUAAUUGUAUCUUAGCCUGUUCGACAUGUAUUUAGCUGGAUAUAAUCCAAGUCAUUGGUUUUUGUUUCUCUUGCAGAAGUUUAUUUUCAUACACCAGUUAAGAAUAAUUUUAAAAAGGCUCUCUCUCUCUCUACACACACACACACACACACACACACACACACACACACACACGCACGCACGCUCGCGCGCGCACACUCACACACACACACACACACUUUUUCUGCACCAUUUCUCUAACAUGCUUUACUUGGAUUAUUAUGGAUUAUUCUUCUGUAAAUUGAUUAUUCCAGUGGAACAUGAAUAAUGGAAUUCAGUGAAUCAGAACCCAUUACAGAUUACACUUUUGUAUUAUAUUGUUGAAUUGUUGACUAGUACAUUGACACAGAAGUAUUCUUUGCCAGUUUGUUUAUGACACAUCCAUAGUUGUGAGAACUGUGGACCUGCUUUUCUCUCUCACUGAUUAGCUUGAUAUGUUUUUUGUGCCUGCUUAUGAAAAAUGUCAUUGUUUUGACACCCUGUGAUGGUGCAAUUUCUGUAUCAGGCUGAAUUUGAUCCUAUCAGAUGGUUGGACAAGGCAUUGAUAAAUUUGUGUUCCCGUUUCGGAGAUUUUCAAAAAGAAACCCCAUCUUCAUUUAGUUUGUCUCCCAGGUUGUCAAUAUUCCCACAAUUUAUGUUUCACUUGCGACGUUCUCAGUUUGUUCAGGUAUUCAUUUUGUGUUAUCAGACCUCUUAUAAAGUUUUUCAUUGUUGAUAUUUCGUGCUGCUAUAUCUGUACUUCCACAGUAUUUAUUUUUUCCGUUAAUUAUAUAAUUGUAGGUCUUCAACAACAGCCCAGACGAGACUGCUUACUUUAGAAUGAUUUUAAACCGGGAAAAUGUUACUAACUCUGUCGUCAUGGUUCAGCCUUCAUUGAUUUCAUAUUCAUUCCAUUCUGGUCCUGAGCCUACUCUUCUCGAUGUCGCAGCCAUUGCGGCUGACAGGGUUCUGCUUUUGGAUGCAUUUUUCACAGUCGUUAUUUUUCAUGGUUCAACCAUUGCCCAAUGGCGCAAGGCUGGAUAUCAUAAUGAACCAGAACAUCAGGUAUUCUCUGGACAUGUUAUUGCUGAUCUAAUAUCAUGUCUGCUAGUUAAUUCUGAUGAACAAGAGUAUCCGGCUGAUGGGGACAAUAUACAUUGUGAAAGUAUACGAGAAUAGGUGAAAUCAUUUAGUGUUUUGACACGGUUUCAUUGUCGGGAUAAAUUGUACUAGUAGUAUAUGGGCUUUACCUGAUGAUUAUGAGUCAAGAUUAGGUUGAGUAAGGCGCCUGCUGCUUCGACAAGGACUUUCAGUUUAUUGGGCCUUGUAUUAGUUUCUAAGACUUUGUGAUUGUUUGUUUGUUAGAUUAUUUUGGGAGUUGGGGGAUGAAUACAUUUUGGUAAUGAAAGAAUCAAAAGAAUAAAACAUUAAUGAACUCAAUGUGAAUAUAAGAUCAGUACCACAACAUGUUUUUGUGGACAACUUUUAUUUGAUAGAGGUUUUGCAAAAUUAUACAAAUUUUGAACUUCUUAAGCAUCCUAUCUCAAAGCCUUGAUAACUUGAAACAUUUAACUAUUUGGGGCAUAAUCAAAAGGUUUUAACUAUGAAAUCCAUGUUAUGGCCUGUGCCAAACCUACUUGAUAGUUGGAUUGGUUGUUCGACACCUUUCCUAAGUCAUAAUGCAUCACUGAUGACCAUAGGAAAUUUGUGAUGAGUAAUGAUCUUAUCUUUGCAUUGUCAAUUUGGUUAACUUCGGUCAAAUAUUUUUGCAGGCAUUUGCUCAGUUGCUACGAGCUCCUCAUGAUGAUUCAGAUUUAAUAAUGAAAGAGAGAUUUCCUGUGCCUCGCCUGGUUGUUUGUGAUCAGCAUGGAUCCCAGGUUUACAUUCUUAUACUUUGAUCUGGCUUGUUGCAUAUUAGUAUAUUUUUUUGGAAUCUGACAUGUUUGGCAUUCAUGCACAUUGUGCAGGCUCGAUUUCUUCUAGCAAAGUUAAAUCCUUCUGCAACAUAUAACACCGAAGCUUCACUCCCUGGAGGGGACAUUAUCUUUACGGAUGAUGUUAGCUUUGACGUCUUCCUUGAUCAUUUACAGAGAUUAGUUGUUCAAUAGAAUUAUAUUGUGUCUUACGACUUUUGUAAAAAAAUUCUUGGAUUGCUAUUAUUAUUUCCUAUUUAGUGCAAAAUCUUGUAAUUAUUUGGUCAAUGACAGGAAAGUUUACGUCUACUUUUUACGGCCCAAUUGACUGACCUUGGUGACUAGCGCCUUAUGCAAAUGGCAUUUUGGCUUUUGUUUGCAGAACCUUGCCAAAUAAUUUAAGAUCCUUCAUUUGGUGGUUUGACUUGUUCUUAAUCAUGCUACCUUAGAAAUAUGAGAAAAAUGUGGGGUGUUAUGUAAUUGAAAUAAAGAAGAGGGGGUUUUUAAUUAUUUUUUUUUAAGUCUGCUAGCUUUGGUUAUAAAGAUUGUUUGAUUGGUUAUGCAGUUGGAUUAUCAUUGUUGUAUUAAAUUGGUUUGUUAUUUCGAAAGUUUGCAUAAACAGUCGUUGGGAUGAUCUGAUUAUUUAUUUAUUAGUAACAUAAGCAUUUCAUUAUCAACAAAUUCCUAAAAAAAAAAUCUCCAUCAUGCAUGGUCAUUCAGCGAUGAUUAUGUACUGAUCAUCACUUGGUUUUCCAUUUAAGUGAACAAUAGCCCAAAAAUGACAGAUUUAGAUUUGCUAUAAUCACAAAUUCACACCGUUAGCACAUAAUUGACCAUUGGACCGAGGUUGAAGGUUUUAGAUUUUCAGCUCGACGUUUUAGAGUGCUAUGAAAAAAUAAAUUCUGCUUGCUUUAUGCAAUUUUUGAUUUUGAUCCAACGAUUAUCGAUAUAUUAACUGUGUGGAUUUAUGGCCGCGACAAAUCUAAAUCUUAGGAUGAACUAGUUACCAAUUAGAAAGUCAAAAUCAAAAUCAUUUUCUUUUAAUUAAUCCUAAAUUCUACUACUUAACUUUCAAUAACUUUCAUUGUAUCAUCUACGAACAACAAAAUGAGAUAUAUUUCUAUAACUUAGAUAACUUUUUGUUUAAAUCUUGAUUGAAAGCUGUGAUUUCACUUUGUAUUUACCAUUAUCUGAAAUAUGAUUACAUCAGAACCUAUACAAUUCUGAAAUAAAAUCUCAUCUAUUAAUGUUAUUGUAAGAAGCUUGGUUACGUAAAUACCAAACAAGAGUAGACAAGAUAUUUAUAGUUCAUUAUUUAUAUCUACCAAACAAUAGUACUUUUCAUUAUUAUUAUUUCCUACUCUUUCUUUACUCAUGCUGUAACUUUUUAAUGCAAUGUGUAGAUAUGCAACAACUCACAGCGACGACUUGAGAUCUUUCAAGUCAAGGUUAAAACAUCAAUUUUAUUAUUUUUACUUCUGCUGAGGAUAAUUACAUUUGUCUGCCUUCCCUUGGUCCUCAUUUUGUUGUAUGUGUAUAUACUACUUUUCCUACAUUUACAUUUCACAAUCACAACCAAUCUCAAACUCUCCAAAUUUUACAAUCUUCUGAUCUGCUAAUUGCCUUGUGUGUCUCUUUUUGAAGGAUGGCUGAACAAAUUCCAUACAGUGUUGCUACAAGUCUCGUUAACAGGUGACUUCAUUUUCAACACUUUUUUUUCAGUUAAAUUAGUUAAACUAACUAUAUAUAUAUAUAUAUAUAUAUAUAUAUAUACACACAUAUAUGCUACUAAUUUACACUCAUCUAAAAAUACUAAGGCCUUGUUUACGACUUUAGAGAAGAAGGAGAGACGAAAAGAAGUUUGAAAAAAAUGAAAGAGUAAAUCAUCGACCUAAACCUACACCUAUUAGUUUUUUUUACCAUAAACCAAUCUUUCUUUAAAACAACUAAUGGGUAUAUAUGUAAUUUUCAUUUUUUUAAAUCAAAUAUUUAAUUCAUCCCAAACUUGUUUAAUAACACCGGAAAAGUAGGAAGCGUCGCUUCCUUCAUAUAUUUGUUUCAACGUCACACAUCACGUAAAUAUGCUUAGUUUUUUUUUUUUUUUUUUUUUAAAUAUGAGUUUUGUUGCAAUAUAUGAGUUCUCAUGUUGUCCUAAUUUCAUUUGAGCUCACUUUCAGUUUUCAAUCAAGCUACUGCUUGAUAAUUUUUCUUUUGAAAUAUACAUGUUCGUAAAAGAAGUUAAUGUGCUUUCAAAGGGGAAGGAUCUAGGAAUACAUUUUAAGUAUGGCUAAACAUUUUUUAUUUUUUAUUUUUUAAAUUCAUGUGUAGCUAUAACCAUACAUAGACAUGAUGCAGAUCUGCCCGACUUUCAACAACAAAAAAAAGUUAAUGUGCUAAAAAAUGUUAGAAGAACAAAACACUAACGUGAGUAACACACAAGAUUUAUAAAAAUGUAAUUGUAACAUGAGAGAUAAAUUUUUAAGAAAACAAUAUUCUGAACGAUGAAAGUGUGUGUAAAUAACCAGCAAGGUGGAUAUAAAUAAUUAAGCGGGUGUAUGUUACUAAGUUACUUUUUAGGUAGAUGUAAGUUGCUAAUCUACUCUAAUGUUUUUAAGUAGGUGUAAAUUAUAUAUAUAUAGACACACACAUCACAGAGCUUGUUUGCUGAAUAUUUUCUUUACGUAGGUUGGCUUCUGUUGCCUUACGCGAAUUUGGACGGAUUAAUAAUGUGAUGGAUGAAUUAGAAAGACUUAAAAACACAAUUGAAGUCAUCAGAGCUGUACUCCUUGAUGCUGAGGAGAAACAAGAGAAAAGUCAUGCUGUACAAGUCAUGUUGUGAAAGAUAUGUCUGUGUUGAAUCUUAACUCCAAUGUUGUGGUGGUUGAGAAAGCUAACAAUGUAAGGAGGGAAACUUGUUCUUAUGUGUUAGAAUCAAAUAUCAUUGGAAGAGAAGAUGAUAAAAACAAGAUUAUAAGCUUGUUGAGGCAAUCACAUGAAAAUCAACAAGUUUCUGUGGUUGCUAUUGUUGGUAUUGGUGGUUUGGGAAAGACGGCUCUUGCUCAAUUGGUAUACAACGAUGAAGAAGUGCAGAAUUUGUUUGAAAAGAGAAUGUGGGUAUGUGUCUCUGAUAACUUUGAUGUCAAAACUAUUCUGAAGAACAUAAUGGAGUCAUUAACCAAUAGGAAAUUUGAUGAUACGUUAUCAUUGCAAAACUUGCAAAACAUGCUUCGUGACAAUUUAACUGGUAAAAAAUACUUGUUAGUCCUAGAUGACAUUUGGAACAAGAGUAAUGAAAAGUGGGAUCAAUUGACGACUUAUUUGAUGCGUGAUGCUCAAGGCAGCAAGAUUGUAGUGACAACUCGUAGUGAAUCAGUGGCACAAACAAUGGGUGUAAGUAGCCCCUAUGUUUUGAAUGGCUUGACUCCCCAAGAAUCGUGGCGAUUGUUAAAGACUGUCAUUACAUAUGGGAAUGAGAAACAAGGAGUGAGCCGAACUCUUGAGUCAAUUGGUGAGAAGAUAGCAGAAAAGUGCAAAGGAGUUCCAUUAGCAAUAAGAUCAUUGGGAGGCAUAUUACAAAGCAAAAGGGAAGAAAGGGAGUGGAUUGAAGUCUUACAAGGUGACUUUUGGAAAUUGUGCGAGGAUAAAGAUAGCAUCUUGCCAGUCCUAAGAUUGAGUUACUAUAACUUGUCACCUCAACAAAGGCAAUGUUUUGCUUAUUGCUCUUUAUUUCCCCAGGAUUGGAAAUUUAUGAAGGAUGAAUUAAUUCAAAUGUGGAUGGCACAAGGUUAUCUUGACGGUUCAGUUGAAAAGCAAUGCAUGAAAGAUGUUGGUAAUCAAUUUGUAAAUAUUUUCUUGAAGAAUUCAUUCUUCCAAGAUGCAACAAUGAAUUACCAUGGUGAUAUAGAUGGUUUUAAAAUGCACGAUUUAAUGCACGAUCUUGCAACACAAGUAGCUGGCAAUGAUUGUUGUUACUUGGAUAGUAAGGCAAAAAGAUGUCUAGGAAGACCUGUGCAUGUAUCAUUGAAAUGGGAUGCCUUUUGUAUGUUGGAAUCAUUGGAUUCAAGUAGGCUGCGUACUUUGAUUAUGUUGGAUUCCAAUUCGGAAAAAGUGGAUGAAGAGGAAUUAUCAGUUAUUUCAAAUUUCAAAUACUUACGUGUCUUGAGGCUUGUGACUUCUCGUCAUCAUAGCAAGCUAGUUGGUUCCAUUCAAAAAUUGAAGCAUUUAAGGCAUCUUAACUUGUCAAAGCGUGAUGGACUAAAAAGUCAUCCCAAAUUUAUCAGCAAUCUUGUUUGUUUACAGACAAUAAAUUUGUUAAUGAAUGAUGAUGAUGUACUUUAUACAGAAAUUCUUUCAAAAUUAAUCAAUUUGAGACACCUUGAGAUAUAUCAUUUGACCUUCAAAGACGAGACACUCUCUGGAUCUAGAAAAUCGAGCAUACAACAACACAAGGGUUUGACUUUGUCCAAUUGGCUUUCUCCACUCACAAAUAUAAUUGAAAUAUCUCUUAAUUAUUGCCAAGGUUUCCAACAUCUCCCACCAUUGGAACGCCUUCCGUUCCUUAAGUCACUCGAGUUACGUCACCUUUAUGAAUUGGAGUACAUAUAUUAUGAAGAGCCUAUUCUUCAUGAAUCAUUCUUCCCAUCUUUGGAGAGGCUUGAACUUUUAGUUUGUGGGAAGCUGAUGGGAUGGAGGAGGAUAGAAGAUGAUUUGAGUGAUAUCAACUCUUCACAUCAUCGCUUGUUGCCUCAGUUUCAGUUUCCUUGUCUCUCUAAAUUGGAUAUUAAUGGGUGUGACAUGUUGGCUUUCAUGCCUACUUUUCCAACCAUUAAGAAGAGAUUAAAAUUGAGGAGUUGCAGUGCAGAGAUAUUGGAAGCAACACUAAAUAUAGCAGAGUCACCAUAUUCGAGUGGCUUCCCUCCUCUUUCGAUGCUCAAAUUCUUGAUAAUUACUGAUACCAUUAUGGGUAUGGAAAAAGCCCCAAAGGAUUGGUUUAAAAAUCUUAUUUCUCUUGAGAAUCUUGAAUUUUACUUUCUUUCAAGUCAAAAAUUUCAAGUAAUUGAAAUGUGGUGGUUUAAAGAUGACCUCAACUGUCUUCCUUCCCUCAAAAAAAUCACUUUUUUUCAUUGUGACCUAAAUGCAUUGCCAUAUUGGAUAUGCAACAUCUCAUCACUUCAACACAUUGAGGUGUGCGGUUGUAGAGAUUUGGAAGAUCUGCCUGAGGCAAUGCCACGUCUUACAAACUUACAUACCUUAGAAAUCAUUGAAUGUCCAUUCUUAGCUCAACAAUGUGAGACAGAAACAAGUGCAACUUGGUCUAAAAUUGCUCACAUCCCAAACAUAAUCUUAAAAGAAAGUCUUUGGGAUUAGAAAGGUACCGAUUAUUAUUUUUGGACUCCGUUAUUUUUUAUUGAUACGCUCUUUAAUUUUUUGUUUUUGUACUAAUUUAUAUUAUGAUUUUUGUUUCUUCGCUCAUUGUUUGAAUGCAUAUGGCUGGGAAAAAAAACUUUUCUUUUGGCAAAAGAAAAUGGAAAGAAUCAUAUUUAUGCAUCACGACUAAAUACUGAGAUACCAAAGACAUUUUAAUAUUUCUGAAUUUCCUUAGAUUUGUACACCACUUAUUUAGAAACUUUGUUUGUUUAUUCUCUGAUAAACUUUUAAAAAGUGACUACAAAUAUUGAUUUUAAAAGUUCAAUAUUGUUACUUGUAUACCAUUUUGUUCUUUUUAUCUUCUUGAAAAUGAUCUAUUGCAAGAUUUAUGCACUAUCAUACUGAUUUAAUGUGUGCUUGUUUUAAGCUAGCUUGCUCAAUAAAAGAAAUGGAAGACUGAAGGAGAUGCGUGAAGAUGGCUGCUCUAGAUAUUAAGAGUUUUGACUUUCUGAAUGAUUAUAAGUUAACUUUCUUUUCUUGUUAUUGUGUUAUUUUGUACUUGCUCAUAAACAUGAGACUGAUUGAUCAAGGGUUCUCUUUGUUAAGAGUUCUCUUUUUCUGUUGUUUUUAUUGUUGUUUGUUCUGUGCUCUUUUUUCCUGAAAAGGUUUUCAAUGAGGCAGAUCAUGAGUGUUUGGUUGGUUAUUUUGAAUUGUGUUUUGUUCUAGCUGCCAAAUACUUUUGUAUCUUUAUUUUCUUUUUAUUUAAUAAUAAGAGUCUGAUUGAAAAUUAUAUUGUGCUUUAUUUAUUUUUUUGUUUUUUAAAAUAAAAAUAAGAGUUUGAUUGAUCUACUCUAGAAAUUUUUCAUGAGUAGUCUUCUUGUGAUGAGUUCUAACUGAUGGAUGGACAUUAGUUUUUGGCUUUAUCAUCUAUCUUUUUUCUUUUAAACAUAUUGCUAGACCAUAUUAGUUUAGAUUUUGUUAUCUUUGUUUUAUCAGUUGAUUCUCUUUAAUAUGUUCAUUUGUGUCUUAUAUUUUCUCAUAUAUUCACUCAUCUAAAUCACCAUUGUACUUGAGAUUGAACCAGGGUCGAAAAAAGUUUUUGCAAUAGAGGUCUAUAAUUAAGAGGCUUAUUCUAGUAGGUGGAUGGUUGGGGUCUGUAUCUUGAAUCCAACAUUUUGAAUGACUGUGGAUUUGGAAAUUGUUUACAGUAGAUAGACCUGAAUUUUGAUUUUUUUCUUGAAGCAAAAGAGAAGUUCGUUAAAAAAAAGCACUGUGAGUGUAUAAAAUUACAAUCCAAAAGAAAGAGGUAUGAGAAUGAAAGAAACCACCACUAUAAUUCUCAAAGAUACAACCAACACAAGCUUGAGCAACUCAAAUGACUUUAGCAAAAACACAUAAACUAUAAUUGAUAAUCUGAAACCAACUCCAAUUGCCUAUAAAAGUUGCAAGUUGCCCCAAUGCUACAUCAAAGAAACUAGCUCCAAUGCCCCAUGCAACUCGAGUAGAUCAACUAACUUAAAGAUAGACAAAAUCGGCCCUUGAAAUAGGACUACAGUAUCAAAUUUACUGAAUUUUAACCACCCAUGGUGAAAAUAAAUAACGCAUCGCCCCAGUUACACAGUCAUCUCAUUAGAUGCUUCCUAACACCAAAACAAAUCAUCUUAUCCAAAUCAGCCACACAUUAUCACAAGUAAGUUGCAUCAAUCAUUAUGUUAGUUUGUUUAGGUUUAAUUUUUAAAAAAAUUAGAGUAGUUUGCAUGUGGUUAGGGUUGAUUUUAAAAUUGACAAUUUGAUGAUUGCAUGUGUUGUUAAGAUGUUAUAGAUGAAUGUAAUUGAUCUUUGAAUGAUUUUUAAGUAUAAUGUGGUUUUGAAUGAUGCCAAAUAAACACAAUUUGAAUAAGUUUCAUACUUUGCACACAAAGUGUUUGAUAAAAUGCCUCAACGACAAUUAUAUUGAUUAUUUAGUUAGUUUAGGUUAUGGAAAUGAUGAAAAUGAUGUUAAUUAUAGUUUGAUAAAGUGUAUAUUGAUUAUUGAUUAUUUAGUUAGUUUAGGUUAUGAGAAUUGUAUCGAAUGAUGUUUAGGUUAUGAUGGAAAUGAUGCACACAAAUUAUAUUGAAAUGAUGAUUAUAUGGAAUGGUUUUAGGUUAUGGAAAUGAUGUUCAUUGGAAUUUUAAUGUGUUUGAUUAUGUUUAUGUUUAUGUUUAAUUUAGGUUUAAUGUGAAUGUUUAUGUUUAGUUUAGGUUUAAUGUGUUUGAUUAGGUUAUGGAAAUGAUGUUAAUUUUUAAUUUUUUGUGUAGAUAUGUCUGAUCAGGACCAGGGGCAGCUGAUUGAUCCAUCUAAGAUGAUUGGUGGUAGGCGUGGUAUGACACAAAGCCAUCAGAAGAAGAGGAAAAACGCACAAAUACCGAAGAGGGGAAGAGGUCGGAGGGGGGAUGGUUCAGGGACUUCUUAGGCUACACAGCCUGAAAGUCACAGGUGGUUGACCCGACCCAGGAGGAGUACCUGAAUUAUCAGGAUUAGGUACACCACGAUGUCACUGAUGGUGGGUAUGACCAGCAACAUAUACCAGAGCAGCAUAUACCAGAUCAUGAUGACAUUGCAGCAGCAGCUGCCCCAGCGGCGUUACCUGAUCAACCUCCCUUUUCUGGAGGACCAGAAGAUACAUCUUUGCUGCACUCUUAUGCCAACUAUAUGACAUUGCCGCUUUGGUAUAAUUCUAAUAACGUAAGUGUUUUUGUUUAAUUAUUAUAUUAACUUUUAUAUGUGUUUUUGUUUAAUUCUUUUCUUUAUGUUUAAUUAUUUUCUUUAUAUUUUCUUUAUAUCAGCUUUAAUUAUUUUCUUUAUAUUUUCUUUAUGUAUUAAAUUAAAAAUACGUGCGACAAUUUAAAUUUGCGAUUUUUAUUUUUACAUGUGUUAAGUUUUAUUUUGUUUAGUUAAAUGUUUACGUUGUUUAAAAUAUGUUUAUUUUUCUAUUAUUUCAGGUUCGUAAGUUGCGUAUUGUAAAACCGAUUAAUCAUGGGACUAAAAUUUUGAGUCUUCGGCGUCCAAACAAUAAUCAUGAUUGGUUUUGGCAACCGCUUAAGGAGAACGGGUUAUAUGAUUUGGUUUAUUUGGACUACGUCACUAUACCAUCCCGAGAUCAGCAGUUUUACAUGAUUUUUAAUCAUGCUACGGUUUUUCAUCUUUUUGUUGAUGUAUAGGAAAACCUGUUCAUGUAUCGGGUGAAUUUGAUGCCCUUUUUCUACUUCUCAUUAAGCAAAUAUUUUCCCUUUUCUCUUAAUGUUUUCCUUGGUUUCUCUUUAUCUGAUUAACUCUUCUAACUAUUUUUGUCAUGUUGUCUGAUCAAUUAAAUAUAACCAUUUUCUUCUGUAAUUUGUUGAACAUAAAUAGCAAAACAGCCACUGGUUUUUGUUGCAAUUUAAUACAAUACUUAAUUCAGCUUCAUGGAUGCACAAGAGCCGUUUUCUUGGAUUAGCAGUUUGGUCUAAGUUCUACCUUCAUAGGAAAUUUUGCUUACAUUUUCUGUUUCUGCUCACAUUAAGGAAUAAAAUCUGUUAAUUGAAGUCCAUAUCCAGUGGUUGGUGUAAAUAUUUUAUUAUGAAAAUAAAACAAACUUUUGUAGCCACAUUGUACAUAGUCAGUUUCACUUCAGACUUUGCAGCUGUUUAAUAUAGGUUACUAUAUAAUACUCCCUCCGUCUCUGAAUAAGUGACCUAGUUGACUCUGACACACAUACCAAUGCAUAUGUUUUAUCUUGAUAUCUUCAAUUCUCUACUAAAAUUUAAUAUUUUAAAAAUAUUCAUCGAGACGAAUCCAACAACAUCUUACAUGAUAUUAUUAAUCUUUGUAAAUUAGUAGAAAAGUAUGGUCAAAAUAUGUCAAGUCAAUAAUGUAUAUUGUCAACUAAGUCAUUUAUUAAGGGACGGAGGGAGUAAUUAACAAUAAAAAGGGUGUGUGAGUGCAACACUAAAAUUCUUCGACAUUAGCAACUAAUAAUUUCUGAUCUAUUAAUUUAUUAUGGUAAUCCUUGAGGUUGUUCUUCUCUAACUAGAAUCCAAAGCAAAUCACUCAUAUUAGGAAAUGAAAGUGUAACUCACUUAGAAUUGAUGCCUCAAUUUUUUUUUUUUUUUUUUUCUAGAUGCUUCCACUUUUUCUUUUUCUUUUUGACUAAAUGGCUCCACUUUUCUGAAAGGUCACCGAAAGGAGGAACUGACAUAGACAUAAAAGAAAAAGGGUAAUAAUUGUUUUGAUUUUUUGAUGCUAGUUAUAAUAGUCCUUUAAUGCAUCAAAAUUUUAAAAUAGUUUAUGAUGUGCAUUUUGUUAGUCAAAAUAGUAUUUAAUGUUAAAAUGUUUCAUUAAUACUAUCAUAUUAGUCUUUCAAUAUACUUACUUAUUGUCAUACUAGUCCUUAUAAGUAUUUAUUUAUUGUUAUUUCAGUCUCUAUAUAAAAAGAGUUAUUGUGAGCAUUGAUAUAUUAUUUUACCUCCAUGGACUAUUCCGACUAACAUAGUUUCCAAUCAGAGACUAUUUUAAAAUUUUGAUACAUUGAGAACUAUUGUGACUAAUCGUUUCACAUUUAGGAACCAAAAUGACUAUUACUCUAGACAAGUAAAGUUAUCUGCAUACAUAAUUAUUUAUUAGCCAUUAAGAGUAAAAUUGUAGCUUGUCACUGUAGGAGCAUUCAUGAUAGAAACCAAAAAAGUAUUUUCCUCAAACAUAACCUGACUUGAGAAUCAGGCAAAAUUGAGGGGAACGGGAAAUUGGAAUUUGGGAUAAACCUUAGGAGUCAAUUCUUGUAAAACUAAGAGACCAAAAUCGCAAUACUUGGAGACGAAAUUGUAAAAAUUGUAAACUAUUGAGGUUCUUUUAUUAAAAAAACUUGAUUUUGGAUAUUUUUCUUAAAUAACUUUAAUAUGUUUGAUUGGUUAUGCAGUUGGAUUAUCAUUGUUGUAUUAAAUUGGUUUGUUAUUUCAAAAUUUUGCACAAAUAGUCGUUGGGAUGAUCUGAAUAUUUAUUAGCAAGAUAAGCAUUUCAUUAUCAACAAAUUCCUAAAAAAAAAUCUCCAUUAUCAUGCAUGGCCAUUCCUCAGGGAUGAUUAUAUACUGAUUCCAUUUAAGUGAACAAAAUAGCCCAAACAUGACAGAUUCAGAUUUGGUAUAAUCACAAAUUCACACCGUCAGCACAUCAUUGACCAUUGAACCAAGGUUGAGGAUUUAGAUUUUAAGUUCAACAUUUUAGAGCUUUGGGAAAAAAAAAAUAUUCUGCUUGUUUUCUACAAUCUUCGAUUUUGAUCUAACAAUUAUCAUAUAUAAAGAUAUUUAUAAUUCAUUAUUUAUACCUAUCAGACAAGAGUACUUUUCAUUAUUAUCACUUCCUACUUUCGGUGGAGGAUAUCAUAAUAGCAACCCUGAGGACUUCAUGUCUCUCAAUUAAUUAAUAUGUAAUCACAAUAAUGUAUUAAUGAAACAAAAUUUUAAAAUAGUGUUUAAUUGUGUAAUUCGUUAAUCAAAAUAGCAGCUAAUAAUAUAAAUUUUUUGUUAAUGUUGUCAUAUAAGUCAUUUAAUAUACCUAUUAUUGUCAUAUCAACCCUCACAAAUACUUUUUUUUAGUGACCCUCAUAAAUACUUAGUUAUUUUCAUUUCAGUUCAUAUAUAAAAAGAAUUAUUGUGAGUAUUGAAAUAUUAUUUUAGCGUCAAUGACUAUUUUGACUAACAUAGUGCAUAAUUAGAGAUUAUGUUGAUACAUUGAAUGACUAUAAUGACUACUCAUUACAUAUUCAGAGACCAAAGUAACUAUUAUCCCUUAUUAUAUUUAUAACUUUUUUACACUUGAGUGAGGAUAAUAUUUGUUUUGUUCUUAAAAAUUAGAGACAACAUACUAUCUUUGUAAUUUAUGUGGACAAAGAAGUAAUUACUUUUGUAUCCCUUCCUUGGCGCUCCUUAUUUUGUUGUAUGUAUGAUACUUUUCCUACAUUCACAUUUCACAAUCACAGCCACUCUCAAACUCUCCAAAAAAAAUUCAUUCGAUCUUCAGAUAUGCUAAUUGCCUUGUGUGUCUCUUUUUGAAGGAUGGCUGAACAAAUUCCAUACGGUGUUGCUACAAGUCUCGUUAACAGGUCUGACACUUUAUUUUCAACACUUUAUCUAUUUUUUUAGUUCAAGUUAAAAUAGUUUAACCGACGAAUAUAUAUAUCAUACAAGCUUGUUUACUGAAUAUUUUCUCUUCAUAGGUUGGCUUCUGCAGCCUUUCGUGAAUUUGGACGAAUUUAUGGUGUCAUGGAUGAAUUAGAAAGACUUAAAAACACAAUUGAAGUCAUCAGAGCUGUACUCCUUGAUGCUGAGGAGAAACAAGAGAAAAGUCCUGCUGUACAAGUCUGGGUAAGAAGGCUCAAAGACGUGCUUCUUCCUGCAGAUGAUUUGAUAGAUGAGUUUCUUAUUGAAGAUAUGAUACACAAACGGGAUAAAGCUCAUAAGAACAAAGUGACACAGGUAAUUCAUUCCUUCUUACCAAGCAGAACUGCUUUUCGCCGUAAAAUGGCUCAUGAGAUUGAAAAAAUACAAAGAAGUUUUAAAGAUGUUGAGGAAGAUAUGUCUUAUUUGAAACUUAACAAUGUUGUGGUGGUUGCGAAAACUAACAAUGUAAGGAGGGAAACUUGCUCUUAUGUGUUAGAAUCUGAGAUCAUUGGAAGAGAAGAAGAUCAAAACACGAUUAUAAGCUUGUUGAGGCAAUCACAUGAACAUCAGAAUGUCUCAUUGGUUGCUAUUGUUGGUAUUGGUGGUUUGGGAAAGACAGCUCUUGCUCAACUGGUAUACAAAGAUGGUGAAGUGAAAAAUUUGUUUGAAAAGCAUAUGUGGGUAUGUGUCUCGGAUAACUUUGAUUUCAAAACUAUUCUGAAGAACAUGGUUGCGUCAUUAACCAAAGAUGAUGUUGUAAAUAAGACAUUACAAGAGUUGCAAAGUAUGCUUCAAGUCAAUUUAACUGGUCAGAGAUACUUGUUAGUUCUCGACGACGUUUGGAAUGAGUGUUUUGAAAAGUGGGAUCAAUUGAGGCCUUAUUUGAUGUGUGGUGCUCAAGGCAGUAAGGUUGUAAUGACAACAUGCAGUAAGAUUGUGGCAGAUAGAAUGGGUGUAAGUGACCAACAUGUUUUGAGAGGUUUAACUCCAGAAAAAUCAUGGGUUUUGUUCAAGAAUAUUGUCUUUGGGGAUGUUACUGUUGGAGUGAACCAACCUCUUGAAUCAAUUGGUAAGAAGAUAGCAGAAAAGUGCAAAGGAGUUCCGUUAGCAAUUAGAUCACUAGGAGGCAUAUUACGAAGUGAAAGUAAAGAAAGUGAAUGGAUCAAUGUCUUACAAGGUGAAUGUUGGAAAUUGUGUGAUGGUGAAAAUAGCAUCAUGCCGGUCCUAAAAUUGAGUUACCAGAACUUAUCACCUCAACAAAGGCAAUGUUUUGCUUAUUGCUCUUUAUUUCCUCAGGAUUGGGAAUUUGAGAAGGAUGAGUUAAUUCAAAUGUGGAUGGCACAAGGUUAUCUUGGUUGUUCAGUUGAAAAUCAAUGCAUGGAAGAUGUUGGUAAUCAAUUUGUAAAUAUUUUCUUGAAGAAUUCAUUCUUCCAAGAUGCAAAUUUUAAUGAUGAUGGUGAUGUAACUGGUUUUAAAAUGCAUGAUUUAAUGCAUGAUCUUGCAACACAAGUAGCUGGCAAUGAUUGUUGUUACUUGGAUUCAAGUAAGGCAAACAAAUGUUUAGGAAGACCCGUGCAUGUAUUAGUGAAACAUGAUGCCUUGUGUUUGUUGGAAUCCCUGGAUUCAAGUAGGUUGCGGACUUUGAUUGUGAUGAAUUACAAUCACUAUAUGCUCCCUAGACCAAAACUAUCGGUUAUUCGAAAUUUCAAAUACUUACGCUUUUUGAAAAUGCAAAUUAGUAGUAGCCAGCGAGCUGGUUUCAUUGAAAAAUUGAAGCAUUUAAGGCAUCUUGACUUGCGCAAUUAUGAAUCAGGAGAAAGUCUUUCCAAAUCUAUCUGCAAUUUUGUUUGUUUACAGACCAUAAAAUUGAAAGAUUUUGUGGUAGAUUCUCCAGAAGUUGUUUCAAAAUUAAUCAAUUUGAGACACCUUAAGAUUUAUAAUGGGACCUUCAAAGACAAGACACCGUCUGGAUUUAGAAAAUUGAGCAUACAACAACCCAAGGGUCUGUCUUUGUCCAAUUGGCUCUCUCCACUCACAAAUAUAAUUGAAAUAUCUCUUAGUUAUUGCCGAGGUUUCCAACAUCUCCCACCAUUGGAACGCCUUCCGUUCCUUAAGUCACUCGAGUUACGUUUCCCCUAUGAAUUGGAGUACAUAUAUUAUGAAGAGCCUAUUCUUCAUGAAUCAUUCUUCCCAUCUUUGGAGAUCCUAGCCUUUUAUGGUUGUGAUAAGUUGAAGGGAUGGAGGAGGAUGGGAGAUGAUUUGAAUGAUAUUAACUCUUCACAUCAUCUAUUGUUGCGUCACUUUCCUUAUCUUUCUCAAUUAGUUAUUUAUCGUAGCAAGAUGUUGACUUUGAUGCCUACUUUUCCAAACAUUAAGAGAUUAUCAAUGGAGUCUUGCAGUACGAAGAUAUUGGAAGCAACACUAAAUGUAGAAGAGUCACAAUAUUCAAAUGGCUUCCCUCCUCUUUCCAUGCUCAAAUCCUUAAAAAUUGAUGGAACGAGUAUGGAAAAUGUCCCAAAGGAUUGGUUGAAAAAUCUUACUUCUCUCGAGAAUAUUUGCUUCAGUUUGUCAAGUCAACAAUUUGAAGUAAUUGAAAUGUGGUUUAAAGAUGACCUCAUUUAUCUUCCUUCCCUCCAAACAAUCAAUUUUACUUAUUGUGGUUUUAAGGCAUUACCAGAUUGGAUAUGCAAAAUCUCAUCACUUCAGCAUCUUAAGAUGUUCCGCUGCAAAUUGGUAGAUCUGCCUGAAGGAAUGUCACGUCUUACAAACUUACACACCUUAGAAAUCAUUGGAUGUUCAAUCUUAGAUACUAAUGAAUUCCUGACAGAAACAGGUGCACUUUGGUCUAAAAUUGCUCACAUCCCAAAAAUCAUCAAACGUAAUUAUUUUGUUGCUGGCGAGUAUGAAUGUACCUCCAACACUUAUCCUGACGGUAUCCUCUAUUUUUGAAGUCAGAAAGGUACCGACUAUUAUUUAUUUUAUCUCUGUUGUUUAUAAUUUUAUUUGUUAAAAAGUAAAAUGGAUUCCAUUAUUUUUUAUUGAAACGCUUUUUAAUUUUUUGUUGUUGUACAAAAAAAAUACUGAGAUGUCAAAGACUUUUUAAUAUUUCUGAAUUUCCAUAGUUUUGUACACCACUUAUUUAGGAACUUUGGUUGUUUAUUCUUUAAUAACAUUUUAAAUAUUGAUAUACUCCAUAAGAUUUAAAAAUAUGCAAUAUUGUUACUUGUAUGCCAUAUUUUUUUUUUCGUUUUUUAUACUCUUAAAACUGAUCUAUUCCAAUAUUCAUACACUAUCAUACUGAUUAAAUGUGUUCUUGUGUUAAGCUAGCUGGCUCAAUAAAAGACAUGGAAGACUGGAGGAGAUGCGUGAAGAUGGAUUUUCUGAAUGAUUAUUAGUGAAUUUUCUUGUCUUGUUAACGUUAUUUUGUAUUUGCUCAUAAGAGGAUGAUUGAUCACGGGUUCUCUUUGUUAAGAGUUCUUUUUUUAUCUGUUGUUUUCUCUGUACUCUUUUUUCCUGAAAAGGUUUUUAACGAGGCAGAUUGUGUGUGCUCACUUGGUUAUUUUGACUUGUAUUUUGGUCUAGUCCCCAAUACUUUUGUAUCUUUAUUUUCUUUUUAUUUAAUAAUAUUUAUAGAGUAUUGCAAAUUAUAUAUGAUAGCCAAAACGUGUCAACAUAGUUAGGAUGCCUUAGUUUGUCAUAAGAUGCUAUUGCAUUUUUUUUUUUUUGUUUUUUUAAAAUUGAAAUAAGAGUCUGACUAGAAAUUUUCACAAGUAGUCUUCUUGUGUUGAGUUCUAACUGGUGGAUGGACAUUAGUUUUGACUUUAUCAUAUUGCUAGACCAUAUAUUAGUUUGGAUUUUGUUAUCUUUUUUUAUCAUUUGAGUCUCUUCAAUAUUUUCAUUUGGUCGAAAAAAGUUUUUUCAAUAGAGGACUAUAAUUAAGAGGCUCAAGAGUUUGGAGCUUAUUUGACAAUUCUAGUUCUAAUUGCUGGAUAGUUGUGAAGAUUUGUCCAUUGUUUGACUUGGAAUGGGAGGUAGUGAUGCAUCACUCUUACCAUGAAGCCAAUCAAUGUGCUGAUGUCUCGACAAACUUCGGAUACUUGAAUGCCGAUUACAUAAACUAUAUACCUCGGCAACACAUAAACUAUGAUAUCAGUCCUACAUCCAAAUCUGAACCAACUCCAAUUACCUACUAAAAGUUGCAGGUUACCCCAAUUCCACAUCAAAAAAACUAGCUCCAAGGGCAUGGGAAAGCGAUACAAGGGUGCAAUUUUUUCUAAUUGGACAUUUUCACUUGCAAAUAUUGUUGAAAUCACUCUCUAUGAUUGUAAAGGUUUGAAGUACCUCCCACCAAUGGAAUAUCUUCUGUUCCUUAAGUCUAUCACUAUAUGUUAUGAAGAGCCUUGUUUGAAUGAAACAUUCUUCCCAUGUUUAAAGAUUCUCUUUAUAUGGAAAUGCAAUAUGCUACUAUAUUCAUUAUGAAAAUAGUAAGUUUUUUAUUCUUUAAUAUUAGCUGCUAAGAUCCUAAUGUUUUUCCAAAACUCGGAAAAUUUCACUAAUAUUGUGUAACAAUUUUUAGGUAGAUAGCGUCUGUUGAUAAAUAUUGUACUGAUGCAAUUGUUGAAGGGUGGACUACGGUUGAGGAAAAUUGGAAUAGUGAUGAAUUGUCUGAUAUAUAAUGUAUAAAUGUGGUUUCAAGACUUAACAUUAUUACUAUGUCAUUUAUUAGAAGUUUGCUAUGAUGCACCGCUACAGCUGAAUGUUGGAGUGCUGGUAUUGAUGUAUAUAUAUGAUAGUUGGCUCUCUAUAGUGAUUCAACAAUUCAUUGAUCUCAUCAAUUAUACAAGAAAUGAUUUCAGUCUUCUCUCAAAUUCCGAAAACUCUAAUGCUUUUCAGCUCCCUCUUUCAACAUGACCCCGAAAAUUAGAGCUGUAACUCUAAUAUCAGUCGAUUUGCGGAUUUGGUAAUUAUUAGAUGAUGUAGAGAAGAAUUCCCUGGAUUACAUACUAGAUUGCAAACUUUAAAGAGUUUGCACAAAUGUUUUGCUGUUUCUUUAUAUAUGCAGAAAAACCCAUUAUGCUCAGAUGUUGUAAUUGGUCAAGGUGUGCAUGGAAGAUUGUGGCAUUCACAAAUCGAUAUCACUGUGUCUGUUUCUUUAUAAUAUCGGUUGAUACGAUCGGGUAAUUAUAUUACUUCUCUCUGAGUAUUUUUUUUAACUCAAACCAAAUUAACAUAUAUCAUUACCGCAAUCAGAUCAUUCCAAACACAAGCACGAGUUUAAUGAGAAAACUCUUGAAUUGAAAUUAUACAAUGGUUUAGAUUACAUAAUAUUGAAGAAUAACACAGAUCAUAUGGAAACACAAAUGAUCAAAGAUAAAGAGAAGGAACAUACUACACACCAAUAACUUGUGCAACAAGUUAACUAAACUCUUAGCUAGUUUUAUUGUUCUAACAACCUUCAAAGUUAGUUACAAUUAGAGUUACAAUCAUAUAUGUAAGAUUCAUAUUAGCUUAGUGUACACUACCUUAUGAUACACUAUAAAUAAUGGUUCUCUUGUAAUCUCUAUUCAUUCAAUGAAAAAUCAUAGUUUCUUUUCUAUUUUUCUCUUUCUAUUAUUUUCUCUUUCCUUUCUGUUACAAUUCAGUUUCUCAAUAUGGUAUCUAGAGCCUCUUGAUCCAAAGAGUGCUUCUUCUUCCGCUACGAUUCUCUCUUUUCUUCUUUGUUUUUCUUUCUCUGUUCUUCAGUUUUCAUGGCGCCUCGCAACAACAAUGGUGCAGGUUCUUCCUAUGAGAUUGCUCUUGAUCAAACAAGCCCGUAUUUUGUUCAUUCUAGUGAUGGUCCUUCUUCUGUAACAGUUACGCCAUUAUUGAAUGGUUCUAACUAUCAUUCUUGGGCUCGUUCGAUGCGAAGAGCUCUUGGGGGAAAAAUGAAGUUUGAAUUUGUUGAUGGAACUAUUCCUCCGGUUACAGAUUCGUUUGAUCCUUCUUUUCGUGCUUGGAAUCGGUGUAAUAUGCUGAUUCACUCAUGGAUCUUGAAUUCAGUAGAUCCUUCAAUUUCUCAAUCUAUUGUUUUCAUGGAAAACGCCAUGGAUGUGUGGAAUGAUCUUAAGGAACGGUUUGCUCAAGGUGAUUUGGUUCGUAUUUCUGAACUUAUGCAAGAAAUCUAUUCUUUACAACAAGAUUCAAAAUCUGUUACUAAUUUCUACUCUGAAUUGAAAGUAUUAUGGGAAGAGUUAGAAAUAUAUCUACCUAUGCCUAGCUGUAGUUGCAGAAUCCAAUGUUCUUGUGAAGCUAUGCGCACUGCUAGGAAAAAUCAUGUUCUGUUAUAUGCUAUGCGUUUUCUUACUGGUCUCAAUGAAAAUUUCAACAUGGUGAAGUCUCAGAUCCUUCUCAUGGAUCCUCUUCCACCAAUGAAUAAGAUUUUUUCUAUGGUAUUGCAGCAUGAAAGACAGGGUAAUUUUGCACCUAUUAUUGAAGAUUCUUUACCUUCUAUCAAUGCUGUGAAUUCUGGAAAACCUAAGUAUGGUAAUUCUGGAAAUAUGUACAAAAAUACCAAUCAAAGUUCUAAUUCCAACUAUAACAAGAAUAGGUCUUGUACUUUCUGUGGUAGAAGCAAUCAUACCAUAGAAACUUGCUAUAAAAAGCAUGGAUACCCUCCUCAUCUCCAGAGAAAUUUCAAUAAUUCAUCUUAUGCUAAUCAUACUGCAUCUUCAGAGACUGAAAAUCCCACUCCUGAUGAGCCUGGGAGAGUUGCUUCUACAUCUAUCACAAAUGAACAAUAUGAAAAGUUAAUGAGUUUACUUCAGGUUUCAUCUUCUAAACAAGAUUCAGUAACUGCACAAGCUUCUGCAAAUCAGGUUUUUUCCACUCCAUCUGGUCAUACAUCAAAUGGUAAGCACAGUACUAGUUGCAUCCUUUCUUUAACUUGUCAUAGUUUUGCUUUAAACUCCUGGAUCAUUGAUUCAGGAGCUAGUGAUCACAUUUGUGGAAAUCUUCAAUGGUUUCAUUCUUACAAUGAAAUCACUCCUAUGCAUAUUAAAUUGCCUACUGGCCACUAUGCAAUAGCCAAACAUGCUGGAACCAUUAAGUUUAGUUCAAAUUUUUCAAUAUCUCAUGUAUUAUAUGUGCCUGAAUUUCAUUUCAAUCUGCUAUCUGUGUCCAAAAUAUCUGAUUCACUAAAUUGCAUUGUCAUUUUUGAUGGUUCCAAAUGUCUUAUUCAGGAAAAGAAUACUCAGAGGAUGAUUGGUUCUGGUGAAAAGAGAGAAGAAUUAUAUUACUUGAAUCCACCAGAUAAGAUGGUUUGCAGUUCUAGCAUUGUCCAAUCACCCUCCACUCUUUUACCUGAUAGUGCCUUAUGGCAUUUUAGACUAGGUCAUCUUUCUUUUUCCAGAAUGAAUGUUUUACAUUCAAAAUUUCCCUUUGUAAAUGUUGAUAGCAAAGCUACUUGUGAUGUAUGCCAUUUUGCUAAACAUAGGAAACUUCCUUUUACUCCCAGUUGUAAUAAAGCUGAACAGCCUUUUGAGCUAAUACAUCUUGAUAUUUGGGGUCCUAUUUCUAUUAAAUCCAUACAUGGUCAUUCUUAUUUUCUCACUGCUGUAGAUGAUUUCAGUAGGUAUACUUGGUUAACUUUGAUGAAAACCAAAACUGAAACCAGACAACACAUUGUUGAUUUUAUUACUCUUAUUGAAAAUCAGUUUUCUUGUAAAGUUAAAACCAUAAGAAGUGAUAAUGGUCCUGAGUUCCUCAUGCCAAAUUUUUACUCUUCAAAAGGAAUUUUACAUCAAAGAAGUUGUGUGGAAACUCCUCAGCAAAAUGCUAGAGUUGAAAGAAAACAUCAACACAUUUUAAACAUUGUGAGAGCUUUACUUUUUCAAUCAAAUCUUCCUAAACAAUUUUGGUCUUAUGCUGCUAUUCAUGCUGUCUUCAUCAUGAAUAGAGUGACCAGCCCUAUUAUUGAUAAUAACACUCCUUAUUUUCUAUUGCAUAAACAGAUACCUGAUUUAAAUCAACUGAAAGUUUUUGGUUCUUUAGUUUUUUCAUCCACUUUACAAGCAAACAGAAACAAACUUGCUUCUAGAGCAAGAAAAUGUGCUUUUUUAGGCUAUAAACCUGGCAUGAAGGGAGUUGUUUUGCUUGAUAUAAUUACAAAGGAAAUUUUUGUUUCUAGAAAUGUUACACAUCAUGAAAAUAUCUUUCCUUAUCAACCUGCAUCAUCCCCACCUCUUUGGAACUACUACUCCAGCAUACCUUCAAAAUCAUUAGAUCAAAAUCUUGAUUCCAAUUCUUCUGUUUGCAAUGAUUUUACUUCUUCUGACCAAAAUUCUCCAACACAAACAUCCCUUGAUAUGCACAUUGAUAAUGCACCUAACCCUGAUAUUACAGACACUUCUUUACCAUCAAUUUCCAAACCUACCAGAAUUAGAAAUGCACCUUCUUAUCUGACAGAUUAUGUCUGUAAUUCUUCAUCUGCUUUUGCAUCAGCACCAAAAUCCUCAGGUACUCUUUACCCUAUUGCAUCAUAUCAUUCUUAUGCACAUUUAUCAUCAUUCCAAAAGUCUUUUUCUAUGUCUGUCACACAAUGUACUGAGCCAAAAACCUACAAAGAAGCUAGUCAGUCUGAAUGUUGGUUAAAAGCUAUGGAAUCUGAAUUAGAAGCAUUGGCUAAGAAUGGAACUUGGUCUAUUGUUGAUCUUCCUCACAAUGUGAAGCCUAUUGGUAGUAAGUGGGUUUAUAAAAUUAAGCACAAGGCAGAUGGCAGUAUAGAAAGAUACAAAGCUAGACUGGUGGCUAAAGGAUAUAAUCAAGUUGAAGGAGUUGAUUUUUUUGAUACUUUUUCACCAGUAGCCAAGCUUACCACAGUAAGAAUUUUACUUGCCAUAGCUUCAAUAAAAAACUGGCAUUUACAUCAGUUGGAUGUAAACAAUGCUUUUCUACAUGGUGAUUUGCAAGAGAAUGUUUACAUGAAUAUACCAGAAGGUAUCUCUAGUGCACCAAACAAGGUUUGCAAGUUACAUAAGAGCCUAUAUGGUUUGAAGCAAGCCAGUAGGAAAUGGUAUGAGAAGUUGACAUCUUUAUUGAUAGCAGAAGGGUAUACACAGUCACCAUCAGACUAUUCACUUUUCACUAUUCAACAAGGUUCUAAUUUUACUGCAUUAUUAGUAUAUGUAGAUGACAUUAUUCUUGCUGGUUCAUCUAUCACUGAAUUCACUAGAAUCAAAGCUACACUUGAUGCUCAUUUCAAGAUCAAAGAUUUGGGAAUUCUAAAGUAUGUUUUAGGAUUAGAGGUUGCUCAUUCCAAAGAAGGGAUCUCUAUUUCUCAAAGAAAGUAUUGUCUUGACCUAUUGGAUUCUUCUGGACUUUUAGCGUCUAAACCUGCUUCUACUCCUCUGGAUACUUCCAUAAAAUUGCACCAAGACAAUAGCAAACCCUUUGUUGAUGUGUCUUGUUACAGGAGACUCAUUGGAAGACUUCUCUAUCUCAAUACUACAAGACCAGAUAUCACACUAGCAACUCAACAACUCAGUCAGUUUUUAAAUGCUCCUACUGUAUCACAUUACAAAGCUGCUUGUAGGGUCAUUAGAUACUUGAAACAUAACCCUGGCCUUGGUUUAUUCUUUCCUAGACAUUCUGAAUUACAAAUCCUUGGUUAUGUAGAUGCUGAUUGGGCUGGUUGUAUUGAUUCUAGAAGAUCAACAACAGGUUUUUGUUUCUUCUUAGGUUCAUCAUUGAUCUCAUGGCGUGCAAAGAAACAAGCAACUAUUUCUAGGUCAUCCUCAGAAGCAGAGUAUAGAGCACUUUCCACUGGCACAUGUGAACUUCAGUGGCUGCUAUAUCUCUUGAAAGAUUUAAAAGUUACUUGCAUCAGACAACCUGUGUUAUACUGUGAUAGUCAGAGUGCAAUUCACAUAGCUUCCAAUCCAGUGUUUCAUGAGAGAACUAAACAUUUGGAAAUAGAUUGCCAUCUUGUCAGAGAAAAGGUGCAAAAAGGAAUAUUAAGGUUGCUUCCUAUACCUACUGAAGAACAGCUUGCAGAUUUCCUUACAAAACCUCUGCCACCUCCAAAGUUCAAUUCUUUUGUAUCCAAGCUUGGAAUGAUAAAUAUUUAUCAUGCUCCAGCUUGUGGGAGGAUAUUGAAGAAUAACACAGAUCAUAUGGAAACACAAAUGAUCAAAGAUAAAGAGAAGGAACAUACUACACACCAAUAACUUGUGCAACAAGUUAACUAAACUCUUAGCUAGUUUUAUUGUUCUAACAACCUUCAAAGUUAGUUACAAUUAGAGUUACAAUCAUAUAUGUAAGAUUCAUAUUAGCUUAGUGUACACUACCUUAUGAUACACUAUAAAUAAUGGUUCUCUUGUAAUCUCUAUUCAUUCAAUGAAAAAUCAUAGUUUCUUUUCUAUUUUUCUCUUUCUGUUAUUUUCUCUUUCCUUUCUGUUACAAUUCAGUUUCUCAAUACAUAACAAGGAUGGUGAAGCAAUACUUUUUGACCAUCAUGGUGGAUUCAAUAAUAAACUAGACGAUAAUGCGCGGUAAAAUUUCAUAUAUAUAAUUUUGAGUCCAAAAUAUUGAUAUAUAUAUGCUUUAAAAUAAUGUAGUUUUUGUUGUUAGAGUAAGAUAUACUAAGCAUAUAAAAGGUAAAUAUAUUUUUGAAUCAUUGUUGACAAAAUACAAUCCAUACAAAUUAUAUUGUUAUAGUAUACUAUUAACCUUACCCGGUAUUAGUGAUUAUUUGUUAACCCAUGCAAAUUGACAAAUUAAAAUAUAUUAUAAUGAAGGAAAUGUAAAUCUUUGGAGGACUCACAUUCCCCGGUAUUUGAGAUUAUUUGAGUCUUGUGAUGUAUUCUAACAUUCAACAUUCAUUAAUCAAAAGAAAAUAACAACAAGCAACAACAACAAUAAUCAAGUGCAUAGCAAAAUCACAAUCUAACCAAAGAAUAAACAAGAUAAAGAGAGUAGAGAAAAGAUAUCAACAUCAAGAAAUGUUUACUCAGUUCGGUCAAACUCGCCCAAGUUGCUCACAAUUGACUCUCUACUCAUGUGUUUCUCAUCCCCAUGAAUCUUUCCCCAAAAGACACCAACCAUAUCCCAAGAACCCCCUCUUUUGGUUCUCCAAGAUUCACAUCUUGAAGCUUUGAACAUCACCCAAAGACCCUCAACCUUUAGUAUCUAAAUUCCCUAAAAGUUCUCUCCUUUGGUUUCUAUGAGAUUCACCAAGGUUUUUUCAACAAUUGGGUCAUAAAGUGCUUAAACAGUGUUUAGGAUUUCGAGAAAUCGUACGACGAUUUCUCCCAUCGUACUAGGAUGGAGCAGGUGACAGUACAAUACUAUGCCUUGUCCAUCAAAAUCGUACUACGAUUUCUCCCAUCGUGCUACAAUUUUUCCAAUGACAACUCAAACCUGAACCAUCCAAAAUCGUACUAUGAUUUUGAGUCGGACUUGCUUGAAUCGAUACGCUUACCGCUGUCUAUUCAAUUGAUUUUGUUGCCCCCGGCCCAGGCAUUGUCUUAGCUCUUCACCCAACACAUAUGAUAGAUACGGAUGGGGGGACAUAUGCCCUACUAGAUGAUGCCUUUACUUUCACUUUAUAAGGUACCUUCGAGACCUGAAAUUACUGCCUGCCCUACGAGAAUGAUUUACCUUUCUUUCCUAACAGAAUUACUCCCUCCUACUCCUACCUUGCUUUACAAAGGCUUUCUCAUGCUUUGAAUGCCGGCUGGGUCCACGGCCGUCUAAAUCGACAGAGACUUGUACCUCAUUCUCAGCACCCCUUACAGUCUCGGGCUAUUUCGCCCUUAGCUCGGUGUUCAUCUUUCCGGUCUAGCUCAACGAUGAGCUCUUUAGAUGUUCAGUCUGUUCGGACGGAUAUGAUGUUGCAUGUCAUCAUCAUGGGAACCUCAUCAUCGCAUGUACCAAAAUAGUUGUUCAAAUAUCAUUACUCUAUACAAUAUAUACAUUACAACAGCUAUACACUAUAUUAGUGAACCAAUGCAUCAUCUAUCUAUGUUGACCCUUUGGUUCCUUUGGGGUACAAGAUCCUCUGGACCAAUUAUCAUCUGGGAUUGAUCCUUUGUACCUCUUGUAUGAAUUAUUCAAGUCCAAACAUGGGACACCUUGUAUUCUACUAAUAUAAUAGUACUUUUUCAAUAUAUUUAUAUUUUUUUUUGUUACAAAUAAAAACAAUUUAGACUAAAACAAAAGACCGAUAUGAUAAAUAAGUGAUUUGAGGAUAAGAGAGAUUGAGAGAAAAUCAAAUGUUGAAUGAUUUGUUUUUUUUAAGGGAGGAUGAUUGUUUUCAUUAACAUAUUUAUUUGUUUGACGAAUAUUUUAUAUGUUUUCAUGUCUUUAUAUAAUAGUAAAAAAAAAAUGGUAAAAAUAUAUUGAAUAAUGCAUAUAGUCAAAGUCGAUUAUUUUGGAAGAGAGACUAAGAGCCUGUUUGAAACACUUCCCAAAAACUCUUUUUUAGUUUUUAAAAACUUGAAAAUUAAAAACUUAUUUGCUAAACUAUUUAUAAAAUUACAGUUUUGGAAACUGUUUUGAAUUUUUUAGUUUUGAGGACUAAAAAACUAAAACAUGUAAAAAGAUAACCAUUGUGAGAAGAGGACUUGUAUAUUUCAAAAACUGAAAAUAAAAACUAUUUCAAACAGAUCCUAAUUAUUUGGUUAUUGUUCCUUACUUUUUUUUCUUUCUUUUCAUUGAGAUAAUAUUAUAUUGGUCUUAUGGACGAUAUUAUAUUAUUAUUGAUGCAACAUGUAGAUAAGCGACGACUUCAUUUGCAAACUACUAGGCACUUCCCUUGGUCCAUCAAUGUUUUUCCUACAUAUUGAUUGCAAUUAUCAAACUCUGCAAAAUUUUCAAUCUUCCUGUUAAUCCAUCUGCUUGCCUUUGUCUUGUGUGUCUCUUUUUUAAGGAUGACUGCACAUAUUGCAUACGGUGUUGCUACACGCCUCAUUAAUAGGUGACUUCAUUUUCAACCUUUUAUUAUCAUGAUUCAUACAUAUGAGUUUUCUUAAAAUUUGUACAAGGGAUGUCAAAAUGAAAACAGUGAUUUUAUUUGCUGAAAAUUUUGUUUUCGUAGGUUGGCUUCUGCAGCCUUUGAUGAAUUUGGAAGGAUUAAUGGUGUUAUGGAUGAAUUGGAAAGGCUUAAGAACACAGUUGAAUCCAUCAAAGCUGUGCUCCUUGAUGCUGAAGACAAACAAGAGCUCAAAGACGUGCUUCUUCCUGCUGUUGAUUUGAUAGAUGAGUUUCUUAUUGAAGAUAUGAUACACAAAAGGGAUAAAGCUGAUAAGAACAAAGUGACACAGGUAUUUCAUUCCUUCUCUCUAAGCAGAGCUGCUUUUUGCCAUAAAAUGGCUCUUGAGAUUGAAAAAAUACAAAAAAGUUUUAAUGAUGUUGUGAAAGAUAUGUCUGGGUGAAUCUAAACCCAAAUGUUGUGGUGGUUGAACAAAAUUACAAUGUAGGGAGGGAAACUAGUUCUUUGGUGUUAGAAUCGGAUAUCAUUGGAAGAGAAGACGAUAAAAAGGAGAUUAUACACCUUUUGAGACAACCACAUGGAAACCAAAAUGUCUCCUUGAUUGCUAUUGUUGGGAUUGGUGGUUUAGGAAAGACAACUCUUGCUCAGUUGGUAUAUAAUGAUGGAGAAGUGCAAAAUUUGUUUGAAAUAAGUAUGUGGGUAUGUGUCUCUGAAAACUUUGAUGUAAAAACUAUUGUGAAGAACAUGGUUGAAUCAUUAACCAAUAGCAAAAUUGAUGAUAAGUUGUCACUUGAAAACUUGCAAAAUAUGCUUUGCAAAAAUUUAAAUGGGAAGAGAUUUUUCUUAAUCCUCGAUGACAUUUGGAACGAGAGUUUUGAAAAAUGGGCUCAAUUGAGGACUUAUUUGAUGUGUGAUGCUCAAGGCACCAAGGUUUUAGUGACAACUCGUAGUAAAGCUGUGGCACAAACAAUGGGUGUAAGAGAGCCCUAUUUUUUGAAUGGUUUGACUCCAGAAGAAUCAUGAAGUUUGUUAAAGAAGAUUGCGUUUGGGGAUGAUACCAUUGGAGUGAAUCAAACUCUUGAGUCAAUUGGUAAGAAGAUAGUGAAAAAGUGCAGAGGAGUUCCAUUAGCAAUUAGAUAAUUGGGAGGCAUAUUACAAAAUAAAAGUGAAGAAAGGGAAUGGAUCGAUGUCUUACAAGGUGAAUUUUGGAAAUUGUGUGAGGAUAACGGUACCAUUUUGCCGGUCCUAAAAUUGAGUUACCAAAAUUUGUCAUUUCAACAGAGACAAUGUUUUGCUUAUUGUGCUUUAUAUCCUAAGGAUUGGGUAAUUGAGAAGGACGAGUUGAUUCAAAUGUGGAUGGCGCAAGGUUAUCUUGAAUGUUCAAUUGAAAAGCACUGCAUGGAAGAUGUUGGUAACCAAUUUGUGAAUAUUUUCUUGAUGAAAUCAUUCUUCCAAGAUGCAAAAUUGAAUCUAGAUGGUGAUAUACAAGAUUUUAAAAUGCAUGAUUUAAUGCAUGAUCUCGCAACACAAGUAGCUGGCACUGAUUGUUGUUACUUGGAUAAUAAGUCAAAAAGAUUUAUAGGAAGACCUGUGCAUGUAUCCGUAGAAUUUGAUGCAUUUUUGUUGUUGGAAUCAUUGGAUGCAAGUAGGCUGCGAACAUUGAUUAUGUUUUCUUCUUAUGACGACAUCAAACUAGAUAGAGAGGAAUUGACAAUUAUUUCAAAUUUCAAAUUCUUACGCGUCUUGAAGCUGAGGGAUUCUUUUUUGAGUAAGCUAUCUGGCUCAAUUGAAAAGUUGAAGCAUUUAAGAUAUCUUAAUUUAUUGUCAUGUCAUGAAUUAGGAUGUCUUCCUAAAUCUAUAGGCAAUCUAAUCUGUUUACAAACAAUAAAAGUCUCAUUGGCUGAAGAAGUUAUACUUUCUACAAAAAUUGUCUCAAAAUUAAUCAAUUUGAGACACCUUGAGGUUUAUAAUUGGACCCAUAGAGACAAGAAACGAGGUGGAUUUGCAAAAAUGGGCCUACAACGGUACAAGGGCAAGGGGGUGAUCUUUUCAGAAAGGCUAUCUUCACUCACAAAUAUUAUUGAAAUACAUCUUGGUUAUUGUCAAGGUUUCCGAUAUCUCCCACCAUUGGAACGCCUUCCAUUCCUUAGGUCACUUCAAUUACAUUGCAUUAAUAAUUUGGAGUACAUAUAUUAUGAGGAGCCUAUUCUUCUCGAAUCAUUCUUUCCAUCUUUGGAGAGCCUAAAACUUUGGGAAUGCCACGAGCUGAGGGGAUGGCAGAGAAUGGGAGAUGAUUUCGAUGAUAUUAAUUCUUCACAUCAUCUCUUGUUGCCUCAGUUUCAUUGUCUAUCUAAAUUAGCAAUUAGAGGGUGUCAAAUGUUGACUCACAUGCCUACUUUUCCAAACAUUAAGAAGAGAUUAUCAUUGACAGAGUGUUGUGUGGAGAUAUUGGAAGCAACACUAAAUAUAGCAAUGUCACAAUAUUCGAUUGGCUUCCCUCCUCUUUCCAUGCUCAAAUCCAUAGAAAUUGGCGAAUUCAGUUCAGACGUGAAAAAACUCCCAAAGAAUUGGUUGCAAAAUCUCACUUCUCUUGAGAAUCUUGAAUUUUUCUUUCUUUCAAGUCAACAAUUUGAAGUAAUUGAGACGUGGUUUAAAGAUGACUUCAUCUAUCUUCCUUCCCUAAAAAGAAUCAACUUUUAUAAUUGUUUUCAUCUAAAGGCAUUACCAGAUUGGAUAUGCAACCUCUCAUCACUGCAUCAUAUAGAGAUGAUCAACUGCAGAGAUUUGGCAUUGCUGCCACAAGGAAUGCCUCGUCUUACUAACUUAUGCACCUUAGAAUUCAUUAAAUGUCCACUUUUAGUUGAAGAAUGCCAGACAGAAACAAGUGCAAUUUGGUCUAAAAUUGCUCACAUCCCAAACAUAAUCAUGAAGUGAUUUGCAAUAGAAAGGUACAUUAUCUUCUUAAUAAAAAAACUUGUAUUUUUUGUUUCUGUUGUUUGGUUUUCUUGAUUUUCGAAAGUAUGUCUUUUCACAUAUAUAAUUCUAUAAUAAUGCAUAAAAGGAAGAUCAUUCUUUUUGAAGAAGAUAAAAGACAUAUCAUUCAAUUAAUUAUUAUCUUCUUUCUUUCCACUUUUUCUACUUCUGUUGGCAAUAGCGCUAGUUGUAUGCCAUUUUCUUCUUAUACUGUUGAAAAUAAUCUAUUCUAAGAUUUAUAUGGAUUAUAAUACUGAUUUAAGUUAUUUUUUGGACAUAGAAGAGUUAUGUUUGCUUAUAUUAAGCAAAUACCUGCUGUAGAGUUAUACAAGCUUGCUUGCUCAACAAAAGAAAUGGAAGCAUGCAUGGAGAUGAGUGAAGAUGGUGCAGAAGGUUGUUUGAUGAUUUGUUUUUGUCUUCUUUUGUGAUUGCCAAAGAUGGUAAAGCUUUUGAUAAUUUCUGGAAUGAUGAUCGGUGAAUUUCCUUGUUUUGUUAGGAGGAAGAAAUGUUGUUAAUUUGUGGAUGGAUAUAUAGUUGGAAUCCAGGUGCAUGAAAUUGUGUAUUUUGAAUCCAAUUUUUUGGAAGGACAAGAGUUUUGGCUUAAAAAAGUAUUAAUUUCAUGCAAUUUCAACCUUGUUCAUACUUUCUUAUGUUAUAAAAACAAUAACUUAAAAAACUCCAUUCUGACCUGACCUGUUUAUACUUGCAACAAAAGGUACAUGUUGUGAAUUCGAUGAAAAUCACACCAAUAAAAUACUUGAUGUGUGGAGCAAGUAAUAAUCAAACAACCAAACAAAGUGUAUGGAAGUUAUAAAUACAAGAAAAGGUACAAACAACGAGAGAAGAAAGGGAGAACACAAGAAUUUGUUUACCCAGUUCGGUCCAAAACUGACCUGGUCUGGGGGAGAGAGCACCCCUCCGUUCCACUAUAAUGAUGAGCAACUUUACAAAAGAGAUAUCAAUGGAUUACAAGAAUAAGUCUCCCGCCUAAUUCUACCCAAAGUCCCAAUCUCUUUCCGUGACCAAGAGACUCAAUGCUAAUAGUGUUUUCCAAAGUGAAUCAAUCCAACCCUAUUGUUUGUUGUUAAGAGCAAACUCUAUACAAACUCUAGUUUGUUAUUUGUUUCUAAACCCUUGUUUCCAGCCCCCUCUAUCUCAAGGUUUACAAAUUGUCUCAAAUGUGUGUGGCUAUUACUAGAUUACCCUUAAUUAAAUAUUACUCCCUCCGUCCCGGUAUGUAAACACCUAUUUGACUUUAUUUUUGUUCCUAAAUGUAAAUCUCUUUUCAAAUUACUAGAUGAAUUUAUUAUUUUCUUCCUAAAGAUACCCCUAAUUAAUAUUACUUAGGGGUGUUCAAAACCGAACCAACCCAAUAGAAAAACCGCAAACCGAACCAACCCAAACCGAAACAGCAAAAAUCCGCACUUGGUUCGGAUGAGUUCGGAUUACUUUUAGACUGAACCGCGCGGUUCGGUUUGCGGUUUGCAUCUCAGCAACCGAACCAAACCAAACCAAACCAAACCGCAAAAAUACUCAAUGUUAUUAAACUAAGUAAGUACUGUACUAGCCCAAUACCAAAGUGAGCCCAAGCCCAACACUAUCCAGCUAUUUUUUGGUUCUUAAAUAUUAUUUUGGUACUGUAAUGUUAUUUUAGAUAAAUAACUUUUAUUGGUAUUGUAAUGCUAUUUUGGAACUUCAAGUUCUUUUUUUGAAUAAUUAAAUUGCUUGGUACUAGUUGGCAAUAUUAGAGUUAAUGUAAUUUUUUUAUUUAUCUCGCGAUUAACCGCAUCAACUGAACCAAUCCAAACCGCAUUGGUUUGGUUUGGUUUGGUUUGGAUGACUUUUUAAAAAUCAACCGAACCAAACCAAACCGCAUGCUUUUUUCUCUCGCGGUUUGGAUGAUUAUUAUGCUUGAAACCGAACCAAACCGCACCGCGAACACCUCUAAUAUUACUAACUAUAAAAAGUCAAAUUUUAUUACAAGUCAAAUAUAAAAAUAUAAAUCCUAAUAGAAAUAUAAAAAGUCAAUUUUAAUACACAUACAGAUAAAUGAUAAUUUAGUAAUAUUAACACAUAAAAUAGACAUAUUAAUUAUACUAACAACUUUUCUUAAGAAAUAUGAAGAAGAAAAAAAACAAAGGGGUCUAUUCACAAGGAUGAGAUUGGAAGAGUCACUGAAUUUCCAUCCCUAAAUUUGUAAUGAGAGAGAAAGAGAAAAAAAGGAAAAGAUGCAUUUAAGGGUGGAGAUUAAUACUCGAGAGAGUCAAGUGAAAACUUCAAUGGAAGGGAUCCAUUCUCGGACGAGAUUAUCAUGUAAAAAGCGAUGGAGGGAGUAUUAAUAUUUGUAGAAUACAAUCAUUUUAAUCAAGGUUUUACAACUCGAGAGUUUACCUCAACUCGUUUUGCCUAGCAAAACUCGAUUCGAGAAUUCGUACGAGUUUACCUAAAAUUAAAAUCAAUAUAAAAUUUAUUAUAUGCAAGAAAUAUAUAAGCUAAUAUAACAUCGUAAAUAAGUCAAUAGUGCAAAACAUGACUUAAUUACAAAGACAAAUUAUACCAAACUAUCAUAAUAAAACGUUAUGCUCAACUUAGCAUCAAAAUACAAAAAUUAAUGCACAAAAUUAUAAGUUUCAUAAGUCUUCCAUCCAUAGAACCAUCCAAAAAAAAAGUUUUACAAGUUCAUAAAGUUGUUAAUAAAACUAUAUAAAAAAUAAACUAGUUAAUUUCUUCAAAUGGUCAACAAACAACACCACCGCAACUCUAACCGGCAUCGAAAUCUAAAUUUUCAUCUUUGGAAUCCCAACCCUAACUGAUAUGUACUCUCUUGUUCAUAGUUUGAGAACUUAAAAAGAAAAAGAAACUUUUCAUUCUGAGAACGUGUUAUUGUAGAAAAUGAAUUGGGUUUUGAAAAAGAAAGAAUCGGUAAACGCUUAAUCCAACUUUUUAUUUUGUAUUUUUAUUAAUUUUUUAGUACUACACGCUUACCGAUACUCAUUAUAUUAUACAAGGAAGUAAGCUUUUAUCCAACGAACAAUUUUGUUUGUAACUCCCCUGACUGACUCCUAGAAGAACUCAUUUACAGAACAGAACAGAGGAGCUUUGCACCUAAACUAAACCACCAACAAGAGAAACAGCCAACAAAAAUCCAAUCCUAGAAGCUGUGUCGUUUGUUUCUUCAGGUAACCAACACUUUGUUUUUUGUCUCUUCACGACACAUUUCAGUUUGUGUAAUGUGUUUGUGUUUCUUCAUUACAGAAGAAGAAGAUCAAUGGGUACACCGAAAGAACACAUUGAAGAGAUACGAAGAGAAAAGUUUUCUAUUGGUGGGAAACCUAAUCCAUUGACUUAUGAUCUCCAUCAUGCAGUCAAGAAUCUCUCUGCCGAGCUUUACGCCAAAGAUGUUCAUUUUCUCAUGGAACUCAUUCAAGUACACAUUCUUUAACUUUUCAUCUUUUUCUGUUGAACCUCUUUUCUAUUUUUUUUUUUAAUUUUUUAUUAUAAUAAUGCAUUGUAAAUGUGAUUUUUUAGUUCUAGUAAAAAUUUUCAGCAAAGGAAAAUGUUAGAGGGACUAAAAAAUGCAAUUUUUUUUGUAGGGAUUAAAAAUUAUAUUAUGCGUAUUUAUAGGGGCCAUUUACUUAAUUAACCAUUGAUUAUAAUAAUAAUAAUAAUAAUAAUAAUAAUAAUAAUGACUUUAAGUCAAAACAUGUUUGAAUGGAUAUUUGGCAGAAAGUUCAAUUUUUGAGAGGAUGCUCGAGCUGUAUUUUCAUUUUGAAGUUAGUCUUGAAAGGAUUUCAUGGUUGUGCUUUCUUGUAAGUUAUUGCCUGCAAUGAUCACAUCGUCAACCUAGAUCAAAAUAGUAGUGAAGGAUAAAUUUAAUCUUUUUAUGAACAAGGAAUCUUGAACGAUGCAAUCUUGUUGUCAAAUCAUAGUUGUUUAUAUUCAUGACCAUAAUUUUCUUGUCAACUUCAACAGAAUGCUGAAGACAACCAUUAUAUUGAUGGAGAGAAUCCAACUCUAGAGUUUGUCAUAACUUCUGAUGACAUUACUGGUACUGGUGCUCCAGCCACGUUGCUAAUUUUCAAUAAUGAAAAGGGUUUCUCUCCAAAAAACAUCGAGUCUAUUUGCAGUGUUGGACGAUCAACAAAGAAAGACAAUAGGAGCAGUGGUUACAUAGGAGAGAAAGGUACAUCACAUUCUUAUUUAAAUGUUUCUUAAAAUGUUGUGUGCUUUUGACUUAAGAAGGAAAUGUGCUGUUGUGCUAAUAUGACUACUUUCAAUGAAAAUUAGUUGAAUGUUUUCAUUGGUAUUGGUAUUUUAAUAUCUGAGUUGUAAGAAUAUGCUUUUAAUAUGUUUGAAUGAAUUCAAUGUCAAUUUUUUUUUUUUUUUUUUUUUUUUUUUUUUUUUUUUUUUGUAAAGAGGACAUUUUCAUAAUUGAAAUGUGUUUCUUUAGUUGUACUCCUUGUGCAAAAUUUAUGAAAUAAUGCUGGACUAUGGAUAUCCAUUAUAGUAGCCAAAUUGAAGAAGAUAAUGGAAAUCUCUGACAUAAUCUCUUCUAUGUUUUGAAUUACAGGAAUUGGUUUCAAGAGUGUGUUUCUUGUUACUGCUCAGCCUUAUAUUUUUAGCAAUGGAUAUCAUAUAAGGUUCAAUGAGAGGCCUUGUCCACAUUGCAGAAUUGGGUAUGUAGUUCCUGAAUGGGUUGAGGAGAAGCCAACCCUUGUUGACAUACAGAAGAUAUAUGGAGCUGGUAAAGAUUCCCUUCCAACUACAACGAUUGUGUUGCCUUUGAAAUCAGACAAGGUCAAACCUGUUAAACAACAACUAUCUAGUAUUCACCCGGAAGUUCUGUUGUUUCUUUCGAAAAUUAGACACCUUUCUGUAAGAGAAGGUAAUAAGGACUUCAACCAGAACACUGCAACUUCUGUAUCUAUUUCAAGCGAGAUUAACUUUGUGACAAGGAAAAACAUGAAUGCUAAGUCAUACACAAUCCAUCUAUCUACGGGAGAAAGUAGUAGGGAUAAAAAGGAGUGCAGUUACUACAUGUGGAAGCAAAAGUUUCCUGUCAAGCUGGAAAAUGUGGUGGAAAGGAGAAGGGGUGUGGAAGAGUGUGUUGUGACAUUGGCCUUCCCACAACAGGAGAGGCUAGACAAGGAUAAGAGCUUACCAGGGGUUUAUGCAUUUCUUCCUACAGAGAUGGUCACUAAUUUUCCAUUCAUAAUUCAAGCAGAUUUUGUUCUUGCCUCGUCAAGGGAGACAAUUCUCUUUGAUGAUAAGUGGAAUCAAGGGAUUCUUGAAUAUGUUCCAUUAGCUUUUAUAGAUGCAUUCAAAACACUUGUGACUGGUUCUGAUGAAGCUCCACUAUCCAGCUUGCCUUAUAUGUUCAAGUUCCUUCCAAUUCAUAGUUCUCCUUUUGAGAUCUUCAAUCGUGUGAGGCAGAAAAUCAAAGCAAAGCUGGAUGAAGAAAAAAUUAUACCUAUCGAGACAUUCAUAAACCAGAAGCACUUCUAUAAGCCCCGUGAAGUUAACAGGUUACUACCUAAAUUUUGGAAUAUUUUGACAAAGGCCCGCGAGGAAGGAGUAUACUUGCUUGACCUAUCUUCUCCUGAUGGGAUGAAAAUCUUGAGUUCUUCAUUUGAUAAAAGUGAGUAUGAUGCAAUACUCAAAUUUUUAGGGGUGAAACAUGUGAAUUGUGAUUGGUAUGCAAAGUGCAUCCAGAGUUCUAAUCUCGUAGAUGGAGUAUCAGAAGAUGUCUAUCUUGAGCUUUUGCUGUUUGUUGCAAGACACUGGUCUUCAAUGAUUUCCAAAUCCAACAUCAUUAAUAUUCCAUUGAUUAAGUAUGUAGCUUGUGAUGGGAUUCUGUCCUUUUCUAGUCUUCAUGAAUGCAGACAGCAAGGUGCACGGAGAUUAGUACUAGCAGACUCAAGUAAGACUUGUCCUUGUUCUUGGCUGAUUAAUUGGAACAAUGUAUUUGCAUGUGCGACAAACCAAUUUUUUUUUAUGCCAGAAAGCACACAACAAGCCAUCUCCCAAUCCCCCAAUAAGCAUAAUCUGUUGGGAUGGCUAGCAAAAGAAGUUAAUGUCCGUAUUCUAGAUGUGAACAAUUUUGCAAAUGUCCUCUGCCGUUCUAUUAAUGAUAACUGCAAGCUUGCCAUUGCUUAUGCUCAUUUCUUAUACCACUCUUUGUCAAAGGGUUAUUUGUCAUGUCAGGAGGUUAAUGCUUUAUGCAGUUCUAUGCCACUUGUGGACAAAUUUGGACGUAUAACUAAAAGCAGAAAUGGGGUUCUUCUGCCUGCAAAUGUGAGCAAAUGGGCAGACUUGAUUGGUUCUAAUCCAUGGAGAAAUGAAAAUUAUGUUGAGCUAGGAAAGGCAUACCUAAAUGAUUCUUCUUAUGCAGGCCAACAUAUGGAUUCUGGGAAAUUUAUUGAAUUCCUCAAAACUCAUGUUAAAGCUUCUGACAUACCUUAUAUAUCUCCUCCAAAUGCUAGAUUUUCAGCUGCGGAUACACCACUUACCAAAGACAAUGCAUUUCUACUUUUGGAGUGGAUUCGGGAUCUGAAGAAAAGGGGAGUUCACCUACCAGAGAAGUUCUUGGAAUGCUUAAAAGGAGGCAACUGGCUUAAAGUUACAGGUAAUAGAUACAUGCCUCCUUCAAAGUCAUUCUUAAUUGGCUUAUCAUUGGGAAAACUUUUGCAAAGUGGUUUAGUACUUGUUGACAUUCCCCUGAUUGAUGAGAGCUUCUAUGGGGAUAGAAUAAAUGAAUACAAAGAGGAGUUGAAAACAAUUGGAGUGAUGUUCAAUUGUGAGGAAGCAUGUGGAUUCAUUGGAAGAGAGCUCAUGUCUCGUGCAGCUUCAUUCUCACUAAGCAGGAGUGAUGUUCUUUUGAUGCUUAACUUCAUCCAAUAUCUCAAGAAAAGUCUUCUUCCUUUGGACAAUUUUGUCGACAGCAUAAGAAAGGGAAAUUGGCUAAAGACAUCUUUUGGUCUUAGGUCUCCUGUGGGAUCGGUAUUGAAUGAUUCCGGAUGGCAAGUUGUAUCAUCACAAAUUAGUGAUAUUCCUUUCAUUGAUCAUGCUUAUUUUGGUGAGGAAAUAUAUAAUUACAAAGAAGAGCUCAAGUUGCUAGGAGUGAUAGUUGACUUGAAUGGAAAUUACCAAGUUGUCAUUGAGCAUUUAAAACCACUCUCAAAUUUGGCCUCUUUGACAGCUGAGGCUGUUCUUUUGAUAAUGGAGUGCAUCAGACACUUGAAUGCCCCCGAUAAACUCUUGAAUUCUUUAAAUGGAACAGGCUGCUUGAAGACCAACAUGGGUUUCAAGACACCAGCUGAAUGUUUCUUGUACGAUCCAGUGUGGGGCUGCAUUUUGGAGGUAUUCAAUGGUCUCCCUGUUAUUGAUCAUAAAUUUUACGGGCAGAAGAUUUUCUCUUUUAAAGAUGAACUGAGGCAAAUCGGGGUGGUGGUUGAUUUUGGAAAUGCUAUCAAAAAAUUUGCUAGUCUGUUUGAACAAAAGGCAUCAGAAGCUUCAAUUAACCAACAACAUGUCAUGUCAUUUCUCAAUUGUUGCAGGCUGCUGGAGGGAACCGACUAUAGUUUUCCUUCUGAAUUCGCAACCAUCUUAUGUAAAACAAAGUGGUUGCAUACUCGUGUUGGUGAUUUUAGGUGCCCAAGAAAAUGCAUUUUAUAUGGUCCGGAGUGGAAAUCAAUAUCUUCUAUAACUUGUCUCCCUUUCAUUGAUUAUAGUGACAAAUGUUGUGGUUAUAAGGCAGAGCUGAAGAGCAUUGGUGUUGUUACUGAAUUGAAAGACGGGUUGAGUUUUGUGGCUGAAUGUCUGAUGUUUCCUUCAAAUCCCUCCAUCAUUAGUCCUGAAAGUGUGUUUGCUUUGCUGGAAAGCAUCCAACUUCUAAUGCUAGAUAACAAGAAUACAAUUGAAGAUGAUUUCAGAAAAAGAUUGUCAAAAAAUUGGUUGAAGACAAAUGCUGGUUAUAAACCUCCAGAGAAGUGUUUGUUGUUUGAUUCCAAGUGGAGUUCUUUCUUGAAUCCAACUGAUGGGCCUUUUAUUGAUGAGAAAUUUUAUGGACCUAAAAUUGCAAUUUUCCAGAAAGAACUGAAUGCAAUAGGGGUCACUAGUGAAGUUGAGAAGGGUUGCUCCUUGCUUGCCAGUCACCUUGACUCUCUCUCUGAUCAUGAUACCAUUUUGAAAAUAUACAAGUAUUUAUGUCAACACAACUGGAAACCUGACGAGAAAGCUGCAAAAAAGAUUUGGAUUCUUGAUGGAAUUGUAGGUGGUAAGUGGGUUGAUUCUGAAGAAUGCAUCGUACACGACCCUGCUAAACUUUUUGGUUCAAAGUUUUACGUUUUAGAAGAUAUCUAUGAUAACAACGAUAUUCUUCUUUUUUUCUACUUUGCAAUGGAUAUCAAGAAUAAGCCCUCGCUAGAAGAUUAUGUUGACCUUUGGAAUGAUUGGGGGAAUUCAAUGAAGCAAUUGUCCUAUGAUGAGUGCUGCAGGUUCUGGAUGUCUAUCUCGAAACAUUUGAGCACAAAUGAAGAGAAAAAACUUGCUGAGAGUUUGAUGAAACUACCUACAACAUCAGGAAAUAAUGAAAUAUUUCUGGUAGAUAAGGAAGAUGUUUUUAUUCCUGAUAGCCUUCAUAUGAAGAAGCUUUUUGAGAAGGAAAAAGUUUUUGUAUGGUAUCCUCAGUAUAACAUGACACCAUUGUCCAAGUCUAAACUAUCCAACAUUUACAGAAAAAUUGGUGCUAGAAAUAUCUCUGAAUCACUAUGCAAAGAAGAAUCGUCCUUGGUGAAUGAUGGUGGUAAACUGAAGUAUGUUGAUCCAAAUAAUAUUUUCAACUUAAAGGGGUUGGUUAAGCUUAUUCUUGGUUUUCUUGCAUGUUCUAGCCUGAAAAUGGAACCAAAAAGGAGACAAGAAGCUGUUCAAAGUCUUAUCAACUUGAGUUUCCAUGAGACAACAGAGCCAAUCAAUGUAAGCUAUAGUUUAUCAUUAUCAUCAGGGGACAUCAUUACCAAGAAAUCAAACAAAAGGGUACGUUGGGAAAGUCAAAGUUGCAAGUUUAUCAUCCAGAAGAUGGAUGGAGUUCUUGGUGAUUCAUUGAAGUAUGCUACAAAUUUCUCUGAAGCAAUAUCCGAGGGUAUUUUGCGUGAGAAUCAUGAUGAUAUUCCUGCACUGGCCGAACUAAUCACAUUGGGUUUUGUGAUGAAAUUCAAGAAUGAAGAAAUUGAUUUUCUAAUGGAAUCCAAGAAUCUUCAGAUUGACCUUGAGGAUGAGGAGUUUCUCAGUUCUGCCUUCCCUUUUGACUAACUCUUAUUGGCACUGCUUACUUGUGUUUUCACUAUUUUGCUUAUGUCUGCCUUAUCUAAUUAUGUAUCUACAAUAUUUUGCUAGUUAUACUGUUAUUAUCUGAUGAGCAGUCGUUGGACUCUUAUGAUAACCCUUAAUUAUGGCAGUAGAAAUUCACUCUGUUGAUACAAUUGCUACUAUAAUAGUUUGAACUAUUGCACAACUUCAAUGCAUCAACCAUUUCUUUUUAGAGUUGAAUAAUGUUAGCAACUUAUCUGCAUAUGUUCAUAAAACCCUCUGAUGAAAUGGUGCUAUAAACUUUGACCAGGCUCUAACAAACCACUUCAUUCCAACACGUCAAAUGAUUUAAAUUUCAAUAGCACAAUAGCAGUUAUUUAAAUUUCACAUCUUAUUUUGUAUCAUGCAGAAGCACUCUUUUCCUUGCUUGCUUGCAAGCAUGGAACAAUUCAUUAGUGCUUUAAUUAAAGUUAUAAUAAUAAUAAUAAUAAUAUUUCUUAAGUUUUGGUUCUGGAAAAAAGUACAUUUGAACCAUCGAACAGUGGUUUGAUUCUGUCAAGUGUGAUAAUAAAUGUUGUUUCAAGGUUUAUUGGAUUAGAUUAUUUAACACAGGAAGCCAGUGUUGAGUUCAAGAUGCUGUGUAACUUUGAACUUGGUACUAGUAUAGUGUCUAAAAGUGAAGUCUUUUUACAUUUGUCUCUUAGUACAUGUACUUCUUUUUAUUGCAUGUAUGAUAUUUGUACCUUCUUUUAUGAAUAUGUUUUUUGUCCUCUUUUAAUUCAUGAUAUUUGUCUUAAGAAAGAAGAUCAAUAUGCCUUUAAAUGAACUUAAGAUCAUUGAAGCUUUGCUUGAUAUGAGAAAAUUUAUUAAUUAAUUAAUUCCUUCCAAGUGAGUGGUUAGGGAACAAUUAACACAACUUUAAAAAAAUAAAAAAUAAAAACUUUGAAAAUGCUGAACAACACAUCAAUUAACAUAAAUUAAGAACAUGAAAGUGAUGGCUUUGGUUCUUUAUACUAACAAGGAUUCGUAGCAUUUUCCUUGCUAGAACAAAAUCCCAAGGCAAGCAAAGUAUCAGAUUCCAAAACGUGUAAUACAAGGCAAGUAUUAAAAUUUCAAACACAACUAAUAAUAACUGCAAAACUCAAACAUGAUGAUUUAUAUAUACACAAACAAACACUAUCACUAAGAGAAGCAUUCAUGAAUGGAAGCCUCAAAAAGGCCUUCUUCUUGUAUCUCAAAGUGGCAAUACUCAUCAACCAAAAGCAAACUUGUGAGUAACUUCAAUCCUGUUUGCCAAGCUGUCCAAAAAUUAACAUUCAGAGGAAAGUUUGUGAUCAUCUUGAAUCAAAAGAAAUCAAUACCUGGAAAAUUCAUUUCUGUUCAGAUUUAUAGUGGCUCAGAAGUUGAUCCUAGUAAGUACAUUUUACACACUAACACUGUCAAUGUUUUUUUGAUUGAAAAAUUUAAUUUAGUUUAUCCUUUUCAAUUGUAAAUUUUUUCUUUAGCUCACAAAUUCAAAUCAUUUUUUUAAUCUAAAUUGUAAGACUUGGAUUUGGUCCAAAAAUUUAUAAAGUGAUAAAUUAAUCUAUGAAAUUGAAGAAUGUCAAUCAAUGUAGUCAUCUGUCAACAAUUCAAUUAAUUCAGAAAAAAUCUGAAUUACAUAAUAGAAAUGAACUAAAGUUCUAAACCAAUUUCUAUAAGCAUAAUCCAAAUGAGCUGCUCUAAACAAAUCGCCCUGACUGCUACAAUUUUAAUGACCAAAAUAAUGAUUCGCUGAUAUAACACUAAAUUUCAUGGUUGGGCCCUUACGUUUAUUUUAAGUUUCAAGUUGGUCCCUUACAUUUAAGACGUGGCUAACAAAGACGUACACAUGGAUAACUUUGAGGGUACCAUAUGGACGUUUUAGGCGGAAUGAACUCAAAAUUUGACAUCAGUGACAUAAGGGAUCAACUUGAAACUUUUUAAAGAUGGGGGACCAACUUGAAACCUAAAAUAAACUUAAGGGACCAAACAUGCAAUUAAACAUAUAAUAUACGAUUUUACUUAUGAUUUGUUUGAACAAGAUGAACAACUUACUUUGUUUUCAACUUUGUAUUGCAAUGAAAAGAUACUGGUAAAGGGUGGUUGAGUGAGAAAGCAUAUUUUAAGGAAUGUGGGCGCAAGAAACCUCACCAUGAUGACGAUGUUGAUGAUGCACAAACAAAGGUUAAGACAUAUAAAAUUAAACUACAGGUUGACUCACAUUUUGGAACUCCAAGGGCUUUUGUAAUUCAAAACAAACAAAACAGGAAAUUCUAUCUUCUGUCUGCAUCUAUUGAGACUUGUACCAAUAGAAUCAUUCACUUUGAUUGCAAUUCUUGGAUUUAUCCAAUCAAGAAAACCAAAUUUGAUAGACUAUUUUUCUCGAAUAGAGUAAGUUCCAUUAUAUAUAACAAUGUACAUGCUUGAUAUAUUGAUUGAUUUUUUGUUAUUAAAUUACAUUACACGAAAUUACAAAAUGGAGUUCAUCAUGAUAGUGCUAUCUUCCAAGUCAAACACCUAGAGCAUUAGCGGAACUAAGAAAAGAAGAGCUUGACAAAUUGAGAGGUAAUGGAAUGGAAGAAAGAAAGGAAUGGGAUAGAAUAUACGACUAUGACUACUACAAUGACCUUGGCGAUCCUGACAAAGGUUCGGAGCAUUUUAGACCUAUCUUGGGUGGUUCAAGGUUAUAUCCAUAUCCACGUCGAGUUAGAACAGGUCGAAAACAUAGUGCAACAGGUACUUUAUUUAUUUGCCUCUCAAUUUUAGUUUAAGGUGGCAAUUUCAAUUGUCAUGGACCAUUGAAACAAUAUUUUCAGAUUAUUAUGAUUCUCGAUAUUACAAAAACAUCUGCAGUCGUAAUUGCAGUUGCGUCGUUAUUGCAGAGACCUGUAUUACCAUGAUGUUGAAUAUUGCAAUUAAAACUACAUUGGAAUUGCAGCAUUUUAACAUGCUUUCAUUCACAAAUGUUUAGGUCCAUCAUCUGAGAGCAGGCCACAAGCAACGAACUUUGAUAUAUAUGUUCCUUCAGAUGAGAUAUUUAGCCCUAACAAAUUGAAGGAGAUCAAAUCAAAUUCUAUCCAAGCCAUUGUACAUUUACUAUCUUCAAAGACAGAAUCAUUACCUCAACAAAGUUCUAGAAGCUUUCAAUCAUUUAAAGAGAUACUUGACAUGCUCUCUACCAAUAGAAACCAAACAAUAGAAGGAUUGAUCAGAGACAACUUAAAGAAAUUGGUACCAAAUAAGUACUUAAAGGAAGUAACUCAGUCAAUCAAGGAAAAUCAUUGGCAUGUUCCUAUCCCUCCAAUCAUACAUGGUAAAAGAAUUAGUUUCACAAAGGUUAACUUUGAGUUACUUAACGAAUUUAGACAAUGAUCAAAUCAUGUGUGACUUUCAAAGUAGUUAUGAUUAAAGUCAAACUUUUUUAAUGAUCUGACGACUAUGAAUGACUGUCUGUAAAAAAACUCUACACUGAUUGUAAUUUUAUGUCAAUAAGCCUUUGAUGGGAAAACUUUACACUGAUUGUAAACUUUACACUAUGAAUUUGUGUUCUAUCUGACCUAUUAAUUAAUGCAAAAUAAUUUUAUGACAUUUUCUGAGAUGUCUUCUGCAAAUCAGAAAAAGAAUGGGCUUGGAAUGAUGACAUGGAGUUUGGAAGACAAAUGCUUGCAGGAACGCAUCCUGUCCGAAUCCAGUGCUUGAUGGUACUUCAUACACUCAUGAACUAUGCUCUAGAAAUAUUUUGUUAUCGUGUAUAAUAUACAACAAUAAAUUUGUGUAAUUCGUAAGUUUUCACACACAGUUAUUUAAACUCACAAUUUUGGCCUAAUCAUCAUUGGUUUCUAUACAUAACUUUCAGACAUUUCCACCUCAAAACAAAUUUGGAGUACAGAGUUCAAUUAAGAAAUCAAUCAUAGAACAGAUGCUUGAAGGAUGGACGCUUCCUCAAGUAAGUAACAACUGUCCAGAACACUUGAAUUUCAAGACUCCAGUCAAUUUUUAUUUUAGAUUUUAUUAGAAAUGAUGUAAAUGUCUAACGUUUGUAACUUAAGAGACCAAAAUGGAACAAAAAAAAAACAGAUAAAGUGAACCAUGAAAAACACUUGAGGGAUCAAAAGUGUAAUUCAGCCAAAACAUUAAUAUGCAUGUAAUUAGUACCUGUGAGUAGUUAAUGUGUCCUUCUUGCAAUGUACUCCAUCCUAGGAUGAAAAUCUUAUUUUAAUUCUCUCUCUUUCACCACAAAAUUGUGUUUAGGCUUUGGAACAAGGAAGAAUAUUCAUGUUGGACCACCAUGACUAUCUCAUGCCAUACUUGAACAGAAUAAAUGCAAAUGGGGUAUCUGCUUAUGCAUCAAGGACACUUCUAUUCUUAAGAAGUGAUGGCAUGCUUAAGCCACUGGCAAUAGAACUCAGCUUGCCGGGAUCAUCUCUAGCUCUUGAAAUCCAAAGAGUUUUUCUUCCAUCAAAGCAAGGGACACAAGCAGCACUUUGGCAGCUUGCUAAAGCUCAUGUUUUAGCUAAUGAUACUUUUUACCAUAUACUAGUAAGCCAUUGGUGAGUUAAACUCUUUAUGAAGUCAAAGAGAUUAUUUCCCCUUUUAAGUGGUUUAAAUAAAGUGCACAUGUACAACGGGAAUAGCUUAACAAUUAAACAUGGGAUUGUAGAUUUGAUCAUGUUUAUAUAUGAAAUUUAAUUAUUGAAUUACAGUGUUAUUUAUGCCAUCUAAUAAUUCUGCAAUGAAAAGUUUUUCAGGUUAUACACACAUGCAGUUGUUGAACCAUUUAUCCUUGCUACCAAAAGAAGGCUAAGUGAAAUGCAUCCAAUCCAUCGAAUAUUGAGUCCUCAUUUCAAAGACACCAUGCAUAUAAAUGCCUUGACUAGACUUAUCCUUAUUAACUCUGGAGGAAUUCUUGAGAGAAUGUUAUUUCCUGGUGAAACCUGUAUGCAAAUAACCUGUGAUCUCUAUAAAGAGUGGAAAUUUACUGAACAAGGACUACCUGCUGAUCUAAUCAAAAGGUACAAUAGAACUAUUAGCUAGUUAUAGACAAUAUUUAAAUUUUCAUGGCAUAUUUCUCUAAUUUCGUUACCAUGAUAUGGUUGAUCUUGUUUACGAUUUCAUGUUUUAGGAUAAAAAUGACAGGUUUCUAAUAGGAACGUAGGUAUUUUGGGCUGCCUAAGUCGUAUGUUGAGUAGUAUGGGAUGCUCGGUGGUGGAUUGUGGUUUCGUUUUUUCUUUUUGAUAGCUAGCUUUUAAUAGAGAGUUCUCCUAGUUCUUAUAUACUUAUCAAUUGGUAUCAUAAUUAGUUGCCGAUGGCUCGGAAAGGGCUACCGAGUUAUCGAGAUUCAGGAUAAUGACUCAUGAUUCAAGAAGGAAUUUGUGUCCAAAUAGAUACGCACUUAAGAUUCGUAUCGAUUGGGUUCAAUUUAGUAUCAAAACGAGAUACGACUAGCAUGUAUUGUAAGAUACUGAUAACCAAGAAUUGAUUUUGCAGGAGCAUGGCUUUAGAAGACCAAGAUGAGAACAACUCAACUGGGAUUCAACUUCUCAUGUUGGACUAUCCCUAUGCCAUUGAUGGACUUGAAAUAUGGGUUGCCAUCAAAUCAUGGGUCAGGGACUUCAUCUCAUUCUUCUACAAAGACAAUGAAGCCAUCAUAGCUGAUACUGAACUCCAAGUAUGGUGGUCAGAGAUUCGAACUAUAGGCCACGGCGACAACCACAAUGAGACAUGGUGGUAUCAAAUGACAACACUCUCAGACCUUGUAGAAACGCUAACAACUCUCAUAUGGAUUUCUGCGGCGCGUCAUGCAGUUAUAAACCACCAAAAACAUGCACAAAAUGGUAAUUACCCUCCUAAUUAUCCUACACUAUGUAGAAAGUUCAUUCCACUAGAAGGAACAGUUGAGUUUGGUGAGUUCCUCAAGGAUCCUGAUAAAUUCUUUAUGAAGAUGUUUCCUGAUAGGUUUGAGAUGAGUCUUGGUUUGACAUUGGUAGAUUUUCUAUCAAGAAACAGUUAUGAUGAAGUGUACUUGUUGAGAUGUCAACCAUCACAUGGUUGGAUAGACAAUGAAAUUGUUCUCAACAGAUUUGCUGAGUUCAAAGAAGAACUUAAGGAGAUUCAGACAAGGGUUUUGCAAAAGAAACAAAGAUCCAAAGCUUAAGAAUAGGCGCGGCCUUGCAAAAAUUGAUCACAAUAUUUUGUAUCCUAAGAUGCCUAGUUCUGGAUCAAGAAGAUGGAAUCAUGGGAAGAGGAGUGUCUUAUAACAUAUCAAGUUAAUUUGUUCAUAGAAUUUGUGUUCCCUAACUCUGCAUGCCAUUAGUAAUAUGUAAUCUCUCACUCUCUUUUCUUAUUUUUGUCUUUAACUCUCCUUUCCUCGGACAAGAGAGCCAUGAUAAUUUGGAGUCCGCCCAAAAAGUAAGUAAACUUUGGUCAAUGAUUAAUCAAGCCAGUAUUCGUACUUGAAUUCUCCCUAAGCGAUUUGUAGUUAUAUGUAUAUGUUAAACUCUAACUCUUAACAAAUAGUUCUAACGAUCAUGGAAAAAUUUAUCAAAAAUCCAAUUUUCAAAACGCCACAUAUGUGAUAAAAUUGAACAAUAUCCUAAAACAAUAUAUUCAAUUAGUAUAGUAUUAAGAUAAUCAUGCGACAAACCAUCUAAAACAGUGCAUGGUUGUUAACUAUUCAAAAUGUAAUGCCUAAUGAUAGAACCAACAACUGUCACUAUUUAAAAUCCAACGCUAAUCAAAUUUAAGCUUAUUUUUGCACUGGCCUAAAUUUUUGUUUUGGUUAAAUACCAUAGACGGAUUUGCAUUUGGUCAUUUACUGUGCCAUGCAGUUUUACAUCCCAACCGUCCAAUCUCAAAUUAUCGAUCGAGAUUUAUUUAAGAUGAUUUGUUAUUGUAUAUUCUGAACCGUCCAAUCUCAAAUCGAUGAAAAGUAUAUUAAUCUAAUUGCCAUAACCUCACUUCAAACAUGAAAAUUUGGAAACAAUUAAAUCUAGCAAUAAAUUAGAGAGGUAAACAUAGUAUACAGAUAUAAUAAUAUAAUGUCAACAUAUACAUAUACCCACAAAUCAUCUAUAUAGUUCAUGGAAUAUCCAUAGCAGUAUCACUGUCUCAUAUUGGGGAUCCAGCCAGAAAACGUUUAUAAAAAUCCAAUGCCUCUUGUGGUUUGUAUUCUGGAACAGUAUGUCCAGCUCCCUGUACCAAUGCAAUCAAAUAAAUAUUUUCAGGGCUUGAACCAGGUACAUCCGAAGCUAAGACUUGUUUUUUCACAGAUUAAACCAACUCCUUGGAAUUCUUAACUAGUAUUAUCUUUGGUUUUCAUAUUCUAUUUAUUUUUUCAUGAUUUGUUUUCCAAUUUAAUCAGGAUUCAUUAAUAAGAAACCAGUAUUAGUAUUAAAAAAAGUCAACAAUUAGCAUAAAUAAGAGCUAAUGCUAAUCUUUUAUAAUUAAGCAUGGUCCUAAUUCAAAGUCUUUAUACUUUCUCUGUCUCCUCCUUAGCUCCUUUUAAUUCUUAUGCUCUCAAAUGCCAUAAUCCACACACACACACACACGCACCAUACAUACCUUUAUGGUCAGAAAAGUAAGAUUAUGGUCAUAUCCUUGAGUAUACCUGCAGCAAAUAAAAGUAAUUAACUCAAUUUCUAACCAAGAUUGGUAUUUUAUACUAAAUAUACAUUGUGAAAAAAGUUUACAGAAAUGAUACUUGGACCCACAAAUAUGACAACAACAAUUUGGAUGGUUAACUUAACACCGUCUAGAUAUGUGGUUAAUUACGUUUAGUGCAUGGCUGAUUAGCAUAGUGUCAAAACUCAUUAAUUAUCCGCUGAAUGUAAUUAACCAUGAUAUUUACAUGUUCAAAUAUAAAUUAAAUCUAUUAUAACCAUCCAAAGUAUGUUUUAUACAUGAUUUUCAGGUUUUUUAAAUAUAUGAUAUCUAUUAAUCACAAUUUGUGUUCAAAUAUACAUCUGAAAAUCAUGAGUGAUAACAUACAAAAUCAUGUUUAAUUGUGUUCUGUGAAUGAUUAAUGAGUUGCAACACCUUAUCAUAUUCAUUAGUUAUUUACUAAAUGUAAUUAAUCAUGUAUUUGAAUGGUAACCAUCCAAAUUGUUUUUGAAUUCUAGUGUCUCAUUUUGUGUAAAAAUAACACACGCAAAAGUUUAUGAGGCAUAUUUUGACAGCAGAUUGCAAUCUUGACGCCUCAACUCCUACUGCGAAGGUGGACUAAUGCCACAAAAGAAUACAAGUAUUCAUAGAUCCCAUACCAGAAGAUAAUAUGCUUCAUAGAGCAUGGAGUAGAUUAUUAAAGAAGAUAAUUUUAAUUCACAUCUAUAAACUAUUUCUGAAACAAUUCCAUAAGGUCGUACAAAGUCCUUUCAUAUAAGAGAGCAAAAUAUUUGAAAAUUCAUUAAGUAAGGUAAGAUAAGAAGGAAUAAGUACCCAACAACUUGACCAUUGGAUAACCAUGGCCUCCAUUCAUCAACAAUCUUGUAUCCAAUUGAUCUCGUCCAUGCUUGACUCCCAGUAAAUGGAACACACAUGUCAUGAUCACCACUGCAAGAAACAUGAAACUUUCAAUUUCUCCAGUAUGUUCUGUAUUUUUUUUUUCAGUAGUCACAGAAAAGAUCAGAGACAGUUGCAUUGAUGCAAAUGGAAAAAGUAGUAAAUCCCACUUUCUAAAAUACCACAAAUAAUAAAAGAUUGAACAUCCAACUUUUAUAUCUCAUAUUUCAUACAAUCAAUUGGAACAAUGAACUGCACCUAAACGUAUAGCAAUGGAGUAGUUAUGUCUAUCAUAAAUGUAAGAAUACUGUAAUGCUGGAAAUUCACCUGAAUAUAAGAGCUCGAUAUCCUCUGGAAGUUAGGUUCUUGUGGUAUUUUAUCAUGCUUCCAGCAUCAUGAUCGAAGGAAAUUUUGUCUGUGCAUAAAUCCCAACUACUGACCACACUUUUCUGUUUCAUCAGAGAGAUAAUAAUUUAGUGCUUUGACAUUCAAAGUAUAGAGGUAUCUUACAAGAAACUUCACCUCUGCAGUGUGAAUUGCUUUCCUAACUUCUUCAUUGUUCAACCAUGCAUUUGCAACAGAGCCAUCCUAAAGAUAUUGUUAGAUCAUGUUACUUGUUUUUGGCAAUAAAGAAUUAGCAUUUCUAAGGUUUAUACAAGUAUGCAAUAAUAAUCAAGCAAUUAAAUCAAUUAGUAGGUAAUAUGUAGAUAUUAAACGGUAAAUAUAGACACUUAGAUAGUAGUAAAGAAACAUACUGUGCAUGGAACAUUGUUGCUAUUGAUAAGUUGUGGCCAUGUUGGUACGUUGCCAUCUCUCACAGGUGCUCUAAGGGGCCAAGCGCGACCGAACAUUCUUUUCCUCACGGGAUGAGGUUUCUCAGUCUCACCUAACUCGCGGAAACUAGACGGCAACCUAAUAUAGGAUGUGAUAAUCUUAUCUGCCUCUGUGCCGUGAUAGCAUGGUUCUAGAAUGUUAUAUACGUUCAACCCAUCAAUGUCCUAAAAUAGUAAGAAUCAUCAAUGAGUGCCAAAUUCACUUAUUUCUUAUAAUCUCAGAAAUGUAGUAUAAUUAAAUCACCUCAUCAAUUUUUGCAAGCUUGUUUGUACAAUUAUCACUGAGUGAAUUAUAGAAAUUCCCAUUACACUCGCGGUUAACCUCCUGCAACAGAACGCAACAUGACUUAAAGAAACAUACUUACAAGACAAUAUAUAGCAAGGUUUCAAACAAUAGAUAUAGUUCCAAACUUGCUCUUAAAAGGGUUUAUUUUCACCUCAAACAAUUCAUCUGAGAUAAGACCCAUCCCAUGUACAAAUGGAACAAGAGCAUUGCCAUCAAUUUGUUCAUCUGUAACACCAUUUCCAACUAUGUAACCCUGCACACAAGGAGUUUCAGAUGUCAGCUGUAGCCAUGAAAUCAAAAACAUAAAUUGAUCACUUAAAGAUAAAUACCUUAAAAUUCAGUUUCGGCUUCACACCAGCAUCAAUCCCUGUAGAAGAUCAAGAAAGUGGAUCUUAGUAGUGAUUCUAACACAUUAAUACAACACAUUUUUAUGGACAUAACUUUCUACCUUUCAUUGCUUCAUAGGCAAGAGUAGGCACAUAAACUCCUGCAUAUGACUCUCCAGCAAUGAAGAAAGGGUUGGAAAGGAACUCGGGAUAUAGUUCAAACCACUGGUUUUAUCAAAAGAAAGAUAUGUAAGAAAAUUGAUGAGAAUACAGAUUUGUUGAUUCCAAUAAUACAUCAAAAUCUACUAGUUGUUUCCUUAACUACCUUAAGGAGAAAGGCAUGUGUAUCAGACGCAGUCUUUAUGUCUCCGGUUAUGUAAUCAGUUUCAUUCUUAGAGUAUGAAAACCCAACACCAGCAGGAGAGUCCAAAUAUAUAAUACUGGAAACCUAUAAUGCAAAUUCAGAAUCAUAUACCAUUUGAUAACAAGAAAAAAUAACUAGUAAUUGUUGAAUUACACAGGUCUUGUUUGGAUAAACAGCUUAACUAAGUGCGUAUAGCAUAAAUGUCUAUCAUGUAAGGGCUUGCAUAUAAAUUAUUUCUAUAACAUAAGAUAAAGUCAAACAGUUUACAAGUUACAAGCUGCUUUCAUAAGCUAUCAUGAAGAGCUCAUUCUUUUAAAAAGCUCUCUCAAACAGUCUCACAAGUGCUUAUUAUACAUAAACUCAAAUAAGUCAAUACAAACAACCCUAUAGAGUCUCUACCGAAAACCGAACUAUGAGAAGAAAUCAUUCUUCCCUUUCAAAAUUCAACAAAGUUCAAAAAUUUGGUACCUUGGUCCAGCUGUAUGGAUUGAGGUGCAGAGUUGGCAGGCUUCCCUUUGUCUUUGCUGCUUCAAAAUUGAAAGGACCUGAAAAAUCAUCAAUUGCCACAUGAUUUAUAAAUUGAAUAACAAUUUGCAAUGGCAGAAGAAUUAUGGAAAACUCAAGACAGAAACUAUCAAAGCCACUGAACCAUAACUACUUCCUGCUGAUGUUUUAUCAAGAUAACCAGGAAAUCUACACAUAAAAGUCUGUUGAACCAGUGUACUUAGUAGCUAGUAAUUAACAAAAAGAAAUUAGUGUGAUUGAUUGAAAACCAUUUCACUGUAGCAAUUCCUCGUGUUCGUCCUAAUAAUAUGUUUGGAAGGAGGCAAUUGGAGGAACAAGAAAAGGACUAAAAAUUUCAUUUCAACUGAACAUUCUGUGAUUUGAUACUGUUCCAAACUGAAAGGAAUAAAUGAUAGACAAUGAUCGUAAAGCUUAAUUUAGUAAAUCCUUUAAAAAAAAUAUACAUCUCUUAAUUCAAAAUAAAAAAAAAAAUUAAGAAUCCUAGAACAGCGUGUUCACUGUUAAUUGAGGCUAGGUUAAACAUAAUCAUUGUUUUUAUAGAAAAAAAGUUUAGGUGAGUUCAGCUUGGGGUUCACUUGGGUCAGGGAAGGCCUCAAGGCCUAUGAAGCACGGAUACAACACGGACACCGGCAUUGCUAAUAAUUUGAGAAAAUCACAUAAUUCAGUGUAAUUAUAGGUGUCAGUGUCGGACACGACACGUGUCUGACACUGUGACACGGCUAAUCCGAGGAGUGUCCGUGCUUCAUCAAGGCUCGAUGGGCGUUAACAAACGUACUUAUAGAUCACUCAUCAAAGAGGUCAUUGCACUAGCAACAGGAGUUAAACCCACAACCUUGUAGGUGAGUCAACUCCUUACUAACUGAGUCAACAUUCAUUGGCUUAAACAUAAUCUUUUAAGUAUCUAAAUUUAAAAAUGAAGCAUAUUAUGUGUUUGAUAAAAUGCCUGAAUAGUAUGAUCAUUAUUUUCUUGUUUGAUGCAUAUUAUAUUUACUUAUAUCGAGUUAUCCCUCAAUGUAACUGCAGGUACUAAUCCCUCGACUGAAAAUCAUUUAAGGCAUUGACCACUUCCAACAUAUGUUUUUCCAUAUGCACUGGCGAGGGCUCGAACUCUUAACCAAAUUGUUGAUGGGCACAAGCAUCUACUACAUGUGUCACAUCUACUUUUUUUAUAAUACAUCAUUCAUUGCAAGGGUUAAAACACUAAUUUGUAUUAAAAAGAACAAGACAAUCAAAUGAGAAAAAUUACCAUGCUCAUAUAUGAAUCCAUCAAAGCUAGAACAUCCAGGUCCACCAUUAAGCCAAAGAACAACUGGAUCCACAGAAGGUUUACCUUCAGACUCAACAAAAUAGUAAUACAAAUUCCUUCCAUGACUUUCAUCCACAGUCACAUACCUUCAUUCAAGGGUCAAUUAAUCAAAACAUAACAUAAUGCGUUUCUUCAAAUAAGUCAAAAAAACAAAGAAUUAAAAAAAAAACCCAAAAUUUAUUAUAAGAAAACAUGAAUAAAAAUUACAAAAAUUUGGAAUUUUUAAAUCUACAUACCCAGCAUAAUGCUUGGAAGGUAUUGUUCCAUUGAAACCAGGAACCUGUGUUACAAUGGCAGUUUCAGGUGCUGAAAUUGUCAGCACAAUGCUGAGGUAAAUCUGAAGUAAGACCAAACAGACAGUGCUACGUGUUUUGUUCAUCCUUGUUUGUUCCAAAACAGGAAAUAAAUUAGAAACAAAAAACAACCUUAUAAAAAACAAGACAGGUUGAAGUUAAAUUUAUAGAGUAAUCUAAGAAAAGAGUGAUGAUGGGUCCACUUUGCAACUUGUGGGAGCUAGAUAGAUUAACUUGAAAGCUAAGAGUUGUUACAAAUAGUAAUAUGAGAGAGAUACUCCAUUUUAUUAGAAUAUCUCAAACGAGUUUUGCGUGAGAUUAGUAUUUAAGUUACCAUAAAUAGUUUACUCAAAAAAAUAAACCUUAGGAUAUUUACAAUGAUUUUACUAUCUUUCUUUAUAAGUAAAUUUUAACUAAUUUUGUUAAUUAAGUAAGAUAAACACUCAAUAUAUCUUUAAAUUAAAAACUCUAAAAAAAUAAAAUAAAUGAGUUCCACAAAUAACUUAUAUUAUCUAUAUAUAACUCUAUAUUAGAGGUAUUCUUGUAUGUGCACAAACAUAAAUGAAUAGUAUUUGGUCACAUAUAUAUAAAAAAUAUUUUUCUUAAAAUACUAAAUCAUUUUAUUAUUAAAAAAAUAUGUUAGAGUUUUCUCAAUAAAAAAAAAAAACUUUUUAAAGGUUUGGACUAGUCGUAAAAAGAUAAGUCUUUAAUUCAAGAAAUCUUAUAUCUAAGUCAUGUUAGUGCCUAUGAAUGGGGUAAGUGUUUUUUGAACUUGAAAGUCUUCUCUAUCUUCAAUUGGAGCAUCAUCCCCUCACCUUAAAUUUACUUAUUCCAAAAAAAAAAAAAAAUCAAUAUUUAUAUUUAUUUUAAAAUAAAUUAUAAAAAUAUAGUAUAUCAUUGAAUGAUGAUAUUUAACUAAACUAACGAAUAUCAUAGGGUUCACCUUUUAUUAUAUACAAUACAAUGUCUUUUUUUUUACAACAAUACAAUCUUCUUUUAGAUUAUACACAACGUUGUCCAAAAAAUAUUUACUAUAUGCAAUGUUUUUUUAGGGGUUUUAUUAUACACAAUGUUGUUUUGUCAAAAAAAAAAUUAUACACAAUGUUGUCAGAAAAAUACAAAUCAAUUAAUAUCUAACAAUACUUAUUCUUGUCAAAAAAAAAAUCUAACAAUACUUAUUUUUAUUUAAAAUCAUAUUUAGAAAAAUGAUAGGUCGAAAUAUGAAAUACGAAGAAAAGGAAUAUUACAUUAGAAAAAUUGAAUGAGAUUAAUUAAUAUUUUAAAUUAGGAUAUAAACUGUUAUCUUAUCAAUGGCAUGUAAUGUAUGUGAUAUUGUGAUGUGACUGUUUUGGAUUUUAUUGUAACGGAACGCAGAAGAUAAGCAAAGUGGCGUUAUGGAUGGGUCAUCAUAUUUAUAUUAAAAAAAUCUACUUACAAGAUAGAAGGCAUGCAACUAGUCAUCACCAUCGAUAACAACAUAUUCUAUUGUCCCUUUCUCUCCUCCGUCACCAAAACAUUUGUUUCUUCUCCUUCAUUCAUUAAAGAGUAGUGAUUCAUGAUCAAUUUUUGUUUCAAAAUCACUUCUCGAGCUUGUUUUUCUCUUUAUCUUUUAUUGAAAUAAGUGAUUCUCAUAUAUACUUCGUUUUAACGUGAUGUUGGUUUGUUCGUCGUCUUUAUGCUGCAUUGUUUGUCUUUUUUAUUUUGUUCAUGUAUUUGUUCGGUUCAGAUUGUUAUCAGGUUCGAUCUAGUUGCAUAUCCAGAGACAUGAGUAUUCUGGAGACUUGAAUAUAGUCAUAUGUGUAGACUUUUGUACUUUGUCAUUUUAUGUUAUUAACAUGGAUGUCUUCAUUCUUUUUGUUUUUAGAGAAUUUGUAGUAUCAAUAUAAUCUAUCAAUUUGAAUGAAUAAAUAUCAUUGAUUUUUGUCAACAAAAAACAAAAACUAGUCAUCGUCGACUUCACCCAAAAAAAAUGUUGUUAAAAAAGAAUAAGUUCACUCAAAGAAAAGUCACCAUACAAUUUCCUUAAAUUUCAAUUCAAUUUUAUCUGCAAUAUUUUUCACGCACACAAUGAACAAAGUAUAUAUAUAUAUAUAUAUAUAUAUAUAUAUAUAUAUAUAUAUAUAUAUAUAUAUAUAUAUAUAUAAAAGUCAGGAUCCGUUGACACCAGGUGUAAGUUAAAAGAGUUACACCAAAUCUUAACCGUUAAAUUUAAUUGAUCGUAUAGUUUAAAUUAUAUCCACGGAAGAAACGGAAGGAACACAUAACAAUUGAAAGCAUGUCAUCUACACCAACUACAACCUUCUGUUAGUUUCGCUAAAAAGAUCAGAUCAGAAACCAAAGGAUCUAGAUGCAAUUGAAAGCAUUGAAAUCUCAAAACAAUCAUAAUUGAAAAGAAACGCUAAAAGGGGAUAAAAAGAAAAAUUGAAAUAUUUUAAUUACUUUUGGAUUCAUAAAAUUGAUUGAAUCUCAUGAUUUUUCAUCCAUAGAAAAAUUUGUUGUCACAUUAGGAGGUUUAUCGAAGACUAAGAACAUUUAGGUCUUGAACCAAUGAAGAAUGGAUCUCAAGUGAUGGUAGAUGUGAGAUUGUUGGUGAGUGGUGACAUAAUGGAUCUCAAGCCAGAGUAAACGGAAUCGCAAGUUUCAUUGUUAGAGAAAAAACUACUAUGAGGAAGGAGAAAGAAUGAGCCGUGUUCCAAUAUUCAAAUUUAAUAAUGACCGUACGAUUUAUUAGUUUUAACGGUUGAGAUUUGGUGUAAGUCUUUUGACUUACAUCUGGUGUCAACGGAUCCUAACUAUAUAUAUAUAUAUUAUAAAUUAAGAGCAUAUGACAAGAGAAUAGAGGAUGUCCAACUAAAUUGUUAAAACAAUUUAAAUUUUGUCAAAUGUUUAAAUAUAUUAUUAAAAAAAGGAAAAAAAUACAUAAAAAUUGGGGGACAUAGAACCAAACUCAGUCGAUCCAAGUGAAUCAACCCCUGUAGGUAAUACAACCAAUAAAAACUACACAUUUGAUUCAAUCCUAAUCAAUUUAAACAAACUAAUUGAGUUUAUAACUUGGCAAAUGAACUGAUCGUCAACACAAACUGAUCAUGUACCAUCAAUUCCCUACAACAUCAACAAGAUGCAUCAGAGAGUCUAAUAAUGAGAACACUAACCCGACACAACAACAGUUUCUUGACAGACCCUCUCGGGUUUUCUAUCAACCCAUAAAACUCGAACUUUUCGAUGAUGGUGGUGAACUCGAUCGCCAACACGAUAACGAAUCCAAAACCAAACAACUAACGGUGAUCAACAACCGUAAGCUAACAAAAUGCUCAACCCUCCCAUGUAUCCUUAAAGUGACUUCUCCUCCUCUUACUCACAUCUCAACUCUUCUAUAUUACAUAAUAAAAAAAACCCCAAAUUCUCUCUUAAUUUUCUCAAUCAUCAUCACACUGUACAACAAAACAAAUCCCAAAACAAAAAUUAUGAUGAUAAAAAUUUGAAGUUGUGACGAUCAAGAACGAGUAACACUCGAUAAUCCAAACACCAUAACCGUUUCAGAACUCAAAUCAAAAGACGGAUUCAUGUAACUAACUUGAAGUUAGAUCAUUUUAUUCAAUAGAUUCAGUUAAAUUGAUUCUUCUCUUGUUCUUGAUCUCAUAAUAAGUCCAUCACCUACUUUUUUUUUCUUUAAUGGCAACUUGUGAAACCUUGGUUAGCUUCAAAGCCAAGAAUGGUUGCAGAAUAGAGACAAAAUGAGCAUGAGAGAGAUACAAUGUAUCUGCAACAAGUUCUGCGUGAGACAAAUACUAGUUAGUACUACAAGAAAUAGUUUCUUCAAAAUUUAAGAUAUAUCUAUAAUGAAAUAUUUUACCUUCUUGAUUGAAAUAUUCUUGGCUUAAAUAUGCUUUUGGUCCCUGCAAAUAUGACUCAUUUGAGUUUUGGUUCCUGGUAAAAUUAUUUUUUGAAAUCCGUCCCUGCAAAUUUUUUUGUUUUUAAAAAUAGUCCCUAGACUCACUUUCUUGCUUAUUUGGCAAGUUUUUACUUAGAUGUCACAUGUUGACUGUAUCAUUUUGUACAAGUGGAUUUUAAUUUAAGUUAAAUAUAUAUAAAAUAAAUCAAUAAAUCUAUAAAUGUUUUGUUUUUUAUUAAUUUCCUCUUCUUGUUUUGCUGCAUUUAUCUCAGCUUCUUCUUCUUCCCCUUCCAUGGCAUCAACAUCCACAACAACACAACAACAAUUCUUCCAUUCUCAAAUCAACCCAUUAUUCAUACACUCACUAUUACCAAGAUCCCAAAUCAAAUUCAUCAAAAUACAUCCUCAUUGUUCUCAGUUGCUACCCUCCUUCCAUCAAUUGCUUCUCCAUCUUCAAAACCUGCAGAUCUACUAUCACUGUUUCUAGGUAAUUUUUUCAAGUUCGAGUUGAGUUUUUGAAGGUGGUGGUGGCUGCAUAUUCAGAGAGAAGAAGCGCCACUAUAGCCUCUGUUACCGCGGUGGUGGCAGCGGCGGUGUUACGACAGCAUGGUGAAACAAGGGGUGAUGAACCCAAACCUCUUUUUAUUGUCGAACCAUUUAACCGUCCCAGUUAAUUUUGACCUGCUAAUGAUUCUCACACAAACCCUUAAAUGCAAGGCAGCAACCAAUUCACUCUACCUCUCUUCUAAGGCCAAAUUUCAAGAUAAGAUUUUUGUGAGAGAAUGAUUCUGACAUUGUUUUGGAUCAAUUUUUAGUGUUGAAUUUUUGGGUUUUAGUGAUUGAAUUCAUUGUUGAAGAUUGGGGUUGGAUGAAGAAUAUAUACAAACUCUAAUUUCCAAUUGAAAACUAUAAUUAAAAUAAAUCAAAAAUUAUUUUAUGUAUUUUUUAUUUCUAAAAAUGUUUUUUAAAUAUGUUAAAUGACAUAAUUGCCACCUUGACGACACGUGGCCAACUUUACACAGUCAGCAUCUGUCACAUAGACUGAAUUGUGCCAAAUAAACAAGAAAUUGGACAUAGGGACUAUUUUAAAAAACAAAAUUUUUUGAAGGGAUUGAUUUCAAUUUUUUUUUUACCAGGGACCAAAACCUAAAUGAGCCAUAUUUACAGGGACCAAAAACAUAUUUUAGCCAAUAUUCUUCACUGAAAAAAUGCAUGCAAUUAGACACCAUGACCCUAAUUACACUAUCUCUCGUGAGAGAUCAUGAUAUCACACUUAGCUCUCCUAUUAUGUUUAAAUAUAUACUCAAUCUGUUAUUUUUUUUUUCUAAGUGUAGUUUGAGUACAAAUUUUGUGUUUCUAUUCGAUCAUCGUUUUGAUUACUUAAGACUAUAAUUUAUCAAUUAUAUCAUUUUUUUUAAUUACUAUUGCUUACUACUUUUUAACUAAAUUAAUUAAUGUUAUAUGUUUGGAAAAUUCAAGUUUGAUUUUAAAACAAAGUUUGUUUUUUGAAACAAAAUGUUGUUACCUACGAUAAUGGAUCUAGAGUUUGAAAUUCUAUAAUAAUGCCACAAAGUGUAAAUCUAGUAUUAUUUAAAGUCAUACUUGGAGCCUAAGUGUUGAUUAAAGGAGUUGAAGGGAAGUUAAGAUUUGCUUAGGUGAAUAACAUUUUUUUAAGGAAGGUGAAGAACAAGUUUAAAGUUUGAUUAAUGUGAAAUUUGAUUUUGCUUUACUAUUAUUAAAAAAAUUGUGUAUAAUAAUGAGACCAUUGAUAAUUGUUUGUAGAGUUUUUCUAUUUACACCCCAUGUUUUUCUGGUUAUACCCAAAUUUUCUUAAUUUUUUUUUAUAAUACCAAAACUGCCCUUUUAUAUAAAUUUUCUUAAAACUCUAAUUUUAUUCAUUGUCAGUGAGUUUCACCCUCUUUCACCCCACAAAGCGAUCGAUCAAACAAUUUGAUGUUCAAUAUCAAUCUCCAUGAAAAUUAAAGAGUGAAUCAAAAUAUUUUUCAUCCAUACUCAAUUGGAUAUAAGUAAGUGAAUUUCUUCUUCUAUUUGAUAGUUUCAAUUUUUUUCCUUCAACUGCAAUGAUGCACUGUACGAUUACGGUUUUAAUUUACAUUGGCAAGGUUAACUUAAAUUCAGUUUAAGUAGGUUCAUGUAAACUUAGUUUACAUGAACCUACUUAAACUGAGUUUACAUGAACCUACUUAAAUUGAGUUUACAUGAACCUACUUAAACUGAGUUUACAUGAACCUACUUAAACUGUGUUUACAAAAUCACAGAACUGUGAAUCGCAGAACAAGGAAAACACAAUCGAUUGAAGAACAACACUUGCUAACCUGAUUUGCUUCGAAUUUUCUUUGAAAUCAUGAAUGAACGUGAGAAAGUAUGGUUUUGAAAAUCUUCGCAGAACACAAUCGAUCGAUUGGAGAAUUAUGGUUUUGGAAGAAGGGUUUUGGGGUGUAACCAAAAAAGAAGAAAUAGGCUUUUUGAAAAUCAAAUGUUAUGAAAGGGUAAUCUUGUCAUUUUGGGGUGCAACCAUGAUUAACUAGGGUGCAAGUAGAAAAACUCUUGUUUGUAAUGGGAGCGAGAUGGAAUGUACGUAAAAAUAAAAAAAAUAAUUGUUUGAGAGACGAAGAGUGUAUAACUUGCUUGUUAUGGGAGGAAAAUAAGAAUUAUCGGUAGAUUAAAAUGAAGGUAUUAAUUAUUGAAAAAAAUGAUACAAAAAUUCAUUUUCUUAAUUUGAGUGUAGUAUUUAUUAAAAACGACACUUUAAAAAAUUGAGGGGUACAAUUUAGUUCAUUUAACUUAAUAUUGAUAGAGAAUAUUUUAAAAAUAAAAUAUACUUCUAAAUUUUAAAUAUAUGCUAAAUUAUUCAAAAAAAAAAUAUAUAUGCUAAAUUAAUUAAAUUUACAAUACUAUCCUUUCUAAUUUAAGUUUAUAAAAAUAGAAUUGUAUAUUCAAAGUUGCAUAUUCUAGAGGUUUUCUGUGAAAAAGGGAAGAAAAGUGUGUCAUACGUUUGUUAUCUCCCAAAGUCUACAUAGAACAUUCAAACAUAGAAAGACCAGUAGAGACUUACGUGCUUUAAUUUUGAUAGACACGAAAAAAUAUCUAUUUACUACCAAAAUCAUAUGGACCAAAUUGAUUCAGAAGGCUUCCUCUCUAAUUUCCUUUCUCCUCUAAUCACUGAUUCUUCAAUUUAUCUUUGUUGUGUAGCUCAGUGAGGUGAUGUGGCAAAAAAUUUAGGGUUUUAACCUAAAAGAAGUCGUGUUGGAAGAAAACUAUAAUGUGGCAUAAAACUUGAUCAAGGUCCAAGUCUACAAAAAUAUUAUUCAAACGAUAGAAAGACUAAUGAAUAAGUGCUGGAAUUUUUAUGGAAACAGACAAUAGCUAUAAUACUAUAAAAAAAAAAACUAUAUGGAUCGAAUUGAUUACAAAAUCUAAACAUGGCUUCCUCUCUACUCCUUUCCUUUCUCCUAUACUCGCUGAUUCUUCAAUCCGUCGGUGUUGUAGCUCAAACCAAUAGUACUAUAGCCAUUGGUGAUUCUUUUACUGCUGAAACCAGCAACUCUACAUGGUUACUUUCACCUUCUGGUGACUUUGCCUUUGGUUUUCUUCCAAUACAAGACACUGACCUUUUUUUGCUUUCCAUUUGGUAUGCAAAAAUUCCUGAAAAAACUGUUGUGUGGUAUGCUAAUAGAGAAAUUCCUGCACCAAAAGGUUCAAAAGUGGAACUCAAUGCCGAUGAUGGGUUGGUGCUAACUUCUCCAAAUGGUGUCGGGUUAUGGAAUACUACUGAGGAACUUAGUGCUAAAGUUUCCCAUGGUGUGUUCAACGAUACUGGUAACUUUGUGCUCGAGGGUGGUGGUUGGGAGACUUUCAAGUAUCCUAGUGACACCUUGUUGCCUUCUCAGUUUCUUCAAAAAGGUGGAAGCCUUUCUUCAAGGCUUAAGGAGUCAAAUUUCAGUAAAGGAAGGUUUGAGCUUGUUUUACAAAAUGAUGGUAAUCUUGUUAUUCAUUCUAUUAAUUUACCAUCUGGUAGUGCUAAUGAAAACUACUAUGAAAGUGGAACUGUGGAAUCCAAUACUUCAAGUGCUGGAACUCAAUUGGUCUUUGACAGAUCAGGGUACUUGUAUGUCUUGGGAGAGAACAAUGAGAAAUACAAUGUGUCAGAGCAAGAGAGUAAAGUCUCUACCACUCUUUAUUAUCUUAGAGCAACUCUUAAUUUUGAUGGUGUGUUCGCAGUUUACAAGCAUCCGAAGAAUUCAAUUGAUGGUGAAGGUUGGACCACAGUGUGGUCUAAGCCUGAUAAUAUAUGUACUUAUAUUGUUAGUGCAGGUAGUGGUGUUUGUGGAUAUAAUAGCUUAUGCACUUUGGAAGUUGAUAAGAGACCGAAAUGUCAGUGUCCAAAACGAUACUCGCUGGUUGAUCCUGAAGAUCCAUUUGGUAGCUGCAAGCCAGACUUCAUACAAGGAUGUGCAGAAGAUGAACCAAGUAAAAACAGAAAUGAUCUCUAUGAGUUUGAGACUAUGACUGACAUUGAUUGGCCUUACUCAGAUUUUGUGCUUCAAAAGCCUUUUAAUGAAAAACAAUGUAAGGAAUCUUGUAUGGAAGAUUGCAUGUGUUAUGUGGCUAUUUUCAGGUACGGUGAUAGUUGUUGGAAGAAGAGGUUACCACUUUCAAAUGGGAGAGUUGAUGCAACUCUUAAUGAUGCUAAGGCUUUCUUGAAAGUGAGAAAAGAUAAUACAUCCCUUGUUCCUCUAAAUCCAACCAUUGUGAACAAGACUAAUAAUAGGGAAACGUUGGUUUUGGCUGGUUCUGUGCUUUUGGGUAGUUCUGCUGUUCUCAAUGCUGUAUUGAUUGUAGCUAUCUGUAUCAGCACCUCCCUCAUUUUUAAGUACAAGAAGAAGCUUAGAAGAGUUAGCAAAAGUGACGCUAGUUUUGAAAUUGAAUCCCAUUUGCGUUGCUUCACUUAUGCAGAGCUUGAAGAAGCUACUAAUGGAUUCGACAAAGAGCUAGGAAGGGGAGCUUUUGGUAUUGUUUAUGAAGGAGUCGUCAACAACAACACCGCUUCCAAAGCUCGUGUGGCAGUAAAAAAGUUGAACAGUUUUAUGUUGGAUCAAGCUCAUAAGGAAUUUAGGAAUGAACUGAAUGCCAUUGGUCUCACUCAUCACAAGAACUUGGUUCGUUUACUUGGAUUUUGUGAGAGUGGAAGUGAAAGACUGCUUGUUUAUGAGUACAUGAGCAAUAGCACUUUGGCAAGUUUUCUUUUCAAUGAAGAAAAACAGAAGCCAAAUUGGAAACUAAGGCUAGAACUUGCAAUAGGAAUAGCUAGAGGACUUGUGUAUUUACAUGAAGAGUGCAUCACUAGGAUCAUUCAUUGUGACAUAAAGCCUCAAAACAUACUCCUUGAUGAUUACUUCAAUGCAAGAAUUUCUGAUUUUGGAUUAGCAAAGUUGUUGAACAUGAAUCAAAGCAAAACCAACACCGGCAUAAGAGGAAUAAAAGGGUAUGUUGCACUUGAAUGGUUUAAAAACAUGCCUAUCACAGCUAAGGUGGAUGUGUAUAGUUAUGGUGUAGUGCUACUUGAGAUAAUUUCAUGUAGAAAAUGUGUUGAAGAAAUGGAUGAAGAAGAUGAAGACAAAGCAAUUUUAACUGAUUGGGCUUAUGAUUGCUACAAUGAUGGUGCUUUAGAUGCAUUGGUUGAGGGUGACAAUGAAGCAUUGGAGGACAAGGAAAAUUUGGAGAAAUUGGUAAUGAUUGCUCUUUGGUGUGUUCAAGAGGAUCCAUGUCUUAGACCAACCAUGAGAAAUGUGGUACAUAUGCUUGAAGGUACUGUUGAAGUGCAAGUUCCACCAUACCCCUCACCAAUUAGUAUUCAAUAUUCUCUAAAUUAAUAAGUUGGGAAGCAAAGAUUGGCAACUUGUGCUAAUACUUGCGCUCUUUUUAAGUGUACCGUGUAAUAUUUGCAUUUAUGUUUGUGUUCAAGAUGUGAUUUCCAUAUUAAGGUAGGUCCCAAUAUAGAAUAAAAAUAUUUAAUUUUUAGGUUAUGCUAGGCAUUUGUUAAAGAUUCAAAAAGGAAUUAAUUAUUAAAUUUUAUGUGAAAAAAGUUGUUUUUUAAUCUUUUAAUAAGUUGAAUACACAAUUUUUAAGAUAAAGUUGCUACUUUAAACUUAUUAUCCAGUGUCUUAGAGCAUCCGUUAGCAUUUCCCUUAAUUUUAUUAUAAAAUAAUUAUAAAGUAAUGUUCAUUAUAAAGUAUUAGUGAAAUAUUUGAAAUGUAAUUUCUUAUUUUGAAACUUUAUGUAUAAUAUUCAUUGUUUUAAGGAUGUAUAAUAUUCAUUUUUUAUAGUCUCCUUUAUUUGCAAAUGUUAUACGUCACUCAACUUAUACUACACAACUUAACAACAAUAAAAAUAUUGUGAGAAUCGGUUUUUCCAUCUCUCUGAAAACGACUGUCAUGUAAGCACUCGAAUCUAUGCUUAUUUUCAACUCCUUGAGUUAAAAAAUGAAUGACCAAAAUAAAUAUUAUGUACCUUCAAAAUAAAAAUAUUAUGUAAAAAGUAAAGGGAAAAAAAUAUAUUUUACACAAACUCCAAAAAAAUGCCAGCCCGAGUAACUCAAAUCACCGGGAGCACUCAUGAUUUCAUCAAUUAAAAGCGGGUAUAAUAUCAAUCAUUGAUUUGUGAUUAAACAAAUCAAUGGUUGAUAUUAUAGACACAUAUAUAGGAGCAAAUAUUGACUAGUUAUAAGUUGUUAUAAUAUUAAUCUUUAAUUUUUUUUUACUUUACAAAUUACUCAAUUCAUAGGUCCCUAAAAUAUACCGUGUUCUCUCAUUUAUUUUGCUUAGUUAGAUAUUAAUUUGAGACGGUUAUGGUGGAACCAUGGAGGUAUUAUCUUUUCUCAUUUUCAAGAAAGCCUUAGCACCAUUAAGAGUUGCAUCAACUCUCCCAUUUGAGAGUGGUAAAGUUAAAUUCUGGCUUGCAGCUGCCAGAUGGAUCACCAAGAAUAUUUUUGCUAUGUUUCAACUUUUACUUUAAACUAUCUUAGUUUAUAGUCUUACAGGGUUCAAAUUUGAUGCAAUCACACAUUAGUAGAGUAAUAAUGUGCUGAUUCCACUUUGCCAUUCUAGUGAAAUUAAGAAACAAAGGUUUUUUUUUUUUUUUACAAAAUUUUAAGAAACAAAUAUUGAGAAACAAUUAACUACUCCUAGCUAGCUUGUACAUCAAGCUACUUCUAUUUCCUUCUCAACCUUACAGUUAAUUAGUGCGUUGCCAAGAAAAUAGAAUGCAACUAAUCUGCAAGGUUUAAUUCAAGGAAAAGAGGGGGAGCUCAUCUUAAGACAAUGGGUUUAUGGGGGAGCUCAUCUUAAGACAAUGGGUUUAUGAGUCCUCUUACUUAUAAGGUGUUCAACAUUUACUAUUUCAUCCGAUGUGGAACAUAUAUAACUCACACUUUCAAUCCAUUGCUGCUUUCUACGCAAACGGACCGGCUGCCUUGGUCCUACCUUUUGUCGAACGGGGCUCUGAUACCACUGUUGGGUCACUGAGGGGGAGCUCGGGGGACCGUCCACAUCGAGGCUAGAACAACCACACAAGAUAGAGAGACGCCAUACCACUGUUGGGUCACUGAGGGGGAGCUCGGGGGACCGUCCACAUCGAGGCUAAUGGAUUUAUGGGUCCUCAACACUCCCCUAAAGUGUGAGUCCAUCAAUUCAUCGAGCUCCCCCUCAAGCGGAAGCUCUUACUUGCUUUGUAUCGCCGUUGCUGGUUUCUCCUCAAACGGACCGACACUUUCUACGCAAACGGACCGGCUGCCUUGGUCCUACCCUUUGUCGAACGAGGCUCUGAUACCACUGUUGGGUCACUGAGAGGGAGCUCGGAGGACCGUCCACAUCGAGGCUAGAACAACCACACAAGCAAGAGAGAUGCCACACUCUUACCCAAAACCUUAAGGCAAUGGGUUUAUGGGUCCUUUUACUUAUAAAGUGUUCAACCUUUACUAUUUUAUCCGAUGUGGGACAUAUAACUCACACUUGUACACAACAACAAAUAUCAUUGAGCAUUUGUCUAUUUAAUUUAUGUCACGUCAGAUUAUACAGUGUAUUGCACAUCUGUCCAUAAGGUGUGUCAUUAUAUCUUUACUUAUUGCAAUUGUGUCCCUGAUUAAAUCAAAAUUAAACUUAGAUUCCCAUUUAUGCACUAAGAUUGAAAUUCCCUUAAUAUUUUGUAUGAUGAUUGAUUUGUAAUAAGGUAAAGUUUAGUUUUAGAGUGGUCCACCAGCAAGACACUUGUUGACAUGACAUCAGCAAUUCUACUAUUGGCUAAACAAAAUAAUUUUUUUAAAAAAGUCAAUUUUCUGACUGCACUGUAAAAGUCUCCUUAAUUCAAUUGAUAAAUAUCGAUAUUAUUAGACUAGAUAUUUUGACCCUAGUUCGAACCCGUAACUUUGAAGUUUCGUACGGGUUUCAUCGUUGAUUGACACUUCUACAUACCAAACAAAAAUUAGCAUGCAACUAGACCCCACAACCAUACAAUUUUCUUAAAUUUCAAUUUUACUCCCAUAUUUUUAAUUAAAAUAAAAAAAAUCUCUGGAAUUUUUUAAAAAUUUCUUUCAAGUGUUUUAAAAUUACGAGAAAUAGUUAUGACACUACCUCACAUCAAGAUUAUUUAGUCACAUUACUUGAUAUAUAUAAUUUCUCUUUUAAAUUUUAUUAAUCAUGGUGUACGCCUAAAUAAAUUUUAUUUGAGGUUAUGUCUAUGGAGAAAUGGAGAGGAUACAAAAUGAAGAAGAUCUUGACUCUCUAAAAUUACACUAUCUCUUGUAUUAAACCCUCCUCCUCUACUUCUCUUCCUUGACCAUUCUCAUUGGGUUCUUAGCAGUUCACAAAAACAGAAUGGUCGCAUAUUUCUAUAGAGGUUGUAUGUGUUAAAGGGAAGGAAAGUGUAUCAUACGUUUGUUAUUUCCAAAGUAUAACGAGACUUGUGCGUUGAUUUAGUAUGAGUUGACCAAAGUCUACACAAAGAAUAUUCAACACAUAGAAAGACUAGUAGUGGUGACUUUCGUGCUUUAAAUUUGAUGGACACAAAAAAUAUCUAUUUACUAUCAAAAUUAUAUGGACCAAAUUGAUUCAGAAUCUAGCUAGACUUCAUCUCCACUUCCCUUUCUAGUCUAUUCACCCAUAUAUUGUGGCUCAAUGAGGUGAUGUGGCAAAAAAUCUAGGUUUUAGUUUUAGACCUAAGAGAAGUGAUGUGGGAAACCAUUUAUUAACAUGGCAUAUGACUUGCUUUUGAAAAAUCAUUUACAAAUUAACCAAGUACUUAUGGUCAAAUGAUAAAUGAAUAGAAUAAUUCUUGUUCAGGUUAUACUUAUCUCACGAUCAAAAUCUGAAUUACCAGAAUCCUCGUCUCAUGAGAACUGUUAAUACCAAAAAAGGAAUCAUUCAGAUGAAUUUCUAUCAGCUAGGUUUUAUGAUACAUCAAUAUUUUUUUGUUUUCAUAUAACCCCUUUUGAAUCUAUAUAACUUAGCUAAGUAUCAAAAAACUGGAUUUUGAAAAGGGAAAACCAAUUUAGAAAAUGUGAUAAUAGGAGAACAAAACUAUAAUUAAACUUACUCUAUUGUCGGCAAAUGACAUUUCUCUAGUAUAUCUAAUAGAACAAUAAAAGUAUAGUUCAUAUUUUACCCUGCUCGAGGGUGGCGGUUGGGAGACUUUCAAGUUUCCUAGUGACACCUUGUUGCCUUCUCAGGUUCUUCAAAAAGAUGGAAAGCUUUCUUCAAGGCUAAGGGAGUCAAAUUUCAGUGAAGGAAGGUUUGAGCUUCUUUUAGAAGAUACUGGUGAUCUUGUUAUGUAUUCUAUUAAUUUACCAUCUGAUUAUGCUAAUGAAGUCUACUAUGAAAGUAAAACUGUUGGAUCCAAUACUUCAAGUGCUGCAACUCUACUGGUCUUUGACAGAUCAGGAGACUUGUAUCUCUUGAGAGAGAACAAUGGUAAAUUCUAUAUGUCAGGAGAAGAUGGGCCGGGCAGAAGAUGAAGAGAGUAAAGUCUCCACAACUGAUUUUUAUCUUAGAGCAACAAUUAAUUUUGAUGGAGUGUUUUCACUUUUCAAGCAUCCGAAGAAUUCAACUGAUAUUGGAAAUUGGACUACAGUGUGGUCUCAUCCUCGAAAUAUAUGUCAUUAUUUUGUUACUGAAGGUAGUGGUGUUUGUGGAUAUAAUAGCAUAUGCACUUUGGGAGAUGAUACGAGACCAGCAUUUCGGUGUCCAGAUAGUUACUCACUAGUUGAUCCUGACUAUCCUUAUGGUAGCUGCAAGCCAGAUUUCGUACAAGGAUGUGCAGAAGAUGAACUAUGUAAAACAAAGGAUCUAUAUGAGUUUCAGAUUUUGAUCAGAUGCCGUGCUUCUAGAGCCUUUUACUGAAGAACGAUGCAUGAAAGCUUGCAUGGAAGAUUGUUUGUGUUCUGUGGCUAUUUUCAGGGACGGUAGUAGUUGUUUUAAAAAGAAGUUACCACUCUCAAAUGGGAGAGUUGAUGCAACACUUGAUGGUGCUAAGGCCUUCUUAAAAGUGAGAAAAGAUAACGCCUCCACUCUCAAAUGGAAGAUUGUUUUGUGUUCUAGAGGUUUACUGUGAAAAAGGGAAGAAAAGAGUGUCAUACGUUUGUUAUCUCCCAAAGUCUACAUAGAACAUUCAAACAUAGAAAAACCAGUAGAGACUUACGUGCUUUAAUUUUGAUAGACACAAAAUAUCUAUUUACUACCAAAAUCAUAUGGACCAAAUUGAUUCAGAAGGCUUCCUCUCUAAUUUCCUUUCUCCUCUAAUCACUGAUUCUUCAAUUUAUCUUUGUUGUGUAGCUCAGUGAGGUGAUGUGGCAAAAAAUUUAGGGUUUUAACCUAAAAGAAGUCGUGUUGGAAAAAAACUAUACUGUGGCAUCAAACUUGAUCCAGGUUGGUCCAAGUCUACAAAAAGAUUAUUCAAAUGAUAGCAAGACUAAUGAAUAAGUGCUGGAAAAUUUAUGGAAACAAACAAUAGCUACAAUACUAUAAAAAAAAGGUUUAUUGAUGUGUUUAGCCCUUGCAAUUAAGCGGCAUUUAAAAAUUCGUCCAUGUAAUUGCUAAUCCUGGCAUUUUAACCCUGCAAUUGUUAAUCGUUUAAAAUUUGGUCCUUGGACCAAAUUAAUCACUGCCACGUCACUAAUUUGAUGACGUGGCAAUCACUGUCACACAUAAAAUUCCAAUUUUGACCUUAAGAAGAGGACAAAAUAUUGAAGAAAGAAUUGGAAACACAGGGGUAAAUUUGGAAUUUCAUGUGGCGUGGCAGUGAUUAAGUGGGGAGAGGGACGAAAUUUUAAAUGAUUAACAAUUGCAGGGUUAAAAUGCCAGGAUUAGCAAUUACAGGGACGAGUUUUUAAAUGCCGCCUAAUUGCAAGAGCUAAACACAUCAAUAAGCCUAAAAAAAACUAUAUGGAUGAAAUUGAUUACAAAAUCUAAACAUCGCUUCCUCUCUACUCCUUUCCUUUUCUCCUAUACUCGCUGAUUCUUCAAUCCAUCGGUGUUGUAGCUCAAACCAAUAGUACUAUAGCCAUUGGUGAUUCUUUUACUGCUGACACCAGCAACUCUACAUGGUUACUUUCACCUUCUGGUGACUUUGCCUUUGGUUUUCUUCCAAUACAAGACACUGACCUUUUUUUGCUUUCCAUUUGGUAUGCAAAAAUUCCUGAAAAAACUGUUGUGUGGUAUGCUAAUAGAGAAAUUCCUGCACCAAAAGGUUCAAAAGUGGAACUCAAUGCCGAUGAUGGGUUGGUGCUAUAACUUCUCCAAAUGGUGUCGGGUUAUGGAAUACUACUGAGGUACUUAGUGCUAAAGUUUCUCGUGGUGUGUUCAACGAUACUGGUAACUUUGUGCUCGAGGGUGCUAGUUGAGAAACUUUCAAGUUUCCUAGGGAAACCUUGUUGCCUUCUCAGUUUCUUCAAAAAGGUCAAAAGCUUUCUUCAAGGCUUAAGGAGUCAAAUUUCAGUAAAGGAAGGUUUGAGCUUCUUUUACAAGAUGAUGGUAAUCUUGUUAUGCAUUCUAUUAAUUUACCAUCUGGUUUUGCUAAUGAAAACUACUAUGAAAGUGAAACUGCGGGAACAGAUACAUCAAGUGCCGGAAUUCGACUGGUCUUUGACAGAUCAGGGGACCUGUAUGUCUUGAGAGAGAACAAUACGAAAUACAAUGUGUCAGAAGAAGAGAGUAAAGUCUCUACCACGCUUUAUUAUCUUAGAGCAACUCUUAAUUUUGAUGGUGUGUUCGCAGUUUACAAGCAUCCGAAGAAUUCAAUUGAUGGUGAAGGUUGGACCACUGUGUGGUCUAAGCCUGAUAAUAUAUGUACUUAUACUGUCAGUGCAGGUAGUGGUGUUUGUGGAUAUAAUAGCUUCUGCACUUUGGGAGUUGAUAAGUGACCAACAUGUCAGUGUCCAAAAAGUUACUCACUGGUUGAUGCCGAUGAUCCACUUGGUACUUGCGAGCCAAACUUCAUGCAAGGAUGUGCAGAAGAUGAACUAAGUAAAAACAGAAAUGAUCUCUAUGAGUUUGAGACUUUGAUUGACGUUGAUUGGUCUAUGUCAGAUUCUGUGCUUCAAAAGCCUUUUACUGAAGAUCAAUGUAUGAAAGUUUGUAUGGAAGAUUGCUAUUGUUCUGUGGCUAUUUUCAGGUUAGGUGAUAGUUGCUGGAAAAAGAAGUUACCACUCUCAAAUGGGAAAUAUGAUCCAACUCUUAAUGGUGCUAAGGCCUUCUUCAAAGUGAGAAAAGAACUGAACACAAAUAAUAAUAAUAAUAAUAAUAAUAAUAAUAAUAAUGAGUUAGGAUCCGUUGACACCUGGUGUCAACAAAUUCAUUGACACCAAAUCCUAACCAUUCUUUAUUUUGAUCUUAAUGGCUCCCAUUUAUUCACUUAAUUGUUAAUGUGGGGACUCUUCAAAGAAAAACAUAUCACACUCUCAUCAUCUUCCUCCUGAGGUCGGGUAUUCUUAUGGUUCGGGUUCUUCCACACACCCAAAUACCAAUUGAUCAUCCCUUUGUUUUCUUGUUUUCGAUUCCAUUCUCCAUCCAAAGUACAAUAAAACUCAUUUUUUUCCUUCACCCAAUUGUCUUUUAUGGGAAUGAAACAAAUCGCUAAAGCUAUUGCAAAGUCGAUUAAUGCAUGGUUGAUUUUUUUGCUUUCUAAUUCCAAUUGCUUACACCAUGUCAUGUAGGAUUUAUUGCCCUUUGCAAGAAACUCUAAUACAUCGUGACAAAAAAAUCCCCCUAUAUAAUUGAAAUUCAAAAUUACAAUUGAAAUUCAAUUUGGGACUAAAUUAAGUUUCAAAGGCUUAAUGUUGGUCCUUACUUCAUUCUUUAUUCUUGUGUGCUCAAUAACAAAAGACCGUCAGGGAAGACUUUCCGGGACAAGGAUUAAGCGGUUUGUUUUUAUUGGAGUAAUUUUUGGGAUUAAUUAAAUCAACAAAUUAUUAUCACGUGAUACACUCACAUAUAAAUCUUUAGUUUCCAUAUUUUCAACCAUUAGAUUAAUUAGAUUGAACGGUUAACAUUUGGUGUCAACGAAUUCGUUGACACCUGGUGUCGACGGAUCCUAACUCAAUAAUAAUAGACAAACUAUGGUCUUGUUUGGUUCUGUGCUUUUGGGUAGCUGUUGAAAUAUAUAUUAUUUCCUUUUAUUAUUAUUAUUCUAUUUUAAUGGUUGUUUAUUUUUCAUUUUUCAUUGGGAAAUGAUAGAUACAGUGACAAAUAACAACUUUAAAUAAUAGAGUAAUUUCUACAUGGCAUCAGAGCCCUCGAUUUUGGUGGCCUUGCUUCGGCAUAAACCUUAGCCUCCAUCACUAUGGCAUCUUUCGUUUUUUUUCUCUUCUGGAUUUGAUAUCCAGCAACAUUGUUCACCAAGUACUAUUCGCGCGUGCAAUGUUCAUCCACGUGGUACUGUUCACGUGCACUAUUCAUCGGAAAGAAGAAGGAAAAAAAAAACUCAAUUUCGUAGCUUACAGUUUGAGUCAGAUCAAAAAGUGAAAAUAAAAAAGGAUGAAUAAAUCUAAGACCAUUUAGGUAAGACAAUCUAAGAGAGAAGGUGUGACGACGGUGGUGAUGGGUAAGACAAUUUUCAACUAAUCAACCGAAGGUCGUGCACUCCAAGAUACUUCUGAUCAAGGGCAGCAGUCUUUCUCAAACUCACUUCCGUCCACUAAUGAACAAUUGUACAAGCUUCUUGAGUCUUAAACAACUUCUCAUAUGUUUUCUUUCGGUUCCAUUGCCCAAAAAGGCAAUUCUUUAGAGUCAGCCCUUCUUAGUGUCAAACUAAGUCGCACUUGGAUUGUUGAUUUAGGGGCUACCGAUCAUAUGACAGGAGAGUCUAGUAUGUUUUCUUCAUAUAGUCCUUGUGCAGGUAAUUUAAAAAUUAAGAUUGCCGAUGGUUCUCUUUUAGUCGUGGCAGGAAAAUGUUCUGUCAUUAUUUCUCCAUUAUUAACUCUUCAAGAUGUUUCACAUGUCCCAAAUUUAUCCUGUAGCCUGUCAGUAACCUGGAAUUAAAGGUGUCAAACUCAUUUUUUUGAUACUUAUUGUUUGUUUUGGGAUUCAAUCUCUGGGACAGUGUAAGCAGAAUGGAGGACUCUACUACAAGAAAUAGUUUGUUCAAAAUUUAAGGAUAUAUUUAUAAUUAAAUAUUUUACCUUCUUGAUUGAAAUAUUCUUCACCUGGAAAAAUGCAUGCAAUUAGACACCAUGACCCUAAUUACACUAUCUCUCGUGAGAGAUCCUAAUAUCACACUUAGCUCUCUUUUUAUGUUUAAAUAUAUACUCAAUCUUUUUCUUUUACAAGUAUCCUUUGGGUACAUAUUUUGUGUUUCUAUUUAAUUAUCGUUUUGAUAGUUUAAGAAUAUGAUUUAUCAAUUAUAUUAUUUUUAUAAUUACUAUUGCUUACAACUUUUCAAUUAAAUUAAUUAAUGUUAUAUGUUUGGAAAAUUCAAGUUUCAUUUUAAAACGAAUAUUGUUUUUUGAAACAAAAUGUUGUUACUUACGAUAAUGAAUCUAUAAUAAUGGAGCAAUAAAGAGUUGAAAUUCUAUAAUAAUGCUACAAAGUGUGAAUCUAGUAUUAGUUAAAGUCAUACUUGGAGCCUAAAUGUUGGUUAAAGGAGUUGAAGGGAAGUUAAGUUUUACUUAGGUGAAUAACAUUUUUUUUUAAGGAAGGUGAAGAACAAGUUUAAAGUUUGAUUAAUGUGAAAUUUUCUUUUGCUUUACUAUUAUUAAAAAAAUUGUGUAGAACAAUGAGACUAUUGAUAAUUGUUUGUCAUGGGAGAGAGAUGGAAUGUGUGUAAACAAAUAAGAAUAAUUGUUUGAAAGAUGAAGACUGUAUAACUUGCUUGUUAUGGGAGAAAAAUAAUAAUUUAUCGGUGAAUUAAAAUGAAGGUAUUAUUGAAAAAACGAUACAAUAAUUCACUUUCUUAAUUUGAGUGUGCUAUUAUAAAACAACACUUUAAAAAUGGAGGGAGUACAAUUUAGUUCAUUUAACAAUAUUGAUAGAGAAUAUUUUUAAAAAUAAAAUAAAAUAAAAUAUACUUCUAAAUUUUAAAUAAUUUUAAAAUAUAUGCUAAAUUAGUUAAAUUUACAAUACUAACCUUUCUAGUUUAAGUUUAUAAAAAUAGAAUGUAUUCAAGGUUGCAUAUUCUAGAGGUUUUAUGUGAAAAAGGGAAGAAAAGUGCAUCAUACAUUUGUUAUAUCUUCCAAGCUAUGAAGCUCUGAUACCUGACAUGAUACAUAUACGAUAUCGAUACGGGCAAAUUUUCAAAAUUUCCGAUACGAUAUGGCCUCGAUACGUUAUUAAAAAAUUAAAUUUAAAAUUAAUAGUAUAAGUGCACAAUGUAUAAUAACUAAAAAUGAUAAUAAAAAAACGUUCACAUUAAUGAAAAUGAUCAAAACAAGUGAUAAUUACAUAUUUUUUCAGCACAAAUUAGAUAGAAUACAACUAAGCAUCAUUAGUACCAUCCAAAGAGAACAUCAUAAGUACUAUAAAAAAAAAAUAACACCUUUGUCUAAUGUUGACUACUUAAUAUUUAACACUAAUUUAUAUCAAAAACAAACAAUUUUUUUCCCAAUUUGAGAGAAGAACCAAAGAAACAUGGCAUUAGAGCAAAGAGAAACAUAGUAGAAUUCAAUUGGUGGUAAUGGUUAGAAGAGGGAAUAGUUAUCGUUAUGUGGUGACGAGAAACCCUAUUUUUUUGGGUUAGAAGAGACAAUAUGUUUUUGAUAGCGCUGCCAAACUUAUAGUUUUAUUUCUAAUUAUUUUCUUUUUCUUUUUUUUUUAAAGGAAAUAUGUAAGACAGAGGUAUCGGUGUCGGAGUAUAAAUUAGCUGUGUCGGAGUACAAGUUAGCUGUAUCAGACACGUAUCGGUAAAUUUUUUUCGAAAAAAUAAAUAUUAAUUGCCCAAUACUUCUCCGAUACACGUAUCGGGACGUAUCAGUAUCAAUACGUGUCGGACAUGAUUCUUCACCAUUUUAAAAAUAUUGGGGCUUUAGAACUGCCAAGGUAUAGCGACUUGUGUGUUGGUUUAGUAUGAGUUGACCAAGUCUACGCAGAACAUUCAACAUAGAAAGACCAGUUGUAGUGACUUACGUGUUUUAAUUUUGAUGGACAAAUAAAUAUCUAUUACUAUCAAAAUUAUAUGGACCAGAUUGAUUAAGAAUCUAGAUAAAGGCUUCCUCUCUACUUUCCUUUCUCCUCUAAUCACUGAUUCUUCAAUUUAUCUUUGUUGUGGCAAAAAAAAUUAGGUUUUUGACCUAAAAGAAGUCGUGUGGCAAAAAAAAUAAAAAUGCGGCCUAAAACUUGAUGAUGUGGAAUCAUCGGAUGAACCGAUACUAUACAGGAUUUAUGACACGUCAAUAAAAGAUUGAAUUAUACAACCACAAAAUUCGAUCAUAUAAGAAUGAUUAUAAUUUUUUCUCUAUUUUGGCGUAGAUACAUUGGACUAUGAGGAUGGAGGGGAAAAAAAUGGAAGUUAUUAGAUGUUGCGAGUGCAUAGUAUGAUAGUAACAUGCUUCUCAAAUCCAACGUUUGGGGUUGAAAUCUAACAUAUUAGACCAACAAAAAUAGUUAUGGAGAUAAAAUUGAAAAUACAAAAUAGGUUAAGGGACCAAAUACGAAAUUUAGUCUAGAAAGACUAAAACUAUAAUUAAUUAGUCCUUAUCUUAUGUCAAGUAUAACUUGUUGCACUACUUUAUCUGAAUUCUGUUCUGGUUGCAUGAGUUGCAUGAUAUCCAAGAGAAUAACUUGUUGCACCAUUUCUAAGCUAUUGAUCUUCACAUGCUGUCAACAUGAUUUAAAUUAGUAUACCAUUUGGAUAACUGAAGAAAAACUUGACCACACUCAAUGUGAUUGAAGAAAGUGAAUCGCGGGCACGAUAAUAACAUUUGCAUCCUAAGUACUAAAAUUUCCAAUUGGAUUUACAUGUACAAUAUGAUGUAAAAGUUUCAGUUUUCAUUUUGAAAUUGACAAUGUAAUCUUUAAAGAAUAUUUUUCUCUUGAUGAAAUUCGACUUAGGGAAAGUGUUGUGCAUUGCGACUAGUCUAUUACUUGCACAAAGUAAUUGUUGCUUUUGCAGAAAUAAUUUAUUCUACAGUAAGUGUCGUUUUACUUUUUCAAUAUAUGAUUAUCAGAAUUAAUUUAUUUAUUUAUUUCAAUUUUAAUCUCGAAUUAAUAGCAGAAAAAAAAUAUGAUUAUCAGUUGCACCGGUAUAAUACACUUGCAUAUUUUUAUUCUAUAUUGCAGUUUACCUUAAUAUGGAAACCACAGUCACAGCCGUAUACACGGACACACUACUAGUCUUGAAGGUACAUAAAACUACAGGUUGAUACACACACAUAAAAGCAAAUAUUACAGUACACUUGCAACAACAUAAUAAGAAUUAGCACAAGCUGCCAAUCUUCCUUACAAAGUUAUUAAUUUAGAGAAUAUUCAAUACUAAUUGGUGAAGGGUGUAUGGUGGAACUUGCACUUCAACAGUACCUUCAAGCAGGGCCGUCUCUGAGAAUUCGGAGGCUCGGCUCUGGAAAUGAAAAGAGGCCAGUGAUAAAAUCAAAACAUAAUUUUUUUUAAAAGAGCAAUAUACUAUUUAUAUUUUUUAAAAGAUAAAUACAAGGUGCCGUAUAUAUGCGGUACACCUAGAGAUGAAAAUGACUACCGUAUACACGAGGAACCCUCACCUAACACCAAAAUCAAGAGGAACUAAUUCUAAUAAUCCUAAAAGAGGCCCAUCCUUGUGAGGGAAUGAAAUAAUCUUAGGGGGCCUAAGAGAUAUUAAGGGGGCCUAAAAAGAAACCACCAUUAUACUGGAUAUAAAAUAAAUAAAAAAUGAGGCCCAUCCUUGAGGGAGGCCCAGCUCGUUUGAGCUGUUUGCACCCCCUCAGAAACGCCCCUGCCUUCAAGCAUAUGUAUCACAUUUCUCAUGGUUGGUCUAAGAUAUGGAUCCUCUUGAACACACCAAAUAGCAAUCUUUACCAAUUUCUCCAAAUUUUCCUUGUCCUUCAAUGCCUCAUUGUCACCCUCAACCAAGGGAUCUAGAAUACCUUCUUUGUAGCAGUCAUAAGCCCAUUCAGUUAAGAUAGCUUUGUAUUCAUUUUCUUGAUCCAUUUCUUCAACACAUCUUCUACAUGAAAUUAUGUGAAAAAAAGAUGUUUUUUAAACUUUCAAUAAAUUGAAUACACAAUUUCUAAGAUAAAGUUGUUACUUUAAGCUUCUUAUCAAGUGCUCUUAGAUAGGUAGGGGAGCCAGUAAUUUUGAAUAGUGGAGGCACCAUUACACGAAAUUUGUUAGGAGGAAAAGUAUGCGUGUUUGAUUUUAUGGUUGCAUGAAACAAGGAGGAAGAGUUUUCAUUUUUCUCAUUGAGAAAGAGAUAAUCAUAGGUGGAUUUAAAAAUAAAAUCUCACAAAAAUGGAUGUGAUAUGAAUAUUGCUCCCACUUUUAAAUAUUUAUCCAUGUCAUCUCUCAACCGAUGUGAGACAUUUUAACAUAUAGUGAGACGGGGUGUAAUAAAAACUACUUAUUUUAACUUAAAAAUAAAUAAAUAUAUGAGAGAGUGUAACAUGAUUUGUUUGUGUGGAUAAAUUGCCGGCAAAAUAAAGUGAAUAAGUUGAGUGCAAAAUCUAUAUGGGGUAUAUUCCAAUUCAUAUAUUUAAUUUGCCUGCAAAAUCUAAUAGUGGUAUAUUACAAGUAUGGUGUGUGGCUCCGUCACUACUCUUAGGGCACUUAGUAGCAUUUUCCUUAAUUUUAUUAUAAAAUAAUUAUAAAGUAAUGUUCAUUAUAAAGUAUUAGGGUGUGUUUGUUUCAAGUUUAUCAAAUUUAUUCAUAGGAAUAACAUUCCUUGAAAUAUAAAGAUGGGAAUUUUAUUCGAAGGAAUUUAGAAAAAAUAUGUUUGGUUAUCUUUAUAAUAUUCCUAGGAAUCAUAAAAAUAGGGAUUAUAAUAGGUAAACUAUUUAUGAAUUUAUUCUCAUCUCCAUGGGAACUUUAUUCCCACCCUUUUCUUUGGAAAUUUUUUUCUAUUCCCAGGAACAUUUUAUACCCGGGAAUAAAAUUUAGUAAACUUGUAACAAACAUAGGCAUAUACAUUCCUAUCAUUUUAUUCCCGGGAAUCAACAAUUAUAACUUGAAACAAACGCACAGUGAAAUAUUUGAAAUGUAAUUUCUUAUUUUGAAACUUUAUGUUUAAUAUUCAUUUUUUCAAGGAUGUAUAAUAUUUUUUAUAGUCUCGUUUACUUGCAAAUGUUAUACCUCACUAAACUUAUACUACACAACUUUUUUUUUUUGAGAGGGUUAUACUACACAACUUAACAACAAUAAAAAUAUCGUGAGAAUCGGUUUUUCUAUCUCUGUAAAUUUAUGGACCCUAAUUCAAUUGAAAACGACUGUCAUGUAAGCACUCGGAUCUAUGCUUAUUUUCAUCUCCUCAAAUUAAAAAAUGAAUGACCAAAAUAAAUAUUAUGUAAAAAGUAAAGGAAAAUAUGCAUAUUUUACACAACUCCAAAAAAUACCAACCCGGGUAACUCAAAUCAUUGGGAGCACUCAUGAUCUCAUCAAUUAAAAACGGCUAAUAUCAAUCGUUGAUUAAAUAAAUCAAUAGUUGAUAUUAUGGACACAUGUAUAACAAUCUUGAGUAGUUUUUUUUUUUUUUUGAAGGAGCAACUCUUCUUUUUUUUUUUGAGAGCAAAAAGGAGCAACUCUUGAGUAGUUAUAAGUUGUUAUAAUAUUAAUUUUUAAUCUUUUUUUUUACUUUACAAAUUACUCAAUUCAUAGUUCCCUAAAAUAUACCGUGUUGUGUCAUUUAUUUUGCUUAGUUAGAUAUUAAAUUAACUUUAUCCAAAACAAAACAACAAUGGAAUAAGGUUUGUUCAUACAAAGACAUAACUUAUUUAGAGAACAAUUAAUACUAAUUUGAGACAGUUAUGGUGGAACCAUGGGAGGCAUUAUCUCUUCUCACUUUUAAGAAAGCCUUAGAACCAUUAACAGUUGUUGUGAAUUGGGACUCAAAUCUCACACCAAUAAAUAAUGAUGUGUGGAGUAAAGAAAAGUAGUAACCACAAUCAAAGCAAGCAAUCACAAGCAACAACAAUAAUAACAACACCUAGAUCUAAUCUAGAAAUUAAAGUGAAAAGCUCAAAACCACAAGCAUAAGAAAGCAAGAAAGAAAACAACAAACACACCAAAGAUUAGUAACCCAAUUCGGUCUAAUAUAACCUCCUCUGGAGGAGAGAGCACCUCUCCAAUCCACUAAGAUGAAAGUGAUACAAAUGAGUUACAAGAAAUUAGCAUAAGAGCUCACAAAGAACAAAACUUAAUUUCUACCCAUUUUUCAUGUCACUUACACUCUCAAUGAAUCCUAAGAGAAAGCACAAAAGGAAGCUUUUUGAUCUUUCCAAUGGUGAAAUCUCACUACCCAAGAUGUUUACAAUGUUUCCCAACUCAAGAGAACCCCACUACAAAGACACUCAACCCUAAAGUUCUCUCCUUUAUAGUCCCAAGUUUCUCUCUCUUCAAGCUCUCUUUCAAAAUCUGCAUAGAAACACUUAUAUAGUACUCUGCAGCUAUCAAAAUUGUGUCACGAUUGCCAAAUUCGUGUCACGAUUGAUGCAUACGACCCAAUGUACGACCAACCUUAUCUUGAAAACGUGUCAAACAUGCCAAAAAUCGUGUCACAAUUGAACAUCAAACAAAACCAUGCUCACGGUCUAGAAAAUCGUGACACGCCUACCAAAUCAUGUCACGAUUCUGAACUUUCUCAGAAUCACAAUUUCAAGGCAAUUUCAACAAGUUGCAUAAACUCUCCCGUUUGUGAGUGGUAAAGUUUAAUUCCGGCUUGCAGGUGCUAGAUGGAUCACCAAGAAUAUUUUGUUUUCAUUUAGUAAAGUUAAAUUCUAACUCAAAAGAAUCUCAGAAAAUCAAUGCUAAUGUGAGUAUUUGGAGAGACUAAAAACUUACUCGUACCGAAUCUAUGUAACCAAAUUCCUCUCUUUUUACUAUGUUUCAACUUUCUAAUUUUAACUAUCUUAGAUUAUAGUUUUACAGGGUUCAAAUUUGAUGCAAUCACAUUACUAGAGUAAUAAUGUGCUGAUUCCACUUUGCCAUUCGUAGUGAAAUUAAGAAACAAAGGUUUUUUUUUUUUUUUUUUUGACAAAAUUUUAAGAAACAGUUAAAACAACAUAUAUCCGUAAAAGGGACAAACCGGAAACCAAUGCGCCGUGAGCCAUCUUGCCUUCUUGCUGCCACUCCUGCUGCCUCUGGAUGUCGCCGUUCCAACGCUGCCAACAGCCGUCCAUCCCCUACACCACUGGCUAUCUUCACCACUUUGUCCUUUUAAACGACCAUAGAUUGGCAGCGAGAUGGUAGAAUGGGUCACAACGUUGGGGUUGCUGAUGUGGUGGUGUUUCUGACUCAGGUUGGGGAGCAUGCCCUAAUGCUACACGCUCCACAAUAUACAUCCCGAGAACAUCACCGCAUCCAGGUUGAUUCAAUGACUUGCACAACAAGCUUGAAAUACUUGACAUCUAUUUCCAGCUUGAAUUAGAAGUAGUUGAUGUACAAGUUAGCCUAGGAGUAGUUGCUAACUUACUGUUUCUCAAUACAGUUUUAGGAAUUAGUUAUAAUUAGAUAUAAGCUCGUGCGUUGCGCAAAUAUCUUGAAUGUUUUAGUUAUGGAAAAAAAAAAUUAGAGAAUAAAUAACUAUUCUAUUUAUAUAGUCAAGUUGUUGAUAUCAUAUGAAAUUGAAGAUAAGAAUAAGAAAUAUAUAUUGGCAUUAUUAAUUAAAAUAGUUGCAAGUAAAUCGUUGUACCUUGGUGUAAAUUGCCGAGAAAAUAGCAUGCAACUAGUCUGCAAGGAUUAUUAGACGGCAAAUUCUAUGGUAUAUCCAAUAAAUUUGGAUGUAUCGGUACACCAAUUCGUUAAAUUAAUAAUAAAUUAGUUAUUUUUUUGAAGAAAAAUAAUUAUUUUCUAUCAUUGACAACUAUAAUAAUUAAACUUUAUUUACCAAAAUCUUCGACGAAAUAAAAUUUAACUUUUACAAAUUUUUACUACUCAUAAUAAUAAAUAUUGAUUAUUUUUUAUGACAAAAUAUAAAUUUUUUAAUAUAAUCCUUAUAAACAAUGAAAUGAUGUUUUUUCUUAUGAUAUGACGUUUUCUAAAAUAUAAAUAUUGACAAAUAACUUUUUAUUUCAUAAAAAUGAUCGUUAAUUUAUAAGUUUUGUGAAACAAGAGUAUCGGUACACUAAAAUUUCUGAGUAUACCGUAGAAGUUCCCUUAUUAGACUAGAUAUUUUGACCCUAGUUUGAACCCGUAACUUUGUAAUUUUGUACGAGUUUCAUCCUUGAUUUACACUUCUGCAUACCAAAAAAAAAUUAGUAAAUUACGAGAAAUAAUUAUGACACUACCUCAAAUCAAGAGUAUUUAAGCAUACACACAUAAAUGAUAAAAUUUAAAAGAGAAAUAAUUUAGUCACAUCACUUAAUAAAAUUUCUCUUUUAAAUUUUAUCAAUCAUGGGUGUACGCCUAAAUAAAUUUUAUUUAGGGUUGUGUCUAUAUAUGAGUUGCUCUAAAAUUACACUAUCUCUUAUAUUACACCCUCCUCCUCUACUUCCCUUCCUUGACCAUUCUCAUUGGGUUCUUAGCAAUUCACAAAAAUAGAAUUGUCUGCAAGGCUAAUGCAGGGUUGCAUAUUUCUAUAGAGGUUUUAUGUGAUAAAGGGAAAGAAAGUGUACCAUACGUUUGUUAUUUCCAAUUUCCAAAGUAUAACGACUUGUGUGUUGGUUAAUUGGUUUAGUUGACCAAAGUCUACGCAAAGAAUAUUCAACACAUAGAAAGACUUGUAGGAGGGACUUACGUGCUUUAAAUUUGAUGGACACAAAAAUAUCUAUUUACUAUCAAAAUUAUAUGGACCAAAUUGAUUCAGAGUCUAGACAAACUUCAUCUCAUCUAUGUUGUAGCUCAAUGAGGUGAUGUGGCAAAAAAAUCUAGGUUUUAGUUUUAGACCUAAAAGAAGUGAUAUGGCAAACCAUUUAUUAACAUGGCAUAUAACGUUACUUUUGUAAAAUCAUUUAGAUAAAUUAACCAAGUAAUAUCCAGAAGUUCUAGCUCAACUGGCAAAAUGCCGAAAUUGUUAGGCCGGAUGCCAUGACUGGGUUCGAAACCCGGUGCCUCCACUUGUGUGUGUGAGUUUUAUAAUGGCUUUGUCAUUUCGUCUAUCUACCAAAAAAAAAAAAAAAUUAACCAAGUAAUUAUGGUCAAAUGAUUUUGAUCAGACUAUACUUAUCUCACGAUCAAAAUCGAAAUUACCAAAAUUCUCGUCUCAUGAAAAUCAGAGAGUUGACACCAAACAAAGAAUCAUUCAAAUGAACCUCUACUAUGUAGGUCUUAUGAUACAUCAAUAUUUUGUUUGUUUUCAUAAUUCCACUUUUGAAUCUAUAUAUCUUAGCUAAGGAUCCAAAAACUGGAUUUUGAAAAGGGAAAACCAAUUUAGAAGAACAAAAAUAUAGUUCAUAUUUUUAACCAUGCAAAGUCCACUUUAAAAGAACACAAAUCCUUUGUUGAGAUUGUAAAUUAUUUUCAUUUUUAUUUUUAUCAAAAAUGGAAGUAUAUCAUACGUCUGUUAUAUCCAGAUGGUUAAACCAACUUAUGACUUAUGAGUUGACCAGGUCCAAGUCUACACAAAGAUUAUUCAGCAGAGUAAUGACUAAGUGAUGAAAUUUUUAUGGACAAAAACAAUUGCUAUUUUCUAUAAAAAUCAUAUGAAUAAAAUUGAGAUAGAAUCUAAACAUGGCUUCCACUCUACUGCUUCCCUUUCUUCUCUUGUCACUGAUUCUUCAAUCCAUCCAUGUUCUAGCUCAAACCAAAAACACUAUAGCCAUUGGUGAUUCUUUUACUGCUGAAACAAGCAACUCUACAUGGUUGCUUUCCCCUUCUGGUGACUUUGCCUUUGGUUUUCUUCCAAUUCAAGACACUGACCUUUUUUUGCUUUCCAUUUGGUAUGCAAAAAUUCCUGACAAAACUGUUGUGUGGUAUGCUAAUAGAGAAAGUCCUGCACCAGAAGGAUCAAAAGUGGAACUCAAUGCCGAUGAUGGGUUGGUGCUAACUUCUCCAAAUGGUGUCGGGUUAUGGAAUACUACUGAGGUACUUAGUGCUAAAGUUUCUCGUGGUGUGUUCAACGAUACUGGUAACUUUGUGCUCGAGGGUGGUGGUUGGGAGACUUUCAAGUAUCCUAGUGACACCUUGUUGCCAUCUCAAUUUCUUCAAAAAGGUGGAAAGCUUUCUUCAAGGCUUAAGCAGUCAAAUUUUAGUAAAGGAAGGUUUGAGCUUCUUUUACAAGAAAAUGGUGAUCUUGUUAUGCAUUCUAUUAAUUUACCAUCUGGUAAUGCUAAUGAAAACUACUAUGAAAGUGGAACUGUGGAAUCCAAUACUUCAAGUGCUGGAACUCAAUUGGUCUUUGACAGAUCAGGGUACUUGUAUGUCUUGGGAGAGAACAAUGAGAAAUACAAUGUGUCAGAGCAAGAGAGUAAAGUCUCUACCACUGAAUUUUAUGUUAGGGCAACUCUUAAUUUUGAUGGAGUGUUCACACUUUACAAGUAUCCCAAGAAUUCAACUGAGAGUGAUGUUUGGACCAUAGUGUGGUCUAAACCUGAUAAUAUAUGUAAUUAUAUUGCUAAUGAAGGGAGUGGUGUUUGUGGAUAUAAUAGCUUCUGCACUUUGGGAGUUGAUAAGAGACCAACAUGUCAGUGUCCAAAACGAUACUCACUGGUUGAUCCUGAUGAUCCACUUGGUAGCUGCAAGCCAGACUUCAUACAAGGAUGUGCAGAAGAUGAACUAAGUAAAAACAGAAAUGAUCUCUAUGAGUUUGAGACUUUGACUGACAUUGAUUGGCCUAUGUCAGAUUCUGUGCUUCAAAAGCCUUUUACUGAAGAUCAAUGUAUGAAAGCUUGUAUGGAAGAUUGCUUUUGUUCUGUGGCUAUUUUCAGGUUAGGUGAUAGUUGCUGGAAAAAGAAGUUACCACUCUCAAAUGGGAAAUAUGAUCCAACUCUUGAUGGUGCUAAGGCCUUUUUGAAAGUUAGAAUACAUAAUACCUCCAUUGCUAUCUUUCCUCCAAAUUCAAAUUCAACAAUUGUGAACAAGAUCAAUAAUAGAGAAACUUGGGUUUUGGUUGGUUCUGUGCUUUUGGGUAGCUCUACUAUUCUCAAUGUUGUAUUCAUUGUAGCAAUAUGUGUUUGUACCUCCUUCAUUUUUCAGUACAAGAAGAAGCUUAGAAGAGUUAGCAAAAGUGACACUUCUGUUGAAACCAAUUUGCGUUGCUUCACUUAUGAAGAGCUUGAAGAAGCUACCAAUGGAUUUGACAAAGAGCUAGGAAGGGGAGCUUUUGGAAUAGUUUACGAAGGAGUCAUCAACAACAACACAACUUGCAAAACUCGCGUGGCAGUGAAGAAGUUGAACAGUUUUCUGUUGGAUCAAGCUCAUCGGGAAUUCAGGAAUGAGCUGAAUGUCAUUGGUCUCACUCAUCACAAGAACUUGGUUCGUUUACUUGGAUUUUGCGGGAGUGGAAGUGAAAGAUUGCUUGUUUAUGAGUACAUGAGCAAUAGCACUUUGGCAAGUUUUCUUUUCAAUGAAGAAAAACAGAAGCCAAAUUGGAAACUAAGGCUAGAACUUGCAAUAGGAAUAGCUAGAGGACUUGUGUAUUUACAUGAAGAGUGCAUCACUAGGAUUAUCCAUUGUGACAUAAAGCCUCAAAACAUACUCCUGGAUGAUUAUUUCAAUGCAAGAAUUUCUGAUUUUGGAUUAGCCAAGUUGUUGAACAUGAAUCAAAGCAAAACCAACACUGGCAUAAGAGGAACAAAAGGGUAUGUUGCACUUGAAUGGUUUAAAAACAUGCCUAUCACAGCUAAGGUGGAUGUGUAUAGUUAUGGUGUAGUGCUACUUGAGAUAAUUUCAUGUAGAAAAUGUGUUGAAGAAAUGGAUGAAGAAGAUGAAGACAAAGCAAUUUUAACUGAUUGGGCUUAUGAUUGCUACAAAGAUGGUGCUUUAUGUGCAUUGGUUGAGGGUGACAAUGAAGCAUUGGAGGACAAGGAAAAUUUGGAGAAAUUGGUAAUGAUUGCUCUUUGGUGUGUUCAAGAGGAUCCAUAUCUUAGACCAAACAUGAGAGAUGUGGUACAUAUGCUUGAAGGUACUGUUGAAGUGCAAGUUCCACCAUACCCCUCACAAAUUAGUAUUCAAUAUUCUCUAAAUUAAUAAGUCUGUAAGCUAAGAUUGGCAACUUGUGCUAAUACUUGUUGUGCUCUUUUCUAAGAUUGACAACUUGUGCUGAUACUUGUUGUGCUCUUUUAAGUGUACCGUAAUAUUUGCAUUUAUUUUUGUGUAUCAAGAUGUUGUUUCCAUAUUAUGGUAGGUUCCAAUAUUAGUUCAUCUCCACGUACCCCUCAAUCAUAUGUUGUUCAUCUCCACGUACCACACACUAUGCAGUUGUCCUUCGGAUUAUUCAAUAUAUCAAGGGUACCUUAUUUUAUGAUCUUCAUUACUCAACUACAUCCUUAUUAAUUAUUAGAGCCUACUCUAAUGUCGAUUGGGCCGGUGAUCCUAGUGAUCAGUGUUCCACCACUGAUUUUUGCAUUUUUUUUCUUGGAGAUUGUCUUAUAUCUUGGUGUAGCAAGAUACAAGCUUUGGUGGCUCGCUAUAGGACUGAAGUUGAAUAUCGUGUUCUUGUUGAUACUACUUUUGAGAUAUCGUGGCUUCGUUGGCUUCUUGCUGAUUUAGAGACAUCAUAGUCUUCACCUAUAUUGUGACAAUCAUAGUGCCAUUCAAAUUGCUCACAAUGAUGUUUUCCAUGAGCGAACCAAACAUAUUGAAAUUGAUUUCUACUUCAUUUGUCAACAUUUCCUUUGUGGUGAACUUCUUAUCUCCAUUGGCAUUCUUGACCAGCCGGCUGAUUUGUUCACGAAACCCCAUUCUCCAGGACGUUUCCGCACUUUAGUUUUCAAACUCAAGUUAGAUGUUAAGAUAUAUUAUGAUUCUCUAUUUAUUGUAAUUAUGCUAGGCGUAAUCAAUAUUUAUGUGUAACAUUUUUCUUGAAGAAGCUAAAUAGCCCACCUAAAUUGACGCCGAAGAGAAUCGAACCUGAGACCUUGCAGAGGAGCACACUCCCAAGACCCAAACCAAUACCACCAGACCAACCCAAAUGGGUUUAAUAUUUAUGUGUAAUUAUUUUUUGUUUUUCUUUGUUUCCAGUCCUAUAAUAUAAAUAGGACCACCUACUUGUACUUGAGACAUACAAUGGAUAUACUAACAUUUCUCAUAUCUUCCUAAGUUUCUACAAAUGGUUGAUAUUAUAGACACAUGGAGCAAAUCUUGAGUAGUUAUAAGUUGUUUGUUACUGUUGAGACAUUGAGAUUUCAGAUGUACACAAUAGUAUUUUGUGAUAUUUUAUGUUUUCUUUUAUUUUAAUGUAGUAGUUGAAGUUACCUCUGCAGAAGUAUGGUGACCCAUACUUGUUAGAGUGUUUAAGACUUUGUAAUCUUGGUUAGGUGACAGACUACUAUGCUGUCCUGCUGUUCACUUUUUCUGUUUUUUCUAUAUAUUGUAUCAGAAACUUUAUUUUGAUGCAGAAUGAAAUUAUCUUCAAGUUUCUGAAAUAACUUUUAGUUCUUACAAAUGGUAUCAGAGCUUCUUUCUUCUUAAAGGGCCUGUGAUUAAAAACCCUUGCUUUCUUGACACCCAACCAUUUUUCUUGAUGGCUUUAAACAAUAUUACCCUUCCAGCACCUCCUGUAUUUACAGGAAAGAAAUAUGAAAUCUGGUCUGUGAAGAUGAAGACUCAUUUGAGGGCAUAUGAUCUUUGGGAAGUGGUGGAAACAGCUGCUGAACCACCACCUUUGCAAGAAAAUCCAACUGUUGCUCAAAUGAGAUACCACAGUGAGCAAGUUGCCAAGAGAGCUAAGGCUCUUACCAUCCUUCACUCUGCUGUGAAUGAUGAUGUUUUCAUGAGAAUCUCACACUUAGAGACAGCAAAACAAGUUUGGGAAAAGCUAGAAGAAGAGUUUUUUGGGAAUGAAAGAACCAAGCAGAUGCAGGUUCUAAAUCUCAAAAGAGAGUUUGAAGCCUUAAAGAUGAAUGAGGCUGAAAACAUAAAUGAUUUCAUGACGAAAGUUAUGAAAGUUGUGAAUCAAAUUAGAUUGUUGGGAGAACAAUUUCUUGAUAGCAGAAUUGUAGAAAAAGUCUUGGUGGUUUUACCUGAAAGAUUCGAAUCAAAGAUUUUUGCACUUGAAGAAUCAAAAGAUCUUUCCAAGAUAACCUUAACAGAGCUUAUAAAUGCUCUUCAAGCUCAAGAGCAGAGAAGACUUUUGAGACAAGAGGAAGCAUCAGAAACAGCUUUACAAGUCAAACACAAAGGAAAAUCCAUAGCAACCAAAGGUGAAAAGAAAUUUGUUGGAGAGCACUCUGGGAAAGAUACAAAGAAGAAGGAAAGAUUUCCAAAAUGUGGAAUUUGCAAAAGAACCAGCCACAAGGAAAGUGAUUGUUGGUACAAAGGAAAAACACCACCACCAUUUCAAUGUAGAUACUGCAAUAAAACUGGGCAUAUUGAGAGGUUUUGUAGGCUGAAACAGCAGCACCAAAAUCAACAAAAUCAUACUUCUCAAAAGGCAAAUGUAACUGAAAUUGAAGAUAGUGAAGAACUCUUGUUCAUGGCCAAUACUACAAGGAGUUCGGAGGAUGGAGACACAUGGUUUAUUGAUAGUGGCUGCACACAACACAUGACUAGCAAACCAGAACUGUUUUCAGAGAUCAAACCCGCUGCAGGAUCUGUAAAGAUUGGAAAUGGACAGAAAGUUGCCAUCACAGGUAGAGGAACGGUGAAAAUUCACACUGCAACAGGUAUUAAAUACAUUUCUGAUGUACUUUUAGUUCCUGAACUUGAUCAAAACCUGUUGAGUGUGGGCCAAAUGAUUGAAAAAGGUUAUUGUUUGUUAUUUAAAGAAGGAAGUUGUGUGGUUACUGAUGUUAAUGGUCAUGAAUUAUUUGAAGUAAAUAUGAGAAAAAGAAGUUUUCCUAUUAACUGGAAUUUAGUUUCUGAACAUGAAUGUAAUAUGAGUAAAGCUGAACUUGAUUCUAAGCUUUGGCACAAAAGAUUUGGCCACUAUAAUUUGAAAUCUAUUCAAUUUGCUCAAAAGCAAGAGUUAGUCAAAGACUUGCCCAAUAUUCAAACUUUUUCGGAGGUGUGUGAAGGUUGUCAACUUGGUAAGCAACAUAGGUUGCCUUUUCCAAGUUCAGCAACAUGGAGAGCAAGUGAAAAACUUGAAUUGGUUCACUCAGAUGUUUGUGGACCUAUGAAUACUUCUUCACUCAAUGGAAGCAAGUAUUUUAUUCUUUUUAUUGAUGAUUUUACAAGGAUGACUUGGGUUUAUUUUCUGAAACAGAAGUCUGAAGUUUUUUCUGUUUUUAAGAAGUUUAAGGUCUUUGUUGAAAAUCAAAGUGGUUGUUUAUUGAAGAAACUUAGAACUGACAACGGGAAGGAGUAUACUUCUGCAGAAUUCAAUAAAUUUUGUGAUGAUUUGGGUGUUGAACGUCAACUUACAGUCAGCUACUCGCCUCAACAGAACGGAGUUUCUGAAAGAAAGAAUAGAUCUGUCCUUGAAAUGGCUAGAUGCAUGAUUUUUGAGAAGAAAUUGCCAAAGUCCUUCUGGGCAGAGGCAAUAAACACUGCUGUCUAUCUCCAAAAUCAACUUCCUACAAAGGCGGUAGAAGGGAUGACACCUAUUGAGGCUUGGGGAGGUUUCAAGCCGUCUAUCAAGCAUCUGAGAGUGUUUGGUUCGCUGUGCUACACUCACAUACCAGAUGUGAAAAGAAGCAAAUUGGAUGAAAAGGCUGAAAAAGGAAUUUUAAUAGGCUAUAGCUCAAAGUCUAAGGGCUAUAAAGUCUAUGGAAUUGAUUCAAAUAAAAUUUUCAUUAAUAGAGAUGUUAAAGUGGAUGAAGAUGCAUAUUGGAAUUGGGAGACCUCUCAAGUUGAUAGAGGUUCAACUUUGUCUUCUCUCGAGGAUGCAAAUGAAGAUCAAGAUGAAGAAGUUGAUGAUGACUUUGCUGUUAGAGGUACCCAACCUCUUUCAGAGAUUUAUCAAAGAUGCAAUAGUGUUGUCUUUGAACCUACCAGCUUUGAAGAUGCUAGUAAAGUUGAUGAAUGGUACCAGGCUAUGAAAGAGGAGAUGGACAACAUUGAAAAGAACAAGACAUGGCAGCUGGUUGACAAGCCUAGAGACAAGAAUGUCAUAGGAGUGAAAUGGGUCUAUAGGGUCAAGAUGAACCCAGAUGGAUCCAUCAACAAAUACAAGGCCAGACUUGUUGUCAAGGGCUAUGUUCAACAAUCCGGGAUUGACUACACAGAAACAUUUGCACCGGUAGCAAGAAUGGAUACUAUUCGAAUUCUUGUAGCGUUGGCAGCACAAAUGAAGUGGAAAAUUUGGCAUUUAGAUGUCAAAUCAGCAUUCUUAAAUGGUAACCUUGAUGAAGAAAUUUAUGUUGCUCAACCUGCUGGUUUUUUGGUGAAAGGGAGGGAAGACAAGGUGUAUAAGCUUAAUAAAGCUUUGUAUGGGCUGAAACAGGCCCCUAGAGCUUGGUAUAGCAAAAUUGAUAGCCACUUUCUUAAUCAAGGAUUCAAAAGGAGUGAAAAUGAUGCAACUCUUUAUGUAAGAAGAUUGUUGGAUGGUGGUUCCUUAAUUGUCUCUUUGUAUGUUGAUGACUUGCUAGUAACAAGCAAUAAUCAACAAGAAGUUCAACAACUUAUGGAGGAGAUGAAAAACCAGUUUGAGAUGUCUAGCUUAGGGGAAAUGAACUAUUUUCUCGGCUUGGAAGUGCAUCAAUCUGAGAAUGGAAUUUUUUUGAAUCAAGAGAAGUAUGCUCGUGAAGUUUUGAAGAAGUUUAAAAUGGAAAGCUGCAAAUCUGCUCCAACUCCUUUGGUGUGGAAUUUGAAACUCUCAAAGGAAGAUGAAGCUGGAAAAAUUGAUGCUUCUCGUUAUAGAAGUUUGAUUGGGAGUCUACUCUAUCUUACUUCAUCUAGACCUGAUCUUAUGUAUGCAUCAAGCUUACUCUCAAGAUUUAUGCAGAAUCCUACCAAGACACAUUUUGUUGCAGCAAAGAGGGUACUUAGAUAUGUUAAGGGUACUACUCAAUUCGGAAUAUGGUACAAGCCAAGUGAAAAUGAAAGUUUGUUAGGCUAUGUUGAUAGUGAUUGGGCUGGAAAUAUAGAUGACAUGAAGAGUACUACAGGCUAUGCUUUUUCUUUAGGCUCUGGCAUGUUCUCAUGGAACUCGAGGAAACAAGAAAUUGUAGCUCAAUCCACGGCUGAAGCAAAGUAUGUAGCCGCAGCUGCAGCAGCAAACCAAGCUAUUUGGUUGAGGAAAAUACUCUAUGACUUGGGCAUACAACAGCUGGAAGCAACUGUGCUUUAUUGUGAUAGUAAAUCAGCAAUUGCUAUUGCUGAAAAUCCAGUUCAACAUGGAAAAACAAAGCAUAUUCAAGUGAAGUACCAUGCCAUACGCGAGGCUGUUAAAAAUCAAGAGAUCAAACUUAUUCAUUGUUGUUCUGACUCUCAAGUUUCUGAUAUAUUGACUAAAUCUCUUCCAAGAGCUAAGUUUGAAAAGUUUCGAGAAUUGCUUGGAGUGUCCAUCCAAAAUCUCAAGGAGGAGUGUUGAGACAUUGAGAUUUCAGAUGUACACAAUAGUAUUUUGUGAUAUUUUAUGUUUUCUUUUAUUUUAAUGUAGUAGUUGAAGUUACCUCUGCAGAAGUAUGGUGACCCAUACUUGUUAGAGUGUUUAAGACUUUGUAAUCUUGGUUAGGUGACAGACUACUAUGCUGUCCUGCUGUUCACUUUUUCUGUUUUUUCUAUAUAUUGUAUCAGAAACUUUAUUUUGAUGCAGAAUGAAAUUAUCUUCAAGUUUCUGAAAUAACUUUUAGUUCUUACAGUUACAAUAUUAAUCUUUGAUUUUUUUUUCAUUUUACAAAUUACUCAAUCUAUAGGUCCUGAAAAUAUACCAUGUUCUGUCAUUUAUUUUCUUAGUUAGAUAUUAAAUUGACUUUAUCCAAAACAAAACAACAAUGUAAUAAGGUUUUCUCUCAAAAAAAACAAUGUAAUAAGGUUUAUUCAUACAAAGUAAACUAAUCUUGGACCUCAAAUACUAAUGUUGAAGGAAUAUAAAGUCACAUCUUAAUACAAAGCCAUACAUUCAAAUUUUAUUAUUGACUUUAAACAACACAACAAGGACCAGCAUCUAACACCGGCUAACCAACUUGUUUAGAGAAUAUUUAAUACUAAUUUGUGACAGGUACGGUGGAACCAUGGGAGGCAUUAUCUUUUCUCACUUUCAAGAAAGCCUUAGCACCAUUAAGAGUUGCAUCAACUCUCCCAUUUGAAAGUGGUAACUUCUUCUUCCAACAACUAUCACCUAACCUGAAAAUAGCCACAGAACACAAGCAAUCAUCCAUACAAGAUUUCCUACACUGUUCUUCAGUAAAAGGCCUUUGAAGCACAUAAUCUGAUAGAGGCCAAUCAGUGUCAAUCAAAAUCUCAAACUCAUAGAGAUCAUUUCUCUUUUUACUUGGAUCAUCUUCUCCACAUCCUUGGACGAAAUCUGGCUUGCAGCUGCCAUAUGGAUCAUUAGGAUCAAUCAGUGAGUACUGUUUUGGACACUGACAUUUUGGUCUCUUAUCAUCUCCCAAAGUGCAGAAGCUAUUAUAUCCACAAACACCACUACCUGCACUAACAGUAUAAGUACAUAUAUUAAAGGGCUUAGACCAUACUGUGGUCCAACCUUCACUCUUAGUUGAACUCUUAGGAUGCUUGUAAAGUGUGAACACUCCAUCAAAAUUAAGAGUUGCUCUAAGAUAAAAUUGUGUGGUCGAGACGUUACUCUCUUCUUCGAACACAUUGUAUUUCUCAUUGUUCUCUCCCAAAACAUACAAGUACCCUGAUUUGUCAAAGACCAGUUGAGCUCCAGCACUUGAUGUACUGGAUUUAAUAGUAUUACUUUCAAAGUAGUUUUCAUUAACAUAACCAGAUGGUAAAUUAAUAGAAUGCAUAACAAGAUUACCAUCACUUUGUAAAAUGAGUUCAAACCUUCCUUUACUGAAAUCUGUCUCCUUAAGCCUUGAAGAAAGCUUUCUUCCUUUAUCCACAACCUGAGAAGGCAAUAACGUGUCACUAGGAAACUUGAAAGUCUCCCACAGACUGUUGAAUUUACCAUCCUGAAGCACAAAGUUGCCAGUGUCAUUCAACACACCGCGAGAAACUUUAACAUUGAGUCCUUCAGUAUUCCAUAACCUGACACCAUUUGGGGAAGUUAGCACCAGCCCAUCAUUGGCAGUGAGUUCCACUUUUGAUCCUUUUGGUGCAGGACUGUCUCCAUUAGCAUACCACACAACAGUUUUCUCAGAAAUUUUGGGAUACCAAAUAGAAAGCAAAAAAAGAUUAGUGUCUUUGAGUGGAAGAAAACCAAAGGCAAAGUCACCAGAAGGUGAAAGCAACCAUGGAGAGGUACUGGUUUGUGCAGUAAAAGAAUCACCAAUGACUAUGGUACUUUUGGUUUGAGCUACAACACAGAUGGAUUGCAGAAUCAGUGAGCAGAGGACAAAGGAAAGCAAAGAGGGAGUCAUGUCUAGAUUGUAGAAUCAAUAUGAUCCAUAUGAUUUUUAUAGUAAAUAAAUAUCUCUUGUUUCAAUCAAAAUUAAAGCACUGAGCCACUAGUCUUCCAAUUUGGUCCAUAUGAUUUAUAGAUAUUUUUUUGUGUCCAUCAAAAUUAAAGCCAUUAGUCCUUAUAGUCAACUCAUACUAAAUCAACAAAGAAGUUGGCUUAACUUUGGAGAUAACAAACGUAUGAAAACUUUCCCUUUUUGAUAGAAAAUUAAAAUAAAAAUACAUUACAAUUUUGACCAUGGACUUCUGUAAAAUGGACUUUCAGGACAGUUUUUUUUUUUCCAGAUAUAUAUUUAUUAUUUUUUCUAAACAAGAAUAUUAUUAUAAAUUAUAGUAGGUUACAGACAAGAAUAUUUAUCUAAUUUAGUAAAUUUAACUUCUCACUCUCGAAUCCAGGUAACCAUAUCUACAAGUUCCUCGCUCUUUGUUAUUGACUUUUUAACUACAUUAGGUUAUAGUUUUACAGGGUUCAAGUUGGAUGCAAUCACAUUGCUAGAGUGACAGUGGCUGAUUGUUGAUUAUUGAAUAUGUUUGUGUCAUUGCAUGUUUGUACACAUGCAAAUUUCAGUGUAGUUGAACUAGAACAAUUACGCUAUGUAUGUAGUGCUUCAUGGCCUAAUUACCUAUUUUCUGUGCUGGGUGCGAAAACUCUAAGUUUGCGCGGGAAAGGUACUCUACCGUUCACUAAUUUUUCCGUUAGAUCAAUCAAAACAUUGAGAUGAUUAGUGAUUUUAAGGAACAAAACUAAAAUAACAUAUAUGAUAAUAUCUGUAAAAGGGACAGACCAGAGACUCACCCUGUCGUCUUGGAGCCACUCCAGCUGCCUCCGGCCAUUUUCGUCCUAAAACCAUCCUCACCUCUUCUUCUGUCAUGUUCAUUUUUCUUAUUUCAAGUAGAACUUGUUGUACUACUCCAUCUGAAUUUCCUUCAGUUUCCACCCAUUUACUUUGGUUGUGGAUGAAUUGGAACAACUUGCAUGAUCUCCGCAAAAAUAACAGACUAGUUGUUUCAAAUUCAUCAUUUCCAAGCUAUUGAUCUACAAAUGCAGUCAAAAUAUUUUAAAUUAGUAUAUCAUCUGGCCAAGUGAAGCAGAACUUGACCACUUUAAUGUGGUUGAAGAAAAUAAAGCACAUCCACAAUUAUAAAUUUGCAGAAGCUGUUAUAUCCAUAAACACCACUACCUAAACUAACAAUAUAUUACACAUUAUCAGGUUUAGAUCACACUAUGAUCCAACCUUCACUCUCAGUCGAACUCUUUGGAUGCUUGUAAAGUGUAAACACCCCGUCAAAAUUAAGAGUUGCUCUAAGUUAAAAAUGUGUGUUUGAAACUUUACUCUCUUUUUCUUACACAUUGUAUUUCUCACUGUUCUCUCUGAAGAUAUAUGAAGCACCGACAUAGACACGGACACAUCACCGACAUGUUGACACAGGUAAUAAUUUGAGAAAAUGGAUUAAUUGAAUGUAAUAACAUGUGUCGGUAUCGUGUCAGGGACUGACAUGUGUCAGACACCGGACAUGCCUUAGAUCAGAGGUGUCAGUGCUACAUAGCCCAACACAUACAAGUACCCUGAUCUUUCAAAGAUUAAUUGAGUUCCAGCACUUGAUUUACUGGAUCCCACAGUUUUACACUUUCAUAGCAGUUUUCAUUAACAUAACCAAAUGGUAAAUUAACAAAAUUUAUAACAAGAUUACAAUCAUUUUGUAGAAGGAGUUCAAACCUUCCUUUACUGAAAUUUUUCUCCAUAAGCCUUGAAGAGAACUUCCACCUAUUUCAAGAACCUGAGAAGGCAACCAAAUGGAAAGCAAAAAAAUAUCGUAUCUUCUAGUGGAAGAAAACCUAAGGAAAAGUCACCAGAAGGUGAAAACAACCAUGAAGAGGUGUUGGUUUGUGCAGUAAAAGAAUCACCAAUGGCUAUAGUACUUUUGGUUUGAGCUACCUACAACAGUGUUUAGAUUAUAGAACCUGUUUAGAUUAUAGAAGCAAUUCGGUCCAUAUGAUUCAUAGUAAGUAGAUAUUGUUUGUGCCAUCAAAAUUAAAGCACUUAGUCACUAGUCAUUUUUGUAUCCUUGUGUAGACUUGGUCAACUCAUACUAAACCAAUUAACCAACACACAAGUUGGUAUACUUUGGAGUUUGGAGAUAACAAACGUAUGAUACACUUCCCUUUUCAUAGAAAAUUAAAAUAUAUUACAAUUUUGACAUGUAUUUGUGUUCUUCUAAAGUGGACUUUACACAGUGAAAAAAAUUCAGAUAUAUAUAUUUUUUUCUAAACAAGAUUAAACAUUGAAGUAGAAUCCAAUCUGAAUUUUGUUCUGCUUCCACCUAUUUACUUUUGUCUUUCAUGAAUUUAGAACAAUCUCAUUAAGUUUGAUUGAUAAAUUUAUUUUAAGUGAAUUUGAAACAUUGCUGCAACAAAGUUGCAUGAUAUCCAAGAGAAUAACAGAAUAAUUGCUUCAAGGUUGAAGGAGAAGAACUUCACCAUCUCUAAGCUAUUGAUCUCCAAAUGUUGUCAACAUGAUUUAAAUUAGUACCAUUUGGGGUAAGCGAAGCACAACUUGAUCACUCAAUGUGCUUGAAGAAAGUGAAGCAAAUAUACAAUGAUAAAAUUUGAUCCAUAUGCACUAAAAUUAGCAUUUGGAUUUACUUGCACAGUAUGAUGUAAAAGAUUCAAUUUUCAUUUUGAAGUUGGCAUCUGAAAAAAAUUAGAGAAUAAAUAACUAUUAAUUAUUUAUAUAGUCAAGUUGUUGAUAACAUGUGAAAUUGAACAUCAAGGAUAUAUCAAAUAUCAAUGUGCCAGAAUAUAAACAAAUAAUAAUACAUGCAGUCUUCCAUACAAGCUAUAAUACAUUGUACUUCAAUAAAAGGCUUUAGAUGCGUAUAAUCGUUUUGAUGCCAAUAAGUGCCAUUCAAAAUCUUAGAGUAGUACAGAUCCUUUGUUUCACUUAGUUCAUCUUCUGCAUAUCCAUGUAUGAGGUCUGGCUUGCAGCUACCAAAUGGAUCGUCAGGAUCCACCAGUGAGUAACUUUUUCGACACCGACGUGUUGGCCUCUUAUUCUCUCCCAAAGUGCAGUAGCUAUUAUAUCCACAAACACCACUACCUAAUUUAGGAAAAUAAUGACAUAUAUUUUCAGGCUGAGACCACACUAUAGUCCAACCUCCACUAUCAGUUGAACUCUUUGGAUGCUUAAGAAGUGUGAACACUCCAUCAAAAUUAAGAGUUGCUCUAAGAUAAAAAUUAGUAGUGGAGACUUUAACCUUUUCUUUUGACACAUAGUAUUUCUCAUUGUUCUCUCUCAAGAGAUACAAGUCCCCUGAUCCGUCAAAGACCAAUUGAGUUCCCACAGUUUCACUUUCAUAGUAGUUUUCUACAUUAACAUAACCAGAUGGUAAAUUAAUAGAAUGCAUAACAAGACUACCAUUAUUUUGUAAAAGGAGCUCAAACCUUCCUUUACUGAAAUUUGUCUCCUUAAGUCUUGAAGAAAGGCUUCCACCUUUACGAAGAACCUGAGAAGGCAACAAGGUGUCACUAGGAAAGUUGAAAGUUUCCCACCGACUUUUGAAUUCACCAUCCUCAAGCACAAAGUUGCCAGUGUCAUUGAACACACCGCGAGAAACUCCAACACUGCUCAGUCCCUCAGUAGUAUUCCAUAACUUGUAACCAUUUGGAGAAGUUAGCACCAACCCAUCAUUAGCAGUGAGUUCCACUUUUGAUCCUUUUGGUGCAGGACAGUCUCCAUUAGCAUACCACACAACAGUUUUCUCAUAAAUGUUGGCAUACCAAAUGGAAAGCAAAAAAUGAUCAGUGUCUUGGAUUGGAAGAAAACCAAAGGCAAAGUCACCAGAAGGUGAAAGCAACCAUGGAGAGUUGCCGGUAUCUGCAGUAAAAGAAUCACCAAUGUCUUGGAGUAUACUUGUGAAAUAUUUACUGUUCACUAAACGCAGCUACUUGUUACUCUAGGUCCCUCCAUCAGAAAAUUCAAAACUAAUGAGUUUUGGCUCAAAUCAUCAUUAUCUUGAAUGUAUUAAGGCUGCUUAUAACUUUGCAAGUGGUGAACUCGUGAAUCUCAUCAAGGAAAAGGUGAUUUUGAAUAUGAUUAGGCUUUUAAGUUCUCAGCUUACAGUUUAAUACUUCUGCAAUAUUUAUUAUUGUUAAAAGGCUUAAAUAUUGCACUCGUCCCUGCAAAUAUGGUCCGUUUAAGUUUUGGUCCUUGUAAAAUAAAAAUUCAGAAAUCAGUCCCCGCAAAAAAAUCUGUCUUUUAAAAAUACCCCUGGACCCAUUUAAGUCAUGACAAGUCACCAAAAUGCCUACGUGGCGCACGCUGAUUGAACCCAUUUUGUAGUUUUUGGUCCCUGCAAAAUAUUUUGUUUUCUAAAAAGGUCCCGGCAAAAUUUUUUGUUUUUGAAAAUAGUCCCUGGAGGGACUAUUUUCAAAAACAAAAAAAUUUGCGGGGACUGAUUUCUGAAUUUUUAUUUUACAAGGACCAAAACUUAAACGGACCAUAUUUGCAGGGACGAGUGCAAUAUUUAAGCCUUGUUAAAAAUCCAAGUUCUUAUCGUGAAUUGUAUUUGUAUGUGUAGUACGAUCUAACAGGAAAAUUGCGGUCUAUAAAACACUACCUUCUGCAUGAUAUCCAAGAGAAUAGCAGACUAAUUGCUUCAAAGUUGAAGGAGAAGAAAUUCACAAUUUCUAAGCUAUUGAUCUCCAAAUGUUGUCAACAUUCAACAUGAUUUAAAUUAGUACCAUUUGGGGUAAGUGAAGCACAACUUGAUCACUCAAUGUAAUUGAAGAAAGUGAAGCAGAUGCACAAUAAUAAAAUUUGAUUCAUAUGGACUAAAAUUAGCAUUUGGAUUUACUUGCACAGAUGAUGUAAAAGAUUCAAUUUUCAUUUUGAAAUUGGCCAUCUAAUCUUUAGAGAGAGAGAGAGAGAGCAACUAUGUAGAUAUAGAUAUUAGAUAUAGAAACUACAGUCGCACCCAUAUACACGGGUACAAAACACAACUACUCUUGAAGGAACAUAAAACCACAGCUUGAUACACAGACAUAAAAGCAAUAUCACAGUAUGCUUAAAACAGCGAAACAAGGAUAAGCACAAGCUGAACCCCUUGCUUAGCAACUUAUUAAUUUAGAGAAUAUUGAAUACUAAACGGUGAGGGGUUUAACGGAGCUUGCACUUCAACAGUACCUUCAAGCAUAUGUAUCACAUUUCUCAUGGUUGAUCUAAGACAUGCAUCCUCUUGAACACACCAAAUAGCAAUCUUUACCAAUUUCUCCAAAUUUUCCUUGUCCUCCAAUGCCUCAUUGUCACCCUCAACCAAUGCACCUAAAGCACCAUAUUUGUAGCAAUCAUAAGCCCAAUCAGUUAAGAUAGCUUUGUCUUCAUCUUCUUCAUCCAUUUCUUCAACACAUUUUCUACAUGAAAUUAUCUCAAGUAGCACUACACCAUAACUAUACACAUCAACCUUAGCUGUGAUAGGCAUGUUUUUAAACCAUUCAAGUGCAACAUACCCUUUUGUUCCUCUUAUGCCAGUGUUGGUUUUGCUUUGAUUCAUGUUCAACAGCUUUGCUAAUCCAAAAUCAGAAAUUCUUGCAUUGAAGUAAUCAUCAAGGAGUAUGUUCUGAGGCUUUAUGUCACAAUGGAUGAUCCUAGUGAUGCACUCUUCAUGUAAAUACACAAGUCCUCUAGCUAUACCUAUUGCAAGUUCUAGCCUUAGUUUCCAACUUGGUUUUUGUUUCUCAUCAUCAGCAUUGAAAAGAAAACUUGCCAAAGUGCCAUUGCUCAUGUACUCAUAAACAAGCAAUCUUUCACUUCUACACUCACAAAAUCCAAGUAAACGAACCAAGUUCUUGUGAUGAGUGAGACCAAUGGAAUUCAACUCAUUCCUGAAUUCCCUAUGGGCUUGAUCCAACAAAAAACUGUUUAACUUUUGCACUGCCACCCGAGUUUUGGAAUCUGUGUCGUUGUUGAUGACUCCUUCGUAAACAAUACCAAAAGCUCCCCUUCCUAGCUCUUUGUCAAAUCCAUUGGUAGCUUCUUCAAGCUCUUCAUAAGUGAAGCAACACAAAUUGGAUUUAAUUUCAACACACGUGUCACCUUUGAUAACUCUUCUAAGCUUUUUCUUGUGCUGAAAAAUGGAGGUGCUGACACAGAUUGUUACAAUCAAUACAACAUUGAGAAUAGCAGAGCUACCAAAAAGCACAGAACCAACCAAAACCAAUGUUUGUCUAUUAUUAUUAUUAUUAUUAUUAUUAUUAUUGUUAUUAUUAUUAUUAUUAUUCUUAUUAUUGUUAUUGUUAUUAUUAUUAUUGUUAUUAUUAUUAUUAUUAUUCGUGUUCACUUCUUUUCUCACUUUUAAGAGAGCCUUGGCACCACCAAGACUCGCAUCAACUCUUCAAUUUGAGAGUGGUAACUUCUUCUUCCAACAACUAUCACCUAACCUCCAAAUAGCCACAGAACACAUGCAAUCUUCCAUACUAGCUUUCCUACAUUGUUCAUCUGUAAAACGCGUUAGAAGCACGGCAUCUGAUAGAGGCCAAUCAGUGUCAUUCAAAACCUGAAACUCAUAUAGAUCCUUUGUUUUACUUUGUUCAUCUUCUGCACAUCCUUGUAUGAAAUCUGGCUUGCAGCUACCAUGUGGAUCAUCAGGAUCAAGCAGUGAGUAACGUUUUGGACACCGACAUGUUGGUCUCUUAUCAUCUCCCAAAGUGCAGAUGGUAUUAUAUCCACAAACACCACUACCUGAACUAACAAUAUAUUGACAUAUAUUUUUAGGAUGAGACCACACUGUAGUCCAAUUUCCACUAUCAGUUGAGUUCUUUGGAUGCUUGAAAGGUGAAAACACUCCAUCAAAAUUAAGAGUUGCUCUAAGAUAAAAAUUAGUAGGGGAGACUUUACUCUCCUCAUCUUGUACUCCAUCUUCUCCUGAGAUAUAGAAUUUCUCACUGUUCUCUCUCAAGAGAUACAAGUCUCCUGAUUUGUCAAAGACCAAUUGAGCUCCAGGACUUGAAGUAUUGGAUUCCACAGUUCCACUUUCAUAGUAGUUUUCUUCAUUAGCAUUACCAGAUGGUAAGAUAAUAGAAUGAAUAACAAGAUUACUAUCAUUUUUUAAAACAAGCUCAAACCUUCCUUUACUGAAAUUUGACUCCUUAAGCCUUGAAGAAAGCUUUCCAUCUUUUAGAAUAACCUGAGAAGGCAACAAGGUGUCACAGGGAAAGUCGAAAGUCUGCCAAAGAGUGUUGAAAGCGCGACCUCCAAGCACAAAGUUCCCCGUGUCAUUGAGCACACUGGAAAAAACAUCACUACUGAGUUGCUCAUUAUUCCAUAACCUUACACCAUUCGGAGAAGUUAGCACCAACCCAUCAGUGAAAGUUAGCUCCACUUUUGACCCUAUUGUUACAGGACUGACUCCAUUAGGAUACCACACAACAGUUUUCUCUAAAAAAUUUGCAUACCAGAUGGAAAGCAAAAAAUGAUCAGUGUUUUGAUUGAAAGAAAACCAAAGGCAAAGUCACCAGAAGGUGAAAGCAACCAUGGAGAGGUGUUGGUUUCUGAAAUAUGAAAAUCACCAGCUGCUAUGGUACUUUUGGUUUGAGCUACAACACUGAUGGAUUGAAGAAUCAGUGAGAAGAGAAAAAAGGGAAGAAGUAGAAAGAAAAAAAAAAUUAUCAAAGCACUAAAAUAUAAAAGACAGGAGAUGCCUGAACCAAUACAACAAAGUCAGUAAGUGUAUAACCUGCGAAAAGGAAAAUUAGAUCUAUCCCUGUAACGGAAACAUCUAGAGGAAAGAGGUGGCUAAGUCCACCAUAAUACAGAAAAGCUAAACAGAUUGUAGAAUCAAAUUGAUCCAUAUGAUUUAUAAAAAUUUCAUCAUCAUUAGUCUUUCUUCUUUUCUUUUUUUUUGGCACCAAGUCAUUAGUCUUUCUUCUAUUUGUUAAAUAUUCUGUGUAGACUUGGUCAUCUCAUACUAAUAGACAAAAAAUGUUAUAGAAAAAGAAAUGAGAGUAAUAAUAGACAAAAGAUAAUAAAUGGUGGUGAUUAUAAUAGAAAAAAGACGUUAAAACCCAUUGAAAAAAAAUAUGGUUCUACAUGAAAAAUUCAAGAUUUUUUCCAUACAUGUUUAAGACAUUAAAGUAUGGAUUUGCACAAAAAAAAAUUGGAAUUUUUCAACUAGGAUAAAUUAAUUAUGAAUUUUUAAAACGGUAAAAACUUAAAAAACAAAAUAACGGAGAUUUUGACUUAUAAAUCAAAUUUUUAGUUAUUUGUUUGGAGAGACAUCUAUAAAAAUACAUAAAAAAGAUUUGCAUAGUUUCAUGAGAUUUCAAAAAUGUUUUGAUUUAUUUUUACUCUCAAACCAAAAUAUGCAAAAUUGUAAUUUUGUUUCGAAUAAAUGUAUACUCAUAAGUCAAAUUUCAUUCUUUAAUUGUGUAGUCAUGGCUAGAACAUCGUAAGAAUCUUCACGAUAAAAUUUUAAAGUUUUAAGAAAAGAGAGAGAUUAAUCAUGGCAUAAAAAAUCAUAAUUAUCAGUCCCUAGUGGAAUUUUUUUUGUGUGUAGUCUUAUUACAAGGUUAGUAUAUUUGUUUUUUUAUUUAUUUUACUGAGACAUUUUUCAGACAUCAGGUUAAUUUGAGCAAUUGACCCUGUAAAUAAAUUAAAUAUAAAAGGAUCCCUAAAAAAAUUAUAUAUAAAAGGAAUACAUUAUUUGAAUUGACUUUUUCAUUUCUUAUUAUAUCUUGUAACAAACUUACCUAUAAUCUAUUACUCUCUCCUUAUUUUAUUAAACUUGUUUUGAUAUUUUCACACAUAUUAUGAAAUAUAGUUAAUUUUGUAUUGCAAAGAGAAAUUAUAAAUGAUUUCACAAAAUUAUCCCUUAUUAAUGAUAUGUGAAAAAAAGAUUAAAAAAUUGAAAAAAAUAGAGUAAUAAAUGGUAAAUGGUACGAUAGGAAUGAUGCAUUUCAAUUCUAAAGCGACUUAUAAUAAAACCAAUUUUUUUUCUUUUAAAGUGACUUACAAUAAAAUACGAAGGAUAAUGCCUAUUAAGUAUGCAUAAACAUAAUACACCCAUAACGCUAGAAUUCGGACUCAAAAACACACCAAUAAACUAUCAUAUGUGGAGCAAAGGAAAGUAAUAACCAGUAUCAAAGUAACCACAAUGAGCAGCAACAACAACAACAAACCUAGAUUUAAUCUAGGAAUAAAGUGAAGAGUACAAAACCACAAGCAAAAGAUAAAGAGAUAAGAGAAACAAACACACAUAGAAAUGUUUACCCAGUUCGGCCCAACUUGACCUACUAUGGGGAGAGAUUGAUCUCUCCAAGCCAUUAUCAAUGAGUUCUUACAAAGAGAUACAAAAAUGUUACAAGAAAUUGGGGAAAUGUUUACAAAUGUUUUCCUACCCAAGAAAACCCCUCAAAAGAACCUUAAUCAAAGGGGCAAUGCUAUGUUGUAGGAAAGAUGGCCGCAAGAAUAGCAAGAAUAACAUUGUCCGCUCUUUUCUAAAAAAUAAAAAAGUAUUAAUCCUUAUGUAAUGGAAAUCACGCCCAUGUGUUGGUGAAAAUGCACGGCUUGGAUAUUUUCGUGCGUUUUGUCUCUUCGGGUUCCCUUAAAAACAAGCAUUAUCCUAAGCAAAAACCCUUAACUCUAAAGUUAUCUAAUUUGAUUUUUUUAAGUUUCUUUCUCUUGAAGCCUUUUAUAGUGCUCAGACCCGGCAAAAAUGUGCCCCAAUUUCAGCAAAUUGUGCCCCAAUUUACCCAAUAGUACCACAGUACACAUAUUUCCUUAUCCAAAAUCGGACUUCGAUUUUACCAAAUUGUGGUCUGAAAAAUGUCGAAAGAACACUCCAAAAGUGGGCCAAAAUCGUGGCCUGAUUUUGGCCUACCCUCUAUUCAUCAAAUUUGAGUCAUAAUACAACAUUUUUUAUGUAUUUUUCUUUUCACAUUUUAGCGUACUAUAUUAAGGUUAAAUAUGUUUUUGAUCUCUAUAAAUAUAUCACAUUUAGUCCUCAUAAAAAACAUUGACAUAUUUAUGUCUCCAUAAAAAAUAAAAAAAAAUUAGCAUGCUUAUGCAAAUAUUUUUAAAAAAGGCUAACCAUAUUUUUAAAAAAGACUAACGAGUGUCUUUGGGGUAUUGAUUAAAGUAUUAAAAGUGGUAAAUUUAUCUAAAAAAACGUGUAAUUAUUGGAGUAACUUAUAUUUUUAAGACAAAAUUUCAUUUAAUGAAAUCAUUAAAUAAUGUCCGUAGGGCAAUCGUUAACAAGAUGUACCAAAGGAAACUUAAAAAAUUCUUAUGGCAAUUAGAAACGAAAUGUAAUGUAAUGUAUUUAUAUUUAUAUAAAUUAUAAAGGUGUUUAACCCGAUUUAAGUUUUCAAAUCCACGGUGGUAGUUGAGAGCUUGAAACGUGUUUCUUCUAACGUAUCAGGUUUGAUUUUUCCCGAUAUCAAUUUCGAUGAGUUUUUUUUUUUUUUUUUUUUUAAGUUUUCAAGAUUGAUACUAUUAAUGAGAAAGAAAAAAAAAAAGAGUAAAUUACACUUCCCUCCCCUCAAAGAUGCUUGAAUUACACUACCCUCCCCUCUUAUGUUAAAAUAUACAUUCCCCUAUCCUCUUAUUCAAAACUUAUUUGAAUUUUUUUCACUCCCCUCCCCUAAGAGAAGCUUGAAUUACAUUCCCCUCCCCUCUUAUGUUAAAAUAUAGAGUAAAUUACACUCCCCUCCCCUCAAAGAUGCUUGAAUUACACUCCCCUCCCCUCUUAUGUUAAAAUAUACACUCCCUUCCCCUCUUAUUCAAAACUUAUUUGAAUUUUUUUCACUCCCCUCCCCUAAGAGAAGCUUGAAUUACAUUCCCCUCCCCUCUUAUGUUAAAAUCUACACUUUACUCCUUCAAUAUUAAUUUUUAUUUUAUUUUUAAUAAUCUAGCAAAAAAAUAAUAAUCUAACACACUUCAAAAAAAUAGUAUUGUGGGUCUAUUUUAAUAUAAUAAAAAUUGAAUACAUAUUUUUCGCUAUUUUUUAUUCACAAUUUCAUUAACAUGUAGUUUUAAACCCUAUUAUAAAAUAUAAACAACCAAAACUAAAAUUAAAAUAUGUGAAAAAUUACUAAAGACAAAUUAAAAGUUAAUUUUAUACUCUAAAUUAUAAAAUCAGUAGCAAAAUGUUUAAACUUAAUUAUCAUUGACAUUUAAAUUAUAAAGAAAUGAAUUAAUUUUUCUUAAAUGGUGGUUUAAAAUUGAAAUAUAUUAUAAAAAUAUUUAUUUAUGUUUAAAUAGAUUAAAGUGUAGUCCAUAGUUAAUUAUUAAGGGAGAGUGUUGUAAUUUAAACAUCUUAUAAGGGAAGGGAUUAUAAAUUUUAUUUUUCAAGAGAGGGGAGUGUAUAUUUUAAUAUAAGAGGAGAGGGGAGUGUAAUUCAAGCAUCUUUGAGAGGAGGAGAGUGUAAUUUACUAAAGAAAAAUAACUUGGACAAUUUCAGAGAUAAAAUCAAAGUGAGUUUUUGACUUAAAAAUAAAUAAAAUAAAAUAAAAUAAAAAGGAGUUAUUUUGAAAAGUGAAGAAUGGAAUGGAGAGAUUCCUGAAAAGAAGAAACCAGACAAAAUUCAAAAUAAUAGAGAGAAUAAAGAAGUAAGAAGAAAAUCUAGUGAGUUAACAACUUCACUUCACUCUCUCUGCAUUUAUCUUCCCAUAGUUCAUAACAUCUCUUUCCCAUUUCGAUUCGCAAAUAAUCUUUAAAAAAGCGAUUACUGAAAAGCGCUUUUUCUUCCGAUCUGCUUUCACUGCAUUUCAACAUGAAUCAAACCGCCGCCGCAGGGUUUGAAAAUCUUAUCGGCUAUUACGAUCCUCCUGUUCAAGUACGUUCCUCCCUCUCUCUCUCUCUCACUUAUCGAACCAUUCUCAGAUCUAUUGUCACCUAUCAACUUUUUGUUCUCUUCAUUUUGGUGCUUGUUUUUCGAAUUUCUGUGUAGUCUCUAAGAAUGUGAUUGCUCAAGUAUUCUCUAGUAGUGUAAUUGCCUUCGAUUCUAUUCAAUUUUUACCUAACAUUUUAUCUUAGUUCAAAAACCUAACUUCAAUUCAAAAUACAUAUGUUUAUACUGUAUAUAAGCUUUUUUAUACGGCACAUUGCUCGGAAUUAAGAAAAUGUACUAUUUGUUAUGCCAAGGGAAGGACCUUUUUUUUUUCAAUUUUUUUUUUUUAACAAAUUAGACAAAGUGAACUAUGCUAUGAUUAUUGGUAAGAAAUUAAGGUCCUGGCUAUGCUUUGUAGUGUCAUCAAGUAGCGGCUAUAGCAGAAACAGAAUUUUAACAUAUCGUUAUGGUUUUAUGACACACAUUUUAGUUCAAAGUAUCCUCAAAUAUCGGAUAUAGGAAAGCAUAGCAUAAUUUGAACAAACUACUACAUUGCAAUCUGUGAUUGACAACAAUGUUAUUCUUUCAUCAAACUGCAUAGAUUAGGUUUUUUAAAUAUUUUUGAAAAUUAUUUCACUUUGUGUCCUCUAUAUGCUGCCAUCUUAUUUGGCUUGGUGUUGUAUUGGUUUUUAAAGUUUUCUCUUUGUGUGUGUAUGUAUUCAUUUCUAUUCAUAUGUAUUCAAGUACUGUGUAUAUCUGCAUUCAUAUUCAAUUUAGGGUUUCAAGAUUUAAAAAUUUAAGCUAUUGUUUUGUUCUACUGAAAUAUAGGAGCUUAUUGUUAUUGAUGAAGUCCUCUCUGCUAUGGUUGGAGUUGAAGGGCGUUACAUUUCAAUCAAAACACUUCGUGGAAAGAAGGAUGAGAUUAUUAAUUUCCUGGUUGACCCAUCUAUGGAUUUGGCACUACAGGUGAGAUUUGCAUAAUUUUUCGCUACCAUGGUUUGACCCGCAAUCAUAACAUUAAAGGUGUUAAACCUCCCCCUUUUUCUUUAUGGUGAUAAUAACUGAUAACUGAUAGGAAGUUUAGAUGGCAAGCCAAACUAUAGCGGUAACGGAAAUACUUUCUAUACAUUUUUUUUUUUAUAGACUAGAAGUUUAUAAGGUGUUUAAUAUGUUCAGUAUCAUAACCUAGUGCUAAAAUAAAAUAGGUUCAUUAAAGCCAUUUAGGUUUUACUUUCAUGUUUCUGUAUUAUUAUUUUUUGUAAACUUUAGAAAUGGAAUAUGAAGCAUCUAUCUUGCAAUUCAAAUACUGCAAUGCUUUUUAAUUUAAGUUGCACUCUGUGUUUGGCAGUAAUUCAAAAUAAAGGAAAUUAUUUUCUGCAACCAUGUUUUCUAUAUUCGGUCAUUGUUUCAAACUGUGAUUUGCAUCCAUAACUCUGCCCCCGAAUUGUGUUUUUGGAGGUAUCUAUUUACUAAGAAAGCUGAUGGGGAAUGUAAAUUGUCCUAUGCUAUAGCUGUAUUAUUCAGAUUAGAUAAUGAACAGUAUAAUUUAAUACAAUGAUAGAGCUGAGUCUGAGCCAGUUUUGUUGUUGCAGGAGUUGGCAAAACGGAUAUUUCCUCUAUGUAGGAGCUUUUUGUUGAUCAACCAAUUUGUGGAAUCAAGGUCUCAGUUCGAGAAUGGCCUAGUCAAUCAUGCCUUUUCUGCCGCACUUAGGGCAUUCCUUCUCGUAUGUUUUUCUGAACAGUGAGUCAGUUGGUUGAUUUACAUUUCGCAUGAAGUAAUUGUUUGCUUCUUGAAAAUAUGUUUUCAUGUGUCUGUGUGUCUAUAUAUAUUCACCUUUUAUAAAUGGCCCUUAACUUCUUUUGGUAACCUGUUAUUGUCUGGUAGACUAAUUAUUUUUCUUAAGUAUUUCAAGUGUUAAUGUUUAGUGCAUGAUGCUGGCUCAGUAUACCUGAAGUAGCACCUUCUGAUUCUUUUCCGAACGAAGCUUACAGCACACUACCUUUAUUUAUCUUCUGUUGGGGGCAGGGGAUAUAAAUAGAUCAUAGUUUCUACGAGGAACUGUUGUUUAGUGAUCACUUUUAUUUAUUUAUUUACUUUGAGAAUACUCUUUCCUAGGGAAUGGCAAUCAAACUUUAGUUAAAAGUGUGCAUUUAGUUUGUUAAUUUUCUCCCCGGUGCCAAUUUUGGUGGGCUAGUUUAGCUUCUUAAAAAUAAAAGUUUGGUAAUUUUCAUUUUCUGGACUACAGAUUUCUAAGAUUGAAAAUCAGUAGAGUUAGUUGUCCUGUAGUGUUAUGCAAAACCGGCGCUUUAGGUUUAAGGUGUGCCCGACACACACAUGACAUGUGUCUGACACUCAAUUUUAGUGUUGGGAUAUAAUUUGUUUAGGCUUCGAUAUGUCGAGGACACUGCUCUGACAUCUAGCAUACCCUUCCGUUUGGCCUGAAAUUAAAAGGAACAUGGUUGGUACCAAAAACUUUUUUUUUUUUUUAAAUGGUGAUGAAAGUCCUUUCAUUGACUUAAUAUACUUUUUCACUAUUUGGUAAUAGAUGGAUGGAUUAAAGGUGAUAGACAAAGGUUCAAUAUCUCAUCAUAUUGUAUUGAAUCUUUUUUGCAAAGAAUUUAUCUAAAAAAAAAAAGAAUAUUUUGUUGCAAAGAAUCAAAGUGCUUAACUAACUAGUAUUUUUAGGCGUGACUCGUUAUGGUAGGAAAAUGUAAUACUUCAAGUUCUUUCUGUUUGUGUGUCAUGGAGUGCUAUAUUUUGGACAUUGCCGGUGUUUAUGUGUCUACAAUGUGUCGGUUUCAGUGCAUCAUGAGGUCAAGUCUAAAAUUUUAUUUAGUAUCUUACCCACUUGAAUUUUCAAACUCAUUUAGGGUCAAAUAUUUUGUAGAAGUAGUAGGACUCAAUAUGUUUGAAAUGUGCUCUAGUUUAGUUUGGAAUGUAGUGUUUUUAUUUUCAAAAAAUUUUGGUAGAAGAAUUUGUAGGAUAAGGGAUCUUCCAAAAAAAGAUGAAACUUCAAUGGGCCAAAGUUGCCAGUGCCCGUUAGUGAAAUCCCUCCACAAAGAUGAUACCCCGGGGGUAUUACCCCCUUUUGUUGAACUAAAGCAGUUUGUUUGAUACUCUCGUAAUCUUAGAACCAAGGUUCUGCUGAAUAGCUUCCUUCUCCAAUACAACAACCAAGCCAUGUCCCAUUAAGUGGGUCGGCUACAUGGAUCAAACCACUUCAUAAUGUCUAUCAAAUACCAUAUGUGUAUCCAACUCAUCAAUCCCCAGAUCUUUCUUAAUAGUUUCUCUUAUAGUUAUCUAGGUCUUCCUUUACCUCUAGUGAUUUCACUCCCCUUCAUCUGAUCUACUUUCCUUAUCACAAAAUCAUAGGUCUUCUCUCUACAUGCCGAAACCACCUAAGCCUAUGUAAAUAUCUGAUUUGCAGGUUAUUACUUAAUGAGAAAGCUAAAAUGAUUUUAAUAAGCAAAAACUAGUAGCAUAGCAUAAAUUAACAAAAUAAAUCUUCACAUCUGUUUCAGUUCUGCCUGCGUAUAUGAUAUCUUUUGAUUAAAAUGUGCAAUUUGAAUACGAAAUUACUUUUACCAUUAAGGCAUGCCAUUAUCUUUACCAGGAUUACCAGGCCAUGGUGGCACAACUUGAGCACCAGUUUCGGCUUGGGAGACUUUCCCUUCAAGGAUUGUGGUUCUACUGUCAGGUAUGAAUUUGUUUCGGAUUAAAUGUAAAUCAGUAAAUGUUUGUCAAAUUAUUGCUGAUAAUACCUUCAAUGAUGUGUUUCAGCCCAUGUUGAGGUCAAUGCAAGCAUUGUCUACUGUCAUACAGAAGGCUUCAGUCAACAAUUUUACUGGUUCCGCCGUUCUUAACUUACUGCAGAGCCAGGUAAUGAAUAUCUCUUGUAAUUGUCACCAUUUUCUAAAGUCUUCACAUGUUAAAAAACUUCCCUUUAGUUUCAUGUAUCAGUUUCUCAAGCACUUAACUCUCUCUCCACUAUGGAUUCAAUUGUAUAUAGGCAAAGGCUAUGGCUGGAGAUAAUGCAGUUAGGUUGUUGCUGGAGAAAAUGACACAAUGUGCAAGUAGGGCCUACAUGAGCAUUUUAGAAAGGUUUCUAUUUAUCUCCUUUAAUAUGCCAUUUAUCAUUGGCUAGCAAAUGCAUAUGUUAUUUUCUUCUCCCGUAUUCCAUCUCCUUUGGGUUAUUGGGUAUGUUUGGAGAGAAGGGAACCAAAUAAGUUAAAGUAAAAAUAUGGAAGAAAAGAGAGAGAAAAAAAAAUGAGGAACGAUAAGUAAAUAAUUUACUUCCUUUUGUGUGGAUUUUAAAAAAAAUGUUCAUAAAAUUUAAUAUAGGUUGAUUUUGGAUCACCUGAAAAUCCUUCAUUCGUUUCUUUUCAUAUAGUUCACAAGGUCCAAGCAAAAUGAAGGAUUGACCUUCUUUUUCCAUUCUCUUCGAUCCGUUUACCUAGAUCUGAUAAUUAAUAUGUAGAGAAAGCCCUAUGUUGAAUCAGAUUAAUAUUCUACUAUUAUGCUGUUUGUAUUGGAAUUUUGCACAAAUAACAAUAAUUAAUCUUGUACAUUGGUAUGAUCUAUCUAUAACAUGUAGAAAAGCCAUAGACUUACACCAAAUCAAAUUAAUAUUCAGUUAUACUGUUUGUAUUGGUUUUUACAUGAAUCUCACUAUAAAUAAAUAUUUAAAAGCCAUGUCACCGUCUUUUGGCGUCCAGACCAUGCUUAUGGGGACACAUACAUCUAAGUUCCCUUUUUCAAACUCCUUAUAAUCUUUUCUACAAGUUAAUUUCCCUUAAGUUAUGAUUGUCUUGUGCACUCUUGAUGUUGAGUUAUCUCUAAUUAACAUUCCAUAUUAUUGUUCAUUUGGGAAUCAAACAAUCCUAAAGAUGGGUCUAUGAAGGAGUAAUAGAUGAUCCUUAUGGUGAAUUUUUCAUUGCAGAAGACAAAUCUCUUCAAAAGGUACCCAAAAUUAAUAUCAAAAUAUUCAAUCACUUAUUACAGCCUAAAAUUAAUAUCAAAACUUGUUUUUUCAUAUGACCUCAGUUUCAUAUUCUCUAUAGGAGAGUCUCACUAAAGAUUAUGAUGCUAAGUACUGGCGACAACGUUAUAGCCUCAAAGAUGGAAUUCCAAGCUUCCUUGCGAAUUCUGCAGGAACAAUUUUGACCACAGGAAAAUAUCUAAAUGUCCUGAGAGAAUGUGGACACAAUGUUCAGGUGCUGAUACUGUUGUGCUUGUAUGUAGAAUAAAUUUAUCUUCUCUUUAGCCAUUCAAGUUGGAGUGUGCUUGUGAAAUAUUUACUGUUCACUAAAUGUAGUUACUUUUUAUUCUAGGUGCCUCCAUCAGAAAAUUCGAAACUAAUGAGCUUUGGCUCAAAUCAUCAUUAUCUUGAAUGUAUCAAGGCUGCUUAUAACUUUGCAAGUGGUGAACUCGUGAAUCUCAUUAAGGAAAAGGUGAUUUUAAAUAUAUUUAGGCUUUUUAAGUUCUCAGCUUACAGUUUAAUGCUUCUGCAAUAUUUGUUAUUGUUUAAAAUCCAAGUUCUGAUUGUGAAUUGUGUUUGUAUGUGUAGUAUGAUCUAACAGGAAAAUUGCGGUCUAUAAAACACUACCUUCUUCUUGAUCAGGUAUGAUCAUGUUCGUCUUACAUUGUUCAAUUCGGAGACAAUAACUACCAAUACUAGAAAACCUAAAAAUGGAUAAAGGAUCGAAAUUUAAGGUUGUGUUUGUUUUGUGCGUUUUCCUUAAUUUUCAAUUUUCAGUUAAUAUGUUUUCUCUAAUAAUCACAAAGAUGCUAACCUGUUUUGCUUUGUUUCCUGUUUGCAACAAUUUGCAAAGAAAAUGGUAUAAACAAACAGGAAAGGUGGGAAUAUGUUGGUAUUUUUGCAAUUAUUGAUGAGUGCAAAAACAAAUGAAAUGCACACCAUACGUAACCUAAGUAUUCCUUUACUUCCACCUUCCUUGUAAGUUGUAACGACUUUAGAGAUAUUACGUGAUAUCUUACUGUUUGUAAUCUGAAGACAUAUGAUGGUUUUGAAUGAAGCAAUAAUAAAUGCAGUUCUAAAUGCCCAUGGAAUAUUUUUAUCACUUCAGAAACACUUUUUCUUGACUGAUAUUUUUUAUAUAUGUUCAUGAUUAUACAGGGGGAUUUCUUAGUACAUUUCAUGGAUAUUGCUCGAGAUGAGCUGGCCAAAAAACCUGAUGAAGUCUCUGUUGAGAAGCUGCAGGUAUAGUUAUGGGAUAUUAUUCACUUUGGUAUACAUUUAUUUCUCCUAGAAAAUUUAAAUCGCCAUCUGCCUAUUUUAAUUUUGAAUGGGUGAUGGACUCUGAUUUUCCUUUAUCUCUUGUUUGUUUUGGCUGUCCUCCUGUAUGACUCAGUCUCUUCUAGACCUUGCUUUGCGUACAACUGCAGCUGCUGUUGAUCCGUAUCAUGAAGGCUUAACCUGUAUUGUGGCAAGUAACUAAUUUAUCUUGUAUGGAAUUUUGGAGCUGUAAAAUUCCUUAUUCACUCACAAUGCGAACUUUACACUUUCAGGAAAGAUCAUCUUUGCUUAAAAGGUUAGGUACAUUUAAUGUUACUGAAGUUAACCAGAGAGAUGUAAUUAAUAAUGAUAUUCUGGAAGAGCCUGUUAGCAUCACCGGCCUUGAAACAUUUUCACUAAGUUAUAAGGUAUAUUUUUUCUCUACAAGUUUCUGAGAAAGUCUGCCUUUUAUUCGUUGCAUCAUUCAUAUGGUUGUUUUUGGUUCUCUUUUCAGGCGCACUGGCCACUGUCUAUAGUAUUAUCACGCAAAGCCCUUACAAAGUACCAGUUAAUUUUUCGAUUUCUUUUCCACUGCAAACAUGUUGACCGUCAGCUAUGUGGAGCAUGGCAAACACAUCAAGUAUGGCUACAAAUGCCUUUAAUUCACAUUGUCUUUUGUUUAAUGUUUAUUUCGUUUUACCUUCAUUUUUGGUCCCAUAUUGUAGGGAGUUCGUGCUCUCAAUACACGUGGAACUGCUAUCUCCCGAUCAUCUCUUCUGUGCCGAAGUAUGCUUAAAUUUGUCAAUAGCCUUUUGCACUAUCUAACAUUUGAGGCAAGUUUUUCUUUUCUUUGACAUGCAUAUCGUCUGUUUGCUUUAUCAAAACUAGAUUAAAUACGUUUUCAAAUCUUAUUUUUAUGACCAAUUUGUAUUGCAAAAAGAUAAUUGUAGUCAAGGCUUUCAAAGAUUAUUGGAUUGGAUAUGGGUUUCUUAUUUCUCUCAUUUUCUCAAAUUUGGUUUUUUAACUGAGCAGUUAUGUGUAUCCUUUUUUGACUCUAGUUUAUUUUAUAGGUUAUUGAACCCAAUUGGCAUAUGAUGUAUACCAGACUUCAGUCAGCAAAUAGCAUAGAUGAGGUAAGUUAUUAUUGUCGUCAUAGAUUGCAACACUGAUGUAUAAGUCAUGUUACAUACAUAAUAAUACUAGAGUAUUUUCUCUAUUUUAUCAGAGGGAUGGGGCUGGGGGGCUCUGAUGUUGAAAGUCUGACAUUUUCUGUAUGUAACAGGUUAUACAACAUCAUGAUUUUUUCCUUGAUAAAUGUUUGAGAGAGUGUUUACUACUGUUACCUGAGUUGCUGAAGGUUAGUUUCUUUAUUUAUUUAUUUUUUAAUAAUAUGUGUGUGUGUGUGUGUGUCUCUUCCCGUAAUUUAAACUUUUUAUCAAUUAAAACUAUUCUCUGCCUCACUUUAUUGUCAACCUUUUUUUUUACUUUUGACAAUUUGACAUCCUGAUUGCACAAUUUAAAAAAUCAAAUAUUACUUUAAAACAUCUAUUUGAUCACAGGAUGUAAUCUUAAGGAAAUUAAAAUGGGUAAUUCCAUGACUAACAAUACUCUUCUGAAAUCUCCUAAUGAAACAGAGGGGGAUACAUCAUAUUAGAAUAUGCAUUGGUGACAAAUUUUGAAAGGAGUAAUGUAGCAUCACCACCUUAGCCUCUGAAGGACCAAAUUGAGGGUUUAUUUAUAAAUUCACUGUUUUCCUUAUGUGACUAGACUUGUCUUUGAUCAAUUAAUUCAGAAAUAUUUUCUUGAUCAUUGUUUUAAUUAUGGGGAUGCUGCAUUUUUUGGUCAGAGAUAGUAGACUAUUUGAUAUUUUCCAUCAGCUAAUUGUCAAAGGUUUGAGACUUCUCAUGAUUGGUUUUUAUUGAGUUCUUCAUUGCAGAAGGUGGAGAGGCUUAAAUCCAUGUGCCUACAAUAUGCAGCCGCAACACAGUGGCUUAUAUCAUCUUCUAUCGUAUUACAUAGUCCAGAUGAACCUAAAGUUGAUUCAACUGGAGCUAAACAAUCGAAAUCAGGUCAGGUCCUGAAGUCAACCACCAGAAAUGCGGCAGUCACUGAAUCUAUUCUGUAAGUCCCAAAACAAAACAUUUGUUGUAUUAUUUGUUUAUACUGAUGAAUUCGUGUCAUGCAAGCAUUCUGACCUAAAUAAAUAAUUGUAGAAAAUUUGAGAAGGAAUUUGAUGCCGAGCUUCAGAGUCUUGGAUCAAUCUUGAGUAGUAGCUCACAGGCAGAGCCAUAUUUGGCCCAUCUUGCGAAAUGGGUUCUUGGUGUUAAACACGAACAUAAUGGUUUGUGAUAGGUUUUCAGUGUCGAUUAUCAGUAAGUUGCUUGAGCAAUUAUUGUGCAUAGGUUAAUAUAUUUUCCUGAGUGUGGGUAUUUACAUUCUUGUGAAGUUGUGGUUUUUUCUUUGUAACAAUAUUGAGAAUAUUUUUCUUAUGUGUUUUCUACUAGACUUGAAUACUUACCUAUUGCAAUUUUGCAAGCACUGUACCAGCAAUUGUAACAUCCAAAUUAUAUACCACCUAUUUUUUUUUUAAUAUAUGUGAAAUUAUCGAAACAUGUUUAUAACAAGGGACAUAAGUUGUGUGUGGAUUUAAUUCAUUCAUAUACAAUGUCAUAUCAAUGAUUUUUUGCACUACCAAUUAAUCAGAAUCAUCAAAUCAUUAAAAAUGUUUGACUUUUAAAGUAACUACUAUAAUAGACAUGUGACUGACGGUAAUUUGUUGAUAAUGUAUUUUAUUUUUUGAGUAUUGCGGUUGACACAUUCCCUUUGGCUGAAAGUCACGAGUAAAUUACUCAAAUGUUCCUCGGUAGUUAACUACCGAAAUUUUAAAGAACCGGCUGCAGUUAACUGCCGAGGAAUUUCAACCUUGAAAUUAAAUAAGGAAAUACACCUAAAUUUUCCUUAAUUAAAUUUAAUUCUUUAAUCCUUUUAAGAAAUUAAACAUAAUUAUUUUUAUAAUUUCAUUCAUAUGAUUUUGUUGCCAUAAAUGAAGAAAUAUGAGAGAUGAAUAAUAUCUGCAAUCGGUAGUUAAUGGACUUAAAAUGAUGAUUUAAUACAAAAAAAAUGCAACAACAAAAACGUUAUAAAUGAUAGAAUAAUUAUAUUUGUAAUUAUUAGUAAUUAAUUUCAUUGAUGUUUGUCAUUAUUCAUAGGUUUGACUAACCUAUUAUUACUUUAUACUAAUAUUUCAGAUAUUAUUACUUUAAUUAACAUGAAAAACGCAACAACAAAAAAUAAAAACGCAACAACAAAGAAAAAUGUUUGUCUUCGGUAAUUAAUGGACCUAAAAUGGUGAUUCAAUAAAAAAAAAUGCAACAACAAAAAAUGAUAGAAUAAUAAUUAUAUUUGUAAUUAAUUUUAUUGAUGUCUGUCAUUAUUCAUAUGUUUGACUGACCUAUUAUUACUUUAUAAUAUUUUAGAUAUUAUUAUUCAUCUCUCUUUCAAAUAAUUAUAUUUGUAAUUAUUCUAUUAAUAAAACCUCUCUUUUUUUUUUUGUAGAAAUAAAACCUAUUUUCUAUUACUAGUAAGAAAUGUGAUCGAAUAUGUAAUUUUAGUAUCUCACAUUUCUUCAUUUAUGCCAACAAAAUUAUAUGAAUGAAGUCAGCAACAUAUAAAAAGAAUCAUGUAUUAAAGAAUUAAAUUUAAUUAAGGAAAAUUUAGGUGUAUUUCCUUAUUUAAUUUCAAGUUUGAAAUUCCUCGGCAGUUAACUGCCGAAAUUUAGAUCAGCAAUUAACUGCAGCCGGUUCUUUAAAAUUUCGACAGUUAACUGCCGAAUGACAUUUAAGUAAUUUAUUCGUGUUUCUCAGUUGAACUGAAUGUGUGAAGAGCAAUACUCUUAUUUUUUUCAUUGCUGUAUCAAAAAUUAAUUGUAAUUUGUUGAUAAUGUUGAACUUUGUACAUUGUUGUAUCAAAAUCAUACUCUAUAUCUUCUUACUUCCUAGAAGCUACCUAGAACUUACUUUGUAAUAUAAAUCUCUUAAUACAAUUUGGGAAGGUACUACUCCGGAUUCAAUUUCAAAUGAGAGUUAAAUAUUCUAUGCACAUUAAAUGUUUGUAUUCCAAAAACACCCUUACAUUAAUUAUUAAUGGUGUGAGAUGAUCAUAUUAUAAUUAGGGGUAGGCUAGUAAAUAUGUUUUCAUUUUUUACGAAAACAAGAAGAUUAAACCCACGUAUAUACCACGUUACAAGUGUGAAAGUAGAUUCCCUCAAAAAAAAAAAAAAUGUGAAAGUAGAUAUUUUUACUUAUAAUUAAAAUGCUUAUAAUUAAUUCCAAAGAGAAUAUUAGGUAGAGGAUUUGUGAAUCAUUGCGUGAAUUUGAAAUGAUUCUGGUUUUAGAGGCCAACUGCAUUCAAUCAUUGUUUUUUGCGAUAUAGUUAUGAUUAGUUUUUGGAAGGGUGCUCGAUUAGCCUGAAAUGACUGCUUUGCUCAACUAUUUAUGUCAUCUAUUCUUUGAGAUAUUUUACCAUUAUUUUACUUCAAUAAUGAAUCAAUAUUACCUCUUGUUUUAGCACCAGUUAAUGCAUCAAUCAUGCAUCUAACUUGCAUGUAUAAAUGACUUUGCAUCCGUUUACUUGUUUUGCAAGUUCAUGCACAUACCAGUACAAAUAAUUUUCAUAGGAUUUGACUCAAGUGUACCAUACUUUCACUAUCACUUAUUAUAAACACAAGUGACUAAGAGUUAACUAUCUCACAAUUUAAUAUCAAAUCUAGUAUCCUAUUGUAGUCAUUUAAGUCUCUUUCCAUUCAAAUUUUCAUCUUUGAAAAUAUACAUUUUUUUUUUAUCUUUUAUAUAAUUAGGCCAUGUUUAUAUAAAUUUUUAUUAUUAAUACUAUUAAAACUUAAUAAUUCUAUACUUGUACAUAAAAAUAAUUUUGAAAAAGUAUACGUGUACAUUUUUUUGACCGUACUUGUAUCCGAUAUGGUGCACACCCACACAAAAAUAGUCAAAUCCCCUUACAAAAACACGUUGAAACUGAUUAUUAUAGGAGGUAAUUCCAGGCAUAUUACAAAACUUGGGUUCCAAACUUACGAUAAAAAACAAUAUUUACAUAGCAGUUGCUGGAACAAAAUUUUCUUUGAAACAAAUAAAUUACCUAGUAUCAUACAUUGACCUUUUGAUCAACUAUAAUGAGGGGUUCAAAUAUAGAUAGUAUUAAUAAAAAAAUGGUUCACUUGUGGCAUAUUUACAUGUUUCCAUUUUCAUCAAUAGAUGAAUCAGAAGCAGAAUCAUCAAGUGUUGAAUUUGAUGUAGUCUCCAAUUGACUCCCACUCUCACUAUCUGAAGUUCCUCCCACUGUCCUUUCUUCAUGAGGGUGUUUUAGGAACCAAGACAUGAUGCUAGCUGUUAGAGUAAGGAUCAUCUUUUGAUUCACCUGAUAUUGUAUAACAGGCGUUGUCGCAAAGCAAAAAGCAUAAAUGAUUAGUCAUUGCUAAACAACAGUGGAUACUUCAUACCUAUAAUAUGAUUUUCAGAAGAAAAAAACGCAAGAACCAUAUAAAAAAGUAAAUCUUGUUGAGUAUGGCUCAUAUUCACCACCGAUAAGUGGACGGUUGGUUCAAGGAUAAUCUUGGAAAUCGAACCAUAGGAAUUAAACUAAGCAUUAAACUUUGUAACCCUAAUCCAUUGCGUAAUAGAAAACUACAGUAGUCACUCUACUGUCAACGAUCGAAACACAGUUGACCACACUCUAUGAUCAUUCAUCUUGUUCUUAGAUUAAAACCAAAUUUUCUAUGCUAGCUAAUACUAAUAGACUAUUUUUAAAGAAGAAAUCUCCUAAAAGUUUAAUUUUUCAUAAAAGAAGUUGGUCAAUACCAAAGAAAUAAACAACACUGAAUGAUAAAAGAGAGAGUGGGAGCAAUGAAACAAUAUUGAUUCUUCCAAAUUACCUCAGUGAUGUCUUCAGGAAGCAGGAAUAUAGAACACCCUAGCUUUCUUGCAAUACUGAUGAUGUAGCUGGCAUUCAUCUUUUUCUCUUCAUCUGCAUAGAACAAGAGUUUGUCAAUACAAAUGUUAUAGGAGUGUAAAGCAAGGUCAAGAGAAUAAUACAUUUUUUCAAUAUUUUAUAUGUAUGAAUUGAACAUGAAUGUUAUAAUACUUGAUUACUUGUGCAAUACAUUUGGUCAAAGACAUGAAUUUAGCAUUUAGUUUUAUAAAUAAACUUUGCAUUUAAAACUUCCAUUAAACAUGCAAUAAUUAAAUAAUUGCAAUGUUCAAAUUAUUGUAACAAGAAAACAUACCAGUUACUCCUUUUGUUACAAGACCCCAAUUUACAGCUCUAGGCUGCACAGAACUAAGAAGCUCAAGGAAAAAUAUUCCAUCAGCUAAACUUUUGUCCUGAAAAUUGAGAUUAUAACAAGUAAUAGACUUUACAUGUAACCAUUUAAUCCCUGAGAAUGGGCAGAAAAUGAAAAAAAGUAACAACGAUACAUAGAAGAAAACACAGUACUAGUUAAAUAAAAACCAGUCUAAACAAAUUGCAAGGUUAUCAUCUGAUUUCAGUAAUAAUGAGUGAGAAAAUAUAUCUAAGAGAUUGAAUAUUUAUUGUAUCUGAAGGCAUUAUUUCAAUGUUUAUUAAAUAAUCACAGAUAAUGUCACAUGCUUAAGCUAUUUAUUUCCUUUGUGACAGUUUUGGUGCAGAACCACAUAAUUUUUAUGUGUUCUCUUAUCACUUUCUUUGUGGUGUGCUUGUUUUCAUCGAAGAUCCAUAGAUGUGUGCAUUACUUCGUCAGUGUGUGUGGUUUUCCCUAACAUAUACCAUUCUUAAGGCUGCUUUGAAUAUUGAAAGGAUUUACCUUGAAACUGUUCAUGCUGCUUUGACUUCCUCUGCUGCUAACUUUGCUAUUAGCCCAUUCCAAAAUAUCAGCAUCAGUUAUUUCCUUCCCGCGAGCGUGAAAUCGCAAGUUCUUUAGAAGUUGUAGGAUGUUGUAUCGCAUCAAUUGCCACAGAUAAGCUAAAGUUUGAUAUAUGUGACCAAUGAUUUAGUUAGAUUAUGCUUAACAGAUUAAUUAGUACCGAGUAAUUUGGAUAAUGAUUUGAAUGUCAAGAACCUACCUAGUAUUAACUUUUUAUUUCCCUGCACAAUGUCAUUUCCAGCAACAUUUACCAAUGAGAAUUUAAGCUGUUUCCCGAUUUUAACAACUUGGUUGCAAUUCUCAACUUUUCUAAAUGGCAUCUUAAUUGGAGGCUUGUUAGCAAUCUUCCAGUUAACAAUCCCUGCUGACACCUUCUCAAGAGUCUCCAAAAGAAUCCAUCUGCAAAGAAUCAACACCAUACCAACUCAAUGGAUGUAAACUAUCUUCAAAACAAGUGUGUCACUAUCUAGGCUUAUAGAAUAAGCAUUUAUCAUACGAGAGCUUAUCGAUAAUUCUAUAACGAAAGAUAAAAUAUUAUCGAACUUUUUUAUAUAACUUUAUAAGCUGUUUUACUACGCUAUCAUGGAGAGCUUGUGAAAACAAGCUGAAAACAGCUUACUGACAUGCCAUAAGUUGUUUUCAUAAGAUCUCUAAAUAGUCUCAGAAGAGCUUAUACUAGUAGUAAAUAAAUAAAAAUAAGUCAAUCCAAACAGACCCUACUAUAAAUGCCAGAAUAAUUUCAACAAAGUAAAUGCAACCAAAAGAAAUUACAUUAUUUAGUUGAAAUAUGAACAAUUAUGUUAAUGAAAUGGAGAUAUUUAAGAAGUUCAAUUAAUUGCAAUUUGCAGGUCGUUUCAAUUCCAUACAAGAUCUUUUAACAAAAACAGUCGAAGAAUAAGGUGUGCAAGAAAAAUAGCAAAAGUGUGAGCGAUACUUUACCCGUCUCUAAGAUCCUCAAAGACAUUGUUGAUAUAUGUUGAAUUUCCGAGGCUAUUAAUCCAAAGGCGAAAUGCUCUUUCUUCUCUAGAGUCUUCAUUGUCAUCAGGAAUUGCUUGAAGGAGAGAAAUCUGUUUUGUCUGGUCCGUCAGUCCAUUCCUACAAGCAAAAAAUGGAUGUAUUUAUAGCUAGAAGCAUACAAUUCUCAGAACCAAAAAGAAAAUUUGGAUCUAUUUCAAAUUCUUUUGUCAAUUUAUAAGAUGAAGAAAGGUAAGUAAUGUUAAUCAUAUUCAAAAGCAUUAUAAAAUUAACCACAUGAAUCAGGGUUGUGAACUUGUGACAAUGUUCUUAAACAUCUAAUCCACGUGGGAUAAGUUAACGGAUACUGUGCAUUUUUGUAACAGAAUCUGCUAAAAAGGGUAAUGGUGUGUAUGUUUUAGGACUUAAAGGACUAACCUUUUACCAAAAAACUUAAAGGACUAAUUUCAUACAAUUCCAGUAACUUAAACGACCGCAUAAUGUAUUUUUCCUUGAAUUAAACAUAGCAUACUAUAAUUUUUCUCAAGGGGAAGAUUAUUCUGACCUGUGCUGGAAAAUAUGUGCAACAAAAGCAAGAUUAAGAUUUGGAGAUCCUUCCACUAUGUCUCUUGCAGUUAGGUAUCGCUUGCAGCCCAUCUUGUCAGAAUGUUCAAGAACUAAUUUUGCUCUUUCAAAGGGAUUUUUGAUAGCCAGUGUGGAAGGAUUAGUGUAUUCUGGUGCAAGAACAUUUAGAAGGUGUGCAUAAGCCUCAGCAUCCUGUAGUGUCAGAACCAUACGAAAUUCAAUCAGAGACUAUUUACAAGAAAUGCAUUGUGAAGAAUUAAUCGAAAACCAUAAUUAGUUACCUUGACAUCAGAGGAGAAGUUAGUGACAAUCUUCUUGUACUCUGAUUUCUUCAAAUGGAAAUUCAUCCACCUUAACAAUAUCUUCUCUGGUGCUAGAUUCAUCAACUCUUCCAUAUCCUGUUAGUUCAAAAUAUAUGAAUGCAACACGUUAUGAAAAAUGAAGAAAAUCGGAAAAGAUGAUAAUGAUAGAAAGUAUUUACCUUACUAUCAUCAAGCAACUCAAGAAGCUGAGGAGUUUUCUUUAGAUUGAGGUCUGCCAGUAGUUGUAUCUAUUCAAAACCAUCAGUAACUAGAUUUUUUCAGCAUGAAAAUACAAAACUCAAGAUUUAUUUGUAGGAUUUCACAAAGUUCUUAAAAAGAUAAACAAAAGAUUAUAUAAUGUUCCGUUUAAUCAAUGACUGUUUACCUUGAUAAUCUGUGAUAUCACUCCAAGCACCAGAUGACGCUGAAGCAAGAACAAAAUAAACUAGUUACUAAUGAGCCGAAAUGAAAAAUCGAAAAACAAAAUAUAUAUAUAUAUAUAUUAAACAUACCCUUCCUUCAAUGAAGUCUUGUGUGCCGAUGUUGACCACUGUACAUCCAAUAGCUUUAGCCGAGUUAAGACAAAGUGUAUGAUUUUCAUUCCUUUCCCAUGGAUUGAGUAAUCUUUUCGUAUUGAUUGCCCGUUCGUCAAUAGUCCCUGGAACUGCCACAUUGAUAAGUUUGCUGCAAAAAACAUAUCCAAUUCUUUUAAUUAAAAUUUCCAUAAACAAUAAAAAUAGUAAGUUGGGUGACUGAAAAUGUGUAGUACCAAAGAAGAACACCAUCUUUUGCAAUUUCGAAGAGCUCAUUGGUUGAAGGAUCAAUGGGAAGAUACUUCUUGAGGAACUCAUCUUGUGAAAGAUAGUGAUUUAUAUGUGUAACAUAUGAUGACUUCUCAGAUUCACUUAUUGUGUGAAGCAAUGUAGUAGUGGCUGCCUUUAAGAAUGCCGAGGAAUUCUUUGGACUGCUUCCUGUUCUUGAAUUUGCAAAUGUUUGCAGUUUCAAGUAAACCUGUCACCAUUAUAGCAGUAGUGCAUCAAAAUUUGACAUUUUCACAACAACUUCAAUGGUUUCACAUGAAGUAUACUUAUGGAAAUUUUCCACACUUUGUGUCUGUUUGGAUUGACUUAUUUGAGCUUAUUUAUUGACGCAAACACUUGUGACUAUUUGAGAGAGCUUAUGUAAAAAUAGUUUGAUUUUAUUUGUUGAUUUGUUAUAAACACUUAUGUAAAAAAAAGGUUUAAUUGAGUUGUUAUCUAAACAAAACCUAUAUAUGAGAUAAACCUGUCAAGGUUGUCCAAUUUUUAUGUUUGCUUACUAAAUUCUAAAACAAUUGAAAUACUCUACAGUAUAGUUAAAUACAAACAUAUUAUGCAGCAAGAAAAUUACAAGCAAUGCAAAUUUCUGCAAAAUCAAUGGUGAAAAUAUGCUACUGAGCUCAUACAUACAUCUUAUAUAUUCAGCUCCCCUAUUUAAGAGUGAUAUAAAAAAUAAAACAGUAAGAGGAUCAGAAAAAAGCAAGAAAAAGGUGGUGAUCCUCAAAAAGUUGAUAAUUGAACAGAUGAUAGCAAAUCAAAUCUAGAUUAAAAAACGUACCUUGAGAAACAAUUCAAAAUCAACCUCCUCAUCAGUAUUCUGAUAUAAAUCCUGAACAUAAGAAGCUCUCUCCUUCUCACUCAGAUUUUCUCCCACAACCUUCAAUCUUGACAUCUUGGAAGCUAAAUCUGCAAUCACAAGCUUCCCACUUUCCCUCCUCAUGCUCAUAAACUACACAAACAAUGAUCAUCAUGACCCAGAUUCCAAAUUUCAAUAACAACAUCAAAAAUCCAAUCUUUCAUAGAAAAAAACAACAUGGGAUUGAUUAAAAUUGAACAAUUGAAUUGUAACAAAGAAUUCACUUACAUGUGUUUUCAAGCUUCUAAGUUCAACUUGUGUGAACUGAUUCUGAAGACAUGGAUCUGAAACAAGAAUUCCCCAGUGACCAGACAUAAUGCUUAUGUUUCUAUUUGUGUUUCAAAGUUUAUGUAACAAUUUAAUGCAUCUAAAGAGUUUCCUUAUUUAGUUUCUAUAAAUUUCAAUAUUAAUAAUCACUUUUUAUGAAGUUUUGAAAAAGCUAUUAAGUGAAGGAGAGAGAAGUUGGCAACAUUAUGGGACAGUUUAGAGCUGUCAGAGUUCAAAAGUUUGUUCUAUGAGAGUGAGAGAAAUUCAAAUUAUUAAAAUUAUAAUAAUGUCCGAAGUUUGAAAUUCCUAGUAAUAUUUGACAUGGGACCCAUUUUUGCCCGUUAAAGACAUUUUCAAAUUUUUAGUUCCCAACUUUAUAUUAUGCAUGAUUUUAAUCUUGCCAAUUGCCAUCAUCUUGUUGAGUCAGAUUAUUUUGAAGGGAAGUUACCCAAACCUUGGAAGUAUUGUUUACUUGGACGUAUAGUUUUUCAAUGAUGAUAAUAACCCUUAACAUAUGACAAUAAAUAACUAUAUUGAAAAACUAAUAUGACAGUAUUAACAGAACAUUUUAAUGUUAAAGAUUAUUUUGACUAACGUAAUAUAAAAUUAAAGACUAUUUUAAAAUUUUGAUAUAUUGAAAGACUAUUGUGAGGUUGUCAAAAUCAAGAUUUUACUUUAGGUGGAAAGAGUAGAGCAAAAUCGACAAUCGUAAAACUGCAACAAAAAUUGAAGGAUUUUACUCAAUUACUUUUGUAGGCAUAUAAGAAAUUGUAAAAAUCGCAAUCAAAAUUGAUAGAUUUUACAAAAAAAAAAAAAAUACUAAAUAUAUGUUAUAAAUGGUAUAUAGUCAUAAAUGACUUAGUUUAUAUAAAAAAAAAAAAAAUCGUAAAAUCGCAAUCAAAAUCGAUGGAUUUUGCCUAUUUUAGGAUUCUACUAUGGAUUUGAGUCGUUGAAGGUGAAGAAAGUAGCAAAAUCCUGAAUUUUAAGAUUUAAGUCGAAAUUUUGACAAUGAUUAUGACCACUUGUUACUCGUUCAUCGACUAAAAUUACUAUUUAUCCAUUGUUUUUCUUUUGAAAAUAAUUAAUUUAGUGAAAAUGAUUUUGUUUAAUUGUCUUGCCAUUGUUUUAGAUUGACUUUAAAAAUAUCUAUUUAGUAUAAGACUAUUACUUUUCCUACCCUAUGUCUUUCCUCGCGCCCCCUAUUUUUUUCUUUCUAAAAUUACCUUUGGAGCAUUCCGCAUUUAAUAAUUCGGAAUGGUGUUUUCCUUUGUUAUAGGGUGAAAAAUGGAGUUACGGGUUUUUCCGGAUUUUGUAAUCCGGAAACUUCAAAAAAUAGGGCGCAUUACAUGAUGUUUCCGGAUUACAUAAUCCGGAAACCCCCUAAACACCAUUUUUCAAGGUAAAACAAACAGUUCCGAUUAUAUAAUCUGAACUGUAUCAGCACAAAUUCUAAACAUGUUUGUAACAUGGAUAAUCAUUUUAUGGACAAUAUUAAUCUUCCUAACUCUCAUCCUUCUGUUUUGGGUCAUUGUUACAUGUUCUUAGUCAAAAAUCGAGUUUUCGGACUACUUGAUCGGAUUGCUCCGAAACUUGCCCAGAAAAUCAUAAAAAAUUCAAGGACCAUGACUCCCAUAGGAGGGACUACUUACGCGACUCCACCCCUCAAAAUCCAAAAUUUCAUCGUUUAGACCCAUUUUUCAAUUUUUUUUUAAAUUUUUUUCAUAUUCUCAGAAAAAUCCGAAAAUUUUUGCAUUAGUUUUAUUUGAUUUUUAGAAUUUUUUGGUGCUAUUUUUAUGAUUUUAUUUGACAGGUUUUAAGCAUUUUUUUACUUAGUUUUUUUUGUUAUUUUUAAAAGCAAAACUCAAAACUGUUAAAAUGUGAGAGAGUCUGAUGGCUGAUUAUACAUAAGAAUUGUCCGGAUUAUAAAAUCCGAAAUAGUAAACAUGAAUCCGGAUUUAAAAUCCAAUGAUUUUAAUCGAACUUAGAUUAAGUAACUGUAGAUUCGUGGCAUGAAAAAUUAAUUUUGUUAAUCAAUAUUUUCGGUAUGGAAAUGAUAUACUUCCUCUAUUUUAAAAUAGUGUCGUUUUAGUCAAUUACACACAAAUUAAAAAAUAGAAUGAAAUAAUCAUUAAAUAUGACACUUUUACUAAACUGCCAAAGGAAAAGACAAACUUAAAGUUGCAUUGAAAAGUGUGCGAGAGAAAAGUUGAAGUAUUUAUUGAGGGUAAAGUUGGGAGGAAAAAAUUAAAGUUGUAUUGAAAAUGUAAAGUAACAUUCAUUUUAAAACGCAAUCUUUUUUCGCUAAAAUAAUACUCAUUAUGAAAGUGAGGAGUAAGUACAAAAAAGUAAACAAAAAAAACGGAGGAGUAUGUUGUAGCAAAGAAUAACUCAUAUAGAACACUACAAAAAAAUAAUAAUAAUAAACUCAUGAACUCGUCAUCACCAACAUGUAUUCUGGGCAAAGAGACCUUUAAUCGUUUAAGCCGAUGAUUUCACAAGUCAAUUGUGAGAUAAUUUCUAGUUAUAAUACUCCCUCUUCUGGUAUUAAUUCUCCACUUCUUUUCUUUUAAUCGGUUAAGGUGAAGAUGGAUUUCACACUAGACCUUAACAUAUCUGAUUUUCAACAAUGAUGAAAAAUUGAACAACAUAUUUGAUGGGUUUGAGUAUCCCCGUUUCGUCCCCAUCAUCACAAUCAAAUCAUUUUUUUUUUAAUAAAAAAGAAAUUUUACCAGCCCCAAACGCACCCCGAACCUUGGAUUUUCCCGUACCCAUAACCCAAACAUGAACCUACAGCCAGAAAUUAAUUUCCACGUUUUUCUUUUAAUCUAAUUCAUUUAUGGUAGGAAAACUCUCAAUACUAUGUGUAUUUUUCAAUUGCAAAUCAGGGAAAUGGUGAUAGUGAUUAACAGUUCUAAAAUAUCUCAAAAGUAUGGAUGACAUUUAGAGACUUGUAUGUUGCAUAUUCUACAUUUGAAACGAGUUUGGAAACAGUUUCGGAAUGGAUACAUAUAUCCCCACUACCCACUCCAUACCGGUAUUUUGAAAUCAGAAGAAAAAAAAACUCAAGCACAUACCUAAACCUAGUCAAAAUGGAAAAAACUCAAAUUGAAUUCGGUUCAGGAGAACACCCGAAGAUACAGGUUUUGUUGACAUGUCGUCAUCAUAAAAUGAUGUUUGGUUGAAGCUUAGUAUAUAAGUUAGACUAAUCAGUGGUAUUAGUUCAAUGAUAAAAACUUAGAUACUUGCGACCAUUUGGAUUUGAAUGAAGUCAAUUGAUUACUUUAGUACUUGAGUCUGAUCAAGCUUAGAUACUUUCGACCGUGAUCUCAAUUGAAUUUUAUUACUCACUUGAAUUCAACCACUUUAAUUAAUUUUAUUAAAUGAAUAAAAUUCACUUUUAGAAAAAUAAAAUUUUGUUGUUGAAAGAUUAUACAAGUUUGUCAUGCAGGAAUUUGAUCUUCCCACCAUCUUGUUGAGUUAAAGAGUUGUUUUCAAGCAAAGUAUCCAAAUCUUGGAAGUAUUGUUUCUCUUUUAAAAAUAUUUAAUUAGGGAAAAUGAUUUGGAUAGCUUAUGUCUGGGUUAUUCGACGUGAAAGACAUACUCGAGUUUUUCAACAAAAGAGGAUUACUUCACAUCAUCUUUUUGAAAAAAUCAAGCUUAAGUCUUUUUGAUGGCUGAACUAUCUUAAUAUCGCUUUCAACUUUCAUAUAUGGUGGCUUAAUCAACUUUCGUGUUUGGGAAGUUUUGUAAUGAAAUGUGUCUUUUGACUUUUUUUGGUUUAUAUUACACGUGAGUGUGUGUUUGGUAUAGCAGUGGUGAGAAUUAAUUUUGAUAGAAUUGAGUUUGAGAGAAUUGAUUUUGGUUAAAAGUGAGUUUGAUAUGAAUUGAUUUAUGUUUGGAUAUACUCACUUAAAAGUGAUUCUUAUGAGUUGAUGUUGUUUGGAUAGUUUGAAUCAAAAUUGAUUUUGAACGUGUAUUGACCAAAUUAUCAUUUCAAUCAAUUGUAUAUAAAAUUAAACACCUCAUCCUCAUUUUAGAUAAUUAUUUCAACCUAUCUAAAAUCAUAAAUGAAUAUUUAUUGGUUCAUAAAAUCAUUUUAAAAUAAUAUUAAUGUAUGAGUUUUUUUAAUAUUUUUUUAUCAAUUGAGUUAUUUUUAAUAUAAUAUAAGAUUUUCAAAGGGUGUAAAAAAUUCAAAAUCAAACGAUUAUAUCAUCCACCGUAAAAAAAAAAAAAAAAAAAAACACACUAUACUAAUUUACAAUAUAAUAGAAGUACAAUAUGCGCUAAACAAAUUUUUCAAUUGUACCUUAUAAAAAAAUUAGAGAGCAACAUAUUUCGGGGAAUAAUAUAAGGAGUUCAUGAGGGCAGUUGUGGUAAAUAGAUAAAAGUUAUAUUUGUGUCAGAGCUAUACAAAACAAAAUUGAUUACAAUUGCUACAGAAAUGAUACUUAUUGCUGGGUUGAGUUUGAGUAACAUGGAAGAUGAGUGCAUGCAAUGCUCUUAGAAAUUCUUAAGCCAUAAUAAAUAGCCCAAAUAAUGUUACCCAUUCUGAGCAGAAUUUCCCAUACAACGUGCUAUCAACAUUGAGAACAAAACAAUCUUCUUUCAAUGGACGCCAAGCAGUCCAUUUAGUAGGAAUUUGAGAGAUAGCAUGAGAAGGAAAACAAAUAGAUAACAAAGAUCUUUCAAGUCUUUUAGCUUCGACCACUACUUGGAACAAAUGAAUAGAUUCAUUGCAAAAACAUGCAAGGAACGGAUGCUCGAUCAACUGAGUUAAGUUUAAACCAACUCUCCAAAGAUCUCCAAAAAAAAAAAUAUAGUUAGUAGGUAUUGUAUAAGAAAUAUUUUGUAUAAACAAUUAAACAUCAUGUAGAGAUAUUUGUUUGUCAAAAAAAAAAAAAAUUUUGAACUUUUAUUUGAUUUUAGUUUUAAUAUUUUGUUUCAUUUUCAGAAUUGAUAUAUAAUUCAUAUUAAAACCAUUCUAAUAAGUAUUAAGAUAAUUAAUCAAAAAUCUAAUAUAAAUUUUAAAUAAAAAAUUAUCUUCCGUUUUUAAUAGCUAAUUGAAUAUAUAUAUAUAUAUAUAAGUCACUUUGGAAAGAAAAAAAGUUUUGGUUUUAUUAUAAGUCGCUUUAAAAUACCAAUGUAUCAUUAAUGAUUUUUUUUUCCUAUCAUACCUGAUAUGUUCAAUGAAGAUUGAGGAUGUUAAGCGGUUGUUCGCGGUAUUCCGGUGCAUGCAGACACGUUAGUACUACAACGCUCAACUGAGUAUCUAAAGAGGUGGUUAUGUGCCAAAAUGGUGAAAAGUGAAGUGUACGUUGAGGGUGACGUUAAGCGGCGUCUCCUUAGGGAGUUGUUGGAGAUAUCGUGGACGGUGGAUAUGGGGCUAAGGUGCGCUCAUGUGCGGUAAUCCACAUAGAGCGUCAUGUGUUCCUUCACCAUUUAUAGUCUUGUAUGCCUUGGGUCUUGACUUAUUGGGACAUGCGUUAUUGGGCUUCUAGUUGAUGUGGAACAAUAUCCUUUACCAUUUAUUACUAUCUAUACUUUCCAUUCUUUUCAUCUCUUUUUCUCAUAUCAUUAACGAGGGAUAAUUUUGUAAAAUCCCUCAUAAUUUCUAUUUCCAAUACAAAAUUAACUUUUUUGAAAGACAAUGCAAAAUUAACUAUAUAAUUUUCUUAAACGUGUGAAAAUGUCAAAACAACUAAUAAAAUAAAAAAGGAGUAUUAAGAAUGAUGUAUUUGAUGAAAUAAUUCCAAAAUACUUCAAUAAGCGUGAACGUGGUAAGGACAUGAUAAACAUGCAUUGAUGAUUGCCCUUAUAUUUUAAGAUAAUCCAAGCCAACAUACAUGACAUUUUGCGCUUUUCAGUUGAUUACGACUAUAAAAUUUCAAGAAUUUGAAUAAUGCCAAGAAAAACAUAUUUUUGACAUUACCCAAAUUCUUAAAAUUACAAAUCCAUAGUCAAUUGAAAAAGAAAAUGUCAUCUUUGUCGACCUCAGUUAUCCAAAGAUGUGAGGUUAACUACUACUAAAUGUCGUUCAUAGCCGUAUCCAAAGAUGUGAUCAUUGAAGAUUAGAGAUCAAACCUUGAUAUCAUUGAAAGCUAAGUUUAAUUAGUAUUGGUGAUUUCUGUUUUUUUUUUCUUUGAAGGAAGGUGAUUCCUUGUUAAAAGGUUUGCGUAUUAAAAUAUGAGAAAUGAUAAGAAGUGUCAUAGGGACACUCUUUACGAAUCUUAAAUGAGUAGUGUUAACAACACUCUUAUUAAUAUUUUCUCUAAUUUUCACUCUUUUAUUGGUUUAAAUCAUUGUGGGAUCAUUAUACUUUUCAUUGGUUUAAAUUAUUGUGAGACUAUACUUUGGAAAUAUAACUCACACAAAAUGGUGGAACAUACAUUGAUUCCAUCUAAUAAAAGAAUGAGUACGGGAGAUAGUGUUCAAAAAUGAGUAUUGCUAACAUUUCUCAUCUUAGAUACUCCCUCCGUCUUAAAAUAUAAGCAAAAAAAUCUCAUUUUCUUUGUUUCAAAAUAUAAGCAAAAAAGACAAUCUUUUAUGCUAUUAUUAUGUUUUUUUCAAACAAAUCAUCUUUUCCAAUGUAAAAUUAAAUGCAAAUUGCAUUCAAUUUGUUCUCCUUUUUAUUUUCUCCAUAAUUUUUAACCAAUGAGAAUUAUUUUUACAUCUUUCCAUGAAACUUAUUCCAACGAGAACACAAAAAAUUAUACCUCAAAUCAUUAAGUGUUAGUUUUCUUAAUAAGUGUGAAUUAGUGUUUUUUGCUUAUAAAUUAAGACGGAGGGAGUAGUUAGUUUUUAUGGAAAUUUAUGAAUUCAAUGCAUCAAAAAUUGAAGUACUUGACAUUUUUGGUAAAUAGUUUCUCAAGUCAGAAUUCUUAAAGAGUGUCGUUAGGAUACUUAUCCCUUCGUUCUAAAUUAUAUGUCAUUUUGACAAUUUUCCAUAGAUUAAGAAAUGUAAUUAAUGUGGUAUAGAGAAGAGAAAAUAUGAAUCGUUUUACUAAAAUAUCCUUCAUUAAUGGUAUAAAAAAGAUAAAUUAAAAAUAAACAUUAAUGUUUUAUUGAUAUCGUAAAUAGUAAUGACAUAAUUAAGACGAAAAUAAUUUACUAGAAUAACAUACCACUCCCUCCGUUUCAAAAUACAUGUCCAAAUCAAUCACUUCAGAUAUGUCAAUGCACAAUUUUGACUGUUAUUAUAAUUAAUUAUAUAUCUAAAGUAAAAAAUUAUAAAAUUUUAAUAUUUUGAAAAUAUUUGUCGAGACAAAUCAAUCAACAUCUUACAUGCUAAUAUUUGUAUUUAUACAUUAGUUAAAAAGUAUGGUCAAAGUAAAUCAAGUAAAUAGUGCACAUUGCAAAAAUUGGACAUGUAUUUUGAAACGGAGGGAAUAAAAUGUUGGGGAAAGAAGUAGUUAGCGAUAUAUCUCUUUAAAAUAAACAAUGGAUAAUGCACUGAUUGUUAAAUUACUUGGUUUUGAUUCUAAUCCUAACAACAUCAGAGAUCCUAUAUUGUUCUCCUAUUCAAAAAAUUCACGUUAUUCCUAAAUGCAUGCAUGCAUGCUAUUCAAAUUGAAUGGAUACAUUAAAAAAUAUAUGUUGAUUUAAUAUCAGAAACUAAAAUUUUCACUCCCUCUUCAUCUUCCUCCUUUUGUUUUUUGUUUAGUAUGGUUGAUAGGAUUUGAGAAUAUGAGUUGGAAGAAGAAAAAGAAAGAAGUCCAUGAGUCACAUGUGUAAUGUUUUUUCUGUUUCACUCUCCAUAUAUAAAAUUUCAAUCCCUUUCUUGCAUUUUAUACUAAAUAUGAAACUAGACUAAAACAACUUUUUGAAGAGGAAAAGGCCAAAUUAUGGUUCGUGCUGAAGUACUCUUCAGUCUUGAUGCAGUUUAUUUUUUUUUUGGUUACAGUCUUGAUGCAGUUUGCACCAAUGUUGUUGUACUUGUUUGAAUGCCAAGCUGUAUUAACUACUUGCAUGGAAAUGGAAAAAAUGAGAAGGCAAUGACAAAGGUUGUUUGGUCGCACUAAAUCAAGUACGAAAAGCAAUCAAACAAAAUGAAACAAGGAGUAUAGAACUAUGGUUCUUUACUUUCAUUUGUUUCUCUAUUGACUAUUAGCAUUUUGUAAUUAGGAAGGGAAUUGAAAAGAUUAUUAUUUUUUGAUAUAAACAAAUGCAAAGAUAAUAAUAGUGAUUAAUUAGGACUACAAGCUUAGUGAAUAAAUUUCUAUUUGAUAUUUUAAGGAAGUUCAUAUAUUGGCAACCCAUAUAAAAUCAAAUAUAUAUUAUUCAAUUUUUUAAAGAGGCAAAAUGAUUUUUUUCUUAAAUGAAAAUUAAUUAUGUGAUUAUCUUCUAGUGACACAACAUGAUAUCUAUAUUUCUCAACAAUUGAUCGGUCGCCUAGAGAGCACAUAUGAUUCUACUAUAUCACAUCUAUGUGGAAUUGACCAUUGACCAGUCAUCUCUAUGGAUCAAUAUUUUUAACGUGAGCAACAAUAUACAUAUCUUAGUCCUUAAAAAAAAUACAUAUCUUAUAAAUUUAAAAAACAUAAUUAUUUAUUUGUCUUACAUAUUAAUGAUUUACUUUCUUAUGUGAUAAGAAGAAGAAAAAUUAACAAUAAACUGGUAUAGGAUGGUAAGAAAUUGGACCCUUGAACAAGUAGAAAAAAAAAUGCCAAAAUGUGUUAGCACCGCUAAAGCACAUUAAUGAGUUGCAUGGAAAUGGAAAAAAAGAUAAGAAUUCAAGGACAAGUUUGUUGGAUUGCAUACUAUACUAAGUCACAUAGGUAACGUGAGAAUAGAUAAGAAUUCGAGGACAAGUUUGUUGAAUUCUAGGAUAAUCAUGGAAAUGGUAAUUUUUUUUUUUCUUAUAACAUGGAACGGAGGGAGUAUACAAUAAAAAUUUAAUUAGUAUACACUAUAGUAAUUUAAACUCGUAGAUAAAGUCUACGUGAGCUUAACUUAAUUGACAAGAACAAUGUAUAAUAUAUGUAAGGUUUGAGGUUCGAACCUCAGACACCACCAAAUAAAAAACUAAUAGAAUAAGUCACGUUCUCAUAUAAGAAAGAACGGCGGAGGAAACUGCGUUGAAGGAGAACGGAAUGCAACUUAAAUCCGUAGGUUGUAUUCCAACGUGAUUUUGUAUUAGUUUUUUUUUUAUCAUUUCCCUUGUGUUAUUAUUAUGUGUUUGUAAUUUUGCUACUUAAUUUCGCAAAGAAUAAUUUAGAGAAUAAUUUUUAUUUCUUCCUUCUCUAGUUUUAAACAUUUAAUCUACUAUUAAUACUAUGUUGUACUUCUCAUUUUAAGCUAGUUAUAGGAGGUAGCUAUUUAGUAUAAUAAAAACAACAAACAAGGUGAACAUAACUGAAAAGUGAGAAUGUUAGCAAUGAUUACUUUGCAGAAACAGAAUGUUAGCUUUAAACUUUUUUUUCCUUAAUUUCUGGUAACAUAGCUUUUACAAACAAAGUUCAAGUUCAAGCAAUGAUACACCUCAAAGUACAUCAAAGACUAAAAUUAAAAGACAAACAAACCGUUUAAGUGAAAAAUAAGAAGAAGAAAAAAAAUCCAAAAGCUUAGCACAAUAAUCAUGUGUCUAUAUAUGAUAAUCUUCUUGGUCCUUAAAUAUUAUAUUUUCAAAUAAAAUAUCAUCCAAGAGAGUAUCUAUCUACUAAUUAAUAAUAAUGCCUUCAUUUAAUCAUUUAUAUGUACAAUAUUGGCCUUUCAAUUUUUUCUUGACUCAUGCAAUGCAAGUGAAGCAACUUUGAAAGAAACACAACCCUCUCUUCUGCAUUGGCAAAAAAAAAGAAAAAGUCAUAUUAGAAAAGGAAAUUUAUAAAAUUAAUAAAACUUUUGCUAAAGAAGAAAAGAGCAAAAGUAUGAAUAAUUGAAUAUGCACUAAAUAGGUAAAGACAUUUAUGAAAGCAAAGUAGUAAAGGUAAAUGAAAAUUUAAUUUUAGUGGUUUCAAAAGCAAAAGAGGGUGUGUGGGGCUAUACUAUACCUUCCUAGUUUUGACAUAAAGAAGAUCUGGUGAAAUUUUGUACAAGUCUUCAUCAACAGGCUUUGGUGUUGGUCUUGACAUUGGAGUGGGACUUGGUGGUUCUUUCACAACAUGGCUCACCCAAUUUUGCUUUUUCACAUCCUUUUCAUGUUGGGAACGUACCUUUUCCUACAAUGUUAACAACAAAUUAAUUAAUAAUUCUAUCUUGCUUUAUAAAAAGUGACAUUUGUGGUUACAUAAGUCUAAUUAAUGUCUAGACAUGCAUGCUUUGUAUAUCUAGCACAUUGCAUGUGUCAUUAUGAAUGCAAUUUUGAUUACUUUAUCUUGUUAUCAUUCACAUGGAUUCCAUUGUCUGUAUUUUUAGUGACCCAUUAAACAUGGCCAUUACUUUUUGUACCUUAUAAAUUUCUCGCGCACCUUAUUCAGAUUUUAAAAUCUAAAAUAUUUCAACGUGUUUUUGAAGAUUUUAUUAAAUUUUUAUAAAGUUCAAAUUUUAAAAUCCAAACUAUAUAAUGCGCGUGAAAACCUCAUAAAAUAGGAAAAAAGACUCUCCAUUAACAUAGACAAUAAUAAAGCCUAAAGUUAGAUGCAUUAUUAAACAAAGUCAUGGAUAAUCCUACUUUAUCACUAUCAAAAUUUAGUAACUUGAAUAAUAGAGUUAAAAAUAACAUCACAAACAAUUUGCUGUUGUUGUCAGAAAGCUCUUGCUUUAAUAAUUUGUCACGCUAUCGCAGGAAUCAUUAAUGUCAAUACAAUAGGAGGCCCAAUUAUAAAGUAGUGUGACCUACCAUAGAGAAAUUAAUUAUUUUUCAUUAACAAUGGCAAAGUUUCUUUCUUUUUCUACUCUCACGGUCUAAAAGCCUAUAAUCACUUUGAUGCAAUACAAUUUAAUUUUUCUACUCACUUUUAUUUUCACACUCUUCCUAUUGAGGACAGCCUAGUAAAAUUAAAACUCAAAACAAAAUUCCAUAAUUAAUGAUUUAAAUCCAAUCCAAUUAAAGACAUGCAAAACAAUAAAAUAGUAGGAGUAAAAUUAGUAAGACCCAUGUAAACUUCUAAUUUGAUGUGAAGAAUAUACUCCAACAUAGAAUGAUAGAUUCUCUAACUUUGACAAUAUAUGUGAAUUGAAUUUUUAUUUCCUCUUUUAGAAAAUAAAAAAUAAAAAGAGAGAAAAACAAGGAUAAGAGAGUUAAGGUAACAUACCCUUCUACGUGGAACAACAAUCAUUGCAGGAGUAACAACAUGAUUAUCAUACAAAUCACCAGCAACAUAAAGAUCUUGAUCUUCAUUACUUUCAGAGUAACUAUAGUGUAGAAAACCACCUUGUCUUGCAGAUUCAAAGCAUUGAGUGAAUGGAAGAUUAUCAUUCCAAUCCCAGCUACCAAAUGCUGGUACAUGGUUCCUCUUGAAGUGGUAUUCCUAUUACACCCCCAAAUAAAAAACCACACCCCCCAUAAAACAUACAUUUUAGUUUUCAUAAACAAAGUUAACUUACAUAUAUAUAUCAACAAGAACAUUAACUUAAGUUAACAUAAGUGUAUAUAACAAAAGAAUUAGAGACUUACAUGAUCCAUUGUUUUGAUGAAACAAGUGUUGAGUGAUAGAAUGUAGAAGGUUAUUGACCAAGAGGUUUUGUUUCUUUUCUUUGAAGUGUGUUAUUCAGGUGGUUGGAAGCAAUAUAAAAGGAGGAGAAAGAAUGAGAGAGAGAGAGAGAGAGUAAAUGAAUGAUAAAGGUUGAAAAAGAAAGAGGUAUGAAGUGGGAGAUGAUGAAAAAGGAAAUAAGGUGAAAUGGUAAAAAAGAUAACUCGUAACAGAGUAGGAGACAGAGGAACAAAGAGGUAAGGUAUGAGAAAAGGUAAAAGACUAUAUAGAUAGAUAGAGUCAUAGAGAGUAGGGUUGAAAAGGAAAGUACUUUGUGUUAAACAUAGAAGAUAUUGGGGUGCGGAGAAUGUACAUUCGUGUUCUCUUUUUCAAAUGACCAUUUUCAUCUUUAUCUACAUACUAUACUACAUUUCCAAUUAACUUUCUACUAAUUUACUGCUACUUUACCUAAACUAGGUCUACGGUUGUUAAAAUUUACUACCUUGCUCUUUCUCCAUUUUAGUUUAAUGAAAUAUUAAAAUUUAAUGUGAACACUUUAGAAGUUGAUUGUGCAUGCUACUUUCAUCAUCAUAUUUCAUCUUCUUUUAACGCUCAUUCUAACGUUCACUCUAUUUUUAGAAUCAAUGUAGGUUCUACAUUUUCAAUAUAAAUGUCGCAUAAUGACAUAAAUGGUGGGAUAUUACAUGAACUUGAUUAAUAAGAGAGUGAUAGUUAAAGUAAAUCUUUAAAAAUGGUGGGAUAUUACAUGAACUUCAUUAAUAAGAGAGUGAUCAUUAAAGUAAAUUUUGAAAAGAAAGUAUCUCUAACACUUUUUUUUAUGUACUCUCUCUGUUAUCAAUUAUAAGUAAAUUUUUUUAUAUUUUUAGGUUCAUUGAAUUAAUGAAUGUGAUCUAUAUUAUGAACCACAUACAUCAUUAAUUGAAUGAACUUAAAAAGUCAAAAUUUGCUUAUAAGUGACAACGGAUGGAGUAUAUACUACGUUUUUAUUACCAAGUUUUGAAGUCUUACAUGUGCCUCCAUGGUUUUGAAUUUGGAUUAAGCGUAUAAAUUGUCUUAGAACCACAAUUGGCUUGAGCGUCAGAGUUCUAAAAAUUAAAUCAACGCGCCCUGCGACGAGCAACAAUUUUCCUCUACCGCAUCCAACCAACUAGGGUUUUUUUUAAUUCAAAUUGAUCCAAAAGAAAAUCACAAACCGAAACAAUAAAACCGAAAACCGCAAAUAUCAAAUAUUUUUGGAUGCGUUUGGAUGUUGUUUUGUAAAAACUGCUAGGAUCGUAUCGGAUUUUGGAUCACUUUCUCAAAACCGAACCGAACCGCAAAAGUAAAUAUUAAUACUAAUUUAUUCUUUUAUAAGUAUUAUAUAUUAAUAAAAAAAAUUACAUUGUUCCAUAAAAGUAAAUAAAAAAUAUAUAUUUUGCAUUUUAUAUUCAAAAACCAAUCCAAAUUAAACUGCAUAUAUUUGAAUCGAAUUGGUUUAAUUUUUUUAGAAUAGUCGUCGAAACCAAACCAUAUACAAUCUUUUUAUCUGAAGACAUUUUAUCUCAAAAUCGAUUCAAACUACACCACGAACACUCUACAACCAACUCCGAUUAUUGUCUUCACUCCACUCCAAUGAAUAUUUAUAUUUAUUGUCAAUAUUAAUUUCUUUCUAAUAUUAUUGGAACAGGAGUACAAGUAUUAAGUAAACAGUAAAUAAGUGAAUAAGUUAUCUCUGAUGACUUUUAUUUUAUUUUGCAUUAAACAAUAGUAGUACUUGUACUACUACUACUACUCUGCUUGAACCGAUGAACUGCUUUUGUUUUAGUUGAAUGGAUGGAGGGGUCAAUAAUCUGUGUAACAGUCAGUCCUUUGGCCUAAUAUGUCGCUGAAAUGAAGAAACAAAAACGUGAAUAUCAAUGCAAAAUGAGAAAAGUGACAAAGUUGGUUGCUUCUUUCUUGGGGAACUCCAAGCUCGAUGCCCAUAUAUAUUUACCAAUCUGCUCUGCUCGUGAGAUAGGUUUAACUUUAUUUGCAUCACAAGUCACACGCUUAACCAUAUGUGUCUUAGUGCUUUGUGCCAUAAAUUUCCAUGUGACCCUGUCUACGUCUCUCUGUGGGUUGACGUAGUAACUCUAUACCGAGCACCUAAACAAUAUUCCCCAACGACCAUCAAUCAAUCUACAUUAUUAAGCUAGCCAUUGAAAGUAGAAACUAGUCAUGUUUUCAAACUCUAAACUCGUGUAUAAUUAAUAACGAUAAAGGAAUGAGGGUAUUGGCUUAUAGUCUUAUAGCUAGACACACACAAAAGUACAAAAACAUAAGAGAAUAACUAUGAACUUUGAGAGUGAUUGACAAACUCAGCCAAAAUACGGCAUAAUUGACCUUUGAGUAAGUUAUCACUUAGACCAAAAUAUUUUCGUACAUUAUUAUUAUAAUUAGUGUGUGUUUAGUUUUAAUUUUGGAACGGUGAAUAUUGAUUCUAGAGGAAUAAAACUGGGUUUGACAUGUUUUGAUAUUUAAAGUUUAAUUGGUUUUGUUUAUUGAAUUGAUUCUAUUUGAAGUUAGAACAUUUAUAUAUAAACAUGAAUUUAAUUUGUAAAUUUUGUUAGUGUAAAAUAAUUAUACAUUGACAUAGCAUAUUAAUUAAACUCUGAACAUAUUGAAACACAAACUAUGUUACAUUUAAAUUCAUUUUUAAUUAAAAUCAAUUAUAAAAAAUCCAUUAAUUCAAAACAACUCUCAUCGUCGAAGAACCAAACACAUACUUAGUAUUAACUUAGUGUUUCAUUUUAUUUUAAUUUGUUGUUUUUAUUGUAUCAAUUUAUUAAUAAUUUAAGGACAUAAGUUAAGAAGCUAAAAAUGGAAUUAUAACAUGGAAUGCCAUAAUUUCCAAUAAAAUAUUUCUAUAUUUAUCUUUAGUUUAUUAACUUGUGCCUUAAGUUAACAUUUCCCAUAAUUUAAUCAUACUUUCAUAAUUUUGAAACAUUCAAAAUAAACGCAAGACACACUUAUAAAUUAACUAACGAAGAAUAUCUUUGUUAGCAAGUAGGCAACCACACUAGAAAUAUAAUCAAUAUAUAUUUUUUAUAUGUAAAAUAUAAUAGACUAAUAAUACUUAAAUUAAUUUUUUAUCAAAAAAUAUUUUCUUUUCACUCGUAGACGAUGCUCUUAGAUAAUUUGUUAAUGCCUUUUGACAUUAAAAAAAUCGACCAUAGCAAGACUUUUAAAAGUUACUACUAAUGUUGCAGAAUUUACCUUUUUUUUUCGAUAUAAAUGUUACAAAUUUGACUCUUGAAACUAAGGACUAUAAAUAGGCUAAUUAUAGCAUGAAAAUCGAGAACAUGCUAAUGUUCACAGACACAAUCAAUCAAAAAUUCAAUACUCCAUACAGAAUAAUUCAUAAACAAAAGUUGACAAAUUACAUUUAUUGAUGAUAAUGAUAUUUAAUCACACAAUCUCAUUUAAAAGCAUGUUGUAUUCAUGAGCAUGUGCUUGCAUUCUAUUGCUUAGCAUAAGUAAGCAAAAAAGAUACUAUCUACAUACUGCGGAUAAAAUGAGUUUUUCAGUUACAAUUUCUCAUCAGUAUCAUGUUGCUUCCAAUUUACAUUCUCACAUGUCACAACAAUCUACCUUUGGGGCAGAGCUAAGGUCAGUGCUCUAAUACAUUAUCAUGUUUCUAUUACAAAACACAAUUUCACCUUCAUUAAUUCCUUACUGAAGGGGGGCGUUAAACCAAAAACAUCCAGACAAUCUCUCUCUGUCAAACAUAUUUUUAGAAAACACUAUAUUGAAGCAAAAAGAGUAUUGAGGGUAAACCGAAAGAAAUGUUAAGUGAAAAGAAAAACUGCCCCCUUGUGCGAUAGCAGGCAUAGCUCACUUAUUAUUGUCCUCUUGAUACCUUUCCGUUUGGCUAAAAUAUCGAUCUGUAUUUAGUGGUUGGUUCCAACCUUCUGAAUCAUGAGAAUCAGCAACAGAUCCUCCAUGCAUGGGAGCAAAUGCUGCAAUGAAAUAUUGAUAGACUUUAACCCACAAAACAAAAUUGUAAACAAAACACAAUGUUCUUGAAUCAUAUAGUCAUUUCUCGCAGCAUACAAUAAGUGAUAAGAAAAAGCAACGUACAAUUAGUGACAAGAAAAAAAAAAACUCAUCAUUUAUUCCAAGCGCCUCUAUUAAAAUUUUGAAGACGAAAUGUUUGGAUUGGUGGCAUAGUCACUUAUCGCAUCAUAAAAUAAGUGAUAUGAAAAAAGAAAAAAACUCUUCAUUGAUUACCAAGUGUCUCUCUAUUAAUUUUUUUUUAAGACUGUAUGUUUGUAUUGGUGGCGUAGGGUGGAAUGUAAUAAUAUAGGUUAGUUAAAUUUUAAGAAAGAGAUGUUAUCCAAUUCCAUUUCAUUCCCAUCCAUUCUACCCUAUACCACCAAUCCAAAGAUACCAUUAGCUUUCUAGGAUCACCAAUCCAGACAUACCAUUAGCUCUCUAGGAGAUCACCAAUCCAGACAUACCUAGAGAUUGGAUUUAAAUCUCUAGGAUCUGCACCAUUAAAGGCUCACUAUGUUUUGACAUUGAUACCAUAGAAUAACAUGACAAAAAACUGCAAUAGAUAUUGUAGUAGACUUAAAUUGCUCCUUCAGUACAUAAUCAAAGAAAAUGACCAGAUUACUUUUAGAAAAACAAAUUCAUGGCAAAUUACUUUUGGCCUGCAAAAGUGAGAUUGAAAAUUUGAAAUUGGAAUAGUAUGAAAGACAGAUUUGAACAUAUUUACAAAGACUAUUCUCAAAUUGCCAAGCUUCUCUCAACACUACAGUCUACAGCUAGACUAAACACAAAUCAACCAUUAACCAAAGGCCUAAAGGUAUCUACUCUGAUAUUUAUAAUUGAUUUAACUUAGGCUACUUUGAUUUGUAGUACAUUUAGCAGAAUUUACGUUUGCAUUCAAUUCAACACACUAUAGUAUGCUUAGCUGAGCUCAGUGGAAAGUUUGUCAGUCUGCAUGUCUAACAUCGAAAACUCAGGAAAAACUGUAUCGGCUCAUCACCACAAUGAGGGCUACACCAUUACUAUAACAACAAAGUGUGUUGCCCAUUUUAAAACAUUCAAUAAAAAUGUCCAUUUAAGUGGGUUGAAUGCAGGGAUUAUAAAAUUUGUGAUGCGGUAUGAGAAUGAGCAGAAAAAUCUAGAAUCUUAACUAACCUUUCUCCCUCAUUCUUCUCUCUCUGUCAUACUCAAAUUUAUCGCGAAUGAGGUUAACUUUCUCCAAAGUAUCAGACUUUCUGUCUCUAACAAAAUUCAGGUCCUGCAUUACAAUACAGUCAUCAGACAGAAAAUACAACACAAAAAAAAUAUAGUAAAGAAAAUUCCGAUCUUAAAGAUUACAAUAAUAGUAAUAAUAAAUUACACACUGAAUAUCGUUCCUUUCCCAUCUAUCACCUCUCAAAAGAUGAUAUGCCUUAAAUUGAUCAAAAAUACAACAGUAAGCAUAAUUUCUUACGGCAAUUCAUUCUGCGCAACUCACGUAUCAAACAAUAUCAUUAGCAAACUGCUGUACUAGUCAUUAUCAAGUAUAUUCAACCAUACCUUGUUGUAUUCCAUCUGGGGUCUUCUAUUCCUGAAAUGCCAUGAAAUACCAAGAUUAGACACCAUAUCCAUGACACCCUCCCCCCCAAUCCAUCACUUAAUGAAUGAAGAAAUUUAAACCAUUUAUCUGAUUGACCAGCAAAAACAAUGCAAUGCUGUUAAAUCAAAAUAUUCAAAGAACAGAAAAUUCAGCACCAAGGGAGUACAGAGAUAAUAAAAAAAGCUCUUCAAAAUAUUCAAAGAAUAAUUGUGACGCAGUCCCUUUCUUUGGCAUGAAAAUCUCAAAUGCAGUCAAGCGACAAGCUCAUGCACAUGACAUUAAGAUCGAUUUAUAUUCUUCCAAGAAAGCAGUUAUGAACUAUGCAGAAAAGGAGAAAAACGAUGGAGGCAAACCUGUAAGGAGAGAAAUCUUCAUCAUCAUCUUCAGCAGACUCAUAGUUCGCAUGAUCCCGAGCAAGCUUGUUAGAAAAACCCUCGUCCCAAUAAAGUCUCUCCCAAUUUUCUCGAAGUUCAUUAUAUAAUUCCAUAUACCUUUUGCACCAAGGAUCAUGUUCCUUUCAAUACAAUAUGCACAUUUUAGGACAGUAACUAGGAUUCAAUUAACAGAUAUAUAUAAAAAACCAAAAAUACUUAUCACUAAUUGACAACAUUUUUUCCAACACAAACAAGUCAAUAUGGCAUAAAUAUGAACAGGCCCAUCACAUUUCUCAUUCACAUUACAAAAGAAAAUCACCACUUAAUCAUGAAAGUUUGAAACAUAGUAUACAAAGACAUUGGCAGAUUAUUAUAUCGAUUUGUGCCUUUGCCAUGUUAUUCCUUUGAUCUAGUUAUAAAGAUAAUCUCAAGCCAUAAAUAAAUUAAUUUAAAUCAACGCAAACUUACUAGAAUGGUGAAAAUACAGCAUAUAUUAAACAAUACUCAAAUAACACAUAACAAGAUAUUUAUUUUUAGGUUAAAUUGCAUGAUUGGUCCCCUACGUUUAUUUUAGGUUUCAAGUUGGUCCUCUAAGUUAACAAAAGUGUCAUGUUGGUCCCUAAUGUUACUGAUGUCAGAAUAGAUUCGUCUUUUUCGUUAAAUUUUAAGCCAACUUUGUCUAAAACGUCCAUGUGGCUAGCAAAGACGCAUACACGAAUAACUUUGAGGGGUGCCAUAGGACGUCUUAGAUGGAGUUAACUUAAAAUUUGACAGAAAGGAUGAACGUAUUCAGACAUCAGUAAUGUAAGAACCAACUUGAAACUUUUUAAACUUAGGGGACCAACUUGAAAUUAAAAUAAACAUAAUGGAUUAAAAAUGCAAUAUAACCUCAUUUUAUAUUUUUACUACUUUGCUAUGGCAUCGUUUGACCAAUGUAAUUGACCCCACUUAGUGGAAUAAGGCUUGGUCAUUGUUGUUGUUGUACUAAAGCUUCUCAAAUAUAUCAAAUUAGUCCUUAAAAAGAUACCCUGUUUUCAUACUACUCUAGAACAUCCGAAACUAGGCUAAACUAAAUAAUGUCAUGUUUGGAUAAACAACUUAACUAAGAUUUCCGUUAUAUAAGUGCUUACAUAUACACUAAUUUAAUAACAAAAGUCAAAUAGAGAUUUUUACAAUAAAAGAGCAAAUAAAGUCAAUCUGUUUUCAUAAAAGCUAUAACCCAUUUUCAUAAGCUACCCUGAAGCUGGAAACAUAUUACGCCAUGUCAUAAGUUACUUUCAAGAACUCUCUCAAAAAGGCUCGCCUCACAAGUGCUUAUGUCAAUAAAUAAGCUUACAUAAGUCAAUCCAAACAAGCCCUAAAUCCUAAAAGACAUUUUGACCUCAGCAGCACCAAUACUUCUGAUCAAAGGUGUGUCCAGUACCAGACACAUGUCCACCAACACACAUGAUUAAAUUCAAUAAUGUCAUUUUCUCAAAUUACUACGGGUCUCUCGUCUUGUCAAUGUCAGUGUGUAGCAGGUAUCAGGUGUAGUGAUUAAUAUAGUUUGAAAAUCAAAUUAAUCCUAAAUUUUCAACUAAUUAUAAAUUCAAUCACAAAACAGAAAAAAUAGAAAAGGAACAAAUUUAAGGUAAGAGAAGAGAUAAGGGACUGACAGAUUCCUUAAGAACGAGGCGAGUUCUACGCAUGAACUGUUCUCUCAACUGUUUACGUCGUUUGUUAGGGAUAUUCUCACGAGGAAUAACGAACCGUUCACGUGGCGGAACGUGAUCACCGAUUUCGUGCAUUUCGCCAUCGACGAUCCACCAUUCUGAUCUUUCCUCCGGUUUUUUGAGCGGAAGAGGCGUAGACUUGGGGCGGCGUCUGGAAUGGGUGGGGGAGGGUUGAGGAGGAGAGCGAAGUUGAUGGGAGGUGCGAGAAAGAAAGGGGGUGAGAGAGGAAAGGCGUUUGGUGAGAGAUAGCAUGGAUUGGAUUUGAAUGGAUUCAAAUGUGUUGCUUCUGAUGAUUUUGAGGUUUAGGGUUUAAGAAGAAGAUAACAACUGUGGAGAGAUUUUCAAUUUCAUUUCAUGUCUAAUUAGUGUAAAGAUUAGAGGAUAAUACAAACAUCCGUAAGAACAGAGAAAAGUUUCAUCAGUAUUUACAUUAACAAGAAAUUAUUCUAAAAUAUUUAAUUAAUUUUUUCAAUUCACUACCAAAAGAAAUUAAUUUUUUUAUUUGUACCUUAAUAAUAUUAAUACACUCUCUUUGUAUCUAAGGUUAUGUUUGGCUUUGGCCCAGCUUAAUUAAGGUAUUAAUUUUUAUCAAUUGUACUUUAUCUUUUUUCUUUUUUUGAAAGGCAAUUGUUUUUUAAUGUUUGCGAAUUACAUCCAUUAUUUUAGGAUGAAGAGAGAGUCUUUUUAAUAUUUAACUAAUCCCAAAAAAAAAAAUCUUUAAAAAAUAAAGUUAAUCCAAUAAAAAUUUCCAAAUCAACGAUAUGACAUCGGUACAAGUGAAAUUGAACACGAAUUAUUUAAUUAAGAUCUUGGAUUCGUGUAUUAUGAAUGAAAAAAAUAUGGUUGAGAGAGAAGACCCUAAACAUACCAUUAAUUAAUACUAUAAACUUAUCUUGAAAUAUGAAAAAUUAAAUUUAAUACACAUAUAAACAAAAGACAAUUUGAUAAUAUUAACACACAAAACAGACAUAUUAAUUACACUGAUAAUUUUUUUUAAGAAAUGUGAAAAAUGUAAAAGAGACUUACAUAUAAGGACAGAGGGAUAAGUGGAUUUAAGACACCCAAAAAUUAACAUUUUGCCCCAACAAAGUUAACAAAUGUUCGCUGGUAAACAAUAGUAGUAAUUUCCAUUUCAGAUCUGUCGAAUGGAACACAUAACACAUUUAUGUCUAAAUGUCGUACCAAUGAUAGUUAACUACUAUUGGAAUCUCUUGCAUAAUAAUUUUGAUCACCUAACCAUCUACCCCCGCUGUAAAAGCAUCUGUGGAGUUUGCAACUCGGGUAUUUUUUUUAGGGGAACUCAGGUAUUUAUUUGUUUCUUUGUCCGAGAAGGAUCAAUAUUCAUAUUUUAAGCAAACCCCGUUAAAUAUGAUAAAUCUCCCAAACAUUUAUUCAUUAUCUUCUACUAUUUCUUGGCCAUAAACCAGGUUACUUCUGGAUACUAUAUUUUAUGGAAUAUUCUUGCAGUGUAAAAAUUGAAAUGGGCACCGAGAGGCAUCUGAAUCUUAAUGGUGGGGCACCAUUAGAUGUAUCAUAGAAACUCUUAAAUGAUGCUUUUUAUUCUGUCAAGUAAUGUGGAGACAGCCAAUUGAAUCUGGUGUUUGAGUGGUUUCAUCAUAAAGUAAUAAAUGUUCUUUUAGUUUGAAUUUCAAAUUGGUUAUCUAGUUAUUAAAAUGGUGUGACACAAGUAUAAAUAUUUGAGUCUCACUGCUCAGGUGAUCAAAAUGUUGCAAGAGAUCCCACUUUAACUACUGUUGGAGCGAGAGUUAAUACCAGUUCUAACAUGAAUUUGUUCCUAAUUAAUGUAAUAUAAAGGUCUAGAACAGUAAUUAACUAUCAUUCACCAACGAAUGAUAAUUAACUGCCGUUGGAGUAAAAUUAUCAUUUUGAGAUGCCUGAUAACAUAACAACCCAUAUGUAUCUAAAGAGCAACCCAUAUGUAUUUAAAGAGCAAUGUUCUGAUCAUCGUCACAGUUGGUCCAUGCAUCGAUCAAUCAAAUUAGUCUUCUCGCCUUAUGCAUUUUGUUUACAGUAAUCUUAAUCAACUUUUGGAAAGACUAGCAUUUGUCACAACACAACAACAAAAAGCUGAAGUGCAUAGCAAAUAAAAUUAAUCUAAUUUAGAACUUUGAAAAAUAACCAACUAUUUUUUUUUCUUUCUUUAUUUCUUUUACCAAACAACACACCAAAUUCACUUCAUUUCUUAUAUCUUUGUUUCUUUUCGCACUUUCAUUUCUUUCUCACUUCUCACUUUUGCUUUCCCCACUUAACAACCCAGUAGGGAUUAUAAGCUAUCCAAAAUAGCUACUAUAAUUCUUCUUAAUGAAGAAGGAAAUCAUAUCUUAAAAACAAACUUUUUGCUUCCAAAAACGAGGCAUGAAACGUACGGAAACAAGGCAUUAGAAAAGCUCAAACAACAUAAUCACUCCCAAGCUAGACACUAGUUAUCUAAAGUUUGUAUACCCUUCAAUAAGAAUAACAGAUCUUACUAAGACAAUUUGAUAGAUGUCAAUAUCAGGUUGUUUCAAACACUAUGAAUGAAUGUGAUAUAGGAAGUGACUAAACUCAACCAACAUAUUUGCUGAAACUACUUGCGUGUCAUGCAAAUAGCAACACAACAAUUUAGAAAAUUUUAAAAAAUACUACAUGUGUAUAUUAGCCAACAAGGUCACACAAAAUCAGUGUUUCUGCAGCAAAAAAUAUAGGCACUUCAGUAAGGAGGAUAAGCUACAAAUUUAGAGACUUCCUUGAAGAGAAUAAUUUUAAACUUGCGCUGCGACCAGCAACUUUUUGCUUCUUUCGUUUGGGAGAGGGUGAACAGUAUAAGGAGGAACUGUAUAAAAAAGAUAAAAUUAUUAAAAUAGAUAGCAUAACUGGCAUUCAACGUGAUGAUCAUGCAAAAGUUAUUUUUCAAUGCAUAGUCCUUUUACCUUCUUCUGUCCCCAAUUGAUGUUAAUGUUUAUAGUUAUAUGAGCAGAGAAUAGUAACAUUUAGUAUUAUAUAUAAGCACGUAAUAACAAUUGUUCAUUACUUCAUUAUAGAUUGACAAUAUUCAAACUAACUACAUAUUACUGUAAGCAUUUCUUGAUUUUUUUUUUUUCAUCACUAAGAAACUAUUUUCACAUAAUCAGUACUUAGUUUCAAAGCAAACAAGGGGGCAUCAGCAGUGAGAGUGGAAAGAAACAGAAAAGAUGGAUGGCAAGAGGAGGGACAGAUGCAUCAAGUGACAAAUAAAUAUACAACAUACUUUUGUAGUCAUGCUUUCAGGAGACAAUUCUAAGGCAAGCUCAUGCUAAUAAACUGUAAGACUUGUUACCUUUGGUCUUUUUUUUUUAGAUGGCUCUAAACUUCUAGUGGAAAUUUCAAUGCAUUAAAUGAUAGCUAAAUUCAAGUGGUUACAUCUUUCACUUCUUCUCAACGAAAAGAUGGAUCAUAUUCUCUGUAUCUAUUGCUAGUAUAGCUCUAGCUUUCAGCACCAUACUCCAUAGAUAUAUCCAUGGACAAUAAUUUGCACAUUAAAUUAGACAACCACCAAGACAAUAUACAAUAUCAGAGUCAUAUAAUUUUAUUAAGUGCUUUCUCAUAUACAUUAAAGAGCUUAGUAUACAUACCCUUGGAGAAUUGGUUGUAUAUCAGCACCAACACUUGUACUUAGCUCUUCAAUAGUUGCAGAAACCUCGCUGUUACAGUUCAGUAGGUUGCAUACAUCUAAAAAAGCAGUAGAUUUCACCAUAUCUGGUACAAGAGAUGCGUCUUUUACCUCUGCUUUGAGAUUUUCCAUCAAAACAAGUGCUGCGUAAAGGUUAGUGAAAGAUUAGACGAUUCAGCAAUUUAAAACUAGCUAAUAGUUACUACAUGCAAGUUGAUUUAUUUCCAUGCACAUGAUAGUAAGAGUUUCCAUUAAAUUCAAUUCAAAAUCUCAAGAAUUCAAAUUGCAGGCACAAUUUGUGCAGUACAAAUCAGGCAGGUUAUGAUGAAUUGUGACCUUCAUACUCCAGCAGUUCAAUGUAUUUAUGCAAUAGUCACUCAGUCUGGACACGACACGGUCCAGGAUAGACCAGAGACCUUCAAUGAUUACAAAAUAUUGCGACACAGUCCAGGAUAGACCCAGGGGAUUUCAUAAGAUACAAGCAAAGAACAUUAUGAAAUAUUAAUUUAAUCAAUUCUUGAAGUACAUGGGAUUUUUUCUUUCUUCUUUCAUUUUUGAACUGAAACUUGUAGAACUCUACGGUAUCAAGAUUCAAAAUUAACAUCAUAAGACAACCAUAAAAAAUAGAUGGAUAAAACCAACAAGAUUUGCACACAUAUUUCAUAACCAAACAAAAGACCAUUAUACUCCCCCCCCCCCCCGUCUCAUAUUAGGUGCCCCAUUUGAGUUUUACAUGGGUAUUAACGAAAUGAUUAAUAGUGUUGAUUUCAAUGGUAAAAUGUGUCAUUUACUAAAACACCCUUGUUAAUUAUAGUUAAUGGAGUAGUUAUAGAGGAUCGAAAUGCAAUAAAUAAGGCAAUGUUGGUGGAAAAGAAUAAUAAAUGUUGUAUUGGUAUAUUGUAAAAGGGACAAAUAAUUUGAGACAGAUAUUUAUAAAAGAAGACACCUAAUUUGAGCCUGAGGGAGUACAUCAGAAGUUUUAAAUAGCCACGCAGAUAAGUUUUAAACAAAAGUAUAAAACAUACCAAUGGCUCUAAGCAUCUUAAGGUCGAAUUUAUUAGCCAAAUUCUUACAACCUAUCCAUUCUGCCCGCUUAAUUAUCAACAAUUUCAAGCUAAUCAGCAUAUCCUGCAAAAGUUUCAAAUUUGAAUACCAAAUGUUAAGAACAAGAACUUGUAUGAAAAAAAACCAAGAUGAAAACUAAAAUUUAGAAACACAUGUAAGUCGUAACCAAACUAUCAAUGACUGGUAAGAUCUAUUUCAGACUAGUUACUUGCAUAUUGAUUUCUUUCAUAUAGAUUCCAAAAAGUUUUAUAAACAAAAAGAGCACAGGAAAAUCAAGCCAAUGGUAAGAUCUCCUACAAAAAUAAACCAAAAGAGAACAAAUAAAAAUAUUCACAAAUGCAGCACUAUCUAAUCUCUCAGUAGUCAGGAAUGAGUCCCAGCACGUAGGAUCGCACGAUCUUACGUGCCACAGUACCUCGACCGUGCUUCGAUCCUACUUACGAACCGUGUUUUCUCUGUUUUACUCUGUUUCCUCUGUUUUCUCUGUUUUUUGGCCGCUUUCCUCUGUUUUUCUCUGUUUUAUUGCUUGGUUCCUCUGUUUUUCCUCUAAUAUCUCUGUUUUAUGCUUGGUUCCCCUGCUUUCCCUCUAUUUUCCCUAUAUAUUUCUCUCAAUUCUAUCUACAACCUAUCGAUCCUACUUACGAACCAUGUUACGUUCCUCGUGUUUACGUUCUUUCACCGGCCGACCAAUCCUAUGUAGGAACUCGUUCCUGACUACAUUACUAUCAAUGGUAACUCUGUCCUCAAAACAUGAAACAACAAUAAGCCCCUAAGAGAAUCCAUCCAUAUAUGCAAUUUUAUCCCAAAAUAUAACAGUAAAUCUAUAUCCCAUGACAUCAUAGGCAUUUCUCUAGUGCAAGAUCAUAAAAAUACUAAAACUGCUACCUGCAGUUAAAGCCACAAGUAAAAUGAGCGAAGAAAAAUUUCCCCAUGGUGAAGGGGCACACACAUCGAAUAUUCACUAGAUUUGUCAUGUAGCGGCUAUAUUGGCUCUAUAGCGCUAUAAUGUAGCGGAAUUUGAACAAACCACUAUUGGUCUGCGUCUGCAAUACCCUAUUUAGUAUAAAGUGUUGUCGAACAGCGUUUGCAGCGGCGCUAUAAUACAUUAGCAAAGAGGAAUUUGAAUAAAACACUAUUUCCUGCAAUCCAAACUCGACAACAUUGAUAUUUACCAAACAUCCAAAAACCUUAUCCAUAAGGAAAGUAGCUUACAAAAAUAUCACUAGGACAUUGUAUAAAAAAGUGUACUAAUACCGUUAACCUUUGGUUACCUUCAUUCGGAAGAAUCAUGUGUACAUGUGUCUGUUUAAACACAUUUAAUAAUUUGACUGGCAUAUUACUGAAUAGGUUUUUUUACAGAAUGAUAAAAGAAAAUUGUCAAAAGGCUAAGAAACAAUACAGGGGGUGCUAGACUCUAUUAUCAAAAUGCAAAAAAAAACGACGCAUAGAAUGAGGAGGGGCAUCUAAAGUAGUCCAAGAGAAAUCACCCAAUUGGCCUAAAAGAGAAGAACUUCAUAGCCUCAUGAUAGAUAUGACAAUGGAAGCCAAAACUUGGCAACUACGAGAAUGAAUUAAAUGAACAGAGAAAGGAGAAAAAGAAACUUACAAUUUCAGAUUCGGAAAGUGAGCAAAGCCAAGCUACAUCUUGAACCCUAGUCUCAGUAAUUUUAUCACCCUCAAUAAAAGUUUCCAAUCUUUUCUUAUAGACUUUUCCUUUAUUCAUAAUUCAACAAUUGAAACCUGAAAUCAAUAAAAGAAUAAACCGAAUGCCAAACACACAACAAUCACAGAAUAAGGGAGAAAAACCAUAAAUGAAUCAAAAAAACCCAAUUUUCUAACCUUGCUUGUUUCAAAAUUGCUAUGAAAUCUUGCUGUUAAAUGUGGAGAGAAGAACUGUUUUUGGAAGAGGAGAUAACAAUGAAGGAAAGGGUUUUCAGUUGGAAGAAGAAGAAGAAGAAGAAGAGAGAACGAUUGCAAAGGUUUUUGGUGAAAUUGGGAAUUAAAUUUUAUCUAAGGGUGUUUUUGUCAUUUAAGAGUUGUGUCACUAGAAAAAUUCUUCUGCUGUUCUGUUCGCGGGAGUCCUUGUUUUUUUCAUUUAUUGUUUAUUAUUCAUUCAUGUGGUAAUAUACUACUUUCUUAAAGAAGUAAUUCCUUUUUUAUAUUAAUCACUUAAUUCAAGUGUUAAAUACAACUCUUCAUAUUAAUUCUAUCUGUUAGCUUAUCUAACAAUACAAAGAGGCAUGACUCAAAAAAUGCUAACUAGGCAUACAAAUGAGCAAGUAUAUAUAUUGAUUAGUCAACGAACAAUUUACUUGUAAAAAGUUUGGAAAAGAGGUUAUGAUGGAACAAUCACUACAAGAAUAGUAACGAAUUUUGUCUUAUUAUUUGAUCCUUAUGCCUUAUUUCUAGUACUUUAAAUAGUGUGUGAGCUAACAUUUUCAAUUCAGCAAGAAGAGAAGGAAUUGAACCCCCUGAGCUCUAUGUAGCUCCGCCAGUUAAAUUCACUUUCUUCACUGUGUCAGUGUGUCUCUCUAUUAUAUGAUCGGUAUAUUAUUACUUCCACCCUCCAGCUUCCCCAUAUAAACCUCACUAAUAUUACUUUCUGUUAUGUUAAUAAUUGAUCAUAAGUUAGUUUUAUCUUUAUUUGCCUCAAUUGCCACCUUAGCUUGUGUAUAUAUAAUAAUCAAUACACAUGUUGCAUUAUUCAUUCUAUUGUUUUCAUAUUACUUAAUUUCAUCAUAAUUUAAGUAUUUGAUUCAUAGCUAUAUCAUUCGUUUGUACUUCACUUAAACAUUAGAGAUAUGGUUUUAAAAAAUGCUUCAGAGAACGAUUCACUAUUCCCGUGCAUCGCUAAUUCCUCGAGUUCACCUAAACGUUCAUAGAAGCCUAACAUUCUCUCCCGGUAUUUCACAGAUGGAUACACGAAAGCCAACAUUUGAUCCCCCUUCUUGCUCCGAUUCAUGUCAAACAUCUCGAGACAAUUGCUAUCUAAUCUUCACAUAAAAUUCCUAAUUUUACUGGAAUCUCAAUUUGUUAGAUUUCCUUCCUGGUGUAUUAAAAUUACAUUGUUUAAUUUUACAAUGUUUCCCAUCAAUUUAUAUUUUUUUCAAUUUAAAUAAAAAAAUGUCAAAUAGAAGAUUCUUCACUUUUCCCAUCAGAAUUAACUUAAAAGCAACCAAACAUAUUAGAACUAAUUCUACACCUCUAAAAUCAAUUUUGACCCCUCUAAAAAGUGGACAAACAUAGCUAACAGAUUCAAUUUUUGGGCUAAAAAAGAGCAAUAUGCAAAACACAUCUAUUCUUGUUGAGAAUUGAGAUACUCGUCCAUUUCCAUCUUGACCAAAUAACUGAUUUUGUCUUAUUAUUUGACCUUCAAGUUCAACCACCCCUUGAACUUACAAUAUACAUGUCCUUGUACCCAAGUUUUGCAUUUCUCCUCAGCUAGUAUACAACCCUAUCCUAUUAUUAUUAUUUAGUAGUAUAAAUACUAUCCUUUGUUAAGGAGAAGUCUCCAAAUCAAAUCAGCAACAAACAGAACAUCAAUUUUCAUCUCUGAGUGGUAAUAAUAAAUAUUUCUAAACCCAUCAUUAUAGACAUUCAACAAAACAUUUAUCCUUCCUUGGUCCCUCCUUUUUGUUCCUUAUAAUGGCUAAGAAGAUGAAUCUCUUUCUAAUUCUCAAAAGUUAAUGUUAUUUUUCAUUUGGUGAAUAAAAUUAUUGUUUUUAUAUUUCAUGAAUAAACCCUAUUUUAUUUUGUUUUCCAUCAUAUACUAGCAUAUUUUAAUAAUGAUGCAUAUAUUUUAAUACUCAUCAUAUAUUAUUUCUGUAUAUCGAAUGUAUUUAUCUUAAUCUAUUGUUCUUUUUUGUAGAAUGGAUCCUCAACUUUCUGCUGUGGGAAUAAUUCUAUAUGUGGAACCUGAAAAGGUGAACGAUGCUGUUGCCUUCUACAAGGCAGCCUUUGAUGCUGUCGAGGCGAAUGAUCCCUAUUUUGCAGCUCAGGUUAUUAUUGGUGGCACCGUCUAUUUGAUAGAGUACCACGAGGACCCUUCCGACCUGUGAGUUUGAUUUUCAUGUUUUAAAUUUAGUUUAUAUUUUGUGUCACUGUCUUUUGGAGGAUUGCUUGAGGAAAAGUGAUUAAAACUAGAUCUAAUCAUGUUUUUUCUCUCUGUUUAUUUGAUUUGAGGCCUGUUUGUUCUUGUGGUUUUUUAUUUGUUUGGUUUUUAUGGAACUUUCUAUACUGAGUUGGUGUUUGGGUAUAUUUUAAUAAUCAUAAACACAUGAAAAUAUGUUUUUAUAGUUACCAUCUAAUCAAAAAUAAAAAUAAUCAAUCUAUAGUUGCUUAUAUAUUUAGAAAUAGAGUUAUUGGUCCUUAAACGUUUUCUUAUUAAAUCUUAGGACCGGCUCUGCUACGACGGUUGGAGUGGCGGAUGUCGCAGCUACCGUACAGAAGGCUGUGAGCGCUGGGGCUGUUGAGGAAGAGCUUGAUGAAUUUGCACCUACUUAUGCUGGUCAGCACAUUGUGAAGCUGAGGGAUCCAUUUGGUUAUGUUUGGUACAUUUGUGAGGGCAAGUCCUUAGCCAAAUUGCAGUAGCAAAUGAAGGGUUGGUUGAUCCAUGCUUUGAUAUUGUUAUAUUUAUCAGUACUUUGCUACAUCCAUUUUAGUUCUAAUUAGGUGUUUAUUGCUACAAUUAUCUUUCUAUUAUCGUUUAAUUAUGACAAUUGCUGGGAUGUAAGACUAUGCUUAAAAAUUGCUGUUUUAUAUUAUCUUAUCUUGUUUGGUGCAUUUAUCCUACUUUUAUUCUUUUAGUAUUGGUCUUUGUUGGACAUAUGCUUAAAAGUUUAAAAUUCAAAUUUAAUAGUUGUAUCAUAAAUAAUUGUUACAAACAACUGAAAUUAGUUAGCUUGCUUAUGCUGGCUUUUCCAAACUCAACUAAUUGUGUUUCAAACAAAUUCAAAUUUCUUUUCUUGUCAUAGCACAACAAGGACGAAAACAUGAGACUUGUGUGAAGGCACAAAUAACUACUAGCUAUUAGCUAUAUAGGAAAAAUGAUGUACAUAGAUGCAACAGAACAUGUUAUCAAAGCUAUAAUUUUUUUUCCAUCCCUAUAAACAAAGAUUGUUUUUUCUUAGGCAAUUUUUUAUUUCUAAUCCAUUAUCCUCAUAUUAAGUGAGUCCAAAAUCGUAAUUUAUAUCAUUGCAUCGACAUUAUUGACUUCAAUACCUAUAAUAGACCACACUGUUAUUCGACAUGACUUCACCAUCAGUACAUCUAAACUGUUUUAUAAACUUGAUAUUUUUCAUAAAUUUAAAGACACUCAGUUUAUUGUAGACUUACACAAAUUCUAUUAUCACAUUUUUCAAUACUUUGUAGAGGAAUCUAUUUGUAAACCAUAACAAAGCUUCACUCUAACCAUGGUCUUAAAUUGCGGCCGUGGUCGCAAAUGCGAUCAUUGCGGUUCCCGUGACAUGCAUUGCAUUUUUGGGGCGUGAAAUAAUUUUAAAUUUUCAUAAACUAUAUAAAAUGACAUAUCAUGUGCUACUACGCUAUUUAUCCACUAUAGCAUAGUCAUAGUUUGCUUCGUAAAUGCUCAUUUGGAAAUGCGAGCAAUACACGCUUGAGAGACAAUUAAAAGUAUGUUUUUUUAUUACAUCUAAAGUAUAUUGGAAUUUGGGGUUCUGAAAUUUUAAGUUUUGUGACAAAGUUUGUACGAACAUGGCCAAAAUCGUUUAAUGUGAUUACGAAAUGGCUGUACACGUGAUUGAAGAAUUUCUUUCAUGCAAUUAAGGGCCGGGAAAUGAAGGAGCUACUCAUUGAGCACGCGUAUCACGUACUACAAAUUGAAAAGUGGAAAUUCUAUCACAAACCUAGUUGUUCAUCAUUCAAUAUUUCCUCUCCCUAACUUCCCUCAUCCAUCAAUAUGUCAUUGUUGAUAAGUCCAUUUUCCUUUGAUUCUUCUAUAUAUAUGAAAUAUAGUAUUUGGUUGACAAAUUAGCAAACUUGUAUAUCUAAACUCGAGACAAUUAUACAAUAUUUUGUUAAUUUUUGCAAUUGUAGUUGCUUACAAUGAUGUAAAAUUCGUAUGUUCUUCCAUUUAUGUUGCAAUAUAAGAAGUUAAACCAUUUUGUUUUAUUGUUUUACCGCACUACUAUACAUAACAUUUUUUAGUGAUGAAACCCAAAUGACAAAUAGUGGCGACGAGCAGCAGCAAGUCUUUUAAUCUUUGUGUGAUGGCGAACAACGCAGCAAGCCACCAACGUUUCUAGAAUCUGUUUCCAAAAUAGAUUAUGCAAAUCAAACUGCAAUGGUAUUUUUUUCUUAGAUGCAAAAAAAUAAAACUGACUAAACUCAAUUAAUUAACAUUUUGAAACUACAAACAUAUAAGAAUACAAAUAUAACAGUGGAUAUGAACGACCAAAUUAUCACAUAAUUAAUUUUAUUGAAUUUCACAUAUUCGCUAAGUGGAAAAACUAGAAGCAAAGAUAGCUAGACAUUGGAAACUUUAGGUAACUUAAUUUGGAGGCAUGCACUUGACCUGAUAUUGACAGUUACACAAAACAAAGCAUGAUUUAGCAGCCUUUAAUAUUGAUGGACUAGAAACUGGAAUUUCAUUUUUUCCUUUCAAGCCUAAAUAAAUUAUGCAAAUCAAACUGCAUUGGUGGUAUUUUAUUUUAUUUUUAUCAAAUUCUGCUUCUCCAAUAACAGCAUACCAGUCUAGAAAAUAUGUUAAACUUGAAAGUAUGUUUAAGUUACUGACCCAAAAAAUGGUAUGUUUAACUUCGUACAUUAAAUUACAUUGAAAUAAUGUACAAAAGAAACAAAAUAUCAAAGAAUAUGUAAAUUUAUCCACCAUAAAAUAUGAAAGAAUAUGUAAAUUUAUCCACCAUAAAAAUGGUAUGCUUAAUGUUUCUCUCUUCUCUUUCUCUCUCGGUUUUUAUGAGGAUAAUUUUGGGUUCGCUGAUAGGUGAUGAAGGAAGUCUCUAGAUAUGAGAUUGUAGAGAGUGUUGUUGUUGUGUGAUGAGUUUGUGGGAGAUCUUCAAGUUAAGUGGAGGUUGAAGGUGUUGAAGUGAUUUGAGAAUACAUACUUUUCUCUAUAUCAUAAACAAGGGGAAUCAUAACAAAAUCCAUGCAAUAUAAACUUACACUUAUAUUUAAAAUUAAAUCUUCGAUUCUUUCUUGAUUAUGCUUAUGAUAUUUAGACAAAACCACUAUGAACUACGAUUUAGUCUUACAUAUUCAUCUAUAAUUCAUUGUUUGUUCGCAACUUAGAUAAUGUAGUGUUGUUUGAAGGCGAAACAUGGAUAUUCAUUUUCAAUUUAAAGCAGAAAUCAAAUUUCAACUAGAAAAAACUUCACAAGACUUUUUUCAUUUAAUUUCAAUCAUAAGUAUACUUAUAUAUACAAAUAUACAUUGGGCCCAUGUAAUGAUAUUAUAUGCUUAUAUUACACAAUCAUUGGUAUGUUUUCCUUUUGCCAUUAAGGAUUGAAAGUUUCAAUGGCAAUAGCCUCAUAGCACAACUUGAAUCUUAGCUAAAAUUGUAGCCCUAACAUUGCUAAGGUCACUUAUAAAAAGGGACCUUAAGGUCGAACCUUAGAGUGAACCCGAAGCACUUGAUUGUUCCAUUUCGACAAAGAUCCAAGUACCAUAUGAAUUUUCGCAGCCAAAUCCGCAGCAAAAAGUUAUGUUCCUGCGGAUGUUCCUGCAGUGUUAAAAUCCGCAGGAAACUUAAGUAGAGAAACUGAAACCGCAGCAAAAUCCUUAGCAAUUCCGGCAGAAAGUUUUCCAUAGCAAAAUCCGCAGGUAAUUUGAGGAAUUCAGGUAAUGUUGCUAUUUCUAUGCAAAAUAUGUCCCCUCAAUGUAAGAUUGUGAUUAUUGCCACCGUCAUUAAUAUUGUUGAUGUCAUUUGGUUAUGUAGAAACAAUAACAGGUUUUAUGAUAAACACAUUCACCGGAAAGAAGACAUCGAUUCAAUCAUCUCUACUGUUUAUUUGACGAGUACUUCACUAAGGCAAGAUUUGCACACUCGAUUACUUUAGAGUGAACCCAGAGCACUUGAUCGUUCCAUUUCGACAAAGAUCAAGUGAGAAACCAUCAAAACAUAUUCACUGCCUACCGCCUCUAUCAUAAUCUUAUAAUUGUUAAUAUUAGUUAAAACAAUAUCGUGUUCUACUUCACCGGGCAUGGGAGGGUUCAUCUUAGUCGUACUAGCCACUUACAACACUAAUUAUAUUGAAUACGUAGUUAUGAUAUAACUAGUGGUGUUGGUAAUUAGUACGACAAAAAUGUCUCCCUCCCACCCUUAUAAGUAGAACACUAUGAUCCCUCUCGACAUCAACAACAAAAAAAUACCAACAAUUAUGUCAUUAUGAUGAUCAAGACAAUAGUUAAUUCAUUAGUUAGAAUAAUGUCUACGUGAAUGGUGAACUGGUUCCUAGUUCCUAGAUACUUUAGAAAAAUUAUUAGAACUUUUAGGGGCGGAGCAUCUGAUGGGUAGGUGGGCCAUGACUCACCCAAAAGAAAUCAUUUUUAAGUAUACACAUAUAGACAUAGUAUUAUAUUUAUAUUUAUAUGUGCAAUAUGAGUGAAAAAUAUUAAAGUUUCAGAUGGAGAUGAAAAUUGUUUGAGGUUUAUUGAAGUUGAAGAUGAUUCAUGGUUUUCUUUUUCUUGAGGAAAGAAUGGUUUGUGGGGUUGAUAGUAUAGAAAAAUGGGGAGAUAUAAAUGAGAAAUGGUUGUGUGAAGGAUAUGGUGAUGGUGAGUUCCUCUUUCUUAGUCUCUACUACUUCUCUUUCAUUUUACUGAUAGGAACAUACUACAUGAAGGAGAAGUAUGAGAAACUAAGAAAGAGGAGCUGAACAUUAGUUGUAUGAUUCAUGGUGUGAUCGAUUUCAUGGUCUCUCCUAAUUCUCUUCCUUCUAUGCCCUUUGUUGUUGUUAUUUAUAGCCAAAAAUUAGGUUUAAGAUCAUUGAGCUACAGAGGCAUGCAUGUGACAAGGGUUGAGUUUGCAGAAAAUGCAAAGGCGUGCGCCUAUAGUAUAAUAUGUUUGGACCACAAAAACCGUUUUUGUUUUUUACUUGGCAAUUUUGUAAAAUUGGUGAAAGAAUGUAGUUUCUUUAUACACAAUUAGUUUAGUGCUAGUAAACACAAUUAUAUUAGUUUUCUUUAUUUUAUUUGACAAGUGUAUAACUAGUUAAAAUCAUUGAUUUUGAAGGAGGAUAGGGGGCAACAUAACAUAGUCUAUUCAAUUUAACAAGAUAGACUGACUAUGCACAUGAAAGUGGUCCCAAAUACUACAUAUGAACAAUCAAAAUAUCGAUCACAUGGGUAUAAUUUGUUUGAAUUUCUAAUAUUCACAAAGCUGCAAAACUAGAAUCAAACAAAGCACAUCAAUCAUACAAGGAAGUCACAUUUUUUUCAGUGUAAAGAUAGCUAGACACUGGAAACUUUAGGUAAUUUAAUUUGGCAUGCACUUAGUUACACCAAACAACUUAUGGUUUAGCAGCCUUUAAUAUUUCUGGACUAGAAACUGGAAUUUUAUUUGUUUCUUUCAAGCCUAAAUGAAUUAUGCAAAUCAAACUGCAUUGGUGUAUUAUGGCUAAUUCUGUUUUCUAAUAACAGCAUACCAGUCUACAACUGAUUUAUUGAACAAAAUUAAGAGUCUAGAAAAGAUGUUAAACUUGAAAGUAUACUUAACUGAGUCAACUGACCAAUGCAUACUGCAUAAACCAAAGAAUUGGUAGCAUAAAAUGGAGGAUGUAAUAACGUCGUAUACAAUUCACAGCACAAGGUAAUUAAGCUGAAGCUGUCCUGUUUAUGGUAUACACACAAUAAAGAUCUUGCUUAACAAGUUUUGUGAUUUCCACUUUUAAUACCUUUCAAAUAACUAAUUUAGUUUACAAUCCAAAUCAGUUUAUUUUUUUAUAAUUCCAAGUACACUGACAAGGAACCUAGAGUUUAUAUAAGAAGGAACUUCCAAUAACGUAAGUGUGUAUAUACUAAGUUACAUUCGUUUAAAAUUAGUUGUUUGCUCGCAACUUCAAUAAUGUAGUUUUGUUUGAAGUUGAAAAAUGAAUACUCAAUCGAAUUUUAAAGCUGAAAUACAUUUGAACUAGAAACAACUUUGGAAGACUUGCAUUAAUUUAAUUUCAAUCAUAAUUUUCCUUAUACACAGUUACACAUUAAUAUUGUGCAUAUAUGUAAUCAAUUGAUAUGCUUAUAUGUUACAGAAUCAAUGUGAUGUUUUCCUCUUGUCAUAAAGAUUGGAAUGGCAAUAUUUAUAGCCUGAGAGAACAACUUGAAUUUUAGCCAAAAUACAAUUAGUUGUUGACCUCGUCAUAGCUUCUUGGAAAAGGAAUAACAUCCCUAACAUUGCUAAGUCCAGUCGUAAAAAGGACCAUAAGGUCAAACCUUAGAGUUAACCCAGAUCGCUUAACAGUUCCAUUUCAACAAAGAUCUAAGUACCAUUCAUACUUCACUCGCGGCAAACCCAACUCAGUAAUUCUGCCAAGGAAAUCAGGUUUAUUCAUAAUAAUGAACUAAGGGAUAGUAAUGAAGCAGUACCUGGAGUUUAUCACAUAAGCCGCUCCUCAUUUUGGCUGCCAGAAAUUAUAGUUCCAACCUGAAAAGAUUAUAAGAAAUAUUAAUCUAUUCUCACACAUACUGCUACAAUGGCAGUCACUUUGGGACAACAUGAUCAAAUGCUGCCACAUUUUUAUCAUCAUUAACACGAACGAACAUAGAAUGGUUUAGCUUCUUUUGGAUAACUCAAUUAUAAGUGGCUUUUUGUAGAUGGCAUCAGCUAGAAUAUAUACACCUUAGGGAAAUACUUUUAGUAUACUAAUAUAGAAUAUUGAUGAGAUAAUUAAUGAUUGAUAAAUAUAAAAUAGUUAUGUGACUUAGAGUGAGCGGGUCCAGAGCAUGAUUUUAAAGAACAACAAAAAUAUCGAAUCUAUAUUUAUAUAUAAAAGAAAAAUAAGUUUUGAUGUAGUUUUUUCUUCAAAUUUAAACUAUUUAUUUGUUAUUUUAUAUUAUUUAGUAGCAACAAGGUUGGGUCUAACGAAAGGUAUAAGACUUCCACAACUUAUAAAAUAAAUAUUUGAAUAUCAACCAGGAGUACCCUAAAUUUAUUGUCAAAUACGCAUAAAAUGUGAUUAUAGACGGUGGAGGGAUCCUAUAUGAAAAAUAAAAUAAGUGAAUUUGUCUUAGAUAUUUAUACAUCCAUAUCUAUACUUAUAAAAUAUGAUUAUUGUAAGAAGACAUUAACAAACUAAGAAAUUGUAAGCAAACUGUGACACUCUUCAUUUUGGCUUAUUUUACGUCCUCAUGUUUGCUCAAGCUUCUUGUUCUUCCUUGUCAUCUCCACCUUCUUCUACUUUUGCAUCUUCAUAUUUUAUAUCCACUUUCUUUUAAAGUGCCAUACAUUUUCCCUAAUCUUGAAAAUCUGUUGGGUAAAAAUACUUUUUUUUUUUAUUUGGCCUAAAUAAUCUUGAAACCAUUAAUAUGGCUCUUCACGGUUCCUUUAAUUAGCGAUGUUGAUAAAAUGCUUGGUCCGUCAUUAUAAGUUUGUUUUAUAAGAUAUCAAUAUAUUGUGAGAAACCAUCACAACAUCUUCAUUGCCUACCACCUCUAUCAUAAUCUUAUAAUUGUUAGUAUUUUAUUAGGUAUAAACAUAUACAUAUAUUAUUACAUUUCUCUUAUUAUUUAUGUAUAUAUUCUUGUAUGAAAGAAAAAUAUAAAAGUUUCAGUUGGAGAAGUGGUAAAGCAAAUUUUCUCUUUUUUUAAGAGGAGUGUUAAUUAUAUGUGAAGAGUGAAAAGCAAAGAAUUAAUGAUAUAACUUUUCAUAUUAUACCAUAGUUUCGAUCUUUCACUUUUUUACUCAACUGUAUGGUUUGAUUUGGCUUGUAAUUUUUUUUAACAGCCGAACUAAACCAAACCAAACCGUAAUAUAAGAAAAACAUUAAUUAAAUCUAUGCCACCUAGACCAAUACUAAUAUAAAUUCAAUGAAACUUUUUCUCUUGUUAAGUUUCUUCUUUGCAUUUUAUUUCAAAAAUGUAUUUAUGUGCUACUUGAACUUUUAGAGAAAGAAAUUUUGAUUUUGAUGAAAUUUAAAACAUUGUCGGAAACAUUGCUGAAAAUAUGUUAUGUUUUAGAUUUUUAACUCGAUUUUAAUGUUGAAAACAAAAAAUUGCAUUGUCUAAAAAAAAUGCACCAACCAAUCCAACCCAAACCGGAUCCAACUCAAACCACAUUUCUUUUUUAUCUUGCAGUUCAUAUGAUUGUUAAGCUCAAUAUAGAGAAGUGGAGAAUUGAAAGUUCGAAUCAUCAUCGUAACAUAUAAAAAUUCGGCUACCAACUUACUUGUACUUACGGGAUACACAAAUUUAUAUCAUAUUAAAAAAAAAUUAACCCACAAUCUAAAAAAAUUAUGAAAAUAAAAUUAAGAGAACUUUUUAACAAUCAAUUUUAAGUUGGAUUUUUUUUUUUAGGAAGCUAAAUUAGCCCACUUAAAUUGACACUAGAGAGAAUCGAACACACGACCUUAAUUUUUAGUUGGAUAUUUUACUAUCCUUGACAUCAUAACUUCUCAUAAAUUUUAAUUUAAAAGCAUAUACGAUAUAACAUUUAGGGUCUGUUUGGAUUAGCUUAUUUUAGAGCUUAUAUAAAAUAGCUUAUGCAAAUACAUCAGUUUUUAUGUAUUAUUAUUUAUAAGUUUUUAAGGUAGUUUAUGAAAAAAAAUUGUUAUGAAGAUACAAUUUUCGUUAGAUAGAUCUAAUAAAAGCUUAUUUAUUUUAUUUAUACAAGCUAUUUUUCAUAAGCUCAAUCCAAAUGGGAAUUUAGAUAACAUGGACAUUUUAAAACAAAAAGAAGAAAAUUCAAUGAAAAUACAAUAGAAUAUAUACACACAACGAAACACAAUAAAAAAGAAAAUAAACAAACAUGUUAAUGCUCAACUUUUUACUAGUUAAAAUAAUAAUACUCUCUUCAUCUCUUAUUAUUGGAAACUCUAACAAAAUUUCCUGAGUAUUAAGAAAGUUGUUGAAACAAUAAAUUAUAAAUCAAUGAAACAAAAAUAAAACAAAAAAACUUUGAUAAAAAAAACAUGUUAUGCUAAAAAUAAAAACACACACACACAUACAAAGAGAUGAAAGUUGUUUGAGGUUUAUUGAAGUUGAAGACGAUUCAUGGUUUUCUUUCGCUUGAGGGAAGAAUGGUUUGUGGGGUUGUGAUAGUACAGAAAAAGUGGGAAGAUAAAUGAGAAAUGGUUGUGUGAAGGAUAUGGUUAUGGGGAUUCCUCUUUUUUACUCUCUAAUACAAACCACAUCAGUUUAUUUUAUUUUAUAAUUCCAUGUACACUGACAAGGAACCUAGAGUUUAUAUAGGAAGGACCUUCCAAUAAUCUAAGUGUCUACAUACUAAGUUAUAUUCCUCUAAAGUUCGUUGUUUGCUCGGAAUUUCAAUAAUUUAGUAUUGUUUGAGGUCGAAACAUGAAUACUCAAUCGAAAUUUAAAGCUGAAAUCAAUUUGAACAAGAAAGAACUUCAGAAGACUUGUAUUAAUUUAAUUUCAAUCAUAAGUUUCCCUAUGUACAAUUAUACAUUGCGCAUACAUGUAACCAAUUGAUAUGCUUAUGUUACAGAAUCUCAGGGUCAUGUUUUCUUCUUGCCAUAAAGAUUGGAAUGGCAAUAUAUAGCCUCAGAGAACAACUUGAAUCUUAGCCAAAAUACAAUUAGUUGUUGGCCUUGUCAUAGCUUCUUGGAAAAGGAAUAACAUCCCUAACAUUGCUUAGUCCAGUUGUAAAAAGGACCAUAAGGUCAAACCUUAGAGUGAACCCAGAUCGUUUAACCGUUCCAUUUCGGCAAAGAUCUAAGUACCAUUCAUACUUCUCUCGCGGCAAACCCAACUCAGUAAUUCUGCCAUACAGUACAUAAAAAAAAAAUCAGAUUUAUUCGUAUUUUACCAUGGAAACAAAUUGAUACAUAUAACAAGAAAUACAGUUUUAAUCAUGAGUUUGCUUUUAAAGGUUCAUCAAUUAUUUGGUUAUAGAAAUCAGAGGGUUUCAAGUGCCAUAAGAAGACAAUAAUGAACUAAUGGAUAGUAAACAAGCAGUACCUCGAGUUUAUCACGGUAAGCCGCUCCUCGUUUUGGCUGCCAGAAAUUAUAGUUCCAACCUGAAAAGAUUAUAAGAAAUAUUAAUCGAUUCUCACACAUACCCCUGCAAUGGAAGUCACUUUUGGCCAUACCUUUGGGACAACAAAAUCAAACGCAGCUACAGUUUUAUCAUCAUUAACACGAACAUAGAACGGUUUAGCUUCUUUUGGAUAACUGUGAAUUAUAACUGGUUUUUUGUAGAUGGCAUCAACUAGAUAGCUGCAACGACACAGACAUAACAAUAAGUAAUAAAAGUGGUGAAGGCAAUACUUCUACUGUGUUGAAAAUCAACAAAUCCAGAACAUGAGGAUAAUAUCGACAUACCUUAGGUGAUCGGAAGUGAGUUUAAGACCUGAAUCAAACUUCGUUUUAGAUUUCUCAUCUUCAGCCUAUGAGGAGAACCAGUAACGCAAACAAACAAACAUAUUUGUUAUCUUUGAGAUAAAAAGUAAAUCAGGUGGCAAAAAUCAAAACGGAUAUAUUCAACAACAUUUGGUGAUAAAUAUACAUACCUUUAUAAAAACAUCUAAAGCUUCAUCAUAGGAAAUCAUUUCAGGGGAACCUGAUAUAAUCUGCCGAAGACGAUCAAUGCAGGUAUGGUCAAUUCUUUUGGCAACAAACUUCAUAUCUUCAGAGCAAUUUUCCAAAACCCGCUCACAGAGGUACUUGAACAAAUCAUUAGCACAGUUCAUGGAGUCCUGUAAGUAUCGCAAUGUACAUACAACAUGUAGUUAACUGAUAGAAAAACCAUCCAAACCGAAUAGAAGAAAGAAUUCGUCACAAAACUGAAACAAAUGUUACAAGUCUUGACUAAAUAGAGAUAGUUGUUAUGUGAUGAUAGUUUGAGUAACUUAUGUAAAGUAACUUUGCAAAAGAAGUGAUACCUUUAAUUCAGCAAAAGCCAUUUCAGCCUCAACCAUCCACAUUUCUGCAGCAUGUUUAGCAGAAUCUGUUUUAUCUGCAUGAAAUCUAGGUCCAAACGAAUACACAUUUCCAAGAGCACAUGCAUAACUCUCCAGAUGUAAGCGACCAGAGACAGUCAAAUAAGUUUGGGAAGAGAAAAAAUCUUUGGAGGUGUCUAAUUUUUCAUCCUUUAAUGAAGUUCCUAAUUUUUUCUUUUCUCUCACUUCCAAUUGUGACGCCAGUUCAUUAGUUUUCUUCAGAUCUUGAAUUGCUGCAGCUAGCGCUUCCCUAUUGCUUUCGCUUCUUUUUAAAGUUUCAACUAGUUUGCUUUUCUCUUUGGCAGCUUCCUUCACAAUUUCAAGGCUAACACCUUCAGUCUCAUAAAUGGUACUCAGCUUCUCCUUGACAGCUUUCUGAUUCACGGUAGUUGUAACCUGGAACAUGUUGCCAAAUCCUUCGCAGUCGGUGGUUGUUAUAGUGGGUACUUGCACGUCGAAAAAUGCAUGUUCCUUGAAAAAUGAGUGGGUUGCAAAAGAUAGAGCACUGCGAACUCGCAUGACAGUUGCCACCUAAUAUAUGAGCCAAGCAUCACUUAAUAAAAAUAAUAACAUAUCAAGGCUAAAAUUUUCUAAUUUCAUCACAAAAAACCUGUCAAAAAAAUCGAUGACAAACAUGCUAUUGGAUCAUGGGGAAGCCGUAUUAUUGAGAAAUAUGAUAGGAAAAUAAAUAGGACCUAUUUCAACCCUUACUCUAGAAUUUAAAGCAGUGGUAUGCAAGGAACCUGUAUCAACUUGUAUGUUUAUACAUGAGGAACAAGCUGCUAUGUUACUGCAUUUACUCCAAACUUUACCGAUUAUCAGAAUCAUUUUUAGGCAUUGAAAUUUUUAGAUGACAUAUUCAAAUCCUCUAGAAUGCUAAAAAUAUGGGGGUAAGGUUUAAGGUCAAGAAGAACAGAAACACGAAAAAGUGGUGUAUCAGAAAAUCUAAUGUGUAAUGUAAACUAUGAAAAUAUUCAGGUUCUGGCUACAGCAAAAGAUAAUAAGAUAUAGCGAAUGAGAAAAUAUCAAAUUGAUAUAUAAUUUCACCGUAGUUGUUCGAGGCCGAAAAUGGGAGAAAUCUCUUAACGCAUCCAGUGGAACUCGUUUCUUUGAUAAUGGAUACUUGCCAAUAUCUACUGUCCCAAUGUGAAGAACUUUGUCAGCCUUUAACUGAAUAGCGUGUUUCCCCUCAGUUGCUGGUCGUUCUAGCAGACCUUCAACUAAGAUACAGGUUCCAGUAGGCAAAAGAAGGCUAGGUGUAGUUAUUGAAGAAUCCACCACAACCUACAAAAUAUCAUAUUACAUUUAAAAAAAAUAAUCAUAAACUAAAAAAUUUCUUCAAGAAAUAUCAUAUCACACAUUUAAAUUCAUGGUUGCAAUAUAUCACAUCAUUUAUAAAUUCUAGUCAUUUUAAGAAAACAAAUGAUAAUUUAACAAAGUUAAUAAUCAUUACAGGUUUUUCUAAUCUGAUAUAUGAUAUGUCUAAUCUAAUAUAUCUCUUCAUCUUAUAAAUAUUCAAAUUUACAAAAACUAAAAUAUAAAAUUACUUGAUGGCCAAGAUACUAAUUUUUUAAGAAUGUUUGGCAAAGAUUAUGAAAGCAACCCAUGACAUGGUAAUAAACAAUUUUCAGCUUAUUUCCAUAAGCUUGUCAAAAUAACUUAUGGACCUAUCUAGAUUGACUUAUUUGAGAGUUUGUCUUCUAUCAUAAACAUUUGCAAGACUGUUUGGUAGAGCUUAUGAAAAAGAGUUAAGACAUGUUCAUAACUAGUUUCUAGCUUAUUUCUAUAAGCUCUCCAGAAUAUAUUUUGAAAACAACUUAUAACUUAUACGAAAACAACAAUUUAACAUAAGCAAAGUAAAGAAAACACGAACCUGAAGCGUGGCAACAGAUGAACCAUCAGUGAGAAGUAGAUAAACGGUGGAAGAUUUGGGAGGUAAAGUUCUAGGAAUAGGAGAAUCACGCAAUUUCUUGCGAGACACGUAACUGCUUCCACCCAAAACUUCCAUUAUAUUACGAAUCAAAGGAAUCCUAGACUGAAGAAUCUCUACACAUGACACGUCUUUCGCCGGUGUUAUAUCAUCGUCGGCCGUCAAUGCCGGCGGAGGUGGUGAAGAUUUCUCGACUUCCUUUGAUGACUUCACCCAUCCGCCCACCACCACUCUUUGUCCUAUAAACUCCGAACCGCCGUCGGUUCGGUCUAGAAAAAGUGUUUUUAAUUGAACCCGGUUGGAGUAUUUAAAAGGAGUUAAAAGACUCAAGUGUUGAGAAUUGGGUUCAACUGAACCGGGUUCUUGGGUUUGAGUUUUGGUUUGGUUUUCUUUUGCCAUGUUUUGAACCGAAUAUUAUAAUUAAAAGUGAGAGAGAGAAAAAAGUACUUUUGUGUUUGUGUUUGUUUUUGUGUUGGAAGAGAAUUGAAGAGGAACAUGUUUGUGUCCGUGUAAUAUAUACAACAGUGGAAGAAGAGAAGAGAAAGAUGCUUUGCUUGGAAUGAGAAAAUGAAGAUUGGAGGAGAAGGUAAGGGAUUGUUUGGGAGUUUCUUCUGGAUUUUGAUUUUUUUUUUUUGGAUUAAUAAAGAGAAGAGAAAUAAUGAUAAUUAAGAGGUAUUAUGUUGGGUUUGGUAUUCUUUUGUUUUAGGUAAUUAUUACUUGCUUCUAUUGUAUUUGUGUUGGUUCAUGUUGCACCAAAAUGGGUCACCUACUAAGAAACCCAACCUUGUUGCUCUUAUCAAUUAUCUUAUGAUGUUAUAAGAAUAUGAUGAAGGUAAUGGAUAAAUUAAUAUUAAUGAACUCCACGUUGGAUAAUCUUUUUAAUUAUCCAACAAUGUUGAUAGAAACCACUUUAAUUGGCUUUUGGAAUUUAGUGAUUUGAUGAAGUAUCUUUACAUUACAAAGCUUUCAUAAUUCAAAUAAAUUAUGAAACUAUUUUUUAUUCAGAUGUUUAGAUUGCAGCUUAAGAUUUUCCACAAAGGGUUCCUUUUUUUUUGUUGUUACAAAAAAUAAACUUUAUUUAAAUUUUGGAAUAACUAGAGAACAAUCAAAUUGACUAUGAAUUGGAAUAUUCAAAAGUUAAAAGUAUAUUAAGUCAAACUCUUAAUUCUAACAACCAAACUAAAUUCUUUCACAUAUGAUAAAUGAUCAAAAAUAAGGAAAGAUCCUCCGUCUUUAAUUAAUCAAGUUGAAUCACAUCUUUUUUUUUUCUUCUUAUAACUUGAAUCACAUCAUUUGAUAGCUAUUAAUUUGUAUCUAUCAUCAGUGUAUAUAUUCUAUUUUUAAAAAUAUUUAUGGGCAGGAUUUACACAUUUUAAAUGUCAAAAAUUGUGAAAUUUAGAGUUUAAACUCCAAUCCUCGCAUAGUAUUGCAUUUGUAGCUAUCAACGAAGCUACAAUUACACUAAAUCAGUGUAUAUAUUCUAUUAAUGAAUUAUUUUGAUUCUUUUGAAUCAUGUAUUAUUAUUAAAUAAAAUUCUGAAAAUUAAUUUUAAAUAAACCACUCCAUCUGAAAUUAAAUAUAUCAAAUAUUCUUUUACAGAUUUGAAUAUGGGUGUUAACUUUGGAAAAAAUUAAACCGUCAGUAUAUUUUAAUAUGCCGCCAUAAUUUAAAACAAAAGUAACAAGUAACAAAAAAGUGCAAGAUGAAGAAUAUAGAAUAACAGAACUUUUGUAUUAUUCAAGUGUCCUUUACAAUGUAAGAUGAAUCCCAUCUAUAUGACACGAAAUUUGUAAGUUAAAAGUAAUGAAUAAUACCGAAGAGUGCUUAAAUAAGAUGUUACAAGUCUAUUACUUAAAGUAAAAAAAGAUUGUAUUCCAUUACUCAGUUUACACAAAAAAGAACAAGUGAAUAAUCACAUUAACAUUGGAGUUAAACUCACUAGCAAUUAGUAAGACCAUCCCCUGAAUGAUAAAUUGAUAAUUCUAGAUCACAAUGAUUAAAGGAAUGUGGAAAAUUAAGGAAAAACUAUCUAUUAUCUACAUAGUCCAGUAGUAUUAGACUUAGUUUAGUUUUGUAACCUUAAGAUAUAAAGUUCAAAAUCUCUCAAAGACGUUGUAAAAUAGUCAUUAGUGUCAGUUUUUCUAUUUACAUCCCAUAUUUUUUAGGUUACACCCAAAUUUUCUUAAAAGUUUUUUAUAAUAUCAAAAUUGCCCUUUUAUAUAAAUUUUCUUAAAACCCUAAUUUUAUUCAUUGUCACUGAGUUUCACCCUCUUUCACCCCACAAGCGAUCAUGAGCAAACAAUUUGAUGUUCAAUAUCAAUCUCCAUGAAAAUUAAAGAGUGAAUCAAAAUAUUUUUCAUCCAUACUCAAUUGGAUAUAAGUAAUUGAAUUUCUUCUUCUAUUUGCAAGUUUCAAUUUUUUUCCUUCAACUGCACUGAUGCACUGUACGAUUACGGUUUUAAUUUACAUUGAUAAGGUUAACUUAAAUUCAGUUUAAGUAGGUUCAUGUAAACUUAGUUUACAUGAACCUACUUAAACUGAGUUUACAUGAACCUACUUAAAUUAAGUUUACAUGAACCUACUUAAACUGAAUUUACAUGAACCUACUUAAACUAAGUUUACAUGAACCUACUUAAACUAAGUUUACAUGAACCUACUUAAACUGAGUUUACAGAACAAGGAAAACACAAUCGAUUGAAGAACAAGACUUGCUAACCUGAUUUGCUUCGAAUUUUCUUUGAAAUCAUGAAUGGACGUGAGAAAGUAUGGUUUUGAAAAUCUUCGCAGAACACAAUCGAUUGAUUGGAGAAUUAUGGUUUUCGAAGAGGGGUUUUGGGGUGUAACCAAGAAAGAAGGAAUAUGCUUUUUGAAAAUCAAAUUUUAUGAAAGGGUAAUCUUGUCAUUUUGGGGUGCAACCAUGAUUAACUACGGUGCAAGUAGAAAAACUCUUUAAUUAAUAAAAAAUUUCCAAUUUCCCUAUUAUUUUUUUUAAAAUCUCUAUUAUUUAAUGGAGAAUGCUAACCAGUGCCCUAAGAACAUUGGUUAGGCAUCCAAAACAAAUAAGUUUAUAUGAAAAAGUUGUGUAAUAAUUACUUGAUCAAAAGUAACAUCUUACAUUUUCAAGACAAAAUUUCUAUUUCUGAAUUUCUUAACCAUUGCCCUGAGGGCACUGGUUAGCAAGACCCUUUUAUUUAUUUAUAAUAAUCUUGAAAAAAAAAAAAAAAAUCUAACACACUUCCAAACAAAUAGUAUUGCGGGUCUAUUGGAAUCAAUGGCAAAUAGCAAGAAUUGGAAUCACCAAAAAUUGCAAUCAGGAGGCUCACACACUCAAAAAUUGCAAUCAAUGUCAUGUGGAAAUCAGCCACGUGAAUUAAGCUUGACAGGUGUUUGAUUGAUUCUUGUUUUGUAGUUUCAUACCCAUUAAUGGAUCGAACACGCCAUCGUCCGUCUCAACGUCGCCGUUCCAUCUCCCGCCGCUGAAGUUUCCGUCGUCGAGGAAAAGAUUGAAAUCGACGUUGUGGUUGAAGAAGUUCCCAGUAUCACGAGAAUUGCGGCGAUUACCAUUGAAGUUUCAGGUGACAAAGUUACCAUUGUUUAGGGUUUCAUUUUUCCCAAUUUGAAUUUUGCAAUUUCAUAGCAAUGUUGUUUCAAUUUCUAUUUAAUUUUGUUAUUAUGGUGUUGUUGUAGUGAAGUAAAUUGAGUUAUUAGUUAUGGUUUUUGCUACUAUAAACCUAAAUUAAUUUAUGAUUUCUGCUUUUGAUUGUUCUCUCUCGAUUGUUCAGGAAGAUGAAUGAUGGUGUAGAUUCUGUUGGUGCAGAUGAUGAGGAAUUUUGUUGUAGCUGAAACAUACAAAUGGAUGAUUUUUUGGGAGAUGAAUUAUGUUGAGGAAGCAUAAAAAUAUUCAGCACUUGAUUAUGUUUAGGAAGAUGACUUUUUUUAAUGGCUUUUUUCCCUUUGAUCAGAAGCGACGCCAUGGGAACCUUCUUCCCUAGAGCUUAGGCUUUCUUUAUUUUUCUGUCUGUUUCUUUUUUCUCUUUGAAAUUGUGUUGUGGAAGAUUCGUUAUGAUUGAGAAAAUGUUUUAUGGGUUUUGAAAUUGAUUAUUUGUGAUUUUUGGAGAAGAAUAAGUUGUAGAAAAAAAUUAUAAGUUUUAAUUUAUUUUUCUGGGUAUGUUUGAAAAUUUGUAUGAAUUUAUGAAGAUGAGGAUAAGAAGAGGAAAAUGAAAAUGGAAGAAGAUGAAAAAGGGUGAAAAAUCUGGGUUUAUUUGAUGGAAGUAUAUGAAGAUUAUGAUGAACAUCAUGAACAAUGGAGGGUAGAAGAUGAAGAAAAGGAAAAAAAAUUAUGUGUUGAUGGUUCACUGUAACAUACGAUAUACCUAUAUGAUCUAGCUGUCCUCUUUUUGAAAAAAAAUAUCAAAUGGAUGAAAUUAAAAAAUUAAUAAGGUCGACGGUGGACCACCAAUGGUGUUGGUCUACCUAAUAUAUUUGGGGUUAAAGUUAACUGACUUGGAUCAAAUUGACUAACGGAGCAUAUUUAAAGGACUAAAAAGGAAAAAUUUAGAGUUAUGAGACCAAAAUGAAAACAACAAAUAAGUUGAGGGACCAAAGGUUCAAUUAAGAGGGGAGGGUAGUGUAAUUCAAGCAUCUUUGAGAUGAAGGGAGUGUAAUUUACUCUUUAUUUAUCUCCCAAAAUGUAGUAUAUUACUUUCUUUUUGACAGAUUGUAAUGUAUUUUACUUAAAAUUCUUAUCAAAAGGAAUAACUUCAAAAAUUUACUAAUCAAUCUUUUAUUACAUACAAUUCAACAAGAUCCAAGUAAUUCAUCCAUCUCUCAAGCCAAAUCCAACUUCAAUUCUGUCAUACAGUAUAGAACCAGAAAAAAGUUUAUUCCAUAUUUUACCAAGGAAAUGUGCACCAUUAUUUAACAGUAUUAUGAUAGAAAUUGAUACCAUAAAGAACUAAAAUUUAUCUAAAUAGAUAAAAAAGAAACUGAAAUACUGAAAUGUGGGGUCCAAUAAAACACUUUCAUCACACAGGUAUGUACUAAUCCAUCCACUCAAUUCAUAAUCGUAGCAGUCACUUUUGGCAACACCUUUUGGGAAAACAAGAUGAAUUGCAGCUACAUUUCCAUCAAUAUUCAUAACUGGCUUCUUGCAGAUGUCAUCAGCUAUACAUAGUUACCAUGACACAAACAGAACAGUAAGUAACUAAAAGUGGUGAAGCCAAGAAUUUUGCUCUAGUUAACAAUAAGCAUAUUUAGCCAAAGAGAAUCAUAUGCAAAGUAACAACUUAUGGAUCAAAAACAAAAAAGUCUUGUUAUAUUUUGCAUAUUCUAGAAUAAAUGCAAUAACAAAUUAAGACCAAAGACAUUUAGAGUAUGAAACAAAACAAACAGUAAAAAGGUAGUUUAUGAGGUUACAAAGAAAUCAAUCUACAAAUAAUGAAAUUCAUCUACUUUUGAAAAUCCAGAAAAUGAAAUAACAUAAACCAAAUAAAGUUAUCAUUGGUUCUAACAAGAUGUAAUGUGGGUACCUUCAUCACCAUUUUAAGAUUAUGUUUGGGAUGUGAGCAAUUUUUGCCCAUGUUGCACUUGUUUGUGUCUCACAUUCUUCAAUUAAAUCAGGACAAUCAGCAAUUUGUAGGGUCUGUAAUUUGGCAAGGCGAGGCAUUCCUUCGGGCAGCGAAGCCAAACAUUCACAGUCCAAAAGAUUGAUACGAUGAAGUGAUGAGAGGUUGCAAAUCCAAUCUGGCAAUGCCUCUAGAUCCUUACAAUCCAAAAAUGUAAUACUUUCCAAGAAAGGAAGACGGUUGGUGCCGUUCCUAAACCAAAUUCCAAUUUCUUGAAAUUUUUUAUUUAGAACCUUACGAAAACCAAGAUGCUUGAGAGAAGUCAGAAUUUGCAACCAAUCCUCUGGGAGUUUUUUCACAUUCAGAUCAUAUCCACCAAUGUGCAAGUAUUUUAGCAUAGAAAGAGGAGGGAAUUCAAUCGGACACAUUGAACCUACCAUGUUUAAUGUCGUCUCCAAUGCCUCCACUUUAGAAAAUUCUAAACUCAAUUCCUCAAGUUUUGGAAAAGUAGGCAUUUGAGUCAACUCAUCACAUCCACAAAUAUAUAACUCAGAAAGACGAGGAAAGGAUAGAUGAUAUAACUGUGAAGAGUUAUUAUCAUCAUCGACACCAUCUCUCAUUUUCCUCCAUCCUGUCAGCUUUCCACAUCCGACAAACUUGAGUUUCUUCAAAGAUGGGAAAAAUGAUUCAGAUGAAAGAGGCUCUUCAUAAUAUAUGACUUCCAAUUCUUUAAGAUGAAAUACACUAAGUGACUUAAGAAACAGGAGACAUUCCAUUGGUGGGAGAUACUGCAAACCUGGACAAUAAUUGAGAGAGAUUUGAACAAUAUUUGAGAGUGAAGACCAAUUUGAAACAAUGACACUCUUAUACUGUCCUCUCAGACCCAAUUUUCCAAAUCUAGAUGUUCUCUUCUUCUGUUCAGAUGUUUUAAAUAUUCUAUAUCAAAAUAUCUCAAACUAAUUAAUUUUGAGAUAUCUAUUGUAGAAAAUUCAACUUUACAUCUGUGCAAUAAUAGUGUUUGUAAACAAACAAGAUUGCUUAUGGAUGUCGAAAGACUUCCGACUACUUCACACUCUUGUAAGUUAAGAUAUCUCAAAUGGUUCAACUUUUCAAUUGAAUCACACAAAUUACUUAGAGAACAACGCAUAAGCUUCAAGACGCGUAAGUAUUUGAAUUUUGAAAUGACUAAUAAUUCCUUUUCAUUCAACUUUUCUGAAAAAUCAGUCAACAAAAUCAAAGUUCGCAUCUUGUUUGAACUCAAUGACUCCAAGAAACCAAUAGCAUCCCUUUUCAACAUUAUAUGCAUGGGACUUCCUACCAGUCUUUUUGUCUCACUGUCCAAGUAACAACAAUCAUUACCGGCUACUUUCAUUGAAAGGUCAUGCAUUUUGAAACUACGUAUAUCUCCAUGAUAAAUUUCAGCAUCUUGGAAAAAAGACUUCAUCAAUAAAAUCGUCACAAAUUGGUUACCGAUGUCUUCCAUGCGCUGCUUUUCAUCAGAACAUUCGAGAUAACCUUGUGCCAUCCAUAGUUGAAUCAACUCAUCCUUCUCUAUUUUCCAAUCUUUAGUAUAUAAAGAGCAGUAGGCAAAACAUUGCCGUAGUUGAGGAGACAAGUUUUGGUAACUCAGUUUCAACACCGGCAUGAUGCUUUCUUCGUCUUCACAUAAUUUCCAAAAGUCACCUUGUAAAACAUCAAUCCAUUCUCUUUCUUCAUUUUUGCCCUGCAAUAGGCCUCCUAGUGUUCUGAUUGCAAGUGGAACACCACUGCACUUUUCUGCAAUCUUCUUGCCAAUUGUUUCAAGAGUUUGGUUUACUGCUUUCGUCUCAUCCCCAUAUGUAAUAAUGUUCGUCAACAAACUCCAAGAUUUUUCUAGAGUCAAACCAUUCAAAUUAUAGGAGACGCUUACACCCAUUCUUUCUGCAACAAUUUUAGAACGAGUUGUCACUACAACCUUACUGCCUUUAGCACCAUACAUCAAAUAAGUCCUCAAUUGAGCCCAUUUUCCAAAACUCUCGUUCCAAAUGUCAUCUAGGACUAACAAGUAUUUUUUACCAGUUAGAUUUUCUCGAAGCAUGUUUUGCAAGUUUUCUAAUGAUAAUGUAUCAUUAAUUGGUUCCUUUGUUAAUGACUCCAACAUGUUCUUCACAAUAGUUUUGACAUCAAAGUUAUCAGAGACACAAACCCACAUACACUUUUCAAAAUAAUUUGUUACUUCACCAUCAUUGUAUACCAAUUGAGAAAGAGCUGUCUUUCCCAAACCACCAAUCCCAACAAUAGCAACCACAGAGACACGUUGAUUUUCAUGUGAUUGCCUCAACAUGCUUACAAUGUCAUUUUUAUCAUCAUCUCUUCCAAUGAUAUCUGACUCUAACACAAAAGAACUUUUUUCUCUCCUAACACUAUUAGUUUGCUGAACCACCACAACAUUCGGGUUUAGAUUCAACACAGACAUAUCUUUCACCACAUCAUUAAACUUCUUUUGUAUCUUUUCAACCUCAUAAGCCAUUUUACGGCUAAAAGCAAUUCUAUUCGGAGAUAAAGAAUGAAGCACCUGUGUUACUUUGUUCUUACGAGCUUCAUCCCGUUUUUGUCUCAUGUCUUCGAUAGCAAAUUCAUCUAGCAAGUCAUCAGCAGGAUGAAGUACAUCAUCUUUGAGUCUUCUUAUCCAGAUUUGUACAGCAUGACUUUUCUCUUGUUUGUCUUCAGCAUCAAGGAGCACAGCUUUGAUGGAUUCAACUGUGUUUUUAAGCCUUUCCAGUUCAUCCAUCACACCAUAAAUCCGUCCAAAUUCACGAAAGGCCGCUGAAGCCAACCUGACAAAAGAAAAUUUCCAGCAUAUAUAUCAACUAACUGUAAUUAUAACAUAUAUUGUGAAUGAAACAAUUCAAGGGAAAAAAUAGAGAAAAGGUUGGAAAAUGAAGUAAGUAACCUGUUAACGAGGCUUGCAGCAACAGCAUAAGGAAUUUGUUCAGCCAUCCUUCAAAAAGAAAAUACUACAAAUUAAACAAAUUGAAGAUUGAAAAAAGUUUGAGAGUGGCAAUGAAUAACAGGAAGGGAGGAAUAAUGAAAAUAAUGAUAAUAUUUGAUGGCUAUUUUUUUUUCUUCUUACAGUAAUAUUAGUAUGAAGUUUCUUUCUACCACCUUUUAGCUUAUGAUCUUUCUUUAAAGUCCAAGUGGACCAACCCAUUGUUGACAAGGACUAAUAAUGUUUUUUUUUAAGGGAACGGCUAAUAAUGUUUUGUUAUUCUCAACAAAAAAAAAGUAAAAAUGUAUAUUAGGUUAUUAGUAACAAAAAAAUAAAAAAAGAUAGGAGAUUUUGGGAUGCUAGAUAAUUAUUACUAUUUUACCGAGUAAAUAAGCAAUUUUACUCCUGAAAUUGUAAGUUUUGUCUAUUACCCUCUGAAAUUAACAAAACUUCAAUUACCCCCAUGAAAUUGCAUAACGUUAAUCAAUUUACCCCUCCGUCAAAUUUUUCUGUUAGUGACAUUUUUGUCCUGCAUUGUCAAUCGCUGUUAGGACCAUGAAGAUCGGAGAAAAAGUCAUUUUAACUGUUAAGCCACAAUUUAAGUAGUCUAGAAAUUAACUAAACAAGUUUUGCAAAACAAGCAUCACUACUCUUUGAGAACGGAACAUAACUAGAAAUCCUCGUAUUCUGUUAUAGAUGGAUUUGGUGACAAGGGCAGGCCAGCUCACCAUGAUGAAGCUUCAGUUCCACCUAACGCAACAUUGCAGAUCACUCUCAGGUUAGUUUCUUGGUACAAAGCAACUUUUCAUAAGCAGCUUCUCAAGGAAGGAGAAGGAGCUGAUGUACCGUCCAAAUGAGGGAGCUCUUGUGAAAUGUAAAUCAUCAUUCAUCAUUGAUUGAUUGCUAAUAUAUUAUGAUAUGAUGGCUCUUUUUUUUUAAUGGAUUUAGUGCAUCGGUUCUGAUGUGUUAUCUCCUCAUUUUGCAUUUUUGUAGUAAAACUAAUUGGUAAGCUGCAAGAUGGCACUGUAUUUUUGAACAAGGGAUAUAAUGAUGGUGAUGAUGAUGAAGCGGAUCUGUUUGAAUUUAAAACAGACGAGGGUAAUUUUAAUUUUCCCAAUGUUUCACCCUCUCACCAUCAUUUGUUUUUAAAUCAAAUAAAGUGAAUGCUUUUUGUAUUGAGCAGAGCAAGUGAUUGAUGGGCUUGAUAAAGCUGUACUGACCAUGAAGAAAGGUGAGGUAGCUUUGUUGACUAUUACGCCUGAAUAUGCUUUUGGUUCAUCAGAGUCUCAGCAGGAAUUGGCAGUGGUUCCUCCUAAUUCAACCGUGUAUUAUGAGGUUGAGCUAGUAUCGUUCGUAAAGGUAAAUAAAUAACUUGAUGAUAAUUAGCAAUUGUGCAUUGUGACAUAUUUCAUUGCUGUUUUUUAAAAUUCUAUUAUUGAAAAGGAACACUAGCAGCCGGUGUUUAACAAAGCAGAGAUCUGCCUUUUAGUUUUAUUCUACUUACUUCAAUUGCCAAGUCUGGUAUUUUUUUCUUGUCAUUUUUGUACCGUUUUUCAUUUCUUUGUUCAUUAUUUAUAAUCAGUAUCUAUUGUCAAACCUAAAUUGAAUUUCUUGACAUAAAUAUGAUUGUUGUUUGGUUGCCAUCAUCCUGGUCUAGCAAGAAUGUCCAAAUUGCUAGGCUGGACGCCGUGACCGGGGUUUGAACUCCGGCCCCAAAAAAAAAAAAAAAAAGGCAAAUGCUUAACUGUGUUUACGGGGCUCUUAUGGUUAAGGUUCCUUAGAAAUAAUGUAGCAUUGGUUAGCAGUGUUACACUUUACACUUUUCAAUAAAUAAAUAAAAGUGUUUUUUCCUUGAGUUCUGUCUCUCAAAUAAUUAUUGGUUGGAUACCAUUGCAACUUUCUUUAUGCAUUUAUACCUUGGUUCAUUGUUUGCUUUAGGCUAAGGAGGUAUCGGACAUGAACACUGAAGAGAAGAUAGAAGCUGCUCGUGAGAAGCGACAAGAAGGCCUAGCAUUAGUUUAUGCUGCUGAAUAUGCAAGAGCUUCUAAAAGAUUUCAGAAGGUAACCAGGUUACAUUAAUAUAUUUCACCAUCUACAAUGUGAUAGGGCACUUAAGCCUAUGGUCCAUUGGUGAGCUAAGCAUUAGGACAAAUCUGCAUAAGCCCAACAUCUAGGAGUGCAUGAGGGGAAGGAAGGUAGGGCUAGUGAGAUAAUAAGUUAGUUAGCGACUCCGACACGGACAUCUGACACAGCACCGACACUGACACGUUGACACCACUAAUGUAAAAAAAACAUAGGACACCGACACUACUACUUGUAUACUAAUUUAUUUAUGAAAGAUCUAAAUUGAGAAUCACGCAUGUAUCUUACUUGAGCAAUUUAUUUCAUUAAAAAAAGGUCUAUAACAAGAUACAAUAGUAUUUGGCCUUUAUUUAUCCAUCUACUAUCGAAAAAUUUAAAAACGUUGUAUUCAACUUUAUAGCCCUUCGUUGAUCAACAUUUUCCGCACGUCUUUAACUCUUGAAUAUUGUUAGAGUUGGUUACUAGAGUUUCUCUAGUUAGGAGCAUAGUGCUCUCUUUAGGAGUCUUUGACUCUGGUUUAUCUAUUUCAUUCUGUUAUUCCACCCUUGUAGAGCCUCUACACUCAUAUUUAUCAUUUGAUAGUAAUAUACAAAAUUACCUUGUUCAUUCUGCGGGUUCUAUCAGGUAUCUUUUCUGAAACUGAAACCGUAAUGCAGGCUCUGAAGUUUAUAAAGUAUGAAACUUCCUUUCCCGAUGAGGAUAGGGAAAUUGUUAGCUUGAGGUUUUCUUGUAAUCUGGGCAAUGCAUGCUGCUUGAUGGAAUUGAAAGAUUAUGAACGGGCAAAUAAAUAUUUUAAGGUAUGGCUGCUGUCUCCCAUCUUAUAGAAAAUCACAUCUCUUGUUUAAUAGAAGUAAUAAUCAGUAACUUGUUUUACACAACGAACAAGCAGGAUCUCAACUUAAAGCGCAUAGACACUAAAACGUUGGCUGCGAACCGGAAACUUUCAUGCAGGAGGAAACCGUCCAAGAAUUGUCCUGGCAUUUGCAUAUGAUGUCAAGUUGAAGUCAAAAAAAUGGAUGGUUUAUUUAAAGGGUCUCGUUAACGAGUGCCCUCGGGUCACUCUUAAGCAUCCCAUAUUUAGUAAUUAUUCUUUUAAAAAGUUAACUAUUACAAUUUCCAAUGCAUUCAUUCAAUGCACACCGUUUCAUUAAAAACUUACUAUUUAAAGUGCUUAAAGAGUGUCCGGGGGCACUCUUAACAUUUCAUUAUUUAAAUUGUCUCCGCAUCUAAUCUUGUACAUUUAUUGAGCAUGGAGAAAUUCGGGCCAAAGAUGGUACAUAUGAUGUGAAUUGUGUGUUGAUGUUUGUUUUUUUCUUGACGCAAAUGUGUUGAUGUUUCUAGAGUAACUUGGACUUGUGAGUUUAUAGUAUUUUCUAAAGGACUUGUAAUAUUCUAUCAAGUGUUUAAUUUCUAUGUAUUGACGAUGUAAAUCACUUAUUUACAUAGGCUGACUCGUGGAACACCAAUAAUGGGUGUCCCAAUAAUGUUGUUAGAAAUAUUUAUAAGAAGAAAAAAAAAUAUUGACGAUGAAAAAAAAUCAAUUUUCAAUUUGGUCACCUCGUUUAUAAAAUUUAGACAUUACUUCACACACUCUUCCAUUAUCAAAUUUUGAAAAGAAGGGCAUCAAAAGUUAACAAUUAUGAAAAUAUGGGGACCAAAAUUGCAUUUAAGCCAAAAAUAUCUUACAUGUAAGAUGUAACCCAAGAGGAAUGCAUGAUUUUACAGUAGGGUAAAAUGAUACUCUUCUUGUUUUGCAUUCUAAAGAAGCUCACGAAAAAUACGAUAUCUAGCAUUUGUAGAAAAUGACUAAUUAAAUCAGAAAUGCAAUAUAUUUGAACAAAACAUUAGUAAAAGACUAAGGGGCAGGAACAGAAUAAAUAUAAGGAUUGGACAACUAAUAUUUAAUUCUCAUUCAAAUUCGAAAGGGUUUUUUAUACCUAUUCUUACGAUUUAUUUUCAUAUAUUGGGCUAUAGCCUUUAAUGCAGAACAAGUUCUUAAACUUGUUACAAAGUUUAAUUCAAAGCUAAAGUACUUAAAUCUUGCUUUAAGGAACGUAGUAUCUUAUUGGUUUAAUUGAUCCUUUAGUCCUCUAACUUAUCGGGCUCGCUAAACAGAGGGAGAGGAUGAUAAAGACGGAUCUCAAGAAUUCUGCGCCAUGUGCCAUCAAUUAGCAGCUCUUUCACCUAUAAAGUAGGCAUAGUUAGGGCAUAGUUAGCCCAACAGAUUGAGUUAGAAUAAAAGGAAAUACUUCUGAAGGGCUUUCCUUCAACCAUUUCAACUUUGUUAUCAACAAUUCCACCAAUUGAAGGAUUUCAUUUUCGGUGAGAGACAUAAAAAUCAUGGGUCCAUGCCUUUGUAAUCUAUGAGCCAGAUCCUCCCUGACAACAUAAAAAACAUGUAGCAAAUUAUUACUAUUGAAUUAUUCCUUCAACAAGUAGCUACAUAAUGAUCAUAAAAAAUAUUGCAUAGCGAAAGGGAUAGUUAUGAAGAAAAGAACUACAAAACUAGCAAACCUGCUUCUUGAUCGGGAAAUAAGACGUGAUCCUCUAGAUGAGAAAACAAAAGUUUCCACAUCAUCCCCAAAAGAAUCAGUAGAAAAUAACUCACGCAUUUCUGAAUGAUCGGCAACCCUCUGCUUCUUCUUCUUAACGGUAGAUGUUGUUGAUGGGAUCAAACGUACACAAAAAUUAUCAUCUCCUAUAUACAAGAGUUGCACUUGUGGUAUAGAUGCUAUCACUUGGGAAAACCUUUUUGUAUCACCAGAGAUACCCAAUCUCAUCUUAAGUUCUCCGACGGGGAUUCCAUUAGGGUACGAACUCAAUACCUCCCUAACCGGCCUAUACUGUACCCUUUGACCUUCACAAGAAAACGAGGAAGGUAUAUGGAUCUCUGCAUUUUGUGAAGAUGUGGGCUCCUCAGCAGCUAAGAAGGGAUUUUUAGGACGCACCUUCCAGUUUCUAUACCACUCUGGAGGAUAUUCAAGAGGCACCCGCGCCUUAACAUACCACUCAGGAGGAUAACAGAAAUAUUUUCCAGUAAGAUAUUUCCCCUUGAGCACUGAAGACCACCGCCAUACUAUAAAUGCUCUUCUGCUGACACAAUCUUCAGCCUUUCCUGGACAUGCAAGCAAGAGGUUCUCGUUCCUCCUAUGAUAGUUCCUCCUAUGAUAGUUUCGAACCAAUAUGCAGGAGAAGUUUAUGUCUUUAUCACCAGAUAUCAAAAAGAGGUGCAUGGGCGAGGAGGGAUUUUGAGAAAACCAAUCCACAAAGCAUUUGCUCUUGUUCUUUCCACCUGUAACAGAGUAGUUAAAGGUCAUUAUUAUUUUAAAAGAUAAAGUAGAUAAGAUUGAAUGAUACAUUUCAGCAAGUCGUCGUAUGGACAAGAUUCUAAAACUGAUUUGUUAGCUGCACAUCCAUCUCAAACCAUAAGAACCAAGCUCCAUAACAAACAAGGACACUACAUUCAAAAUACAAAAGAGUCGUCUAUCUAAUUGUGAUAACUAAAGAGCAAUGUUCAACAUUUCAAAAAUUGAUUCUUGAUAUGGGUGUAUUAGAAUGGAGUUUUAAAAAACUUUUUUGGACAAAAUAAUCUUGCGGUAUUUAAUCAGGACUUUUAUAUAAUAUAAAAAAUCUUAUGGUAUUCAAUUUGGAUUUUCAAGAUUUUUUAAAGAGAGUUUCACAAAACUCAAUUGUAUUCGAGACUUUUUACAACUUAAAAUAGAAUCCGUCGGUAUUAGAAAGAAAGAAAGAAAAAAAACACAGAUUUUGAGGAAUUACUUUACUAAAUAGAUUUUGUAUAAGACUUUUUAGUACCGUUAAUAUUUAAUUAAAUAGUAAACAAUUGUAUUUACAUUGUAAAUAUAUUCUAGCUUACUUUAGGAUAAAAUAUUACGUAGAAUAUUCCUUUUGUAAUCUCCUAUAUAAUAGACCCGUAGUGUUAUUCAGACAUAGUUUUUAGCAUAUGUCUCUCUUUUUUCUCUUAUUCAACAAGUACAAUCUAUAAACACUACACCCAGCAAACAAUCCCACCUAAACUCAUGGGACUUUUAAACUCUAUCAUUCCCUGCUUGUAGACCUCUUCAAGUGAGUAUUUCUAUCUCUCUCUUCCUUUUUAUACUCAAAGUUUAUCCAUCAUUAUAACUCCUAUCCUAUGUAUUGCAAAAAAUGUGAUCAGCAACUGCUCUUUUACAACUCUUGACUCUGCUCUCAAUUUCUUAAUCUCGCUAUCAGCAAACUUUGUUAGGUGCUCUCAUUAUUUUUACCCUUGGUAUUGUAAUCAUAUAGAGAUAAUGAUCAAUGAUAACAAAAACUGAAAAACAAAAAGUAUAAGGAGAUCACAUAAAAAUAUAAAAAUAAAAAAAUAAAAAAAAGAAAGUAAAAUCCUAUUGCAAUAAUAAUCUUGAUAAGUUUUCUCUUAAUUUUUUUUGAUGAAGUUUCUUUUGAUGUAAUUGGGUUAUGCCAUAAUAAUCUUUUUACGCCUGUAAAAUCGAAACAAAAAUGUUUUGAAAGCUCGGCGGAAUCAUUAAACUCGGGAAAUUUCUCCAAAGUCUUUUAAAAUCUAUUGGACUUUUUUCCUAAUAAAACAGUCCUAUAAAAUCCAAAACCAAUACACCCCUUAAUUUCUGGUAAAGAAAGAAAAACAAUAGAACUGAAAAUGAAGAUGGUAAUAGUUUUAGAUAUAAGGUAAGAAAAAAGAACCUGGAAUGUGGUGGAGAACAAUGCCAGAUUGGAAAAAUGCUUCUUGUUUGAUCUGUGAAAGUUGAGAAACAUCGCCAUAAGCGUCAAUAUGAAUUGGGCCCUUAAUCCCGUUGGCUCUAAGAACUCCCAUAAUUGAAGGUGCUACAUUCAAAAAGCUAAUGCCGGAGGGGACGCCACAGCUAUCAAAGUCCCACCAUACUGCAACCCUAAAUUUAAAGUUAUCCCAAUGAGGUUGCAGAGGAUGACUAAGAUCCUGUUGCAGUUCUGAUGACUUGGGCUCUUCAAAAUGACUAGCACUAUGGUCUAUUUCGGACUUAGCAUUGCUUUUCCAAAAUGUCCACCAACUACUAAUCCAACUACAGAAAGUUGAAGUAAAUGGGCUACGACAAACUUCAUCAACCUCCUUUCUAGUUGGAAUCUCAUGGUUGUUUUCCAAUAUGGUGCAAUCAUUAGAAGUAGACGGAUUCUGUGAAGGGAUUAUUUUUUCAAGAAUUUCAGGAUUUCCAUCAUCAGACUUAACAACGUCAUUGUCAGAUUUUUUGGAAAUAUUGUUGUCAUCUGGAAGAAGUUGAAUCUGCGGCAAUGGUGCACGGGCCACAUCCAACUCUAAAGAUUUUUUCUGCAACUCAUUUGGAGGCUGAUGCACAAUACUGUCCAUGAACAAAGGAGUUGAUGAUUUACCAUCAGCGUAUUCCCCGAGAGGUUUUCCUUGUGAAGGGAUAGAUUGGAAUGAUUUUAAAUCAUCACCCUCACUGUUAACACACGAUGAGGAUAUUUUGGGAACCCCGUCUGCACUUCUAUCCAUAUUUUUACCGUCAUUGGGCAACUUUUGAGUUGCGGCACCAUCGUUCUGGUUAUUCUUAACAGCAGAUGUCGUUGAUGGGACCAAACAAACCCAAAAAUUAUUUCCUCCUAAAUACUGGAGUUGUACAUAUGACAUAGAUAUUAGGAAGUUGGAAAACUUUUUAUUUCCAUAGAAACGUUUAACCAAAGGCAUAUCACAGUUUGUCAACUCUGCACGAAGAUCUCCUAUGGAGAUCCCAUUUGGAUGCGAACACAAUAUUUUCAUAACCUGGCUAGAAAAUGAUUUUGAAGCUUGACUUAACUUUUUGUCCAAGGUAGGUUUGUAUAUCUCCUCCUCCGAAUUUUGUGAAGAUGUGUGCAACUCAACAACUGAGAAGGGGUUUUCAAGAGGCACAUUUGAGUUUUCAUACCAUGAAUAAGUGGGACCAUCAGGAGGAUAGUUGAAAUGUUUUCCUGUAAGGUCAUCCCCCUUGAGCAUGGAAGACCACUCCCACAUUAUAGUUGCUGCAUGGCAGAGAGCAGCAACAUGAGCCCUUCCGGGACAUGCAAGCAAGAUAUUGUAGUUGCACAUUCUUAACCGGUGCAAUAUGCCACUGCUAGAAAAGUCUCUAUUACCAAAUAUCAAAAACAGGUGUAGUGGUGGAGGAUUUGUGGAAACCCAAUCAUUGAGAUCCAUAAGAAAAUGCUUAUAGGUAUUAUUCUUUGUAUCUGCAACAAUAUAGUUGUUAUUUAUUAUUUGAAAGAGUUGUGUUAUCUAUAUGACAACUAAAAUUUUACAAAGAAAAUGAAGUAUUAACACAAAAAAUCAAAACGAGAGAGAGAGAGAGAGGAACGAACCCUUAUAUCUUUUGUCAAGGUCAAAAGGGUAAUCAUCGGAAAAGGAGUGUAGAGUAAUGUUGGUUGAAUUAAAAGCCUCUUUGUCGACAUCACCAUAAGCGUGAAUAUGAAUUGCACCCAUAAUUCCGUUAGCUCUAACGGCUGCCGUAAUUGAAGGUGCUACCUUGGAAAAGCUAAACCCAGAGGGCACGGGACAGCUGUCAAGGUGCCACCAUACUGAAACCUCGGGAGGAGAAGAAGAUGAUGAGAACCCACGCCCUUUAAACCUAAUAAAAACCUUGCGAGAAAGACGAGAAGGUAGAAAAAGAGGAAACAUUGUUAGUCUUGUUCGGAUUGGGCGGCGGUUUCAGAUUCGAUGACAGCUUGUCGGAUUCAAGCGGCCAUGGGCAAAGGGGAGAUGAAAUUGCAGUGAGGGGGAAGAAGGCGUUUGCGUUUCUGUUUGUUGACUAUUCCGCCACAAUAUGCUUUUGGUUCCUCCUAAUUCAACCUUGUGUAAAGGUAAAUAAAUAACUUAUUCAAUGUUGAUUAUUAAAAUUAUAUUAUUUUGUUUCUGUUUAUCUUUUUUUUCAGCUUUUUUUAUUUACAUGGUUUUUCGUGUUUAAAAAAAAAAAUCUGUUUUAAACUUUUAAUCCCUUUAUUUAAAAAAUCGGCCUUUAAAUUUGUCCUUGAAUUUAAAAAAAUUGGCCAAAUUUGUCCCUGAGUUUUUCAAAAUAGCUAUUUAGUCCCUUAAUUUACAAAAUGUCAAUCAAAUUAGUCCCUCUGUUAAGUUGGUAUGUUAAUAGAUGUGACAUGUAAUGUUAACCUCUUACAAGGUUUACCACGUCAGAUGUCACGCAAGCAGGGACCAAAUUGAUUGAUUUACAGAAAAUUGCCAAUGACUAAAUUGAUUGAUUUUCAGAAAAUUAUCAAGGACCAAAUUGAUUGAUUUUCAGAAAAUUGCAAAAUUCCCAACGACUCUUUCUCAUUAACGGCUAUUUCUUCCCAAAAUAUAUAAAUUUGGAACCUUGAUGUUAUAAUUUGUCACCUAGAGUUCAAAAUCCCCAAAAUUUCUUCCAUGAAUUGAUGCCAAAGUUCUUCCCCAAUUCAAAAAACUUAAAAUCUUAAUUUUUUUGAUUCAAUUCGAAAUUCAAAAAUCAGUGGAAGAUGUUGAUAGUGUUAGAGAAGAGGCUUGGAGAAGCCAAAGGAUAGUGUUAGAGAAGAGGCUUGGAGGGCAAGGUUGAUGGAUAAAGUUGAUUGUAUAGGAAGUGAGCUUAGGUUGAUUAAAAUAUUGAUAGGAGUAAUUUGUUUGAUUAAGUCGUUUAAAAUGUUAUUUUAUUGUGUCAAGUGUGUGUAAUGUUGUAAUGUUAUAAUGAAAAGAAGUUGUCAAUGAAUGAAUUCAACCCUUCUGUCAAAAAAAUUCAAUCAAAUUGGUUCUUCUAUUGUAUGUCUAUCCAUCACAUUCAUCCCCAAAUUAGUGAAAUUACCAUCAAAUCAGUUCUUGAAUUUUCACAACAUAAAUCAAUGUGAUCCUUGGUGCAUACAUCUACUGAACAAAGUAAAAAGUAAAAGACGGACCCUCUAUAUGUAUUUUUAUAUAGUUGUUAGCAAAAAAUCAGCUCAAAAUUCAAUUUCUAAGUUGACGUUUUGAUGUUUUAGUUUCUUGAGUUUUUGGUGCAUUAAAAAUUCAUAUUUAAUCCAUCCGUUUUCGAAAAAUUCUAAUUUUUUUUGUGGGAAGUAUUUUUUUUAAUGUCCUUAAUAUGUGUGCAAAAAGUAAUAAAAAAUUCAACUUCUAUAACUUUUCCAGAGGUAGAAAAAUAUUGCGGUUUUACAGGUUUCGGUAAAAAAUUCAAAAUAUAUUGAGGCUUAAUCGAAAUACUAUGUAAAUUUGCAGAUCUCUAUAUGUACUUUUUAUAGAGAUGUAUGUAAAAAAAUAAGAGAGAAAGUAAUAUAAGAUAGGCACAAAGUCACUGUGACUUCUAAGGGUGUGUUUGGUUAAAAAAAAGCUAUAAGCUAGCUGAUAACUGAAAAUUUAGCUGAUUAAAAUUAAGUGUUUGGUAAAAUUAGUUGUGGAAGUGACUAUAAAUAUAAAAAGACAUAAAAGACAUGAUUGUUUAAUUUUUUUUAAUAUCAUAUAUAUAAUUUUUAUUACUUAACGCAUUUAUUUUUAAAUAUUUAAAUAUAUUUCAAAUUAUUUUCAUCUCCAAAAUAAUAAAUGUAUUUAUGAAUUCAAUCGAAUUUUUUUAAUUAACAAUUUUUAUUUUAUUUUUAUAAAUUUUAUUUAACUAAACUUGCUUCACUAUUAUAAAUUUAUAUAAAUUAUAUAUUAUAUAAAUUAUGAGCAAAGUAAAAAAAAAAACAAAAAGUGGACAAUAAAAAUUUAAAAAGCCAUACAUGGUAAACAUGAUUAGUUUAAGGUCAUACAUGGUAAAAAUAAGUUAUAAGCUAGCUGAUGGCUGAUGACUGAUAACUGAUAGCUUUAGCUGAAAAGCUUGCUUAUUAAAAUAAUGUGUUUGGUAAAAUUAGCUGUUGAAGUGGCUGAUAAGUAUAAAAUAACAUAAAAGGACAUUUUUUAAUAUAUAUAUAUAUAGACACACUAUUUUUUUGUAAUGUAUUUAUUUUUAAUAUUUUAAUUAUAGUUAAAUAUGUUUUUGGUCCCUAUAAAUAUUCAAACUUUUGGUCUUAGUCUCCAUAAAAAAAUUCUUCGAGUGUAUUUUUAAUAUUUUUAAUUAUAGUUAAAUAUGUAUUUUUAAUUCUCCAUACACUUUUGGUCUUGGGGUUUGCUAGAACACACCCACUAGUUUUUAUGUGGGAGUGUUUUAGCAAAACUACACCUUAAGGUGUAUUUAACCACUUUUUAGUUAUUCACUUGCUAAAAUGCCUAUAAGAUUUGCUAGAACACACCCACUUGCUUUUUCUAGAAGGUGUGUUAUAGCAACAUACACCUUAAGGUGUAUUUAUUAACUUUUUAGUUAUAACUUGCUAAAACACUCCCACAUAAAAAUUAGUGGGUGUGUUCUAGCAAAUCCCUUAUAUAUAUAUAUGGGAGCCCCUAAUAUGGACCUCUUUCUUUAAGGUUCAUUCAUGGUCCUUGCUAAAUGACAUGUAAUAGUGAGUAGACACUUACUUUUCGGGUGCAAAAUCACUUGUUAAUUUUCUAACCCCCAUUUCAUACUGUACACCCUACUCCUGGUAUAUGAAUAUUUUGUUGUAACUUUUGGGUUUUAUUUUAUUUCAAAAGUUAAUGUAAUUAACUAUUUUUAUUUAAGCACAUUUACUUGUUUCCUGAGUCAAAGGCAGUUAUAUUUUUAUUCCAACGUGCACAAUUGAAUAGCUAUUAUUAAGGCUUUAUUUUGCAUAACAAAGAAUUCUUUUUACUUUCUUAGAAAAAGUCUUUUUACGGAAACAAAUAGGUGUGAAGCUUUUUCUUAAAUAGCCUUUCAUCAGUAGCAAGAAAAAAAAUCAUCUCCCAAAACCAUAAACAAAAAAUAGUUUUCUCUCCUCUCAAAAAUAUUGACUUUUUUAGGGUUACAUCUCCUCUGCUAUCUUUGAGAUAGAUUCAAGUUGUACUAAAAAAACAAUUAAACCUAAAACUAACGCCCUGAUUGGCUGCCUAUUCCUUCAGGCUAUCUGAAACAUGGUGGUCGGAUGCAUUUCAUCCUACAUCCUCCUCAAAAGAUCCCAGAAGUAUUCCACAAAGUCACCAUCAUACAGCCCCUCCUCCGUCAUGCCGUAGACGAUGUGUAUGAUAGCCAGUGUGCUAGGAUGAUCUCUCGCAUGAUCCUCCUAAAUAACGAUCUCCUUAUUAGACGGCCGAGAAGGUGGUACCUGAACAACCUCUGCUGGUGGGAUCACCUACGGAUGAGACACUCUGUAGGACCAUGUAAUGUACCUCGGUAUGUGCUGCCACAAAUCCGCUACCACCGGACCCUGCAUAAUCAAUGGUAUGACGUGAAUCACGAAGUUUUGAAAUGACUACAUUAUCUGGACUAAGCGAAGGGGAGGCACAUAUGACGUAAUUCGGGGAAUGUCCUAGACAUGACCAUGCUGUCACUUUCACCUAGGCCAACAAGUGUCGGUACUUCAUCCCUUUAUAGUUAAUUGUCGUUGUUAUAUUUAACGAGCAACAAUUAACUGUCGUUGGAGAUAAACUUUGUUGUUAUAUUGAACGGACAUCAGUUAACUUGGGGGUGUUCAAAACGAACCAAUUCAAUAGAAAAACCGUAAACCGAACAAAUCCAAAGCAAAACCUCAAAAAACCGCAUUUCGUUCGAAUGUAUUUGAAUCAUAUUUUUACUCAAGCGCAUGGUUUGGUUUGCGUUUCUUAUUUAUAAACCAAACCAAACCGCAACAUAAAAAAAACACUAAUUAAAUAUAUAUAACAUAGAUAAAUACUCAUAGAAACUCAAUGAAAACUUUUAUAAAAUAACAUUUCUUUUGACAAAACUUUAGGCUCAAAACCGAACCAAACUGCACCGCGAACACUCUAAGUUAAUUAUCGUCGGAGAUUUUGAUAAUUUCCUGGCGAGCAAUAUUUGAAGUUAAAAAAACAAGAGAAAUGAUAUUUGUACAACCACUUUUUAACAACUUUUGGAACAAUAUGUUUUUAAUCUCUCUAUUCUCCUUUCUCUCUCUAUUCUUUUUAUCCAAUAAGAAGUGAGGAAAAAUGGUUGUCAAUAAAGUUGUCUAAAAUGGGUUUGUACAUAUGUCACUUCUAAAAAACAAUUUGCAAGUUACUUUUGAGCGAUGUCCUAAUAAAGUCCCGUAUUAGUCAUUUUAGUAGUGUUUUAUCCCCUCUAAUAUAGGUCAUUUCCGGUUUUACCCCCUUUAAAAUAUUUAUUUUGGAUUUCGACCUUGUAAUUUAAAGAUUUUUGGUUUUGGACCUUGAUAAAUCUUGAACGUACAAAAUCGAAGAUAUGGUAAGGGGUAAACAGAAAUUUGCUCAAAUUAAGAGAGGUUAAACCAAAAUUUGCUCAAAUUACGAGGAAUGAAAUUUUUCAUUAAGAUUCCAAAACCAAAAAAUCUUAAAAUUACAGAUGGAAUAAAAAAAAUAAAAAUUACAUGAGGUAACCGGAAAUGACUAUGUUACCGGAAAUGACUAUUUUACGGGGUAAAAAAGAAACCUAUAUUUUAAGAAUUCCCCUCUUUCUCUCCUUCUUCAACUCCUCUUUCUCUCGGCUCUUUUUAGUAAGAAGAAAAAGAGGAAAUUGUGAAAUCAAGGGAUUUGAAACCUAUAGUCAAAUACUUGGGUUUUCUCAUAUUCUUCUUCUUCUUCAAUAUCAAGUAAGUUCUUUAAAUUUGAACUGGGUAUUAGGGUUUAAAUGAAUAUGAGUAUUAAAUGAAUGACAUGUCACUUAUUUGGAAUGUAGAUAAAUUUCAAACCUCCUAAUGAUUUAUGAAUAUUUAGGGUUUCAUCAUAUCAAUAAUCUUGAUUCCCUGUAUAAAGUGUAGAAUUGGUUUUAGUGAUAUACAAUAUUAGACCCUUGGCUGGCUUUUAAAUGCACUCAGAAUGGAUAAUUGCAGCCCUUAAAAUUAGUUUAUAAUCAAAGAAGUUGUCGAAUUUAGACUGUUUUCGAAUUUUGGUAAUUGCAGGAAAUUUGUUGUGCAAUGCAGAGCAUUCUUGUUCUGAUCCGUAUGUGAGGCGUAAGUGAUCUACACAUUUAUUAUUUUCAUAUCAUAUCACUUGAAUACAUAUUGAUUCAUUGUGUUAGUGAAGACUCUUAGAAAUGGUGAUUGAGCCUAACACAACCCCACAAAACAUCUUGUGAGGUGAGGAUUGCCCCCCACUUAUAAACACAUUGUUGGGCCAUCAUCUAUCCGAUGUGAGACUCUUAACACACCCCCUCACGACCAGCACUAUUGGGCUUGGUUCGUGGACAUAAAUGGUGGGUGUCCCGAUAGCGGAAACCUGAUAGCAGGUGGUCCAAUGCAGAGCAUUCUUGUUCUGAUCCGUACGUGAGGCGUAAGCGAUAUACACAUUUAUUAUUUUCAUAUCAUAUCACUUGAAUACAUUUGAUUCAUUGUAUUAGUGAAGACUCUUAGAAAUGGUGGUUGGGCCUAACACAACCCCACAAAACAGCUUGUGAGGUGAGGAUUGCCCCCCACUUAUAAACACAUUGUCAGGCCACCUAUCCCAUGUGAGACUCUUAACACACCCACUCACGACCAGCACUAUUGGGCUUGGUUCGUGGACAUAAAUGGUGGGUGUCCCGAUAGCGAAAACCUGAUAGCAGGUGGUCCAAUGGAUUUUGGAGAGGCUCUGAUAUCAUCUUAUAAAUGGUGGUUGAGCCUAACACAACCCCACAAAACUGGCUUGUGAGGUGAGGAUUGCCCCCCACUUAUAAAUACAUUGCCAGGCCAUCACCUAUCCGAUGUGGGACUCUUAACAAAGACUACAAUGUAGUUAGUCAUGAAUUAGACUGUUUUGGGUUUUAGUAAGAAAUUUACUGAGAUGUAAUUUUAUCCGAAUAGUAAGGAAGAAGAAGAAGAAAGGAAAUCAAAGUUUUUAAUUUAAAGUUUUGCUAAGUCGUGUUUUUGAAUUUCAUCCCUCUGUAAGUUUUUGUUUUUGGAUUAGUCCCUAUAACCUUGCCAUGGACAUCUGGAAUAACACAUAAGCCUCACUUGCCACGUCACACAUCGCCAUGUCAGCUGUCGUCAGACACAAAAGCGUUUGUGUAACAGAUGCUGACGGCAGGGACCGAAAGCAAAAUGUUUAUAACUUACAGGGUCUGUUUUAGAACAAAAAAAGAUACAGGGACGAAAACCAAAAACACGCGAACUUACAGGGACGAUUUACAUAUUUAAGCCUAUUUUAAAUUGAUUUAAAUCAUUCCAUUUAUUGAAUUUCUAGGGACCCACAUCACACAAUGGGAUUUGAUUCAAUACAAGAAGAAAGCUGCUGCUCCUACUGCUGAUGAAUAUGAUGGUAAUACUAUUCUCAAAUACAAUUAAUUAGAUGAAGGUUUUUAUUUUCUUGUGCCAUUCAAUUUAUUGAAUUGAUUGAUAUUGUUACCAUUCAUUUGGCCAGCUAGAUAUAUCAUUCCACUCAGCAAAUACAAGAAGAAAGUUAAAUAUACUAAUCCGGAGGAUAUUUGUAAGGAUGGAGGUUUGGUAAAGAAGAUACUCAAGCCCGGGGAUGACAAAUAUCAACAUGUUGAUGAUUAUGAUUAUGUUUUAGGUAUAAAUACAUUCAUGAUCGUAUUUCAUUUUUUAUUUUCUCAUUUUCUGGAUCUUAAUUGGUGUUAUUGCUCUGCAGUUAAGUACGAAGCACUUCUUGAUGAUGGAACUCUUGUUAGAAAAUCUGAUGAUGAUGGAGUUCAAACUCAACAAUGAACAGAGCAAGUGAUUGAUGUGCUUAAUAUAGCUGUAAUGACCAUGAAGAAGGGUGAGGUAGCUUUGUUGACUAUUGCGCCACAAUAUGCUUUUGGUUCAUCAGAGUCUCGGCAGGAAUUGGCAGUGGUUCCUCCUAAUUCAACCUUGUAUUAUCAGGUUGAGCUAGUAUCGUUUGUAAAGGUUACUAAAUAACUUGGUGAUAAUUUGCCAUUUUGCAUUGAGAUAUAUUCCGAUGUUGCUUAUUAAAAUUCCAUUAUUGAAAAGGAACACUAGCAGUUGUUGUUUAACAAAGCAGGGAACUGCCUUUUAUGUUUUAUACUACUUCUUCCUGCUAUUUCCAUGUUUCGUACUUUUGUUUUCAUUCUUCUACCAUUUUAAAUUUCUAUGUUCAUAAUUUAUUAUCAGUAUCGAUUGUCAAACCUAAAUUGAAUUUCUUGACAUAAAUAUGAUUGUUGUUGGUUGCCAUCUUCCUGGUUUAGCAAGGAAGUGUUGUUAUAGUUAAUUUGCAAAGCUGUUUUUCUUGGCACAAUAAAGAAGCAAAUGCUUAACUGUGUUUUCAGGGCUCUUGUGGUUAAAGGGUUCCUUAGAAAUAAUGUAGCAUUGGUUAGCAGUGUUAAACUUUACACUUUUCAAUAAAUAAAUAGAAGUGUUUUUAGGACAACGGUUAGCAGGAUUUAAGUAAAGAACGAUGUAUUUUUUUUCCUUGACUUCUGUCUCUCAAAUAAUUAUUGGUUGGAUACCAUUGCAACUUUCUUUAUGCAUUUAUACCUUGGUUCAUUGUUUGCUUUAGGCUAAGGAGGUAUCGGACAUGAACACUGAAGAGAAGAUAGAAGCUGCUCUUGAGAAGCGACAAGAAGGCAUAGCAUUAGUUUAUGCUGCUGAAUAUGCAAGAGCUUCCAAGAGAUUUCAGAAGGUAACCAGGUAACAUUAAUAUAUUUCACCAUCAUCCACUACAAUGUGAUAGGGCACUUAAGCCUAUGGUCCACGUGGUGAGCUAAGCAUUAGGACAAAUCUGCAUAAGCCCAACAUCUAGGAGUGCAUGAGGGGAAGGAAGGUGGGGCUAGUGAGAUGAUAAGUUAGUUAGCAACUCCGACACGAACAUCUGACACAACACCGACACUGACACUGACACGUUAACACCGCUAAUGUAAAAAACAUAGGACACCGACACUGCUACCUGUAUACUAAUUUAUUUAUGAAAGAUCUAAAUUGAGAAUCAAAUAUGUAUCUAACUUGAGCAAUUUAUUUCAUUAAAAAAAGGUCUAUAACAAGUUACAAUAGUAUUUGGCCUUUAUUUAUCCAUCUAAUAUCGAAAAAUUUAAACACGUUGUAAUCAACUUUAUAGCCCUUCGUUGAUCAACAUUUUCCGCACGUCUUUAACUCUUGAAUAUACUAUGUGUGUAAGCAUAGAAAAAAAUCAGACAUUUGUUUGAGUUGUCUGACAUGCCUCAUGGAGUAUAAGUUUUAUAUAGGUGUUGGGCACCAGUCCAAGGAGUGUCAAAAUAAAGGAGAAAAACAUUUAUUUAGUACACUUGUCGGACACUGCGACAUGCGUAAUCCUAGAGGUGUCCGUGCUUCAUAGGUUAGUGACUUGUGCACCAAUCUCAUGUGAGUACGGAGAUAAAAGAGAGGGGAUGGGUAGUGGAGAAGGCAUUCUGAAGUAUUAUUGGAGUUGGUUACUAGAGUUUCUCUCUAGUUAGGAGCAUAGUGCUCUCUUUAGGAGUCUUUGACUCUGGUUUAUCUCUUUCAUUCUGUUAUUCCACCCUUGUAGAGCCUCUACACUCAUAUUUAUCAUUUGAUAGUAAUAUACAAAAUUACCUUGUUCAUUCUGCAGGUUCUAUCAGGUAUCUUUUCUGAAACUGAAACCGUAAUACAGGCUCUGAAGUUUAUAAAGUAUGAUACUUCCUUUCCCGAUGAGGAUAAGGAAAUUGUUGGGUUGAGGUCUUCUUGUAAUCUGAGCAAUGCAUCGUGCUUGAUAAAAUUGAAAGAUUAUGAACAGGCAAAUAAAUAUUUUAAGGCAUGGCUGCUGUCUCCCAUCUUAUAGAAAAUCACAUCUUUUGUUUAAUAAUAAUAAUAAUAAUCAGUAACUUUGUUUUACACGACGAACAAGCAGGAUCUCAACUUAAAGCGCAUAGACACUAAAACGUUGGCUGCGAACCGGAAACUUGCAUGCAGGAGGAAACUCUCCAAGAAUUGUCCUGGCAUUUGCAUAUGAUGUCAAGUUGAAGUCAAAAAAUGGAUGGUUUAUUUAGAUUGUCUCCAUAUCUAAUCUUGUACAUUUAUUGAGCAUGCAGAAAUUCGGGCCAAAGAUGGUACAUAUGCUGUGAAUUGUGUGUUGAUGUUUCU
rnacentral:lncRNA from 1 species